UUAUAUUUUUACCUUAUUUACUAGCGUGAUUAUAAUAAGAAUUUUACCGUCUCCGUCUUUGAGUUAAUAGUUUAAUUGGUCCCUAAAGGGGUUUUAGGGACGAUUAUGUGCGGAGGAUUGUUCGUAGGAGAAAAUUUCGAUGACGGUAAAAAUAGUAAAUUUUAGCUAGUAAAAGGUAAUUUUUUAUUCGGGUAUUAUUUUUUCGGGGUGUUUUAUUUUUUUGAAAUUGGGUUGUUUAAAGGGUGGACCGGUUUGGGGUGUGAGGCCCAAACCCAUAUUUUCUUUUUCUUCCUCUUUUCUUCCCGGUUUCCUCCCGAGCCUCUUCCCCGCCGGAAACUUCUCGCCGUCUGUACGCCGCCGUCCGGCCACCGUCUGCCGCCGCUCCGGUCCCGUUCGGUUGCCCUCCGACUCAGCUAUCUUCCAGGACCGGUGACAGCCCCCCUAGCGCCGCCGUGAGAGAGCGGUGCCGCCCGAAAGGUUAGACUGCCCCGAACUUCCGGUCGUUGGAACUCCCUCCUCCGGCCACCAAAACCGGCGAUCCUUGGCUCGUUUUGUAGCCCUCCUCCCGUGCAGCAACCCCUCCAAUCAGCUCACUCCCUCUUGAGCUAGGUAAAGAGAAAUGUGGAGUUGAAUUUUCUAGGGCUUUUAGGAUGUUUUCGUUCGAUUAGCCUAGUUAGGCUUGGAAUUGGGUGAUGUGCUGGUUAAGAAAGUUGUAGAGCUUGAUGAGGAGAUUAUUCUGUCAAAAUUUCAUAGGUUUUGGAGGUCGCCGGAAUUGGCCUCCGGCCGCCGCUGGUUAAGAGAUUUUUAGGGUUUUAAGUGUGGAAUAUUAAGAGGAGUAUAUUGAUGUGAAUUAUGGAAUUUUUGGAUGAGAUUUGGAUAGGUUUGUGAAUUUCCGAAGUUUGGUAUUUUUUGCGGUUAAUUAAUGUAGAAUCCGGCAGUAGGAUUUAAGUCGUAUUUUUGGGAGGUUGUAUUUACGACUGUAGAGCGUUCCGAUUUAAGAAUAUCGAAGUUAGGCAAUGAUGAGCGUAUUUAUGGCUCUCGGGUAAUUUUGCCUAUUUUGACUAAAUAUUGGAUUAUUGGUUGGGAAAUUAAUAUUAUAUUUGGAACAGGACGUGAGGAGGCUCGAGCAGACGAGGCCCCAGAUCGACAUCAGGCUUAGGCCUAAUUUGUGAGUGGACGUUUAUUUUAAAUAAAUGCAUGCUAUAGUUCAUGGUUGAACAAUUAAUGUUGCUGAAUAUUUUAACGUAAUUUUAAUUUGACGAUUUUUAUUUCUCUUGAAGAGUUACCGAAAAUGAGAUUUUCGGUGGAUAUAAAUAUGUAUUUAUGAAAGAGUAUGUAUAUAAAUGCUAGCUAGCCAUAUGUGUCUGUCCACCUUAAUGACGUAGCAUAUAGCCGCAUUAUGGUGUGACGUGAGCGUUGGACGUGAGCGUAGUAGCCCUAUUUGAGUGUUUAAUUCAUAUAGGGGGUAUGGACACAUAUUUAUACACCCGUCUGUCCAUCUUGAUGGCGUAGUGUAGCGCCGCAUUAAGGCGUGACGUGAGCGUUGGACGCAAGUGUAGUAGCCAUAUAUAGACCCAUGAAUUUAUAUAGGGAGUAUGGACGAGUGUAAAUACAUACAUAUAUUAUAGAGUCUGAGAGGCUCGAUAUUUUAUGAGAUAAAAGUUUUAUCGCUUGCGGCAUGCAUUCGAUUUUUCCUUAGAAAUUAAUUUGGGGAAACAUAAAUAUUUUAUUUAGUAUUUUAUUUUUUGUUCACUCACUCUAACGUUAUUAAAUGUUUUUCCCCUGGGCCCUUCGUUUUAAAUUGCCCAGUCUGCAGAGUUCGGGUUGGAUCUAGUAGGAGGCGAGGCAUAGUCACCCGUAUUUCUGCCAGUUUUCAUCAGUAGGUUACCUGUUCAACCUACUCGUGUUUUCUUGCUUCCGCUAGAAUCUAGUAGCUCAGGAUAUUUUGGGAUUGUUGUAUAUUAUUUCGGUAGUGUGCUCGGCCUGUUGGUAUUGUGUUUAGAAUUUCUGAAGGUUAUUUAUAUGAUAUUUGGACGUAUUGUUUUUAAGAGUGAAAUUUGGAAUUUUCGAGUUAGGGUUGUCCAUCUGCAAGGGAGAUUUUCUCAAUCUUUUCAGUAAAUUUUCCUUGGAGGUGGUCCCUGCACGACUUACUCCGGGUUUCAGGGUGAAAUCCGGGGUGGGUCGUGUCAUGGAAUCUAUCAACGGUGACUUGAAUUCUAUUUUCUCGAAUCUACGAGAAGAAUCUGGAAUCCACCAGAAAAGUUGAGACAAACUCAAGGGUUUUUAUUAAGGAUUAAAUUCAAUUUGCCCCCUCGUACUUUAGGUCAAUAAUCAGUUUGGUCCCAUAUCCUUUUUUUAAUAACGUUGGUCCUUGAAAUUUUAUUUCACAUCAGUUUAGUGUAAUUUUUGAAUUGCCCUCCUUAUCAUGACGUCAUGCGCUGAGUUAUCCGCGACACAAGAGCCCAGUUUCUGACUUAAAAGGGCAAAAUAGUCAUUUUAUACUCCAAUCCCACUCUUCUCUGCCAGCUUCGACUCCACCACCGCCACUCUCCGUUGGAUUGGAGUAUAUAGAGUUGUACAUAGUCAACUCCCCUUCCACUUCAACUCGGACAUCCCAAACAUCCUCCCCUUCUUCCUCCUCCACCCUCUCAGAAUCAAGCAAUUCCGCCCUCGCAAUCACAACCCGAAAACCCCGAACUCCUCGGAAACGUCCCAACCAGACUUACAAUGAAGCCGCUGCAUUACUCUCCACUGCUUACCCCAACAUCUUCUCCACCAAAACCCUCACAAAUCCUCGCAAAUCCACCAAACCCCACGACUUUUUCCUCGACCCCUCAUCCUCCCAAUUCCUCCUCCCUCUCCGACUCAUCAACAAUUCCGCUACUUUCUUCCUCCAUAACCCAAUUAUCCAGAAACCCAACUCCUGAUUCGAGCCGAAAGCCAUCAAUUCAUUCGAAAAGUCGUGCAAUUCUCCCAGGGAAUUCAACUCCCCGGUGAACUUCGACUCCAACUCCAACUCCUCCAUGGAGAUAUGUGACGACGACGCAAAAUCAAUGCUGGAUGAGGAGAUUGAUGAGGGUAUUGAUAGUGUCAUGGGGAGUAGUACAACCAGCAUGAGCAUAGACUCAGUCGACGAGUCGUCCACUAGUAGUGACCGAAUGAUGAUGAGUUCAUGCUAUGGCUACCCAAUGGGGUUGGGAUUUGGAGGAAACUUGCAAUUUGGAUUCAGAUUCAGACAAGAAGGAGUGAGGCCGUUGAGGAAAGUCGACGACAAGGUGAACUGGUGGAGUUUCCCCACAUUCGAUGUUUUUGAAAUCUCGCCUAGAUUCAACAAAUCUCGGCCAUCGCCACCUUCUGCGGGGAAGAAGAAGAGGAAGAAGAAGAAAAAGAUGGAGAAGCUGGUGGUGGUGGAGUUGAAGCUGGCGGAGAAGAGUGGGAUUAGAGUAUAAAAUGACUAUUUUGCCCUUUUAAGUCAGAAACUAGGCCCUUGUGUCGCGAACAACUCAGCGCAUGGCGUCAUGGUAAGAAGGGCAAUUCAAAAAUUGGACUAAACUGAUGUGAAAUAGAACUUCAAAGACCAACGUUAUUAAAAAAAAGAUAUGAGACCAAACUGAUUAUUGACCUAAAGUACGAGGGGGCAAACUGAAUUUAAUCAUUUUAUUAAUAUCAAAAAGGUUCCAACUACAACUGAUAAAAAGCCAUUAUAAAGGAGCAAAUAAACCGUAGGGCAACUAACAUCAAAGCCUAAAAGCCCAUGGAUUAAAAGAAAACCAAAUACAAAACAAACUAUUAAAAAUAAUUGCUGAAAACAAAAAGUUUCGACUACAACUGAUAAAAGGUCCUUAUAAAGGAGCAAAUAAACCAUAGGGCAACUAACAUCAAAGCCUAAAAGCCUAUAGAUUAAAAGAAAACCAAAUACAAAAUAAACUAUUAAAAAUAAUUGCUGAAAACAAAUAAAUCUGCAUUUUGAAGGCCUAAACGGACUCGGAUGGCCUAAAAAGCUCAUAGGUUAUGGAAAAGCUACAAGUUUGAUUUGUUGGGCCGUUCUGUUUCCAAAAAGGUAUUAUAAUGGUCAAUCGGACACCGAACGCUAAAUCUACAGCAAAUCGGAUCUGAACUUGUUUCGAUCAAUCUGCUCUUCAAUCUCUAUUGUCAUCUGUUCUACAUCAUUCAUGUUUAGUCUGCCCAAUACUUCCAUCAGUCUCAGGCUUUCAGUCUAUCAGUCUCAGGCUUUCAGUCUAUGUAGUGGGAUUUACAUGUCAGGGUUAGCUUCUUAGAGCAAGAAGGGCUACUGCGGAGAAUAAUCGGAAUAUGUUAGCUAAUAUUUAUUAGAACAAUCGAAAUAAGGAUUAGGCGAUCGAAGCGUUUGAUGAAGCUUCAAAUGGGCAUUCAUAUAUAAUCAGAGAGAACAAUGACACUCAUGAUGUGCAACCUAAUAAGCUGCUUCAUGGCACCCUUGAAGAGACUAUAUACUUUGUGCCAUUGUCCUGGACUUCAGGACCUUAUUAGUUGUUAGGUUCUAACUAAUUAAUUGUUGCAAUUGAACAAUGAGUUGCAUAGUGCUCAAUGUCAUAAGCUUCUUCACCACACCCUCAUGGUGACAAAAUAGUGGCUCUGUCACUAGUUGUUAUGCAAACUAUCUAUUAGCUCAAAAUGUGUGACUACUCUCAAGUCUUAACAAACUCAACCAAAACUAGCUAGGACAGUAUGUGAAGGGCAUGAUAGUUCCAUUUAUGGCCUGCACGGUGCUUUAGCUGCAAGUCUUGAGUGUCUCAUUGUAUGGGGAAAAGCUAUAAAAUGUAACCAAGCACUGCAUGUGUUCUUGAAAAGCUUUCAUGGCGGAUUGGCAUUGAAGCGGUGCACCACACAAGUCAGAAGCAUGGAAGUUGAUACCACAUGCUGUGUUGAUCGAUGAUGUUAAAGAAUGGCAGAUUUACAAUUUCACUUGCACCCUGAUAUUACAGAUUAUUUAUCAGGCUAAGGUGAAAACUGUACGCUUUGUUCCCCUAUUAUUAUGUCAAUCUAAUUAAUAAGGUCCCGGAACAAAAAUAAGAAGCUAGAAAAAGUAAAAAGGAAGCUCGAGAUCCACAAGCUUGAACUUGCUUGAAGUUACAGAGAACUUUCAAAUCUUAAAUUUCACUCAGCUGGGACUACCUCACCCUGCUUCCUCCUCAUUUCUCAAAUUUGUUCCUUAGCACUAGCAACUUUUCUGUUGUCUGCUUUCAUCUUCUUCAAUUCCUUUUUUCUUUUUAUCAAGGGAGGGCAGCGAUUUGAACUUGAAACUUCUUUCUUUGAUAAGAAAUCAAGCUCCCAUCAACAUGGUUCAUCAGUCCACACUUUCAAAUGGUCUUUGGCUGGAGGAUUACACCUUCAAUGUGCAUAGACAGUUCGAAAAGAAACAUUCUUAUUUCAGUGUCACAACCAAAAUAUCAAAUAACCUGAUUGAUCAAUGAAGAGGUUACCGGAAUUUUGUAGAGGUUACAUGGGGAAGAAAUAAGUUUUUCGUAAAUGAAUCCCCAAGGCUCACCAUUUAUCGAAGGUGGUAGUCAUACCAGAAGCAAAAGAAUUAUAUUAUGAUGAUUGAUUUAUGAACACACUAGCCUAUUAGGUAGGCAAGAAAUUACACACUAAUUCAAAACAAAUAUGGUGGUGGGAAGAAUUAAGGAUGCCUAUCAAACAACUUAACCACAUAUUUUUUUCGUAACGAGGUGACUACUAAUUCUCCCUGGACUGAUCUCAUGGAAUGAUAUGAGCAGAAAUGGAUGUAGCGAGUAGCUAAUUCUAGAUGGAGGACAUCAUAAGGAGAAAUAACCCAUCAGUCCUCAGAAUCAUAAUCUCGGCCUCCCAAAUCCCAGUUUACUUGUUACUAUCUGAGAUUCGAAACUCUCUUUGUUUUCUUUCCGGCUUGAAUCUUCGUGUAAAGCCGCUUAGUUCUGAUGGACAACAAAAUGUCCAAACCAAACCCUACAACACAGGCAAUGGCCAUGACAACAAACACUAGUCUGUAACAAUGAGCACCAACGCAGGUGUUGCCACCUCCGGCCGUUGGGGUGGCCUCCAUAUCAUAUAAAAAGCCAGCAAGGAGGCCUGAGAAGAGUAAGGACCCAAGUGGGAGAUUGAGGAUCAGAACAUUGUAGAUAAGCCCAUAGUAUUUGAGACCAAAUAGUUCAGAUGCAGUUGGGACAGUGAUAGCAAGACGAAUCCCAUAGCAGAUUCCGACCACGAUUGAACCAAUGUAGAGGGAACCAGGCACGGCGAUGGCUAGGAGUAUGUAUCCAACAGCCAUUAGAAUCUGAGAAGCUGCAUUCCAUAGUGGCCUUGGUAUUGCCGCUUUCCUGUCAUCGAAACACAUUGAGUUAAACGUUGGUUGACAAAAGUGUACUGCUAGACCAUUAUGCACACACAUUGAACGGUUGGUUCACAAAGUCUACUGCUAGAUCAUUAUGCACAUAGACAAAUUAUUUCCACAUCAUGUGAAAUGAACUGGUCCAUGUAUAAUAUUAAGAGUUAUGUCAGCAGUUAAGUGGCAUCAUCCACAUUUAGUACAAGAAAUAGAAACUUCCAACCAUAGUUAUUAACUAAAAAAUUGAUCUGAUGAGAAAAACUAACACAAUCUAGAUAGAACAGAAGAGAGCCUCAGUACUGCUAACACCAGAAUAAGUUGAACGUUGGUUGAGAAACGCUACUGCUAGAUAAAGGAUUCUGCAUACGAAAAUUAUCUCAAGUUCUAGUCAUGUUAAAUGAAAUGGUCCAUGGAGCUAGUGAAAAGUUGGUAGAGCAAUUUAAUUGGAAUUAAACACGUAUACAUCAAAUAAGGGAAAGGUCUGAUGAACAUGGUGAACUGAAAACAAACACAGGCUUAAAGUAGUUUCUAAUCAACUUGCUCCAUUACACAGUAAGCAAAUAACUUAAGGACAAAGAAAAUGAGGUCAAGCAAUAAUUUUUGAAAGCUACUGGUUUACGCCGGUGUGAACGGAAUAGAAAACUGCUCACAAGAAAGUAUAAUAACAAGAGAAGAAGAAGAAAGGCGAUGAACAAGUAGACAAACAAUUUCUGGCAACUAGUUAUUUAAAUUUGGAAAGGGUUGGCCCCGUUGAGAAGGAACAAGGAAGUAACACAAAUUACAAACGGCCAAUAUUUAUAUCCUAGUGGGAAAGUCACCAUCUUGCAAAAGCAUCCCAAGAGAAUAGAAUUCAAAAAACUAACAGAGCGGAUGGUGCAUGCCACUCAAAGCAAUAGCACAUUCUUAGUUCAGAGAACAAAUAAUUUCCAAAUUAAAUCUCACUUUAACAAUCAUUCCAUAUGAAGUAACAUAGCAUGAAAGAUAAGCAUAGUACAAACACAUUAUAGAAGAGGAAAAGUAUCACAAAUCUUCACAUUUUCCAACUUAAUACCACAUUAUUCCUUCCCACUUCAAUUUUUCAACAAAAGUAAUUUUUUAAAAUGAGUUGCUAUGUUUUUCUUAUUUAUCAAAAUCUAUGGUUCUUCCUUAUAAUGCCUUUUGUCUACCAAACAUAGAUCCUCAUUUCCUCCCAUUCCUCUCCAUAUUCGUAACCUCCCCACCGUUAGUUUUGCAAAUAAUCAAAAAGUCACAUCUUACCGACACCUUAAAGCACCAAAUUUUCCUAGUUCAAGAAUUUUGGUUUGACUUGUACCAUUGACAAUGAUAUUAAACAUAAUUUAUUCUAUUUAAAUUAAAUAAAAAUUUAUUGAAGCGCAAGCAAGAGGAAGAGGAAAGGGUAAACUGACCUGAUGAAGUACUCGGAAACCAUACCGGAAAUUAUUCGCCCGAAAAAUCCCCAAAUACUGGUGAGUGAAACGAAGAUCGAAACGUCGACGUAUCCAAGCGCCAGCCCAAUCUGGCCCAAAUUGUUCAUAACCGCCAGUCCAGUCCCCACCCCACACAGAAACGACACAAACAGCACCCAGAAAUCCAACGUCCUCAUCGCCUCGAAUAUCGUGUGCUCCUCUCCGAUCACCGGCCUCCUCCUCUCCACCGCCUCCUCCGCCACGUCUUCCACCUCCGCCUUUUCGGCCGCCAAAAGCGGCGCCUCCAGAGCCGCAACCACAACCGGAACCGGCUUCUCCGGAUCCGAAGACCCGACCCGGCUUUCGGCCAAGGCGCUGACGUAGGUGUAGGCCGGAAUCAAUAGCGGCGAAGCGAGGAGGAGAAGGAGAGUGGCGGAGAAGACAUAAGAGAAGAUGGUGGAGGGGUCGGGGAUGAAGUCGUAGGCGAGGAGGUAGAGGGCGACGAAGACUGCGAGGCCGUUGAAGAACCAGAAGUAUCGAGACUCCUGCUUGUCCUCGGCGGCGGAAGACGACGGGGCGAUUUCACGGAGGAAGAUCAUGGCGGUGAGGCAGACGGCGAAGGGAGUGACGGCGAGCAUGAGUAUGAAGCUGGCGGAGUUGUUGUUGAACAUAGCCGCGCAAAGGUCGGUGAAUAUGGCGGUGCUCAGGCCAACGUAGCCUUUGAGAAUGCCGGAGACCGGUCCCCGGUUGCUCCGGAAGUUCCGAAUACAGGUGACUAACACCGCCGUGUUCAUCCACGUCGUGCUGUUGCCUCCCAUGCACAGGAAUAUGCACAUCUGCGCAAAUUACACUAUUCAUUUCAACAAUCUCAAGUUGGCAUAUAAACUAUAAAUAAUUCGUCGAAUUCAAUAGACUUAAUUUACCUGCCAGUACGAAAGAGGCUGAAUUCUCUCGCUGACGACGAGCCACUGUGCGCCGUAACCGACCAAACCCUCGACGGAGCCGAUCAAGAGGAGGACCCAUGUGGGGAAGCGAUCAGAGGCCAGGCCGGCGAGGAGGCCGAAAGCUUUACCGACGUCUUUAGCGACGGAGAGGUUGUUGAGCUCGAGUUGGGUGAGGUUCAUGAGGGUUUUGAGAGCAUCGGAGUAGUUGGAGAAAGUGUAGUUGUUGCCUGAAAUGGCCUGGACCCAAAUGGCGGUGACGAAACCCAACCAUUUGGUGGCUGAGGAAACAGAAGGUCGCUCCAAACCAAAACCCAUUUUAAGUCUAAGCCUUUUGGUUUCUGGUGUCAGUCUAGGAGACUCUGUGAGCUGCUGGUAAUGGAGAAUCGGGUAUUUAAAGAGAUAUUUUGGGUAUUAAAAUAAGAAAAAGUAAUUGAGAAAAAAGGAAAAAUAGGGAUUCGAAGGUUUUUAGGUGGCCACCGUCGAAUUCAGAGAGACACGUAGGUUUUAGAGGGUUUCUGUUGUCUUCUCCGCAGAUAUUUACCGUGUUUAUCGUCCGACAGAGGUGUACGGAUUUUAUAAGCCGUGGUAAUUCCGGGAAAAGACUUUUUCCAAAACCGUGUUUUCAUCGGCGACUGAAAUCUAAAUACGGUGCCUAUCGUUUCCUACGAUACAUCGAUGUAAAAAGCUAUUUUGAACAAAAUAAUAUUCUGAAAAACAAAAACAAUAUAAAAAUAAAAUGUGUGUAGUACGACUACGAUAAACGUACUUUUUACUUAUUAUAAAAUCAAUAAAUCUUAUCAAAGGUUGAGUACAUUUUUGUGUAUAAAAUUUUCAUGUAAUAACUGUAUUUUUUUUUUUUUUUCUAAAACAUCUCCAAUAGUUUUUCCAAAAUUUUUCUAAAAUAGGGAAACAAAAGCCAAAAUCUCCAAAAAAAUUAUGUUCUAACUCUAACAACUUCUCCAUUUUGGAGAUUUCGGCAUUUAUUACAACAAUAAAAAAUGCUACAUGAUUAUUAAUAAUAACAAAAAAAAUCAUAUAUUUCAUUGUAACAUAAAUUACCCAAUAAAAUAUUUUAGAUUUUUGUUCUUAUUGUUGGAGCACUGAAUAAUUAAUAUUUGGGGAAAAGAAGACUUUCUGCAAAUUUAAGGAAUGAGUGCUUCUCUUUCUUUUCCAUCCCCAUUUUGGGGAAUGAGAUGGGAAAGCUGUUGGACCAUAAAACAACCCAAUAUUCCCUAAAAUUGAUAAAAUCAAGAAAAUGGGAAAGCUGUUGGAGAUGCUCUCAGGGUAUCUCAAAGAUUUUGGCCCUCUCUACAUAUAUGAAAUUAUCUAACUAUGCAUUGCAGUACGAUAUUUGGCCAUUUUGACAACUUCGUGAAUCAAAUGCUUGGGGCUUCCAUACCUGACGUCACUCGACCAUCAGGCCACUUAUAAUGGUCAAAAGUGGUUAAGAUAACAAGUAUCGAUAGUUCAUUCAAAUAUUAGGUAGGGGGACGUACAAUCAUCUAUAAAUAAUGAGUAAGGGGUUGUUGAAUGUAAAGAAAGUUUUUUUUUUUUUUUUUCUUGAUGUUUUUCUUUUGCUUUUCUAUUACUAUGCUAAUUACAUUUAUAUCUUCAGUUUAGAUGUAACGAUCUUAUAUAUUCAUAAAUAUGACACUAGUUCAUGGGAAAAGAAUGGUACAAGGGAAAUUCUCGGUACAUAACUGGUACGGUUACUGACUUGUUUGGUACUGCUAGUUUUCAGUUCGUUGUUUUGAUUUGGGACAAAAAUGCCAGCCCUAACACUAUCAUCAACAUGAGUUGCAACAAUGUUUGCAGCAAAACGGGAACCCGACAGUUCAUGCCCAAUCCACCAAAUCAUCGGUCUCUUCUUCAUGUCUGGAUCCUGUAUCACCUUUUUCAUUUGGACUCCCCAACACAAUAGGUUGAAAGCCACAAACGCCCAAUUCACAAGGACAACUUUCAUUGCCGAUAACUGUCCCCAUCGAUACGGCUCGAGUCCGUUGCAUGAGGUCGAGAUUGAUCCAGCAGUGAUUGUACGCUUAGGCAAAACUUGAUUAAGCUGGGUCUCCGUUAAAAAUUAAUCCCCGGUUAGACAACCCCUUGCACCAAACGUGAUGUAAGAGUUUUUUGUGAUUGUAAUAAUUACAUUUAUAACUCUCAUUUAUUUUUAUUUUUUUAUUAAAUAACUCACACACCCUAUAUAUGUCAAUAAAGUUUGAACCCAUGACCUUAAAAUUGUUAGUUACUUCUUAAUCAACCAGGUCACGGCUUACCGACAAAUUAUAAUAAUCUAUUAUUAUAACUCUCAUUUAUUAAGAUUUCACUAAACAUAAAAAAUAAAAUAAAAAUAAAAAAAGAACGCAAAACUUGCUCUGCUAGGGUUUGCGUUUAGCACCACCAAACAAAAUUUCUAUGGAGAUCUUGGCUUGGAAUUGUAGAGGAUUGAACAACGAUAGGGCUCUACAAGGUUUGUAGACGCUGAUUUGGCAGAAGAAAUUGUCGCUCAUCUUCUUGAUAGAAACGAAGAUCCAUGAUCGGGGUUUUAUGAACAGUCUGAGGUUGUAGAUCAGGUACUAGAAUUGAGGUAGUUUUCAGUGAGGGCCAAUAUGGCGGUGUGGUGUUGUUCUGGGAGGAUGGGUUGGACAUUCAUCUCCUUACUAAAUCGUAAUUUCAUAUCGAUGUCGAAAUUCCAUAUUGAUGUCGAAAUGCAUGUUGUGGAUGGCUCUGGUUUGCGUUGGCGGAUGACUGGCUUCUAUGGCCAUCCUUCGGUGUCGGAGAGGAGACAGUCCUGGGAUUUGUUGAAUGAGUUGGGUGAUGCAUCUUCAUUGCCUUGGGUUGUUGUGGGAGAUUUCAAUGAGAUCUUGAAUCAUGGAGAGAAGGAUGGGGGAAACCCUAGAUGUGAUGCACAGAUGUGCCGGUUUCAAGAGGCUCUGGAUCUAGCUGAGUUGAUUGAUUUAAGGUUCUUUGGAGCUCCUUUCACAUGGAAAGGUGGCAACGUGAGAUGCCGGUUGGACAGAGUUGUCGCUUCUCCUUCUUGGAUCGAUCUCUUCCCGGCUUCUCAAGUUUUGCAUUUGCUUCCGAUCCAUGAAGAUCAUGCUCCGAUUCUGUUAGGUGUGUUUGUGGAUCCGUCGGCAAUGAGGGCGUGCUAUAAGCAGCGUUUUCGGUUUGAGUUAUUCUGGACCAAGCAUGAGGCUUGUAAGAGCAUAAUCAAAGAAGGGUGGGCGAUUCCUACUGUUGGUGUGUCGAUGCACCAGGCUGUGUCUAAGAUAGCUAAUACUCGUAUGGCUCUCAAUAACUGGCAGAAGUUUCUUUUUGGGAAUAUGAAGAAGGAAGUUGAGCUACUACGACAACAUCUGGAGGAGCUAAUGUGGCUGCCAACAACACCCCAAUUCUUGGAAGAGCACGUUGCAUUGUCAGGUAAAUUGGAAAGUCUUUUGGAGGAAGAGAGGUUGUAUUGGAAACAAAGAUCGAAGGUUAUGUGGCUUACAAAAGGUGAUAGAAAUACUAAGUUCUUCCACAUGAAGGCUUCAAACUGACGAGUGAAGAAUAGACUGACAAGGCUUUAUGAUUCAGAUGGAGUUUGGAGGUCAGCAGAAGAUGGCAUGGAACAAGUAGUUUUGAACUACUUUGCUAAUAUGUUCAACUCGGCUCCAAUUGAUAUGGAUAACAUGCAACGGAUUAUUAGUUGUCUGCAACCAAAGGUAACCAGUGAUAUGAACUCGGAUUUAUGUGCUCCAUAUUCGGACGAAGAGAUUAGAGCUGCCCUUUUUCAGAUGUACCCGACUAAGUCUCCGGGUCCAGAUGGCAUGCCUCCAGAAUUCUUCCAAAAAUAUUGGGACACUAUAGGUUUCGAUGUUUAUAGUGUUGUUAAGGGAUUUCUACAGUCAGGCCGGUUGUUGAAGGCAGUUAAUUUUACUCAUGUCUGCCUUAUAUCGAAGGUUCCUAAUCCUACACAGGUAGCGAAUUUACGUCCUAUUGCUUUGUGUAACGUGUUAUACAAGAUUUUCUCUAAGGUCAUUGCAAACAGAUUGAAGGGGCAUUUGUCAGAUGUGUCUCCUUAUCAGAGUGCUUUUAUUCCAGGUCGGUUGAUUACUGAUAAUUCUCUGAUUGCUAAUGAGGUCUCACAUUUUAUUAAUACGGACUAUACGGAGGGAGUUAUGGCGUUGAAGUUGGACAUGAGUAAGGCCUACGAUAGGAUGAAAUAGGUGUUUUUGGAGGCGGUGCUAUUAAGGUUGGGUUUUCAUGCAGAUUGGGUCAGGUGCGUUAUGCAGUGUGUGACUACUGUUAAAUAUGCUUUUCUUAUUAAUGGGAAGCCGUGUGGGUCUUUAACCCUAUCUAGGGGUUUAAGACAAGGAGAUCCGCUUUCGCCUUAUUUAUUUUUACUAUGUGCGGAGCUGUUCUCAGCAUUACUUGAUGAAAAAGUAUCAGAUGGGUCACUCCAGGGGGUGAGGAUUUGUGAUGGUGCACCAGUUAUUAAUCAUCUACUCUUUGCAGAUGAUAUUCUAUUAUUUGGGAAGACAAGCAGAGAGGAGUGUGAGUCUAUCCAAUCAGUUCUUAAUGAUUAUGCUACAACUUCUGGGCAACCGGUAAACUUUGAUAAAAGCAGUAUUGUUUUCAGUAAAAGUGUUGAAUUAGAUGUGCAAAAUUCUCUGGCUUCUAUUCUGGGAGUCAAUAUUGUGGAAAAACAUGAUAAGUACCUUGGAUUACCAACUGUUGUGGGAAGAAAUAAAACGGCAACUUUUGACUAUAUUAAGGAGCAGUUGAGCAAAAAGCUAGAAGGGUGGCAAAGUAAGAUAUUGAGUGGUGCUGGGAAGGAUAUUCUGAUUAGAGUGGUACCUCAGGCUCUCCCAUCUUACUCUAUGAGUUGUUUUUCUGCUUCUGAAAAGUUUCUGUAGUUCACUCCAUCCGAUGUGUGCUAACUUUUGGUGGGGAAGUAAGCCCAAUGAGAGGAAAAUCCACUGGAUGUCGUGGGAGAGACUUUGUCGUCCUAAGGAAGAAGGAGGGAUGGGUUUCAGAGACCUUUAUGCUCAUAAUUUGGCUCUCCUGGCCAAACAAGGAUGGCGACUUGUUAUGUCACCAACUUCUUUGCUCGGUAGAUUGUAUAAGACAAGGUACUUCCCCAAUGACAGUUUCUGGUCAGCUCCGGUUGAUUCUAAGGCUUCUGUUUGUUGGAAGAGCAUUUUUGAAGCAAGGGAUUUAUUGGUCAAUUAAUGGAACCAGAUGGCAGAUAGGUGAUGGUGCUUCUAUUCAUGCAUGGGAAGAUCCUUGGCUACCUAGACCGAGAGACUUUCGUCCACUGAGCUGGUUAAGCAAUCGGUGUUCCCAGGUUAGUAAGUUUAUUUUUGAAGACCGUUGCUGGGUUAAACCUAUUUUGGAAGAACACUUUGAACAAUUGGAUGUCAAAGUGAUUCUCAAUAUUCCUCUUAGACAUCAGGUACUUCCCGACAAACUCAUCUGGCACUAUGAUGCGAAAGGGAGAUUUUCAACAAAUUUAGCUUAUCAACUUGCUAGGCAGUUGGUUCAUCUGAAUCAGUCAUCAUCUAAUGCUAAUGAGGCGGUCUCUUUUUGGAAGAAACUUUGGUUCUCAGGUCUACCAGGUAAAAUUAAAGUGCACAUUUGGCGUGUCUGCUCAUCUAUUUGCCUACUAUUUCCAUGUUAAGAUCGAAAAGGGUGUUCUUGAAUGCUGGCUGCUACUUUUGCAAUGGUGACGAUGAGUCCAUAGAACACAUUUCUAGGGAUUGUUGUUUUAUCAGAGAUUUGGUCAAGUUAUUCUUGGAAUUGCGUGGAAUCUUUCGAUCCAUAGUGCAACCUAUGCCUAUAAUGGACUGGUUGAUUAGCUGCUCUGAAACAAUGAAAAAAGAGGAUUUUGUGUCUUUUGUUGGUGAUUUUGUGGUCAAGUUGGAAAGAGCGUAAUCUCAUGUUAUGGGAGAAUAAGGUACGAUCCCACAAUCAUCUUUUUUACCAGGUUCGUACUUAUAUCAUGUUGUUGAAUUCGGUUAUAGUCAAAAAGCAAAGCAGUAACUGACAAUAUCAACCUUGGACUCCUCCUCCAAUUGGGUGGUUGAAAGCCAAUUUGGAUGAAGCAUUUGAGAUUGGUGCUGGUAAGGGUGGUAUUGGAGUGGUGAUUAGAAAUAUUUCUGAGGCUCAAGUAGUAGGAGAGUGUUGUGUCAGGAUUGAGCAUGUCGUCAAUGCUCCAAACUUAGUUGAAGCAAUAGCCGGGAGGAUUGCUUGUGAAAUAGCAAGUGAGUUUGUUUUGUCUCCUAUUGUUCUUGGAAUCCAAUUGUUUGGCCUUGGUUAAUGGUACGAAGUCUACAGAGAUUGAGGAAUCAGGCUUUGGUAUGAUUGUGGAAGAUAUCAAAGUUAGUCUUGCUAAUCUCCCUUCUUUCUUUACUCAUGUCUAUAGAGAAUCUAAUACAGCAGCUCAUAAGUUAGCCAAACUGGCCCUUACUGCUGGUAUUGAUAUUCGUUGGGUCGAUAGUACCCCUUUUGUUCUUCAAAACAUUUGUGACUCAUUUUGUAACCCUUGAUCUUUAUUCUCAAUAAAUUUAACGUCUUUAUUCAACAAAAUAAAUAAAAAAAUCUCAUUUAUUAAACUUAUUUAAAAUAAUUUAUCGGAUUGGGAUAUGUUAACGUUGUACAUUGAUAUUUUAGCUUUCAAAAUGAGUUCUCAAAUACGGUAUACAUUGUAUAGAUGAUUUUCAAGCUUAAUAAAAUUCUUGACAAAUUAUAAUAUCACACCACUAUAUGUAUUUGACAAUUCUUGCUUGGCAAUACCAUCAUUGUCCAUACUCCAUGCAUAAUUAUCACAUAUGAAGCAUCUGUAGGUAACUCUAUCUCAAACUUGUAACACAAUAGUCGGUUGCCAAAACAUAAAUAUGCUAUAUAUGCUCAACUUUACUUUACUUUACUUUUCUUCCUUUAAGCAUUGUGAAUUCAAUCUUUAUAUCUCCCAUCAAUUUUUAUAGAUCUCACUUUAUGUGUCUAAUAUCUAAAUGCGACCAGAAAAGUCUUCACUUAAAUCAAAUUUUGAUAUUAUACAUUGACAAACUGAGUAAUACAUGCAAUAAGAUAAGAUAGCUCGAAAGGACAGAGGAAACAAAACAUGGCACAAGGAAUGCUUGUCUUCUUCCAAAUUAAAGCACACGAGUAUCUGCGUUAUAGAUUUAUUCGAAAAGAGAAAUGCAGAGAGGUGUGCAAGAAAAGAGUAACAAAAACUUGUCGUGAAAGUGAAAUCACGGAAAUCACGGGGGUCUAAUAAUUUUCCGAUGUCAUAUAGAAGCAUGGGCAUGCCGCGAAGUUACAAUUUCCGAGACAAAGUAUAUAGAAGAAAAGAGACUGAUUGUUGACAACGUAGGAAAAAGAAGGGCAUAUUCCGAUACGGCGUGACGUACCAAACAAAACAAAGCGAGCUGCUGGGUGUGGUUACUAUUUGGCCGACCUCCACGCCACGUGACUCAUGACGUCUACGUUUCAUUUGCAAUUGUACAUUUUACUUCACUCACUUUCAUUCCUUUUUCGACUCAUCUAAUCCAUUUGUUCUUGAUUCGUUCACUCCAUUUACUUUCACUAGCUAGCUACUUGCGACAUGGAUUCGGCUAACAUUAUUCUCGCUCGUAUCCAUCUACUACAACUUGUUAACUUGUGAAAUGUAAGAGGAUGGAAGCUUACACAUGCACUUGCAUUAUCCAAUACUGAAAUUAAAUCUUCAUUAUACAGCAUAUAUCUACACGUAAACUAUAAAAAUGAUGAAAAUUAGAUUACAUUGAUCAAGAUGCAUGGUAGUUAUUGUUGAGAUAUCAAUCCCACAUCGGGAAUAUGAGACAUUGCCUGUAGAUUUAUAAGGGUUUGGGCUACUCCAUCCAUUGCUAAUUGAUUUUGGAUAUGAAUCCUAGACAACUUUAUCAGUUAUCACAUACAUAUGAUUAUGAAUUAUUAAGAUUGCAUCGUGCACUUGCACAGUCGUGUAUAUAUCUAGAAUUUUGCUAUAUAAUUUGACACUCUGGCGACCUGUUGGCUUCUAGCGGCGGUGGUGGCUUCACUGGAUAGCUAGCACGGUGGUGAAUGUCCUACAUUUUUAAGGUUGCACUUGUCCAUUUAGAUCUAUUAAGAUAGAGUUGUAUUUCUGUUGUCCGUUUAUCCGAUCCGGAAUUUCAUAAUGUAACACAUCUCCACACGGAUGUAAGUGUUGAGAGUCUGAAACCCGACACAGACUCAAUGCAUGAAGAGGAAAAUCGCCCCGCUAGCUGCUGCCAUCAAUCAAAGCCAAAACCGUUCAAUAUAUAUACCACUAUAAAACACGCCAUCCAUAUGCGAACAUCAAAACGUACUCGAUCGUAUAUGGGGGGAGUCUGAACACUGAUGGGAACUUGAAAACCCCACGGAUAGGUGGAAAAUCCGAAACCUGAUAGCAACUCGAUGCAUGUUCGUUCAGGUUCGUCGUCAAAACUGAAAAACGGUGAACGUACGUACUCAACUUCUGAUAAAGUUGAGCCUGCAUUACACAAAAUUAUCGCUCAACUUCUACAAUAAUGCCACUGCAUAUUAUUUAGCAGCUGGGUAAGUUUUUUUCUUUCUUAUAUAUACAGGUAGGUAGGAUUGGAUCUGGAGUAGAAAACAUGAGAAUCAAUCGAGCUGUAUAAUUUUGGAACGAUCUGCAGGUGGGGUUAAGAACUGCCAUCUCCGUGGUGGUCCUUUGGGUCCAUCGCUUAUCAGAGUUGAUUCGAAGGGUCGCUUUUCAAAUUCCAGAAAUUUGAUAAAUAUAGAAGCGACCCGACUUAUCACACAUCCUCUCUUGCCUGAUAGCUGAUAAGAGGAAGAGCAAAAGCAUCACGUCUAUUACAGAUCGACUUGCCCGACAGCUCUUAUCUUCAUUCGUUUAUAUUUCCAUUCUAGUGUUAGGUUUAGGGUUUGAUCUUGACCUGACCCCCUGCAGCAUUAUAUUAUUUCUAUAGCUAGGAAGUAGUAGGGUUUAGGGUUUAUGGUUUAGCGGAAGUCCUUAUGGGAUGCCAGUCAUGCCACAAAGUAUAUGCUCAAAGGAUAUUACUAGCAGAUACUUGUCCACCAGAACAUGCAAUUUAACAGAAGGGAUCGAAACCUGGAUUCCACUUUCCACCAGCUUAAUUUGCAUCCUUGCAAUGGAAUGUCAUGAAAUUUGGGAAGAUAUUUAUGAAUUUGAAGUCGAGUGACACUAAUUUAGCGAGUACUCUUCGAUUCGAUAUAUAAUGGCAACUCAUUAUAUAUGCUCUAUAAUUUUUUCCCAGUUAAUUAGUUUGCUAGCACUUGGUUACGGGUGCAUGAGUCUCAGUAGCUAGGUAGCGAUCGAUGUAACUCGAUUUAGAUUUAGUUUUGAUUCGGAAAAAUUGAUUUGCUAGCUAGACCAAGAAAGAUAAGGAUCGAUCGGAUAAGGGCAUGUACUGGUUCUGCUCGGGUCUUGUGGCGAUGGAUAAGAUCGAUGAAGAGGUUUCCAUGGAUAAGGUGAUGAAGACGUAAUAAAAAUGAAGGAAAAACAGGAAAUUAAAGAAAAAACAUAACCCAUUUCUUGCUUACAUUCAAUAUAUCAUUCAUUUUGGCCAAUGUACGUAUGUAUAUAUACAAAUUUCAUUCAUAUAUGCGCGCAUGUUUUUCUUGCAGAUGCUAGCAACCAAAACAUCAUAAAUUAUUGCGACCUACUAGUGUUCCUGAAUCCUGAUCACAUGAGGGAAACAAAGACGGCACCUAGCUAGCACAUCACACUACCCUUUCAUACCAGUCGAAGACUCACGUUUCUAUAUCAAACCAGUCCACAAGUUUAGUACGUAUUUCAUCACUGAUUACUGGCUGCUAGCAGAUCGAUCUUAAUAUAUUUACACUUUUGUCCACGUGAAUUCGAUCUAUUGAUCGAUCAUUGCGAAACUAGGCAUAGUGCCACUGAGAAUUAUGGAAAAAAAGAUAGAUCGAUAUUGUCAAUUGAGACAUAAAUAAUUACGAUUUAUCUGUCGACAAUUAAUAAUCAAUAACGUGGUUCGCUUAUAAUUUUUCAGAUUUUAAAUGAAUAUUGGAUAGAUGAGACGCUUAUUAUUGCUUGGAGAGUUUUUUUCUGAAGAUCGAAGAAAUGUAUCAAGGAAUUUGGCAAAACUCGAUCUAUAUAUGUUUUACCGCUUUUGUUUUUGUCACUAUGAAAAAUGGAACGAGGAAGAAAGAUGAAAGACGCACAUCAUUUUCAUAUACGCAUCUCAGAAAGCUACUUGCAGAAUCGUCCAAUUCCAAUUUGAAUGUCAAGUGGCCUACACAGACCAGUGGGUGGGUACGGUUUCAUAUCGACCGUACGUACACCUUUUGAUGACGAUUCCUUAUUUUGACAACUAGGGUUUCCCAUCUAAAUUUAUUCCUUAUUUAUGUAAAAAAUCAACAUAUUAAUUCAUUUGAUUACGACGACAAAGACCCCAGAAAAUAUCAAUAAGAUCGAACUUGAAGAAAGAAUGAUGAAUGGAGCAUACAUGAUCUAUCUUAUGGAAGUGAUAAUUGAAACCUAGAAAAUCUUUCUGCUUCCAUUACAUGAUCUAUCUUUUUUAGAUUUUCCAUUACGUACAUCAUCUUAAUUCUUAAGCAUAUCUUGUUUGUGGUGCUCGACUUUUAGGGACCCGAAAAGUUGUCCAAUUCAAAGCGACGGUUUGAAAUGUAGAGCUAGAGGGAGCAAUCAAUCAGGCUCGUGCUUACUAUUUUAUAGCUCAUAAUUGUUGUGCAUGUAAAGCUGGAAUUUUCCUCAUAAUAAGUUUACUGAAAACGACUAAAUAGCUAGCCGGCCGGUGGCCUGGUUGGAUAUAUUUUGGUGCCAAUAAGGCAUAUUCUGUCUUCUUCCGGCCGGUAAAUUUGCUCAUGUUAGAAUAGUUCUUUGAAAAACCAUGUUGGGUUAUCAAACUAUUGACUAACUUAAACAUGAACAAUCAAGGCAAGGUGUUUCGUGUUUUCUAGCCAACUGAUAAGGAAAUAACUUUGGUGCCCAGACCUUAAUGAUCAAUUUGCAUGUCGAUUUUGGUUUUAUCCUCCCCUUCCGGUCAAAUACCACCAACUUAAUAUUCUGAUCGAACUCUUACACCAUGCAUGUUUAUUAUAGACCUAUCUAGCUAGUUGGCCGACAUAUAUAUAAUGGCAGUAGUAACAAAUUGACCUCCAUCCAUGCAUGCACAUAAUCUGGUGUUAAUAUAUUUGGAUCAGCCAAAAGUGCCAAAAAGAUCGAUUCAUGAGAUUAUCAACUGUUGAAUGAGGACUGAGCUCCGAAGUGGAGAAUGGAGAUAUGAAUCUGAUCUGGUCGAGCAGCCAAGUUAGAAGAGGCCGCCCUUUAUUUCUCAUACACCCUCUUUCGUGACGAAUAGAUCGAUUGUUCCCCUGUUGGAAAUAUAGUCAAAUGCCUACAUGCACGGCGGCAUACAUGAACGUCUACCGCCAUGCAAAGAUAAACUUUAUCUUUUUAGUAUAGUAACAAGGGCAGGGUGUUGUAAGGUUUAUCUGGCCAGUAGCCAAAAACUGCCAAAAGGGUAAGGGAGCAAUUGUCAAAAACAGAUCGAUUUCUCCCUCAUUAUGACAUUAUGUCGCAGAGUGAUACUACUGAUCGAUAACUAUGCCUGAUCGAGCAGCUCGAGCAGCUCCUAGCAAAGUUAAAAAGAGGCCGCCUUCUUUUGUUAGUUUUGUUGCAUCUUUUGCUACACAAUAUGUUUAUAGGGUUCCACUUGUGUGCCUUAAGGUAUAGAUACCCAACAAGUUUUGACUUGCUAUAGCAGGUUAAAGCAAACUAACACCGUUAACUCUCCGUUAAGUCUCUCUAUAUCUACAGUUUUCAUUAGAAAUAUCUACCAUUCAGAUGAGCAAAAUCACACAAAAGUAGACUUUCUAGAAAUCAAAAUGAUUCUUGAGACUGUCUACAACUAUCAUAAGAAACAUCUACUACUGUCAUGAAAAAUAUCACAGAAAAUGUUGCAAGUCGAAAGACACAUUUAACAUAAGACACAUCUACUGUUUNNNNNNNNNNNNNNNNNNNNNNNNNNNNNNNNNNNNNNNNNNNNNNNNNNNNNNNNNNNNNNNNNNNNNNNNNNNNNNNNNNNNNNNNNNNNNNNNNNNNNNNNNNNNNNNNNNNNNNNNNNNNNNNNNNNNNNNNNNNNNNNNNNNNNNNNNNNNNNNNNNNNNNNNNNNNNNNNNNNNNNNNNNNNNNNNNNNNNNNNNNNNNNNNNNNNNNNNNNNNNNNNNNNNNNNNNNNNNNNNNNNNNNNNNNNNNNNNNNNNNNNNNNNNNNNNNNNNNNNNNNNNNNNNNNNNNNNNNNNNNNNNNNNNNNNNNNNNNNNNNNNNNNNNNNNNNNNNNNNNNNNNNNNNNNNNNNNNNNNNNNNNNNNNNNNNNNNNNNNNNNNNNNNNNNNNNNNNNNNNNNNNNNNNNNNNNNNNNNNNNNNNNNNNNNNNNNNNNNNNNNNNNNNNNNNNNNNNNNNNNNNNNNNNNNNNNNNNNNNNNNNNNNNNNNNNNNNNNNNNNNNNNNNNNNNNNNNNNNNNNNNNNNNNNNNNNNNNNNNNNNNNNNNNNNNNNNNNNNNNNNNNNNNNNNNNNNNNNNNNNNNNNNNNNNNNNNNNNNNNNNNNNNNNNNNNNNNNNNNNNNNNNNNNNNNNNNNNNNNNNNNNNNNNNNNNNNNNNNNNNNNNNNNNNNNNNNNNNNNNNNNNNNNNNNNNNNNNNNNNNNNNNNNNNNNNNNNNNNNNNNNNNNNNNNNNNNNNNNNNNNNNNNNNNNNNNNNNNNNNNNNNNNNNNNNNNNNNNNNNNNNNNNNNNNNNNNNNNNNNNNNNNNNNNNNNNNNNNNNNNNNNNNNNNNNNNNNNNNNNNNNNNNNNNNNNNNNNNNNNNNNNNNNNNNNNNNNNNNNNNNNNNNNNNNNNNNNNNNNNNNNNNNNNNNNNNNNNNNNNNNNNNNNNNNNNNNNNNNNNNNNNNNNNNNNNNNNNNNNNNNNNNNNNNNNNNNNNNNNNNNNNNNNNNNNNNNNNNNNNNNNNNNNNNNNNNNNNNNNNNNNNNNNNNNNNNNNNNNNNNNNNNNNNNNNNNNNNNNNNNNNNNNNNNNNNNNNNNNNNNNNNNNNNNNNNNNNNNNNNNNNNNNNNNNNNNNNNNNNNNNNNNNNNNNNNNNNNNNNNNNNNNNNNNNNNNNNNNNNNNNNNNNNNNNNNNNNNNNNNNNNNNNNNNNNNNNNNNNNNNNNNNNNNNNNNNNNNNNNNNNNNNNNNNNNNNNNNNNNNNNNNNNNNNNNNNNNNNNNNNNNNNNNNNNNNNNNNNNNNNNNNNNNNNNNNNNNNNNNNNNNNNNNNNNNNNNNNNNNNNNNNNNNNNNNNNNNNNNNNNNNNNNNNNNNNNNNNNNNNNNNNNNNNNNNNNNNNNNNNNNNNNNNNNNNNNNNNNNNNNNNNNNNNNNNNNNNNNNNNNNNNNNNNNNNNNNNNNNNNNNNNNNNNNNNNNNNNNNNNNNNNNNNNNNNNNNNNNNNNNNNNNNNNNNNNNNNNNNNNNNNNNNNNNNNNNNNNNNNNNNNNNNNNNNNNNNNNNNNNNNNNNNNNNNNNNNNNNNNNNNNNNNNNNNNNNNNNNNNNNNNNNNNNNNNNNNNNNNNNNNNNNNNNNNNNNNNNNNNNNNNNNNNNNNNNNNNNNNNNNNNNNNNNNNNNNNNNNNNNNNNNNNNNNNNNNNNNNNNNNNNNNNNNNNNNNNNNNNNNNNNNNNNNNNNNNNNNNNNNNNNNNNNNNNNNNNNNNNNNNNNNNNNNNNNNNNNNNNNNNNNNNNNNNNNNNNNNNNNNNNNNNNNNNNNNNNNNNNNNNNNNNNNNNNNNNNNNNNNNNNNNNNNNNNNNNNNNNNNNNNNNNNNNNNNNNNNNNNNNNNNNNNNNNNNNNNNNNNNNNNNNNNNNNNNNNNNNNNNNNNNNNNNNNNNNNNNNNNNNNNNNNNNNNNNNNNNNNNNNNNNNNNNNNNNNNNNNNNNNNNNNNNNNNNNNNNNNNNNNNNNNNNNNNNNNNNNNNNNNNNNNNNNNNNNNNNNNNNNNNNNNNNNNNNNNNNNNNNNNNNNNNNNNNNNNNNNNNNNNNNNNNNNNNNNNNNNNNNNNNNNNNNNNNNNNNNNNNNNNNNNNNNNNNNNNNNNNNNNNNNNNNNNNNNNNNNNNNNNNNNNNNNNNNNNNNNNNNNNNNNNNNNNNNNNNNNNNNNNNNNNNNNNNNNNNNNNNNNNNNNNNNNNNNNNNNNNNNNNNNNNNNNNNNNNNNNNNNNNNNNNNNNNNNNNNNNNNNNNNNNNNNNNNNNNNNNNNNNNNNNNNNNNNNNNNNNNNNNNNNNNNNNNNNNNNNNNNNNNNNNNNNNNNNNNNNNNNNNNNNNNNNNNNNNNNNNNNNNNNNNNNNNNNNNNNNNNNNNNNNNNNNNNNNNNNNNNNNNNNNNNNNNNNNNNNNNNNNNNNNNNNNNNNNNNNNNNNNNNNNNNNNNNNNNNNNNNNNNNNNNNNNNNNNNNNNNNNNNNNNNNNNNNNNNNNNNNNNNNNNNNNNNNNNNNNNNNNNNNNNNNNNNNNNNNNNNNNNNNNNNNNNNNNNNNNNNNNNNNNNNNNNNNNNNNNNNNNNNNNNNNNNNNNNNNNNNNNNNNNNNNNNNNNNNNNNNNNNNNNNNNNNNNNNNNNNNNNNNNNNNNNNNNNNNNNNNNNNNNNNNNNNNNNNNNNNNNNNNNNNNNNNNNNNNNNNNNNNNNNNNNNNNNNNNNNNNNNNNNNNNNNNNNNNNNNNNNNNNNNNNNNNNNNNNNNNNNNNNNNNNNNNNNNNNNNNNNNNNNNNNNNNNNNNNNNNNNNNNNNNNNNCUCCUUAUUGAAGCAUAAGCGUAACUAAGGUUGACCGCUUCGAUCGGGGCCCAAACAUUGACGAAUUAAAGUGAUUUUCCUACCGUAGCCGUAUUUUACUAUACCGAUCACAUCCUAUUUCAUGAGAUUUUUGAAAAUUUUGCUUCCUUUAUAUAGUUGGCUCACAAAGUUGUACACUAGCAUAUAACCUACCAAACAAGUUAUACCACAUUAGUAAGCACGUUAUAAUUCCGAUGACUAAAAUUCACAAAAUGAAAAUUGACCGUAUGAUGUGAUCAUUAUAGUGAAACAUGACUAUGGUAUAAAAUUCAACUGGAUUCAACAAUGUUCGGGGCUCGAUCAAAGCGGUCAACCCUAAUUCAUAUUCACUUAUCACACGAAAACUAUCUUACCUACCUCUUUGUUACCUAGUUUGGUGGAUUCUUCAACACAAUAAAGUCUCACAUAGAUGAGAUUUAACCACCCAUGUAAAACUUUGAGGACAUUUACCACCCGAGGAUAGGGCUCUCCUUAGUGAAGCAUAAACGUAAAUAGGGUUGACCGCUUCGAUCGGGGCCCAAACAUUAGCAAAUUAAAGUAAUUUUUCUACCGUAGCCAUAUUUUACUAUACCGAUCACAUCCUAUUUCACAAGAUUUUUGAAAAUUUUGCUUCCUCUAUAUAGUUGGUUCACAAAGUUGUACACUAGUAUAUAACCUACCAAACAAGUUAUACCACAUUAGUAGGUACGUUGUGAUUCCAAUGACUAAAAUUCAGACGCAGUUGUGAAGUGGGUCCCGCCAGUGGUCCGUGACAUUUUUCGGUGAAUUUUUCCGACACUGGAGCUAUUUUCUAUGCAUUUUUAAAGUUUUGAAAUGGUGGAAAAAAAGUAAAACUUUAAUGACAUGGACAGAUUAGUGACUUAGGACAAAUGAGGUCGCAACAUGUGGCAAUUAGUGUUGAAUUUUCAGAAAAGGAAUCCCCCGAAAUAGAAACUUACCAUUCCUUUUAUAGUAGAUUUCCAUAAAUAGUAACUUUUGUUUUUAAAGUAUAACUAUCCCCCCAAAAUGGAAACUUACCCUUCCUUUUAUAGUUGAUUUUCAUAAAUAGUAACUUUUGUUUUUAGAGCAUAACUAUCCCCCCAAAAUGGAAACUUACCCUUCCUUUUAUAGUUGAUUUCCAUAAAUAGUAACUUUCAGAAAGUCUACUUUUGUCAUGUCAGUUAGCUCAUGUUAUUAUUAGACUUAACUCAUGUUAAUAGUAGACUUAACUCAUGUUAAUAGUAGACUUUACAUCUUAGAGUACUUGAUUCAACUUUGAAGAACAAUCUCAAGAACGAAUUUCCAAAAAGUCUACUUUUUUGUGAUUUUGUUCAUCCAAAUUGUAGACAUUUCUCGUGAAAAAAGUAAUUGUGUCUUAUGUUAAAUGUAGACUUUGUAACUUUCAUCUUCAAUUAUUGAUUCAAUCUCAAGAACAAUUUUGAUUUCCAGAAAAUCUACAUUUUUGUGAUUUUGCUCAUCCAAAUGGUGGACAUUUCUCAUGAAAAUAGUAGCUGUGUUUUAUGUUAAAUGUAAACUUUGCAACUUUUGCCUUUAAUGGGUUCAAUAUCAAGAACCUUUUUGAUUUCCAAAAAGUCUACCUUUUUGUGAUUUUGCUUAUCAAAAUGGUAGACAUUUCUCAUGAAAAUAGUAGUUNNNNNNNNNNNNNNNNNNNNGUAAGUAGUAGUAGUAGUAGUAGUAGAGAGAGAGAGAGAGAGAGAGAGAGAGAGAUAACCCCGUUAGUGAGAGAGUGAGAGUUAGUUUGAGAUUUAAAUUGGAUGACCAGUCAAACAGGUAGCAGGUCAUCAUUAAUCUAGUUGGACCAAUCAUAAGCAACCAUGUGGUUAAGGUAUCCAUACCUUAAGGCACACAAGUAUUUGCCAUGUUUAUAUCUAGGUUUAAUAUACAUAUAUACGGAAGUUGCCAAGCAGAUUCAUGGAAAUGGCGACGGAGAUGCGACUGAUGCAAGUUGCUGUGUCUCUUUCGAUCGAUCGCUCUCCCACUCCCAACCAUGUUCUUGAUUGUUCUUCCUUUGGUCCGUAGCUAGCCAGGCAUCGGAUGCGUCUCAUUAAUUAUUCGUUAUUUACUACAAAACAAGCUUAAUUCUGGCUUGGACCAUGCAUGCAUUCUGUGUUUGAGCAGUAUUGGAAUUUGGAAGUAUAUAAUUAACUAGAAAAACAAAGGCUUGGACCAUGCUGUUUUCGAACUUCAAUAUUCCAGUGUUGUACGUCGCAGACAUGCCAAAUAAAACUGGAAAAAAUGACUCGUUUUCAUAGCAGGAAACAGCUAAUUAAUUAACCGGCCGUUACUUCUGUAAUUAAGUUAAUUAAUACGCUGAACAGGUGACAAUGACUCGACAAAUACAACGCGUAUACUCUUAUACUCCAAGUAUAGUAGAACGAAAGAAAUUAAAAGAAUGAGUACGUACUCUCUGCCACUCUCUGCCAAGGUGCAAGUUAACUAGGACAAAAAACUACUACUAAUUAAACUUGCUGCUCCAAUAGUAUAGCAAACUUAAGAAAACUUAUUAGUGCUAGGGUUAGAUUAGGGACAUUAAACUAGUUAACUUGAAUAUAAUUAAUUAGUGCUAGCUUGUUCACAGACCCAAAGGCUCGUCAAACAUACGGAUCACAAGCUGGAGGUACGUAGUUGGGACUUAAACUCUAGAUACGAGGGGUUCCAUGCUAGGCAGCUCGAACAACCUUAGGUGAUAAAAUAGAUCAUUAAAUUCAAGUAGUGAGGUUUUGAACAUAUAACUCAAAACUUAUAUAUACAAGAAAAAUAAACCUAAUGCCACGUUUACGUACUCUUGGAAUAAAAAGAAUAUGAUUCCGGUGUAUGAAUUUUCCUGCAUUUACUAUAUGCAUGUUGCUACCCGCAUCUUUGGGGUUUGCAAAAGUGGGUGUGGUGUGGAAGAUAACGAAGUCACAUGACCCUCGUCCAUCGAUUUAACGUUGUUAAUAAUUUCGGUCUUGGGCCUGAAAUUCAAGCCCGACGACUUAGAUCGAUGAUGAAUCAGUAAAAACAAUUAAGAGAAUUAGACUACUUAUUCCUUAAACCCAAAAUACUUUUGAUACCCCAAAAAGUCCAACACUUCUUCUUUAAAAGGCCUAAACCUUUUUUUUUACACAAAUGGCUCAAUUCCCUUCUUCUCUUUUCUCGGCUUCUCGCACCAGUUCUUCAACUUUCCCUCCCCACAACAGUGUCAUAACCUUGAUUCACGGCUUAACGAAUAGAAAAGCCGCUUUCCUUUCUGAGUCGAGGAAGAAAGAGUGCGUGAUUGAUUCUAAAGCAGCUCCUACAUCCCCAAAUGACGAGGUCACAAGUUUCAAGUCGCUUUGGCAAUCUCUUUCCCGGUUUUCCGUCCUUGCAGCCGUCCCUACAGCAUGUCUGUAGUAAGUCGACCUCUUAUCUUUCAAAGUAAGCUUCUAUUUUCCUAAGAUUUACGGGCAAAAUUAUGUGUCUGAGAGAGAUAUAUCCUUUUAUUUAGUAGUGGAUUUGACAUUGUAUGGUAAAACCCACCAUUUGGAACCCUAUAAAAGGAGGGGCUUGGAACUGAGAAAUCCAUCAAGCAACAAACCCAGAAAACUCCCAAACACUCAAGCUUUCAUGCCUUAAAGCAAUAAACCCUAUUAGCCACUCCCCCAAUUCCUGUUCUUGAAACCCAUCAUUUUUUCCCAUAAACCAGUCCAAUUCUCAUCAUUGCGAUGUGUUUCCAACUCCCACACUAGGCUCACAUUGCAAGUCUCUUUUGUCUUUAAACCACACACAAGAUUAACUCACUAAUCCAAACCUCGGGGUUAAUUUUGGCUUAGUUACUUCCAAACAAAAAAGAGCAUUCACAUUUUGGCGACUCCGUUGGGGAGUAACUAGGUUGUGAUUCAAGUCAUGGCCCAAACAAGAAAAGCAAAAAUAUAUGCUCUAAGGAGAAUGUCACUGAAUCCGUGGCCAAUCCUCAAGCAACAACAAUGAGAUGAACAACAACGAAAAGUGCGUGAAGAGCAGGAGGAGACAGCGAAAUAGCUAACCAUCACCGAUCUCACGCAUGUAGUCAACAAGUUUGAGGACACAUAGAAAUUACUCAUACAUGUUGUGAAAAAGCUGAAAAAUCCCAACCUUGUACCUAAACCAAAUACUGAGCAUAAUGAGAAGGUCUCACAAGGAGGCGGACAUAUUUUCUCACAUAAGGAUCGCAUGAAAAUCCUUAAGCAUAUAUGGAACUCACCUGACCGUUGACAUCCAUCUGAUCAUCGUCAGUCAUUUGGUCAUCAUCAUCCUUGUAACCCUCGUCUACAAGAGAUUACAUCUAUGGGCAAGGGAAAACAAGAAAGCUCAUGUACCAAGCAACUAGUCAAAAAAAAAAAAAAGAGACAGAAGAGAAGAAAAGAGGUGGGAAGCUACACAAAAUAAUUUAUGGCUACUAUCAUCAUCAUGCAAGGUGAUAUCUUCGUCAUCAUCACCAUGUAUAUUAUUAAGAUCCACAUAAACUGGUGAUCCGGGGUUAGCAUGUGUCAUGUUAGCGGUACUGCUAGAGGGAACACUAGGAACAGUGUGUGUAAUACCCCGGAAUUUAGAUACUAGUUUCUAUUAUUUAUUUAUUUAUUUUAUUUGGUUGACUUUUUGGUUGACUUUUUAUUUAUUGGGUUUCUCAAGAAACUUCAUUCACGGAAGUUGUAGAGCACGACGAUACGAGUUCGUAGACACACGGCACGUGUAAAAUGGAUGUCAUACGAUAAAGUUACCAUCAAUCAAAGUUUAGAGUUGAUUUUUUUUGGAAAGGAUUAAAUAGAAAAAUGUUGGGUUAUUUUUUUAGAACCCUAGAAUUUCAGAAAAUCAGUUUCUCUCCCUCCCCGAGCCGCGCGUGCAAGCCUGGCCUUCUCCUGAUUGGAAGUCCGCCGUCCGGCAACCCCCAGCCACAAGCCACAUAUCAGUAUCUUCAUCUCGUCCCCGCCUACCUAACCUUGCCAACCUUCGACGCCGUCGACCGACGUAUAAGGCGCAACGAGGCCCGAAAGCCACUGCCGUUGUCACCCUCUGACCGAAACCCUAACCCAGCGACCCCGGACGACGCAACCAGCGUUGGAAGGCUCAUUUCCUCCGUGAGAAGCUUCCUAGGCAAGUGGGUGGCCUCGUCUUGAGCUGUAGCAGCAAGAGGCGAUCAGAGCUGUGUUGGCCGAAAGUCUCCAAUUUUGGUGACGACAAUAGGCAGUGAGAGGUAAGCCGUGAAGCUCUUUCCCUCUAAGCACGUUUCAAGCUGCCAUUCACCUCGUUUUGAGGUCUAAAAGUCGGAUUGAGGCACCUUGGCAGCCAGUGUUCUUGUGGUUCUUUCCGGCUGAAUUGGUUCAAACGUCAGGUAUAAAAGAUGCUCCCCUUGCUUCAAUCUACUAGUUUGUUGUUGAAGUUUGUCUAGAUUUUAAAGUUGUUGGGGUGGCGCAUGGGGCCCACUCGCCGUCGCCUGUGGUGGCGCGUGGCAACUCGUCCGACAGUUUCCUAGCUCUAGGUUUCGAUGUUAGCUAGCUCUUGUUAUUGUGAGCUUGUUGAGUUGUGGAAAUUUUAGAUUGUGAGCAAGGAUUGCACGUUAGGACAUUAAGUUUAAUCUUAGGCUUGUGUGAGGUUUGAGUUUAGGUUUGGAGGAUUAGAGAUAGCUUUAUUGAGUCGUUAAGUAUGACGACCUUGGAAAGUUGUCCUCUCUUGGGCUAAGGUUUAAUUAAUGGUGUUUUGCUAUCCUAUAAAUACUUUGGUUACUAAGGUAAUUAAUUGUGUAAUUUUAGGUGAUUGUGAGGUGUGUUUGGCUUGGCUCUUUGGUUGCGUUUUUGGUGAAGACGCAUCGGGAAUAUAUAUAGGUGAGUAACAUCUCACCAAGGUUCACUUGGAACCAAUUAUUGAUGAAUUAUGAUGAUGAUUAUUGAUGAUGAUUAUGAUAAUUAUUGUGUUGAUGAUAAUGAUUAUUAUGAUGAUGAUGGUGAUGUUGAUAAGGUUUAUGAUGAUAAAAUGAUUAUGAUAAUUAUUGUGUUGAUGAUAAUGAUUAUUAUAAUGAUGAUGGUGAUGAUGAUAAGAUUUAUGAUGAUAAAAUGAUGAUGAAUUAUGAUGAUGAUUUUUGUUGAUGAUUAAUUAUGAUGUUUUUAAUUUAAAAAUUUUAUUUUUUUGGUUGUUUUAAAAUGGAUUAAUUUCAGUUUACCCCCAUCAACUUAGGUCGAUUAUCAUGUUAGUCAUUCUUCUUUCAAUUUCAUCAAAAACACCCCUCAACUCUCAAUUUUCAUCAGCCGCGCAUGUCUAAACCUCCAAUCUCCAUCCAAUUCCUCUGUCAAGUGAUGAUUUGAUAUCAAGAAGAAAGAAAAAUAGACAAAUAGACAAAUUGCAUUCAAUCCCACCAAAAUCACCAAGGUUAGGGUGUUGUGAUGAGAACGAAGAUGUGUAUCAAUAUGGGGCGAAAAUGGUCCGAAAGGUAACAUUCAAAACUUGACUUUCUUCUUGAUAUCAAGUCAUCACUUGACAAAAGAAUUGGAUGGAGAUUAGAGGUUGGAGGUUUGGACAUGCGCGACUGAUGAAAAUUGGGAGUUGAGGGGUGUUUUUGAUGAGAUUGAAAGAAGAAGGACUAACAUGAUGAUCGACCUAAAGUUGAUGGGGGUAAACUGAAAUUAGUCCUUUUAAAAUAUAUGAGCUUGAUCGCCAACGGCUCAUAGGUAAGAUAAAACAAGUUUUCUUAUUAUAUGUUUAUUUUUAAGGUUCAUGAAAUUAUAAUAUUUUUGGUUCUUGAUAGAUUAUUCUUGUGGGAAUAAUUAUGUCUUGUGCAUAUAAAUAUAUCUAUGUGGAAGAAUAUAAUUUAAUGAUGUGCUAUUGGGUUGUUGAUGUUGAUUUUAUUAUAUUGUGAUCCGUUGUUUAGAUAGUCAAACUGGGUUCCAAGCCUUUAAUUGGGUGAUUGGUUACAGUUAUGAUGAUUCUAUUCUAUGGUGAUUUGUUGUGUAGAUAGUCAAACUGGGUUCCAAGCCUUUAAUUGGGUGAUUGGUUACGGUUAUGACGCUAUUGUUAUUUUGUGAUGUGAUAUUGGACAGUCAAAUUGGGUUUCAAGCCUUUGGCCGGGUGAUUGGUUACGGAUAGGAAUAGAGCUCUAGUCCGUCUAUCAGUGUAGGUCAUGAGAGGUACCUUAAGGUAUCUGGGACACAUGGGUACAUAAAUUAUUGUUGUAGGUCAUGAGAAGUAUUUAUUAAUAUAUGGGACUCAUGGGUACAUGUGUUUGUUGUAGGUCAUGGAAGAUACCUUAUUAGUAUUUGAGACUCAUGAGUACAUGUAUAUUGUAAAAUUAUUGGUUAUGUGGUUUUACCAUUGUUCUUAAUUGUUGUCAUUUAAAUUCUUUGUUUUGAGUAUCUUCUGAACUAUGCUUAAUGCAUGAGAUUCUUUAAUUUUAUUUGUGUGAUUUUUAGUGAAAUUCCUGAACUAUCCUUUUUGCAGGAUUUUACUUAUGAUUUUGAUUGUUUGUGAAUUGUUGUGUUUUCUUAUUUACUCUAUUUUGAAUUUUAUUGUUUUGAGGCAAUUCCUGAACUAAGUUCUAAAGCAGGAAUUACCGGUCUUAUCUUAUAUGGUGUAGGGUUGAAAUUAUUUGUCACACCCCGGUUCUUAAGUUAUUUUUACGGUUAUUUACUUUGAUAUUAUUUUGGUCAUUUACCGUAUUGAGUAACCGUUUACCACUUAAGGACCCUAAAGUUGACUUUCUAUUCCGUUUGGAAUUUGGGGGAAACUUUUUUCAUGAAAGUCGUAGGGGACGUUAUUACGAGUUCGUAGACAUGCUAUGUGUUAAAAUCGGAGUUAGCAUGAAAAAGUUAUGUUUUAAAAGAGUAAAUUUUUUGAGAUGAUAAAAGGGGGUAAAUGAUAAUGGAUAUUAUAUUUUUUUUUUUGGGUUUUAUAGCUGGGCCGGCUGUGGAGCGGCCCAAAACCCCUUCCUUUAUUUCCUCUCUCUCCCUCUUCCUUCUCUCUCUUUCUCCCGUGAGUUUUCCCCGAUCCCCUCUCCGCUGGAAGUCAGCUGUCGCCGUCCGGCCAACCACCAGCCACCACUCCACCCCAGUUCAGACCCCCAUCACCUCCUCUCUCGCCCCGGCCUACUGUCGGAGCCGGUAGCCCCACCGGAGAGGAGAAAUCCCGCCGGAGACGCCGGGAAGCUUUUCGCCGGAAAUCCCACCUCCGGCCACCAUAGGUCGGGAUCAUCUUGUAGCCCUCAUCAAGAUGAGUAAUCCCUCAAAAGGAAUUAGUCUAUUUCGUUGUUGUUAUAUAUGGAGAAAUGUAUAAUUAGAAGUUUUAGGGAUUUAUUGAAGUUUUGGUUCAAUUACCCUAGUUAGGCUCAGAAAUGGACCAAGUGCUAGUUAUAAUUGUUAUUGAGCAUGAUGAGAGGAAUAUUCUGUGAAAAUUUGAGAAGCAUUGACCCUCGCCGGAAUCCGGCUGCCGGCCGCCGCCGCCGCCCUUGGGGGCAGUUUUUCAUGAUUUUGGGUUUGUGUUAAUGAGAGGAGUUUAAUGAAGUAUAGUUUGGAAUUUUUGGAGGAGAUUUGAUAUGGUUUAGGAUUUAUCUAUUAUUAAGGAUUUAGGCGGUUGUUCGAAUGGAAAUCCGGCAGUUAGUUUAACAGGUUUUAAAGUCUAAAAAGGUUAAAUUAUGGCUUUCGGUAAGUGCGGAGUAACGUGAGCCUUAUUAGGUAAUAAGUGGAGAAGUUGGGCAAGAGAAAUGAAAAUUAUAGGCUUUCUCUCUCUUUUGGAAAUUUUAUUAUUGUUGUAUCCUAGUAUGGAGGUUUAAUGAUUAUUUAUUGUUCAGGACGUGAGGAGGAUCAUUUGGAGGAAGCCUCUGGCCGUUGGCAAGCAUAGCCGAGCACUGUGAGUGGACCUUUGAUUUUAAUGUCUUGCGUGCGCUAAAUUUAUCUAAUUUCUAAAGCAUUUAGAGAUAUAAUAUUUGGUUGGAAUAUCGAGUUCCAUUUAUUUUUCUAGAACUCUCUUGCUAAUUUUAGUUGACAUGUGGGACGUGUCAAGUGAUAUUUAUUAUUUCCAGUUACAGUUGGGAACUGUACUGUGUGCUAUGAGGGGUUUUUUAUAAUAUUUGGGGAAGUGUUGAUCAUUUUAUUCUAUUAUAGUACUUCACCAUAAAAAGGGUUGAUUUAUAUUAAUCAUUGCUAGCUAACUUUAUUUAGCGGUCCUCAUCAUAUGUGAGUCGCUAUUAUUGUCAGGACCUACCCCGGAUUUCCCCUUAAAAUCCGGAAUAAACCCUGCGGGACCCACCUCAAGGGAAAUUCUACCAAAAUUUUGGCAUAACCUCCCUUGAAAAUGAGUAACCCUACCUGGAAGAAAAAUCACCAAUGCCUAAACACUUCUAAAACAAUUUAAUCCACAUCUUCUGGAGCCAUCCGCUCCACCAAAUAAACAUCCACCACCUCAACUAACAUAAUAAAUCGAAAUAAUUUCAUGAAUUUAAUCUCUCAUAUAACAUGCCAAAUAACAUUUUUUCAACACCUAGGUGUAGUCACAAGCUCUUAACACACCACAAUAACAACAACAACCACACUUAAAACAUCCCAAGGUUAAUCAGAGCUUCUACUAGAAAAGAAGGAAAUACAUAGGUAGGUUAACUAGUAACCUAUGAGAGAAAACUGGAUGAGGUGGGAAAUAUGAUUCGCCUCCUACCCUCACCGAACAGAACUCUGCAGACUGGGCAUUUAAAACGAAAAGCCCAGGGGAAAGCAUUUAAAACGUUAGAGUGAGUGGACAAAAUAAAUAAUAAAAAUAUGGACUUAAUGAUAGAGCAUUGAAAUCAAUUUAAUGCUUUUCCCAUAUUUUCCAUUGAGAAAAUAUUUAUGCAUGCCAUUCUUGGAAAUCUUUCCGAAAAUAAUUAUAGACAAAACUAAUGAACCAAUCCCAUUGGUUCCCAAUAAAUCAAUAAGAAUAGGGAAGAGGUUUCACCAUAACAAUGAGCCUCCCAGACUAUAAUAGCGUCCCACGCUAAGCGCUCUACUCACAUAUGAUGAGGACCGCUUAUAAAGUUAUAAUAGCGUCCCACGCUAAGCGCUCAACUCUCAUAUGAUGAGGACCGCUAAAUAAUGGCUAGCUAACAAUAAUUAUAUAUAUGUAUACCGAUCGGUUGCCUCCCAGGCUAUAAUAGUGUCCCACGUUAAGCGCUCUACUCACAUAUGAUGAGAACCGCUAAUAAGACUAUAAUAGCGACUCACAUAUGAUGAGGACCGCUAAUAAGGUUAGCUAGCAAUAAUCUAUAUAUCAACUCUUUUAUGGUGAAGUACAAUAUUAAAAUACAAAGAUCCACACUUCCCCAAAUAAAAUAAUAAACUCAUAGCGCACAGUACAGUUCCCAACUGUACUUGGAAAUAAUAAAUAUCACUUGACACGUCCCACGUGUCAACUAAAAUUAGCAAGAGAGUUCCGGCAAAAAAAUAUGGAACUCGAUAAUCCAACCAAAUAUUAUAUCUCCAAAUGCCUUUGAAAUUAGAUAAAUUUAGCACAUGCAAGAUAUUAAAAUCAAAGGUCCACUCACAGUGCUAGGCUAUGCUUGCCGACGGCCCGAGGCUUCCUUCAAAUGAUCCUCCUCACUUCCUGAACAAUAAAUAAUCAUUAAGCCUCCAAACUAGGACAAAACUUUAAUAAAAUUUCCGAAAUAAAAAGGAAGCCUAUAAUUUCAUUUCUCUUGCCCAACUUCUCCACUUUUUACCUAAUAAGGCUCACAUUACUCCGCACUUACCGAAAGCCAUAAUUUAACCUUUUUAGACUUUAAAACCUAUUAAACCAACUGCCGGAUUUCCAUUCGAAUAACCGUCUAAAUCCUUUAUCAUUGAUAAAUCCCAAACCUUAUCAAAUCUCCUCCAAAUAUUCCCAACUAUACUUCAUUAAACUCCUCUCAUUAAAACAAACCCAAAAUCAUGAAAAACUGCCCAUAAGGGGCGGCGAUGCCGGCUGCCGGCAGCUGGAUUCCGGCAAGGGCCAAUGCUUCUCAAAUUUUCACAGAAUAUUUCUCUCAUCAUGCUCAACAACAUUCAUAACUAGCACUUAGUCCAUUUCUAAGGCUAACUAGGGCAAACGAAUCAAAACUUCCAUAAAUCCCUAAAAACUUCAAUUAUACAUUUCUCCAUAACAACAACGAAAUAGACUAAUUCCUUUUGAGGGAAUACUCACCUUGAUGAGGGCUACAAGAUGAGCUAAAGAUUCCGACCUAUGGUGGCCGGAGGUGAGAUGUCCGGCAAAAAGCUUCCCGGCGUCUCCAACGAGUUUUCUCCUCUUCCGGCGGGCUAACGGCUCGGGGGCUAGGCCGGGGAGUGAGAGGAGAUGAUGGGGGUCAGAACUGGGGUGGGCUGGCAGCUGGUGGCUGGCCGAACAGCGGCAGCUAGCGUUGGAGACUUCCGGUGGGAUGGGGGCUCGGGAGAGAAGGGAGGAAAAGAGAGAGAGAGUGAGUGACGGAGUGAGGGGGUGUUGGGCUGCCCACACCCGGUCCAUAAAACUUAAACCCAAAAAUUAUACCCACUUAAUAUUUACCCCCUUUUUCCAUCUCAUAAAAUUACUCUCUUGAUUCAUAACUUUUUCAUGCUAACUCCGAUUUUAACACAUAGCAUGUCUACAAACUCAUAAAAACAUCCUCUACGACUUUCAUGAAGAAAGUUUUCCCAAAUUCCAAACGAAAGAAAAAAUCAACUCUAGGGUCCUUAAGUGGUAAACGGUGACUUAACACAGUAAAAGACCAAAAUAAUACCAAAGUAAAUAACCGUAAAAUAACUUAAGAACCGGGGUGUGACAAUUAUAGUCUUAUUAGCGGUUUUCAUCAUAUGUGAGUUGAGCGCUUAGUGUGGGACGCUAUUAUAGCCUGGAGGCAACCGAUCGGUAUAUAUAUAUAUAUAUAUAUAUUGUUAGCUAGCCAUUAUUUAGCGGUCCUUAUCAUAUGAGAGUUGAGCGCUUAGCGUGGGACGCUAUUAUAAUAUUAUCAGUAGUCCUUAUCAUAUGUGAGUAGAGCGCUUAGCGUGAGACGCUAAUAUAGCCUGGGAGGCUCAUUAUUAUGGUGAAAUUUAUUCCCCAUUGUUUUCUAUUGAUUUAUUGGGAACCAAUGGGAUUGAUUCAUUAUUUUUUUCUAUAAUUAUUUUCGGAUAAAUUUUCAAGAAUGGCAUGUAUAAAUAUUUUUCUCAAUGAAAAAUAUGGGAAAAGCAUAAAUUUUGAUUUCAAGGCUCUAUCAUUAAUUCAGUUUCUUUAAUAUGUAUUUUGUCCACUCACUCUAACAUUUUAAAUGUUUUCCCCUGGGCCUUUCGUUUUAAAUGCCCAAUCUGCAAAGCUCAGUUCGGCGAGAGUAGGAGGCGUGUCAUUUUCCCACCUCAUCUAGUUUUCUCUCAUAGGUUACUAGUUAACCUACCCCUGUAUUUUCUUCUUUCCUAGUAGUUGCUUUGGUAACCUCGGGAUGUUUUAAGUAUUGUUGUUGUUUAAUGUUGUGUGUUAAGAGCUUGUGACUCCAUCUAGGAGUGUUUGAAAAAGGUUUAUUUGAUAUGUUUUAUGAGGGAUGAAAUUCAUGAAAUUAUUUCGAUUUAUUAUGUUAGUUGAGGUGGUGGAUGUUUAUUUGGGGGAGCGGAUGACUCUAGAAGAUGUGGAUUAAAUUGUUUUUAGAAGUGCUUGGGAUUUGGUAAAUUUUCUUUCAGGUAGGGUUACUCAUUUUCACGGGAGGUUAUGCCAAAAUUUUGGUAGAAUUUUCCUUGAGGUGGGUCCCGCAGGGUUUAUCUCGGAUUUCAAGGGGAAAUCCGAGGUAGGUCAUGACAUUAUUUUUUAGAGUUACUCACACGAGCUUUUUAGCUUACCGGGUUUGUUGUUUACAACCUGGUGCACCAAUUCAUGGUGUAGGAGUUAGACCUGCAGGUGAUGAUCAGCAUGGUUGAGGCGGAGGCAUAGUGGCAGGAUUUUAGUUUCUGUGCACUUUAUUUUAUUUUAUUAUGGCAGUUGUUUUUAAGCUCAUGUGAGCGACUUUAUUAUUACUAGAUUUUUGAAGUUGAUGUAAUUAAGGAGAUGUAAUGUUUAACUCGGUUGAUGAGUUGUUGACAUUUACAUUUCCAGUAUUUGAAUUUUAGUUUGGAAGUUAUUGAGCAAGUUUUGGGAUAUUAAGAUUUGUGAGUUAUAUCAUGCCUAAAUUUUUGAAAAUUUAUCCUUCAUAAAUUAGGGUGCGACAGUGUGCACCCUGUUUCUUAGAACCACCGCUUGGUCUUGAGCUAGAAGCAACUCUUCUUUUCUUCCUCAUCCUAUCGGCCAUGCCCAGCGGGACCUUCAUAAAAACUCCAUUGGAAUUAUGUACUUUUAUAAGGGGAGUACGACUCGUCACGACCUUCGGUUUUAAAUGGCAGACAUUCUUACUUUACAAUGACCAACCACUUUAAGACAACCAACCUCAUGCUCCCUGCCAUCCGAAUACACCUAGAUAUAAGACAUAUUAAGCCUGGACAUGCUACGUAGUAGCCUUUUAUUCUUACCCUCCAUAGUGGGGCACAACCUUGCACCUCUGGUCUUAAUGAAUCUCCUGAACUCAAGCUGUUGCAGCUCCCAAAACUUCUUAAACGCCGACUUGCACAAUCAGAAAACGCAUCCCUAUAAGGAGUCUUAGCCUCACAUAGGAACUUCUUAAUACAACUUUGAAUACCCUCACCACAAGAAAGAGCCGGGACCCCGUGAUCAAUAUUAGCUAAACUGUCUUCUGACUCGGUGAGGAGCAUAUACCUCCAUUGAAGGACUGCAACACACACCACAAGAAUUUAUGUACUGCAUACGAGUGGCUAAGAACAACUCUACAUCAGUCAAGAAUGGUAAGAAUGGCUAUCCGGGUAGAAGAGGGGUGCUCUCUGAAAAUCAUGAUAAACUAUGUUAGCUAGGUCUAGACUUAAACUGGUUAGCGAUAUCAACUAUGGCAGGCUUAAAUACCCUUUUCCUUGGUCUUCUUCUUCACCAUCUAAAACACAAAGGUACGUAGCCCAACUGGAUUGAAGCUUAUCUUGGCCCUUUCAAGUUGAUCAAAUGCGUCAGGAGUCAUUGGCUGCACUACCAUAUUCUUAACCCUCUCUCAAAUGAAUACCUGAUGGAAAAGCUGGACACCAUACACCAGAGAACCAAAUGAAUACCUUCCUUUUUAUCUUCUGAAAUCUAAUCCAACAUCCGAUAUUCAUGGCUAAGGAAGAGAGAAGCCAAUGGAAAACGGGUGACAGCUGCUAGCUUGAUGGCGAGUGGGAAGAAGUGUCGCUGGACGUUCUCACAAGGAAAAUCAAGGAAUAUAAAUAUGCUUAACCAAUAAGCAAACAUGGCCUUAAGGCGAUAGCAGGAAGAAAAACCCACAGCUUUACUCCUUCCAUCAACCGAACCCCAAAAGUGUCGCAUCGAAUUGUAGAAACAAAAAUUUCUCCCUGGAACGGCAAACACCUCCCUUUAAAGGCCCUAGCUUUUCCCUCUCGGCCUCGCUCACGCUCAACUUUAUGUUGAAAGGGUCGGCUUCUCUGGUCAAUGGGAGCCUCAUAACAUUAUUUACAUCUUUCAAGGUAGGAGUGAACUCACCCCAAGAGCAGACAAAUGUGUAAUUGAUGAGGCUCCAUCUUUGCAAACAUGACGAAGGCAAAUGUUGUCUUUGUAAUCUUCGCAUAACCCGGAUAUGAAUAAAGAAUUUUUUUUUACAUGCCUCGUCAAUGGCUUCUUCAUGCUUCUCCAGCUCCACGCCUCCACCUCAUGGCAUAUCUAUUCCGCACAACUAGCAACAGGUUUUGAAGGGUACAUGAAACAAAUAGGCGCUGGCGGAUAAUCCACUCGCUCAACCAGCAACGUGGAGAUUGAAUCUGCAGGGACAAAGUGAGCUGUAAGCCCAUGAGGCUCGCCUUUGGAAUCAUCUUCACCAUUCACUGCAGUAUGAAUGACUUUAAGACAAUCCUCUAGAAAGAAACGAUGGUCACGAAGCUCAAGAGGCUAAGGAGCUUUAACCUUCGACGUCAUGUGAAAUCUUCAUGCAGGAGACAAAAUAGGAUACAUAUGAGUGAAACCGUAACAUGUACUUGAAGUUCUAGCAUGCAACAACUCAAAAUCAACAACAGUAAAAGCACACAAAAUACCAAGCACAUGACUCAAAUUACGACAUGCCAAGUAACACCAAGCCAACAUGUCAUACUAUCGUAAACCCCUCAUUAUUAAUCUAUUGUCACCAACUGGAGAGGCUAAGAUCCCCUUCUUCAAUGAACGAAUUCUAGAAGUAGGUGAUGGUCUCUCACGAUCUUGUGCUUUCUUACUCCCCUUCCUUGGCGUUCUUGCUUGGGUUGGAAGUUGGAUUGUUUUUUUGUCAUGGAUUGAAAGACCGAUCUCUCUGGUAAAGAUGGGAGCUAGAUCUGAGCGUUGGAGGCUUGGGGGUUCUAAUGCUUGUGGGUGUGGGGUUGAGGUUGCUGGCUUAUGGCUACGUGAUUGAUAAUGGCAUCUAGCGAAGAUUACCUAGUUUUGAAAGUCAGAUUGGGCAAAUUUGAGUACAAUUUGGCUUGGCUGGGUCGAGAUUCCAAUCUUAUUGCAAAAGAUGCUGAUGGAGGCAACUUAGAAUGGCUAUGGUGAGGGGUCUAUUCUUGUAUUGCGCUUCCGUUUUAUAAAUGAUGAGGGACGCAGAAUCCUAUCGGUGGGAGGUUUUGAACAGUGGAUCUUUCUGAGUGCCGGGGGUGAAGAGUUUAGCUAGAACGGUGUAGCGAUGAUCAAUUGCAAUGACAAAAUGUCGGCAGAGUCUAUUUUGUAGUAUACAACGACGCUGGUAAUAAUUGCACUCAUAAGUGAAAUGUUCAGUGGGGAUCUAAGAUAUCUUGUAGUAAUUCUGUUAAAAACAAUAACAUAUCAUGUUAGAGGGAUGACAACGAAAUUUAGGAAAUAUUUAUUUUGGAUGGCAAAUCAAGGAUCUCAAGACUAUAGAAGGGAAAGAAACAAACACAAAAUGGAAUAAGAAAAUCAUAAAAGAAGAAUUCAUACAUCACCACAUUAUUUUAGCAAGCCUUUGUAUUCGCACAAUCACUUAAAUUAUGUAGUAAUUUAUGAAUGAAUGAGAAUGAGAGUGGGAGGGUUUGAAGUGUUAAACAUGCCUAUGACGACAAUGCUUUAGACAUAGCUAAGAAUUCAAUGAAACUAAACAAGACUCAGAGGUGCCACAUCGAAUCAAAACAUCAUAUGCCAUCACCAAAUGACCUUCCUAAGUUCAAGUUCAAAAAAACUUACACGCUCAGUUUCCAAAUUAGUGGUGACACAUCAUUUAAGGUUGGUUCGGUCACCGUUUCAAAAUUCCUACUAGCUCCCAUUGCUACCCAAUUCUCGGCUUCGAGGAGGCCUGAGCUCGGCUCUUCCCCAAACCGGCGGCGCCCCCUCAAUUGAACCCUCUCUAGUCGCCGUCACCCUCUCGUCACCGGUCCAACUCAAUGUGCAGGUCGAGAUAAAAUCCAAUCUAGAUUGCCGAUGGUUUUGCCAUCGCCGGAGCCUGUGGCGCGGUGACCACUUGGUUCCUGCUCAUAGGCCUGAAAGCCUAGCUCGACAAGGAAGGGAAAACCGUUGGUGACAGCGGUUUCGGUUGAGGUUUUUAUCGACGAAGAAGGAGCAGAGAUCACCACAUUACUACUCAUACGUCAACCAUAUCAACCAUAUACUACUCAUACAUCACCACAUUAUUUCAACAAGCCAUUGUAUCCACAUAUUGCACCUAAAGUACAUAGUAGUUUAUGAACGAAUGACAUAAAGAGUGAGGGUUCAAGUUCUAAACAUGCCUAUGCGUACAACGAUUCUAACAUUGCUAGGAAUUCAAUGAAAAUAAACAAGAUUUUGAGUUACCUCACCAAAUCCAAACAUCAGAUGACAUCAUCAAAUGGUCUUCCUAAGUUCAAGUUGAAAAAAACUUGCAUGUGCACUUUCCAGAUUAGUUUCGACACAUCAUUCGUGGUUAGUUCGGUCACCGUUUAAAACAGUCUACUAGCUCCCGCUGCUACCCAUUCUUGAACAACCUCUUCCUCGUUCUCGUCCCACCAAACAUAUACUAUAACAUGACCGGCAAACCGAAAAUCAAGACCGCUUAAGGUCCUCACAAGCCUAAGAAUGAAAAAAACUGGUUAUAUAAACAAAUCUAUAGCAAGCAGAUUUACAAAACAAAUGCAUAUUUGUUUAGGCUUAAUUGCCAAUUUGCUACUCUAGGAUUCACCUAAAUGUCAAUUUGAUACCUUAGCUUUUAUUUCUGCCAAUUUGCUACCCUAGGUUUCUAAAAUUAGCCAAUUUGCUACCUUUUGUCAUAUAAAUUGAUCCAUUUCUCCGUCCAAACAUUGAUGUCUUUUGAAAAUGUCAGAUAACAAAUGGCUAAAUUUGAAUACGUAGGUAAGAAAAUUGGUUGACAUUAAAAGUCUAGAGUCAUAAAUUUGACAUAAGGGUAGCAAAAUGGCUAAAAUAAAAUAUAGAGUAGAAAAUUGGCUAAUUUUAGAAAGUUAGGGUAGCAAAUUGAUAGAAAUAAAAGAUAUGGUAGCAAAUUGACACCAAGGUGAAUUCUAGGGUAGAAAAUUGACAAUUAUGCCUAUUGUUUAACAUGCCACAAUAAUGAAAACCGAUCAUCACACAAAGUUUGCAAGAGUUAUUGAUGAACUAUGCUUGACAUAUAAGAAAAAUGAAAACCAAAAACCAAAUUAUCCAGGUUCGUAUCAAGCGUUUUAUAAUGAUAAAUAUGUGACUAUAACUUCUUUUUUUUAAAAAAAAAAACGGGGUUUAGAACCUAGCCUAGCUAGAAGGCUCAGCCCCAUGCCCGAUUUGAAAUUUAUUAAUAAAAAAAGAAUUACAAAUGUUGCUUUGAGAGUAAACCCCCAAUAAAAAGAAAUACAACCUAAACAUGGACCAUGACAAAAGGUUACAAUUGAAAGGAGAACUAAAGGACCAUUACUAAAAAACCUAACCAAAUCUAUAGAUUGUUGCAGUAGACAAAUCCCUACCAUACUGUCUGGCAAUGAAAUCAGGAAUUUCUUCCCACCAUUUGUAACCUGCGUUUAGGGCAUCAUAAUUAGCCAAAGCAUUAGCAACCGUGUUACCUUCUCGGUAUAUGUGGGAGACCUUAAACUGUAUCUGCCGACUAAUAAAUAAACCAUUAUUUCAUGCCGUCCUGAGCCUCCAUGGGGUAAGCAAAGAAUUUCUGAAAUAAUGAACCACAAGUGACGAGUUUGUCUCUAGCCAAAUAUGAGUCCAUCGCUUUGCCCAAGCAAUCUUCAAGGCUUUAAUAACUGCUAACACCUUUGCAUCAAUAGCACUACGAACAUCUACUUUCUUAGCAAAAGCCCCUAGAAAAAGACCAUCAUGAUUUCUGAAGAUACCUUCGUAGCCCGCUGUACUAGAAUCCCGAAAAGAACUAUCUGUGUUAACUUUGAACCAGUUAAUAGGAGGAGAAACCCAUUGGACUGGGGUAUAUUUCGGAGCUCUUAACCUUAAAGAUGAAAGGCCAAGAACAUGAAACAUAGUCUGCACUCUUGUUGUUGUUAAGCAAGGAGUAAAGUGAAGUGAAGCAGAUUCCCUCAAAGAUAAUAAAAAGAAUGCUUAAAUCUUGAGAAAUUAAAAACCACAUCAUCAAAUCGGACCUUAUUUCUUUCUAUCCAAAUGCACCAAAAAGCAUUGCAAAUUGCAAAACACCAUAACAAUCUUGCACUGGAAGCCAUGUUUUCAAUUAAAUUGGUUGAGAUGAGUUGCAAAGGAGAGGUACCCGGCAGAAGUUGCACUUGAAAAAAACAAGCAAGUCAAUCCCAAAAAACUUUAAUAAUCGGGCACUCAAAGAACAGAUGAUUGAGGGUCUCACCUUGAAUUCCACAGAUGGAGCAUUUAGAGCAUAAGAAUGUGCCCCUACGUUGAAGAAUAUCGUCUGUUAGAAUUCAGCCAUGAAAAACUUUCCAAGCCACCAAGCUCUUAUGCGGUUGCAUAGCUUUAUGCCAAAUCAAUUUGCUCCAAUUUACUACAGGCCUCGGGGGAGAGAAAAAAAAAGAAAAGCAUCUUGAGUAGUGAGCUGCCCAGACGGAUUGUCAGGCCAAACUACCUGAUCAUUGGAGUCUUCUAAAGGUAACUGAACCAUGGUUAUCCUGGCUGCAAUAUCUAGAAAGAAAAAAAUUAAACAACAGAGAUAAUGACCAUUGUUUAUUAUUCAAAGCACCGCUAACCUUAACUGGCAUGAGUGAUCUGGAAACUGAAGAGAUUGAAUGGAGACUCGAAAUGGGAGUUCCAAGCCAAUUAAUUAUCCUUUAGAAAUCAAUGCUCUUACCAUCCUUCACCAACCAAUUCAACUUUGAAUAGAAUCUGUGCCAAAACUUUUUAAUGUCGAGCCAAACUGAAGAUCUCUGAUAAUAAUUCAAGACUUGCAUGUUGCUAUUGAAGAAUCAGCUCCGGAUAAAAAUUGCUGAUGAAGAAGAAGCAUUAACAAUUCGCCAACAGUUCUUUAGAAGCAGAGCCCAAUUCAACACAAUUAUAUUCUUUAAACCCAAACCACCUAGACUCAGCGGGAGACAACAAGUGUCCCACGCAACAAGCGCAGAACCCCGCUUCAAUGGAUCUCCAUAUCAGAAAAAAUUACGAGUCCAACGUUGCACUGUCAACAGAAGAGAGCGCAGCCAAGCAAACACUUGGAAACUAUGAAUAAGCUGACUCUGAAUGACUGAAGAGAUCAACUGCAGUCUUGCGGCCUGAGACAACUGUUUACCUUUCCAAGAGGAGAGUCAACAUCUGAUUUUAUCAACGAUAGCUUGCAAAUGAAUAGAUUUUGGACAUCCUUGAAAUAUAGGAACCCCAAGGUAUAUGAAUGGAAGGGAAGCUUCAUGAAUGCCUAAGACAUUUUGAAUGGCCACCUUACGUGUCACAUCCCGACCCUUAUAUUUUUACCUUAUUUACUAGCGUGAUUAUAAUAAGAAUUUUACCGUCUCGAUCAUUGAGUAAAUAGUUUAAUUGGUCCCUAGAGGGGUUUCGGGGACGAUUAUGUGCGGAGGAUUAUUCGUAUGAGGAAAAUACGACUACGGUAAAAAUGGUAAAUUUUAGCUAGUAAAAGGUAAUUUUUAUUCGGGUAUUAUUUUUCGGGGUGUUUUUAUUUUGGAAGUUUGGGUUAAAAAGGGAGUGUUGGGUCGGCUGGGCCGAGCCCAACCCAUUUUCUUCUUCUUUUCUUUCUCUCUCCCUCCCGAUUUCCUCUCCGCACCCGAGCCUCCCGCUGCCCGGUUUUCCGGCCGCCCUCCCGCCGCCGUCCGGCCUCCGUUCGCCGCCGGACCGGUUCCGUUCGGUCGGUCUCCCUCCCAGCAACAUUUCUAGACCGGNNNNNNNNNNNNNNNNNNNNNNNNNNNNNNNNNNNNNNNNNNNNNNNNNNNNNNNNNNNNNNNNNNNNNNNNNNNNNNNNNNNNNNNNNNNNNNNNNNNNNNNNNNNNNNNNNNNNNNNNNNNNNNNNNNNNNNNNNNNNNNNNNNNNNNNNNNNNNNNNNNNNNNNNNNNNNNNNNNNNNNNNNNNAUACAUAUAUUAUAGAGUCUGAGAGGCUCGAUAUUUUAUGGGAUAAAGGUUUUAUCGCUUGUCGGCAUGCAUUCGAUUUUUCCUUAGAAAUUAAUUUGGGGAAACAUAAAUAUUUUAAUUAUUAAUUUAUUUUUGUCCACUCACUCUAACGUUAUUAAAUGUUUUCCCCUGGGCCCUUCGUUUUAAAUUGCCCAGUCUGCAGAGUUCGGGUUGGAUCUAGUAGGAGACGAGGCAUAGUCACCCGCUUUUCGGCCAGUUUUCAUCAGUAGGUUACCUGUUCAACCUACUUGUGUUUUCUUGCUUCCGCUUGUGUUUAGUAGCUCUGAAUACUUUAGAAUUUUUGUAUUUUAUGCGAUGUUCAGAAACGAUAAAUUAAGAGUGUAAUUUGAAAUUUUCGAGUUAGGGUUGUCCAUCUGCAAGGGAGAUUUUCUUAAUCUUUUCAGUAAAUUUUCCUUGGAGGUGGUCCCCGCACGACUUACUCUGGGUUUCAGGGUGAAAUUCGGGGUGGGACGUGUCAUUACGCCUUUGAGCAUAUUUACCCAAAAAACAGAAGAUUUUGCCUUAUUCACCACCUGAUCAGAAUUUCAAGCAUAUUCGUCAUAAAAUUCAUCAAAACAUGCAGGCUACGAGGACUACUUUGCAUAAAAAUGAAUAGCCACCUUACGAAUGCCUACAAGGACUACUUCACAAAUGCCUAAGACAUUUUGCAUAGCCACCUUACGCCUUUGAGCAUAUUUACCCAUAAAACAGAAGAUUUUGCCUUAUUCACCACCUGAUCAGAAUUUCGGGCAUAUUCAUCAUAAAAUUCAUUAAAACAUGCAGGCUACGAGGACUACUUUACAUAAAAAUGAAUAGCCACCUUACGAAUGCCUACGAGGACUACUUCACGAAUGCCUAAGACAUUUUGCAUAGCCACCUUACGCCUUUGAGUAUAUUUACCCAUAAAACAGAAGAUUUUUCCUUAUUCACCACCUGACCAAAAUUUCGGGCAUAUUAAUCCAUAAAAUUCAUCAAAACAUGCAGGUUACAAGGACUACUUUGCAUAAAAAUGAUAAUAAUGAAAAAAAUUCUGCAAAUAAUGAAUUUUUUUGGUACUUGUCAAACUUCUGCAAACCCUACGGGAUUACGUAAAAAAAUUGGGUUUGGGUUUGGGUUUGCUUCGUUUACUAUGGCUAUGGUGAUGAGGGGUCCCUUAUAGUCUUAUGCUUCCGUUUCAUAAAUGAUGGGGGGACGCUGAAUCCUAUCGGUGAAAGGUUUUGAACAGUGAUAUCUUUCCGAGUGUCGGGAGUGAAGGGUUUAGCUAGAACUGUGUAGCGACGAUGAUUUGCGAUGACAAAAUGUCGAUAGAGUCUACUUUAUAGUAUACAAUGGCAUUGAAACGGGUGGCCUGGUACAUUUGAUUUGGAAUUUCUCUCAGUUGUAAGCUUGGCUGUAUCGUGUCUUUAUGGUCCUAUGUAAGAUCUAAGUUUGGAUCAAGGGCAAUCUCAGUUCACUUGGUUGCCAUCCUUUAGUUAAGCUUCCAAAUGUUCUCGAGUUUGAUAAAAUAAAUGUGCUAUAAAAUGCUUUUAGAAGGUGGAUGUACUUUCGAUUAUUCAUAGGGAGUGAUUCGUUUUGUCAUCCUUGUGUUUUAUUCUUUGUGUUGUUUGCUGAGCUAUAAAACUAGUUAACUACUUGAUUAAAAAAAAGAAGAUAUAACAUCAAGUUAGAGAAAGUCUUUAGUAUUUGUUUAGUUGAUUAAAUAAACAUGUAAACCAGUAACCCAACUUUAUUUGUUAUUGAUUUUCAUCUCGUUUAGGUUGAGAAAGGCAUGACAUCCUUCUAACAAAAAAAAAAAAAAAAAAAGGAGAAAGACAUGACAUCAUAUUCAUUUUGAAUUUAGGCUGUGGUGAAUGCAAUUUUCCGGCAAUAGUAAAAUAGUAUGAGAAUAUUAUUUAUCUUCUUUUUUUGAAAAUGGUUUAUAUUCAAUAUUUCAAUAUCAACUCAUAGAAAACAAGCCAGAGUGUACCAAAAUUUACAUAAGCCACAACUAAGCUCAUUAAAGUUAAAGUGAUCGCUCAACAAACAACAAGCCCAAACAAGAAUAACUUAGCCCUUCUAAGAAUACGCAUAUGCAUCUAGUCUAAUAUGCCAAUCACGCAAAUAUGGUACAAACAUCAACUAAAACGUCUUAGAACAACACACAGAAAUUACCAUACUUCAAACAGCUCGCAUUCAUAAUGUCUUGAUUUAUUUCUUCAAUCCUAAAUUGAAGAAAAAAAAGAACAUAGAUGGGCCAAUUCAAUUGGGCCAUAGAAAUGCAGGCCUAAUAGAAGGCUUGGCCCACUAGCCCAUAACCCAUCUCCUUCUCUCAUCUUUUCAGUUAGGGUAGAACUAGUGUCGACCAUCCUUUCAUAGAUUAGUCGUCUCCGACAAUCGACUUCUCUUCUCCAUCAUGGACAACAUCCUACGUGGCAGCAACAAAACCCUUAUCGCCGCCCUAAAAUACAACUUUGUUGUUUCAAAUCACAAGGCUAGAUUAGACCAAAACCUCACACCACCAUACUCAGCCCCCAAACAAUCCAACUCACUAGUCCAAAGAAAAAUAAAUCGAGUCACAAAGCACGGUUUCGAUCACUGCCCUUAUAUCAGACCACGCCUUAACGAAUCAUCAUAAAUCAGAUCCUCUAAAGACAAACCACCCUCUUAGGCGAUCUCGACCUGCACCUUUAAUCAACGAGUACCAGGGCCGACAUGAAACUACUGUCACCGCCCCCCACCGAUCCUAAUCUAAAAGAUCUGAACCGCCUAUGCCCACAGGUUGACGCCACUCAACCGUUGUCGACCCUACUUAAAUCACGAUCUAGUACCUACAUCUGUGCCGCCGAAGCCGCAUAAGAGUAUGCCCACGCCGCCAAUCACAAUAUGGACCGCCCACCACCAACCAAACAGCCAAAGUGGAGCCGCUAUCGCCGCCUGUUUGAUCGCCUUCUGGCCUAAGGAAACCCUAGCAGAGAGAAAGAGCCGACUUUUAUGUUUAAUAAGGAAAACAUGAAAAAGAUUAAAUUCAUUUUACCCCAAGGUUUGAAAAUAACUUCAUUUCAGUCCAUGUUCUCUUACCCUAAGAAUUUUUCAAUUUGUGUCAGUUGUGCCAAUUUGCUAAGAUUCUGCCCCAUUUGGAGGAUCUUAGCAAAUGGACACGGCUGAUGAAAAUUAAAAAGUUUACCUGAUAAAUCUUUAAAAUUAAGAGAAUAUGAACAUAAAUGAAGUUAACUUUGAACAUUCACAAGGGUAAAACAUACUUAAAGGAAGAGAGAAAAGUCUCCUGGGGAGGAAAAAAAGACGCAAGAAUAGAGAGAAACCCUAAGAGAGAAAAUCUCCCAUCCGGCUACGCCGGCAUGCCUACGCUGGCUUUUGGCCUCGUGGGUGUGUUCCGAUUGCGGCUGGACGAGUAGGUGGUGGAGGUUCUCAGAGAUUGAGGCAGCGAGGGGUGACUUUCCUUCGUUCUCGGCAGACGAUGAUGGCUGCACAAAAGGUGGUUUCGGGACAUCUGGUGUUGAUCGGUGGUGUCGAUGUGCUGCAAACCCAAUCUAGAUUGUUGCUUAGUGGUUGGAUUCACAUGAAUCUAGCCAAAAACCCAACGGAGAUUGGGUGGGUCUCAACUUUGAUUCCCAUGGGAGAUGGUGGCGGUGAGGGUUAUAGGUCUCUGUCUCAGCUGGUCUUUUGGGGAUUGAGGAUGUUGUGGUACAAGAUGUGAUCGUCUUGGGCUUGGCAGAUGAUAUCUUCUUGACGGCAAAGGAGAUCUAAAGGUGGUGGCAGCGUGACAGACGCGGGAGAGCAGAAGGGGCGGCAAGGCUACUUGUGCAUCAGCCGUGGGCUGGGUCCAAGGCGUGGACCUUCGUGGCCCUAUCUCAAGGAUGGGCCUGUUAUGGGCCUUGUGUUUUGUGGGCUUAGGGCCUUACCCUGGGCUCAUUAGGUUUGCUUUUUGUUUUUAUUUUUAAGUGUUUAUUUAUUGUUAUGUUUACUUGCUAGUAGAUACGUUAAUAAGUUUCUAGCGUUAUUUGGUAGAACAAUGUGGAUGUGGGCGCGGAUUUUGCACCUUGUGUGCCUUAUUUGUCCUAGGUAGGCGGCGAGUUCUUUGCACUAGCAAAUGGUCGCAACCUUUUAGUGGUAGUAAAUUGUCUGCUUUAGGUAGGCGACGAAUUCCUUACUUGGUCAAAUAAUCGAUGUCGUCUAGUGGUAGGGUGAAACUCAAUGUCGUCAAAUUCAUCCUCCAUCGACAAUAUAGUAGUAGUCGAGUAAACUUUUUGUUAUGUCACCGCUAUUUUAAAGCAACUAGAGUAGCCAUUGGAGCACUCUUUGCUAGUUGGUGCCUAAUUGAGUACAUGUUUAUUAUAGAGAUCCUUGAUAUUAAUUUAGGUAUUUGUAAUCAGGGGUUUAGACUUAAUGUCUCCCCCUUUGUAUUUAACAGUUUCAUCAAUCAAAGCUUGAGGGUAGCCGCACCAUAGCCCUUUAUUCAAAAAAAAAAAGAGAGUGUAUAACGUACUUAAUAAAAAAAGAAGAAGAAGAAGAGGAAAUGAGAUAAACAAUAUCUGAGCUUUACUUGACGAUUAACUUCCGUAUCUCAACUUUGCGAACUAUUAAAACCAUAAGUUUCAACCCCGACCACUUUUAGUGUCUAGGACCAUUACCAAUGUUAUUUCUGUUAACUUUUCAAGGGCAAAUUUGUUCGUUUUGUGUAUGUCUUCAUCCUCUCUUUCUUCUGGACUCAUAGACAUCUCUCUCUUUAGACCUCCAUGCUACGAUCUCCUGAGGAUUCCUCCACCCAAUUCCUUGGUCUGACACAUGAUAUUACCUAAAAGAAUAGAUCUUAAGCUCUCUAUGUAACUUUUGUUCUUAGUAGAGGUAGCAAGAUUAUAUUAGGGGUGACUAGUGAGAAACUUGAGAUAGUGAUCCUAGUUAGAUACUGAAUGUGGGUCGGGUUGAAACUUGAGAUACAAUUUUGAUAGUUUGCAAAGUUGAGAUACGUAAGUUAAUAGUCGAGUAAAGUUGUGUUUGAGCAUUUUUCUGAAAAAAAAAAAAAACGAUGAAUAAACGAAAACAUUUCAGCUAUGUAGGCGCGUGUAGCGACACCCAACAGUAAAUUCUUGCGCACCAAAGGCUGUGUGUGGUGUGGUGUGGUUGGUUGUUUGACCCAAAAUUCUGAGGCAUUUGCACCUUCUGGCAGUCUGUCCGAGUUCAGAGAGUCACUGGCAGCACCGCAUUUUUGGUCUUUCUUCUAUUUUCUUAAGAGCGCGAGAGAGAUACACAAAUUAAUAAACUAAUACCAUGGAAGAUCAACAAGCAAAGAUAUAUUCUUGUUAAUCCCAUUUACAAAGUCUCAGAAACGACGAUGCCUCCUCCUCGAGCCAUCUCCGUUCUGCUUCAGCCCCGAUCCCUCCUCCUCUUCACCGUCCUCACUAUUUUCCUUAUCUUCGUUUUCACUUCCACCCAUCAAAAGGUAACUCUUUUCUUGACUUUGCUUGCUCUGUUUGCUUUAAUUUGCGGAUCUGGGUUGUUAAUUUGUGAUUUGCAAUGUGGGUUUGAUCGAUUUUGUUGAAAUUUCGGUGCUUUUUGACCUUUGGAAAUUUGUGGUACUACGGAAUUUGGGAAUGAUUAAUGCUGAAUUGGGUUGGUAAUGAUUUGGAAUAUUUGAUAUGGUGGAAGGGUGGUUGUUAUAGAUGUUGAACUCUACUGGUUGAGUGGAGUCUUGGAUGUUAGGAAAGCUGCUAGGUUCUAUAGUAGUGUGAUUCUAGUUCAUUCUUAUAUAUGAAUGUAUCUUAUGCGACUGGCAUUGUAGUACAGUUCAAGUUUAGGCAUUUUGUUUCUGGAAGCAUCGUUUCUAGUUGUGGGUUCCUACCCGAUUUGUGAUCUGUAUGUUCAGGGUAUUAGUUGCUGGUUUGCUGAAAAUAGAGACAGGGUUUUAGAAAGAAAGAUUGGGUUGGCUAGGAUUAAUAUUUCAGUAGUGUUGUGGUGUUUUGGUAUCUUUUUUCGAGGUAUUACUUGCUGAUUUGAUGAAGAUAGAGACUGGUUUCUAGAAAUCAAGAAUUGGGCGGUUAGUCGGGGGAUUAAUAUUACGGUAGUGUCUUGGUUAUUGUCUUUGUUAAGGAUACUAAUAUGGGACGACUCAAUUUGGCUGCAUGUUAUUUCAGUUCUUUUGGUUGACCAGCACCGUUCUGGUGGUCUGUAGUCCUAUCUUCAUUUUAUUGAAUAUUGGUUUUGUUACUUGUGCUUUGUGCUAAUUUUAAAUCUAUGAACAAAUGAAUUUGUAGUUUCUAAUUUGAAGCAUUUGAUUAUGUAGGAGGAAGAGAAAGUAGAAGAAGCACCUGAAAUAACCCAUAGAGUAUACCUGGAUAUUGAUAUUGAGGAACAGCGCUUAGGUAUAGUUUCAUGCCAAUACUUUCACAUGAUCUACCUACUGCUGAGUGCCCAUUAAUUUCUUAUUCACUGAUAACAUCCUAUUACUACUUUUCAUUUGCAGGUAGAAUUGUGAUUGGAUUGUAUGGUCAGGUCGUUCCAAAAACUGUUGGUAUGUAUCAAUCCCAUAUCUUAACAAUGUUAUUUCAUCAGAAUCUUAGAAACCUAUAUCUUCUCAGCUUUCAACUUGCUACAAAUUUGUUGGUUGACGAUAAUCCACCUUUAUUAACCUGUGCAAAUUUGAUAGUUAUUAGCCCUUUACUUCAUUUAAUAUGAUGGCGUUGGAAUAUGAACUCUUCUUCUCUGAGCAAAGUAUUUUGAAAGUUAUUGAGACGAUUAUUUUUAAUGCCUGAGUGCUCACAACCUCAAUUACAAACCAUUCCACAUGCAAACUUUGUCAAAUUUACUGACUGCACUUAACCAGCGGUACUAAAAUUGUGCACUAAUGCCGUGGCAGUUCUAGCUGAUUUUUACUGGUAUUUUAGAAUGAAUGUUACCUCUUGCUUUCCUGCUUUGCACUCUACUCAAGUGCAAUAGCAAAGUAGUAGUUUCUUGUCAAAUGAUCAAAUUUAUCUCAUACCAGUUCACUGUCUAAUACCUGCAUCUCUUUUCUCCUUUUGCAGAAAAUUUCAGGGCAUUGUGCACAGGUACUUGGGUAGUUGGAUCUGCUAUAUUUGAUUACCAAAGGAAGCUGUUCUUAUUGUCAUUUUGCUGACUGCAACUUGCUUUUUGAACGCAGGAGAAAAAGGUAAAGGUGUUAAGGGAAAACUACUCCACUACAAGGGGACGCCAUUUCAUCGUAUUGUAUCUGGGUUUAUGAUUCAAGGUGGAGAUAUCAUUCACGGUGAUGGGAAGGGAUAUGAAUCCAUAUAUGGUGGCACCUUUGCUGACGAGAAUUUCAAAGUGAAACAUUCACAUGCAGGUGUUUAAUCUCAAUGUUUAUGGCUGUCGCUUUCAUUUCCUGAAUGAUCUUCAGUCUUUGCUAGAUCUUAUUAUGAAACCUCUGUAACAUCUUCUGUGUAGGUACUGUUUCUAUGGUGAAUACAGGACCUGACUCCAAUGGCUCGCAGUUCUUUAUCACCACAAUCAAGGCUAGUUGGUAAGCUAUUCCUCAUGUUGAAAUUCUAAAUAUUGAGACAUGAGUCCAUGAGUUGCAGCAAAAAUGCAAAAUUACACUUAGAUUGUACUAUACUUGGAUUCUACAAUCUUCUCUAAAAUUACCCUUAGAUAGCAGUCUAGCAUCUAGCUUGUCUCGUUUGAUUGUCACACUAUAUAAGAUGGCGUGCUUUAUGUCUAAAAUUUACACCAAAGUUUCUUAUAACCAACAAACACCAUUUUAUAGGUCACAAAUUACCUUCAUUUGUACUGUUAAUGUAUUCUAGCAAUUGUAACACAGGAAAGAAGAUAAACUCACAUAACAUGUUAGUCUGAGGCUGCCAUGUACAUCUCACCCGCCAGGUUGUUCUACAAUGACAAUGUAUGGUAUAUGUUCUCCAGGUUGGAUGGGGAGCACGUCGUCUUCGGCAAGGUUAUCCAGGGCAUGGACAUGGUGUAUGCAAUUGAAGGAGGGGCUGGUACCUACAGCGGAAAACCCAGAAAGAAGGUUGUUAUUGCUGACUCAGGAGAGAUCCCCAAAGACAAGUGGGAUGAGGAAAGAUGACACUCUUUACCAAAGGUUUUGAAGUUGAGUUUACUAGAUUGGUUUUUAGAUGACUGAUACUCAUUUCUUCCCCUUGACCAAGUUCCCUCAGCUUGGGCUUAUCAAUGGAAAUAUUAGUCUCUUUUUGUAAUUGGCAACAGUUGGUAAUACAUACACGCUUGCUGUAGAAAAACAUAGUAGGAAACACCUCUUUUUUUCGUUCUUCUCCAUCUCUUCAGGCUUGUAUAUUCGAGUUUUGACUUUCUGUACGAGUACAAUCAGCUGCUUGCCAUAUUGACCACCUUUUUUCUUGUUGCGAAAGUUUCCACAGUUUCUCCACUUCACAACUCAUCAAAUUCAGGUUUUCUUGUUGCGAAAGUUUCCUACUGCACGGUUUCUCCACUUGAUAACUCAUCAACUUCAGGGCGUACUAGUAGAUCUGUUCAUCAAUUAAAAUUUCUACAAACUCAUCAAGACCAUAGGGAACUCCUUUAUACACUGACCGUUACAGUGGUGGAUCAGCUCUCUAACUUUUGCAUUAGUUUAUGAGCCUCCGACUAACUUCUACUGUAGACUGAUAUACCGAUCAAAAGUCCCAAUCUCAAAAUUUUAUUCUCAUACGACCUCCUUUGCUUCUGAUCCUUGUAAACAUCCAAAUUAUUCUCACUAUUUCAGAACCUACACCUACGACAUGCUAUGAUCAACUAGUCGGACAAACCUUAUGAUCGGACCGCCGUACCGAACACCUUCUCCCCUACAGAUGCAAUGAGAAUAAAAGAGCAAGGAUUAAGUUUGGCACUUUGGCCUGAAGUCAUAGACUAGGACAAUUCAGUUGAGCAUCUAACAGAGUAAACAUGGGAGCCUUCUUAUGCAAGGCUGUAUUGAUUUAUACAUGUCCACGACAACAGUACACAUACAAAAAAUGCAUCCCUGGCAGCAAUUCCAGGCUAAGCCAUCAACAACUAGAGCCACCAUGUGAACCAUAUAUGAACAUCCGCCUCCGGUCGAAUUGAUAAGUAUUUAUCGAUAUUUAUGAUCGUAUUUUGUCAGGGCUGAACGAGGUUUAAUUUCAAACUAUUUUUAGUGUUUAUAUAAAUGAAGCGUUAUGUUUCAAACUAUUUUUAGUGUUUAUAUAAAUAAAGCGUUAUGUCACAUAUUAAUCUUCAGUCUAACAAACUAUUAAGAAAAUAUAUAGAAUUCUAAACAUAAGAACCAAAGUCAAGCAACCAUAUGAUUAAGAUUUCAUAUAUGAACAACCGCUUGAUAAGAAUUUAAGUGCAGAAACCUCAUAUCCAGAUUCAUAUCCCGUCAGAACAAAACAGAUUAAAUCUUAAUCUAUUCUCAGUCGUCAUAUAACAUGCAGAUCGUUUGUCACAGCUUAUUUUCGGUAUAACACAUUUUAAAAAAAAACCGUGAGAUUUUAAUUUAAAAAUAAAUAAAAAAUAUUCUAGAUAUAUAUAGAAUUCUAAACAUGUCCACUACUCUCCCAAACCGCCCAAACAUUUCCAACUCGUCGUCGUUCUGAUCAUCAUCAUCAUCUACUCUUCCACUCAGUCUCAGCUCAACAGUCAACACCACCGAAACAGACCCAUCAUCAAUUCAUCAUCACCAAACCCCAAACCUUUCACCCUCUCUCUCUCUCUAAUGGGCAGCUCCGAGGAACCCAGCAAACCCAUCUCGUUAUACGACUCGUCGUCCACUCCACUCCUCUCCAAACCCGACGACCCGCCCCCUCCUCCCUCCCCCUACUCCGACCAACCCGACUCCGACCCGACCCAAUACCUCCAGAUCUCCUUCAACCACGACCCCCGCCCCUUCAAAGACCUCGCCUUCCUCCUCCUCUUCCUCCUCUUCGUCCUCUCCACCUUCGCCGCCGGCAUCUUCGCCGUCGUCCACCGCAACUCCGACUACUCCUCUCUCUCCUCCUUCGAAUACGACUCCGACUCCACCUCCUGCGUCAAGAACGCCUCCUCCUUGACCAGCUUCGCCUUCCUCGCUUCAUCUUCUUCGUUUCUCAAGGAUUUGACAUGGACUCUCGUCAUCACUCUCAUCUUGAGCUUGCCGCUUUGCUUCAGCCUUCUAUGGCUUCUCAAGAACUACGCCAAGCAAGUCGUCUACGCCUCUCUCCCGUUCUUCGUUCUCUUCCCGAUCUUCUUCGACGUCUACUGGUUCGUCGCCUGCACGAUCAGCUCGAGCUGCAGCGACUCGUUUCCUCUGGUGUACAGGAUUCUCGUGCUGGUGUUUGUUUUGUUAGUGAUUGGAGUGAUUGUGUGGAUUUUCGUGGCGAAUUGGCAUCGGAUUGAGCUCACUAUAAGCAUAAUUGGAGUGGCGUCGCAUGCGCUUUCGAGGAAUUUGGCUCUGUUUGGGGUGCUGCCGGUGCUGAAUUUGGUGCUGGUGGUGUAUUAUGCUCCCAUUGUGGUGUUCUUGGUGUUUGCGAGGCUGAAUGGGGAGAUUGAUGCGGAGGAAUCGGAGGAUGGGGUGUAUAGCUGUGUGUGGAAGCAGGAUGCUUGGGUGCCGGCGUAUUAUGCGUUGGCCAUUCUUACAAUGCUGUGGUCUCUGACGACUAUGGUGGAAGCUCAGGUGUAUGUGAUUAGUGGGACUGUUGCUCAGUGGUACUUUACUAAGGAAGAAUCCUCAAGGCCGAGGCGGAUGAUCAGAAGUUCUUUGAGGUGUGUUAUCUGUUGCCACAUUCUUUUUUUCCCGAGUUUGGAGUGAUUUAUACAUGUUCAUAUAGAGCUUUAGAGUUAGUUGCGAUUGAAAUGUUAUUCUGUUUGAAACUAGAUGAAUUAGUGUUAGUGGAGGAGUUUUUAUGUCAAGUCUUUUGUACUUGAGUAGUUUCUGAAAAUUCAGGCCAUUGAUUGCAUUCAGCAUUCUUUUAUUUAGCAUUUGUUCUUUAUGUCAGACUGUCAGAUCAGAUUGGUACCUACUUCAUGUGUAGCUCUUUUAGGUCUUAAUGUUGCCUAGGUGGACUGUAGGGUAGCACUUUCAUCUGUGUGCCUAGUUGGAGUGUUGUUUAGUCCACAUGUUAUAUUAAGGUUUUCAAAUAAAUGAGCCUCCAAAUUCGGUGCAAAGAUCAUAUGCUGCAAAUAGGAGAGUGAUAUCUGCACGACAUAUGUUUUGAUUAAAAAAGUGUCUCUAAUUAUAAUGAUGUCAUUUGGUUCUCUCAUCUUCAUGUUUACUGUCAGCAGUAGGAGUUGUUCUAGGUACUUAAUCCACCUGCUAUUGUCAGGUGCUAGGGAGUCUAUUUACUUAGCAGGAACCUAGUAUGCCAGAAUGAAUGUCUAUAUCAAGUCUCAAACUCUUGAUCAUGAUGUGAUACCUUUUGCUUUCUCUUGGUCACGGUAUUGAACUGAGAAAUUAUUUUUCAUAAAAAUGUUUCCACACUGUAAUUGUUGUUACCUUUCAGGGGUAUUUAUCAUUUUUCUCCUAAGGCUGUGAAUCAAAUUAAUGCUUGUGAGAAUGGUAACACGAUCAUCAUUUUAUAUUUUUCUUUAGGGAAAUUUGUUGACAUAUGAAUUACAAGCAAAGCAUAGGCAGUCACUGUAGGUGUCAUUUUGUUAAUCUUCACAUUUUUUUUCUCUAUUCUAUUACAAUAAGCCACAAUUCUUAAGUUCCUUGUUGGUGAAACUGGGUGGAAGUACAGGGGAAAUGGGGUGGGAUGAUUAUUUAGAGCAACAUGAGUCAUGCCAUUUGUAUAAAUGUGAAUAAAAGUUUUUUUUUUUUGUUUUGUUUCUCAUGUUUCUUUGAAUGCUUGCAGAAAUGCCUUUGGCCCAUCCUUUGGCACUGUAUGUCUAUCUGGCUUGCUUAUAGCUGUUGUUCGAAUGGUGCGUACAAUUGUUGAUGGUGCAAGAAAAGAGGGUACAUCCGGGAUAGUGAAUCUUAUAUUACGUUGCUGUGUUAAUGCCUUGCUGUCAGCAAUUGAUUUUCUCAACAAGUUCACAAUCGUCUUUGCUGCAAUAACUGGUGAAUCUUACUGUUCAUCUGCAAGGAUGACAUAUGAGCUUCUAAAACGUAAUCUUCUUUCUGCGGUUUUUGUUGAAACCAUCUCCACUCGGCUUUUGGCUGGAAUUAUUUUCGUACUCUCAGCACUAUAUGCUGUUGUGGUAAGUUAUCUUUCCAAAUCUCGAUCAUUCAGUUUUCCAUCAAUUACUGUUUGAGGUGGUUGUGUGUACAUGUGCGAGGAACACAUCCAUACCUUGAAAUUGUGGGGUUCUUGCAGAUUAACUGUUUUGGAUAGAUGUCGUAAUUCAUGAUAAUGAUAAUACCAAUGUGGUCAUUACUGGUUGUUUAUUAUCUUCCACCACUUUUUGGAUGGUUUGGUUGAGAGGAGAGGGUCGAGGGUGGGAAGAUAGGAGCAAGGCUAGUUUAUGUGUCAGGUGUUGUUUUAUGGUCUGUGAAGGAAGUGACUGGAACCAUAUAUGUUAGAUUAAUCAGUAGGCUAUUUUGUUAUCCAUCAGUAGGCUGGGUCCUUGUGCAUUCUUUAUGGAUUAGAAUCCAGUUUGAAGUAACAAUCUCUUUCUAGGAUUGUUGACGGUUGAAACUGUCCUUCUGAUUGAGAUGAAUCGUUUGGUGAUUCUUUCUAGGUUAUUUUAAUAUUGUCAGCUGCUGUCAAAUUUUGCCUUCAAUGCUUAUUUGGGGAAUUGAAAGAGAGACCUGUGUAGGAACGGCAUUGUACUAUAUCAUAGGUUCAUAGCAUGGGAUGGUUUGAAAUUUCUCCUGUCAUAAUAGUCAGUCAGUGAAUGGGUUUAUCAUAAACCGUUUAUGACCAAAGCGUAUCAUCUUUUUGUUUAUAUGUAAUUCCCAUGUUUAUAUCUUUUUUGCUUGAUGUUUUCUGACUAUGAAUGUGCAUAAACAGGCGUGUGUUAUCUUAAAGGCCGUGAGCAAUCUUGGGGUCGAUGCGUACUUUGUGGCUGCAUUGGCGUGGGUGCUGCUGAUCUUGGUACUGGGUUUCUUUGUCCAUGUACUGGAUAAUGUGAUUGACACUGUGUACGUGUGCUACGCCAUAGAUAGGGACAGAGGGGAAGUUUGUAAACAGGACGUCCAUGAAGUUUAUGUUAACUUACCAAUUAGUAGGAACCAUAGACCUUCAUCUAUGAUUACCAGAACUCUGGGUGUAUAGAAUAAUCCUUUGAGUGUUGUUGUUGGUCUGUCAUUUUUUCUGUAUCAAGUAUUCAGUUAGCAAUUUGUGCAUACCUUUUGAGUGUUGCCUUGUACAUUUUUGAGGAUUUACAAUAAAGCAAAAUUUUCAGGCAAGCUUGAACAUGUUCAUAGAAGUAGCAGAAAAAGUGGAAGUUCCUAACCUCCUACCAGAGGAAAACCUGCUACCACUAGUUUCAUGUGAGACCCUAUGAGCCACAAAAGCCCCCAUAUAUACACACUUACUUCACACAAUUACUACAAGUUACUGGAUAGAACAAAGAGUAAUAACACCACCUUCAAACAUUCAUGGCCUUGUUUACCAGAAAGGCAACAUUGUUGCUGAUGAUGCUGGUGACGACGUUCGCGAUGAGCAGAGCUAAAAUUACUGUUAGCAUCAGUAACUUUUUGGCAGAGGAAUACGAAGACGAAGCCAAGUUAGACCUCACAGUUCACUGUAAAUCCAGAGACGACGAUCUCGGCCCCCAUGUCUUGGCCUUUCUUGAAGAUUAUGAGUUUCGGUUCAAUCCCAACAUUUGGAGGACAACUUUGUUUCACUGCACUUUGGAUUGGCCCUCCCAUCAUCACCAUUUUGUGAUCUACAAUCAAACAAGGGAUGGAGGUUGUAUACUAAACGAUUCUCUCUGUCUUUGGCGUGUAAGAGAAUCUGGUCCAUGCAGGUUACAGGCAAUGCCCAAUUCGACCCAGUUAUGGGGUUGUUACAAUUGGAACGGCUAGUUCUUAAUUCUGACUUGUAUUGUUAUAUCCAAAAUUGAUGAAAGAACAAUGAACUUAUCAAUAAUAUGUUUAGCUUUGUAAGCAGAUCCUACAUGCUCAUCCAUUCUUUACCAGCUUGGAGGAAUUAUCAUUGAUCCUAAUGACCCUUCACAUGAAAACCUCAUACCGUUGGAAACCACAAUGUAACCAUACGCUUGAUGCAAAGGGCCAAACCGCCAGACACGAGAAACACGGAAAAUGAAAAAUUCGAGUAUUUAAAGAAAAAAGUUUGGAAUGAAAGACAUUAUGAUUUUAGUCACUAAAUUCCAAUCGGUAUUCAACGUAUUAACUUAUUAAUGUUAAAUAUUCAUUAGGAUGAUGCAAGUGAUUUUCGAAGAAGAAUUUACUCGUAAGGAGAAUAAACGAUCCAAAAAGAGUGAAUUGCAUAACCAAUCUGAAAGAAUAAGUUAGUAUCCUUAUUUAAAAAAUUUCUUUACUAAUGGUUCCAAUACGAAUAACUAACACUUUUUCUUCUUAUUCAGAACCGUAAAAGUGCGAUUAAAGAAAAGAUACAAACAUUAGGUGCACUCUUAUCUAACUACACUAAGGUACUAUUAUGUAUAUGAUAUAUGUUGUAUUUCUGACUUGUUGUAUGCACCCCUCAUAUGAUUAUUAAGAACUACGUGUUGUUCUUUGUCUAAAAUCGCAUCUUCAUUCAAGCAAUCUUCAUACAAGGAAGAGUGUGUACUUUGCUGCAUAUAUAACAUAAGAUGUGUAUGCAUCGUAUGAAUUACAUUAAGAACCGCAUGUUGUCUAUAAACUCCUCACUCCUCUUCCUUAAAGUGAAAGAAGAGAAGAAAAAAAAACGUAUUAACUUGUUACGUACCAUGAGGAUUUUGAGAACAUUGUGAGUUUAGAAUGAAAUUAGUGAUGUAGCAAAAUAACCUUUCCCCAAGGGUAAAUCAUGAAUUGAUCAUCAACCUAAACGCGACCAUUGUAAUUUCAACUCAUUUACCCAAAAGUGGGUAUACAAAAUACAAAUAUUACCAAUACAGCAAGACCUGUCUCACUUCAAUACAAUCAGACCUUUCUCUACAAACCCAAAACUCUGCGAUCAUGGUUCUCGAGGUUAGCCAUCUCCUUCUUCUUCUUCUUUGAAAGUUCAAAUUUUUAGGGUUUAUGCAAGAUUGUAUGAUAACCAUGCUUAAACUUGAUGAACAAGCAGGCGACUAUGAUAUGCGUCGACAACUCAGAAUGGAUGCGAAACGGUGAUUACUCACCUUCUCGAUUCCAAGCUCAAGCUGAUGCUAUCAAUCUCAUCUGUGGUGCCAAAACCCAGGUUAAAGCUUCAAUCUUUUUCACUCAAACCAUGUUUCCCAUUUGGAAUUUGUGUGUUUGUUUAUGUAUUGGUGGGUUUGUGAAUUGGGUUUAGGCCAAUCCGGAAAACACAGUUGGGGUGUUGACAAUGGCGGGCAAAGGGGUUCGUGUAUUGGCUACACCCACUUCUGAUCUCGGCAGGAUUUUGGCUUGCAUGCACGGUAUGCUCAUUUAUCCUAUCAAAUUUCUAUGCUUUGUUUCUAUGAUUGUUUAGUUUGAGCUUGUAGUCGAGUUGACAAAUAGUUGGUAAAACUUAAUGAAUGAAGCUGUAAGAAUGGAAGUGAUCAUGAUAACAUUAGUCUUAGAGGAAGCAGAUGAUGUUAUGUGUGCAGUAUAUGUUUGGAUUGAAGUGUAUAUUGUGAGGAAGUAACAAAAUAGUUGUAGCUUUUGUUUCAACUGUGAUAGUCUUUUGCGUGCUAUGUUUUGUCAGUACUUGCUUAAUGUAUUCUUGUAUUCUUUUGUAUCUGUAUCUUGUUGCGCAUUGAAGCUCUUGUGUUUCAUUAAUUUCGGUGUUGUUCUAUAAUUUGUUGUAAUAUAGGUCUGGAAAUGGGGGGAGAGAUGAACAUAACAUCUGCGAUCCAGGUUGCUCAGUUGGCUCUUAAGCAUCGACAAAACAAAAAUCAACAGCAAAGGAUCAUAGUUUUUGCUGGAAGGUAGAUCGUGCUAACUUUUGACUUGCUGUUUCCGCUAACAAAAGAAUUUGUUGACAUCUAACUUAUUGUCUGUGUGUUCAGUCCUGUCAAAUAUGAAAAGAAGGUUUUAGAAAUGAUUGGGAAGAAAUUGAAGAAGAACAGUGUUGCUCUUGAUAUCAUCGAUUUUGGAGAAGAUGAUGAUGAUGAUGGAAAGCCAGAGAAGCUGGAGGCCCUUCUUUCUGCUGUUAACAAUAAUGACAGCAGUCAUUUAGUACAUGUUCCUCCUGGUCCAGAUGCUCUCUCUGAUGUUCUUAUAAGGUACCAUAUUUUGUCUUUCCCCCGUUUAUAUGUAGUUGUAUGAUUUAAAGUUUGCUAUCAUCUGGAUCUAAUGGGAUCAUGAGUUUGAAUUCCGUAGUUGUUGAUUAUUGGAGAAAGGUAGGAAAGAAAAUCUCUGAAAAUAGGUAUUUACAAAGAGCUUUAUUUAGUUUAUUUACCAAAUAGCUUUUAAUGGAACUAUAUACAUUACAAACUAUAAAGGAUAGAUUUUUAGUUUCUUGUAGCUUCAAUGUUUUUUGUCAUGUGGCUUUUAUUGUGUAUUUUGAGUAAGAGGAAGUGAGGAACUAUGUGAUAGUAUAUCAUUGAAGCUAUAUCUCAUCAGUGGUAUGAACAUUGUCCUUUUCUAUUCAAUGACAGUUCACCUGUAUUCACCGGUGAUGGAGAAGGAGGAAGUGGCUUUGCAGUGGCGGCUGCAGCAGCUACUGCUGCUGCUAUCGGUGGUUCUUCCGGCUAUGAUUUUGAUGUAGAUCCUAACAUAGAUCCGGAGCUUGCUCUUGCUCUGAGAGUUUCUAUGGAAGAGGAAAGGGCAAGGCAAGAAGCUGCUGCCAAAAGAUCGGCUGACGAAGCUAGUAGACAAGGAGAGGAACCACCAUCCAAAUCUGAGGAUGUAAUUAUGACAGAAAGUGGUGAUGUUUCAGUUCCGAACGAGGAUAAGAAACCUACUAAUGAUAUGGUUGGUGUUAAUUCCUAUUUUAAUAAUUGUGUAUGCACGUGUGUGUAACCUUGUAAUUGUGUACUUCUUGAGGUCUAUAUCAUUAUUCUGUUUUCUGUCUUUAUCUGUGUUCAUUCAAAACUCUAAUUAAUCUAAUUUAUUCCUGACACGUGAUAUGGUGAUAGGUUGACGAGAACGACUUGCUAAAGCAGGCCCUUGCAAUGUCAAUGAAUAUGUCUGGAUCUGGUAAUUCAGCAGGUGAUGCUGAGAUGUCGGAGGCAACUAGUGCAGAUCCGGAGCUGGCUCUAGGUGUGUUAUGUGUCUCAUUGUUUUCAAUUAUCUAGGGGUGCAUCGUAAUAUCAGUUCUUGUACCUGUAGAAGAUGAUUUAAAAGUUUAACUUGAGAUUUAUGUCCUCCAGUGAAUUGCUACGAUUGUCGUGUGACUUGUGAACAUCAUAAUCCUUUCAUUUCAUUGGCAUUAUACUAACUCUCUACAUCCAUAACUUCAUAGCCGUACUGUAUAGACCCCGUAGCGGUGUAGCCUAUUGGAUGAGCAAGCCGUCAUGAGUUUAUGUUUAUUUGUUCUUCUAUGUACAUGUAAAUUCCUGGUCUGUCCACUUGAUGUAUUGCACUUUGGCCUGCUGUCACUAGUGCCUAGCGGUAUGGAUAACUGGUAUCCAAAAUCUCUGGAGUCAUGGGUCUUGCUUAUAGCCAGAUCCUCUAAGCUGCCCAGAAACAUGCCAAAAAAAAAAAUAUAUAUAUAUAUAUUGUGUUCCGUCUGUUUUGCAUACUUUGUCAUGUGCUUGUUAAAUGUUAAGUUGUCCAUGCUGUUUUGUUCUUUUGAGGAUAAAUCGUUCUGAUUUACUUUGUUUUUUCUGGUUAUUGCGGAAUUUGAUUUGCCUAAGUUCAGAAUUUUGACCAACCUAUUGAUUAAAUUUGGGUAUUUUUUGCAUGCAGCUCUUCAAAUGUCCAUGCAGGACAGUGCAGGUGAACCAUCAUCCCAGUCAGAUGUGAACAAGGUGUUGGAGGACCAGUCCUUUCUUUCAUCUAUCCUUGAAUCUGUAUGUGCGAUUUACCUUGUCCUACUUUAUUUUACUUAUAAAUGAUGUUGCUGUGGUCUUGAUACCUUAUCUUGCUUACAGCUUCCAGGAGUUGACCCUAAUGAUCCUUCAGUGAAAGAGCUUCUUGCAUCUCUGAAGAAUCAGUCCAAAGAAAAGGAUGAAGGAGGUCCAUCAAAGGAGGACAAGUGAAGAUGUGGUACCUUGUUUGCUUUAAGCCUUGUUGAUUUAUCUAGAAACAUUUGGUUAUUCUGUUGCUGAUAAAGAGAUAUCUUUAGUGCUCUCCUAUUUAUUUUGGGAAGAUGAUACAAGAACAGAUGCAGAAUAGGAUUUUUAGAGAUUAUUAGAAGUUAAUGAAAUUAUGCUGCAUUUCCACUCAUGUUGCAUGGAAUGUAAGCAAUAGCAUGAACUCCGCCAAACUCAUGUCAUAUUUAAGUUAUUUUAUUGAGGUAAAGUCUUGUUCACUCUUUCAAUACAAUCUGUGUGCAAUAGGCUGGUAGUUGUUUUCUCUCAUUCUUCUGGUUUUUUAUCAAAUUUUCUCUGCAGAAUCACAAAUGUUGGAAACUCCCCCUAAAUUUAGAUAUCAAUGUUGCUCUAUGCAUGAGCUUUUAGCGCUUUUCCAAGAAAUUUCUGAUAGAUCAGAGGGUUGAUUUUUUUAGCCCUUUUCUAGUUACAAGGGGAAAGUCUUUUAAAUGAUAACUGGAAGCUAAUUGAGCCACCAUGCUUGACCACCUUGGGUGGCAAAAACAUGCUAUCUUGGUUCCCUCCUUUGCCUGUCCAUAAAUGCUCAGGACUCUACCCCAUGGUUUUCCUAUAUUUUUUAUGUCCAGCUAUUUAUGCAUCCAAGUUUCAUUGUCAAUUUUCUUUUCGUUUCUUGCUGAGAAUUGGAUACUUGACCUAAAUGUGGAGGAAGAACUCUCUAUCAUUGCUUGAACAAGGGUACUGCUCUCUUGUUGAGUGGGGCACUAUGCCUUUUUCAUCAAUGUGCAUCAUUUUAGGUACUUCCAAUUAGAAAGAAGUUGAGAUUUGUUGAGUGGUAUCAAAAUCAGGACUUGUUAACAACACAUCAUCAAAGCUUUGCACAUAAUGUAUGCGAGGACACAUGACUAAAACCUGAGACUGUAGAAAGCAAACUCUAUAAGCCACAAGUUAUGGGAUUGAUCGAGUUUUUUGUCAAGUGGUGAUUCAUACACGAGGGGUAUGUUUCCCCAUACACCUCCAUGCAUUCUCUAGUGUGGAAUUUCCAUGGAUUCUAGUGCUUGUAAUUUCUAUCCCCUUCUCUCUCUCAAUGACUCAUCUCAAUGUUUAUCACAAAUAUUCGGUGUGGAUUUGCAUCAUUAUUUUAUGGAAUGAAUGUUGGGUUGUUGCUCCUAUCUACUACAGUUUUGAUAGACAAAUUUGUGGGAGAACUCGAGCAAAUGCUUGUUGGGUUUGCCCCAAAAACUGUUACGAAUAUAAAACCAAAGGGGAUUAUAUACAAGAGCAAGAGAACCUAAACAGUUUUACACUGAUUGAAGGCACAUUCAUUGACUCAAUUUCACCAAGAAACUUUAUGCUUUCUUAACCCUCAUCUUUUCUUCCUCCAAUCCUCCCUCUUCCCGUGUGUAGGAAAAGGUGAUGAAUUUUGCUUCUUCUCCUUUGCUUUCACGCAAAGACACAUAGAAGAACACAAAGAUUUAUAGAAAGAGUGAUGGGAAUUUGGGAUGUGGUUGUGCGAUCCAAGAUGGGACCAGCAUACCAUCUGCAUAAAUUGGGGUUAAACUCAUGAAAUUGUCUAUGGUAGUAUGGUACUGAUCAAAGAUAUAUAAUUUUUUUGAUACAAGCACGCGUGACAUAUGAAUAAAUACAAAGGUAAAUAAGGAUUACAUUCGAGAAUCGAGAGUGAAAAAUGUGAACAUGUCACAUUCGAUGAUUAAGUUGAUACGCGAGUUCUAAGCUGAUACCAUGGAAUUUCGCUUAACUUGUUUGUGGUAUACUGGUGUUUGAGUAACUGGAUAAAUGAAACUUUGUAAUAAUUCUACUUAAAAAGCAGCUUCUGCUAUGUAUACUUGACUGAAACAGAAGGAAGAAAUUGAAUAAGAUAGGCAAACAUGGUUGGAUAAGAAUUCUAAUCUCAGUUUCUGGAUGUAUUUAAUAGGCAGAUACCAUAACUGAAGACCAGUGUUCAUAAACACAUUUAAGUGUCCAGAUAAUAAGUUUCCUUUACAGCCAGAAUCCAGAUUUCAAACUCAGAGGACAGUCUCUCAAUGUUUGACUGUACUACUUGGGUAAAUUCUUGUUACACAUUACUCCCUUUUACCAUUACCUUCGCAUGAGUUAGAUCGUUCAAUAAACUCAAAAAUCAAAACUAGUAGUCUGUAAAAAUUAGUAUCAUGAGUUUUAUCCUUGGUAAUAUAUAUAAAUUUUUGUUACGAGGGAAUGUCAAUGUAUACAAUUGAAAGUAGACUUAGUUCGAUACAAACAUAGACGUAGUUAGAUAUAGAGGUGGAGUAAUUCGAUUCUAAACCAGUUUAUCCAUGCAUAAAACGAGUAUACCUCUCAGCUGAUUCGUUUAAUUAGUAUAUCGACACAUUGAUUUAACGUAAACAAAACCUUGUUCCACACCUGAAGUUGAAGUUUCAGUUGGAUUAAAGAAAAAAGUUACAUGAAGACUUUUUUUGGUGUAAAAAGGAAACUGUGGUAAACAAGAUUUUAACUAUAGGCGGAGACAAGAGGCCGAGUGUCACCAACUCAACGACAAAUUAUAACAAACAAAGGGCAACUUGGUCACUUGAAAUCGAGUCCAGACAGCACAGAUCUAUCAUGUAUAAAGUUGUAAUAAGAGCUAACAUUGAAGGGCAUUUCAGCAAUCCAAUCUUUAUAUAAUGACCAAGUUCAACUUUGUAGACUCAGCAGCCUCAAAGCCCUCUCAAGAAUUUACCCUUUUCAAUUUCAGCAACCAUGGCAAUGGCUUUCAAGAUGGUACAAUCACUUUCCCUUUGGUUUUUCAUUUUUAUAACAUGUUCUUCAUUUUCUGCCUAAUCUGAUCAGGAUUGUUUCUGGGUUCAAUCUAUGUUUUGUGUUAUAUAGGCGACAACUGGGAUGUGGGUUACUGAUGAAUGCAAGAACUCGUUCAUGGAGAUGAAGUGGAAGAAGGUGGCUAGGUACAUAGUGUACAAGAUUGAUGAAGGAUCGAGGCUUGUGACUGUUGACAAGGUGGGUGGACCUGGUGAGAGCUAUGAUGAUCUUGCAGCUUCUCUGCCCAAAGAUGAUUGCAGAUAUGCUGUUUUCGAUUUCGAUUUCGUGACUGUGGACAAUUGCAAGAAGAGCAAAAUCUUCUUCAUUGCUUGGUCAGUCACCUCCAUUCUUUCUUUCAUGUUCAUCAAGAUCAAGUUUUUAAUUAGUCUAUGACCCUGUGGAUUACUGAUUAGUUAAUUUGUCAUGUUCAUAUUUUAACCAAGUAGGAAACUUUGAGCUAGCUAGGAUACCCCAUUUAGGUGCAUCAUCUUUUAUAUAUGAUGAUUAGGUACAAUUACAUCGCCAUCAUUGGUCUUAAUAGGUGGGUACAUGGUUUUCAAUGGUUUCUUGGCACACCUAAUAAUAUCUAUACUCAUUUUGUAUGAUAGCUACAAGUCAUGCUUGAGGCACUAGACAUAUUUCAACUAUUGUGAUAAUGAUUUGGUGCAUAUCCAAGUCCAUUAUGAACCUCAUUAGUGUAAUCAGAUAAGUAUUAGAAGGAUUUACAUGUGAUGUGAAAUAUAUAUGGGAUUGCAGGUCUCCAAGUGAAUCGAGGAUUAGAGCCAAAAUACUGUAUGCAACCUCCAAGGAUGGGCUGAGGAGAGUUCUUGAUGGCAUCAGCUAUGAACUUCAGGCUACUGACCCGACUGAGAUGGGGAUGGAUGUGAUUAAGGACAGGGCUAAAUAAUUGUGAUUAGAGGACCUUAAUUAUGUUCUGGAAUCUCUCUUACUUUUAUUUAAUAACUCACAACCUGCUCUGCAACCACAUGGGGUUUUCCUUGUUGGUGGUAUCUUUCUUUUCUCAUCACCUGCUAGAUUUUUGGCACUGAUAUUGUAAGUUAAUCCUCUAAUUCUUAAGAAUAAUUGAGUGCGAAUUAACAAAGCUGUGUCUUUGUAAGUGUAAUGAGCGAAAUCCAGUAUUGAGAUUUCUCUUACAGUUGAGAAGUUUUCACUGUUUUGGUUUCAAAUGGAUCAAAUUUUGUUUCACUAUUGUUGCAAACCUUUAGGCAAUGUCAUGAACCAAACCACAUACCACAUUCAACGCAAAACUAUGAUGGUGUUGAGUGGCAUCGACUAUCGAGUCUUGCAAACAUUUGAGGUUAAUUUGUAACUCUUCGUUCUUAGUGUAACGGGUGCGUAAAUCUCUCUUCUCCUAGCAUUUACUUGCAUACUAGUCAAAUGAAGGUUACUGUAAAAUCGGAUGUGAUUAAUCCGUUACACUAACAAUACCAACAACUAUGAAUAUCAGUUCUGAACUUCAAUAAUACUGCUCUCAAUAUAUACACAAAAUAAGCUAAUUCCACGUUACCCCAAUCUUAAUUAGCAGAUGAAACCCUUUAUCUUGAUUUGUCACUGCAACUGUUUCUGUUGACUAAUGACUGGCACUUUGUGAAGUUGAUGGAUGAGCCUAAUCAACUCGGAUAUGAUUAAUGAUUUGAUUGUGAGCUGUUACCCUUAUCACUAAAAGAGGUGGAAGCUGAAUUAUUUGGGCAGCGGUCAAUAUGAUAACUGCCGACUACAAAUGAGUAUUUGGUGUCAAGUUAACAAUAGUUUCUUGGACAUUGUUUGAGCUUCUAGGCAUUGUUUGACCUCUUCUCAAUAGUGAGCUGCAUAUAACUCACCAAAAACAGAGCAGUGUGAGUUUGAUCCCACCUUGAAUUCCAAUGCUACUGAAUUGGGUUUUGGUUCCAUAUUCAUCAUAUAGCUAUGCAUCAAAGUGCUGUUUGUGCAUUAAUAAUUUCAGGGUAUCAAACAACAGAAGGAAGGUAGCGUGUGCAUGAACUAAGAAAGGGAAAUGAGGAUCAAAACAAACAAGUAGGAGACAAAAAUAUUGGGGAUUGAUGUAAUGGGCCACCAUCAAAACAACUCAAUAAUCACCUAAGGUUACCCUCCUAUCUGAAAUUCUCAGCUGGGUAUAGUACCCAUUGUUUUGUUCUGUUCUGUUUGUUGAUCAAUUGCUAUGGGAGACUCUUUUACAUGGUUUCACUUUUGAGCUGUUAUAACCACCAGAAAACAUAAUUGUAUGAAUCACACAGUAAAUGGAUUCACAUGAUUUGAGUGGCAUGCCUCGGUUGUCGGGGCUAAGAGAUAAAUAAUGAACUUCCUUGUUCAUGAGGGAAUACAUAUAUUUUGUAUAUCAGUCAUAGAAGACAAUCUGGUGAAAUUGUGCAGUAACUGGUGAUCGAGUGGUGAUUGGUGAACCACCUUUUGUAGAAAGGAUUGCAACUAAGCCUUUAUCAUGGACAACAAUCACAACAUGUACAUGGUUUUCAAUGAUUUAACUCAACCAGUAAUUUGGCCAGGUAUUUCUGAGAGGAUAAGAUGAAUUUAUUGUUUUUACUACGUCAAAUUGUCAGUGUUGAUGUAACUCUACUUAUCAUGUAUGUAACUCUACUUAGCAGAUAAACUAGCAGUUUGCUUAAUUGCUUGAAGAAAAAGUUUGAUGAAGCUGGGGAUAGAAAAUUGUAUAGAUGAAGUAAUGAAAACACCGGUAAUAACUAAUAACAACAAAAACUUGUAAGAAAACUAACUAGCAAGCCAGGUAAUAGCCUUAAACAAGAAUGUAAACUGGUCACAACAUCUUCUCAGUUCCCAAGCUUCUCUUUUCCAUAUUGAUUGUAAUCCCCUUCUUUCUUCCAGUCGCCAAGUCCUCGGCAGAGACAUUCAAGAUACCAUUUGCAUCAAUAUCAAAGCAAACCUCAAAAUUAGGAACUCCCGCAGGAGCUGCAGGAAUGUCAUCAAGGGAAAAUUCACCCAAAAAGUUAUUCUCAGCAGGUGUUGCACUCUCACCUUCGUAGACGGGGAAGCUUAUAGCAGCUUGGUUAUCAUACACCGUAGUAAAAGUGCUUUUCUUCAUCACAGGGAUGCUAGAAUUUCUUGGUAUCAAAAAAUUCAUGUGUUUCCUGAAACUAUCAGGUUCAGUACUCUCCAACCCAAGUGAGAGAGGGGUGACAUCACAGAGAGUGAAAAGUUGAAGCCUAUUCCCAUUGUUCUGACCAGAAGCACUUAAUACUGCAGCUUGCGCGGCGGCGCCAUAGGCAACCGCCUCAUCCGGAUUGAUGCCCUUGCUCAACUCCUUGCCAUGGAACAACUCCUGUAGCAGCUGUUGCACCAUGGGGAUUCUAGAUGAGCCACCAGCAAGAACAACAUCAUCCACUUUACUUGCUUCCGUGCGAGCAUCGCUCAAACACUUCUUCACUGGCUCCAUGCACUUUUUAAAGAACUCCAUGUUUAGUUGCUCAAAUUUGGCACGGGUAAUAGUUGCACUGAAAUCUACACCUUGGUCCAAACAAUCAAUGUCAAUGUCAACUGUAGAUGCGAAUGAGAGUCUCCUCUUUGCCUUCUCACAGGCAUUUUUCAACCUCGUAAGAGCUCUCGAGUUCCCACUCACGUCCAAAUUGUGCUUCCUCUUGAAUUGCUCGGCACAAAAGUUCACCAUCUUGUUAUCGAAAUCUUCACCUCCAAGGUGAGUGUCUCCGGCGGUGGCCAUCACAUCAAAGACGCCAUUACCUAUUACCAGUAGUGACACAUCCAAUGUACCACCACCUAAAUCAAAUAUCAUGACGGUUCUUUUUCUAUCGGAACCGGCUUUCUUGUCGAGGCCGUAAGCAAUGGCAGCAGCAGUCGGUUCAUUUAUAAUGCGAAUCACAUUGAGACCAGCCAUCUCAGCCGCAUUUUUGGUUGCCUGACGUUGUGCAUCAUUAAAGUAAGCAGGGACAGUAAUAACAGCAUUCUUUACAGUUGAUCCGAGAUAGGCUUCCGCGACUUUAUGCAUCUUUGCGAGUACAAUGGAUGAUAUUUCUUCAGCAGCAAAGUGUUUCUCUUGGCCCUUGUCUUUCACAACAAUAAUGGGCUUAUCAUUGGGACCUUCGAUGACCUUGAAUGGCCAAAGCUUCAUAUCACUUUGAACACAUGCAUCACUAAAUCUUCUACCGAUCAAUCGCUUAGCAUCUGCAAAUGGUAAUUUGGACAGAAUCAGACUUUUAUGAAAUAUAUAUGGGAAACUUCAAAGCAAUACAUGCAUGAGAUGUGACAGUUCAAUUAAUUUUACCUGUAUGUUACUAGUUGUGUCGAAGUCUAUAUGAAACAUAUAUAGUUACAUACUUUGAUGAGUUUAAAUAAGAAUGAUAAGUUUACAUGAAUAUAACGAGAAUCCAAUGGAAAACGUUAGUUACGAAUGGAAGACUUAUGCUAUUAAUCAUUUAAUCGCAUGCAGUGGACUAGAAAAGAAAAAGAAGUGCAUGGACGUUCCAUAUUAAAUCAACUCUCAAAGACAAAAGAUCUAAAACCUCUAGCUCCUAGGCUACGAAACAAAACACAAAAAGAAAACACAGGCAGGAAUAUACAAUUUAUAGAAGACUAUCUAAUUGUUAAAAUAGAUUGAAAAUCAUACCAAAGACAGUGUUGGUAGGGUUUUUGAUGAUCUGGUUAAGUGCUGCAUCUCCUACCAAUUGAUCAGUAUCAGUGAAGGCAACAUAAGAUGGAGUAGUUCUGUUGCCUUGAUCGUUCACUAUGAUCUCAACGUGAUCGUGCUGCCACACUGCUACGCACGAGUAGGUCGUCCCCAGAUCUAUCCCUAUUGCAUGACCCUCUCCGUUGCCUGCCAUUGUUUCAAGAACUUAACUUGAAGAAGAAUGCAGAAAGCUGUUCCUUGGAGAGAUUGGCGAUCAAUGUUUUGGCUUUCUCUUUACCUAGGUUUUUUUUUUGUAAUGUUAGGUUAUGCAUGGGUAUAUAUAGUUGUAUAACUUGCGUUACUUGAGAGAAAAGUUUUCUAACUAAAAAGGAAGGUCUUAAAUCCUGAAGAAGGAACUCUGAUCGAGCAUAUUUAUAUUACUAUAUAUACGAGAGAUCUUAAGAUUCAUUGCUUCUUUUCAAACAAAUAAAAGAUUCAAUGCUUAACUUGAACAUCAAUUUGUUAGAAAAUAUUGGACUUUAACACUCACUGCAUUACAUUAAGAUAAAUACAAUUGAUUUGGCUAAAUACAAAUAACAAGAAAUACAUGACUAUAACUCUAUUUUCUGGUUAUCUGUUAAGGUUGUAUCUCCUAACAGAAGUGGGACACUCAUUAUAUUAAUUACCUGAUUAAUCUUAGAAUUUGUGAUAAGCUUUAGAUUCUCUUGAUAACUAUUAAACAGGUAUUGGACUCCUAAUGGGAUGAGUCUCUUAUCUAGUUAACUGGCCGAUAUAUAUACAAGGAGAAGCCCCUGCACUCAACACGCUUACAUUCAGCUUUAGUCCCAUACUAACGUUCUAAGUGUUGAACUGCGGAAGGCUUAACUCUUGCUUCUAAGUGCAGCUGCUAUUGCAAGAUGUCGACCUCAAUGAACCAGUCCACAGGUGUGUAUUCUAGCCUUUUAGAAAUAUAAUUGCAGUUGGUAUUUGGUGUGUGCUUGUGUUUGUGUUCUUAUGCUAUUGAGUUUAUUAUGUGUUUAUUCAGAUAUGCAAAACACCUAAUACAAUUAACAAUUUAUUGUUGGUAUUUUGCGAGAGGAUAAUAAUCUUUUGUAAUCUCAGAACAAUAUUGAUUUCCGAUUCGGUGGCCUCUUUUUGUUUCAGUCUGGUUUUGUAAGAUAUAAGGAUUCUGUGAUGAACUCAAUCUUAGGCUACAACGAUCAAUGUUGUUUAUGAAAAGCGUAAUACAUUAUACAUGCACAAUAAAAUGAAUAACAUGUGCUCGAUCAAUCUGUAUAACAUGUAUACAGUAUACGUUUAGGCCUUCUUAAUCAAGAAUUUAAGUCUCAAAGUAUGAUAUGAAAUUGUCAUUGAAGAUGUACAGAAACCCACGACCCAGACUCGGCCUUUUUUUUAAUAAAAAAAAAUGUUUUAUUAAUAACUCACACACCCUACAUAUGUCCGUGAGGUUUGAACCCGUGACUUCAAAGUUGUUAGACCCAGACUCGGCCUUGUAAUUAAGCUAAUUCUAUAAGUCGUGUUUCUUCAUAUACUAAAGGAUUUUUGUAGCUUUUACUAUAAUGCAAUUUCGCUAUCUGUUAGUGAAUUAUUUUUCCCAACAUACUAUUUCUAGCUGCUAAAGUAUACAUAAUCAUCUUGGAAUAAGCCAAUAAUAUUCAACUCACUCUGUCUAUCUUGUAUAUUGACAAUAAGCAAAUAGAUUGCAGUAUAGAACUGGAAAUUUAAUCACAGUUUUCAUCAAAAGGGUGAUAGAGCAUAUCGAUAGGUGCAUGAGUAGCUUUAGCUCGCUUCUGCUAAUGUCUAUUUUUGUAUCAUAAAUGGAUGCUAUAUGUAAAACUUGGAAGACUAAGGAUAAAAUAGAAUAUCGAUAUGAGCAAAUAUAAUGCACCCCAAAUUCCAAAUAAUUUGAUCAAGCAAAGAAUGAUGCGACAAUGUCGAGAUAACCAAAAUUGAUACGAAAAGCCUACACAACAUGCCAGCCCCAAAAUUUGGUUAAUCUACCCAAGACAUACAAAUUUGCUAAUAACAUAACCACGCCAACGAUUUGCCAUGGUUUUAAGCUUGCUCGGCAAGGAUCUUCCAGUCCUGCAACAACAAAUGAAAUUGGCUUAAAUGAGAUUGGUCGAAACUGAGCUCAUAUAUGGUCUUAAAAAUAAAAUUCUAAUACCUCAUGGUUCUUGUCUUGGUGUUGAUUUUGGACUUCUUUUCAGCAGAGACGUGAAGGCUGUCGUCGGUAUCAAACUUAGAAACAUACUCUGGAGCUGGAGGAGUGUUGUUGAGCAUAAACUCACCUUGCUUAGUUUCACUUACACCUCCAUUCUCAGUUUCACUCCCAACUUCACUUUCAGUUUCUUUCUCACCUUUAUUAUAUGAUCUGGAGAUUUUUGUCUUAGUGUUUAUUGUAAUCCCUUUCUUGUUGCCAGUGGACUCGUCUUUAGCAGAGACAUUCAGGAUGCCGUUGGCAUCAAUAUCAAAGCAAACAUCAAACUUAGGAACAGCCUUGGGAGCUCGAGGAAUAUCGCCUAACUCAAAUUCACCCAGAAAGUUAUUAUUUGAGGGUUUCUUACUCUCACCUUCAAAUACAAUGAACAACACGCUACGUAGAUUGUCACACUUUGUAGUAAACCUCUUGUUCAUCUUGAUGGGAACUCUGCUGUUUCUUGGAAUCAAAAUUGACAUCUCAAGACAUUGAUCUGCACAAUCAUGCAUAUUAUUAUAAUCAUUCUUACAAACCGCUAUGCCUAGUGAGAAGGGUGUAACAUCCAAGAGAGUGAAGUCUUGAAGCCUAUUCCCGUUUGGUUUCCCACACCCAUUUAAGACUGCAUCUUGAAUCCUAUUCCCAUUUUGUUUUCCACACCCGUUUAAGACUGCAGCUUGAACAGCUGCUCCAUAUGCAAUCGCCUCAUCAGGAUUGAUGCUCUUGCACAGCUCCUUCCCGUUGAACACAUCCUGCAAUAGCUCUUGCACCUUCGGCAUCCUAGAAGAGCCACCAGCAAGAACAACAUCAUCCACACUGUACACACCCAUGCCAGCAUCGCUCAAACACUUGUGUACAGGCUCCAUACACUUUUUGAAAAAAUCCAUGUUCAAUUGUUCAAAUUUGGCACGAGUAAUAGUUGCACUGAAAUCAAUACCCUGAUCCAAACAGUCAACCUCAAUGUCAAUUGAAGAUGUAAAUGAAAGUCUCCUCUUUGCUUUCUCACAAGCACUUCUCAACCUCAUGAGAGCUCUGGAGUUUCCACUAACGUCCAAUUUGUGCUUCCUCUUGAACUGCUCAACACAAUAACUCACCAUUUUGUUAUCAAGAUCUUCACCACCAAGGUGAGUGUCUCCAGCAGUUGCCUUGACUUCAAAGACACCGUCACCUAGGGUUAGUACCGAUACGUCUAAAGUACCACCACCCAAAUCAUAUAUCAUCACAUUUCUCUUGGCCUUCUUGUCAAGGCCAUAGGCAAUGGCUGCAGCUGUUGGUUCGUUAAUUAUACGCAUCACAUUUAACCCUGCAAUAAGACCAGCAUUCUUUGUAGCCUGGCGUUGUGAGUCACUGAAGUAAGCCGGGACAGUGAUAACUGCAUUCUUAACUUUUGAUCCCAGGUAGGCUUCAGCAAUCUCUCGCAUCUUUGUGAGAAUCAUGGAUGAGAUUUCUUCAGGAGCAAACUGUUUCUUUUCGUCAUUGUGUUUAAUCAAAAUCUUGGGCUUAUUAUCUUCCCCUUCAAUGACCUUGAAUGGCCAUAACGUAACAUCACUUUGAACUGAGGCAUCACUAAAUCUCCUACCAAUUAACCGCUUUGCAUCUGCAAAUUAAAAUCACAUUUAGGGAAACAUGCAAUUCAACAAUGGUGCACGUACGUAGUUGAACAUAAUCAUAUCACUGAAAGGAUUUUCAUAUCUUAUAAUAAGAUGCAUGGUUUUCUAUGCUAAACAACUUAUUUACAAUAUAUAUCAAAGGUGGCAUGGAAUACAACUUAGCUGAAACAUCAAAAAGUAAAAUCAAUCUGGAUAUUAUGAAGUAUAUAUAUAAUUUCUGCGUCUGAUGGAAGUAUAUUUACGUGUGAUGGAUGAGGAGCUUACCGAAUAUGGAGGUAGUGGGAUUUCUGAUGGCCUGGUUAAGUGCGGCAUCACCUACGAGUCGUUCGUUAUCAGUGAAGGCAACGUAGGAUGGAGUUGUUCUGUUGCCCUGAUCGUUUGGUAUGAUUUCUGCACUGUUAUUCCGCCAAACAGCCACGCACGAGUAGGUUGUUCCCAAGUCGAUCCCUAUUGCGUGUUCCUCUUCUUCUUCUCGUGUCGACAUUGGCAUCCUCAAUGGUUUUACGGUUGAAAACCUGAAAGUUAAACUCAAUGAUCGAGUUGGCUAGGGUUUUACGAAACAGAAUCAAAAACCUAAAUAGGAAUUGAAUUUUGAAUCUCAUACGUACACUUGUUUUGCUGCUUGUCAGAAUGAUCGCAGCGACGAUCAGGACAGGGAGGUCGACCGAGAGUGCAGAAAUCCUCUUGAUAAUGAAGACCCAAGGGGGGGGGGGGUGCUUUUUAGUUUUUACUCAAAACUGAUGAUCCUGGCAUGGCUUGCUUUGCCUCCAGCGUACGUGAUUACUAACGAGGAUAAAAGUUGGGUGAGAACCCUAAGAAAAAUCCGUACGUGAUCGAUAACUUUGCACAUAAUGAAUGCCAUGAAAUAAAUUUGAGAUUUUUGAACUUUGAUUAUUAAGUUUUGGGAAUCCUAAUAAAAUCUCGUGAUUGAAUGCCAUGUAGAAAAAUCAGGACGAUAUCUUGGGUUCAAAUUUCCCGUUUUGUUUUCUAAUGGCAAUGUGUUUGUAUACACCAAAUCUGUAAUUUGGAGGCAUAAUCUUAUGAACAUUGCGUUUUGCCCUUUAGGUUAAGGAGGCACCUCCCGAACUGGGAUGCAUGUCGUACCUGUCAACUUCAACCCCAGACACACUAGCGUCAAAUGACAUCAUCACCUGGCAUAUGAAAUUGACCGGAACCGAAUGAUUAACCUACGGCGUCGUUUCACUCUCUUUAGAGUUUUAGAGUCGAGACGAGCUGUCUGUUCCGAAAGGUGUCUGAAGCCUAAAGGGUAAGGGGCUCCACUGUUCCUCACGUGCCAAAAGUCUUCUAUCCAUUAUUUACUUUUAUCAUUCAUGAUUAUAUGCAUUUUUAGCUACAUUGUAAGAAUAGUUAGGUAAGGACCGAGGAUUUAACUCUCUCAAAUACCACUCUGAUCCGAUUUCUUUGAAGUUGAAAUAUCGAUUUCAUGUAAUUUGAAGAAUAAUGGUGAUUCUGGCUACUUGAUGCAAUUGAUUUAUUUAUGUCUUUUUAUUUUAUUUUAUCAAGGACGAAAAUCUAUUAAUAAUAAUUAAAAAAUACAUAGCAUGAUGCAAACGCAUCAAAAGAAAACAACAAAACAUAACAAGAUACACAGACGCAUCUAUAAUGAAAAAACAAUAAAAGAUAACCAAACGCACAAACAUAUCUGUAUGGAAAAAUACACAUGACAACAUGAGAGUAAUGAUAUAUAAGCUGAAUCUCGAGCUAAAUUAAUAUACUAACAGUGUUUAAUAAUACUCUGGAGCCCCAUCAUUUAUACGUUUUUUAAUAUGCAAUGAUAUUCUAGCUAGCCUUGAUAUAACAUUUUUAUGACUAAGACCUAAAGUCGAACGAUCAUUUUUCAUGUAUCAUCAUCUAUUAUCCCCAUUGUAUGGACUUGGAAUAAAAAUAAACAAAAAUGAAAAUUAGUAGUUAAAUGUUGCAUGCACGUGGAUUGUACAUGAGUCACCGGCUUAAAUGGUAGAUAUACCUCCCAAUAAGUAUGAAAGGAGGAUCAUACCAAAUUUAUGUGUCCCGUCGUAUCAUGCACCAAGGAAAACGAAAUUUCCUUUCAAACAAACAACAUACUACUAUGCAAAUAAUUGUAGUCUUUCCUAUAUAUGUCCUACUCAUUUAUAAUGAAUAAUAUAUGGACUUAAGGUUCUCAUUAAAAACACUCUUCUUUUUCAUAAAUAUAUGGACACAUGAUAAAUUAGUUAAACCGAAAUUCUUAAAUACAAUCAUUUUGUGUAGUCUCAUGACUCUCAUCCCAUUAGUCUACCGCAAGAUAUGAUAAGCAUGUUUACCCGCUCUAAACCAAGGGUGAUGAUUAACCGUAGGGGACCCUACGGCACAAUAUCAUCCCACAAGCCUCCAUUUGAGGAGGAGUAAAGGGCCGACGCCCCAUAAUUGACGGUCCCCUUCCUUUAAUAUCCUCCUCUUUUCUUUUCUUUAUUCCCUUUUAUCUUUAUUAAAAACCCUAAUCAAAGCUUAAAUUAUUCACAGAGUCCUUCCCAAGCAAAGGUCCCACGAAACCGACGUCGUUUUGGAGUUCCCGGAUAAGUUCAAAAUAAUUUUUCAGGAAAAGUGUGCUGACUCAUCAGGACCCUCUGCCACGACCAAAUUAUAUCCCCACCACAUUCCACACUUGACCGUUAAAAAUAAUAAUUAAUAAAAAAACUAAAUUAAACAGAAAGGACAAUAAUCCCACUCUCACUUAUAUCAACGACUCCUUCUGCGUCGGUUGAACUCAGUAAGUACUUCACUCUCACUCUCUGAGCUCAACCAUGGCUUCCUUCCUCUCCAUUUCUAUGGUCUUCUUCUUCUUAAUAGCUCAGAUCAAAUCGGAGGCCACCGAUCAGUCAGUUAAGACCUUCAUUUUCAGAGUCGACAGAUUCUCCAAGCCCUCCAUUUUCCCGUCCCAUUACCACUGGUACACGUCAGAGUUCGCCGACCCGCCUCAAAUUCUCCACCUAUACGACACCGUUUUCCACGGCUUCUCCGCCGCUCUCACCUCCGACCAAGCCGCCUCCCUCAGCCACCACCCCGCCGUCCUCCACGUCUUCGAAGACCGCCGCCGCCACCUCCACACCACCCGCUCGCCGCAGUUCCUGGGGCUCAGAAACCAGCGCGGGCUCUGGUCCGAAUCCGACUACGGCUCUGACGUCAUCGUCGGGGUUUUCGACACCGGAGUCUGGCCGGAGCGUCGGAGCUUCUCGGAUUUGAAUCUCGGCCCGGUGCCGAAGCGGUGGAGAGGUGUGUGUGAGACCGGAGACCGAUUUGCGGCGAGUAAUUGUAACAAGAAGCUGAUCGGAGCUAGGUUUUUCAUCAAAGGCCAUGAAGCCGCGGCCAAUGCCGGUGGUCCGAUGACGGCGAUCAACGGCUCGGUGGAAUUCCGGUCUGCAAGAGACGCCGACGGCCAUGGGACACACACGGCGUCCACCGCCACCGGCCGGUACGCCUUCGAGGCCAGCAUGUCCGGUUACGCUUCCGGAAUCGCUAAAGGAGUUGCUCCGAAAGCUCGCUUGGCUGCCUACAAGGUCUGCUGGAAAGACUCCGGUUGCUUCGACUCCGAUAUCUUGGCCGCCUUCGACGCCGCCGUGAAGGACGGCGUCGACGUCAUUUCAAUCUCAAUUGGAGGCGGCGAUGGAGUUUCCUCUCCUUAUUAUCUCGAUCCGAUUGCGAUCGGAUCAUACGGCGCCGUUUCGCAUGGAGUGUUUGUUUCCUGCUCCGCCGGAAAUGACGGGCCGAAUGGAAUGUCGGUGACGAACCUUGCGCCGUGGCUGACGACGGUCGGAGCAGGUACAAUUGAUCGGAACUUCCCGGCGGUGGUGGUUCUAGGCGACGGCCGGAGACUCUCCGGCGUUUCUUUAUACGCUGGAGCUCCGCUGAAGGGGAAGAUGUACCCGGUGGUCUAUCCCGGACAAUCCGGUAUGCUCUCUGCUUCGCUGUGCAUGGAGAAUUCCCUGGACCCGCGUCAGGUGAGGGGCAAGAUUGUAAUUUGCGACAGGGGAAACAAUCCGAGAGUGGCGAAAGGUAUGGUGGUGAAGAAAGCAGGAGGCGUUGGAAUGAUCUUGGCUAACGGAAUCACGAACGGCGAAGGACUCGUCGGCGAUGCUCAUCUCCUCCCCACCGCAGCUGUCGGCGCAGACGAAGGUGACGCCGUCAAGGCUUAUGUCUCCUCCACAAGAUAUCCUUCAGCAACUAUCGACUUCCAAGGGACUGUGAUCGGAAUCAAGCCAGCUCCGGUGGUGGCUUCGUUUUCGGGUCGUGGCCCUAACGGGUUGAACCCGGAGAUUCUCAAGCCGGAUCUGAUCGCUCCGGGAGUCAACAUCCUAGCUGCUUGGACUGACGCGGUGGGACCUACCGGGUUGCAGACGGAUAACCGGAAAACAGAGUUUAAUAUCCUCUCGGGAACAUCAAUGGCUUGCCCUCACGUGAGUGGCGCCGCCGCUUUGCUCAAGUCUGCUCACCCGGAUUGGAGUCCGGCGGCGAUAAGAUCGGCGAUGAUGACGACAGCGGGGAUUACUAACAAUCUGAACAAGACCAUGACUGAUGAAGCCACUGGAAAGCCCUCCACUCCUUAUGAUUUAGGGGCGGGUCAUUUGAAUUUGGAUCGGGCCAUGGACCCGGGUCUGGUAUAUGAUAUCACCGGAGAGGAUUAUGUAAGGUUUCUCUGCUCGGUCGGGUACGGGCCUAGAGUAAUUCAGGUGAUCACUCGGUCACCGCCCAAAUGUCCCGGGAAAACGACUUCGCCGGGAAAUCUCAACUACCCGUCAAUUGCGGUGUUGUUUCCGACUUCCGCGGCGGGGCUGUCUAGCAAGACGUUUGUUCGGACGGUGACGAAUGUGGGCCAGCCCAAUGCGGUGUACAGGCCAAUGAUCGAGGCGCCGAGAGGAGUGAAGGUGACGGUGAAGCCGUCGAAGCUGGUGUUCACGGAGGCGGUGAAGAAGCGGAGCUACUUGGUGACGGUGGCGGUGGAUAGGAGCAACUUGGUGCUGGGUGAGUCGGGUGGGGUGUUUGGGUCGUUGUAUUGGAGCGAUGGGAAGCAUGUGGUUCGGAGCCCCAUUGUGGUGACCCAAAUGGAUCCCUUGUAAGACUAGGAAGGAUCAAAACACGUCGUUUUGUUGGGGGGUAUUAAGGCUAGGUGUACAAGUUGGAACCUGUAGUAGAGGGUUUUGUGGGUUUUGUGUGAGGGUUUGGUCUGGUAGUGUGGAAAAGGAAAAUUUCCCACUUUCUUUUAAUUUGUUUGUUUUUUUUGUUUUUUUUUUAUUUCCUUACAUAUUAAUACCCUCUCCAAUUAUAUGAAUGUCAUGUCGAAAAACUGGUCAACACAUAGAUAUGGGUUUCACCUACUACUAGUGUGCAAGUGCAACAACUCUAAAGCAAGCAACCACUGUAAACCAAGGAUUCAACUUCUCCAAGCAGAUAAGCCGGAUCCCUAAAGCAAGAGCAAUUGCUUAGCUCAAAACUGGCCCAGGGAUACCAUAAGGCUUUCAAACUGUUCCCAAAGACAAUGCAGUGAUUUUAGACUUUGAUUACUUGCACGCUUUUGUUUAUGUGCAUGGAUAACAAUAUACUUGGUACACUUGGCCCGUAUAAUUUGAUGACUGUAUAAUUUGAUGAGAAACUGAGAAUUUACAUAGACGAAGAUUAAAGUUCAUGUAUAUAUGUCAUUAGUUUUACGGUUGUAAAAUCCACACACUCUAAAUUUCACAAUGUAUUUGUGAAUGUGUUUACAAAGUGUGGAUUUCAAUUUAAAAUGUGUGGAUUUCACAUUUUUAGUUUUAUAAACAGAAAACUAUGUUUUAGUGUUCAAUAAAUCACGCAAGAUUUCUGCGAUUUCUAGCUAAUACUCAUAAGUUACAAGUCUAACGGUAACAUUAUGUGAGAGACUUGAUGCAAUAUUGUAAAGCUUGGAUUACAGGAAUCAAAUUAAAAUAUAGAUGAUGGUAUUUGGUGAGUUAUCCUAAGAUAUUCAUGGGGUUUUGAAUAAUAUUCCUACCCAAUUCCACUAAGAUUGUUUCUCAUGUUUUAAACAGCUUCAAAUCCUUCUCUUAAUUACUUCUUGGCUUUUCUUUUCUUGAUUUCUAAAAGGCCAGGGAACAAAGCUGAGGAACAAAACUGGGUCAACCAAAGCAUAUAUACUAGAUCGUUUUGUACGAUCGGUAACGAUAGGUCAUCAAACUAUGCUUUAUGAAUCUCAUUCCUCUUCGAGUUAAAUGGAAUUCCAGUGAUACAAGGUGAAGGUGAGGAUUGUGUUUAACACCAUGCAUCUCAUCCACUUGUGAAUCAGCACACAUAUGGGGCUCAAACUUUCACAAUCAGCUUAGGCAUGCUAAUUUUCCUGAAUAAGGUAAUUGAUAAUGAUCAGUAUUUAACUAGCUAGGUUGAAUGUUUUGUGUCUUGCAAUAAGUUUUAUUUACGACGUACUUAAAAGGAUGAACAGUGUGAGAAAAUGCACAAAAGCCAUUGUGUUAUGGCACAUUCGAUUUUGUAAUUUACGAUGCAUAACUGAGAAACUAAAUCUGGAUAGCAAUUUACUAAAAUGUGAGAACACUCAUUUCACUUCGAUUUUGUAAUUUACGAUGCAUAACUGAGAAACUAAAUCUGGAUAGCAAUUUACUAAAAUGUGAGAAUACUCAUUUCACCCAGUUGUAAACCAUUCUCUACCAUAUGACCUAGCUAUGUGGAGCAUCUUCACCAUCAGUUAGUUUAUCAAUUGAUCACCAUCACUAUCAUGAUUCUCAAAGUUUCUCGACCAUUCUAUGCGCUCUUAUUGAAAGAUCUUGCACCCGAUUCCAAGAUCAGCUCGUAGGUGUACCAUUUUCAGGAUCCUCAAUGCACAAAUGUCCAUUGUACGUAUAGCGAGCAAAAUUGCUUUUCAGGAAUAUAAUACAUAGUUACUUGCUUGGACAUAUGCCUUUGUUAAGGAUCCUAUAUAAUUACUGGAUUAUGGUUAUUAGCCGACGGAACCGUUCCGUCGGUUAAGACAUAUAUUUCGUCUGCAAAGAUCUUAUUCCGUCGGCUAAAAUCCGUCAGCUAAGCGUCGUUUGCUAAGACAAUAGCCGACGGAAAUGAUGAUUCCGUCUGCCAAAAUUUUAGUCAACGAAACUUAGUCCACGGAAAUUACUUUUCUGUCGACUAAGUUUUUCUUAGCCGACGGAAUAUUUCCGUCUCCUAAGAUCUUAGUUGACGGAAGUAAAAAUUUAAAUUUCUUUUUUUUAGAAUAACUGGCGGUUUUUUUUGUUUUUAUAGGUCUUUUUUUUCUUUUCCUUCUCUUCCUCUUCUCCGGCGACCACGACGGUUAUGUUUGUGUGUUCCUAAACAACUCCACUCCACCUCCGACGCUAAACUCGCCGGGAUUCUAUCGUCAAGGAACCGCACGUACGACGAUCUAUUGCCUUACUUAUACCGCGGAGAGUAACCGUCCGGACGUCAACCACCCCGCGAGGAGGAGGAGGAGGAGACGCUGCUUGGAGGAGGAGGAGGUGCCGCCGAGAAGAAGAGGAGGAGGAUGUGCCGCCGAGAAGAAGAGGAGGAGGAUGUGCCGCCGAGAAGAGGAGGAGGAGGCGCCACGGUGGUGGGGGAGCAACCAGAUGAGGGAGAGAGAGAGCAAGCAGACGAGCUAGGGAGAGAGAGAUGAAGAGAAUGAGGGAGAGAGAACUGAAAGUUAUAGAAUGGAGCCGAAAAAAAUUCAAAAUUUUUGGCGGGUAUAACUGCCGCUUAAAAUUUUUGAACUUAAUCGACGGAAUAUAUUUUUCCGUCGCCUAAGUUCAAAAUAUUUAAGCGGCAGUUAUCCCGCCAAAAAUUUUAUUUUAUUUUAUUUUUUUUAAAUUUGGUUCCAUCGACUAAGUAGAUAUUUCCGUCGACUAAGAUUGUCACAUCCUGACCCUUAAAUUUUUACCUUAUUUACUAGCUUGUUUAUAAUAAAAAUUUUACCGUCUCCAUCAAUGAAGUUAUGGUUAAUUGGUCCCUAGAGGGGUUUUUGGGGGACGUUUAUUUCGGAAAGUUAUUCGUAGGAUAAAAAUAUGACGACGGUAAAAAUGGUAAAUUUUAGCUAGUAAAAUGUAAUUUUUAUUCGGGUAUUAUUUUUUUCGGGGUGUUUUAUUUUGGAGUGGGUUGAUAUAUGAGUAUUGGACCGAUUUGGAGAGGCCCAAACCCAUCUCCCUCUCUUUCUUCUCUCUCUCUCUCUCUCUCCCGGUUUUCCUCCCGAGCCCCUCCCCCUACCGGAAACUUCUUGCUGUCAUUCCGCCGCCGUCCGGCCACCAUCCGCCGCCUCACCGGUUCCGUUCGGUUGGUCUCCAACCCAGCAACCUCCCUGGACCGGUAGCAGCUCCCCUAGCUCGGCCGUGAAGGAGCGCUCUCCCCCGAAAGGGCCGACUGCCGUGGUGCUUCACUCGCCGGAGCACCCUCCUCCGGCCACCAAACCGGCGAUCCUUAGCUCGUUUUGUAGCCCUCCUCCCGUGCAGCAACCCCUCCAAAGAGCUCACCCUCUCUUGAGCUAGGUAAGGAGAAAUGUGGAGUUGAAAUUUUUAGGGCUUUUAGGAUUUUUUAGUCGAUUUUCCUAGUUAGGCUUGGAAUUGGUGUUUGUGCUAGUUAAGAGAGUUAUAGAGCAUGAUGAGAGGAUUAUUCUGUCAAAAUUUCAUAGGCAUUGGAGGUCGCCGGAAUCGGCCUCCGGCCGCCGCUGUUUGGGAGAUUUUUAUGGUUUUAAAUGUGGAAUAUUAAGGGGAGUAUAUUGAUGUAAAUUAUGGAAUUUUUGGAUGAGUUUUGGAUAGGUUUGUGAAUUUCCGAAGUUUGGUAUUUUGGCGGUGAUUUAAUGUAGAAUCCGGCCGUUGGAUUAAAGUUGUUUAAACUGUGGGAAGGUGUAGUUACGGCUGCUGGUUCUAGGGUUGAAAUGUGGACCAUUUCAAAGUUAGGCAAUGACGAGCGUGUUUAUGGCUCUCAGUUAAUUUUUGCCUAUUUUGCGUAAAUAUUGGAAUUUCGGAUUGGGAAAUUAAUAUUAUUUUUGAAACAGGUCGUGAGGAGGCUCGAGCAAACGAGGCCCCAGAUCGACAUCAGGCUUAGGCCUAAUUUGUGAGUGGACUUUUAUUUUAAAUAAUGUGCAUGCGAAAUAAUGUAUGUGAUAACCGAAAUUGAGAAUUUCGGUGAGUAUGUAUAUAUAUCCAUAUUUGGAUGAUUAUGAAAAUAAUAUGUAUAUGCUAUACGUGCUUUUCCAACAUACUGAGGUAAAAUUCCAUUAUGGUGCGACGUGAGCGUUAGACGCAAUCGUCGUAGCCCUAUAUAAAUAUAAUAAUUUAUAUAGGGGAUAUGCGCGUAUAUAUAAUAAAUAUAAUAAUUUAUAUAGGGGAUAUGCGCGUAUAUAUAUUUAUACACCGUCUUUUCCACCAUAAUGAGGUAAACUACCAUUAUGGUGCGACGUGAGCGUUAGACGCAAGCAUCGUAGCCUUGUGUGAAUUUUCUAUUUGUCUUUGUUGUUUCAAGAAAAUUCAUACAAGGGAUAUGACGAGUGUAAUACAUACGUAUUUUAUUUUAGCCUGAGAGGCUCUUAUUUUUGAAGUGUUGGUGACUAGCGCGGCUAGUCACGUUUCGGUAAAUUCGGUAAAUUUUUAAAAGCUUUUGAGCUUGUUGCAUGCUGUUAAUUAUUUUUCCACAUAAGUUAAUUUGGGAAGCAUAAAGAUUUAUUUUCUUUUAAAAUUUAUUUUUGUCCACUUACUCUGACGGUUUCAAAUGUCUUCCCCUGGGCUGUUGUUUUAAAAUGCCCAGUCUGCAGAGUUCGGGUUAGAUCUAACAGGAGACGAGGCAUAGUCACCCGCAUUUCCGCCAGUUUUCAUCAGUAUGUUAUUUGUUUAACCUACUAGUGUUUUCUUGCUUUCCUAGUGUCUAGUAGCUCUUAAUACUUUGGGAUUAUUGUAUAUUAUUUCGGUGGUGUGCUCGGUCAGUUGACUUUAUGUUUAGAAUUUCUGAAGAUUAAGAUUUGAUGUUUUUAGCUGGAUAAUUAUGUGAUGGUUAGACGUGCUGUAAUAAGAGUGUAAAUUUGAAAUUUUCGAGUUAGGGUUGUCCAUUUUCAAGGGAGGUUUUAUCAAUCUUUACGGUAAAUUUUCCUUGGAGGUGGUCCCUGCACGACUUACUCCUGGUUUCAGGAUGAAAUUCGGGGUGGGUCGUGUCAAAGAUAUAACCUAAGCGAUGGAAUAAUUUUUCGUCGCCUAAGUUAUCAUAAUAAUCAUUUAUAUUUAUAUAUAAAUGUUCCGUCGGCUAGGUAAAAAUUUCCAUCGCCUAAGAUCUUCUUAGCCGACGGAAUAUUUUUCAGUCGGCUAGGUGAAAACUUAGGCUACGGAAGGUUUUCCGUCGGCUAAGUAGAUCUUAGGCGACGAAAAUAUUAUUGUUCAGUCGGCUAAGUGAUUUUUUCCACUAGUAUAAUAAUAAGAUGCGGAAGUAAUUGGAAUAGUAUGAUCGAUAUAAGCAGAUUAGCAGAAGAUAAACCAAGAAGUAAGAUGACGGUUAAGCAAUUAAUAUAUCUAUCACUAACGGGACAUUAGGUUAAGCAAUAUAUAGAUAACAUCAUCGGAAGCUGAAAACACUAUUUCUCAUCAAUCAAAAGCAAAGAAGCUUGAAACAAAAAUCUAGAAAUUAAGAUAGAAGAACCUAGAUCAUAAAAAGCGAAACAAAUAACAUAAAUCUUAAAGAGAUAGAUGAUCGAACAACAAAAUUAAUCUACGCUCCUUUCAUUAGGGCGAGGACUUCAGACUCAGUGGAGAAUGCAUGAAGCGCUCCCUUCUUCGUAGAUGUAAUUGCUCCACAUGGUUCCACGAUCAAGCUAAUAGAUCCAUAGUGGAACACUUUGGCGGAUCUAAUCAGCUCGAGAUUGAGUUCUUCGAGCUUGAUGAGCAGCAUAUUAGCUCUAGGGUUUCGGUAGAACAUGAACUCGCACUCUCCGUCGGCAAGUAGGGUUACAAAGGCCAAAGCAGUAUGUACGCCUUGGUAGUGGCGGAACUACGAUGAGGGCUGUAUGAGAAAUUUAGUUUUCUCCCUCAUCACAUUCUCAUUUUAAAGAAACUUUUAAGGAUUUUGUUGAAACAAAAUAACCAAAAUCUUUAAGCUAUUGGAGUUGCUCUUAGAAACGAAGGAUGUAGUAUUUAUAGAGAGUAGAGAUAGAGAGGUAGAAUACCAAUCAGAUUGGGCCAAUCCUACUCCUCGAUGUAAACUAAUUCAUUUUUCUAAGCAAAUUCCUAAUCCUCAAUCCUACUUCUCACCGAAAACUGAUAAACAAAAAUGAAAAUUAGUAGUUAAAUGUUGCAUGCACGUGGAUUGUGCAUGAGUCACCGGCUUAAAUGGUAGAUGACUAGAUGUACCUCCCAAUAAGUAUGAAAGGAGGAUCACACCAAACUUACGAGCGCCCCGUCGUUCUCGUAUGAUGCACUAAGGAAAACGAAAUUUUCCUACAAACAAACAACAUGCUACCAAUCAAUGUAUUACCAUUCGAAUUCCUUUAUUCCACAAAGAAAAUAAAAAAAUUAUAUUACACCAUUGAGAAAGUUAUAAUUUUGAAUGGACACUGAUUUACACUUAUCGUAUGUAAAACGUUAUACUAAUCAGUAAUCACUAUACACACACUUAAAAACAAUCAAAACAUGAACCGAUCAAUUUGAUAUAAUGUCUCUAGCUACUACCACUCGUUCAUACUAACAUAUAGAGGCGCGCAAACGAUAAAAUGACAAGCGAAAUUCGUAAUUUACAAACCGCUAUAUAUCAUACGACAACCCUUUCACAAAUUUACGGGCAUGGAUGAUCUAUAAGUUAACCGAAUUCUUAAAUACAGUUACUUGUAUAUAACAGCUCUCACAAUAAUGCUAGUCUCAUCCCAUUUAAGUCUACCGCAAGUAAUUGAUUUUCUCAACAAGAUAUGAUAACUAUGAUAAGUGUGACAAAAUGCACUAAAGCCGUGCGCUAUCGCACAUUUGAUUUUGCCAUGCAUAACUAGGAAACUAAGUCUGGGUAGCAUACCAUUUACUGAGAACAUCCAUUUCACCAAAAAAAAGGGACUGUUUUUGUAUCAAAGUUGUAACCAUUCUCUAGCCUAGCUAUGACCUAUGUGGAGCAUCUUCGCCAUCACUAUCACUCUCAUAAUUUCUCAACCAUUCUUUGUACUCUUGAUAGAUCUUGCACCCGAUUCCAAGACCAGCGCUCGUACGUAGGUACCAUUUAAUUUCAGGAUCCCCAUGCACCAAUGUCUAUUGUACGUAUAGCGAGCAAAAUUGGUUUUCAGGAAUACACGUACGUAGUUACUUGCUUGGAUGCCUUUGAUGCGGAAGUUGGAAAUUUGGAAUAGCAUGAUCGAUAAUAGCAGAUUGGCAGAACAUAAACCAAGAAGUACAGUAAGCAAUAUGUCUAAUUGUCUAUUACUAACUGGACAUUAAUUAGGUUCAGCAAUGUAGAUAGCAUCAUCGGAUAUAUAAAAAAUAUUGACAGAAGCUGAUCGAAAACACUAUUUCUCAUCAAUCAAGAGCAAAGAAGCUUAAAACAGAAAUCCUAGAAAGAUGGACGAACCUAAAUCAUAAAAAGGAAAAAGAACAAACAAACAUAGACCUUAGAGAACAACAAAAUUAAUCUAUUCUCCGGCCUUUCAUUAGGGCAAGGACUUCAGACUCAGUAGGGAGUGCAGGAAUUGCUCCCUUCUUCGUAGUCGUAAUCGCUCCACAUGCAUUUGCGAAUUUGAGUACUUCCCUCAACCUUUGUUCAUCAUCAAGAACAGAUUGGUCAUCAACAAUCUUUGCAAGCAAAGCACCCACAAACGAAUCACCAGCACCAGUAGUAUCCACUAUCCACCGCAGUCACACUGAAAGCUUCCACUGAUCCACGGAAACUCUUCGUGUACGUAGUAUCUGCAACCCUAGCCCUUUUCACCAAGAGAGUGAUGAGGAGGAGCUUCAAGUUAAAGUGCCACAGACUCAAUGCAGAUUCAUCAUCAAUGUUAGGGUUUCCUGUGAGGAACUCAAGCUCCACAUCACUCACCUUGAUCACUUCUGCCUUCUCUCAUAUACUCAUUAUCUGCUCGCGUGCUUCCACUCAUUAUCUGCUCGCGUGCUUCCUCCGGUGAGGGCCACACUCGUAGCCGGAGAUUCGGGUCGUAAGACAGCAAGGCACCUGCUUCUUUGGCAACCUCCAUGGCCUUUAGAUGAGCCCACCUGCGUGGUUCCACGAUCAAACUUAUAGAUCCAUAAUGGAACACUUUGGAGGAUCUAAUCAGGUCAAGAUUGAGCUCUUCGGGGCUUGAGUAACAUAUCAGCACUAGGGUUACGGUAGAACAUGAACUCACGCUCUCCGUCGGAUCGUAGGGUUACAAAGGCCAAAGCGGUACGUGCAACUUGGUUGAACAAGAUGACUUCUUCGGAAACAUGGUUCCCUCCUUUAAUAUUCCAGCCAACAUGUGACCGAACUCGUUGUCACCAAGCUUCCAGAUGAAAGAGGCCUUGCCGCCAAGCAGAGCCACCACAAUUGCCAUGUUGGCGGGGGCACCACCGGGGGCCUUCAAGAACCCUGGAGCUUCGGCUAGUGAAACCCCCGAAACUGUGGGGACGAAGUCAAUCAGCAUCUCCCCGAAACUCACAAUCAGACCCUUAUCAUUAGCCAUGAUAUAUCAAACAAAAAGAGGGGUAGACAAAGUAGGAUGAUGUUAAUUUGGUUUGUAUGUGAGGAGCGAAGGCUAGGCAUGUAGUUAGUAACUUAGUAUUUACAGAGACUAGAAACGAAGAGGUAGAAUACCAAUCGAAUUGGACCAAUCCUACUUCUUCUCAAUGAAAACUGAUUCAUUUUCUAAUCAAAUUCCUAAUCCUCAUCUGCGAUUUGUUUCUCAGUCCUACGUACAUCUCACAGAAAACUAAUUCAUUUAUCAACCGGAGCUAUAGCCACAAAUCCUUUUGCACGCAGGGUAUGUACGUACGGUACGUACAUAAAAACAAAAUCAUUGAUAUAUUGUGCUUAGACUAUGAUGGCCUUGGCGUAGUAUUGUAGUCUAAGUACAUACAAAAAAAUCAGAUAGGGAGGGUUUGGUAUUAUAAAAUAACCCACUAGCUAAUCGAAUCAUGGAAAGUCCACCUUGUUGAACGUCUCUCAGCCAUGACACAUUGGUAAGGAUUCUGGAAUUCACAUUCAUAGCAAGUCUCCACCACAUCUCAUUCACAAAAAGGCUUGCCAAAGGCCAAAGAAAACCAAAGUGGCUCUUGGUCAUAGAAAUUUUUGAGAUAUGAAUGCAUGUGGGUUUAUAAGGAUUUGGUCUACUUCAUCCAUUGUCAAUUGAUUUUGAAUGUGAACCCGGAGAACCCUAGAUUACUUCACAAUUAAAUUGAAGCAUUUCAUUGUUGACAUCCCAUGGAUGAACUAAAUUCUUCUUUGUAUUAGCUCAUUAGCUUUUUCAAGAGUUGACGAUUGAUUUUAGCCUAUUACUGUGAGGUUUUAGAUCCAAGCUAGUAUUUAGGAUCUUCCCAGAAAACAUUGUGCACUCUAACAAUGAUUAUUUACUUAUUUGGACAAGUUGCAACAUCUGAGAUGCUGUAAUGUAGUUGAUUUUGCCUUGUUUAGAUUUUGUUGCAUGCUACUUAAAUUCUUACUUAAACACAGCAACAUUGGAUCUCUCAACAACCCAAACCUGACUAUGAAGAUCAAGCAACAUUGUAUGUAACUAUGUAUAUAAGCUCCAAGCCAAUUAUCAUAACAAGGGAUAUGCCUGAGGGAUUUUGACUUUGCUGCCAUUUUACCUAAAGAAACGAGAACACCACAAAGUUGAGUAAGGUGGUCACAGCAGGGUCACAGUUGUGAAGUUUGGAGAAGUGAGAAUUCUCAGUUAAAUAAGGAGACUGUUGCAAGAGUUGCAAUAGUCAUGUGCAGCUUGCUUUUCAAAUAAAACUUAGCUUCAGUGAGUUAUAAUCAUGCGUUUUAAGCCGUUUCAAAAGGCCAAUUUGAUAUUUAGAGUUCCAAUGGGUUUCAAUGUAACAUAUUGUAGUGGCUUCAAAGCGACAGAGUGUGAGAGCAUUAAUUUUUUUUGAAACUAGGUAACUCUAACUUUGUUUUGUUCGUUUGAUCAAACUUCAAUUUGGGGCUCAGACAAGUUCUUUUUCCCAAACAAUAAAAAAUAAAAAACUAAGUUUCCAAAUCAGUGGCGAGACAUCAUUUAAGGCUGGUUCGGUCUACGUUUCAAAAAGCCUACUAGCUCUGCUGCUACCCACUCUUGAACAACUUUUUUCUGUCUUUCUUGUUCUCGUCUCAUCAGCCAUAUUUAUACAUCACCACAUUAUUUAAACAAACUUUUGUCUCCACACACUGCACCUAAACUACGUAGUAGUUUAUGAACGAAUGAGAAUGAGAGUGAAGGUUUGAAGUUCUAAACAUGCUUAUGAGUUAUAUAUGACUAUAAUGCUUUAGACAUUUCUAGGAAUUCAAUAACAAUAAAUAAGAUUCAGAGCUGCCUCACCGAAUUCAAAUAUCCGAUGACAUCACCAAAUGGCCUUCAUAAGUUCAAAUUCAAAUUAAAAAAAAAAAACUUAACAUACGCAUUUUCCAGAUCAAUGGCGACACAUCAUUUAAGGCUGGUUUGGUUACCAUUUCAAAUAUCAUACUAGCUCCCACUGCUACCCACUCUUGAACAACCUCUUCCUCGUUCUUGUCCCACCACCAUAUACUACUCAUACAUCACCACAUUAAUUCAACAAGUUUUUGUAUCCAAAAACUGCACCUAAAGUACGUAUUAAUUUAUGAACGAAUGAGAUUAAGAGUGAGGGCUUGAAGUUCAGAAGUUCAUAUUCUAAUUUAUCGAUCAAAUUCAUCAUUCACAAAUCAAAGGAAACCUAAGUUGUUAACUCCCUUGAUGGUUUGUGACAGAUUUAGAAGUUCAGCUAUAUAAGCUAUUUUGUAAUUUUAUUUAGUCCCACCAAAAAAUUUAUCACCCUAGGAAAACUGAAUGCACACAGUAAAGAUUAAAGAAAAACUAAAAUUGAUUGGCGACUAUACUGAAUCAAGUAUGAAUUCAUCACCAUAAGAAACUCACAUGAACAUGCUUAUAUAUUGGGAAGUUAAAUGUUUACUAGUGUUUGUCUGUGGUCAGAAUUAAAUAAUUUGCAACAUGAAGAUUGUGUAGCACUCUUGAGCUACAUUUGACAGACAUAGCAAGACAAGAAGGAUGAUGUACAUAUGCGAGAAACAUACUUCAAAAGAGUCUCUCCGCCCUAAUUGGGUCUGUAGGAAUAUGGUAUCUGUAGUACUCCGAAACUUAGCACAAAUUAUAUAGCACACUAAGGCUCUUUAACCUUAGAUAGUAAUCCAAAUAUCUUCUAAAAUAUUCAUUUUAGAAGCCAAUGACUCCAAGUAUCAUACUUACAAGAUAGGUAUUUUUAUUAAGUAUUAGAAUUUAAGUAAACUACUUAAAUACCUUAACCCGUAUUUCUUACAUACGAUCGAUACUCGUGAUUGAAUUUAAGAUUCGUGUUAGUAUUGCUUUUAUCAUGCAUACUAUUCUAAUCUUAAAUAUUACUAACACAUUUACAAGAUCUUAAGAAAGGAAAACAUCAUAUUCCUUUUACUUAUUAGCUUGAGUAGAUAUAUAUCUAUAUAUACAUAUAUAAAUAUUUUGUGNNNNNNNNNNNNNNNNNNNNGGAAAUUAAUUUACAAUGCAUGCUUCAUGGCCUAUUUAUACUUGGGAGCUGCAACAUCUUUUCUUCACACUCCAAGAUCAAACGUAAAGAUGAUCACAAACUCCCUUAGUUGAAUAGAAAAGCUCCCACACCAAAAUAUCCUACCAUUCACUCUUUUCUCUUGAGAAGUUCUCUCUUUGUCAAAGAAGUCCAACCUUGAGUCAAUACCCAAAUCCUCACUUCACUUCUGAAAAUUCAAGAGUAAGUACAUGAUUACAUUCCUAUACUUUUUUGUCUUUAAGAUUAUCAAAAUGCAUAACUAAGGAUAAAAUGGAAAAGAAUAUGUUUUCUAGAAACUUAUAUUUUCGUAUAUAAUUAAAUAUCACUUUGUAAAUUUGAUCACAGUAUUAGAUUCUUCAUGAAAUAUGCUUCAGUUUAGGCUUUUGAAUCACUUAAAAAGGUUUAGAAACGAAGAAGUUAUGGCUAAUCAAACUUCCAAACUAAUAAACUUGCUGAAAAUCCCUUACAACUACCACAACUUCAAAAAUUCAUAUCUCACUCAUUUCUUAACCAUUUUCUACAAACUUUAUAUCAAAUUGAAGCUUAGGAUCUCUACUUUAAAUCUGGAAAGUUUCAGAAGCAAUGAUAAACUAUAAAGCACGUAAAGACUUAGACAUCAAAGGUAAUAUAAAGGAUAUCAGCUUUCUGCACUUCUACUGUUUUUCACCAUUUCUGGACUCUAUGACUUCGAACUGGAUUAUAUGACUUAUCUCAAUGGAUUACUUACGAAAAAUCCUUUGACAUGGACUCCUCACUUGCCUAAUUUGGACAUAAAUUGAAUGAGAUAUGAAAAUGAUAAGUUGACGGUUCUUUGGACAAGAAUUUCCCUCACUAUGGGAAAUGUGACUACUAAUUCUUUGACUACUAACUAAUAUUUUCUGUUUAUUUAAUUUAAAGUACAUUUACUUUAUUGCACAUUUACUUUCAAGUUUAUUAAAUUGCUUAUCUUGUGCAUACCUUAAGUUACUGACCAUUUUUAAAGUAUAUUGAUGAACGCUUAUAUAUAUACUUUAUUGGUCUUCAAGUAAUAUAUUGUCUUACUUACUAAAGUUUGCUAUAUUUUAUUGACGUAAUUAUAUUUGGAGAUGUGAAGCCGGGUGAUUAGUACUACCCCGUGCUUAAGUGAAUUACUGGUAAAAGUGUUUUGUGAUUUGUGGAGUUAGCCUGGGCCCUAGUCCCUACAGAUAGUGCACUAUUAUACUCAUAGGAAGAAAUUGUCGACCUUGAGUAUACAUACUCUGGUAUUAUCCUUGGUAUGCUGCGGCUUAUCCGUGUUUUGAUAUAGUGGACCUAGCAUGUGAUCUUUGUGAUUUAUUACCAGUUUCCUAAACAUUCACAUGGAUAAAUUUAUUCACGCUCGUAUAUGUGUGUGUGUGUGUGUGUGUGUGCGCAUAAAUAAGAAUCAGUAUGAACAAAUCAAAAUGAUUCUUGGUACAUUUUUACUUAGUUGUGUUUAUUUCUGGUUUUUUAUAAGACACAUUAUUAUAAGAAUGUAAGUUGUACUUACUGGGUCUGUGUUACUCAUGAUGCUACACAUUAUUGUUUUCAGGUAAAGAAUAGAUACUUGAGGAAUGGGAUGAACCUACUAAAUAAAAGAAUGUUUUCUGUUGCUAUUUUGAGAAUAAAUGUAAUGUUUUAUAUACUCUUGCUAAAACUUUCGUAUUGUAAAAUAUUUGGUAUUGUAAAUUAUUAAUGUUUUCCCUUUCUAAUAAAAGUAUUAUUCAGACAUAUAUAUUUCUUCUUCUAAUAAAUUAUUCGAGAAAAUUUUAUUUGUUUUAACUCACGUCGCAAAUUCAGGCACCAUAUUUCCAUAUAAUAAUGGUCUCGGUUUGGGGGCGUGACAGUAUCAUAGACUAUUGUUUGUUCUGUAUACAAACGGUUGACUAUACUUCUUGUACACGUCACAACAUGAGUUUGCAAGCGGUUGAAGUAGUCUUUGUUCUUGAAUCUGUAGCUAAGAGUAGCACACUAGGUCAGGAGGAGAGACCGCUCCUAAGCGGUCUUCAACGCUCUGAUGCCUAAGUUAGUCAGUAAUUUGGCAGAGUAACAGUAAAUAGAUAAAGUAUGCGUAGUAAAUAUAGGGAAAGAGGGUUACACUAAUAGACAUGUUGCCUCUCAACUCUUUGCACCUCUUCGAUGUGGCAUGAGUGUUCAUUACUUUGCUUCAGGGAGCGGUUUUGGAGACACGCAUGCAGGCGUGUCACAACAUCAAUUAGGGAGCGGUUCACGUCGUUCGAUAGCGGUUGUUGUUGCCUUUGCGAUCAUAGUUGAAGCGUGAGUGAAUGUGACGGUUAUGACCAGUCUAGAGGCGGUCAAAGUAUGCUGAUCAGACAUGUGUACCAACAAGUCCCCCAAAUUCCUAAUCAGAAGGGACAUCUUGGCUGGGGAGUUUGAAUUACCGCUAGCACUGGUCAUGAGCGUCAUAUUCUCUAGUGGGCCCUACCCGGAGUCCCCCACUCCCUAGCUAAGAGGUCCCGUGCUAUGUUCAUGGAGUGGUUUGCUUGAUGGUAGCGGGCCGUGGAGGAAACCGCUAGCGGUUUAUCCUCGCUUAGAUCUCUCGAACUAUGAGGAAAUUGCUAACGGUUCAUCCUCGCUAGUCUCUCACGAACUAUUUUAGACACCGAAUGGAUGACACUAUUCGUGUCAGUCUCACCAUUUCUUAUCACCAUAAAAGUAAGGAAUAUUUUCUUGAUGUAUGUGUUGAAACAAUAGUUGUUGAUGAAUCCCCCACAGCUAGUUGUGUCAACCGAAAGAACAUGGAUGACCAUAAGACACUCAAGUUUGGGCUCUCUCGAUAGCGUGAUACUUUUAAAUUGAUCCUUGCAUACAUCUAUGCCGUAAUCAGCUGCCUAAAGUAAGGCUUAAAAUCAGGUUUACUCUAGUAUUUCACAUAGUAACUCAAGAAAAUAAAGCAUAAUAAUAGAAAUAAAAUAUGCUGUAUGUCUGAGGGUUGAUGGUCCACAACACUUUUAAGGCAUGAAUAAUAAAACCGUAAGAAACUUGUUAAAAUUUGACAAACUGUACAUGAAAUUAGGUCCACUAUUAAAAUCAAUACACCGAGUUAUAAAUUAUAAACUUGAGUACAUGAACUUGGGAACUCGAUGCACAAUGGGUACAUGCCUUUAAUAACACUGUUAAGUCUAAUACCAUUAAUAAUUUUUCAAAGGUACAAGAAACCUUUUAAUAAAAAAAAUCAUUAAGACUUUAGGCUUCAGAAUGCGCAUAUAUAUAGACGUAAAAUACGAAAAAUCUAGGGAAAUACUUAAUGAAAAGCUGCUCAAUGGCCAAUGAUGGAGCUGUGAUGAAAAUAUCAUUGGGCUAAUUGUAUUAAAAAACCUGGUGUUGUUAGUGAUAAGUCACUAAAACUCUAAUUUCCAUCUGUCACUGUAUCAUAAUAUGAUGAGUGACGACCAUACUUGGUUUAUAUAAUUGGCCUAUAUCUAUUUUACCUCUAUAGGGAAAAGUUUUUGAACCCACAUGAACAAAUUCUAACCUACUUAUGAAGAUAUUAUAAAGGAAAGAACAUAUCUCUAUUAAUAAAGCGAAGAGAGUUUUUUACUGUUCAUGUGAAUAAUGGUGUGACCAGUUAGCCUUCUAAUUUUAUAUUUUCCACAAUGGUUUUCUCUCCAUCAAAACAGGACCUAAUAGGUAUACAAAAAAUAGGAGAUAAUAUAUACAAAAUCUCUACAUCAAAAUAGGACGUAAUAUGUAUCAAUAACACAUUGAUACAUACAGUGGCGGAGCCAGGAUUUCAAGAUUGGGGGGGGGUCCAAGUAAAAAGCUCAAGAACAAAUAUUUUUCCCCCUUAAAUUUACUUUGAAAAAGAAGAUAAAUGCAGUAAAUCUCAUUAAGAAUACUAGUUAAAUGGAAAACAAAUGUAAUAAAUAUGAUAUUAUGAUUAGAUGACACAAAAUUAAACCUAUCAAAUGUUUAAGUUUGAACUGAUAAAUAUUAAUAUUUGAACGAAAUUAGAUUUGGCUAUAAUAUGGGGGGGGGAGGUAAAUUUGAUAUAACUAAACUACCCAAUUAAAGGUAAUUAAGACAAUUAAAAAACCCAACCGGGGUCCAGACCCUCCCGGACCGUAAUGUAGCUCCGCCACUGGAUACAUAUUAUGUUCUUAAUUUUUUUCUUUUUCUUUUUAAAUUUACACAAAUUACCAUCAUUCAACUAUAACAUAUAACAUUAGAAAUAAGUUUAAUUGACGCUAUGUCUUAAAUACCUUGGUUAUGAGUUUUUCUUGUAAUUUUAACAUUUUGUUGUUUCAAUCAAUUUCAUGAUUAUUGUUUUCCUUAAAAAAAAAAAACAAACAAACAAACAAAAGAGAGAUGGCUUGAUGGAAAUGGCGAUUUAAGGAAGAAAGCCCUUCAAAUUCAAAGCCUUCAAUGUAAUAAAUAUAUGGAAAAGCAAGCUACUAAUUGCUUGAUAAGGCACAUUACUUAAUUAUGAGAGUACUCAUGAAUCAUGAUGAUAUAGUUAUAAUGCAGGCCGGUCCAAGAAUUUGUCUCGGAAGGGAUUAUAUAUAUAUAGCUAUCUUCAUAUGAAGAUAUUCUCUGCUGUACUUUUAAACAACUACAUAUUCAAGCUCACUGACGAGAAAAAGGUGGUUAAAUACAAGACGAUGGUCACGCUCCAUAUCAAUAGGGGAGGACUUCAUGUUCAUGUAUUUUUUCCAAGAGUUUGAGCAUGCAAGGAAGUUAUAAAACAAGUUCAGUUUCAAAAAAUCGUUCACAUGCAUUGUUGUUAAUCAUUAGAGUGGAGCUGCUAGCCUCUUGAAUUUCAUGCUUGGUUGUGCUCAACAACUAGUAGUGGAUCGGAUGAGCAUUCUCCAUCACUAGAUCGAUCAAUAUAUAAUUGUAUACGCAUCAUCUUGCUAAGUUUUAUUAUAGUGAAAAAAGAAGAAAAAAGAAUGGCCAUUCUCCCCUUAGCUAGCUAUCUUCGUUUUACAUUUCUGACGGCAAAGACAUAUGGCUCCGAGAUCUCCAGCAAGUUCUCUUGUCCUCUAGCUCAUUGCUCAUUUGCCACUGACAGCAUUCUGAGAAAUCGUAACAAAGCUCCUUCUUCCAACAGAGGUUGAUUCACCAGGGAUGGUUUCGGUAACAAUUUGUCCUGUAGAUACCUGGAAUUCUCCACUCCACAAUUCACUCAACUAAGAUAGACAUAGCUUCUUGAGGAGAAGGAAGAUGGCCAUUAUUUGUGGUGCUUGCAUACCUACAAUCUCUUUAAUUUCCUUGUACAAGGAAGAAAGUUGGCAAGAAGCAUUGCAAAGACUAGUCUUCCGAAAACCCUGAUCAUCACAAUAACCAAUCUGAGUAUCUGACAUCGAUCAGCAUUCAUGACUUCCAUGUCAUGAACAAAUAUCAGAAUUUUUGCCACAAUGUUGGAUAGUAGUGAUAAUCCUAGCUAGUAAUUCCCUUGUUAAGCUUGGGAAAAUUUUAGCACCUCCUGCCAUGUAAGAUAUGUCUCUUCUCAUUGCUGCCGAAUCAAUACGAGCUAUAUGUUUUCCUCUCUAAUUCAUAGCAGUAGUCCUUCAGAUCGAUUGGCAGCUGCAACUUCUAACUCGCCUUAAUGCCAGCAACUUGUUUGCUAUAUAUCUCAGCUGCCUUUUCAACAUGACUCUCAUAAGGAAAUAGGGGCGACACUGCCACAGUUGCACUAAAUCGAUCGCCUGUGCUGCUAUUCAAGUACUUCAUGUGGUAUGACUAGCAGUGCCGCACUUGAGCAUGUACAUGGACUAUGUAAUCUCCUCGAAAACUCGUACAAAAUAAAACAGAGUUGAACCUGCACGAUUAAAAAUAGACCCGCCAACACGAAAUGAACCGGUUAAAAAAGGUUACAUAAUCUCGCGCCCAAAUUCGAACCGCCGUUCAAAAUUAAUGUCAAGUCUCAGAGGCACACUCACACAUUUUGUCGAACAAUGCAAGAACAUGAGAGAGCUCAAACAAGUCCAUACGGUCCAUACCCACAUCAUAAAGUCCCCCAUUUUUACUCGAACAAGACCAAUCCUUUCUCUUCUUCUGUGCUCUUUCCGGUUCAGGUUCCCAAAUCUUUAUCUCUGCAACAUCAUGAUCACAGCCACUGUUUUGGAUGAACCGGCGUCGUUUUUCGGUCGUUGGUGUUGUAUAAGCAAAUGGUGGGUGAUGGGAUUGUGCCCAAUUGGAGCGUUCAUUUUGUGCACGGUAAGUGUUUGACGAAAUGCCUGAGGGAGGUGUGGUGUUGUGGAACUCGAUGAUUAAGGGGUAUUUGAAAAGUGUGGAUCUUGAUGAGGCGAUUGAGGAGUAUUUUUAGUUGGAAUUCGAUUAUAACCGGGUGUGUUCAAGGCAGUCGGGCGAAGGAGGCAUUGGAAUGAAAUGCAGGUUGUUGAGGGUGUCAGUCCGGAUAAGAUUACGAUUGCAGCUUGUGCUCAUCUUGGCGCGGUUGGAGAAGUGGUGUGGUGAGUGAUGUGGUUAUUGGAACAGCUCUGGUUGAUUUGUAUGGUAAAUGUGGGUGUGUGGAGAAAGAUACUUUGGCGUGGACCGCUAUGAUUUCAGUUUUUGCUCUCCAUGGGUUUCGCAAUGAGGCGUUUGAUCUUUUUGAAAAGAUGGAAGCAGCUGGGGUUGAGCCGAAUCAUGUGGUGCUUGUUGGGAUGUUGUCAGCUUGUGAUCAUUCUGGUUUAGUAGAGAAAGGUUGCUGGUGUUUGGAUGUGAUGACUGAUGAGAUGUGUUUAUUUGAUUGAACCGCAGCUUUAUCAUUAUGCAUGCUUGGUUGAUAUACUUAGCAGAGGCGGAAAGGUUGAUAAGAAUCAUGCCAAUGAAGCCAGAUGUAUAUGUUUGGGGUGCAUUGCAUGGAGGUUGUCAAAUACAUGGACAGGUUGAGAUAGGAGAAAUGGCGGCCCAUCGUUUAAUUGAUAUGGAACCUCUGAACCAUGCUUCUUCUGUCAACUUGUGCGAUAUAUAUGCUAAAGCUGGUAGGUUUAAUGAUGUGAGAACAAUUAAGUCACUAAUGAAAGAAAGAGGGAUACAAAAGGAAGUUGCAGGUUGUAGCAUGAUGAAGUCGAUGGAGUUGUACUUGAAUUUUCAGUGAGAGGAACCCCCGAUAUUGUAUUGGACAAUGUAUCAUGGGUCUUCAGUCUGUUGAAUAAGGAGGCAUAGAUUGAUAGGAAGGCAUGGACUCCGUAAAUCACAGCAAUGGGAAUCAUGAAGGUCGGUUGGGUGAAGAUUUCCUGUUGAGGUACCUAGUCUCUUUCUAGCUUUCCUAUUUCAGCAGAUAUUGGGACCAUGUAGAUUUUCUCUUUGAGAAAUUAUGCACCAUCAUCCUGCUUGUCAAGCAGCCUUAUGGGAUUAGUUCUUUUGCUGGAAGAAAUUCAUGAACUAUGCUACAAUAUUCAGGCCCUUUUUUAUAGUCUCUUACUUUGCAGGUAGCUGCAAGCUGUAUUCGUCAGUUGGUCAUGAAGUUUUUAUUCUCUGAAAAUCUAGCCAGGUAAUAUAUCAGAAACAAACCUUUCACUCAACCAUGGAUUGGAUUCUCUGGAAAGAAAAUGAGAUGUGGUAUACUAGGGAGAGAAAAGGCGUGUAGCAAAGCAAUAUACUUUUUCAACAAGAAGUAAUAAUUCAAGGUUGGACAGAGAUUUUUGGAAAACUUGUAGUCAUAGACAUAGAGUUCGUUUCCUCCCUGAGUUAAUAAUUGCUUAGUGCUACCAAUUUUUGUCAGCAUUUGGUGCUGCAAAAAACAUUCAAGGUAUAAAUCCUUUGAUAAUAUAAUGAAGUGUCCCAUACCUAACUGUACAGCAUGAUGCUACAGAUUUAUGUCCUUCUGGCUUUCUUAUGCUUUCAAUAUCAGUUUGAAAAGUUCUGCAUCUGGAUUACCAACUAUAACAGCUACAGUUAAAAAAAAAAAAAAAGCUACAGUUCACUAAUUUAAUUUCUGUGAGUGUUUUUUUUUUGAAAAAAUUUCAGUUUACCACCCAAAUCUUUGGUGGCAAAAUCAGUUCAGUCCUGCAAUUUUUUUUUAAAUCAGUUCGCCCUUUCAACUUUCAUAAACACAUCAGUUAGGUCUAAUUUUUGAAUUCUCCUCGAAAUAUGACCUCACCAAAGCUGUUGGAACUGAUAAGGGGACCCAUAAUUCAGCUUUAUCCCCUCAUUUUCAACGAAAUGUCUGAAAUUAUGGGUCGCCUUGUCAGUUCCAACAGCUUUGGUGACGUCAUAUUUCGAGGGGAAUUCAAAAAAUUGGACCUAACUGAUGUGUAUACGAAAGUUGAAGGGGCGAACUGAUUUAAAAAAAAAGUUGCAGGACUGAACUGAUUUUGCCACCAAAGAUUUAGGGGGUAAACUGAAUUUAAUUGUUUUUUUUCUAUGUAGAGUGGACUGACUAUAAGUGAUUCUCAUUCAUAGAAGAUUAAAUAUAUGCUGUGUCCUGCAUUGGCAUUUUUUAACAUGAAAUGGAUGUUGCGAAUUUCCUAGGUGAAAUGCUGUCUGGUUCAGCUGGAUUGUGUUUCACUCCACAUAUUAUCACCAAUGGGAGAGGUAUGCCCCUAUCAUCUCAUCAAAAAAUAUAGUUUCCAUAUGAAAGAGACUGUUCUCAUACCAUGAUACCAUGAAGAGUUUACAAAAUUGAUUUUCUGAGUACUUGGGCUAAAUUGCCCUCUAUUUAAAUUCACGGAUGUUUGGUAUUUCCGCAAAUAAAUUGAUGCUUCUUUUUUAUAUCUGAAUUUUGUUAUCUUCUUGAUAUUACUUUGAUGUUUCCUGAAGGACAUUGCCAAAAAAAAAAAAUGCAUUUUCACAGCAAAGCCCUUAUCAGCCGAUGGUGCUGUCUCUAAUGUGACUCUAUGUCAUCCCUCCACUUCUGGUGGAACCGUCGCAUAUGAGGUAUGUAUACUUCAUGAUAUUUCACUCUCAGUUGGUGAUUGGCAUGUCUAUAGAUGAGAAAUAACAUUAGUCAUCGACGGAGGUUCUACACAUGGUACAACUUGUUUGUCUCUUUAAUAUUCAGUGUAACAUUAAUCAUCGAUGGGGUUAUGAGGUGAUGCCUUUAACAAAGCUCAGUAUCACCAAAUCUGAGUCUUGUAAACAGAUGGUUAUUCCUUUGGUUGAGGCUGCCUUUUCUACACUGAGCAUAAAGAUAACAUAAUUCAAAAUCAACUUCAUGUAUAUCGACAUUUAUGUAUAAAGAUAACAUAGUUUUAAAUCAACGUUCAUGCAUAUCAUUUGUGGUAGUCCGUGCUGUCUUAAAAUACACAAACAUGUGCGUGUGUGCACUUAUUUGAACUUCUUUGCAUAUUAUCCCUCUGUUUCUCUCUAUGCAAUAUCAGUUUCUCCCUUUUUCACCCUUUUGAUGCUUCUUUUGUUGCUUACUGAUAACAAACAGCUUUUCUUUUUCUUGUGGAUUGCAAAUUCGGUAGGGACAGUUUGAGAUAAUUUGUCUCACUGAAAGUGGUGGCUCCAGAAAUGGAAAUGGUAGUCUUAGUGUCUCCCUUGCUAGUCCUGAUGGUCGUGUUGUUGGUGGAGGAGUAGGAGGAAUGCUUAUUGCAGCUGGUCCUGUACAGGUAAGGCUUCUUCAUUGCCUUAGCUUCCAGUUAUCCUGUUCAUCAUAAAUUUUCACUCUCAAUUGGUACUUAAUCUUUCAAUGGGGAAAUAAUUUGAUGGUGUUGCAGAUUUUUAUUUAUUUAUUACAUACAAAUAUUGAAAUAUAUAUAUAACCAUGAGCAAAUUGAUAAUCAGACAGAAUAAUGAAGUAUACUAAUUGCUUUGUUUUCAAUAUUUAUGGACGGGAAGCUUUGUUUUCUGAUGAAACUUAGCCAUAUGGUUUGAUGUCGAAAAAGGGGAUAUGGUGGCAACCUUAUGCCAUGGGGAUCUUGGGAUCACUAUAACUCUAUAAGAUGAUGAUGCAGAGCAAACUUGCCCAAAUAUAUGGGUCGAUCAAAAUGGUAUUCCAACAUGAAACUGCCUCCUAGGGAAAGAAAAAGAAAAGGUUGAUACACACUGCCAAAAUUUAUUGAAAAGGUUAUGUGAUUACAUAGGUAGGUCCAAGAAUAUAUCUAGGAAAGGAAAUAUGGUUAUAAGUAUAUGAAUAUACUUCCUGCUGUCUCCGUAUUACAGCUGAGUGCUGAAAAAGUAGUGAUCAGUUACAGGGAACACUAUCCAUAUGACAGGGGCUUUCAUUUGCAUGCCCCUCCCAGAUUAGGACUUUCAUUUUCAUUUUCUUCGUAUAACUUUCGGAUUCAGUAUGAAUAUAUAGGUUUUAACACUUUUUGUAUCAUGAGAUUAUCAUUCUAUGUUUCGUAUUUGUUGUUGCGGUUUUCCAUUGGUUGUUGGAUGUUGAGUUGUCGAGUUUUGAAUGUAAUGAUGAUAGGCAAGGUGUUUUGCAGCUCCAGUGAGAAAGUUUAGUUACUUGAAAUUGGGGUACGUGUAGUUUUAUGAUUAGUGAAUUCACAGAAGGGAUUCAGAAGAAUUUACAACUCAUGACAUUUUAGGUGUGAAAAUGUUUAUCGAGGGUCAAACUAGUUGCAGAAUCACAACUCAUAUCUUGAUCAGAAACAUAUAUGAGUAGUUGAGGUUGAAUUUCUUGUUUUUGAUAUCCAGCAAUCCUUUAAUCUGGGUUCUCCGGCCAAAUACUGAAUAGCUAGGUAUUUUGAGGGGGUUCGAACCCGAACCAGAGCCUGCCCCUCCUUACUGAGUGUAUUUAGUUGGAUUAUUAGUCACUUCCACUCAAAGUUUUGUGUAUGAAGUCAAAAGUAUGCUCCAGAAGCUUGUGAGUUAAAAGACAGUACUAACAAACAUCCAUCAGAAUAUCCUAGGGCUGCAUUUCUUUACAUUAAGAUAGAUAAAGGUCAUUUCUCAAUCAUGCUCAAUGCAUUGGGGUUAGCUAGUGUGGACACAUGUUUUUCCUACUAGGAUCUCUGUUGAAAAUAUGUUUUCACCGAAUUCUCACACUGAUUUGGAGAAUUUUAAAUGGAGUCACUGAUGUUGUAGCUGAUACCUUGGGUAUUCGUUUGAAACCCAUGUGAGGAAAAAUUAACUAAGUUCUUCUCUUUAUGACCAUAUUACAUUGUCAAAUUUACAAUUGGCAGAUUUAGUAUUCCAUCGGAGCGUUGCAUGGGUAAGAAAUUCGAUGACUGUUUUACUUGGUAUGUGACUAAUGAGAUUUUGCAUCUUCUUACAUUGGUUAUGCACUGCACAGUGAUAAAAAAGGUUAUUCAUAGGUGAUCUGGCUUCAGUUUUAUAUUUGAAAGAAAAAGAUCUGUUUUUAAGAGUGGUUUUACAUCUUUGUUGUCUUUAAUGUUGUAAAUUGAAGGGUCUAUGUGUGUUGAUUUUAUGGGUAAAACUCAUCUUCACCCAGUCAUUGCUUGUUUGUGCUAUCAUAUGGCCUUUAUUUCUUGUAUGAGUAAGUAAAAUGGGUGAUGACUUUUUUCUGAGCGAGGCAUAAUAUAAUCAGCAGUGUUGAUCAUUUUUACUACCUAUUUUCUACACAUACUAACUUAUGGGUAUAUGGCUAGUUUUGUGGAAGACUGCAAUAUAUUUACAUGACAUCUACUUUGGUUAUAGCUUUGAAUUUGGAAUACGUGAUAGCUAUCUUUGUACUCGUCAAAACAUGUUAGUAUGGCAUUUUGGUCCCAAUACCAUAUGGAGUGUCACAAUUGUGUCAUUGAGUGGGUGUUGCAAUUUUUCUGCUGAGAGGUUAUGUCAGACUGUCAGCUUUGGCUGUUAGGCUGUCUUUGCAUAUUGUAUUUCCUAUAUAAACAUUCCAGACCAUCUAGUACCAUUUGAGAUGCUGAAACUUAUUGUUUGGUGAAGUGUUAAUGAGGGGCUUCUUGUUCAAUCUUCUGCGAUUUGUGUACAAGGGGAAAGGCUUCAUCAACUGAUCCAGAAACUUACUGUGGAACUUUGGUGUAUCACUGAGAUGGAGCCUAAGUGCCUAGCUUUAUGAGUCCAUCGACUGCUUUUCUGUAUUGUUCUCAACUCUGCUCAGAUUUGAGACUGCAUUUUUCUUGGGGAGGUCGAGGAUGGAACUUAAACAUGAAGGUUUUCUUAAUACAGGGGGUUUGAGUGUUUUUCGUCAUCUCUUCUGGAAACGGUUUAGGAUAAAAGUUUGCAAGGCUGAGCCACUUGAAAUCCUUUAUCUAGUGAACGUUAGAACCCUUUUGGAUCACUACUUGUACAUGGGAAAACUUUCUGAUAGUAGAAUGGACCAGUGUUAUUAAAUCACCAUAGCAAAAUUUAUUCAUAAAUUGAUCUGACAACAAAACCUUAUGAUCUACAUAAAAAAACAAACCAUGCAUAGCUACAAAAUAUGUGUUCUUAGGUGCUUUGCCAGUCUUCCCAAGAACUUCUCCCUUUUUUGGUCGAAUUCUAAAAGACCAACACAGCAUCUCUUCAAAGCUUUGCCAUCAACCCAUUGUCUUUAACAUCAUCUUCUUUGGCUUUCGAUUCACAAGCACUAGGAGGAACGUCCACUGCAGGAGAGCAGUUGAAGAAUCCAUGCGGCACAAGCUUAAAGCCAAUGUGCUCCACUGGCAUUACAGGCCAGUCUUCUAACCUGGGGACGUGAGUUAUCCCAAACACGUACCAAAGGACAAUGUCAGUUUCUUCAAGAGAUCGAUUCUUCUGAACCCAUGUCGCCAAUCCUUCACCGACUCGUGGGUUUUGGUUGGGGAAUUCUCCUCCAGGAAACAUCUCAUCAGGUGAAUAUUGUGUAACCCAAAGAUUAUGUUUCAAAAAAGCUGCCCUUCUCAAAAACUUGGCCUCAGAACCAGCUAAUGGCAAGCAAUUUGAACCAGGUACAAGCUUGUAGCCAGUUAACUGUCCAGUCCUGUUAACAGUUCUUGUGUUCCUUACAAUCCAGUGGCGGGCAGAUAAGGCAUUACAGUCUCGCAUUGCCUCCGAUUCAGUUCUAAGAAGUCUCUCCUCAGCAUAAAAUGCAUUGCUGUGGACGUUAUUCUCUCCAGGGUCUUCAACUUUAACAUCUACCUCUACAACCUGAUUGUAUGCUUCCCCAGGUUUGCAAUCAACAGCCAUAUCCAUACGAGCAACAAAGAAGUGCUGAUGAACUGGUGCAUAUAACCCUGGUGCAAUAACAGUACCAUAUUUUCGAACUUCUCCAGGUUGUAGUGCUCCUAAGCUGAGUAUUCCAGUGAGUUUAACUUCAGCUUCAAUCUUCCCAUCCUGAUAAAAGUGCCAGAAGAAUCCGUAUUCGUAAUUAGCCACAGUACAUAGAAAAGAAACUGUAAGCCUUCUUGACCUGCGCACUUCUGCAAAGCCUGUUCUCCAGUCCUGGUGCUUCCACAACAUGCCAUGGUCCUCUUCGUGCAAACAUACACAAUUCUCAAUUGUUUCAACACCUCCAGUAAAGUUUGUAAAAUGAGCAUCAAAAUAUUUGACAUAGCCAGAACAAUCACACCCCUUCCUUAGAGAAUGUGCAUUUUUACCAAGGCCAUCUUCUCCAGCGUCAAAAGCAUUUUUUCUGUAAUGUGGAUCAUUGGGAUCUCCAUAAGGCACCACCAUUUCCACAAAGCUCAGCCUAUGCGCUACAGGCCUCCGCCCCCUGCUGCCAUCAUCGUACGCAAUUGAAUAUACGACUAGUCCCUCUUUCGGAGUAAAUCCAACACGAAAGUUCCACUUCUGCCACUCUACAAAGUAUCCAUCCACACGAAAACUUGGACCCUCAGCCUGAACAAUUUUUAAAGGCUUCAAAUCACUUCGAUCAACACCUCCUCUUGUUUCAGCACAAGUAUAGUUUCUCAAUGGAUCGGCUGGAGGUAGAGGAACCAGCUUACGGUCUUCAAACUCUAUCACCUCCAUGUUCUGCAUAUCAACAAGUAUAUAGAUUCCCUCAACAGGGCGUGCGUAACCAUUUUCCAUGGGGCAGUCGCUCUCAGUUCUACAGAAUAUCAAUGGUUUAGCAAGUCUUUUGCUAGGAGCAUCAGCCUCGCUAUGAUAACCAACACACCAGGCAUCAACCAUCACGAGAUCCAUAUCUUCAAUGCCCCUCUUCUUCAUAGCCUCUCUAAAUGGGGGAAAGUCCUUCACAACAGCUUCACAUUCAGCGUAUUCCACAGCAUCCAUUGAAGGCUGAACGUCAUGGAUAACUUGUGAUGAUAUUACGUUUCCUCUGUGAUGUCCACCACGAGUAGCUGCAUGCACUUCUGAAAGCUCAACAAUCCAUGUACUUGUCUCGUUUGACAUCUUGUUGUAAACAACAAGUCUAGCUCGCCUCGGAGGAAGCUUAGAGGGUAUCAUAUGUCCCCCUUUGGUUCUCGGAAGUAACGAGGGUUGGAAAGGAGGGAAGAAGUACGCAUCUGCUAAUGCGACAACAUGCUUAUCUGGUUCUAGUAGAACCACUUCAGCAAAACGCAUACCAUCUCUGACCUCAGGUGUUGCUCCAGCUGCCCUGACAGUCGCCACUGCCACAGAGAUUUCAGCUGGACAUAAAGGUUCCAAAGGAUGCCUUGAUUGAGCCCUAACCAUGAUGGGGAUGCCUGCGGUGGAGGCCAAAACGACGGCAUUUGAUGGAGGUGCCGCCGCCUCACGAGGAACGGGAGGAGAAGUGUCGUGGGAGGAGCAACAUGAAGGCGUCACUUGUUUCGAGGCUGAAGCCAUUGCAAGAGGGUUGAUGAAUCUCUGCUUGUCGGAAACUUGAAGUAGCUCUGCUUGUCGGAAACUUGAAGUAGCUCUGCUUGUCGGAAACUUGAAGAAGCGUAUGAAUUUGAUCACAGAAUUUAGUUUGUUGGAAUAUAGAGUGAAGGCCAGGCUUGUAUUAUUUAUAGAGCUAGAAUAGAAACAGUGGCAGCCGAAUCCCAAUCGUACUGGUCGGGCCAAUCCUACUCCUCAUUGAAAACAAUUUCAUUUUUCUGAUCAAACUACGUACCACUAAUAUCUGGGAUUGUUUCUCAGUCCUACUUCUCACCGAAAACUAAUUCAUUUAGUAAUUACUAACCGGAGCUAUAGCCAUGCAUUAAUCCUUUGGCACGUUAUAUGCACGGUACGGACAUACAAAAGAAUCAUUGAUUGUGCUUAGACUAGCUAGUAAUCCCUAGUAUGGCCUUGGCUUAGUAAGACCACCCACUUAUCAUGCAUUCUGGUAACAUUAGCAGGGUUUAAGAGGCAAAGAAAUCUGAUGUGUGAAGUAGCCUAGGGUUUAAGAGGCGCUGCAUGCAACUGAUUUGGAGACAUGGAUAUAGCAUAUAUAUAGUAUGUGAAGACAUAGCAGCAAUUCUUCCUUUUUUUCUUUCUUUUUUCUUUUUCGAUUUUUCCUUUUUCUAAUGUGCCAUUGUUUGGGUUUUGAGUCUCUAUUGUAGAGAUCGCUGUACCAUGAUAUCAUUCAGGAUUUCAAGUAGCAUACCUAGAGUUUGCUCGUAAACAAUCGAGUCAAAGAAGAGCUCGUACCCAGAACCUUCUCAAGCCUGUAUCUGGCACUGACAAAGCACCUUCUUACAUUCAAAAUUUCGAGUCCUUCAAUCCUAUCACUAUUGCACCGCUCUAUGAGGAAGAGUAAACUGGUAAAGCUGUAAGAAAAUAAAUGAUCAUGGUUGAGAACGAAUCACUGACAUGCUUGUUAUGAAAAUAAUUUCAUUAGAUAAGGAAGACUGAUAUCAAAAUAUGAAGUUUGCAACAAUAUGAUUAAAUAACAAAUAUCAAAAUAAGUUGAACAAGCUAAGUUGAUGGACAUAUGAACAAUUCAGAGUCUCAGACCAAGUUUGGGAUGCAAAUACACACAACAUACUGGAAAAUGUGCAUGCAUCUGGAUCUGGCACAAGCUACACUUAAGAACGUUUUAUACACUAAAUUGUUUUGGCCCCUCGUUUGCAAGCAAUAGACACAGAAAUGGUUGAAUGCAUAUAGGAGUCCCUCUUCAGUUCUGCUUGCAUAUACAUACACAAAGAAGAGGGUUCAUAGAAAAAGGCAAACGCAAACAUAAGGCUUCAUACCGAGAACACAUUUCAUAGAAGGAUAAAUCCUCAAUAAACAUCAAAAUUUGGAGGUUAUCCAAAUCACAAUAGUUAAACCAAUUUCUGAGGUGGUAUGAGCUAAAAAUGCACCCAAAGAUCCAUAUGCUAUUCUUUUCCGUUUAAAGCAUUCCGGAUAUAGUUGGAGGAAAUAAGGUAGAAUGUCUAACAAUCAUAAAAGAAUGUCUCCAAUGCAAAAGCACAUAAAGUUCUAAUUCUUCAUACUAAAUAUUUUUGGCUCCUCGAUUGCAAAUAAACUCACAGAAAAGACAUUUAGGAAAACAAGAAUCACAAGAUAAACGAAUUGAUCCGAUUAAAUAAGCUCAAACAGCAACCAGCACUGGAAUGCAAAUAGUAAUCACUCUUCAUUUUUGCUUCUUAGUUUUUCAGGACUUCAAUCCAAAUCCCAAUGAUUCACCGUACUCAUUCAGAAAGAGAAAGUAAAGUUUCAUCAUAUACAGUGGCGAGUCUAAUCGGCCUAUGCAUACCAGAUUUUCUUCCUUACAGCAUUCAAUCCAGACCAAUUGCUUCUUGUCAAGCAGUUUGAUCACAACCAUACCACCUUAUGCAAUGAAACUAUAAGCCAAUUAUUGGUUUUCUCCAUCAGUCGAGUUUGUCAUCCCAAACCAAAACUUGGACUUGGUACUAUGUGAAAAAUCAAGUUGACUGGGUUCCAGAUGGACGAAUUUUCAUAAUAUUUACGAUUACCCCAGAAGUACCAGACCAUUUCACAGGUCAGUUACUUGUAGAGUAUUUACCUUCGAUGAGAAGUUGAAACCAUUGACUGAAAAAUGAUCUUCUGAUGACUAAAGGGUAAAGGACUAUCAUCGUUCCAUGGUCUGAAUUGAACCUUGGACUUGGUAUCCUUAAUACUAACAGAAUUUCAUCAUAACCCAACUCAGGAAUCUUCAUAAUCAAAGGAAUGACUGAGUAACGUGUAUACAGUAUACAUGCUCUAGAUAAUAUAACAUGACAGAACAUCCUUCAGACUAAACCACUCAUCAGCACACGUGAACAAUGUGGGGUUAGCACCUAUGCUCAAGUUCGAAUACAGGUCUUUACUGAACAAAAAACUUUGUGGAUGUUUGUAUUAUAAACUGAUGUUAAACACCAGAAUUUUUGACACAUAAUUUCCAUAAAAAAGAAAUUAUACUUUUGUUUGAAGAAACUAGUGCCUUCGAGGCAUAAGAAACAAGAGACAAAUUUACAAGAAAAUAGGAAUGAUGAUACCGUCAGAAUGUCUAUAGUUUUUUAUUUUUGAUACACGUCUAUUGUUAAAUAUAAUCUUCUGUUUUUUCUUCUUUCAUAUCUUCUAUGAAAAUGGACAAGUAAUCGUAAAAUUUAUGGUCCCUACAAAUUAACCAGAUCAAGUGAGACAGAGGAUAUGGAGUAAUGGUCAAUAUCAGAUCAUACAUACUAAGAGAAAGAUGGCAUGACUUUACACUUUACAAACUAUUCAAGCCAGACUGGGGAAGAACAGACAGACAAGAACAAGACACAUCCAUACAAACAUAUUGUACAGAUAAAAGAGAUUCACAGAUCAUAGCCCUAGAGUACUGUACCAUAUAACUGGCAGCUUGCAUAUUCAUUUCACAUAAAUUCAUGGCCAGCAAAUUCAGCUAGUACCCUUUCAAGUAAUGGAACUUUGAAAGUUUCAAUUUUCUAUACAUUAGGAGAUGUGAACUAAAAUGCUUAAAGAGAAUAGAAACCAGGAAAUAGCAUUGUCAUGCACUAAGAAUAGCAUUCAUAAUUCUUCUUUGAUCAGAACAAACAAAAACAAAACAAAAAACAAAAUUGUAAUACCUCCAACGAUGCUAAAGGAGCAGCACCUUCAAGUUUUCUUGAUGUACUGGGAAGGUUCUGAUAUUCACAUUGGUGAAAAUUCGUGCAGCCUCAGGCACUUGAUUGUCGUGAACAAAGCCGUGGAUUAGAAUGGAGAAGGUAAUAACAUCUGGUGAAGACCCAAUUUGAAGAACUUUCCCAACACAGAUAAGCCAAAACCCAUUCGAUUCAAAUGGCAAUAGCAGGUGAUGAUAAUAGAGAGAGUAUAUUCAUUAGGAACAAUUCGACAGAGACGCAUUUAUUUAAAGAGAGGGAUCGGCCGAAUAGAGUUUCAAUCUGACAAGUUGCCCAAGAUUUGAUUGAAAGGGGUAACAGGAGCAGGAGGCAGAGGGCGCGAGUGAAGCAUUUCAUCGAACACCUUCAAGUCAUCCUCAACAUUUCUCACAUUGGGUCGGUGAUUUCGAUGCGUUUCUCUGAAUUCGGUUGGGAAUGAAACAAAAGCGAGUAAUCAUUGACAGCCAAGAGAAGGAGAGGAGCAGUAGUAGAGUGAAGAAAUGGCAUACCUCUACUGUAGUUGUAAUGAGAAUAAACAGCAGCACUUGUUCCAAGCAUCUUCAACAUCUCUCUGUCUCACUCUCAGUAACCAAUCUCAAUUUCUGGAAGCCGUUUUGGUUCAGAUGGUCUUUCGGGUUUAGAUGGGUGAGAUUUGCCUGUUUUCACUGGAAUGAUUAUUUGCAGUGAGUUGUUAUUGACGUUUUCAAACCAAUCAACCAAGUCGACUAACCCCCGCACACGUGGCGAGUAUCUAAGCCCAUCGAACACGUGGCGAGAGGCUCAGGAGGGGUACAAAGCGCGGGAGAGACGGUUGCUUUAGCACCCCCCACACGGUGGUGACGCGACGACGCCAUUCACCGCCACGUUUACACAUUUCCCAACUUCCACCAUCAUUGCUCGAGCGUCACCGACAGGCUCCUCCGUUAUCUUAAACCCUAAGCCACCUCCCUCCCUAAAUAGCCCCAAUUCUCUUCCCCCACCACACUCCAUUAAUUCCCAAAUCAAAACCAUGUCGAAUCCCACCUCUCUCUACCCUCAAGUCAUCCAGACCAACCCAGACGCCCCAAAGCCCUCUUCUUCUUCCUCCUCCUCUAUGUACCCUUCAGUCGACGUGGCCCACCUCGCGGAGGACCUCUUCCCCGAAAACGACGCCGUUUCGGAAACGAACCAAAAUCUCCAAUCCUCGGAAGAAAUCCUGGUCAAGAUUCCGGGGGCGAUCGUCCACCUCAUCGAGAAAUCCUACAGCAUUGAGCUGGCCUGCGGCGACCUCACCAUCGUCGCUCUCCGGCAAGGCGGCAACGUAGUCGCGGUCCUGGCGCGCGUUGGCGACGAGAUCCAGUGGCCGUUGGCGAAAGACGAGGCGGCGGUGAAGCUUGAUCACUCUCACUAUUUCUUCAAUCUUCGAGUCCCGGCGGAUGGCUCGUCGGAGAAUGGAGAAAUAGAGCUGCUGAAUUACGGGCUGACGAUUGCGACCAAGGGGCAGGAUGGCUUGAUGAAGGAAUUGGACCGGGUUUUGGAGACUUAUAGUUGCUUUUCGGAGCAGAAGAUGGAAGGAUUGGAGCAUUGGGAUGUUCUGGACGGGACCGUGGCGAGGGAGACUACGCCGGAGGAUUUGAGUUGUACUGACAGGAAGAAACUGAUGGGCGACAGCUCGGCUGCGUACUGGACUACAUUGGCUCCGAAUGUGGAGGAUUACAGCGGGAGGUGUGCCAGGAUGAUCGCUUCGGGGUCGGGGCAGCUUAUUAGGGGGAUUUUGUGGUGUGGGGAUGUGACUGUGGACAGGCUCAAGUGGGGGAAUGAGUUCUUGAAGAAGAGGAUGGGGCCAUGUUCCAGUUCCGAGAUUAGUCCUGAGACAUUGAAGAGGAUCCAAAGGUAUAUCUUUGAUUGCUCGGGGUUUGUUUUAGCUACAAGACUCUGCUUGAAAUGUUGUAGUAGUGGUAACAUCUGACGUGUUUUGGUUUGAUUUUUCAGGGUUAAGAGGUUGACGAAGAUGUCGGAGAAAAUGGCCUCUGGAAUCCUUUCAGGGGUUAUUAAAGUAUCUGGAUUCUUUACAAGUGCAAUUGUUAACUCGAAAGUGGGCAAGAAAUUUUUCAGCCUUCUCCCUGGAGAAAUUGUCCUGGCUUCCUUGGAUGGAUUCAGUAAGUUUUUAUAUCUCAACCAUCAUUGAAUUACACAUACUCUGAUACACUUUUUCACCAUGCUUUAUAUAUAUUAUAAGAUGGAUUACUAGCACUUGCUUUGGUAGUAUGAUUUGAAAGGAAUCAUUUAAAUAUAGGUGGAAACUAAUAACUCUAGCAUCUCCAAUUCUGCAUGCUAUAAAGGUGUGCCGAUGUAAUCUUAUGAGCAACAAACUUCAAGAAUCAAGAUAGAUUCAUAGAUGGUUAUGUGCUCUAUGCAUUGAGAAAGGGAUUAUGAGUACUGGUUUUCAGGAACAACUUUUGAGUUGGAAUUAAUUAAUUGCUAAGGUUGUUGUUAAUGUAUUGGCAAGAACAGUGAAGUACAAUUUUCUAUUUUAGGUUUUGAGAUUUAAUAUGAACAACUGUAUCUAUUUUGAGUUUGGUAAAGUUUUGGUACAUAGAACUAAAAGCUAUUUAAAGUUGAAAGAAACUAGAAUUUAUUCCACAACCAAGAUAAACAUUGGCAUACAAGUUGUGACAUAGUGCAGUCCUAGAAACUAACUUCUACAUGGGUUGAUAUUUUUCUUGUGCUCAUUGUUUUGUUGCUCUCUGUGUGAAUCCACAGGCAAAGUCUGUGAUGCCGUUGAAGUUGCUGGAAGGAAUGUCAUGUCAACCUCAUCUGUUGUCACGACUGGACUUGUUUCACAGAGGUAAUUCUAGUAUAAGUGUGUUUCAAUUAAUUCCUCAUUGCUUCGGUGAUUCAUACUACUACCUGGUGUGGUCAUAUCACGUAAACCAACUUGUUGAGUUGUGCAAGUUGGCAAAGUUUACGAUGUUGUUCUGUGCUGUUGAGUGUGCCAUAUGGCCAUAAGGUGGGGAGGCUGUUAUCAACUUUUAGUAAGGUCCCAUCCCACUAGUUUUGACAGGGACAUAUAUUGUGAACCUUAUCUUCAAGGUGGCGCAACUUGUUCAUCUGUUUCUGUGUAGCUUGAUAUUUUGAGCUUGUUCUUUGGCCAAGUUCCUUCUUUGGCCCGCAUGUACUCCAUUUUUGCAUGUUUUAUUUUUGUUUUUUUUUAGUCUGCAAUGGCUGAAGGGGAAGCUGAUUUCUUAAUUGUAGGUACGGCGAACCAGCAGCGAAGGUCACAAAUGAAGGGCUUGAUGCUGCAGGGUACGCUAUUGGGACUGCUUGGGCAGUGUUCAAGAUAAGAAAGGCUCUCAACCCGAAGAGUGUUAUCAAGCCUACAACUCUUGCUAAAGCUGCUUCUGAAGCAAAGUCCUCCAAGUCGAACUAAACAAGUAGCAGCAGGUGAUGUGUGCUUUCAGUAGUAGUUUGUUUUUAUUGUAUUGAUUUGUUACUCUGUAAAUUGACAGAUGUUCUUUGAAAAUAGCAAAAUGGCGUCUACUUUGCAUUUAUAUGAUCUGAAUGUCAGUGCACCAAAGGAUAAUAUGUGGUUUGAAUGGCAUCUCCCUUCUUAGCAGUGCAACAUUUUCUCGUUGUAUAACUUGGUUCUUGUAUUCAUUAUUAUCAUAUCGGUAGGUUAAAUGGUCUUCUUAACGAAGUUGGACAUGAUUGUUCACUUGUUCAUCAUUGUAGUCAAAAGAAUAGCUGCACAUGAUAGGCUGUCUUUGCAGAGUUGUUCGAGGCUUAGCUACUAUUGGCCUUUUUGUUACUCUCGUUCAUAAGAAAUGGAAAAGUAUGAUGGUCCUCUAAGCCAAAUCACAGAAAAACAAACGAGUUUUAUAUAUGAGUUCCCUGCUUGUACUGCCAAAGCUGGCUUGCGUUCAUUAACAGAGCACAAGAUGUACAUGAAGGUUGUACUAAAAGCUGGUAAAAACUAUGGGCGCUUGCAGAGGAGACAUCUUAUUCGUCCUCUUGUACAGCACCGAUUAUACGACUUUUAUCAAAGUUCAAAUCUUCAAAUGUACCCAAGUAUACAUCUUCUUGAGUCCCUCAAUAAGUAGUUUUGAAGGGUUUAUAAGACUUCAGAUCUAGAACUACACCGGCGAAAGAGCCAACUGCAGCAACUAUGGAGACGACUAGACAACUCAUACUUAGCAUCUGAAGUCCAAGCCAUCUACUACUCCAUUUCUCAAUCUUCUGUUGAGCAAUGUACAUCUCAACCGGAAAAUAAACAGUUAAUGGCCAGAAUCCAAAGGCUCCAAGUAUCCCAACUACAUCAUUGAAGAAUGGUAGGAGCAUGGAUAUGAGGGUAGUCAAUAUAACAAAAAGGGUCCUCCAUACCAAGCGAAACAGGUUGAGUUGGUAGACACCAUAGAAGGGAAUAGGUAUGUCAUACUCGGCUGUCACAAAGUCGCUUUUUGGCCAUUUUUGUGCACUCCAUUUCUCCACAAAUGCAAAUAAUGGCUGGCAGAAGACCUGCAGGGAGGUUCACUAGGUUAGAACUCGGUGACAUGUAUGGAACUGUAAGUUGACCCUAUGUAAAGAGACCAUUUUUCGACCGCACUGGCAUACCUGAAAUGCACCUACUAGGUGGACAACAAUUGCAACAUUUGCAAUGUCCAGGAGCCAGUAGGGGUUAUAGAAUCCAAAGCCAGUUAAGAGGUUUCCUGGGGCAAGAUCACCAAACGCCGCGUACCCAAAACAUCCACAGAGCAUAUAAAAGACUGUUGUGACAGUGAUGCUGAAUACAGUUGCCUUCUUCAUGGUCUUAUGUUCUGCAGGAGGAGAUCUUAUAGUAUCCUGCGCAGGGCGAUGGACUAAUAGUAAGCAUAUUAACUGAUAUAUAACAUGCAUGCUUCCUGCAUUUCCCAACUAUGUAACUAAUGGAAGUACCUGUAUUUCGAUGAGGACCAAAGAAUAGGAGUAAGCAAAUGCAAUAGCGCCAAGAGCUUGCAUAGUCCUCCACAUCUUUUCUGUAGAUGUGACUACUGUUCCAGAAUGAGUAACUGUCCCUAUGCUAAUACCCAAUAGACUUCCUUUGAAACCCCCAUUUCCUGAUAAAAACAGGAACAAAAUUGCAGCUGUUCAGGAAAGUAUACUCAAAUCCCAAUUAUAUGUACGUAUAAUGGACCAUUAGAUUAUUAGCUGUACCUGCAACUUUGCCAAUGCCAAGUCCAAGGCCAACAGUAGAGUAUGUGAAAGACAUAAUGGCUGCCACUAUAGAAAGCCACCAUACUUCAUUAAAAUCUUUGAUUUGUGAAAAUAUCACCUCUAUGAUUCCAAAUGUUAUCAUAUAACCAUUGCUUGACAUAUGACAUGGAUCUUUCCCUCCACUUUUGUGAUAGCAGUUUGAUCUCUUUAUUGCCCUAUUAGACAAAACAUAUGUAAAUUCUUCACUCUGUUACUAAUAGAUAAAUAGUGUUACAAAAGCUACUAAAAGUUCAAAACCAGAUUACAAAACAAGAUGAACGUGAGGCAACUCACAUCAUGCUGACAGAAGAUGCAAUGGUAUAUCCAAUUGCUACCCCAAACAAAUUCAAGUACUGGACUAAUCCACAUAACAUGACUCUUCUUCCUCCUGCAACUCCAAAUUAAAAUCAAAAUGGUUUGUUUUCUUUACGAGUUUGUUUUUUGAUACGAUAUUUUUUGUUUACGAGUUUUCUUUAUGAGUUGAAAGUAACAUAAAAAACUUCCCUCCCUUACCUAAGUUGGCCUUGACAGCAUCCAUGUAUGUAUAAUUUCUCUGUCCCGUGACAGGGUCACCUGCUCGAUAGCACAUGGCUAGGAGAUUGGAAGUGUACAGAUUGACAAUGGCAAAAAGAGCGAGGACAGUUGGUCCUGCAACCCAACCAAGCUGUGCAAUUGCCCAUGCUAACGAUAGAACUCCAGAUCCUAUAACUGCAGUGAUAAUAUGUGAUGUUGAAGUCCAAAAAGUUCCUGCACCAAAACACCACCAAGUUAUUAUUGAACUAUAUGGCAUCACUUAGACUUGAUUGUCAAGUUACUAUUGAGAAGUUGGUUCUGGUAAGAAAACUCUCACAAAACUGAACCCAAUCAGACCAUCAUGCCGAUUAAGACUUCAUUGCCCACUCUCCAGCUAAAUUAGUGCAGAUAAUAAUAUAACAUGGCAGUCUUACAUGAAGUUCAGUAUAGUUUCAAGUACAAAUCAAAGUGUGUGCAUCAACUACGUAAUUUUAGCAAAUCAAAAUAUGCUAAAUUGGUAAACCUAUGUAGCUAAACUACCUGUUCGCUUAAGGCGACCAUCAUCAUCGAAGCAUUUGGAAUAGUUCGACUGAGGGUUUAUAGCUUCAGAUUCACCGACUUUAGGUUGAACUUCUACUUGCAAAUAGUGCCUGACAUCAUGCCUCUCCUCCACCUGAUAUAGAGGGAAUCAAAAUGAUUUCACCAAACAAACAAAGCUUUUAUUCUUUCUUUUCCUGCAGAAGAAGUUCUGAAAUGAAAAACCAAGUUAUAAUCUCUCACAGCUCCAUGAUGGAUUCUGCUUGGAAGAGUUCGGCUCCUUGGCAACAUUGUUUCAAGGUUGCAGAAUGGAAAAUCAGAAGUACAGGGAGAGUGACAAGAGAAACAAUUGGUGAAGUUGAUGAUGGAUGUUUCAAUACAUGAAGCUAGCUAGUUUUUAUAGGUGAAGAGAAUGACUGACUGAGUACAAAGAAGUAUAGUACUACAGUACAGAAUGAUCAUGUAACACGUUCUACGCUCCCUGAGUGCUUGAUCUCUAAAGUUCAUUCCGCUCCACUUUGAAUCAGAUUAGUUUCACAAACUCACUAUGCAUGGUGUGUUUGAUAAAUACUAGGAUUAAUUAUUGCAUAACUAGGAUUUAGGAAAACAAAACAGGAAAAUGAAGUUUAAUCCUUUGGUAGACCAUAUAUAGAAACAUACAUGUCUUUGCAAACCUUUAGGCUUUAGGAAACAUGCAUCCAUCAUGAAAAUAUAGAAUGAUCAGCUAAAAUAUCUAGAAAAAGUCAGUGAAACAGCCAGUAAUGUAAAAGCGGACAUCUAAAUAGAACUGUACAAGUGAUUACUUAAGAAUUUUAUUUCUGAUGUAUAUCUUUUAGUGGAUUAAUCAAAUAGAGGCACAGUAGACAUUAGGAUAGCUCGGAUCUUUUACACCGUAUGUUCUGAGCUAUGACUCCUUACAUAACUGAUAGCUCCUCCAUUGCUAGCAACAUUUCCAACAGUAUCAACUUUUCCAACAGAUAUCAUCAGCAAAGUGAGCUAGCAUUAAAUUUCAGGUAUACAUCAUUCUGUGUGGGCAUAUAUGCAGUAGUUAUAUUACUUUGUUAAUUUGUUUCUUCUAGUGAUCGAUAUGUAUGCAUGGUUGUUAAGAUUUCAAUUCCAGUAGUACUGUUAAGUAUUGCUUAUUAUGCAAGUGGUAUCAUGUCAACAUCCCACUUUGCGAGUUGGGGCAUGAAAAGGAAUCGAUCAACAAUAUCUAUACCUCUUUUUGUAACACCUUAAUAUUUUACUCAUCCUCUUCUUCCGGACUAAUGCAAAAGCGGGGAGAUACAUAUAUAGGAAGCCCGUAUUAUUAUUUCGAAAGAUACCUGCUCAAUCAUGCAAUUCGAUAUUGGGAGAAUGGAGUCUCCUCGAGUCAACGACUAAUUGACAUCUUAAAGGAAAGCUCUGAAUUCUACAUCUUAUUCAUGGAGGUUUUUACAUGACCCACUAUUAUAUGCUUCGUGACUCACCCUCAACAAUCAACAGCACCAUAUAUGAGAAUGUGAGAUGGUGCCCUAGCUUAUUAACAGCAUAUUGGCUACAGAUUUGUACUGAUUGCCAUUUGGAUUGAUCGUAAGCCCUUUCCAUCAAAUGUGAGAAACGAGUGGUACGGGGUGUUCCAAACACAGACCCUUCCGACUAAAAAUUAUUAUAUGUAAUGUUUUUUUGUUUUUUUUAAAAGGUUUAGAACCCAAACUAAAUGGGAGACUCAACCCUACAUCUGAAUUUUAUAUAUGUCUUGCCGUAUACUCAAUCGACUUGAGUAGCAAGUCCUCCUUAAUUAGUAGAUUUUUCAACUAUAUAUUAGUAAGCAGCUGUACUAUUACAAAAAUUAAUUUGACAAAGCCGUUGUCCCUGAGAAAGAUAUUGGAAACUAUAGCUAUUUCUCGUAGCCAUCAAGUACUGAAACAAGCAGGAUAGUAGACGAUUACCAUUACUGAAACAUGCAAGCAGGAGAGCAUGUAGACGAUAUAAAAAGGCAGGUGAGGUGAGUCAAGUUUUGAGUGAAAUAACAGCUAUGUAUAGGUGAGUGAAUUUUGUCAACUGAGAUAUAUAGGUGUGUGAAACUUGGCGUGAUAUAUGUACAAUAUGCCCCAGCAUACUAAUAAUAGUGUGUGUCAAGCCAAGUCAUGAACCAGAAAUGGUUUUCUCUUAAAAUGCAACAGUCUCGAGCAGUCGAGCCCCCUGCCCCCAUGGUCACGUAAACUAAACCUGCUUGCCAAUGACCUUAAUAUAUUGUCCCUCGCCUAGUUUGCUAUGGCAUCAAACCUUAUUAAUGUACUUGCUCAAAUCUCAGUAACUUCAGUUAAGUCAGUUUGUCGAUGUUAUUUGGAUUAAAAUGCCCCUAACAGCCCCUUACCAAGUUUUUAUAUAUAGAGAGAGGGCAUCGGGAACCCGACUUUUCCCUUUUUUGAACGAUACUUCUUGUUUAAAAAAAAAUAAAAAAUAAAAAAAUAAAAAAAAAACCUUAAAACCUUAGUGUUUUGUCAGAUUUGUCGGGGUGUCGUACACCAAAAAAAAAAANNNNNNNNNNNNNNNNNNNNAAAACCUUAAACCUUGUGUUUUGUCAGAUUUGUCGGGGUGUCGUACACCAAAAAACUAUUUAUCAAGUAGAACGAACUAUGGACACCCAAAUAGAAAAGUAGCAGGCCGGAAUGGCCCAUUCCAGCAACAAGAUUCACAAAAACUAUUCAAAAAACAAAAACAAAGGCCAAAAAAUCUGAAGAAAACAAAACAGUAGCAACCCUAGCCUUGAUGAUUAAUAAUCCUGAAAGCCGCGCUAAGAACCCAACUCCUUCCCCUAAUAUGAAGAACACUGUUCUUAAUUUGGAUCAAAGGCCCCAAACAGGUAGCCUCUUACCAAGUUAUAUUAUAAUUAGUUGGUUGCUAUUCCUUUCUGGCCUGUUUAAUAUUGUGCUUAUAGUGAAUCCUGAGGCCAUUACCUAAAACAUGCAUGCUUGCAUUCUGGUUAUUGUCCAAAACCGGACCCUAUCGCAAGACAAAGAGCUACAGAGAGUUCGAAUUUUUUUCUGAAGCAAAACCAGCACAACUUCAUCUAUAAAGAAUCAUACAUGUCUUCCAUUUCCAUCAACAUCUUUACCUCAUCGAUCUCAAAUUUCUCAAUCCAGUCCUGACCUAGAAUUAAAACCCUUUCAUUUUGGAAUUUGGAAUACCACCAUGCACAAGUUGAUUUGCAGUCUAAACAAUCAAAUAAUGACCCCUCCAGCUCCAACUAGCUUGUGGAAAAACAUCUCGAUCAGUCACACGGACUUCUUGCCGUUCUUACCGACUUGUAUAUAUCGGAGAUCCAUCAUGACAGUAACACUAACUAAUCAAAAUAUUGUAAUCUGGACUAAUAUAUCUACGAUGCCCGCAUAUAUGGACCUGUAUACACUCACAUAUACAAGGAAGGAAGGAUAUGGUUCAUGGAUGCUGCAACUUUGCACACAUAAAAUUGACUCCUCAACUAACUGAGACUUGACAUGCCACUAAUGAAAGUCGGACUGCAGAUAAUUAUAGAUGUUGGAUUUGCUUCAGUUUUCUGAUUUGGGGUUUCUUUUAGUCUCAUUCUUUAUAUUCAAAUCUGGCAUGAAUAUGAUUAUUAUUAUUAAUUCACCGUUAUCAAAGAUUUCGACCUACCCAUCUGUUUGGUCUUCCAAAACCAAUCUUUUAUAGAGGCAAUGAUGCAAUUGCAGGCACCUUAUAUCAAAUUUUACCUACUAUUUUGCUCCCUCCCUCUUUAUAUUUUUGUCUUUUCCCUUUGUUUGGUAAAAAGCAUAUAUAAUAAUCAUGUGACAUCAAACCAAAACAAAUCAGUUAACAAAAGUACCUGUGACGAGGAAUACACACCUACAUAUCAUCUAAUCAAUUAUCGUUGAUGUCACGCAUGAAUAGUCUUCAAUAUAUGCCAAGAAAUGUAUCAUUUCCAGGCCCGGAUUUGAAUAGAGGCAUAAGAGGCUUGGAACUCAGGGCCUAAAAAAAAAAUUUAUAGUUGUCCAAAUUUUUUUUUUUUUUUUUUCAAUAGCUUUUUUGGCUGUGUAAUCUGACAUGAAUUAAAGACAACUAUCUUAAAACAAAGACAAUUACACGUGAUAAGAGACCCAAACCAUCAAUUACUACUUUAAAUUUAUACCCAUAAAAAAGUUAAAAUAUUAAAUAGAAGCAGCCAAACACGAUUAGGUAAAAUAUUGGUUGUAUUGAUAGGAUUUAUAAUACAAUUAAGAUUACUAAACCAUCAAUGUUUUGGAAUCCUAUUUGCAUAAUAAGUAUUUUGCAUAAAAAUCCUAUAUAUUUUUGGAUGUUAUAGGCUAUUUUAUAUAUAUAUAUAUAUAUAUAAAUUAGGACCCAACUCUGAGAGUUCGACUCAGGCCUCAAAAUCUCAGGUCCGGGCCUGAUCAUUUCUCAUCAGUAAGCAAAGGAUUCUAGCUUUCAAUCUGUAUCAGAGUUUAGGGUAUGUCUUUAAUUGUGGUUUUGGUUUCGAGAGGCAUAAAUGAUGCAAUGUCGACGGGAGUUUUAAGCAAAACUACAAGACUAACACCGAAUGGAUCUCACUAUAUCCUUUUGAACCCUUAACCGAUCAUGAUUCAAAAUUGUAGUUCAUAUGGAUCUGUACAUAAGCAAAGCCGACCUGAGGAGGCUGCAAUAUGCUUUCUUCAACCCGGCGUUUAAACUAUAACAAGAAAUUUAUAUAAAAGAGCAGAAGCGGAGCCAGGAUUGGAACCUUAGAGGGGCCGAGAUAUAGAAGAUGAUAGUAUAGAAAAUAAUAAUGUUGAAUGUAACAAGCCAAACAUACUUUAUCAAAUUUUAUAAAAUAAAACAAUUAAAUAAGCUAUACAUCAAUAUAAUUAAUUGCAAAAUCUUGUAAAUUUAAGCAACAUUUUCGUAUUUCCUUUAAUAAAUUAGGUGUAAUUGGCUGUUAAUCUCCCUUUUUUAUGUUCCUUAGUUGUCAUUGUCAUUGAUUAGGGGGGGUUUCAUGAAUGAAUUAACACUAAAUUACUACAAUAGUGUGAGGUUUAUAUAGUGAUUUAUGUUGAGAUAGAUGAUGCUAGGGGGGGGGUCUGGACCCCUUUUAUGACAAAAUGUAGUUCCGCCCCUGUAAAAGAGCGAUAUUUAUCAAUCAUAUAAAACUUCAUGUUAAAGAGACAGAUCUUGAUUGUUUUAAUAUUUUUUAGUAUAUAUAUACAUAUCUAUCUAACGAAGAUACGAGAACGAUCGAGUCUCAUUUCUAGUUUUGGUAUGAACAAGAGUCUCAUUUCUCUAGCUUAAACUUUUAACUUAUAAUUGAAAACCGGCCAAAUUAUUAAAGACCUGAAAUUUUCUUUGGACGUAGAGUACUCCGGCCAUUGUAUUGAUAAUCAAUGUGAAUAAUAGCUAACAUACAACAUGACAUGUGAGGUUUAAUUAGAUAAAAGAACAUUAUCGAGUAUCGGCUUAUCUCUCACUCUCACAUACGUUUACAAGAUAUAUAAAGCCAGAAGAGGAUUGUAGGGCAGGUAGGGAGAUUUAUUAAUAAGGAGAUGACAUGGGUCGAUGAAGCUGGUGAAUAUUAUUAAUCAAAAUUCUCCAAAUAAAGAAAAAUACAUAUACGAGAGUUUGAUAGCUAGUGAAUAUGACAUAAAGUUGACUGAUAUUCUAGAGGGACUUCUGGGAUCCAUCACCAUCAACCUAGCGACCACCACCUAACAACUUCGACAUCCAUACACCUCACCCACAUAUACAUACACUUCCAGAUCCCUUUGCCCUCGAUCUCAACUAGUUCUCUCCAACUCUCACCAUGUCUAUGCCCCUUUUUAUUAGCCUUCUUAAUUAGGCUUCUUUAUCCCUAAUUGUUAGACAACGACACAAUAUCGGUACAAUAAUAAUCCAUAUACAACGUUUGUUUGUUAUUGUUUAAUUAUAAUCCUUGUUAGUUUCAUGAAGCUACCGUGCACCUUUCCAGCACCAAACUCUGUUCACUACUUUCCUUACCGGCCGGACUUCUUCUAUCUUGCGCUGGUUUCUUCUUAACAUGUCCCCUUUAGUUCCUGGACAAUAAUCGAUUAACAUUAAGGAAAUGGAUUCUAUAGUUGGCCAACUCUUUGUCUUGUUAUUACUUGACCUUGAAUUGGAAUCUGUCGUCGUAAUGAACUCAAGUGUUUUCUUAAUUUUGUCACUUGGGGGGCGUAAAAGACAAAUGCUAGCUCGACCCUUCCUUUGAACAAUGGAAUUGAAACGUAUGCUACAAAUGCUAGCUCGACCCUUCUUUUGAAUAAUCUAAUUGAAACGUAUGCCAGGCAUAAGCUAUUCAUGGAAACAAGAUGCAUGAAGAAACUAUAGUAAGGGUCUAAGAGGAAGGAUGAAGCUAGGAGAUGAGUAAGCUAAGAGAAUCAAGUAAUUAAGUUUAGAUUAAGGUAGUAUAUAUGUGAUUCAUUUAGUUGGAAUGAAGCUCAGGUUGCACCUUCUUUCACCCAAUACCAAAACGUACUAUAUAUUAUGUCGGGUUGGGGUACUGGACAUGCAUGCCUGCAGGUAUCGAUCAGUAUAAUCAAAUUAUUCAUACCAACGACACUUAGCUUGUUCUUGUUGGUAAAUAAUAUUCAAUCUGAAUAAUGUUUACACCCAAAUUAAUAUUUUACUGGACAGUAAUUGUCUAAAGUGAAUGUUAAUUAAAUUCAUGGUCCACACCGGCGAGCCCGAGUAAUAUUGGGUUUACUAGAAGCGGGUCACCUCGCCUACAAAGUCAUGCGAGCUCGAUUGAAGUUGGCGCAGAGUUGACUUUACAUGAGAAGAUUUCGUGUGGUACUAAGAGAGAGACGUGAACUGUGAGCCGCCAACAUGAUUAGAUAAGAGGCAAUUAUCUUUAAUUGUUUGAAGGAGCGAUCUCGCAUGUGAUGUCUUCUUUAAUUAAUAAACAUCUUGACGCGACCCGUGCAUGGCUUAUGAGUAUCUCGAUGGCAUCUCAAGGAAUCUCGCCAGCAUCCCGCCGUUCCCUUGAAUAAAGAAAGGAGUGGUGUUUAAUUGCAUGAUUGAGCCGUACGUGAGCAUGCAUNNNNNNNNNNNNNNNNNNNNGAUCAUUCAUACUUCUAUAUGAUUAAGGAGAUGUAUGAUUAAAUGGAUUUGGACGGGAGUGCAAUUAUGUUUGACAUAUAGACGUGAAGCAUAUGAUUACUCCUAAUUCUAGUUGAUUAAGGAGAUAUACAUGCAAGCUGUGCAUAUCUGUUUUGCAUACACGUCCAGAGUUAUAGUAUUUCAAUUGAAGAAGGAGACAAUUAUCCAUGCUUGGCUUGAAGGACAACACGAGCAUGUGUUGCUUGCAUGAGAAGGGGUUGGUUCUAUUCCUUAAUCAUGUGUACAUGAUACGUAUGCACAUCUAACAUGAUAAGCUUAGAAGGCCUUUAGGUCUCCACGAAGUGAUUAACAUCGCGUACGCCACAUUUAUCGUUGAAGACUUCUACAAGUCUUUGAUAUGCUUUGGGCCAAUACCAGUGGCCCUAAAUAGCUCUAUAUAAGAGAGUUCGAGUAGACCCUCUAGACACAAUCAAUCAUACAAAACAACUGCAAAUCUUCGAGAUCCUCGAAACCCUAAGUUCUAAGUGCACCUCGCCUUAGAUCUCAGAGCCCGUCUGGACUCGCCUCUCUUUCCCAAUUGUUGCUCUGCUCGCUUCGAACAGUGAGUAUCGAUUCACAGGUGACUAGAUAGUUUGCUCGUAAUUCCUCGCCCGCGAGGUGACACCGGAGCUCUACUUCGCCUGAUUAGAAGUCAAGAACGCGCACCGUUCUCGUUCCGCGUCCGCGCGGUGGCACGCCCUGCAAACCCUAAUUUACUUUAGGUAGCACAAGUUACCUCUCUACCCCUGCUGAGGAUCGUGACCAAAACAAAUAAUACGAAUUAAUAUAUAAACAACGAAGGCCUUGACCCUAGCUAACACAUUAUACAAUACGGAUACAAUGCAUCUUCGACGUACAUUGAUCAUCUUGUUAAUUCUUUUCUUCUUUUUUCGUUAAUGAUGUGAUAGCUCUGUAACUCCUGCAUCAGCCAUGGACAUUUAAAAACUUAAGAGUACGUAAGGUUUAAGCUCUAAAAAUGUCAACUUAAUAAGCAUUUUUGGAGGGAGAUCGAUCCACCGGUACGUCGUUACAUGUUAGUUUUGGGAGCUUUACUUGUAAAGUUAUUAAAAUUUUAUUUCUUAAUUUCAACAUUUAGAUGAUUAUAUUCCUUCGAUCAACCUUUAAGCCUCGAUCAAUAAAACCCUAAUUCCAGCGGUCAGAGCUUGCAAAAGUCCAAAUGCAUUAUUGGCUUAAUUUAAGUCUCCAAAAUAUAUAUAAGACUAGUAGAGUAGCGGCAGGUGAGGGUUAGGUUUAAUUUGUGUUAAUCUAUAAUUCAGAUUGUAGCUUACAGUAGUAGUCGUAUCCCUGCAAAUAUUUAAACGAAUCUGCAGAUCUGCUAUAUCAUAGUAUCAUACAUUCACGUCCUAGGAAAACAAACACAUUAUUCUUACUGGUACGUUUAUAAAAUGUAGUUGUCUGAUUAAGCAUGGCAAUCUAAUGAAAAUGGGCUAAAAGCUAGCUAGCUCAUAGACUCAUAACUCAUUGUAUAUUGUUGCAUAGUAUUGUUGAAUAUUAGGUACUGUUUGCUCAUAGAUCCGAGUUAUUGGAUGUCAACAUAUAUGCAUGCAUGUUCUUCUGGUUCCAGUCGAAUAUAUUUAGAAAGAAACCCUAAUUUAACUACUGACUAGGACUUGGAGAAGAACACGACGGCAGGAUAGGUGAAAGAAAGAUAAUAUGAUAUAUUACACAGCAACUAAUUAAGUAAUUAAUCAGGUGACCUCAGUAGUUAGCAGGAGAAGAAAACCAGAAGCAGAAAAGAGAAAAAAAAAAGAAAACAGAGGAAGUGUCUGGCCAGCUGAGAAGGAAAGAAGGAAGAAGAAGAUCGAAGAAGAACGUCGAAUUCUGUUUGCUUCUGCUGAUAUCUCUAUUUCCGUAUAUUAUAAGGCUAUUAUAAAACUGACUGUCGUAGAGAUGGGGUAAAGGAAAGGAAUGGCGGGGCCCAGAGGCAGCAGCGGGAAGGUGGUGGAGGGUGGGGCCACCGCCGCAAGCCAACGACGACGUCGGACGGCCCCAAAACGAGGGGAGUUGGUAGCGUCUUGGACAGAGACCCUCCUUUCCUUUUCAGUCAGAGACGACGACGACGGCGACGUAUCAAACCCUAGCUAGCUAUUCCUUCUACGUUCUUUGUUUUGCCCUUAUAUUAUCCAACCAUUUACGGCGCUGCCAUAUACCAUGUUAAACCAGUCACUGUUGUUUGAUUUAGACCUAACAUUCCUGAGAAUAAAGCUCCAUUUCUUUUUUUUCGACAAGUAAUAAAGCUCCAUUUCGAUGGAAACCCUGGCUAGCUAGGGAUUUAGUGGGCGUUAAAGUUGGAUCUUUUGGCUACACUGUGUCACUGUACGUUGAUUAGUUAUGUAUAGAAGAACCUAAUCCUUUCUAAUUCAAACACACAUCAAUAAAACUAAAAUUCUUGUAAAUAUUACUUUCUCCGUAUAAAACUUCAAUUUGUAAAUAAUACUUGAAUAACAGUUGAAGUUAAAGACUUAUUUUGCAAGGAAUUAAGAACAUAGGAGAGCCGUGACCUGGUUAAGUAUUAUAGACUCAAACUUCACUAACAUAUAUUUUCAAAUAAUAACCAACUUACCCAGGGACACCUGCCCACAAUUUCUUAAAGAUGCUAAUUAAUGCAUCAAGCUAAAGGCAAUGUGGAUAAAUAGUUGGCUACACCAAGCUAUUUGACAUUCAAUUAAAUUUUAGCGAUGGGAGAGGAAGCUAGCUAGGGGCAAUGUGGAGCAUAAUGGUGAAGUAUUAUUAGUCUUACACAUGCUCAUGUGGGACUCUCCCAGAAAAUAUAGUAGAUCAUGGACCCUGAUGCUUAUAUAUUGCAUAUUUUUGUCAUUAAGUUGGACAUGUUAUGAUCUAGCAACAGUUGGGAUAUUGUACCUUUCUACCAAACCAAAGUUGGGUACUUGAGUAUAUAUGAUGCACUUAGCUUCAUUAUUGAAUCCCUAAGGUCAUUUAGGUAAAACCCCAAUGGAUCCAGAGAAGAAACCCUAGAGCAACCAUAGUGAUAGAGAGGGGAACAAGCUCAAAUGAUUAGGUUAAAAAUAGCAGAAUUUUUUUUUUCUUUGGAUUAAUAAUUAGUGAGAAGAAAGAAAGGAAGGAAAAUAUCUCGAUGGAAGCUUCCAAUGGUUCUACCUAACACCUUUGAAAAAGAAAACGCAAUGUAGGAAAAGUUUGCAAUUUCUUUUUCUCAAUGUGGGAUGGCAUUGCCUUUUGUUUUUGUUUGAUUUAAAUUUUACUUUUCGUAUUAUUUGGAACAUUGUGGUGCGUCGUUUUGUUCAUGACCGUCUCUAUGUCUUGGACUCUUGGAUUUGCUUUUGGGGAAAUGGAAGUCUUUCUUCUUUGGGAGAUUUUGUCUGCCUCAUCCAGCUAACAUAAACAUAGUGCAUGAAACAACCAUGAUAAGUAUGGUGAUUUAGAAUACACGGUAGAAAUGUUGCUAUGAUUGAAGAAUUGGUGGUCACGGAUCAUCAAGUCGAAAUUCCAGAGAAGAGAGGGAAGGGGGAACUGCUAGCUCGAUCGAUGAAUUUGAUUUGCCAUUGUCGUUCUGGUCGGACCCAAGUGACAUAAUAAACCAAUUGAACUAGAUGCUUGCUUGUUGAUGAAAUUUGGAUGGUGGGUGUGACUCAUUGACAUCCUCUUUCGUCAAAUUCAUGAUCAUGAAGCAAGCAGUAUGCGAACUAUAACCAUAUGAAAAACCAUGUAGCUAUAGUCAUUACAAAUUAAGUUAUAGAGGUUUCACUUUUAUGGUUAUAUAAGAAGGUAUGACAUAGUUAAACUUGUUGUCUUUCAAUGUUGUCCAUCAAAGUUUAUACGCGCGAGUCUCCUCCUCAACGUUCUUAAUCGUGGGAGGGUGACUUAUAAUGAAGGUCACCGGCCAGUUUAGAACCCUAAUUCUCUACUCUCUAAUUAAAGAGAAAAUGAUCAUGAAAAAUAAAAUUUGAAAUGUAUGCCGGGCAAUAAUAAUCAAACAUUAUGAUAGUCAGACAGAUGGAUUUCUAGGAUGGCAAAUUCUUAGCUAAUAAACAAUGGCCUAGCUAGCCUUUAAGUAAUAAACAAGCUCGUUGCCUAAUGGAAUUAUUAGCCUUAGAGUUUACACCCUUUUUUUUUUUUUUUUUUUUUUCCGGAUAUAAUUCAGUUCCAACUAUCUGGGCAUAUAUACUCUAGCGUUCUUAAGCCAAUGACUAAAAUGAAAACAAGAGUCUAUCUGUCAUUCUAAACCGAAGAAGAAAAUCAUUUUUUCUGUUACUGUGGUUGACGAAUUAGCUGUGGAAUAUGUACGUAUCUGGUAGCUCUACUUUUCUAGGUAUAACAUAACAAUCUGGUUCUAAAUGGAGUCAACAAAUAAGCUAGGGGUUUCAACUCUUCUAGUUAUGAUCAAGUCUUGGUGGCUGGUGUGCCUCUCAAUUUGGAUCAAAUGAUUUCCAGCAGCUUCGAUCUGGGUUGUUCGUUAGUCAAGCCACCAGUUGAUCGAGAGCACGCAGCCCCUACAAUGGAAGGAGGUUCGAUCAAAAGAAUAGAGUUGACUCUUCAAGUCUAAUCAAUUUGUUUGAACAAUUUGUUUGAAGAGACUUCAAUUCUUGAUAACCAAUUUCUUAUAUAUUUAUGAACACCGACUUCGUGUUUCCUAAUUCAACGAUUUUAUACUUCUCCAUGUUGUUAAAUCUGUUAUAUACUUAUUGGAGGUAGCUGGUCGCACCAACUUACAUAAAAUUAAGCCUUUUCUUGUCAAUCAAUCCAUCAAAAUACGUUAUCCUAGCUAUAAAUCUAUAUGCUAAUCAUUUCAGAUAGAUUUUUCUUGCUUCUGAAUUGUAAUUGUUGAACACCAUAAUCUGUAAAUAAACCAUAUGGUUGAUUACGAGUUGUACGUACGUAUCUCUUUAACAGUAAUACAAUUCUGUUAUACGCCUAUAUAUACCCUUUAAUAGAAGAGUUACAUAUGAUGGGUGCCGAAUUGGUUGUCCAUACUAUGCAGUGAUUUGGUGACUUGAUCUCUUUCAAAAUGUAUGCGAGGACUCUUGCUUAUGCUUUCAAGGCUAGCAAUCUCCUUCAACAAUGUUCAUCGUCUUAAUAAUAACACAUUUAGAUCGCAACAUUGUUGUGUUUUUGACCAGAUGAUCGAUAGAUCACCACAAUGGUAUUGUAUGCGGCAUGACAAACAAUUCAAUAUGUGAUUUAUGCGAAAUAGUUGCCCCAAAAAAACACUAUGAAACGACUACCAUAGGCUAUGAUGAAAAUCUAACAUAACUAUUUUCCAAGUUCCAACUCCGAAAGAGGUCUUACAAAGAAGGAGAAGAUCGAAAACUCAAAAUGAACAAGGGCGGGAAAUGUAGCUAGCUAGGUAUGGUGUUCUUCAUUUUGGCAUUAUAAUGAAUGAAUGAAAGAAUGAAUGAAUAGUAGGGUCUGGUAGGUUGGCUGGAGGACACCAUGGAGAUAAUUUAAAGGGUAAGAGGUUUGGUAGAGGGAUGGUACUACGGACAGUUGUUAGUUCCUUCACGCUUUUUAAAUAAUUUGUUUUUUUGGGGGACCUUUAACUAAAGAAGGGAUAGGUUACCCACCACUCCCUAUCUUCCUCAUUUCUCCUCCUCUCAGAGCUUAUCCAUUUCCUUCCCUAAUAAAAAUCCCAUGCCCUUCUUCAACAACAAGACAAAACCCCCCAAUAAAGAAUCUAUCAUCAACACAUUCAAAUUCAAUGUUAUAAUUCAUUGCGAAUUUAGAAAUAAAUAAAUGAACCAUAAAUGUGAGUUUGAAUAUCUACCAUAAGGGAGGUAGAAGUGAAACUUGUUCCAACGGUAGAGGCAUAAGAAUCAUCAUGAGUGUAUACGUGUAUCGAGCCUUUUUGAUGCAGGUAAGAACCUAACAAAAGCAUAACAAUUACAUUUUAAAACUUUUUUCACUUUUUUUUUCAUUCAUGUCGAUCAAAAUGAAAAACCGACCUAACAAAGAGAAAAAUCUGAUUAGACGAAUUAAGAUAAAAAAGACUCGUAUCGUAACUGAACCAACUUAUUUAUCACAAAAUUAACUUCUCACUAUUCUUGAUUCGGGUUGAUUUAAACAAAGCAAUUACAACUAGAAUAUUUACCAACUCUUUCUUAACUUUGCUGGUAACAACAACCACCAUAACAUAGAGCAUUUAACACCAUUUGUAAAAAUAGAAAAGAAAAGAAAUAAAAACAUCAGUUGAAGAUUUGGUGUGAGUCUGACAAACCCAAUUUGUCCUUUCAAGAGGAAAGAAACAAUUUCUUCUUUUUUUUUUUCUUGUUCAAACAGAAGACAAUUCACAUUCAGAUAAAUGAUCAAAGGAAUUUCCCCAAUCAGCUGUACUGGUAUUUAUACUAAAUAUGCUCUAAUAGUCAUAAAAAUUAGAGACAUAAGAGGGAAAACAUCAAGGGAUUAAUAUCAGCAAUCUCUUUCUGAUCAUUCCCCCACUCAACUUAAAACUACAUAUUACAAUUUCAUGACUCCAACUAAUCAUUCUUAUUUCAUCUCCAAGCUUCUGUAAUCCAACACCCCAUUUUUCAACCCCAAGAAAUCAUAAGCAAUAUUACUAGUGCCAGCACUGGUGGCACCAAUAUUAUCAAUCCCACAGCUACUGCAACUCUUUGAGUCCUUUAACCCCAUACUGCAAGAAAAGCAGAAAGCCCUUCUUCCUCCACUCUUCAAAGACUGAUCAGCUGGUUUGAUCUGGCUAGGAGGACUAAUUCUAAGCUCAAGAUUCAAAUCUGGACACUUUUCUUGAACUGGGCUAAUCAGUGAGUCUCUGCUGCUCACAAUCCCAAUACUACUGGUGCUGAUUUUCUGAUCUUCUUCUUUAAUAGCAGAAGAAGCAGCAAAAGAGAUAGUAGUGGUGGUUGUGGCAGAGUCCUGAGUAGUAGGAGUUGUUGUUUCAUUGAGUGGCCUGUGAGUUGCAGGGUCUAUACCUCUUGUCAAAAGCUUCCUUCUUAUAUGGGUAUUCCAGUAAUUCUUUAUCUCAUUGUCUGUUCUUCCCGGCAGUCUCCCGGCAAUCAAAGACCAUCUAAAAGAGAACCCAAACAAAACCCGUUAAUGUUAAACAACCCAAAAAGCUAGCUUGCACACAACUUGAAAAAGUUUGUGUCUUUUUGCUCUCCCUAGUAAGUAAAUACUUACUUGUUCCCAAGGAGGCUAUGGAGCUUGAUGAUGAGCUCAUCUUCUUCUUCAGUGAAGUUGCCGCGCUUGAGGUCCGGUCUGAGGUAGUUGAUCCACCGCAGCCUACAGCUCUUGCCGCAGCGAAGAAGGCCGGCGGCUUUGGGCAGCGAGCGCCAGCAGCCUUCACCGUGAGCUCGGAUAUAAGCAAUGAGGCGAUCAUCUUCUUCUUUGGUCCAAGCUCCUUUGUUCGUGUGAGCCUUUUCACAGCAUGGAGAUCUCCCCAUUAAGCAAAGUUGACGACUUUAAGUUGCAGCAGCUGCUAGAGAUGUUCUUGGCUCUGGUUUUGUUGGGGGCAGUAGAACUGGAAAUGGUAGAGGAGUUGCUAUUUGUAUUUGCUGAAACAUAAAGGCCGGCCCUUGUGGAGGACUUGGCGUAUGAUUUUAUAGGCUUUUGACUAAAAGAGAGAGAGAAGAGAGAAGGGACCCUAAUUGCUUCUAGAUGCGAGUUGGUGAGACAGGUUAGAGGGGAGUGGCUGGUGGCCUCUCUUCACUUGAUCAUAUAUACUAUGGCAUCAAUCACAUAUAAUAAGUUAAAGGGACAUUAACUGAGGCCCUACAGGUAAACCUCAGGUAGGUGUAAAGUAAGGUUGGGGAAGAUGGGUGAGGUUUUUCGGGUUCUCUGUACUGUUCCGGAGUUUAUCUCCUUCUGAGUCGUUAGAUUAGCUUAAUUGUGCGCGAUGGUCUGCAAAUAAAUAUUAGAACAUUGUAGAAAUUUUAGAGAUUUACAAAUUCUUUGUGAUAUGCUGGUGUCCAAAAACUAGAAGAUAAAAUGAACUCGAGUUUGCCUCACUAGACAACGUAAUAGGAUUAUAUUAAUGAUGUAGUUGGUAGGUGUCCAAUUGACCAUACUCACUGACCAUGAGACUUGAUUUGAAUUUUGAUUAUUUCAACUGGUUUUGGCUUUGAAUUCUUCAGACCUUCCAAUGGAAUGUCAUCAUGAUCCAGCAGCUGAUCAGUAAAUGUGGAUUGCAGGAGGUAGAGUGGGGGAUUUACAAGCAUAUGUUUGGACUUGGAUGAACUGAGGCAGAUUCAUAAAGCAAUGAAUUCUUUUAUAAGUUUGUUGGUAGUGGGUUUUUGGGAAGAAAGGUCACAAGUGGUUUGGCUAUUCUUGUGCAUAAGUACAGAGAUGGUAGUUGUGGUUCUUUAUUCUGUUGGUAAAUGCAUGAGAGAGAGAGAGAGAGAGAGAGAGAGAGAGGGCUUCUAGAAGAGAUGAUGAGAGGGAGGAGGGUAUACGAAAAGAUAAAUGAGUGUGGUUGUAGUUGUAGUUGUAUGUGGGCUUUGGUUCACCCUCCACUUUUCCUUUUCAUCCCCAACCUUGUGGUGCAAGUUUAGGCAACAAAAGAGGGGUAGGGUUAGGGAUGGGAAGGUCUUGAUUCACUUUUUGUUGUUAUCUCCCUCCCCAAUUUGCAAAUUAUUUGUUACCCACCACACCAUACCACACCACAAGUGCACUCUCUCUCUCAUCAUGAAAUUCAAGUGGAAGGUAGGAGUUAAAAGGAUCAUGGGAAGAGGUUGUUUUCAAAGGAGGGAAGAGAGUGAGAGAAAGGUCCACUUGUGUUAUUAUUUGUGUGUGUGUGUAUUUCUUUCACCUACCUUUUCAUCCUUUCUGAACUGUCCUGGCAGCCACCCUAAGUCCAAACUCUGCCCCUUUCCCUCUGAUGUUGAACCCUUUGGCAUGAUUUAAUGAUUUUUGAUCUCAUUUCCCCCACAAACAACUUGCUUCCCCUUUCCUCCUCUCAAAACCCACCUACAUAACCUCAUCCAUAGCUGUUGCAUUAAAUCCAUUACCAUAAACUAGCAACAGAAAAAUCCCUCUAAGCCAAAAACCAAAUCAAUAAGAUGUUGUUUGUUAAACUUAGUAAUAACCAAAUUGCACACUUUGUGCAAUUUUCUUUUCCUCACAAAACCCACAUGCAUAACCACCGCAGGUAGAUCUAAGAAGAUGGCUGAAGCUACUCAACUGAUAAAGUGUUCGAUAAAUCGUCUCAGAGAAACUAAGACAAUCAUAAAUAAUCAAGUGGCACGAAAUAUAACGUAAAUCAUUUCCAUCUAGAGCGCAGUAAGAUUGAUUCUAACCUCUCAACAAUCGCCAUUCUCAACGAACUGCACUCAAUGAUUGCCUAAGUGUUAGGCUGUGUUUGUAGAUCACACAAGUGAUUAAGCAGCAGAAUGGUCUCUAUCUGCAACCAGUUUUUCCUACAUUAGCACAUGGACAAUGAAGCACAAUUAGACACUAAACGUGGAAUAAGAAUCAAAUUAGAAUUAGAAUUAGGUAAAAUUGGUUAAAGGGACUUGAUCAGGGUUCUGGAUCGAAGAACAUACUCACACAAUCAGUGGUGACCAGCCAGCACAUGAACACGUGGAGAUCAUGUGCUUAGGUAGAGAGGCGACUCGUGGGACAGUGGGGGAGUGUCCCUUUGAAACCCUUUUACCUACCACUUUGGCUGCCCUCCCCUUCCCCAUGUGGGGCUCUUUAGGGGUCUCUAUUUCUCAAUGACCCACCAUUGGUGUAUAACUGGAUAUAGAGCUUCAUAAAAUUUGGGGUUCCUCCUCCUACUGAAACGUUCCUAGUAUUUGGAUAUAGACAACAUCCAUUUCCCUAUAGAUUAAUUUCCUACCAUAUUAUAGGGGAGGCUGGACUUCAAUCCAGGUCCUCAACAUUGGCCACCAUCUACUAUCUUACCGGCUACUAUGACUAUCACCAACCAAACCAUGUUUUAAGGACUUAACCAAAGAGCACAUAAAUGACACAAAAGAAGGUGAUCAAGAAGGAAUGCCAAUCAGAAUGAAGUAGGUCCAGUACUAUAUCGGGGUUAAUGACAUACCUUUGGUGAAGCAUACCAGUUUGCGAAGGAAAGUGCUAAUCUGAUGUAAGAAGCAGAAUAAUGAAAGAAACAAAACUGUUUAACAUGCCAGUGUGCCUGGUCAUUCCAUAACCAACUAUCUUUAUAGGAUGUCAUAUUCUAUGAUUUAUAAGUCCUCAUGUCAGCUGUGCAAAUAUAAUGUUUACUUCAAAAUGACUCAAAAGUUCUACUUGUAUGAUGUAUCUAGUAGUAAAUGUAGCAGCUAAGCUGCACUGAAGGAAUGAGUUAUUAAUGUCAUCAAAGAUGAGAAGUACAGACCUCUCUCAGAUCUAAUCGAAAAUAAAACUAAAAAACUAAAUUCAUAAGGGAUCGAAAGUAUUCAGCUGAGCAAGUCUACAUUCUUUUGCGAGCUUCAUACAAGUAGCCCAGGAUCACAACAGCAGCACAAACUGCAACUCCAACUGCGCCUUGUGCCAGUACGGUGCUAUCCUUUGCAAUGAUCUUAGAGGAACUUGAAGUAAACCCAAGCUCAGAGAGUUUCUUAUGUGAUUCAGCAUAAUCUCUGAAGAAUGCCUCCUCAUCCUGCCAUUGCCAAAUUUUAGCAAAUGAGAAAACAGAAAGCAUAGAAAAUAGAGACAUCAAAAUCUGAACAGCAUUUCCACAUCUCUUAUCCUAUAAUUCUUCCCCCUCCGGUUACUCCCAUUUCAAGGUCUCACUCCUCAUCCAAAUCCCAUGGGGUACUUUCAUACCCCAUCUUCACAUGUUCACUCCUCAUUUCUUUUUCCAUAUAAACGUGGAGAUGUACACCCGUAAUUUAUCUAUAAUGAUGCACGUUCUAAAAGAAAUAACCUAAUAAAGCAUUACCUAACUUAACGAAUGCCAAUGAUACCAUUAUAAAAGUAAGUAUGGGACGGGACAGGUCACCAACCAUCCUCAUCUCCAUCAGCGAGUCACCCAUUUUGGGUAGUCAAUUCCCAUCCCAAGAAGCACAAUCACCUGAAGGGCUGUUCUAUUGCCACAAUACAGCAAUGAGCCAAGUCUAACCCAGUAUUAAUUACAAUCACCUCAGCAAAGUCUAUUGUAGAAUUGAUUACACUAGUACGUAGGAGACCAUCAUGUUUACGUCAACACAGAAGUCACAGGGACAUUCAUUUUAAAAAAGAAAGAACAAGAAGAAGUCGCAUGGACUUGAUAAAACUUCGAUUAGAAGCAAAAAUAACAAGAAGGCUACUAUACUCGAGUGGUCUCCAUUCCUAGUUCAUAAGAACAAAAGCUCUUAAUCCAGACCAAAACCUGUUGUAGUGGGAUUGUUUAAAAUCUACCAGGGGAUAAUACAAAGUAAGCCAACAUAUAGAUAGCCCAAUCAAACUCAACCAAUUUCCAAGUGGUUCGAGGUUAGGGUUGACCAGAUUAUGCACCAAGGGAAAAUCAGUCAGGCACAUUUGAUAAUGUCAUAAAGGCAGCACCAACUCCUAUGUAAUACUAAAAGCAGUUCUGAAAGUCCCAAGACUGUAGUCAAGCAGGACUGAGCUAUACAAUAUUUUCCAGCAGUAAGAUAGAACUAAACAAGCUCAUAUUACCUUUGCAUAUAGCUCAACAAAUUUACGGAACUCAGCAUCAUCUAACAGAGCUGUAUCUGAUGGGAGUUUCAGCAAUCCCUGUGAUUCGCCUUUCAGCAAUUCUCUGGUAUCAACAAUAAGUACACAUGUAUUCAGACCAGAAUGAAAAGAGUACAAAUGCAUGAAAGACAUGCAUCCGUUAUAAUAUACAAUUAUGAAAUUUUCACCAUCAUGUUCAAGUCUUACAUGAAGUAUGAGUUAUCAAACUUCAGGGGUUCCUGAGUCCAAGGACCAUCAAAACCAGAUCUCUCCGGAUGUGCCCUUCCCUACAAGGCAAUAAAAGAUUAGCACAGAAUGAGCAUGUGAUCUAUCUAAUACUAAAGCAAAGCUAUAAAGAGAAACAAAAGGAAUAUUUACCAGUGUAUGAGCCCCAGAGAGUGCAACAAUAUCCUUGUCAGAUAACCCCAUUCGAUAGAAGAUGUCCCUCAGAUGUGGUGCCCCUAUAAUUGGAAGUUCAAUCAACAGAAAUUCAACAUACAUAUUACUCAACAUAAAUUGCUGAAGCAACGGAAACACACAAACACGGGAUACGUAAGCUAUAGCAUGCUCAAUUACAUUAACAAAGCAAGGAUAAACGGCGCCCAGGAAAGGAGGCCUUGGGCAGGGAUGAUGGAGUUCAACAUGGGAGCAAGCAGCUACUAGAAAUGCCAGAGCUUCAAAAAUAAUUGUCAUAACAUGUAUUUAUAUCUUUAAGUAUAUUUGAAGAAAAGCUUUACUUAUAGUUCCCCAUAAAAUAUUAUAGUGUUUCAACAACAAAGAAUAGAGCUGAUAUAUUGUGACUUGGAUUACUUCAGUCUCCGCAUGAAUCAUAAGUGUUUCCCAAUUCACUUUAAAAAGACAUAAAAGAGGACCUCAAUACCAAAUCCAUCUCAUCGCUCUAUACCGCAUACUUCUAUCAGAUGGAAACUCAAGCUAUGUGUACAGACCAGAAUUUGGAAGAAAAUAAUGAAUCAAGUUGACAUGAUCCAAUAAGAUCUGAACUGCUCUCUUAUUUGUUCUCCUCAUUUUGCACUACAAAGCACCGAAUAGAAUGCCAAUAUAUAACAAAAAUGUUACUAGCAGACCUCUCAUCAGCUCAUCUAGUUUAACUAGAAAAACUCUAAAACUUCCUGAAAAUGAAUAACAUUCAAGAAGCUAUGAUCAAGUCGAGAUGCUAGCAUGAAGCAAACCAGAAGACCAAUAUAUUUGCAAAGGCUGUAUGAAACUUGCAAAAUCCUAUGAAAGGUAUUGCAACAUACCUCUUUUAGCAUCUGGAAGUCGUCCUUCCCUCGGAGAAAUUUUUGAAUCCUAAGCAUAACGAAAAAACUCUUAGAUAGAAAACAAUUGACAUGCAAUUUGAAAAGCAAUUAUGAUGAAAAGAGCUAUUAUCUUAAAAUAAGAAAGUGACCCAGUACAUACCUUCCUGCCAGGAGUAAAAUCAACAGUGGGGCCUCCAGUGACCUCAACAGCAACAACACCAGCAAGCUAAAAAUGAAGUAAUUUUAUCCUUUAUUAGCUUCAUUGAAGUAUCCAUGCUAUGUCCAAGAAACUUAAGGAAAAUACUAGUAUUUUAGUUUGGAAAGCCAGAGUCACUUUUGUAAAACUAUAAUCACCUGGUAUAGGUCUGCAUAUGUAAUCCUUGGAUGCUUAGACUUUACUUCCUCUGACAUCAGAAAAAGAAGCAUCCGUCAUACAAGUAUGAUGAAUAACGCAGUGGAAUAAUUCUACGUGAUUCACAAUUCAAUGUAGUUACUGUAGAUUAGUAAUCAUAAUAUCUUACACUAUAGCCAGAAGCAUAUAAAUUUUUACAGUGUUGUCACUAAUAUUUCUGUAGAUUUUUUUAUUUUUUUAUUUAUACAAAUGGCGUCUAAAGCUUCCGAAACUAAGGAUUCUCCAUCCGGUCUUCUACAUUACAUAUACAAGACAGUAAAAACAAAGGAAAUAAACUGUCUACAAGGACUUGAGCUAUCCAAAUUGCAAACAAGAGCAGUAUUACCGUACAAUUACAGUCACACAAGCAACAAUCACAAAUCCAAAUUAACCUGUGUUUGUUUAAUGUGUAAAAUACUUUCUCCAAUUCUAAGAUAAAUAUUAACAAUAAAAAGUAAGUCAAUCACGAAUUCAUAGACGAACGAUAUGAACAUACCGCAAAAAUCAACAGCUUUCUUCAAUCCACUAUUAGCGCCGUGAGUAUACUCUUCCUCAUUCCUAAUCGAACCAUUAGGUCCGCCGGUCUUCGUCUUCGCAUCGUAAGUACCAGCAUCGUGCCACCUACACAUCACGGCGAUUACAAUUCCAAUCAAAAUCCGUGCAAGUAAUCACAUGCAACUAUGAACACAGCGAGUGACAUUUACGUUUAGCUACAGUAAACAAAGAACAAUCCAACCGAUAUUCAGUCAAUUUUCUCUUGAUUUUUCUCAGAAAUCGAAUUAUUCGAGAGAGAGAGAGAGAGAGAGAGAGAGAGAGAAGAAGAGAGAGAGAGAGAGCGUACGCUAAUCGGAGCAUGAUCGGAGCGCAGUUUCGACUGGAAAUGAGAGCACGGAGAUCACGGCGAGCCUUAUCGAUUUCUUUGAGGUACUCUCUGUCAACGACCGGCGGCGCCAUCGGAGCAAAGACUGAGUGCUUCUGCGGCGACUCGGAGAGAAGAGGAAACGAUCAGAGAGAGAGAGAGUGUGUUGACAUGUUGGCAGAACUUAUUCAACACAAGGAUUCCUAGUGAAGAAAGGAAAAAACUGUUAUAUGAUCUGGAGGUUCAAGUGUUGAUCACAAGUCUGCAUAAUUAGUGGUAUUACCUCAAGUGUUACAGGUAAUGAGUUUUCACUGAAUCGUUUAUGGUAAGUCAAUCUCUUUGUGAGUUAAUUAUCUUUGAGUGAAAGAUUUCUGGUAAAAAUCUUAUGUUUAGGAUUUUCCAUAUCAUGUUCCUUAGAGUGUGCUUAUUUGCAGGAUAUCUAAUUACUUUGGGAUAUUUGACUUGGUGUUUUACCAAAUCAAGUUCAUUAGAAUUAGUUAUCUGCAUAACUCGUGCUUAUCUGGUUUUGUAUGUCUAUGUGCUUCAUCAUUGGCAUCAACAUGAUCAGGAAAUUGAAUUACAUAUUUUUAAUGACUUUGUUAUAGCAGUAAACUGGNNNNNNNNNNNNNNNNNNNNAAAAUAGGCAAGAAAAUUCCUAAAUGGGUUUGAGAUCAAUGAGAUGAAUUGGCAAUAAAGAAAAUUCCAACAUAGAAGUUCCUACGUCCUUAUUUGAACCUUCCAACUCAUGGCCAAAUCAGAAGAGAGAAAUUUCCUAGAUUCCAAACCCACCUUUCAUAAAUCUGAAAGAGACUUGAUGUAAUGAAAUUAUGAAUUUUCAUUCCAACAUAAUGAAAUGAUAUUAGUUUGGGUGGUGCACAAUGAAAGUCUCUUGGCAUUAAAGUCUAUGAUGUCUUCUAAGGUAGGUUUUGGACUUCAUGUAUCUAAUCUAAACAGCCAAGACUUAAGAAGGUCUCAAUUGAAAGACUUAGUAGUCUUCGUCUCCGUCCUCCAUGCAGAAACUCUUAAGGUUGAUUUGGAAAUCUAGGAAGUCUUAAACCAAAUUGCACGCUUGUCAACGUCUCGCUCACAUUCAUAAUGAGAAUCAAGGACACAAAUUUGCUCUCCACUCAAAGUUACCCACCCUCAUAACCACCCAUCUAGCUGAAUGUCACGUGUUUUAUCUUUUAAUCAUCCUAACCAUAGUUAACUACAUGGGUUUAUAUUAUCUUCUAACUCUAAUUCUUUUCUUUUUCUUUUCCCUCUUUUUCUAAACAAAAUAAUGAAACCUAACAAAUUUAGGGACACUAAAGAUUAAACAAAUAUAACACAAUAGCACUAAGUACAUAUUAAAAUUUGCAGUAGCAUUCAGGAAAGGGAAAUUGGCUCAUUCAGGAGAACUGCCAAAUAUAUAGCCAAACUGUUGCAUCUUAAAUUCAAUGAAAGGGAAACUGGCUUAUUCAGAAAAAAAAAAUUGCACUAGCAUUUUGAUAUAUAAUAACAUUAUAUAUACGCACCUUGAUUUAGUUUGAGUACUAAAAUUUGGAAGAGUGUGUCUAUUGGGACCUCCAAAUUUGCUCACUUGACCUCCUUUUAUUAUGAAUUAUUGAAUGACAAUUAUCUCCUCUUACGUAAUGACUAUUAAAGACAAUAAUCAUACAAAAAAAUAUAUAUUUAUUCUCUCUACACUUUCAAAUUCGAUAAUUAAUUGAUUGUAUUCUUUAUUAUUUUCUUUAUAUAUUUUUUAUUUUUAAUUUACUAUUUUCUAAAUUUUACUACAUAUUAUAUAUUUAAUUAAAACUAAAACUAUGAUCAAUAUCGACCAUGUGACAUAAAAUUUUCUACUAUCAUACAUGUUGAAAGUAUAUAUAUACAAGGUGAAGGAUUAUAUAUGCAAAAACAAAUCGAUAGUGAAAAAUUAAAUAACUAUUGAAAUAAUUUCAUGAUGAACAUAAAAUAGAGGGAAAAAAACAACAUACAUAGUGUACAAUGUUAUCCUUGAUCGUUGUUUAGCCCAAGUACUAAAAUAGAAAAAGAAAAGCUAAUUUAUGUUAGAAUAUUUUCUUGUUGGUAAAUAUAAGUUUUUAUUUUUAUUUUUAUCAGAUAAACAACUAUUAUGCUACAACGAGUCUACUGUGAGUCGAAUUCACGACCUCUCACUUGUAAGGAGAGACGGUACUGGGCUGGUAAAUAUAAGUUUUUGAAACCCAUGUGAAUAUUUUGUGUUAUUUGAUUUUUAAAAGAAAAAUUGACGUCAUUGAAAAAAAUUUAGGAGGUCCCAAUAGAAAUGCAUUUAAAUUAAACUUCUAAAGUAUAUAUAUAUAUAUAUAAUUAAUCAUUGUCGAUGACGUACUUUUGCUAGAUUGCUAUUGCAUUAUCAAUUCAAUUAAAAAAAGUUCUUGCAUAUAGACGCUAAAAUGGUAGUAGCAUUCAUGAAUAUAGCUAAAGUGAUUGCAUUAUAUAUACCUUGUUAGAUUGUAACCUCACAAGACAUGAUCGUGAAAGUGAUCCAACCUCACAAGUUCAAACACAGUCCACUGCUAUGCAUUAGGUGAUGGGUUAUGAUCACUAGACUUGAUCAGAAAUUCACAAUUACCUGAAGGAGAAGAACAAAAACAUGAAAGAUUAACAGAGCUUCAUACUUACAAGAGAAACCAAAAAGGAAGAGAUAUGAGAAAGGAGGAAGAACCCAGAAAAGAACCUAGACGUGAAUAUGACUUUGAGUUGAUAGCAACAAUGUAGUACCCCGAAACUUAGCACAAAUUAUAUAGCACACUAAGGCUCUUUAACCUUAGAUAGUAAUCCAAAUAUCUUCUAAAAUAUUCAUUUUAGAAGCCAAUGACUCCAAGUAUCAUACUUACAAGAUAGGUAUUUUUAUUAAGUAUUAGAAUUUAAGUAAACUACUUAAAUACCUUAACCCGUAUUUCUUACAUACAAUCGAUACUCGUGAUUGAAUUUAAGAUUCGUGUUAGUAUUGCUUUUAUUCAUGCAUACUAUUCUAAUCUUAAAUAUUACUAACACAUUUACAAGAUCUUAAGAAAGGAAAACAUCAUAUUCCUUUACUUAUUAGCUUGAGUAGAUAUAUAUCUAUAUAUACAUAUAUAAAUAUUUGUGUAUCUAUAGAUUCAUGCACUAGCUGAUUUUUCUUUUACCCGUCUUACUAUUUGGUUUUCUUUGUGUAACAAUCACCCUAACUAGCUAGACUAUCACUCAAAUUUAAUGUUUGGCCUUUUAAGNNNNNNNNNNNNNNNNNNNNAGAUUGUAGAAACCUGGUUUGGUGGAAGAGGAGAAACUGGUUGUGAUUCAGAACCAAGGAAUCCUGACUGUAUAAGAAAACAGUCGAACUUCCAACUGAGAGUGAUUAAGUCUCAAGUGAUGCUGCAUAAAUGUUGAUUGUGUGAGAAUCAUUUGCAGAUAAAUCUAGUUGUGUGAGAACUAGAAUAGAUAAGUGUGUGAUCUCAAUCUAGCAAUUCAGUCUCCUUUGAUAAGGUUACUUGAUCUUGCAUUACUUGUGUGAGAAGUAAGAAGAGAGCAUUGUAUUCAGACUGUGUAAUUGUGUGAGUAGUACACUUUGUGUUUAUUGAAGCAAGAUUAAUGGAAUAAUCUUGCUUGGUGCCUUUUUCCCUCAUUGAGGUUUUUGCACCAAGUCAUUGACAUUUGUGUGCAUUCUGUGUUCUUACUGCACUUUAACCAUUUCUAUACUAAUAUUUGGUACCAGAGCAGGUGCUAGAAGGUGUCUAGCAGAUCCAGGUUUGAAAUGGAGAGAAAUGCAGUAAAUCAACCGCCAAAAUUUGAUGGAGAUGAUUUUCCUCAGUGGAAGAUCAUGAUGAGAACUUUCAUAUACACCUUGGAUGCAAAGGCUUGGACGAUUAUUCAAACAGGUUAUAAGUCUCCUGUGGUGAAAUCUGAAAGUACUUCUGGAGUACAACUCAAAUCUGUUGACUUGUGGACAGCAGAUGAACAGGCUUUAUGCAAUGCUGAUUAUGUUGCCAGAAAUGCACUCUUUACUGCACUAGGUGCCAAGGAAAGAAGGCGCAUUCAAUAUUGUGAUACAGCUAAGGAAGCUUGGGACAUGUUGGUUACUGCACAUGAAGGAUGUGAAACUGUCAAGAUUCAAAAACUUCAAAUUCUGGCUGAAGAAUUUGAAAGCUUGAAAAUGGGUGAGGAUGAACUACUUGAUGAUUUUUAUACAAGGGUAACUAACAUUACAGGUCAAUGUCAGAGUUUGGAUGAGCCGUUUGAGGAGCACAAAGUGGUGAAGAAGUUUCUCAGAGCGCUACCAAGAAAAUAUCUUCCAAAAAAGGCAGCUAUCAUGGAGGUACAUAAUCUAAACAAAUAUUCUCUGGAGGAUCUGGUAAGCAAUCUGAAAACUUUUGAAUUAGAAAUGAUGUCUGAUAAUAUGUGGUCAGAUAAGAAACAAAAAGGUGUUGCUUUGAAAAGUUCUUCUAAAGUUGAUCCAGAAGAUGAAAACCUAGAUUAUGCUCUUUUGACAAAGGAAUUUAAAAAACUUUUGAAAUCCAGGAACAGUCAAAAUUCUAAUUUUUCAAAAAAUUUUCAUGAUUCAAAAAGAAAUAGAAAUUCUGAAAAUCGGUUUGAGAAAAAUUCUAGAGGUCAUAACAAAUCUGAAAAGAAGAAUUAUAGACCUAAGUGUUUUGAAUGUGAUGGAUAUGGUCAUAUUUCAACUGAUUGUGGAAAUCGAAAGAAUGGAACAGGUGAAAGAUUCAAGGAUAGAGGUGCAGGUGACAAAAGAGCACUCAAAACUACCUCCUGGAGUGAUAGUGAUGAAGAAAAUUCUAUCAGAAAAGGAGAAAGAAAUUUUGCUCUUGUAUCGUCUAUUAGAUUUGACUCCUGUGAAUCCUUUUCUGACACUGACAGCAUGUAUUCUAGUGAUGAAGAUUUUUUUGACAGGAUGAAACUAGAUGACAAAUAUGAUCAACUGUACAAUGCUUCAAAAAUUUUAAAUAAUAAGAAUAAUGUUUUGCAGAAACAGGUGAAGACUCUCCAAGAGCAACAUAAGAAAACUGAAAGCGUGUUGCAAUCUGAACAGGAGUUUUGGGAAAAAGAAAGAAAUGAGUUCAACAACAGUAUUCAGAAGUUGCAGUCUGAGUUGAAGAAUGAAAAUUUCAAAAUCUCUGGUUCUUUUAGCAGUAGUAGUGCAAUUUUAGAAACUGAAAUAGAAUCAAAAGAUUUGAUAAUUGAUGAACUAAAAUCUCAAAUUGCUUUGUUACAGGAUGAACUAAGAAAGACACGAGAAAAAUUUGGUCAAUUUCAAACAAGUUCAAAGAUAGUCUCAAACAUACUGAGUACAGGAAAAGCUCAUAAGGAUACGUUUGGUCUUGGAUUCACUGGUGAAAGCUCAAAUUUCACAAGAUUUGUUAAAGAAAAAGGAGAAGAACAACUGGUUCUAGAGGCUGAGGAAAAAUCACAGGUAAAAACCGACGCUUCCAGAUCAAAUGAGAAAAGGUAUGUCUCAAGAAAAUCUUUUGUUCCUACUUGUUUUCAUUGUGGACAGAUUGGUCAUAUUAGACCAAAUUGCACAAAUAGAUUCUCUCAUUAUGUUCCUAAGAUUGAUAAAUUUGAAAGUCUGCAGAAAGAAAUGAAUGAACAUAUGAAUCUUAUUCGUAAAAUGUCUAACAUGAUCUCUGAAGAAAGAAUACAGGAAAGAAGAGAAGUGAGAAAUUGGUCAAGAAAUGAAGAAAAGGAAGAAAUUCAAGUUUCGUGUCUAAGUGCAUCUCUCUACUCAAAUGAAACUCAUAUCAUGGCAACCUGUUUAGUUGCAUUGACUGCAUUGUCGAGCAAAAAAAAUGAUGUGUGGUAUAUAGAUAGUGGAUGUUCUAGGCAUAUGUGUGGAAACAAGGAAUGGUUUAUUUCCUUCACUGAUAAAAAUAUUUCAGGAUCUGUUACUUUUGGUGAUGGAGGUCAAGCAGGAAUCAAAGGAAAAGGAACAGUUAACACUCCAAAUAUUCCAAAUCUUGAAAAUGUUCUAUAUGUUGAAGGCUUGAAUACAAAUCUUCUGAGUGUUAGUCAACUAACAGAUGAUUUUGAAGAUGUUUGGUUUAACAAAAAGAAGUGUCAAGUUCUAAACAGCAAGGGAGACUGUAUAAUGAGGGGAGUAAGAUCAGCUGAUAAUUGUUAUCAUGUAUCAACUAAUGAAUCUUUUGAUGUGCAGGUGUGUAUGAGAACUAGCUCCACAGAAGAAAUCUUUGAUCUUUGGCAUAGAAGACUUGGUCAUGUAAACUUUCAGGACUUGUUAAAACUGUCAAAUCAAGGAAUUGUGAGAGGCUUGCCAAAACUCAAAGGUAAGACAGAUAAAAUCUGUGGUGGGUGUAAAGUUGGAAAACAGACAAGAUCUGCUCAUAAAGGUAUCAACUCAACUCCUACUUCUCAUGCAUUAGAACUUCUACACAUGGAUUUAAUGGGACCUUCUCAAUAUGAAAGCCAUGCAGGAAAGAGUUACAUUCUUGUUGUUGUUGAUGAUUUUACUAGAUUCACGUGGGUAAAUUUUCUUACAGAUAAAGGUGAGACUUUUGAAUCAUUCAAAGGUCUUAGCUAUGUGGUCACAAAUGCUAAGCAAUCUGAAAAUCUGAAGAUUUCCAGGAUCAGGUCUGAUAAUGGUACUGAAUUUAAAAAUAGUGCUUUUGCUAACUUUUGUCAUGAGAAUGGUAUCUUUCAUGAGUUUUCAGCUCCUAUUACUCCUCAACAAAAUGGUGUGGUUGAAAGAAAAAAUAGAGCUUUACUGGACAUGGCUAGGGUGAUGCUGCACACUUCUGGACUAAGUCAAAAAUUUUGGGCUGAGGCAAUCAACACAGCAUGCUACACCAUAAAUAGGGUAAUGCUCAGACCUGGCACUGAAAAUACUCCCUAUGAGCUGUGGAAAGGUAAGAAACCCAAUGUAAGUCAUUUUCAUGUUUUUGGAAAUCCAUGUUAUAUUUUUAAGGAUAGACAAUAUCUGGGAAAGUUUGAAACAAGGAGUGACAUUGGUAUUUUUCUGGGAUAUUCUUUAAACAGCAGGGCGUAUAGGGUGUACAAUAAAGAAACAAAAUCCUUCCUCGAGUCUAUUAAUGUGUCUGUGGAUGAUGUUUAUGAUAGACAGAUGAUAACAGGUGACAGUCAACCUAAUAAUAAUGAUCAGACUGAUUUGAAUGAAAAGGAUAACUCUGAAAGUGAAGCUGGUGAGUCUGCUGACUCAAAUCUUCACCAAAUGCCUAGAACAAGAACUGGUUACAGACAAGUCAAAAAGGAUCAUUCAAUGUCAGAUGUAAUUGGUAACAUACAAGAAGGCAUUGUAACCAGAAGAAGAACAACUCAGGAAGAGGUAAUUGAGGAUGCAGCCUUGGUAUGUUUUCUAAAUCAGAAUCAGGAAAAUUUCAAUAUUAUCUCUCAUUUUGGUUUUGUCUCACUAAUUGAACCUAAGAAUGUGAAGGAAGCUCUUACAGAUGAUGACUGGAUCAAAGCAAUGCAAGAGGAAUUGCUUCAGUUCACAAGAAAUCAAGUGUGGGAUUUAGUUCCCAGACCAACAGCAGGAAAUGUGGUAGGAACCAAAUGGAUCUACAGAAAUAAGAGUGAUGAGCACGGAAAUGUGAUAAGAAACAAAGCAAGGCUAGUGGCUCAAGGAUAUUCACAAGUUGAAGGCUUGGAUUUUGAUGAAACGUUUGCACCAGUAGCAAGACUUGAAUCCAUAAGAUUACUACUAGCAAUAGCUUGUCAUCUAAGAUUCAAGCUCUAUCAAAUGGAUGUCAAAACUGCUUUUCUAAACGGUCUUCUGGAGGAGGAAGUUUUUGUAGAACAACCUAAAGGUUUUCAGGAUCCACAUCAUCCAAAUCAUGUGUACAAGCUGAAGAAAGCCUUGUAUGGUCUGAAACAAGCUCCAAGAGCAUGGUAUGAUAGGUUAUCUACAUAUUUGGUAGGUAAAGGAUAUGCAAGAGGUAAGGUUGAUAAAACUUUGUUUGUGCGUACUGAGAAAGAACACUUUAUGGUUGCUCAAGUAUAUGUUGAUGAUAUUGUUUUUGGCUCUACUUCAGACUCUUUGGUCAAACAGUUCACUUCUGUGAUGACCAGUGAAUUCGAAAUGAGCAUGUGUGGUGAACUAACAUAUUUUCUUGGUCUUCAGGUGAAGCAACAUGAUACAGGAAUGUUCUUAUCACAGACAAAGUAUGCUGAGAAUUUGGUAAAAAAAAUUUGGUCUUGAAACUAAGAAGUGCGUUUCAAAUCCAAUGAGUGUUUCGGUCAAGCUUUGUCAUGAUAAAGAAGAAAAAUCAGUAGAUCAAACUCUAUAUCGAAGCAUGAUAGGAAGUCUUCUUUACCUCACUGCAAGCAGACCAGACAUUUCAUUCAGUGUUGGGGUGUGUGCCAGAUUUCAAGCAAAUCCAAAAGAAUCCCACUUAGCUGCAGUCAAGAGAAUCAUUCGUUAUGUGUCAGGUACAGUUUCUUGCGGAAUUAGAUAUACAUGUGAUACUAAUGCAGCAAUUGUUGGUUAUUCAGAUGCUGAUUGGGGAGGCAAUCUUAAAGAUAGCAAGAGUACUUCAGGUGGAUGUUUUUUCUUAGGAAACAAUAUGGUUGCCUGGCAUAGCAAAAAGCAAAAUUGUAUUUCUCUGUCCACAACUGAGUCAGAAUAUGUAGCAGCUGGUAGCUGUUGUACACAAAUGCUAUGGAUGCAAAACAUGCUAAGGGAUUAUGGAAUGUCACAAGGUAAAUUUACCAUUUUAUGUGAUAACACCAGUGCAAUCAAUAUCACUAAAAAUCCAGUGCAACACUCCAGGACUAAGCAUAUUGCUAUCAGGUAUCAUUUUAUCAGAGAUCUGGUUGAGAAAAAUAUUCUGCAAAUGGAAUACAUAUCUACUGCAAAUCAACUUGCUGAUAUUUUCACUAAAUCCCUUGCUACUGAUAGAUUUGAGGAACUCAGAAAUGCUUUAGGCAUUUGCAAAAAUCCGUAUCUUUAAGUCUUAACUCUUGAAAUGGUUCUUAAAUUAUCUGUACAGAAUGUUUGUGAUCAUUGAUCUUAGCUUUAUGUUGUGUAGAAAUUAACUGGUUGUUCAUUUUUAAACAUGGUAUGAGUCUGGUUCAUAUUCUUGAUGUCUGUAUGCCUUAUUCAGUAAUAUUAUUGUGCUGCCAGCACACACACACAAUGGACAUGAUUUUCUCAGGUAUAGGAAACAACAAAUUGGAACAAGAAAAACAUGUCAAAAGCAUGUGAUCAAAAGUUGAUUGUUUGCAGAAUUUUUUGCGGCCUCUUUAAAAAGGUGAUAUGCAUGGAGGUUGAUCUCAGCUGGUUUGGCUAAACUGAUCAAACACUUGAGUAUUGAUGCCUUGGGAUAUUUCUUGCAUAUCUAGUACCCUAAAAUCAACUGAUUUGGGAGUUGCUGCAUUUGACUUACUCUAUAAGUGUUCAUAUUUUGAGAGAUAAAAACAGAAAAAUCUCUUUCAGGCCAGGUUAUUCCUAAAGUAACCAUGUCUUGGUUGUGAUGAACAAUAUAAGAUACUGGGGGAGAAACAGGAAUGGCUUGGUCAAUUAAUAUUGUUUGGUUGGUAUCAACAAAGUUGGUUGUUGUAAAGAACUCAAAAUCCGUUUUGCAGAAACUCAUGUCCAUUCUAUCUGUCACUUGGCAUCAAUUCUUUAUUCUGCUAAGGCACACAGGGAUACAAUGUUUGAUAGUCUCAUCUGUGUUUAGAUCUGCACAAACAGAUAUUUUCUUCUACCUCAUUGUGUGCUUUGCCUUGAUUGUUUUCUUCUUUACUGAUACGAGGAGAUUCCGAGUUAGUCUUCCAAGAUUUCAGUAAGAGAUUUGCAUAUGUUUUUCGUUUUUCUGGCUUUUUCAAAUUUUGUCAUUAUGUGCUUAUGGGAUUUGAUUUGAAAAUAUUUUAUUUUGGCAGUUAAUAUUAUUCAUAAAGUCCAUUGAUCAUGCAUGCCUUUUCAGGAACCAUCAUUCCUUUUCAACUUCUGUGUUCAUUCCUUAUAAAAGUGUGCAUCUACAGUCUUUCUUUUCACACACGAUUGUUUCACUUGGGUUUUCUAGUUUUUGUGUGCAGCUAUUCUUCCGUUUCUCAGAUGGCAAAGGAUAAACAGUCAAUGCUUCCUCAUCUUUCUCCAGAUCGGGUCGGUAGUCCAGUAAUUCCACCAUCUCUUCUUGCUGAAUUUUCAUCUCCUCCUCCUUCUCCCAGACUUCAUCCAGAGUUUCACAAAGCAAAGACCUUCCCUGGCACUUGGUAUGAAGGCAAACCUUGGCGUCCCCUGGUGCCCCUGGAGAAUGAUUCUGAUCCUGACAAGAUAGCAGUUUAUCUUAAUUCCCUGGAAAAGGUCACUAGUGACUGGGCGCAAGACAUUCAAACUCAGAUAGGUGCACUCACUGAAGCAGUGCUCAUCAUGGGAAGGAGAAUCAAUGACCUCACUCAGCGUCUUCCUCAGCCUGCUACUUCUGAUGUUCCUCCAGGAUUUCAACCAAGGGCUUCUUCUGCAGAACCUUCCAGUGCCAAGCGUUCUCUGGACUUCAUGCAGGAUGAUGCGGCUGCUGCCCCCUCUUCCAAGAAACCUUUCAAUCCUUGGGAGCCAGAGGAAACAUUGAAUCCUUCCGCUGAUCAUAAAUGGGGAAAAUGGUAGUUCUCUCUUUGGCAUGCUAUUAAGGGGGAGAAGCAGAUCAAGAAACUUGUUGCAGUAUUAUUAACUUGUUGCAGUAUUAUUUUUUUUUUUCAGUUUUCAUUGAAUAAUUUGUUCUAUUGAACUCCAAAUAUUGUUGUUUUUGUAAGUGUCUUCGCACUAGACAAAUUUAUGUUAUUUGUUGUUUCUUUAUAACUUAUGCAUGGGAUUAUUGUGUUAGUUUAUUUUUGUUCUUAUUGGAGAUUUUGAAAAGGAUGGAAACUGAUUCUAUUGAUCUCCAAUUAUUUUUUUUUCCUUUCAUAUGUGUUAUCUCUGCACUGUCUUUGCAGGUCUUGAUCUUGUGUUGAAUAGCAAUGCCAAAGGGGGAGAAUGUUGACAUGUUGGCAGAACUUAUUCAACACAAGGAUUCCUAGUGAAGAAAGGAAAAAACUGUUAUAUGAUCUGGAGGUUCAAGUGUUGAUCACAAGUCUGCAUAAUUAGUGGUAUUACCUCAAGUGUUACAGGUAAUGAGUUUUCACUGAAUCGUUUAUGGUAAGUCAAUCUCUUUGUGAGUUAAUUAUCUUUGAGUGAAAGAUUUCUGGUAAAAAUCUUAUGUUUAGGAUUUUCCAUAUCAUGUUCCUUAGAGUGUGCUUAUUUGCAGGAUAUCUAAUUACUUUGGGAUAUUUGACUUGGUGUUUUACCAAAUCAAGUUCAUUAGAAUUAGUUAUCUGCAUAACUCGUGCUUAUCUGGUUUUGUAUGUCUAUGUGCUUCAUCAUUGGCAUCAACAUGAUCAGGAAAUUGAAUUACAUAUUUUUAAUGACUUUGUUAUAGCAGUAAACUGGGAUAUCNNNNNNNNNNNNNNNNNNNNNNNNNNNNNNNNNNNNNNNNNNNNNNNNNNNNNNNNNNNNNNNNNNNNNNNNNNNNNNNNNNNNNNNNNNNNNNNNNNNNNNNNNNNNNNNNNNNNNNNNNNNNNNNNNNNNNNNNNNNNNNNNNNNNNNNNNNNNNNNNNNNNNNNNNNNNNNNNNNNNNNNNNNNNNNNNNNNNNNNNNNNNNNNNNNNNNNNNNNNNNNNNNNNNNNNNNNNNNNNNNNNNNNNNNNNNNNNNNNNNNNNNNNNNNNNNNNNNNNNNNNNNNNNNNNNNNNNNNNNNNNNNNNNNNNNNNNNNNNNNNNNNNNNNNNNNNNNNNNNNNNNNNNNNNNNNNNNNNNNNNNNNNNNNNNNNNNNNNNNNNNNNNNNNNNNNNNNNNNNNNNNNNNNNNNNNNNNNNNNNNNNNNNNNNNNNNNNNNNNNNNNNNNNNNNNNNNNNNNNNNNNNNNNNNNNNNNNNNNNNNNNNNNNNNNNNNNNNNNNNNNNNNNNNNNNNNNNNNNNNNNNNNNNNNNNNNNNNNNNNNNNNNNNNNNNNNNNNNNNNNNNNNNNNNNNNNNNNNNNNNNNNNNNNNNNNNNNNNNNNNNNNNNNNNNNNNNNNNNNNNNNNNNNNNNNNNNNNNNNNNNNNNNNNNNNNNNNNNNNNNNNNNNNNNNNNNNNNNNNNNNNNNNNNNNNNNNNNNNNNNNNNNNNNNNNNNNNNNNNNNNNNNNNNNNNNNNNNNNNNNNNNNNNNNNNNNNNNNNNNNNNNNNNNNNNNNNNNNNNNNNNNNNNNNNNNNNNNNNNNNNNNNNNNNNNNNNNNNNNNNNNNNNNNNNNNNNNNNNNNNNNNNNNNNNNNNNNNNNNNNNNNNNNNNNNNNNNNNNNNNNNNNNNNNNNNNNNNNNNNNNNNNNNNNNNNNNNNNNNNNNNNNNNNNNNNNNNNNNNNNNNNNNNNNNNNNNNNNNNNNNNNNNNNNNNNNNNNNNNNNNNNNNNNNNNNNNNNNNNNNGAGGUAGUUGGACUAAUCACGCGCUCCACGAGCUCCAUUGGAUAUUGUUGAAAAAUCUCAAAAGAAAAUUCAUCUCAAUAUUGAAUUUUUUUAAUUACGUCGAAAAAAAAAAUCAGAGUAAACUUAAAUUACGAUUAUGUUUUGUUACUGGAAUUAAUUAAGAUCAAGUUUGUCCCGUGAUUUUUCUAUCCACUAGUAAAUGAUGUUCCAAGUUUAAAUCUCUCAUUCUAAAAAAAAAACUAGUAGUUUAACUUUUAAAUUUGAGUCACGACAUAAAUCUGACUCCGUUAAUUUUCACUCGUACCUAGAAACACAAUUUAGGUUCGAGUACUUUCAGUGGUACCUAAAUAGUAGAUACAUGCACAUUUCAUGAAAUGCAUGUCUAAGUAUCUCUUUUGGUGUUCGUGCUAAUGCAAUUUUGGCUGGCGAGUUGUGACAUCCACAAUAUUAGUUACCCCAACUAUUCCUGAUAUAUUAAUGAGAUUUUAACUCAUGAACAACUAACUAAAAUGCAUGACUCAGUUUUUCCUUUUUGAAAUAAGCAGGGUUAGUCAUAUUCUUCUAUGUAACUCCAGUGUUACAGUGACAAUUCUCUAGUUUUUUCGACUUAGACUCUCAAUCUCGCGUAGUUCUAUAAGGAUACAGACCAGAAGGUCCACCAAAACUUCUUCUAAAGCUGCUUGAUUAAAACAUAAAGAACUACACAAAAAGUCUAUUAUGUAAUUCUCAUUGUGACAGAAAGGAAAUGUUGUAUAGUUCUCAUAACUUCCGUGUGAGCAUCUUCAGCGCUUCAGUUCCCAUUAGUUUCGCGUGAGCAUCUUCUUCACUAAAGUAAUCAUCCAUCACAGUCAACCCAGAUCUAUGCUAAAACAUGAGCAACUCUAACCCUUUAGCAUCAUUAUUACAACCAUAUACACGAAGAAGAUGAUAUAGAAAUCCUAUUUCAUGUGGUGUGUUAGUAUCGACCCUGAUUCAAUCCUCCAAUUUAAAAGAUAGAGAGAACGAAAACUUUCAGCUCAUUCAGCAGUUCUCCAUUGCAGCUCUAGCUGGACCUGUCCAUUCUUCGAGUCUAUGAGAUGGUACUUCUGGUUGAUUCGUCUGUUGGAAAUGACGUCAGAAAGACUGAUUUGAACAUAGCCCAGAGAUUCCUGUUCCAAAAGAAAUUAUGGGUUCAAUCACGUACCAUAUGAAAAAGAAAAUGUGAAAAGAAAAUUUGGAGGAUCCAGAAUUCAAACAUUUUAGACAGCCAAUACUGGAGAUAUCCCAGCAUGCUACACUAAUCAGGGCUGUAGAAACACAAGGUUAAUGCACCUUCUUUUUUCUAUCAAAGAUUAAUUGGGGGAGGGCACUUCAACCUUGGGACCUUUACCAACAAAAACCAUGAUGUCCUUUCUGUUCUAAAGCUAUUCCAUAAAUUAUCAAUAUGAACAACGGAUCAAGAAGUUCAUCGUCAUGGUUUUUGUUUAGGGUUUGAUAGACUAGAUUGUGGUAAAAGCAGUUCACCAAAACUUCUAUCUUAACAGAUCACUUAAAAUGCAGCAAGCUUGUCCCAGCAGUGACAUACAACAGUUUCUAAAAAACUGUACAUGUUUGUGCAAUACGUACUUGCAUGCCAUGUAAAAAAUUCAGAUAUGAUCCUCACCUUUCCAUGCAGCAGGCCCAAUUUUGAUGAGGUACUGACCACCUCCACAUGUAAUUUAUCAUUAGUGGGAGGUUCUUCAAGCACAAAUUGAAACUCUUCUUCCCAUCUUGGAUCUCUGCUCUUCUUUAGGUGCUGCAUAAUCAAAAUAAGAUCAUAAGUAUACACAAUGUGAUAAACUAAAAUCUUAUAUAUUCUGUGUUUUUUUUUUUUUUUUUUUUUUUAACAAAGUGGACCUUAGGAGAACAAAUUUGUCUAAUAUCACCAUUCAAGUAAACUAUAUGCAUACAUCCUCUUCUCUGGCUGUGAGUGUGUCACAUGCACAGAAAAAGUAUAUUAAUCCAAAAUCAAGCCUCUUUCAAUAUUGUAUAAUCUCGUUAAGUUCAUGAACUCCAUGGUCCCUUACGAUAUUCUGAGAAUAUCACCACCAAUGUAACUAUGAAGAAUAAAAUAGAUUACCUAUAUUUACAAAGAGUAAAACAUGGUAUAACCUAAUUAUUCAAGUGAGGAAUGCAUACAUGCUGUUCUGUUGCAAUGAACAAGAUAGGAGAUCUAUGUGAAAAAUAAUCUAAAAUCUAGCCCUUCCCAUAUUAUCUUUUAUCAGAGAGACACAGGCAUAUAUGGUAUUGUAGAUUACCUAGUUUACACAGGCAUACGGUAUAAAUUUGGAAGAAAAAUAUCUACACUACAUUUUUAAAUACUAAAAGUUCAAUGUUCCAGUGAUCAUUCUCAAGCCAUCCAAGAGCACAACAGAGCAAAUAUAUCAAAACAAAAAAGAAAAAUAGAUAAAUCAGGUAAAUUUAUAUUUUCAAAUCUUCCCAGAACCCUUAUACCUUGGUUCUUUUUUCCUCCCCCCUGAGAAUAAGUCGCACAGAUGGAUUACAAUGGUGCUUUCCUUCAAGAUCUUGACCUUCAUGAACUAUGACAACGAGCAAACCUCCACCAGGUGGCGUUCCUUCAGGAGCCUUCUCUAAUGUCUGUGUUUCAUCAUACCCUUUCUGCAAGUCCUCCUCCGCGAAGGGUUUAUAAGUCAGUUCCAACUCAAGCUGCCCACGGUUCUUCUCAUUCUGAGGAUCAUUUAAGUCCAUAGUUUUAAGGAGGUCCAGAGUCAAAACUUUUGGCUCAUCAUUGGGGAGGUCCUUCAAAGGUAUUACGUUGAUACCCAUUUUCUCAUGUUUUCCCACCUAAAGGAAAAGGUUGAAAUGCUUCAGAUAUACAUAGCUAAAACAGAACAUAUUAAUUCUGAUUGAUGAACUAAAAUAAUAUACCUUAUCCCAGUCAUAAACCAUAAACUCUAAAGCCUGAGAUUGUGGGUCUUUGACAACCAUAUUAAAUUCCUCAUUCCAUUCAGGGUUCAGGUUCUUCUGCUUAAUCGUGGUCUUCUUUGAUGGCAUAUUGCUUUCUGUGAGCUUUAGUUUUACAUAAGGGUCUGAAGCACCAAGAAGAUCCAUCUUCCUUAACUUCAUUGCCCUUAGAACCUUCACACGGAGAAGUCCUACAGGCCUGUUAAAGGCUCUACAAAUUCAAAAAACUUUUUUCAGCCACAAGAAGCAACAGAAAAGUACUAGCCAAAUAUUUCAGACGAAUGCCAAAACAUACUUUGCUGGGUCCAUUAUUGGUACUUCAAGAGUUUUGGGCCAGAGAUACAUGUUAGCAACCUGGUCUUUGAUAAACUCCUGCAGGAAAGCCAUUUCUAACACAGUCAAAACCAAUUGAUAAGCAUAACAGCAAGAGGAAGGAGUCUUCUUAAAAAGCACAAGUGUGAACUAUGAAGUGAUGAAUGAACAGAACAAAUCAAUCAACUUUCCAGGCAAAUGGAGGGGUCACAAGAAUAAAAAGAUUACCCUACACAUUCCAUUAUCUACACACCGAUCUAACAUAGUUGAAACCAACACAACUUAGUAUCUGCUUUCAUCUAUCUAAACACUAGGUUAUGAAUAACAUAUGCUUUGGUAUAGCUACGACUCCCUGUAGAAUACAAAUUUAGCACUUCAAGCAGCAACAAAUUAGUCACAACAAAACCUACUCCAAAGUCUACGACUGAGAUAUGCAAUGAGAAAAAUAUUGCUGGCUCAUAAGACCUUGAGAAUGUAUUUCCACAACGUACUAAAAACUACCCCCCUGACCCGAGAUGAAACCCAGUGACCCGAAGAUUUAAAUAUCUGCCGACGCAUUUCCCCAUUGUCAUCGUCUCUUUUUGGGGAACUCGCCUUUAAUAAAAAAAGAUAUCCAGUACUUGCUUAACAUACGACCCAUUUGUCUAUAUAUUUUAUGGCGACUCCUGGCAUAUCGCCAACAGCCAGUAUUUUAAUCCUUGCUCCUACCUAUAUUGCAUUACCUUUCCUGCGUUCAUGUUACACGUGCUUACAAUUUUGAAUAUACACUAUCAAACAUUUCUAAUCUUUAUACAUAUGUUAGACUAAAUGAAUUGUAAAAUAACUUCGUGUAUGCGAAUUAACUUCCCUCUACUGGUCUUAAAAAUAAAAUAAGUUGAUGACACAUUGAUGUCAAAUACUUCAAAUUAAAAGUAUGGUGGCUCCCAAAAAUGAUAUUUAUAAUAGCUAGCACAUGAUGAUUUUAGAGGAAAUAUCAAAUAGUGUCUGCAUACUCCCAUGAUCAGAAGUAAUAUUCCGUCUUGAAAGGGGAUACCUAACCCUUAUAGCAUGAAUUAUAACCAACUAGGCUUAGUAAGUGUAAAAAUAUUGUUCGAACGGGACAGACGUCUGCAAAUGACAUCCAGAGAAAGUCAUAAUACCUGGACAUAUGUGUAAAGGCCAGGUAUUGACAUAAGAUCAGCACCUAUAAGCUUUAAUCCAAAGUCCACAUAAGGCUGCAAAACAGAGGGAAAAAUAAAGUAUUAGUAAUAACGAUAAUAUAUACAGACUAUUCCAGUGGGUAAACCAUACUGAAUAUAUUUACCAAAGAAUAUUCCUGAUGAAACACAAUCCUGCAUAAACCAGGAUAUAUGGACUUCCGAAAGGGAUUUCAACGUGUAAAGUAAAUCAUGUGUGAUAUGGAUUGUAGAAUAAACUGAUUUAGCAUGGUUAAAGGCAUCAGUUAUAGGUGAAAAAUAACCAGAUAACCAACCACCCAAGACAUAAUUUAGCACUUGCAUCAUAGUAGCAUAUAAAAAACGAAGAUACUUGAACAAAAUAUAUAUAUAUAUAUAUAUAGCAUAUCUAACAUAUAUCCAUGUAAACAAAUCCCAAAUUGAAGUUAAUAUGCUAUUGCUAGAUGACUCUUUAAACACAGACCUUGUCCAUGAGAGACACAUUGAUUUGGGCAAAACAAGGAAAGCUUGGGACCAAAGGCUUCAAAGUUAUACGUGGUGAAGCAAAAACUUGCGCAUCAACCACCUGAAAUAAAACACACAAUAAUUUAUUAAUAGAAGUAACUCUCACAGACUCACGCGCCACACACACACACACAUCUAAACUAACUAUAGCAUUUCCUAGCAAAGUAAUAUGCAAGACCUGAACAGUUGCUGUGAUUCCAUAUGCUUUAGCAGCAACAAGGAUAUUAGGAUUUGCAGCCCAUUUAAUGGAGGGUUCCAUAAUCAGCUCCUUCUCAUCAGUUACAUAAACCUUCAUACCUGAAGAUAAUAACAUUUAAAGAAACAUAAUUGUGAUGUUCUAAAAAUACAUCAACAUAAAAAUAAAUCUAUGUAACCACAACAUAAGACCUACAAAGUACAUUAACAUUGAGUAUAUCAAUUUUCAGAUUAUCCCACGAAAUGAACCAUACACAGUCAUUGAAGAGGAAACAAGGACCUCUAAGGUGCCUCUGAUGUAUGAUAAUAAACUAGCCUCAAAAACUUGGUUGUGAAAGAAAUUCCAAAGAGAAAUCUCAGGUUGGUGAACCUUGAAAAGUUGGUGGUAGGGAACCUAAAGUCAGCUUCUCAAAUUCAACAGAAUCAAUCUUGUACUUUGGUAUUUCCUCAGCAAUUAUGGGCUUUGCAAUAUCUUUAGCAGUUUUGCAGAUCGCCUAUAGAAGAACAAAAAGAGAAAGCCAUGAAGCUUAACCAGAAAAUCGAGAAUAAAUGAAAAGGCAAUGAGCUAUGCACAAAUGAAAAUGAUCCAAGAAAAUUAAAUCACCUUGUCAAGAUAAGGCCACAUAUAUUCAAGAAAUUUGUUUAACCAAUCAAGCUGCAGAAAGACAAAAUAAAAAUAUCAGCAGGAACAUAAGUACUAAAACACCUAUGCUGUUAGGAACCACAACAUAAAAGGAAAAAUAAGUUGUAACAAAGUAACCACAUACACGAUCAUAGUCUGGAUUCUUCACCCAAAGAGGUAUCUCAGGAAGCAUCCGCUCCAAAGUUUUGGGGUCUUGAUCAACCAACGGCUGAAUUUCAGGGUCCUAAACAACAGCAACCAUUUACCAUUAAGCAAAUGAAGAUACAGAUGCAGAUGUUGUGCUUACAUGAAACAUGCCGUGCACAUUUUCGCCAAUCUUUUUUCUCUAUAUACUCUAGUAAAAAUUAUUUAACCCACACACCUGUUUGCCUAGUGAGCUGAUUUUUGGAAAAAACAAUACAUCCAUUUAAAGUCUCUUCUAAGUUUCAUUUGUGCAUUAAGGUUACAAAAAUGAACAGAAAUCAAUGGUAAAUGGCUGAGCAAGUACACAUCCUCUCUCAUGCAAAGUCCCUUUCCUAGUAAAACCCCCUAGCAUGCAUGAUCUGCGCCUAGUCUUUCACUCAUUCCAAGCUAUCAUAACUUCCGCAAUUUCAUGCUCGAAGCACCUACAUUGCUCUGAACACUUCAUAUUUUACAUCUGACAGUAAAACCUCACCCUCUCCAUCGCUAUCUCUAUAUGCAUAGGAAUGCUGCACCACACACAAAUAGAAAACCGAAACUCGAACCAUAUCAACAUGCAUUCUGACACAUACACUAGCAUCCAAUAAUUUCCGAAAUGAUCAUGAAAAUCAAGCCUCUAAUUCAAUGAGUCACAGAUUGAAUACGCAACAGAAUCAAGAACCGAAACGAAUUACAAGCCAACAGAAUCAAGAACGAAGCUUUAUGCGCGCAUUGGAUUAAACUACAACGACGAAACCCUAGAAAAUUGAAAGGAAGGAUUGCAUUGUGAUCAAGAACAAAGAAAUUGAGAGAACAACGAACCUCAACAUCAGAGGAUUGGACAUAAAUGAAAAGGAAAUAGCCAGCGACGAGUCCAAUCGAAAUCCCUAGUCCAAAUCCAAAGAAGCCAAAAAUGGUGCUGAAGAAUCCCAUUUUCGAAUCUCUCUUCUCUCACUUUAUUUUCUCUAUCACUCUGAAAUCCUCCAGAAAAUCCCCAUUCUGUUUCUAUCUAUCUCCUUCGGAUCACUACGCUUUGCCAUAAAUUACAGGAAUUAUGAAAUGACGUGAUUGUCCUCGUCGGGUUUUGCCUGGGGGAGUGCAGGCUGGUGGUGGCAGUUUCGGAAUUAGAGGGGGUAGAGGGGAGUCACGCAAAGAGGCAACGAGUAACGUAUUUGAUUUGAAUCCAUAUCGGUUUCCAGAAAGGCUCGGUUUGCCCUUUUCUAGGACACGUGGCGGAUAUAUGGGUAUACCACGUGGAAAUAUUAUUGUUGGUCUGCUGGAAAUCUCCUGGUGGUGACACUUCAGAUUGGAGUGGGCUCGGUGCCGAAACUGAGAAAUUUUUCAGUGUUUUGGAGGACCAUGUCAACCUGUGGUCAUUCCUAACCAAUAGGUUGAGAGAUUGUCUGUUGUGCAGUGUUGAAUAUCAUACAUAUACUAAGGCCUUGUUCAGUUCACGAAUUGUAUAGAUUGGGAGGAGAAAGCUGUUCCUUUUCUUUGUUUGGUACAUCUAAAGAAAAAGAAAGACUUUACUGCAAUAUAGCAUACAUACACUAAUAGAAAUGCUUACACGUGUUUUACACGGGGUGCUCGGGAUGUUUUGUUUUGGAAUAUUUGCCUUGCAUAAUAGGAAGUCGACACCCGGCUCAUGCUGCAUAAUAGAAUUUCCCAACCAAUAGGAAGUCGACACCCGACUCUUUUUCAAAACAACUCAUUUCAAAAUAUAUCUACUCAUUAAUCUAAUGCUUUACUUGUUUUUUAUUUAUUCAUAAAAUACCAACCAUAUUAUGCAUUGAAGCACGAAAGCAAAGAUUAAGAACUCCUAGGAAGCAAGGCUGCAACAAUAGCAAUUUUCAUCGGUAAAAGAUUACAGUCAAUUUCAGGUUUACAAUUGUCUCCAUUUGAUUCCUCGGCAUUGAAGGUAAUAGCGCAAAGGCAGGAAGUGGAGCUACGUCAAGAGUCAAAGGAAGACCAUAAGCUUCGAUAUUUUAGGGUUAAGAUUCAGCAAGAUUUUAAAUUAAGAAUUUGAAUUGAAAUUAAAAAUAAAUAAAUUUGUUGCUGCAUAUAUUAUUGAAAGUUUUGUUUUGUUUUUUUAUACAUAUAAAUAACAAAUUUUGUUUUUUAUAGAAAAAUGACGUCGCGUCAUAUAUUACUGAAAGUAUGAAAAUAACAUGAACAUGAUCCGCCCUCGUGGGCUAUGAAACAAUGCAAAAAAACCUAAAAAAAAAAAUAUCUAAGCAAUCUCUAUGCUGCAAACCAUAAUAUGCACCCCAAAAAGUAACCACAACAUGUAAGGGAAAACCUAAUUUAUUCAUAGCUUCCGAAACCAUCCUACUCAAGGGGGGUCAACCCGAAAUCAAACCCAUCAACACUAGACUCCACUAUCACAGAGGAACGUGCAGAAAACUUCGACCGAGUUUCCCAGUUUUCUUAUGGCCUAGAUGAAACCUAAAAUUUGCAGCCUAAAUAACAAGGAUAAGAAUAAGACCAGAUCUCGAAACCCUACUUAUAACCUGGCCCCAUCCUACGUACUUUCGCUAUGGGCACCCAACAUAAUGCGCACCCCCAUCACGCCAUCGUUGCCGUUGUCAACUACCUCUCGUAGGCCGAACCUAGUCCAAAAAAUCGCCUGCCCUUGGCUUCACCAUAAAGUCGAGCCCUAAUCAUAGGGCCGCCGAAUGAGGAGCCACUUUAAAAGGUUGUCAUCUACCCUAGGAUGUCACCGUCAACAUGCAAGCUCAAAUCUGUCCCUUUUCCAUUCAUCGAGUGGCCAAUGUCAUGAACAACUACGCUCCAAGGGAUAUCUCUGACCCCAGUUAACCAAGCCCCAUGCCCAUCGUCGUCGUCUCGAUCUUGGUUGCGAAACUAGCCACAAUUGAGCUCGGCGCCACGAAAGCCAUCAUCGCCCACUACUAGAUCGGAAACCGAGAUUGUCAUCCAUCGCUUGUGACGACUGUCACUAGCAUGCCAAUCGGAGUCUAAAGAGUGAAAACCCUACUCUCCAAUUGUCGUUGUCGGCGUGACUAGAAAGAAGGAGAAGCCCCCAUCCACCGCCGCCAACCCAGAACUCUCGAAGGAGAGAACACAAAGAGAGAACAUCUCGUAAUAUAUACAUUUAAGUGUUGAGUUUCGUUUGGUGGAGGUUUAAUAUGAUUGAAGCUUGUAUUUUGGGAGUUUGGUUAUUUAUUUAUUUAUUUUUAUAAAUAACAAAUUGUUGAUAUUGAAAUCAACUAGCACCAACUAGCACACGACAAAAAAAGAAAAUCAACUAGGACCAAAUUGUUGAUUUGAAGCCACAAAUAACAAGAAAAUGAUGGGCGCUUAUUCGGUCAUUAAGACCGAAAUCAUUUAACUUAAUUGUUUAUUCUUUCCUAAAUUUGUAUAUAAUAAUAUAAAUAAAAGGUCAUCGAUCAACACAACACAACUCAAAUACAAAUUUAUAGAAGCUAGUUGAAAAUAACCUUAGUGAAGACCAUUGACAACAAUGAUAAUAAUCUCAUCUUUAAGAAUAUGAAUGCUUAUAAAAAAAUUAAGGGUUCGGUUCAAGGGACACUCUUCUUUACAUAAAUUUUUACACUUCUUUUUGACCAUUGGAUUUAAGUACUUUCGACGGUCUUGAUAGUUUAUAAUGUGAUGUGGCAAAUGCUGUGGAAACAAUUAUAUUUAGUUAAAAUUAUAAAAAUCUAAACUAAUUAAAAUGAAUUUAGGGUAUGAAUUUAUACAGAAAUUCAAAUCAAAAUUAGAAGAAUGAUGAAUGUCAUCAUCAUCUUCUUCUUCGAUUAAAGGAGGCAUGGCCUCUCUCACCUCAUAUUCAUAUUAUGCUCAAUUGCAAUCACCUUAAUUACUAUCAUAGUUAAUCUUCUUCCGAUUGCAAUUUAGUAGGGCUGUACAAAUUCAGAAGAAAACAAAACAAACCUAAAUUUUCUUAAGCUGGGUCUAGCAAGAUAAGAUUUUGUUUUUUUUUUUUCCUAGAAAAUAUGAGCUUAUAAGGAAAUCAAAAUUAAAGACCGAUUAUAAACCAUGGGAUUAAUAUAGUUGAAGAUUCUUAUGUAUAUUAUGUUUCAGGUUUUAAAAAUUGGAAUUAACAGUUUCUUCUUUGAACAAAACGAAAAGAAUUGAAGAGUGUUUGUUCAUAAUUUUUUCUACAAGAACAGUAAUUUCGUUUUGAUUUUAAUCCAUUUAAUUUUGUAAUAUUUGUUCUAAUCCCGUAUAUAAAAGAAAAUCUAAUAUUAUUUUAAUUUUUGUUUUUUCGAUAACAAAAUUUUAUUUUAUUUUAAUUUUUGUUGGGAAUAGAUUUAGAUAUGCCAUGUCAUUAAAGACGAUUAAUCAUAACCAUUGAAAGUUCUUAUAUCUAACGGUCUUAAAGAAGUGUAAAAAUUUGUGUUAAAAAUAAUGUCUCUUGAACCGGACCCAAAAAUUAAUUGAUCAAUAAUUGUUAGCCCAACUCGAGUAAAGGUUUAAUUUCGUGUUAAGGAAUGAAUCACACUCUAAUUAUAGACAAUUGAAUAUCCAUAAUUAAAAGACUAAUAUCAUAACAUGACGUAAAAAAAAAAACGUUACGUGCGCUUGAAGCACACAUGCUUAAGGUAUCUACAAACACACUUCAAAACGUCAAUUCUUUAUUCAAGCUUUAUUUUUUACAACAAAAAAAAACUUGAAAGCAGUAAUUUACAAUAUAAGGUUUCCCUUUAACACUUUUUCUACACUUCAAGAACCACACUUGCAAAAUUGAUGAAGCAUGAAUAAAAAAAAGACCGAAACCUCUAGGGUUCUAGGGUUUUGAGAGCAAGGUGGCGGCGGCUCUUCUGAUACACUCCCAGCCACUAAGGACGUCGUCUGGCAUCACAAUCUAAGAGGAGAGGAACGAAGGCUCCUGGUUCUCUUUUUUGUUGGUCUUUGUCUUCGACUGUGGUGAGUAAGGGACGUGGAUUUAAAGGUUGACAGUGACGCUACUUGGCUUUGGUUCUCGUCGGUAACCUUUCACAGACGAUCAUAUUUUUUGGCGAGCAGGCAUCAAGCUUCUGUUGAUCGUUGGAGGCGACUCAAGACUACAUGAGUUCUGAAGGUCGACGUCGAGUUUGGGUGGUGAAGCGGCUGUGGUAGAAAUAGAGACUUAGGAGGCGGUUCUCGGCCCUACUCUUUGGUUGCAGGGGUUCUCCGCUGUUUCUGGAAGGGAUGGCGAUGUCAGUGAAGCCGUCGGAUUGAAUAGGUGGAGGUAGCAAUUUCGGUAGCACAGCUUGAUCCGAUACAAUUGGGACUGAUAGUGGAAGUGUGUAUGUGGGAUGGGCUUUUAGCUUCAGCCCAUUGCACCUUCUUCCUUUUUUGGGCUCUGUUGGGUUGUGAUCUAGGUUUUUUCAUGUUAGGACUGCGUGAAGAAAAAAAUAAGUAAAACAUUAGAAAUUAUGACCACAUAAAAUGCAACUCUACAACAAUAUAUAUACUCAUGGAAACGCUUAACAACCUGUUUAAUAACUUUUUUUUUACAUGCUCGUAGUUGUCUUUAGUCUUAUACAAUUGAUCUGACAAGGUACGAUACUGGAAAUAGAAAAGAUAAGUGAGACACUCAAGGUUACAGUAACUUAAGCAAAUUAUAGAUUAACACUUGAAAUAGACCAAUGCCUUAGUUAAUACACACAAAAACAAAGAUGCAAUUGUGCAUUGUAGGCAUUGUAAUCUGUAGCAUAACGGUUAAGAAAAGACAACCUGACAGUUGCCAUCUCCCAUGACAAUGCGCUCUGCCAUACUUUUGAACUUCAAAUUAUUAAUGAAACUCGCAAAAGCUUACCACAAACAAAUUCUAGCAUAAUCUCUAUUUCGUGACAAGGUCAUGAGGAGAAUAUUAACAAGGAUUUAGUUUCCAUAACUCCAUAUUCAAUAACCAACCCUCAUUCUAUAACUACAGAUGUCAUCAUUCAUGCGGUUUAAGAUUUUCUUUCUCAAGUAACUAUUCAUAUUAGAAAGUAUGAAAAGAAUUAGCAUGUAUAGAACAAUCUUAAGAGUCAGAACCAUCAUAUUAAUAGAUUGUCUUUGCAUCUGACAAAGACAUGCUUAAGUCUUCUAACCAACCAUUUCAUAUGGUGAAUGAUAUGACAAGGUACAAUAGUCAUCCACUUGUGAAGUAAUGAACUUGAAACCAAAAAAAUGAUUACAUUGACAUUAGUAGUAGAGAUGCCAAAAUCAAAAUUCUAUUUCUCUACACGGACAACAUCAGUAAAAAGCUUCAAUAAAAAAAAACAGUAGAGAACUAUUUUCUAAUCACUGCUCUACAUAGCCAAAUCAAACUCCAACCAACAAAACGAGGAUAACAUUAUAAGUUAAAUGAGAUGAAAUGAAACAUGCUUGGAUGCUGUAAUUUAGGAAAUGAGUUGAAAAGCUUUAUCAUAUUAUAUAAUUGCAUAAGAGGAUUCAACACAUGAAUAUUGAUUUUUUAAAGCACAAUAUAUCCGAAAACGAAAUCAUAUUACUUCCAAGCCAGCUUUAGAACACAAACUCCAACAUUGCCCAAUAUUUGAAUCGCUAUUAACUAACAACCAACAUCAAAGGUCUUAAAAAUGACAAUAAAAAUUCAAUAUAAGUAAAACAUCCUUAAACUAGCAACCAACAUCAAAGGUCUUAAAAAUGACAAUAAAAAUUCAAUAUACAUCCUUAAACUAGUAAGGAUUCUUCAUCCUUUCAAGCAUAUCUCUACUUCUCAAAUGAGUUUGGUCUUCUCUUCUUGCCAAAACCAACCACUGCCACAUCAACACAGCAUACAAGGAAUCAAAAACAAAAUCCAAAAUAUGAUUUCCUACAAAACAUAAGUUCCUAAAGACCCAUAUCACCAUCUAUGGAGAAUGUUAUCAAACAAGAUAUAUCACUAUAUAUCAUAAUCAAAUAUUACCAUUUAUCACAACCAGAUCAAAAUUAGUAAAUCAUGAACGAAUUCAAUAUUUACAACAAAAAACUUAACUGAACAUUAUUUAUCACUUAGUUCCUCACACAAUGAAACUUAGUUUCUUACACAAUGAAAUGAACUAAUGACCACCAUUGACAAAACACUAAACUUAAGCAAAAACACAUGAAAAACUCUAGUGCCUAUAAGUGUAAACCCAAACAACAAAAGUGGAAAGUUGAAUAACAAUUGUCAAUCGAACGUUACAAUAACAACUUAGCCAUGGUCAACUAGUCAAUCCAAAGAAAAUAUAACCAAAAUACAAUACAUGAACAAAUUUCUUACCACUUCAAAUGCCACAAAUUGUUGUCACUGCUUCAGCUGUCAAAAAAAUCAACCCAUCUUGCAAACAUCUUCUGUUUAUUUUCAUGGUCUCUUGCUGAUCUCUCAUAAUCAAUCUGUCAAUCAUUUUCAACCUUUGGAUUUACCUCCUCACUCGUUUUCUCCUCUUCACUUGACUUCUUGGAACCUCCCUUGUGAGACACAAAUCCCCGCACGCAUAGGUGGGUCAACACUCAAUAAGUAUACCAAAUCCCAAAUCAAUCCCACCAAAAUACAAUGGUCUUUAAACCUCUGACGAUAAACCAAUUUUGUAGAAGUGGGGUUUGAACAACAUCAUCAACUAGAGUCACAUAUUUAGAGUCUUCUUUGAUAUAAUACUUGGUGGGAUCCCAUAGAAUAUAGACGUGAGGUGCUUAAUGAGGGAACUUAGCCAAGCUCAUAUGAAUUUUGACCUUAUACUUCACUGAUAAGAGAUGGGGAAAUAACCCGUCACAUAAGGGGUCGGAGCAGAAACGUUACCCACCUACACAUGAACCUCCAACCUAGAAAAAUUACCAAACAACUGCUUUAGGGCAUUUUGGAGCCGCCCAUCAGUAAUCGUAAGAGGCAUGUUAAAAGACACAUGAUAAGUAUUCCUACGACGCUUUUUAAAGGGAAUUCAUGAACCUAACUCCUGAGAUAACUCAAUUAGUAGGUUGGCUAGAGUGGAGUGAUGACUCCACCGUGUAAGAUAAGAAAUUUGAACCUUCCCACAUGGGCUCACCAUCUGAUGGUUCAUCACCACAACCUCAUCAUGUUUUGCGAGCACGUAGACAUCCGGGGUUGAUAUGGGGAAAUUAGGAGUCAACCAGCCUACUACAGCUAACUUAAGGUUGGUUCUAGGCUUAAUAAAUCUAGAAAAACCAAUCAGAGUCAUUUUGGAUCCGUCCUCAUAGCUGAAGUUUGCAGUUGCUAUGUGAAAAUGAUGCACUGCUAAAUAUACAAAUUGACUCUCAACCUACGACAAAUUCGAAUAAGAUACUAUUUCUCGAUUUUGAUAAACAAAAUUACGCACUCCAACAACGCUGUUGUUAGUCAUUUUGAGAAGAUAACAGAGAAGGAGGUAAGAUUUUUGGGUUUGGGUUUAAGAGGAGAAUUGAUGAAUGUCUAAAGGGGCUUUUAGGCUUACACCCUAAAACCCCAACCAGAGAACUGUCGCAACACUAAUAAACCGUAAACAAGAAAAUGAUAGACUGCAAACUGAGCUCACCGGAGAAUUUCUUAUUUUCAUUUUUGUAGUUAAUCACAAUCAUGGGACUGUCACCUACAUCUCGAACCUUAAAAGGUCAUAACUUCAUAUCACUCUUAACACAUGCAUCAUUGAAUUUCCUAUCAAUCAAUCGCUUUACAUAUGAAAGAUUAUAAAUAAUAAUAAUAAAAAAAAACAUACAUCAUUAGUUACGAGGAAAAUUCUUUCAUAACUUCCAGCCUUGAACUUUUGUCUCUUCUUCUAUUUUUUUUUGUUUUCAUCCUAGAAAGUUAUAAUCAUAUGUCUAUUUUAGUUUUAAAGUGAAGUCAAGAAGCAAAUAUAUUGGAACCAUCUAAAUUGCAUUUAGAGCAUGCGACAUGAGAAUAACACAAACAAAAAAAACUCAGCUAAAACGAAGUGUUGAUAGUUGAAUCCCCCAACCUACCGACAAAUCCAUCGUCAUAAAUUACUACUUUUUCUGUCUUUUGCUCAUAAGUUACCCAAUAUUAGACUUCUCAUCUCUUCUAGUUGAUGAGUUCUAAAAGUCUGGAACAAGAUCCACAACUUCUCUUAAAAAAAAAAUCCAAAUCAAGCAAUUCUUAAAGCGGGUAGGGUGGCUAGAACAGAGGAGGUUCCAACUUCUAAGGGCUCUAAAAGUUAAGCUAGCUAGAAGAAGUGGUAGAAGCUUAAUUGAAGGUGAUUGUUUGAGAAAGAAAGAAACCAUUUUUUCACAUAUGACAAGGUGAAAGAAUUGGUUUCUCAUUCUUCAUAUUGCCGAAAUGAUGGUACAAAUAAGAACAUGCCACAAGGAAAUAAUAACGAAUCCACAAAAGAACCAAAGGUGUCUAAUAUAUUCUAAUUGAACAAACUGCAAAAUAAGGAUUCAAGCCAAUUCUAGACGUUCAAAACAAAAACACAAUAUAUGAACAACAUUCUAUACCCAUGUAAGCGAAGAUUUUAAAUAUAAAGAGUAAACCUAGCACACUGCAUAAAUUUUUUGUCAAACCUAAAUGAACAAGGAAUCUAUUUGUUCAGUGGCGAAAUCAAUUAGAACAUCGAUGUUUGAACAAUUCAGUCAAAACAUAUAUAUCACAAUAAAGAGUCUUUCAUUCUAAAAAAUAAUAAGGAGCAUUUUUAGUUGCCACAUAGAGAAGAAGAAAAAUAGAACUUUUCUAAUAUAUAAAACUUGGAAGGCCUCCAUUAAAAAAUGUGUUUAAAAUAACAGUAAUAUGGAUUGCCCAAAUAGUGGUGUUUUCAACAUAUGAAAUGCGAUAGGCAGCCUCUGAAUGAUGUGUACACCACCUAGUCAUGUAGACUACUAAGUUCAUAGUAGCAUGUAGAAGUGUGAUUCAAAUUUGAUUGACAAAUGAAACGGAGAAGCUUCAAAUUUUAAUCAAAAUCACAAAUGAUACCGAGAAACCCUCAAACUUUUAGAACACUUUUUGUUUGCACCGAAAUUAUAAAAAUCUAUUGUAUUUCAAUCUUUAAUUCCUAAAUGAAUCUAAACUUAGAUUUCUGUUCACCCCAUACCACAUAAUGAAACCCUCCCACUUCAUGUGCUUAUGGGUUGAAAACAUGAAAGCUUAAUCUAGGCUUAGCCUAUCUUUUUCACAAAUUGAAGAUCAACAUCACCAAAAGGAUAUUCAUAUGAUAUAACAUAAACAUAAAAUCAAGACUAAAUAUAGAUUAAUCACAACAAAACACAAAGAGCAAACUGAGAACAAGUCCUAUUGUAUAUAACCAUAACAUUGCUCAGUCAAUAUGAAUAUGUAAAAAGUUUGAGAUAAGAACCAAAAAGCCCCAAUAAACAAUUUAAAUCUAAACAUAUAAUAAAGAUUCAAACCACAAUCGCAAGCAAUUUGAAAGUCUCAAAUCUAUUAAGAUAAUCCAAAACACAGGGUCCCAAAAUGCAAUGAAAAAAUGGAUUCCACCACAAACAUCAUGUGAGGUCGAUCUGACGAAUCAAAAUCAUUAUAAAACUCAUAAAGUCAUGUGCUGAUAGGAAAAUUACACCGCUAGUUUGGGUGAGAAUUGCAACAGCUUUUGACGACAUUGUGAUGAAGGGGAAGAGGUUUGAAGAUGCCCUCCGCCCUAGCUCCCUCACCCUCUCAAAAUGCUCUCCGCUUGGGGCUCGAUCAUUGCGUGAUCUAAUUGCUCGAGAGGUGGACACUUUGUCAUAUUCAGAUAUGUCCAUGGUUGAGAAUCAGUUAGGUUAUCUAGAGUUAUAUCAUUUUCACUUUGGGACUUCACAAGUUAGGUAUAAGGAUGGAUCAAUUAAGAAAUCGAUCGAUUUCUCUAGAUUUAUUGAGUUUGGGAACAAUCUUCCAUAUGCUAUAACAGGCUGGUUAACCCUUAAGUUUCCCUAAGAUGCUCUCGAUCUCUAUUUACUCGCCAAAUAUGACGAGGUUGUGGUGGUCAAUCAUCAGUCUGUGAAGCCUUGUGGUAAGAUUGAAAUUGCUUACCUUAAACAAAGGAGAUGUGACUCCAUUUUAGCUACUCUAAUGGUUGAGCUAGCUACCGAGUUCACUUUAGGGCCGCCUUUGGUGAAACGGCCUAAGACGACUUGCACUAUUUCUCUUGACAUACCCAAAAUGAUCACUGAUUAACACAUCCGGAAAGUCUUCAAGCAGCUUCUGUCUGAUUUCCCUACAUUGGAGGUUGGUUUGCACGAGGGCAGUGUAUCCACCCCUUCUCUUAUGAUCAUGUGUCGUACAAGAUCAAGAUUCAUAUGUGGUUGACCGGGUUCCCAUAUCAGGCACCUUAGGUUUUUAUGUAAUGGGAUCCCAUAAAGUCAUGCAUCAAACAAGACUCCCAAUAUGUGAGUCAUGUUGAUGGUGCAGUCCAUGCCCCAGUCGUGCACAAUUAGUCUUGUCACCAGGAUUUUCAGGAUUACUAUGCUGGAAGGGAAAAAACUGUAGCCGCAGAAUAAUUAUAAGGUGGAUCUAAGCGUGAGCUUCAAGCCCGUGAUUGUUGUGCUGAAAAAAUAGAUGGAGUCGAAGUGGAGGGAGACAUAUACACGUUGAUGAAAAUGGCAGAAGAAACCAAGAAAAAUGAGAGGCGUCCACAGGUGUUGCCGGAGGUUGUGCAGCUGGUAAACUAAAGUAAGAUCUACUUUUUAGAUGAACUGGAUUUUAAAGGUUGUUUUGUGGAUUUAAGGUUUGAUGGUUUUCAUUUGACUCGUUCAUUUGUGGUUGGUAUGAGGAUGACUCGAUCUUUUAGUUGAGAAGAUGUAUGAGAUAUUAUGACUCUCUUUGUUAAAAAAGUAAUUACUAAAUUGAUCAUACAUGCAUGUGUAACAUUUUGGCUACCAAACAUAAACCAUGGCUAGAUUUAAAAAUGAAAAAUGAAGAAAACCAAACAAAAACCUUUUAUAUGAAGACCAGCUCAUCAACCCCUUCAUCAUCUUGACAACCAAACUAAACCACGAAAAUUCACGAAGAAGCAGGAACCUACGAUGUGGAAAGACGUGGAGAAAGGAGGGAUCUAAAAGAAUGCUCGAAGUGACGCUAAGACCAUCUUCAACCGAAAAGACCAUCUUCAACCGAAAGUGCUAAAAAUAGCACCAGUGCCAUUUUAACACUCAUAUUUUCAAUAUUCAUCAAAAUAGUGCUCACCAUCUCUAACCGAUCGAUGCUAAAUUAUAGCUCUUUAAAAUAUUAACCGUCUUUCAUAUUUAAUUUUUUUUUAAUUACAAUAUUUUUUUACAUAUAUAAUUACAUCAUUUGUAUUUUGAAGAACUACUAAACUUUAAUUUUACAUAUAUCCAGAUGUUUGCAACAUUCUAUCACAUUAAUUAUAUGGUUGUGUACGUGGUUGUUUGAGAGCAACCAAUAGUAGCUUACCAAGUGUAAGCUUUGAGUCAUAAGAGGAAUUGAUGAUGGUUUGAUACUCCUCACAUAAGGUUAUUUUUUUGGAUAAGGAUCCUCUCUUUGGCUAGCCCAUGUCCUUGGGUAUCCUUGACUUUCAAUUAUAUCCGUUACUUUAUAAUCUGAAGGUAAUUAAAGCCCGCCUCAGCAUGUAGCUAUUAAAUAAUAAAAAUUACUUUCUUUAAGGCAAUGACGCCGUUUCUCGUGUUAUGUCGUUAACAAACAAAAAAAAUACAGAAGACAAAGGGACCUCCGCCAUAAACUGAGUUAUCUUUCUUUUUAUAUUCUGUUUCUCAUGAUUUCAAAUAUUCGAUUCAUUGUUUUUCUUUCUUCAUCUUCUCCUUUUCUUUAUCUAGUUGGAUUGACUAAAAUUUCACUUCAAAUUUUAUGUUAUCUGCUCAACAUUUCAUCUCUUUUUGUUUCUUGGUAUGCUAUUAGUCUCUCAUUUCAUCUAAUUGGAUCAACUGGCUGAAAUAAUCAACAUGCAGAAUCUCUUUCCAAAUUCUGAGUUUAUUAAUAUCAAUUUUAGUUCCUCUUCUUUUCUAGUAAUUGAACAUACAAGUUCAAUUUGGAAGUGUUGAGACCCAUUUACUUAUUCGCAGACUGAUGAGGAAAAAAGAAGGCUUGUAUUGAUUUUAAUCAAAACAACCUAGAUGAAUAGCCCUCAAUAACUCUUUCUCAAAAGAACUAAAGAAGUCGUUUGAGAAAAACCCAGUCCUAAAAGUAUAAUGGUUCUAAAAUCUUACCUCCCAGCUUCCUCAAAUUAUGCUUCCACUUGGCCAUGUCCACUCUUCCACCUGCCUUUCUUAAUAUACUAAUCUUCAAAGUCCAAACAGUAGUUCUAAGUAUUUAAUAUGUGAGGCUGUUUGAAACUAUUUGAUGCGUCAACACGAUUUCGAUUACGAAAACAGUGUUUGCACUUCGCAUACAUGUAUAAAUCCUACAAGCAAAAGAUUAAGAGUGAAACAGGUGCUCCAGAGAAAGAUUGAGGGAGAAGAGGAAGAGACGCAAAAAUAUGAAGUGAAGACGGGGAAGAUAAUGAAAGAGAAUGUAAAGAGACAUCGUUAGUCUUGAAAAAACAAAAUGUGGUUGGAAUUGAGUUUUCUAGAGUCACCAUGCUGAGGUGGAGUCUUAAUAACAUUCUGAUUUCAAAACAACAAGUAAGAUUGAACGCCAAGGAUAACCAAGGACAUGGGCUAGCCAAAGAGAGAAUCCUUAUCCUAUUUUUCUAAGAAAAAAAGAGUGAAGCACUUCACCCUUCCAAUAGAACGCUACCACGUCACAUGUGCUAACGAGUCAUUCAAGGAGUAAAUUUGUCUCAAGGGCUAGCACUUUAGCUCUUAUAUUUUGCUCUUUUGCACCUUAGCUCGUCGGUUUAAGAUUAUGGCCUAUAACCUCACUCUUUAACACUAUCCCAUCAAUUGAGAUGGCCUAACCAUUCAAUGGACUACCAAACCAAUUCUAUCUCAACUCCGACCGUCAUUUUGCGAUGAACAUUCAACAAAGUUCGAAUGUUGCACUAGAAUUCGGGUCGAGAAGAAAGCAACAAAUGCCAAUUAAAUCAAGGAUCUAGUAAUUAGAAUGCAGGCUAUAGUUAGAGAUCAUACAUAGGCUUUUUUUUCUUUUUCAUGGUUUUGCAACAAAAGCUCAAGUUCCAAGUGCCUUAGAUGCUGAGGUUCUAGCUUUUUUUUUAGAAGAAAUUCGUUUUGCAAGGCUCCGUUAAUGGCAUUCUUUAUGGAUUGAAACUGACUCCAUGGUGGUGGUACGUUACUUUAAGGUACAGGCACCAAGUUUGGUGCCAUGGAGGUUACGCACAGGGUGGUUAAACGGUAUGACUUUUGCUCAUCAAUAUUGUCUCAAAAUGACACAUAUAUUUCAAGAAGAAAAUGCGCCAACAGAUGCCAGACGCAUUAGCCUCUUUAGACGGCGACCAAAGUUGAGAUGUAAUUCCUCAGUUCCUAAUCUCCAGUUAUGUUGUGACUUAUCCUCUGUGCCUACGUUUCAAUGUAGAUGAGUUUCUGGCUGGCUGUCUAAAUCUUCAUUAUGGUUCUACUUAUUUAUGUUUUUUUGUUCUCACUUAGUGUCGUUUUCUCUUUUUGUUUUUAUAAAUUGGUUUUACAAUGUGCUAUUGUUGGUAUAGCCCACUUGUCUUACACUUGCUGCAUUUGCGUAUCAAUGGAUUUUCGAAUUAUUUACAAAAAAAAAAAAAAAUCCCGACAAUGAGUUGAUAAAAACUACGUAUAACAGAGAUAUACGGACAGUAAUUAAUAUUUACUAUUCACCUCGAUAGAAGCUGAUUUUAUAAUCUGUAAACCGAAUAUCAAUUUGUGUAAAAGGUCUACUUCCCCUUUCUAUUAUUCCCACCCGUCACUUUUUAGGGUUUUCAAUCCCCUUUUGUUCACUCUUCUCUCUGACUCUGUCCUCUCCAAUCGAAUCGAACCGGAAACCUGAACUGCUUCAAUCCGCAAUUCAAUUCAAUUCUGUUCUGUAUCCCAAAGCCUUUCAAUUGAGCAAAAGUGAAGGAAAAAUUAGAAUCUAGGGUUUCGGAUUGGGGGUUUUGAGGUGGAAUUGGGAUCUAGGGCUUGGAUUUGUGUGAUGCGUGAGAUGAUCGGAUCAGGUUUAGCGUGAUCGCCGCUCGUGGUGGCGAGCGAGGACUCGAAUUCCAGGGGGUUGUGGUACUUGUAUGGAAACUCGGAGCCGGAAGCGGGCGGAGGCCACCUCAUCAGCCCCUUCAUCAUCUUCGUCUGGUCGCACCACUCGUUCCACCAAGCGCUCUCGUCUCUCCUCUUCUUCUUCUGUUAACCCUACUCCAAUCUCCACGCGCUCUCGGGCCUCUCGGGCCAGCAACAACAACCAAGACAACAACACCGCCGCUGCUCCCGCCACUGCCAUGGACUCGACGAACGAAUCAUCCGGCUCGCGCGGCCGCCGGAGUAGGAAUUCCGACAAGGAUGGCUCGGAUAAGGGCAAGGAGAAGGAGCACGAGGUGCGAGUUAGGGAUAGGGAGAGAGAGAGGGAGAGGGAGAGAGAGAGGGCGUUAGAUAGAGAGACGGAGAGAAAUUUGGGGCUGAAUAUGGACGGCGGAGGGAAUGGUGACGAUGAUGACAACGAUAGCGAAGGUGGGGUUGGGAUUCUGCAUCAGAAUUUGACUUCGGCUAGUAGUGCCCUUCAGGGGCUUCUUAGGAAGAUCGGUGCCGGAUUGGAUGACCUGCUUCCGUCUUCGGCAAUGGGGUCAGCUUCGUCGUCCCACCAGAGCGGAAGGCUGAAGAAAAUUCUGUCUGGGUUGAGAGCUGAUGGGGAAGAAGGAAAGCAGGUGGAGGCUUUGACGCAGCUGUGUGAGAUGCUUUCGAUUGGUACUGAGGAAUCGCUCAGUACUUUUUCAGUGGAUUCCUUUGUGCCUGUGCUUGUGGGGUUGCUCAAUCAUGAAAGCAAUCCUGAUAUCAUGCUUCUGGCAGCCAGAGCACUUACUCAUCUUUGUGAUGUGCUGCCAUCGUCCUGUGCCGCUGUUGUGCAUUAUGGUGCUGUUUCUAUUUUCUGUGCAAGAUUGUUGACCAUAGAGUACAUGGACUUAGCCGAACAGGUAAUAUGGCUUGAUGGGUUUCAAAUGAAGAGAUAAUGCAAAUAAUGAUAUAAAUUAAUUAUCAUGCUGAAAGCUACUUUCUUUGAAGCAAUAGGCGGUCUAAAGUUUUCCAUAUGUACUUCUGAAAUCAUGCAUUCCGAUAUUUAUGAGUUAUUAUGAUGUUUUCAGUCACUGCAAGCUCUGAAGAAGAUAUCUCAGGAACACCCAACUGCCUGUCUAAGAGCUGGUGCUCUUAUGGCUGUCCUUUCUUAUCUGGAUUUCUUCUCCACUGGAGUCCAGGUAAUGUAUUCAUUUAUUAUUUUGCAAGUGUAUUUCGUUACAUGGGAUAUCAUCUUUUCAUUUGGGAUCUUCAUUAACUGUUUCUAUGUUUCAGCGUGUGGCAUUAUCAACUGCUGCAAAUAUGUGCAAGAAACUUCCUUCAGAUGCAUCCGACUUUGUGAUGGAAGCCGUCCCAUUAUUGACAAAUCUUCUGCAGUAUCAUGAUGCUAAGGUACUUCUACUUCUCUCAGUUUCAAAUUUAACAGCCAUCAUGAGUAGUUUUAGUUAAAAUUGAGGAGAUGCUGUUUGUUAUCCCUAGGUUUUGGAGCAUGCAUCUGUAUGUCUGACCCGAAUUGCUGAAUCAUUUGCAUCUUCGCCUGACAAACUUGACGAACUAUGUAACCAUGGACUAGUUGCUCAAUCUGCGUCCCUUAUUUCUACUAGCAAUUCUGGAGGUGGGCAGUCAUCUCUCAGUACACCUACUUAUACGGUAUGUCUAACUUCUUUGCAUUGCGUUCUUCUUUGAAAUUUUUUAUAAGCACAAUACGCAUGCAUGAUCUCGUGUGUAUGAGGGUUCAAUUUUGACUUGCAAACCAUCCAGGGCUUAAUCCGGCUGCUUUCAACCUGCGCAAGUGGUUCUCCAUUAGGAGCCAAAACUUUGCUGUCUCUAGGGAUAAGUGGCAUCCUUAAAGAAGUACUUUCAGGUUCAGGCAGUUCUUCCAACACUACAGUUUCUCCUGCUUUAAGCAGACCAGCCGAUCAGGUGAUUACUGCUUCCUUUGAAGUUAAAUUCUAGGUUCUGAGUCUACUGUUUCAUAUGUAUAUUUUGAUUGAGAAGAAUGUGUCACAGUAAAGAGGGCCUCAAAACUGUAUAGCUCCUAGUUAACCCAUACAUGCUAAUCCAUCAACCCCAUUAACAGUAAAUAGUAGUUGCGAGACCGACAGUCUUCAUUUGAUGUAAUCAAUGUUACAGUAUUGGUAUUAAACAUCUUACCCUGCACCCUGUAUUAAUGACUAGAUAUGAAACUAAAUAUCUUUAACAUGUAGUAAUCUUGUAGUCGGACUUUUAAGUUGGAUCGCAGAGGUUGUGUUUAUAGUGCUUUUAUGUAAGGUUUUUUUUUUUUUUCCCUUCUAUGAAAUUCAGCUUAUCCAGUUAAUAGUUAAUACACCAAUGUCACACAAAAACUUCUUAGAGUUUCCUAGAUACAUAAAUAUAAGGACUUCCUUUCUAGUUGGUUCUUACCAAUGGCAGUUCAUUGUCCUAGAGAAAAGUCAUGACGUAGUGCUCGUCUAGACCCUUGCCAAAUUUUGUAGGAGUUGGGUGCUUUUGAGCUGGAUCGAGUAGGAUCUGUUUCCAGUGUGCCUCCCCCCAACCCCACCCCGCCCCUAUCCCUUACAGUUCAUACACCAAUCUCUUGCAAAAGUAGUUCUUUAUGCAUGAUCGGAGUUCCUCUGAUUUAUGUUUAUACUAUUAAUGCGUGUUGCCAUUGUUUGUCUCAGUUUUAUAGACAAUUAAAAGCAGCAAAUUUGGAAUGUUAAUUUACGUGUUGAAAUUGUGAAAUAUGAGGUGUUUGAUGUUCUCUCUACUAUUGAAGUUUGUUGUUCUGUCUUAAUUGUGGCUUGGUUUUAUUAAUAUAUGCAUAAUUUGGUUGCACUUGAUUCCUUAUUGGUGUUAGGCAUGCCAUCUGAUGUUGCAAUUUAUCUGUCAUUGACAUCUUUUCUCUUUUCUGCCUACUGCCUAGAUUUUUGAGAUUGUCAAUCUUGCAAAUGAGCUGCUUCCUCCACUUCCCCAAGGAACCAUCUCCAUGCCAUCCAGUUUCAAUUUGUUCAUGAAAGGACCUGUUGUGAAAAAGUCAUCUGGUAGCAGUUCUGGGAAACCCGAAGAUGCCAGUGGAAACAGUCCUGAGGUUUCAGCUCGUGAGAAAUUAUUGAAUGAACAGCCUGGUCUUCUUCAGCAAUUUGGAAUGGAUCUCCUUCCUGUUUUAAUACAGGUUAGUUUUUUCUCACUGCUAAUGUCUAGUUUAUUGAUCGAUAUAGAUGGUUAAUGAUGUAUGGACAUCUAUCAAGCAGAUUUAUGGGUCUAGUGUAAAUGGCCCUGUUCGCCACAAAUGUCUGUCAGUCAUCGGGAAGUUAAUGUACUAUAGCCCAGCAGAGAUGAUCGAGUCUUUGUUAAGUAUGACAAAUAUUGCAAGGUACCUUAUAUGUUAUCCAUAUAUAUCUCUGGAUAUGUUGAUACUGGGUUAUUAUAGACUUACAACUACUAUUUUUUCUGUUUUUAUGGAUUCCUCAGUUUCUUAGCUGGUGUUUUGGCAUGGAAAGAUCCACAUGUCUUGGUUCCUGCUCUCCAAAUUGCCGAGAUACUCAUGGAGAAGCUUCCUCAGACUUUCUCCAAGGUGUUUGUCAGAGAAGGUGUGGUUCAUGCUGUUGACCAACUAAUUUUGGCUGGUACUCCGAAUUCAGUUACUUCACAAGUCUCUUCUGCUGAAAAGGAUAAUGAUUGUGUGCCGGGUUCAUCGUCAUCACGUUCUAGGCGGUAUAGACGUCGAAACAGUAACUCGAAUCCAGAUGGAAAUUCCUUGGAAGAAUCGAAGAGUCCUGCUUCGGUAAAUGUUGGUUCGCCUCCAAGUUCAGUGGAGAUUCCAACUGUGAACUCCAGCCUUCGUGUAGCUGUGAGUACAUGUGCAAAAGCAUUUAAGGACAAGUACUUCCCUUCAGAUCCCGGGGCUGGUGAAGUUGGAGUCACCGAUGAUCUAUUGCAUUUAAAAAAUCUCUGUGUGAAAUUGAAUGCUGGUGUCGAUGACCCAAAAGCGAAAGCAAAGGGAAAAUCAAAAGCUUCUGGGUCUCGCUUAGUUGAUAGUUCCGCAAAUAAGGAAGAGUACUUGAUUGGUCUGGUAUCUGAGAUGGUAGCGGAACUAAGCAAAGGGGACGGUGUAUCUACCUUCGAGUUCAUUGGCAGUGGUGUUGUCGCAGCUUUAUUGAACUAUUUUUCUUGUGGUCAUUUCUCGAAGGAGAGAAUUUCAGAAGCUAAUUUGCCUAAGCUUCGUCAACAAGCCCUCAAGAGGUUCAAGUCAUUUGUUGCUGUUGCUCUUCCUUUCAGCAUUGAUGAAGGAAGAGUAGCACCAAUGACUAUCAUCAUUCAGAAGCUACAAGGUGCUUUGUCCUCUUUAGAGCGGUUCCCUGUUGUGCUGAGUCAUUCGUCUAGGUCAUCUACUGGAAGUGCACGUCUCUCCUCUGGACUUAGUGCAUUAUCCCAGCCCUUUAAGCUGCGUCUAUGUCGAGCACCAGGAGAAAAGGCUCUCCGAGACUAUUCAUCAAAUGUUGUACUGAUUGAUCCAUUAGCAAGCUUAGCUGCUGUUGAAGAGUUUCUUUGGCCUCGAAUUCAGCGAAGUGAAUCUGGUCAGAAAGCAGCUGCAUCUGCUGGAAAUUCUGAAUCUGGAAAUACUCCUGCAGGAGCUGGUGCUUCAUCUCUGUCUACUUCAAAUCCUGCUUCUACCACUCGUCGUCAUUCAACUCGUUCCAGAACAUCUGUAAAUAUAGGUGAUGGUGCUAAGAGGGAACCUUCACAAGAGAAGAGCACGAGCUCAUCUAAAGGAAAAGGUAAAGCAGUUCUGAAACCUUCUCAGGAGGAAGCAAGAGGCCCUCAAACGAGGAAUGCAGCUCGCAGAAGAGCAGCUCUUGAUAAAGAUGUUCAAAUGAAACCUGUAAAUGGGGACACUACUUCUGAGGUAUGUUACUGCUAAAUAAUGUGUAAUUGUUGUUUUCUAAGACACUGGUGUUGGAUUUAUUUAUUUAAAGUUUAGUUCAUUAUGAGAUGUUAGAGAUGUUUAUGCAGGCAACAAUCAAUUAUGUUCAUUCGGUUGUUCUUGUGAUUUAGCUCCCCCUUCCGUUUCAAUGUGUUUAGCUGGAUUUGUAUAUCAGAUAAUUGGUCAAUGUCUGUUGUAGGUUAUCUUUUAUAGAUCUGUAUUUUUUUUAGAUCGUGUAAUUUCGCUAUUAUUGGCAUACUUAGUUCUGGUUGGUUAUGUCCUACUUCUCCCUUGUCUGAACUGUGAUUUGUGUUUCUUUAAUUUGUAGGAUGAGGAAUUGGAUGUAUCUCCUGCUGAGAUCGACGAUGCAUUGGUUAUUGAAGAUGAUGAUAUCUCAGAUGAUGAUGAAGACGAUGACCAGGAUGAUGUAUGCUAUAUGAAUCUUGUACUUGUCUUAUGCAGAUAUGAAUUUGUGUGCCUUGCUUUUAACUGCUUUUACAUGCCAUUCAGGUUCUCAGAGAUGACUCUCUUCCUGUUUGCACGCCAGACAAAGUACAUGAUGUGAAAUUGGGAGACUCCGCUGAGGAUACUACUGUAGCUUCAGCAACAAGUGACAGCCAGACUAACCCUGCUUCUGGGUCUAGUAGCAGAGCUGCUACAGUUAGAGGAUCAGAUUCCUUGGACCACAGGAGUAGUAAUUCUUAUGGUUCUAAAGGUGCAAUGUCAUUUGCUGCUGCAGCAAUGGCGGGGCUUGGGUCAGGUAGCCGGGGUAUCAGGGGUGGUAGAGACAGACAAGGACGCCCUCUUUUUGGUGGUUCGAGUGAUCCUCCUAAGUUGACCUUUACAUCUGGCGGGAAACAGCUGAAUCGGCAUUUGACUAUCUAUCAGGCCAUCCAGAGACAGCUUGUGUUGGAUGAGGAUGAUGAUGAGAGGUAUGCUGGCAGUGAUCUAAUGUCAGGUGAUGGUAGCAGGCUGUGGAGUGAUAUUUACACUAUUACAUACCAGAGGGCAGAUAGUCAAGCUGAGAGGGCAUCCAUUGGAGGAGCAAGUUCAACGCCCCCAUCGAAGUCUAGCAAAUCAGGUGUUUCCAAUUCCAGUUCCGAUUCCCAAUUGCAUCGGAUGUCACUUCUUGAUAGCAUUUUGCAGGGAGAACUUCCUUGUGAUUUGGAAAAAUCUAAUCCUACUUAUAAUAUACUGGCACUCCUGCGAGUGCUGGAGGGCUUGAAUCAGCUCGCACCCCGUCUGAGAGCUCAGAUAGUUUCCGACAGUUUUGCCGAGGGGACUAUCUCAAAUUUGGAUGACUUGAGCACAACUGGUGCUAGGGUCAUUUCUGAGGAAUUCAUUAACAGCAAACUCACUCCCAAAUUAGCCCGACAAAUACAAGAUGCUCUUGCAUUGUGCAGCGGCAGUCUUCCUUCCUGGUGCUAUCAGUUAACAAAAGCAUGCCCGUUUUUGUUUCCUUUUGAGACACGGAGACAGUACUUCUACUCCACCGCUUUUGGAUUGUCUCGUGCCCUGUAUCGUCUUCAGCAGCAGCAGGGUGCUGACGGUCAUGGAUCAAACGAAAGAGAGGUGAGAGUUGGGAGAAUGCAACGCCAAAAAGUUCGUGUAUCUCGUAACCGGAUUUUGGAAUCCGCUGCAAAAGUGAUGGAAAUGUAUGCGAGCCAGAAGUCUGUACUUGAAGUAGAAUAUUUUGGUGAGGUGGGCACUGGGUUGGGUCCUACCCUUGAGUUCUAUACACUUCUAAGUCACGACUUACAGAAAGUUAGACUUGGUAUGUGGAGGUCAAAUUCUUCGUUGGAGAAAGCACCAAUGGAUAUUGAUGGGGAUGAUCAGAAAGAUGGGAAAAACAAUGUUGACAUUGUCCUAGCUCCUCUUGGGUUGUUUCCUCGUCCCUGGCCGCCGAAUGCUGUUGCUUCUGAUGGUAACCAAUUUUCUAAAGUUAUUGAGUAUUUCCGGCUGGUAGGGCGUGCAAUGGCGAAGGCUCUUCAAGAUGGGAGGCUAUUGGAUUUACCACUAUCUACGGCGUUUUAUAAACUAUUGCUUGGUCAAGUAAGCUAAUCACCUAGAACCUUUUCAUGUGACUGGUUGGAUAUAGGUUAUAUUUUGUUAUUUUAACUUGAUCACUAGUCAAAUGUUCUAAAUCUACAAAUUAUUUUAAUCUUCUCAGGAGCUUGAUUUACAUGAUGUUCUUUCCUUUGAUGCUGAGCUCGGGAAGACUUUGCAAGAAUUACAUAACCUUGUUUGUCGGAAACUACAUCUAGAAUCAAAUGGUGAUCGUGAUGCAAUUGCUGAAUUGCGCUUUCGUGGGGCUUCAAUUGAUGAUCUCUGUUUAGAUUUUACACUUCCUGGUUAUCCGGAAUAUGUGUUGAAACCCGGAGAUGAAAAUGUAAGAACAAGAACCUUCUGCUUUUUUUAUUUUCUCGUAGCUCUUGUUAAUUUAUACUUUUUGCUAUUUCUGAAAUGCUUAAUACACAAAACUAUUGAAAUUCCAGGUUGAUAUCAAUAACUUGGAAGAAUAUAUAUCAUUAGUCGUUGAUGCAACAGUGAAGACUGGAAUAAUGCGGCAGACAGAAGCAUUUAGAGCGGGGUUCAAUCAGGUAAGCUCUUCACUUAAAAAGUUUUUGCGUAAUUUGCUUUCUGUGAGACAAAUUUCUGCAUGAGACUCAUUCCGCCACUUUAGUAGCAUCAUUUAUCAUUCCAGUGUUCUGUUAACCAUUUAAAUAAUGAUGCGUUAUUCUGCAAAUGAGCUUUUUUAUUGUACUGCCUGUUAACUAAGGGAUAUAGUGAUUAGACAAUUAGGGGGCACGUUCUAUCAGUGUAGAAUAAUCUUGCCUUGGGCUUUGUAGGUAGCAGGACCUGGCCUUUAGUGCAAUAAUUCUUUUGUGGUUUACUGCUUGCUAUUGUUGUUUAUUUUUUUUAUUUCUGAAUUAUGUCUCUUGUAGCUCCACACCUGAAUUAAGUUUCUGAUUUUGAGUACAUCCUCUUUUUCUAAUGUGUUUUAGAGGGCUAUCUUUUCUCCUAUUAACACUUGUGCUUGCAAUGGACCAGGUGUUUGACAUAUCAUCCUUACAAAUAUUCGCCCCAUAUGAAUUGGACCAUCUGCUUUGUGGGCGUAGAGAAUUGUGGGAGGUAAUUGGUUUGUUUUUUUUUUUUUUUUUUUUUCCUCCAAGUCUUUUGUUUUAUUUCUACCAUUCUUAUUCUUAUUAUUUUAAUGCAACUUUAUGCAGACGGAGACUCUUGCUGAUCACAUAAAGUUUGAUCAUGGAUACACUGCAAAGAGCCCUGCAAUUCUUAAUGUAAGUUGUGUCCGUGUUCUAUUAUUAUGAAUUGUACUUUGAAAAUGAAUGUUCUGCCUUCUAUUUGUAUUUUUAUUUUUAUUCGUUUACCUUAUGGUGUCUUGUAACUUUUUCAGUUGCUUGAGAUCAUGGGUGAGUUCACGCCCGAGCAGCAGCGUGCCUUUUGCCAGUUUGUUACUGGUGCGCCUAGGCUUCCCCCUGGUGGUUUGGCAGUGCUCAAUCCAAAGCUCACCAUUGUGAGAAAGGUACAGCGAGAUUCUAUGGCUUCUUUUCAUGCCUCAUUUUUGGCUGCUUGCUUCCCUCAAACUUGUAAUGGUUAAUUCGUACUUCAAGGUGUAUUGAUGUGUUGAUGUUUCCUUGUCUGCUGCAGCAUUCUUCAACUGCGAAUAAUGCAGCACCUAAUGGGACUGGGGCUUCAGAAUUGGCAGAUGAUGAUCUACCUAGUGUAAUGACAUGCGCUAAUUACCUAAAGCUUCCUCCUUACUCUACCAAGGUAUUUGCAUUUUGUAUUUUGGUCAAGCAAUAAAGCAUGCUGAUUGCCUUUCUAUAUUUCGUGAUUCUGGGUGAUGAGUUGGUUAUUUGUGAUUCUGGGUGAUGAGUUGGUGUUUCUUGUUUAAACAGGAAAUUAUGUACAAGAAACUACUCUAUGCAAUCAAUGAAGGGCAGGGAUCCUUUGAUUUGUCAUGAGAUUUUGGGACUGGCCAUUUAGUGUAUAUUACAUCAAAGAACUAGGACUGUUUACUUUCUUUGCAAGUAGUAUUGGAUGGUGAUUUUGAUGUGGAAAGUGGCAUUUGUUCUCUUACUCAAAUAAUGGCUUCUCAUUGGUGCGGUUCUGAAAAUGUCGAGUGUCAAGGUCAGUUAUCUCCAUCUGUUUUCGGUUCUAGGAACUUUUGGUUUGUGUGAUUGGUGUUUUUGGUCAGUGUUGUUUCGCUUUACAAAUUUCCUUUGUUUGUGGUUUUAUAAGAUUGUUUAAUUGUUGUUCUUAAAGGUGAAUUCCUCCAUUUUCAGGUUGGCUCGACACAAUAUUAUGCUGUAAAGAGAAUGUUCCCAGAGGGUCGGCCGCCAGGGGACUGUAAAUAAAUAGAAAUUAUUGGUUUUGUCUUUUACUCUCUUUUUGGUCAUAUAGGGUAUAUUGUAGAAUACGCAUUCUGGAAAAUAUUUUGAGAUAUUUUUAAGCCUUUGAUUUUCAUUUCUAGUUCUGACAAGGUCCAGUCUGAUUCUAUCAUUUGCUUUUUCAAUAAUUUUUAAGUCCGGGGCCAUUUUGCACUGCCUAAUUGAUACCCAGUUGGAUUCCUGAACAUCAUGUUCCCACUUUACAAUUUGGGAAUCAUUGGAAAGCGUCUGCUAACAACUAUAUCGAUCUGCAUCAUGGCUGCUGGGGGUGGUUCCAUUUCACUUGCAACCUUUUGAAACAGCCUGUUACGAGUAACACCGUCUUAGAAUCCUUUUUCAAGCCAGUUGUGGAGCACAACGAUGAGUUAUCAUCAUAAGCUUCCCCUCAGCAGCUUCUUAAAAGUGCAAAACCAAGAGCAAAACCAUUUGUCAUCAUGAGUUUCCCCUCAGCAGUUCCUUCCUUAACAGAGCAAAACCAUCAACAUGAUCCCUUUCGUCGCAUUGUCCAUAGGUAGCCGGCGAUCGCUAUCAGUCACAGCCUUGUAAUCUUCAGGCAUCUCCUUUCUACAGUCUUUCUCUCUGGAAACCCGGAUGCUUAUAUCGACUCUCACGAUCAUCACAUUAUUAUCAUAUCAAAUCAAACGGCCCUACUUUAUUACAUGUCGUGCGAUAAACACCAUCUCUCGUUAUAAAUGCAAAAUUGCAAGUAGAACUAAACCAGAGUACGUCAAGCGAGCUAAUAGAGCAGAGGCAAAGUGGCAAACCCUAGUGAACCAAAUUGACUCCAUAGCUUCUCUCACAACGGUAAAUCUCACUUCUUCGAGAGUAAGAGGAUGAUAUAAUGCACAUAACACUGCAAAAGAGGGAUUAAGAUGAGACGAGGGCUUCACUAAUAGUGGGUGCACGAGGAUCAGCUGGAUCAUGCUUUCAGAUACUCUUGGGAGUGUUCCAUUUCAUGUUAAAUUGAUUCAAGGUAAAUAGUGGAUGGCCGUUGAGAAUUGCUUAUGGGGGGGGAGGUACACACUACACUUGAAGAAGAUAUACUACCUCACAUUGCAGCAUUGCCAAAUGUGAGUUGGCUUAACCUUGUUAUUUGUUAUUGCUCAUCUUGGGAAACAGCUAUGUUUUAAGUCUGCUUCAAAAGAAUUUAUGGAGUCCAUACAAGAACGAGGUCUGCACCAUUCAAAGUUACAACAACGCUUCCCUCGAUUUUUCCGAUGUAAGUUUAUUCUCCUGGACUUAAUUCAUAGCCAUAUAUAUAAACUUAGGCAUUGUCCAUUUUUGCAGGUACAACCCCAUAGGGUUGAAGUUGUUACCCAGCUUUCCCACGAAGAACAUGUUAUUGUGUAAAGUAUAUAGUUAUAUAGAUAUUAUCUUAAGAAAAUGAGAUUACUUAUUGAAAAUUCAGGACUACUUAAGGAUCUUAUUAAUGUAAUGAUCUAAACGAGUUUAUUCUAAGUAUGAUCAUCACUUGAAGCACUCAGGCAUAAUGGUUACUUUCUAGGAAUCCAUGAGUGUUGUGACCACUCGAGAGUAAAUCAACAUUUGGGUCCCUCUGGCGGCUCUCAGCCUCUUGGGUCCCUGGCGGCGCGGCUCGAUUAUAGAGUAUAGACUAAGCAUACAUGAGCAAUGACGUAGAGAAGAGAUUCUCUCGGUUGAUCUAUAAAUCAUUAAAUCCCCACGAUCUCAAAUACUCAAACAAGCAAGCUUAAUUUGAGCAAAACCAAUCAAGAAUGGCAGCAACCCAAAUCCCAGAGGUGGUUCUAGAAUCUUCCAACGGCCGCAGGACCAUGCAUGUGCUUGGCUUCGGCACAGCAUCCAACAACUUACAACCACAAGUGUUGAUCGAAGCAGUUCACGAGGCCAUCAAGCUCGGUUACCGCCACUUCGACACAGCUUCAGUUUACGGAUCAGAGCAGAGUCUUGGAGCAGCCAUAGCACAAGCACUCGAGCUCGGCCUCGUGGCUUCUCGGGACCAGCUCUUCAUCACUUCCAAGGUUUGGUGUAAUGAUGCUCACCCUCACCUAGUCAUUCCUGCUCUCAAGAAAUCGCUCCGGAAUCUUGGCUUGGAGUACCUUGAUCUCUAUCUGAUCCACUGGCCUAUCAGUGCCAAGCCUGCCGAGUUGAGUCAGAUAGAGGACAAGGACCCAAUGCCGACGGAGGAAGAGCAAAUGCCGAUGGACUUCAAGGGUGUGUGGGCUACUAUGGAGGAAGCUCAGAGACUUGGCCUCACACCAAGUCCAUUGGAAUCAGCAAUUUCUCUACCAAGAAGACUCAGCAUAUGCUCUCUUUCGCUACCAUUCCUCCUGCUGUCAAUCAAGUGAGUUGGAGGUUGGUCUCUUUUUUUCUGCUUUGCAGUUGUAGCAGCAUCGGAGUGAAUAACAUUGAUCAGAUUUGUGAAUGUAUAGGUUGAGAUGAGCCCAUUUUGGCAACAGAAGAAGCUGAGGAACUUCUGCAAGGCCAAUGGUAUACUUGUGACUGCCUUCUCCCCAUUGGGUGCCAUAGGAACCAGUUGGGGCGCUAAUCAUGUUCUCGAAAGCAAAGUGCUUAAUGAAAUCGCCGAGGCUCAUGGGAAGUCUGUUGCUCAGGUUAAUUGAACUACAUUGAAGUUUUGUUGUAGAAAUUUUAAUGUUUGAAAAACAUAUAGAGUUUGUGACUUGUCGAUCUGGUUAUUGCAGAUUUGUAUCGGAUGGGUUUAUCAGGUGGGGGCAACUCUUGCAGUGAAGAGCUACAACAAGGAGAGGUUGAAGCAGAAUGUGCAGGUGUUCGACUGGGAACUAACAGAAGACGACCUUGAGAAGAUCAAUCAAAUCCCACAGCGCAAACAGAUGACUCGAGAAGAAGAAUUGGUUACGGCUACUGGACCUUACAAGUCCCUUGAUGACUUGUGGGACGGAGAGUACUAAUUUUGCUCUUUAUGAAAAUGUAUGUCUGUAUCAAAAUAAGGGUGCCAACUAGGUUAUGUAUCUAUGGCAUGCAUUGUAUCAAAAUUGGCAUCCAGAAUUUGUUUGCAAACAUGCAUGGAUCCAAAACUCUGUUCUUGAAGCUGAUCGAGCUGCGGGGCUUGUUCAAUUCUAUGGUCUCUAGCAAGCUUUGGGAUAACGAUAUAAGAUAUAUAAAAGUUGGGAUAUGGUAUUCCCAAUGCAUGGUAGUGUUUUGAAGCCUAAUGAUUCUGCUGGUGUUUGGGUGUUUCUAAGUUUUGCAAUGUUCUAUUAAAAAACAAGAACUAAUAACUUGGUGGAUAUUAAUUCAGUGACAAAAAAACUUCCAUGUAGCUAGGUGCUACAUAGUUCACUGAAUCACUAAUAAGUGUAUUAGCACAAGGGAAACCAGCAUAGUCAAAAAGUCGUAGAGUAUAGACAGUACUAUAAACUAUGCUGGUUUCUGACUUGAAGAACCUAACAGUUGAAUUCAGUGAAUUCCUAUAGAUGAGCAACUUGGCAAAAACAUGCAUAAAAUUCAUAGACUGACUAAGCCAUCGUUUCAAUUAUGAAUAAAGAAAGACAAACCUGGGUAAAUAGGCAUGAGUACUGAUUAAUUACUACAAAGAAAAAUAAAGAUGAGCUCCAAAGAUAUCCCAAUUCUACUUGUUCAUGCACUUUUAACCAUACAAUAAGCUAGCUAGGGGAUCAUAUCAUCUUCAACCCAUGCAUGCCAAAACUGUCAUCUCAUCAACACUCUAAUAUGUUCACUUGAAGCUGCACAAUGCUUGGAUCAUUAGUUUCUUCUUGGUACCAGGGCAGGGAUCACCAGCCUUGAAGAAGAGUUUGGGGUCAAGUGGGACUGUACAUAUCAUCUUUCCCAAGCAUAGCUGCUCAAAACAAAAAACAAAAAUAAAUUCAUUGGUUAUGUUCACUCAAGCACUGUGAUUUGAAAACUUUGCAAGUAGAGACAUCUUUGCUUACAUCUUCGACGACCUUCUUGGAUUCAGGAGCAUUGCAUGUUCCCAUUGUCAAGGCUCCACAGGAACCAUCAGGAUUGCCGUAGCUCGCGAAUUCAAUUUUACUAAUCUUUUUGUAGUCUGGACAGUUGAGGAGAGCUGUUGCUUGGAGACUUUUCCCAGGAGCAUGUUGGAGGAUGCCAGCCUUUCUGUCCCAGUACUUAACAUGUCCCGGAUAGUCCUGUCCAAUAAGGCUGCAUAUGGUGUCUCUGUUUACUGUUACGAUCUCAAUGUCUUUCGGGUCUGAUGGCUCCUCCUCCAAUACAACAAGGAGAUUCUUAGGCUUGAUGAAGGCUCUAGGGAUGUGGUACCUGAUCAAUCAUAAGACCAUUUAUCAUAUUUUCUCCUAAAAUGAUGUGACAGUGUAACAUUUGUUCCAAUAUGUAUCAAGUAUAUUUACUCACUCGGUUUGAGUAGGUUGUCCAAGAGGAGAGAGGAAGGACAUCCAAUGACGCCCGAUGCUUAUACCAUUCACCCAAAUCAUUCCCUUGCCCAUACCGGUCAUUCGGAUAGCACAAGGGUCUCCUCCUGGAGGAGCAUCAAAAGUUGUCUGCAGUGACAGAAGCAAAGUGAAAACCCCAUGGUUCAGAAUUUGUUGGAAUGAAAUGUGAUCAAGUCGGAAAUGUUACCUUGUACCAUGUCAGAGCCCUUCCUAUACCUGUUGCCUUAGUCCAUUGCACUUUCUGAGCUCCCUGUUCAGUGAACACUUGGAGCUUCUCACCAUUUAGGCCAGCCUGAAACAUGGUAAAGAACAUACUUGCAUUACUUGUUAGUUCAUAAGUAUAUUUGUAGAGAUUGGACAUUUGAUACCACCUACCCUAUGUCCCCAGCCAUUUGCAGACACGUCAAUUGUUCCGGUGUUCAAUCCUAGGAUUGUUACAGAACGAGGCCCUGCAUACCUGUGCUCCAUGUAUGCUCCACUAUCCUUCAUUGCCAAAAUGCAAAUAGUCAGUGCCUGAGUCUAAAGUGUAAACAUCAUCAAGCAUUUGAUGAAACUUACUGGAAGUCCCACUGUCAUGCAAAGCAGAGAGAUAUGGUUCGUCCCUUUCUUCAUUUUAACAGGUGCCUCGAACACGAAACCUUUCUCUGCGUGGGUACCGUGUUGGGAUCCUGAAAAGCUUAUGCACCUUAGUUUGAGCAACAUGGGAGAUGAUAGAUGCUCUCUACAACUAGAGCUUACAAAUUAACUACUUCUUACCAGCAUAUUCAUCAUUGACAAACACAAGCAUUGCAUGACCGAGACUAGGAAUUCGUACCACUGGGCUGAUAGUGUCCUUCAUUGGCAAGUCAUAUGGACCUAGCUCAAUACUGCAAUCAGAGUAGUACACAAUCAUGUCAUGUUACAUGCUUUUCCACUAAGAUUUAGGUAACUGGUGGCUUCAAAUAAAAUACAAACACUUACCUAGUUGUGUACCAUGCAUAAUCUGUUUUAUCUUUUAGCAAGCCAUAGAGCUCCUGUAGUUCCCUAUUAUUGACUGGGACUUGCUCCACAGUUGCAACGGGUUCAAGAUACAUUUCCCAGUUCAUUUGCUUAGCAGACGUAACAAAGUUCCUAGCAUUAUGUUGGGAAACAAUCUGUUGAGUAUUAAAGACCACAGUCUUGCAGUCAGGGAGGACACUAAUGGAAAAUGGUGGCAGGAGAUAGUUCUGUCCCCUCCAAUUUACUGUUGCUUCCAAGGUCGUGUGAUUAUUGGCUAUAAAAGCAGCACAUUCUGUUCCUGGCUUCUCAUAGAAACGAACCUACAGAGAAGAAACAGCAGAAACCUAUCAGUGAAAUUUUUUCCUCUUGUUCUUCUUUCAUUUUCACAAUUUUAAUGGGGUGUUUUAGAUACUUCACCUCAGUAUCUGGCCCCAACCUUUGUGUUCCGGGAAUUCCAGUAAGCAAAGUCUUCUUGCAUAGAUUUAUAGACUUGUGCAAGUCUUUGAGGUGACUCCAUUUCGGUUCCCUUUGGAAUGCUGCAUCAUACAUAAUCAAAUCAAUGACUGAAACUUGUGUUACGCUGCAGAGGAAACAACGAAUUGAAGAUCUUUAAUUACCAUAUUCAUCCAGAGGAGCCUCAUCGUAGUAGCGAGUUGUUGUGAAAACAGCACUUGUUCUUCCAAAAUUUGUUCCACCAUGGUACUGCAAGUAUAGUACAACAUAUUGCGUGCUUAAUUACAUACCAAUAUGUGUCUAUGCCAUUAAUGGUUUUCUAAAGAACUGCAGCUCGUGGCUGGUCAGUUGUUACCAUAUAGUAGUUGGUUAGAGAUCCACCCUUGGAGAAAAAUCUGGCAACAGAAAAUGCAAUGUCUUCUGCUGGCCUUUGUGAAGGAGGGUCACCAAAUACUCGGUACCUGUGUUGAUGAAAAGAAACAGAAAAAGUGUGUUCAACAAAAGAUGAAAGGGAUCAAUAGACAGUUGCUAUUUGCUAAGGAAUUUAUGUACUCACUGAGCUGUCCAAUUUUCAGUCCACAGGGCAGGCUUGUUGGGUUUGUUAGGUCCUACAAAAGUAUCUCCACAAUGCCUUCCAUUGCAAGUAUUAAUCUGUCCAGGAAAUCAAGUUUUAUUAUGAUUGAAGGUCUGGAAAGUAACAACAGUAAAUCUACUUGAGCAACAUUGUAAUCUCAUAGUCCUACGCUUAUUGAAGACAUGGUCUACCUAACAUUACUAUUCAUUCUCUUUUCGACAAUGACAAACUCGCAACUCAAUUACUUACCACUGGAUCAGGAGCAUCUACUUGCUUGCACAUGACCCAUGGCACACCAAUAUUCUGUCCAACUGCUAAAUUUGCUGCCCACUGCACAUAGCUAUCUCCCAACUCUCUAUAUGCAAGUUGGAUAGCAUUGUACUCAUUCUCAAUCUGUUUGAUCAAAUAUAAACUCGAUCAUCUAGCCAAAUACAAAAUUUUAAAAAAAAUGAUUAAGGUAAUAAAUAAGGGUUUAUAAACCUGAGCUAGGAUGAUUGGACCUCCCUGUGGAGAAAAUAGCUUAUUAUCCUUCAUCAACUUCAUUAUCUUGGUCACAUACUCCUCCAUGUGUUUCUGCAAAUCAUAUUUAUAUUCAAAUUAAGCAUCAACUGAUGUGCACUGUACUGAUAAGAUUUGAAAAUGAACCGAUUGAUCAAUUACUACCUUGUAUGGUGCAUUAUCUGAUCGGAAAAUGACGUCAGGGACCUCUCUCAGCCAGUAUGGGAGACCUCUAAUAAUUUGAAGUUUGAAACAGAUUCAAUAAUUCAGAGUUACUCGGAUUAGAAAUCGAAGAGAUACAAUAUCAGAAUUAUCAUUUUUUUGAUAAAGUUUUAUGUGUUAUACCCAUGGUUCCAUUCUGCUUGGAUAAAUGGUCCAACCCUGAGGGUAGCAUACAUUCCAUUGUCCUGGAUCAUCCUAAUAAACUUCACCAAAUCAUAGUUUCCCUCAAAGUUCCACUGCAAAAAUAUUAGCCAGAUUAGUCCUCAAACCAAUCCACAUUCUGCAUGUGAUUGAUUAUAAUUUAGAUAUAUCACCUGGCCUUUCUCAGGUUCAUGAAUGUUCCAAAACACAUAAGUUUGAAUCACAUUCAAACCUCCCCGUCUAGCCUUCCUCAGAAUAUCAGGCCACAUCUGAAAGACAACCAAAAAAUAUAUAUGACCAAACAUUCCACUAGAGUAGAGAAUAGACAGAUAUGAAAUGGUAACAGAUUGAACACAUCAAGAACAUCAAAGUGUUAACAGAUUCUCUACUUGUUUUUGCUUGCCUUAAUUUUAGACUAGUAUUAGAGCUCCACAUCACCAUGCUUGCUAACACGAGCCAUUAGGUUUUGUAGCAUACAACUAGGAUUAAAAAUCGAGCAAAAACAAGCAGAAAAACAAAACCAAGAACAAUCCAGAAGACUUACUUCCACCGGGCUACGAGGAUAAUGAAUUGAUCCGGAAAAUAGAAGCUGAUGUUUCCCAUUAAUGAUCACAGACCUGGCAUCAUACGUCACGGGACCAUGAUCAAGCUGCUUCUUUCCUCCCUGUGUUGCAGGGUCAUCCGUCUCAUCUACAUUGUCCCCAGCGGCGGCGUCAUCACCGUUGAGGCUCCCACCGCCACCACCUUGUGCCUUCGGCUUGUUACCUUUGGCAUGGACUAAUGUGGUGGAGACCAACAAAAGUAGAAAAGAAAUCAACAGCACCCUUUGGCUUGGUACCACCAUUGUACUGCCAAUCUAUUCCCUAUAAACUAAUCUCAAACAAGUGAAACUUCUACCUAGCUCAUCAAAAUGUGUAGUAGUAAGGAGAAACACGAAUAUAUGAUGCGUAGCUAAUUUUUCGAGAGACGAAAUCAAACUCGGUUUUUCUACUACUAAGGUCUUGUUUUGAAGAUCGAACUUUUGUGAUUCAAUCUCCUAGCUAGUACUUAAUAAAAAUUGAUGUUUAGUUGUGUUUGUUGGGUGUCUGUUUGAAUAUCAAGGUCACAAUUUACUAUUGUUAGAAAAGAGGAAAUGGAAAUCCGAUUUUUUGGGGUUUGAAUGUGGACUGAAAUUAUGCAUGGCCUUGAUAUUAUGAUUACAGUGAUGAGAUGUAACAGUCAAUCCGAGACGGACGGCUGAUUUGCCCAGAUCUCCAUGAAAUAUGUCAUUGAUCUAAUUAACCAUGUUUUCCUCUACUUUUUUGCUUCCCUAUUUGGACUAGAUCUGUUCAUAAUUUCGAUUCAUUUCCAAAACCAUCCUACAGUGUAUGAUUGGAAUGAUAUAAUUGAUAUCCGUAUUAUUAUUACACAAUAAGACAACAAAAGAGAUUCAUAUGAGCAGUUUAUGUGCAAGUUUAUAUAUAACUAGGAUAAAUCAUUGAAAGGGUAAAAAAAAUCACUACAUUAUGGUCACUACCAUUAACAAAUUUUCCUUUUACGGUUGAUUCAUUACAAAAGUUUCUUUUUCCGCUUGAUUCAUUACAUUUUCUCCUUACAUUAUGAUUUUUUUUUUUGGGGUACUAUAUCUUACAUUUAACAACUAUUUCAAUGUCUCUCAAAUUAGCUCCUCAUAAUCAUUUUGCCAAUGUCUUAUCUAAUAUAUGAGAGNNNNNNNNNNNNNNNNNNNNACAAUGUGAGCAAUAAGAAAACGUAUAUGAGAAGCUAAAAGAAAACCCGGUCUAUAACGAUCUAGAGAAGGAGAAUUAGACACAGCUAUGACACCGAGACCGAUAUCAUGAUGAUGUUGUAAAAAAAGGAGAUUAGUAACAACAACAACACAUCACACAACUUAUAAAAGUAGUUGUCACACAAAGUAGCAACAUCUCUCAUUUCUAAGUGGACUGAAAUUAUGCAUGGUUUUGAUAUUAUGAUUCUAGUGGUGAGAUGUAACAGUCAAUCCGAGACGGACGGUUGAUUCGUCCAGAUCUUCAUAAAAUAUGUCAUUGAUCUAAUUAGCCAUGUUUUCCUCUAUUUUUUUGCUUCCCUAUUUGGACUAGAUUUGUUCAUAUCCUAAUUUCGAUUCAUUUUCAAAACCAUCUUACAGUGUAUGAUUAGAAUGAUAUGAUUGAUAUCCGUACUAUUAUCACACAAUUAGACAACAAAAGAGAUUCAUAUGAGUAGUUUAUGUGCAAGUUUGUAACUACAUUAUGGUCACUACUAUUAGCAAAUUUUCAUUUUACGGUUGAUUCAUUACAAAAGUUUCCUUUUCCGCUUGAUUCAUUACAUUUUCUUCUUUAUACUAUGAUUUUUUUGUUGUUGUACUAAAUCAUUUAACAACUAUUUCAAUGUCUCUAAAAUUAGCUCCUCAUAAUCAUUUUGCCAAUGUCUUAUCUAAUAUAUGGGAGUCACGACAUAAACCAUUUAUCUGAGAAGUUUAGAGCAUGUGAAGAAAACUGGACACAAACUUGUGAAAGGUUUUUUGAUAUAUUUGUUGAUAAAAUUUACAACAUUAAGAACCGGUAUAUAUAAAUACAAUGUGAGCAAUAAGAAAAUGUAUAUGAGAAGCUAAAAGAAACCCGGUCUAUAACGAUCUAGAGAAGGAGAUAAGACAUAGCUGUGACACCGAGAAAGAUAUCAUUAAGAUGUUGUAGAAAAUGAGACUAACAACAACAACAACAACAACAACAACACAUCACACAACUCAUAAAAGUAGUUGUCACACAAAGUAGCAACAUCUCUCACUUUUAAGUGGACUGAAAUUAUGCAUAGCCUUGAUAUAUAUUAUAAUUAUAGUGGUGAGAUGUAACAAUCAAUCCGAGACGGACGGUUGAUUCGCCCAGAUCUCCAUGAAAUGUCAUUGAUCUAUUAGCCAUAUUUUUCUCUACUUUUUUACUUCCCUAUUUGGAUUAGAUCUGUUCAUAUCCUAAUUUCGAUUCAUUUCCAAAACCAUCUUACAUUGUAUGAUUUGGAAUGAUAUGAUUGAUAUCCGUACUAUUAUCAUACAAUCAAACAACAAAAGAGAUUCAUAUGAGCAGUUUAUGUGCAAGUUUGUAACUAGGAUAAAUUAUUGAAAGGGGAAAAAAAUCACUACAUUAUGGUCGCUACCAUUAGCAAAUUUUCCUUUUACGGUUGAUUCGUUACAAAAAUUUCAUUUUCCACUUGAUUCAUUACAUUUUCUUUCUUACAUUGAUUGUUGUUGUUGUACUAUAUCGUUACAUUUGACAACUAUUUCAAUGUCUCUAACAUUAACUCCUCAAUCAUAAUCAUUUUGCCAAUGUCUUAUCUAAUAUAUGGGAGUCAUGACAUAAACCAUUUAUCUGAGAAGUUUAAAGCAUGUGAAGAAAACUAGACACAAACUUGUGAAAGGUUUUCUGAUAUAUUUGUUGAUAACAUUUACAAUCUUAAAAACCGGUAUAUAUAGAUAGUGAGCAGUAAGAAAACGUAUAUGAGAAGCUAAUGUUUCUGAAAAUAAUUCUUUAAAAAUAAAAAUGAGGUAUUGUUAUUUGCAAAUUUGAAAGUGUAUCCGACAGUCUAAUUAGUGUGAAAAAUAUUUUGGGUCUACAUUUUAUAAAGCAUUUCCAACAAAAAAAAAAUUAAAGCCCCGCCAAUGCUAGAAGGAGAACUUCCAAUUUUUAUGUUCCCGCCAAACAAAAUGAAAAUUGCCUCGGACAGCCCUAAUGGAUCUGAAGCUCUAUUUCUUCUAUCCCAAAAUACACAAAAAACCAGAGAGCCAAAGCCAACCAUGUCAAACCGCGAAGACGACGACCUCGACCUCCUUCUCUCCCUGCAAGACAAGGUUUUGGAAACCCCACCUGCCUCUCCUUCACAUUCCCCAGACACAAGUACCCACCCAACUCUCUCUCUCUCUUUCAAUCUUAUUUUUUGGGUCAUUUUUUCGCUAUGGAUCUUUGAAAAUCGACAUGGGUAUCUCUCAUUUCCUUGAAAAGUGUAAUGGGUCUCUCUCAACAUGGUUAAUUUCUGUGUUGCAGGGUAUCUUUCCGACGAGGAUGAGCUGUUCCGGCGAAGAAAACCGGCGGACAUGUCCGUUUUCAGGGAUGCUGUACAGGACUGCCUCGAUUACGAUCACCAAUCAGCGCUGAAGACCGCUAAGUUGAAGCAGAACAGUUCCUCCAAUGAAUCUGAGGUUGAGAAGUAUUCGGGUUUGCGAAUAAGGUUAGCUUACAUUGAACAAGUUUACAUUUUUAAUUCUUGCCAAUCUGAAAUUGCGGCAAGUUUUAGACUUGGGUUGGUUUGUUCAUUGGAAUAUGUGUGAUUUCAUUUACUAGGCUUGAUUAUAUUGUACUUGGAGAUGUAGUUGAUGAAAAAUGUGUGAAGGAUUGUAACGAGAAACCAUGGAGUUGGGUUUAAUUUUUUGGUAUUGUGUUCUCUGUUGGUACAGGAAGCAGUUGCUAACUCCUUCGGAGCUCAAGGAUCGGUUUUCAGACAUACGUUUUGUUCGGUUACCCAGCAUAAAGUAAGCUUCUUGCUUUUGACAUUCUUUCAGCUCUUGGUUGGUUUCAGAUUUGGAAGUGAUAUUCUUUCUUUUAGAGUAGUUUACUUCACGAGUUGUUAUUAAAACGAUGGUUGAAUACAUGAAUUGGAACUGUUUGGGUUUUGUAGGAACUAUCUGGUUGGGGAAACUCUUUCAGGAUGUUGGGCAACUGUUGGAGUGUUGACUGAGAAGGGGACUAAAAGAACUAGUUCUACGGGGAAGAGCUAUGCGAUAUACAAAUUCGGGUGUUUGGAUGAAGAUACUGUUUCUGUUUUCUUGUUUGGUGAUGCUUAUGAGAGGAACUGCAAUGAGCCAGCUGGAAUGGUGUUUGCGCUGUUUAAUUGUAGCGUACGCAAGGAUGCUAAGGUAUUGUUUUGUUAUCUAGUGUUGUUCUGUGCAUUUUAAGUAAACUGUUCUUGGUUUAUCAUCAAAGAUAACCAGAUUGUCUGAAUAUGCAGGGUGCUGGUUUUUCUUUGAGUGUGUUUUCAGCCAAUCAUAUUGUGAAGAUAGGAACUUCUGUUGAUUAUGGAGUUUGCAGAGGGAAAAGGAAGGAUGGAAUGGCUUGUACUUUAGUCAUAAAUAAGUAUGUAACAUGCAAUUCUUCGAUUGCCUUGUUUCAAAGACAUAUAGUUAAAAAACUACAAGUCCUAUUCUUAUGUGCAUCUCAAAUUUGUACAUGUGUUUAUACAUUUGAUUGAUUAAUAUCUAUAACAACAUUUCUCUUCUUUUAUUUCAGGCGCCAUGGAAUAUAUUGUAAAUUUCAUAGAUCGGUACGACUGUAUAUCUUAAUUUUUGUCUGCUUUGAUCUGUUUAUAGGCAGACUUUAACUGUUAUUUCCUCUAUUCCAAUUUAUCAGAAAGAAUCACAGAAAUAUUCCACUAUGCGAACUGAGCUCAAGGGAGGGUAAGCAAUAACUAAUAACUGUUUGAUAUUGUGUGGUUCUGUUUAACCUAGAGACUAGAAAGUUCAUACUUGUGUACUUAAAGAAAUCCUUUUAUAUAUUAUGUUUCAAUUUCUUGGAAUGGUGCUAUAGUUUGCUUGACUAGUUUUUGAUGGUUCAGGAAUUUGAGAACAGGAUUUCGGAACCCAUACCAGCCAGAAGGAGUUUUUAUGGUCGAUCCUCUAGCUGACAGAACAAACUUGAACAAGCGAAAGCAGCCGGUGAAGCUAUUGUCUGUGGAAGGGCUUAAAAAGGCACUAAGGUUUGUCAUAGGUAGCAUAUUUUUGAUAGAUAUUUAAGCAUCAUUUGAUUAUGAAGCAACUCUAGUUAUCUUAUUGUCUUUGGUUACCGAACACACUAUCCCUUCUCAUCUAUAUUCUGUAAUCCACCAUCUUCAAAGAACACAUAAUUUUGAUGUUUGAACCUAGCAAGAUGUUCCACCAGAAAUGCAAUCCCAAAUGAUGAUCAAAAUUGCAAUCCCAAAUGAUGAUUAAAAUUGAGCGGACUAGAAGUUAGCUGUUUCAUAUAGAUUACCUUGCAAUUCUAUUUACAUUCUUACAUUACAUGGUCAUGAAAGUCGUCCAAUUCUGUAACCAGAAAAUUUAUAGAUUUGUAUCAACUGAUUUGGUUAUUGUUCUAUGUGAACAGUAAAGCGGAUAAAGUGACUACAAAUACACAUUCACAAGGAAUAAGGUUUUUGGCCAAGGUCACAGGUUAAGACUAUGAUACCUCUAUUCUCUUACUGGGAGUAUUGUCUACAAUUUCCUCAUUAAAAUCUUUUGCAAUGCAGGGACAACAGAUCCAAACGAUGUGAUUAAACAGACAGCAAUGCAAAAGAAACAAACUUCUAUCUCAGAAAAGAGGUGAAUUAUAAAAAAUAAAAAAAAUGAAAAAAAAUUGUCCUAUGGUAUUUUUAUUCUGUACAUCUGGCAAAUAUAGAUUGGUUCAAUUUCCUUGUCACUGAAUACUCAUUUACUAUUCCACAGAAAAUUGUCUACCACAAACAUGGGUUCGUCUGCAGUCAUCAAAAACCAGCAAUUAGAUGCAAAACGAACGAAAACUAGCGAGGAGAAUAGUCUGGCAGACAAAGCAAAGCAGGGCACAGAAAAGAUGAUUGAAUUAGAUUACUAUAUCAGCUCGGAUGAAGAGUUGUGAGCCUUGUGUACAUUAAUUCUGAACAUCUUGGCCAAAUCAAACUUGAAUUCUGAUUCUGGAGAGUGAUAUGACCGAGCUUAUAGCGUCUUCCUAUCCUAAACUUGGUCUGAUAGUUGAGUAACCGGAGCUCCUAUCAGACGGCCCUGCUCCCAGUUUAAAGUUCCAAAAGACAGAGAAGACCAAGUAACUUAAUGAUCCUGAAUUUCUGAUGCCCCACAGCCAACUACUUACUCCAUCACGAACGAGUUGAGCAAAGCAGAUUCUUAGAGCUGUCUGGCUUUGCCUCAAACAAAAUUUUGUAAGAUUCUUCCCAAAUUAAAUGUUGGACUUUCAAUCAUUAGAAAUGCUUUAAGUGUUGUAAGCUGUCAUUUCUUUCUUGUUUAUUUGCUGUAAUAUUUUCUGGUGAAUCUGGUCAGAUAAUGACACAUUAAUUGGGAAGUUGAUCUGUUUAUUUGUUUUGCCAAUGAAGGAAGAUUUUUCUUAUCAGAACCAAUUCCUAUUCCCUCUAUCUUCCAUGUGAUUCUCUUUGGGAUUAUCUGCAAAACUUUGAAGAGGAAAGAAAAGCUGAUGUUUUGUAGUAACCAGCUUUUUAUUAACCGGGACUGCUGUGCAUCAGACAAAGAUUGUGCAGUGUAUCCCAGUUGAAUCAUUGCUGGUUUGAAUUCAGAUCUUUUGCAUUGUUCAUGUUACAUUUGCUAAUAUGGUUUUCAUGCCAAUAAUUUUUCACAAAUAUUAGUUGAGGAUCAUUGUUCUUCAAAAUUGUUGAAAAUCUCAUGAUGUAAAUGCCAAAACACUAGUAGUACAAGGAGCAUUGUUCUUCAAUAAUUCUUCCGUAAUUUUUCACAGAUAGUAGUACAAGUAACAUUGGUUAACCAUCAAUGUCUAUAUAUUAUAGGCAUGACAAUGCUAGUGCUUGAAACCAAAACAUUACAGGGCUCUAAGUCAGCACAUGCUAGUAAACUGGAAUACUAGUUUUGUGCUAAUUGCUUAUAUAAAACAAUUGAUUAUGGUUUGCUAAUGGGAUAGGGGACCAAGGUAGCUUGGAUUCUUGACAAGAAGCCAGAUGAAAAGAUGUUGAUGUGAGGAUGGUUGGUCACUCAUGCACAUGGAAUCAUGAACUUGGUAUAAAUCUUCCAUGUGCUCUCUCAAUUUGUAUUCAUUUCCAUAUCAAUUUUCCUAGGCAUAAAAUAGAGUUGGGGAAUUGGGAUUUUCCACAAAGUUCUGCUAGUAUUGAGGUUAACUUAGAAUCUCUCUUCUAGAUGAGUAUGGCAAUGUAUUCCUAUACUAAAUUGAAUAGAAAAUUUCAUUAGGAUAAUAUAGGUCAUGAAUUCAUAUAACUGAAAAUUGAUGGGGACUAAGUAGGACCUGAGUUUGGCCACCAAAACCUUUGUAGGGUUGUAACUACACCAUCACAGAGCAGUCUGGAAUUCAUCCUUUUUUUAAAAAAAAAAAUUCUUUGAUUUUCUUUCUUGACCCUGAAGUCAGGUAUACACAAAACAAAACCAUUAGAAAAACAUAGAAAACAAAAAAGCAAAAGAGAGAUUAGCCACCUAACAACAAACAAAACUUUGAAAUAAAGCAAAUUAAGUACUUGCGGAGCAGGUGAUCCAUCCUCGUUCAAGUCCAAACCAUUUGAAAAUUGAUAGCCAGAAUAUGCAUCCAUCAGUUGAUUAUUCACAUCUCAUUGAUAAAGAAUGCUCAUCUACUUCUUCAACCCUCCCACGUUGUGUUUGAUCAUGUUUUCACAUAUUGGACUCACCAGGUACUGUUUAUCAUUAUUUUUCUCUUAUUUCAUUAGUCUUUGAAAUGCCAUGGCUGGCCUGCAACGGAUUGAACAUUCUAAUUAAUCGUCUUAUUUCUCUGAAUAAUACUAAGUGAACAAGUUCUUUACAUCCCACAUAUAGCUAGCACACUUUACGUGUACGCUUAACUAUGUCUUAUUUUUCAAUAACUAUAUAUGCUGACGGGUAGUAUGGCUCCUGCUUUGGUCUGCGUUUUCUAAAAGAAAGUCUGAUUGGAAGAAGAAACAAAAACAAACUGAUCGAUCGAGGUGGUUGGAGUGGCCAUCAACCGCUCAACCACCAAGAAUAUGAUAAAAGGAUUGACAUGCAUAUGGUUCUAGACUGAGUGAGCAUGACAGGUCAUUAGGCCAAGACACAAAAAGCCAAGUUUAUUUUCAUAUCUUGCACCUGCUAUUCUUUCAUUAUGUUAAUUGGGGUCGCCUUGAAAGCCAAGCUUCCCUAACCCAAGCAUAGCUUCCAGAGCAAGGAAGCAUUUGCAUUUAUGGUGCACCAAAUCUUCAUGUAGGAUCCCAUGCAUAUAAUGUUCAUGAUCGAUAUAACUAACAUCACAGAUCCCACCACGUACUCUUAAACUUAUUGUCAGCAUCUAUCUAUCUUACUGUUAACUAACUGAACAUGCAAUUUGACACAUGAAUUCGAUCAGAUCCCCAUCUUAUUUGCCUACAAUGGUGUAGAAAUUCUGAUUUGUUUAGGCGAUUAGGUUCACUAGCUAGCAAGUUCAAGGUUGAAGAUUACUCCAACAAAUCGAUUUGAACUUGAUAAGUUUGCAACUCAUAUAUUUUGAAUGUUUGGUCACUGACUUAACAUGAUGUGUGCCUGGCUUGAAGGACGUUAGUUGACUAUCGAUUCAUACGAUUCUAUAUGCACAAAUGAAAUCAUGCAAAAUGAACUUAUAACCUAAACUUGUUAACAUCUCUCUAAUCGGGGGUAGUACCCUCCAGCUGGUCUUCUUCCAAGGGCACAGAAGCCUCUUAUUAAGACUAGUGUUCAUUUUUAAAGCACAUACACAUUCGCGCGUUUACUUUCAUUUUGAGUAGGAAGGCAUCAAUUUUACUCAAAACAUGCAUGCAGAAUUAUAUAAUGGCUCAACAAAAGAGCUACUAUCUAAGCAAGCUCACAUUCAACUAGUUGUAGAAGAAUUAGUUAAGUUUCGCAACUUUCGUAUUAGGUGUCUAAAAUCUAAAGACCGACUUUGUCUCAAAUCACCAUACUAGUUGGGGCUAGCUAGCUACAAUGUACAUGUCAUACAAAUUCUUGAAGUAUGUGACCUUUCCUAAUCUCCUAAUCAUUCAACUUGUAUUGAAAAUUGAUGUCACACUGGCGUGAGAAUAAUUUCAUUACCGUUAUAACAUGAAUGCAGCAGGUCACUCAACCUCAUAAGCAUGAGAUGGAGAACAAUUUUUUUAUUUGUUUCGAGAGGAAGGCAAUGGAGAACUAUUGUUAUGUGCAAAACUAUUUCUUUGGAAUAAACAACUAUAUAAGUUGCCAUAUUUGGAGUGACGGUUAUUGUUUUAUAUUAAAAAUACAAAUUUAGUACGUUAUGUCACAUAAAUUCUACAAUGCAACGAGAAAUUCCCAUGUUCAAUAGUCUUACAUACUGUUAUAUAAUGAGAGUAUAGUCUUAAUCUACUAAUCUAAACGUCAGUUAAACAUCUGUGGUUACAUAUUUAUUAGUAAUACGUUCUUCCUCUCAUUUUGAACUUUUCCAAAUGGUUUCUUUUGGAAAAAAAUAAGUGGUAUUUUGGAGGAUAAAGAACAAGACAAAGUGACAAACAAACCAACUAGCUAACGGUGGGAUGGUGUUAUUACAAGGUUUGAAAUUCGAACAGAAAACACAACUGUAUGAACCGGAAGUUGCCAAUUGAGGAAUCCACCAAGAACAGCUUUUAUGAUUUCCAAAUUCACAUGCAAAUUCUGAUACCAGUUUGCAUCAUACGCCCACAAUCUAUAGUACAGGUACAGGCCGCCUCCAAUCACAAUGGCAUUUUGCACGUUGAUAUAGACGUAUGUGACAUCCCCACAUAUGAACACCGCAGCAUGGCACCAAAUUUAAUACCCCCAAAUAGGUAAAAACUUUAUCCCAAGACAGUAAAAAAGGAAAUUCAUAUUUAAACAAGCUAGACCAGUACUGUCUGAGUGUCUGUGAUCUUGAUCCAUCGAAAAAGGAUAUAUUGAAAUAAAAGAAAACCCUAAAAAGGGAAUUUUUACUGCAGAGUUACUAGAAAAGGGUUGAAAACUUUGGAAUGGGGCCUGGAAUUGAGUCAUUUUGGUAACACAGUGUGUAGCUAGCCAAUAUAAUAUUAUUAUAGCUGGCAAGAGCUGGCUUUCUUUAGGCCCAGCCUCCCCCAUUCUUUCCUUUCAAAAUCAAAUCCCUCUGUUUCUCUCUGUCUCUCAUUCUCUCUCUUCUCUCUAUUGGGUUGUGGGGUGUUAAGAAACCCUUCUUCUUCUACAAUCUGAAUCAGGGUUUUGGUAGUUGAAUAAGAAAGAGGCAAACUUGGGUGGAGAUGAGUGCGUCCAGGUUCAUAAAGUGUGUCACUGUUGGGGAUGGAGCGGUGGGCAAGACUUGUAUGCUCAUCUCUUACACCAGCAACACUUUCCCAACGGUAAAAGCCCUCUUCUUUCUAUUGCUUCUUGCUUCUUUUGUCUUUGCAACUGUGAAAGUUUGAAUCUUUGAAGAUAGAAACACUGAAAGUUUGAGUCUUUGAGGAAAGGAACUGUGCAAGUUUUGAGUCUUUGAGGGUUUUGUGUAAUUGGGUUGCUCAAUAUGGGUUUAGUUUUGCAGUUCUUGUGGCAAUCUACUUGCUUUUGGUUUGGUUGUCAAGAAAAUUUGGAGAAGGAAAUGUGGUAUUUUCAAUUGCUUCAUGGUUUGAGUAAAGAAACAAAUUUUGGAAAUGACAAAUUGUAAGGGUGGGAGGGUGAUUGUGCCUAAUUGAUGCUAAGUUUGGAGUUUGGUUUUGACAUGCAAUUUUACCCUUCAAUUAGUUCUUGAUGAAAUUGAUCCUUUAUGUUGGAAUUGCGUUUAUCAGAGCCCUUUAGUUUUAAUCUAAUGGACCAUAUGUUAAAAUGGUUUUCUUGGGUUUGGUUUCUGUGAUUUGUCAUUCCUGGUCUUGUGCUGAUUUUUGUCUCCAACUAACACAUUAAGCAUAGAGAAUUUUACCUUCUACAGGUUUUUCUUUUACAUUUUUGUUUUAACCUUUGUCUCCAGCUUACAGAAUUCCUUAACAGAUCAUACAUGCUCAUUAGAAAACUUUCUCAAUGGAACCUAGGUUAUGCGGUUAUUCGAUAUGAUGAAUUUACUGUAGUUUCUAAAAUCAUGUCUGUAACUUUGUCCAUUUUCUUAUUGAAAGCUGUUUUUUUUUUGUUUGUUUUGUUUUUGUAAGUCUGUUGAAUACAAGGUUGAAUUUAUACAGAAUGAUUGUGAUUGUGUUCCUUUUGUCGCCAUAUGUGAGCAGGAUUACGUGCCUACUGUGUUUGACAAUUUCAGUGCAAAUGUGGUUGUGGAUGGGAGCACAGUGAACUUGGGGUUGUGGGAUACUGCUGGCAAGUUCCAAAACCCUGACAUAUUCCGUCCUUGUAACUAUUUAUUGUCUUUUCUUACACCUAGGCUUUAUGUCUUACUUUUAUGGAACAGGGCAGGAAGAUUACAAUAGACUAAGACCAUUGAGCUACCGUGGGGCAGAUGUGUUCUUACUUGCAUUCUCUCUAAUCAGCAAGGCCAGCUAUGAAAAUGUUGCCAAGAAGGUAAGACUGGCAUCAAUCACAGAGAAUUUAUUGCUUCAUUAUUCCUCCCCACAGAGUUGGAUGCCCAGGAUCUAGCUUUUCUUUGUGUCUUAGGUUACUUACUUCUUUCUGUGUUUCAAUGUUCAGUGGAUUCCUGAAUUGAAGCAUUAUGCACCUGGUGUUCCGAUUAUUCUUGUUGGAACAAAGCUUGGUUAGAUCUCUACUCCCUUGCUUUACUUUUGCUUCAUUAUGUUACUUGUGAUUACUACCAGUUGUUUUUACUUUAAUUUCUCCAAAGUGUAGUACUUUUUGUUUCCAUUAUAAUUUAAUUUCCUAGGCUUGUAAGGUCAGUUGGAAGCCAUUCAUAGUUGCAUAUUCCAUUUGCUACAUAAUGUAGUACCGUUCAUACUUCCAUCUUGUUACUUCUUUUUGCUAUUUGGGUUGCUUUCUUUUGUACUUGCCAAUCGGCUUUUGCAUAUUUCUUCAUAUUGGUUGUCAUGGUAAAGAUUAGCAGAAAUUGUUAGCUUUCCAUUGGAUGCUGUGUAAUAGUGUGCAUAUAAGCUUAUCUGAUUGAAGCACUUGCUGUGUUAUUUAAAGCAUUACAAUGCCUGUUUUGUACAUCUUUGUUGGAUAGAACUGCUCAACCAUAUGGAUAGCAUACUAGAAGUUUAUGUGUUGGAUUUUACAUGUAUAUAUUCAAAGAAACGAUCAUAUAUAGUUUUAGUUAAUCAGUAUGAUCUGACUGUCCUUCGCUUUUAGUGACGCUAAAUUUGCUUAUACAGAUCUUCGCGAUGACAAGCAGUUCUUUACAGAUCAUCCUGGUGCAGUGCCAAUUACCACAGCUCAGGUAUUUUCUAGUUCAACCUGAGAUUAUAAUGACAUUUUUACUUUGUGAUGAAUGUAGUUUCAUAGAGUCAGCCCAACUAGUAGGAUGAAGACCUAGUUUUCUGCAUUUUUAUUUAUUGGGUUCUUUUUUGAAGGGAGAGGAACUUAAAAAAACAAUUGGAGCUCCGAUUUACAUAGAAUGUAGCUCGAAAACACAGCAGGUUAGUACUUUGUACCUAAAUCAAAUUUCUGUAAACCUGCUUGGGAGUUAUGCCAAGCGUCUCUUUGCUAAUGAUGCUUUUGUUGAAUACCACUUGUGUGAAUGCAGAAUGUGAAAGCGGUCUUUGAUGCGGCGAUUAAAGUGGUUCUGCAGCCGCCAAAGCAGAAGAAGAAAAAGAAGAGAAAGGCACACAAUGCCUGCUCUAUAUUGUAAUUGCAGAGAUACUAGUCUUCGGAACAGUGUGACUAAUUAGUCAUUUAUCCAUUAAUCUCUCCCCGACCGCAGUCACUGUUAUCUUUUCCACCUCAAGGAAGUAGCAGCCCAGCAUGGUAGUUUCGACUGAUAGAUGUAGGAGCUCCUUUUACACAUCAAGUUGGUUUGCUCUAUAUCUGGCUGUGUUCUGAUUUGUAUAUUAGUGAUUUGAACUACCUGUUUGGUGAACUCUUUAUUUUCUUUGGAUUAGAUUUCCCUAAUGUACUCUAUAUAUAGUACUGAUACAUUUUUUUCAAUCAAGUUCAAGAUUCUAUAUAAAUGUUAAUAUUCCAUGAGUCCUCAUUAAAGACUACUGGGAGAUGUUGUGACAUCUUAUGUUGUCAGACUUUGGAAAGAACAACUCUCUUGUCAUACAAGUAGAUAUGUUGUGCUAUAAAAUCAUGAACUGGGAUUGCUAGGUUAAUCAUGUUGAAAUGUGCGCUUAUGAUUCAUAGUUAACCAACAUUGUAACAUAUCUCUACUAGUGACGUGUGUAUUUGGUAACAUCUUUCCGGUGGACAUAAAGAUGUGUUUGUGUUUCGUUUGAGAAGAUUUUCUAAAUCUUAUGCGCCAAUCCACUUCAAAACUAUCCCAGAUUCUCAAGAACCGACCCAUUUGAGCUAAACACGAAUAUCUUUUCUUUUGGAAAGGUGAGAAGUUGUAGAACCGGCCACUGGCUGGUAUAGGAGUCGUUCUCAUGACAUAUGAUUGGCCUAAAAGUAUCAUUUUCACUAAAUAUUAUACCCUUUUGGUGAAUGUAAAGCAUGCCCUCACAAUUAGAAUCUCAAUUCUCAGCUUCUUGUUGCCAAAAUGAUCACUUUCAGUACUUUGUUACAGCACCAAUUUCUGUUCAAGGAGUAAUCAAAUUGCAAUGGAAUACAUAUAUGGUCAACAGCUGUUUACAUAAAAGAGAAAGAGAUAGGUGUGACAUGAAAAUUUGUUCUGGGAAUUUGAUUCUAUACCCACUUUCAUCAGAACAAACGAGUUCAAUUCAUGCACCUCUCUCUACCUUCAUCUCACAACUCCUUAAAUACACCCACCACCACAUUCCAUAUUGCAGGGUGUCAAUACUCAACUAGCUAGAGUGUAUUUUUUCGAAAAACCAUUCUAAUUCUCUUGAAUUUUCACUCUCCCUAAAAACUUGUGUUGGAUUUGCUCGAAUGGCUUCGAAGAGAAUAUUGAAGGAGCUCAGGGAUCUGCAGAGAGAUCCACCAACUUCAUGUAGUGCAGGUAUUGUAGAAAUUAGUAUUGAUACGCAAGUCAUUGUUAUAUUUGUGUUAUAUAUAUUAUGCAAGUGAUUUCUAAUGGAAAUCAUUCAGGUCCUGUGGCUGAGGAUAUGUUUCACUGGCAAGCAACAAUCAUUGGUCCAAAUGAUAGUCCUUAUUCAGGUGGUGUAUUUGUUGUGACUAUCCAUUUUCCACCUGAUUAUCCCUUCAAACCUCCAAAGGUAUAUAGCAAAUUAAUCUCUUCUACCAUCUAAUUCCAUUUUUGAUAUAUUCUGGUGCUUUCAUGUGGGAUAUAUAUAUAUAAACCAACAAGAAUGUCUGUUUUCAGGUUGCCUUCAGGACCAAAGUGUUCCAUCCAAAUAUAAACAGCAAUGGUAACAUCUGCUUGGACAUUCUCAAGGAGCAAUGGAGUCCAGCACUCACCAUAUCCAAGGUCAGAUACAUUUGAGAUUCAUAUUGCAUUAAGGAACAAUGUCAAUACUUAACAAGAGGUUUAUAAUAAUUUCUUUUAGACAUAAUCACAAAAGAAAAACAUGAUCAAGAAAGCUAUUUGAUGAGCAAAACCAAUUGAACAAUUUGGAGUGCAUGCAACUGCAGGUUUUGUUAUCUAUAUGUUCACUGCUGACAGAUCCGAACCCUGAUGACCCCCUUGUUCCCGAGAUUGCUCAUAUGUGCAAGUGUGACAAAGUCAAAUAUGAGUCAACGGCUCGGAGCUGGACUCAUAAGUAUGCCAUGGGAUGAACUGAUGAAGUGACAAACCCUAAGCCUAGUUCAGCUGUAUUAUAUUCUCAGUUACCGUUACUAUUUAUGGGUUAUUAUUAUUACAUCCAGCUAGCUUCUCUAUUUCUUGUUGCAUGUUUGCCUCCAAUUUGUAAAUUGAGCUCUCUCUGUUCGAAAUAAAUGGCUGGAAACUCUUUUUGGAAUAAGAUUUCAACAUGAAAUGGUUGGGUUUUGGUUUUCAUCAAGUUGUGAUAAUACAAGCAGUUCAUGGCCUCAUUAUCUCAUAAUUAAGAUCCCUCAACCAUGUCUGGUAAUCACUCUGAAACUCUGAAAGCGGGCUUUUUUUGCUUUUUAGUAGAUUAGGAAUUAAGUUAAUUAAUACAUUCAUCACCAAGCUAGUACUGAACAAAUUAAGAUCACCAGUGGAUCGAAUUUGGAGCUUCUGUUGUUAACCAAAUUCUAAGGCCUAUGGCGCGCCUAUAUAUCAUACAAGAGAAUGAAUGAGCAGUCGAUAGCUUAUUUAAUUAUAUGAAUUGCGUCUAACUUAGCAACAUUACCUAAUCAAAUCCUUACUUUUCCAUAAGUUCUAGCUACCAUUCACUUUCACUACCUGUUCCACUAAGGCACUAAGAAUCAAAGUCGCCAUUCUUCAUUCGCACCCAUUAGCUUGUCACUUACUAAUCGAAUCACAUAAGUAGCUAGGUCUUUGCCAUAUACUAUAAACAAUCUAAUUGCGCACAUUUGACAUCAAAUUCAAUUAUUCAAAUUAAUCAUGUCAUUCAUGCUAUUGGAGUGUUUAAUAUAUAUAUAUAUAUAUAUAUAUAUAGAGGNNNNNNNNNNNNNNNNNNNNNNNNNNNNNNNNNNNNNNNNNNNNNNNNNNNNNNNNNNNNNNNNNNNNNNNNNNNNNNNNNNNNNNNNNNNNNNNNNNNNNNNNNNNNNNNNNNNNNNNNNNNNNNNNNNNNNNNNNNNNNNNNNNNNNNNNNNNNNNNNNNNNNNNNNNNNNNNNNNNNNNNNNNNNNNNNNNNNNNNNNNNNNNNNNNNNNNNNNNNNNNNNNNNNNNNNNNNNNNNNNNNNNNNNNNNNNNNNNNNNNNNNNNNNNNNNNNNNNNNNNNNNNNNNNNNNNNNNNNNNNNNNNNNNNNNNNNNNNNNNNNNNNNNNNNNNNNNNNNNNNNNNNNNNNNNNNNNNNNNNNNNNNNNNNNNNNNNNNNNNNNNNNNNNNNNNNNNNNNNNNNNNNNNNNNNNNNNNNNNNNNNNNNNNNNNNNNNNNNNNNNNNNNNNNNNNNNNNNNNNNNNNNNNNNNNNNNNNNNNNNNNNNNNNNNNNNNNNNNNNNNNNNNNNNNNNNNNNNNNNNNNNNNNNNNNNNNNNNNNNNNNNNNNNNNNNNNNNNNNNNNNNNNNNNNNNNNNNNNNNNNNNNNNNNNNNNNNNNNNNNNNNNNNNNNNNNNNNNNNNNNNNNNNNNNNNNNNNNNNNNNNNNNNNNNNNNNNNNNNNNNNNNNNNNNNNNNNNNNNNNNNNNNNNNNNNNNNNNNNNNNNNNNNNNNNNNNNNNNNNNNNNNNNNNNNNNNNNNNNNNNNNNNNNNNNNNNNNNNNNNNNNNNNNNNNNNNNNNNNNNNNNNNNNNNNNNNNNNNNNNNNNNNNNNNNNNNNNNNNNNNNNNNNNNNNNNNNNNNNNNNNNNNNNNNNNNNNNNNNNNNNNNNNNNNNNNNNNNNNNNNNNNNNNNNNNNNNNNNNNNNNNNNNNNNNNNNNNNNNNNNNNNNNNNNNNNNNNNNNNNNNNNNNNNNNNNNNNNNNNNNNNNNNNNNNNNNNNNNNNNNNNNNNNNNNNNNNNNNNNNNNNNNNNNNNNNNNNNNNNNNNNNNNNNNNNNNNNNNNNNNNNNNNNNNNNNNNNNNNNNNNNNNNNNNNNNNNNNNNNNNNNNNNNNNNNNNNNNNNNNNNNNNNNNNNNNNNNNNNNNNNNNNNNNNNNNNNNNNNNNNNNNNNNNNNNNNNNNNNNNNNNNNNNNNNNNNNNNNNNNNNNNNNNNNNNNNNNNNNNNNNNNNNNNNNNNNNNNNNNNNNNNNNNNNNNNNNNNNNNNNNNNNNNNNNNNNNNNNNNNNNNNNNNNNNNNNNNNNNNNNNNNNNNNNNNNNNNNNNNNNNNNNNNNNNNNNNNNNNNNNNNNNNNNNNNNNNNNNNNNNNNNNNNNNNNNNNNNNNNNNNNNNNNNNNNNNNNNNNNNNNNNNNNNNNNNNNNNNNNNNNNNNNNNNNNNNNNNNNNNNNNNNNNNNNNNNNNNNNNNNNNNNNNNNNNNNNNNNNNNNNNNNNNNNNNNNNNNNNNNNNNNNNNNNNNNNNNNNNNNNNNNNNNNNNNNNNNNNNNNNNNNNNNNNNNNNNNNNNNNNNNNNNNNNNNNNNNNNNNNNNNNNNNNNNNNNNNNNNNNNNNNNNNNNNNNNNNNNNNNNNNNNNNNNNNNNNNNNNNNNNNNNNNNNNNNNNNNNNNNNNNNNNNNNNNNNNNNNNNNNNNNNNNNNNNNNNNNNNNNNNNNNNNNNNNNNNNNNNNNNNNNNNNNNNNNNNNNNNNNNNNNNNNNNNNNNNNNNNNNNNNNNNNNNNNNNNNNNNNNNNNNNNNNNNNNNNNNNNNNNNNNNNNNNNNNNNNNNNNNNNNNNNNNNNNNNNNNNNNNNNNNNNNNNNNNNNNNNNNNNNNNNNNNNNNNNNNNNNNNNNNNNNNNNNNNNNNNNNNNNNNNNNNNNNNNNNNNNNNNNNNNNNNNNNNNNNNNNNNNNNNNNNNNNNNNNNNNNNNNNNNNNNNNNNNNNNNNNNNNNNNNNNNNNNNNNNNNNNNNNNNNNNNNNNNNNNNNNNNNNNNNNNNNNNNNNNNNNNNNNNNNNNNNNNNNNNNNNNNNNNNNNNNNNNNNNNNNNNNNNNNNNNNNNNNNNNNNNNNNNNNNNNNNNNNNNNNNNNNNNNNNNNNNNNNNNNNNNNNNNNNNNNNNNNNNNNNNNNNNNNNNNNNNNNNNNNNNNNNNNNNNNNNNNNNNNNNNNNNNNNNNNNNNNNNNNNNNNNNNNNNNNNNNNNNNNNNNNNNNNNNNNNNNNNNNNNNNNNNNNNNNNNNNNNNNNNNNNNNNNNNNNNNNNNNNNNNNNNNNNNNNNNNNNNNNNNNNNNNNNNNNNNNNNNNNNNNNNNNNNNNNNNNNNNNNNNNNNNNNNNNNNNNNNNNNNNNNNNNNNNNNNNNNNNNNNNNNNNNNNNNNNNNNNNNNNNNNNNNNNNNNNNNNNNNNNNNNNNNNNNNNNNNNNNNNNNNNNNNNNNNNNNNNNNNNNNNNNNNNNNNNNNNNNNNNNNNNNNNNNNNNNNNNNNNNNNNNNNNNNNNNNNNNNNNNNNNNNNNNNNNNNNNNNNNNNNNNNNNNNNNNNNNNNNNNNNNNNNNNNNNNNNNNNNNNNNNNNNNNNNNNNNNNNNNNNNNNNNNNNNNNNNNNNNNNNNNNNNNNNNNNNNNNNNNNNNNNNNNNNNNNNNNNNNNNNNNNNNNNNNNNNNNNNNNNNNNNNNNNNNNNNNNNNNNNNNNNNNNNNNNNNNNNNNNNNNNNNNNNNNNNNNNNNNNNNNNNNNNNNNNNNNNNNNNNNNNNNNNNNNNNNNNNNNNNNNNNNNNNNNNNNNNNNNNNNNNNNNNNNNNNNNNNNNNNNNNNNNNNNNNNNNNNNNNNNNNNNNNNNNNNNNNNNNNNNNNNNNNNNNNNNNNNNNNNNNNNNNNNNNNNNNNNNNNNNNNNNNNNNNNNNNNNNNNNNNNNNNNNNNNNNNNNNNNNNNNNNNNNNNNNNNNNNNNNNNNNNNNNNNNNNNNNNNNNNNNNNNNNNNNNNNNNNNNNNNNNNNNNNNNNNNNNNNNNNNNNNNNNNNNNNNNNNNNNNNNNNNNNNNNNNNNNNNNNNNNNNNNNNNNNNNNNNNNNNNNNNNNNNNNNNNNNNNNNNNNNNNNNNNNNNNNNNNNNNNNNNNNNNNNNNNNNNNNNNNNNNNNNNNNNNNNNNNNNNNNNNNNNNNNNNNNNNNNNNNNNNNNNNNNNNNNNNNNNNNNNNNNNNNNNNNNNNNNNNNNNNNNNNNNNNNNNNNNNNNNNNNNNNNNNNNNNNNNNNNNNNNNNNNNNNNNNNNNNNNNNNNNNNNNNNNNNNNNNNNNNNNNNNNNNNNNNNNNNNNNNNNNNNNNNNNNNNNNNNNNNNNNNNNNNNNNNNNNNNNNNNNNNNNNNNNNNNNNNNNNNNNNNNNNNNNNNNNNNNNNNNNNNNNNNNNNNNNNNNNNNNNNNNNNNNNNNNNNNNNNNNNNNNNNNNNNNNNNNNNNNNNNNNNNNNNNNNNNNNNNNNNNNNNNNNNNNNNNNNNNNNNNNNNNNNNNNNNNNNNNNNNNNNNNNNNNNNNNNNNNNNNNNNNNNNNNNNNNNNNNNNNNNNNNNNNNNNNNNNNNNNNNNNNNNNNNNNNNNNNNNNNNNNNNNNNNNNNNNNNNNNNNNNNNNNNNNNNNNNNNNNNNNNNNNNNNNNNNNNNNNNNNNNNNNNNNNNNNNNNNNNNNNNNNNNNNNNNNNNNNNNNNNNNNNNNNNNNNNNNNNNNNNNNNNNNNNNNNNNNNNNNNNNNNNNNNNNNNNNNNNNNNNNNNNNNNNNNNNNNNNNNNNNNNNNNNNNNNNNNNNNNNNNNNNNNNNNNNNNNNNNNNNNNNNNNNNNNNNNNNNNNNNNNNNNNNNNNNNNNNNNNNNNNNNNNNNNNNNNNNNNNNNNNNNNNNNNNNNNNNNNNNNNNNNNNNNNNNNNNNNNNNNNNNNNNNNNNNNNNNNNNNNNNNNNNNNNNNNNNNNNNNNNNNNNNNNNNNNNNNNNNNNNNNNNNNNNNNNNNNNNNNNNNNNNNNNNNNNNNNNNNNNNNNNNNNNNNNNNNNNNNNNNNNNNNNNNNNNNNNNNNNNNNNNNNNNNNNNNNNNNNNNNNNNNNNNNNNNNNNNNNNNNNNNNNNNNNNNNNNNNNNNNNNNNNNNNNNNNNNNNNNNNNNNNNNNNNNNNNNNNNNNNNNNNNNNNNNNNNNNNNNNNNNNNNNNNNNNNNNNNNNNNNNNNNNNNNNNNNNNNNNNNNNNNNNNNNNNNNNNNNNNNNNNNNNNNNNNNNNNNNNNNNNNNNNNNNNNNNNNNNNNNNNNNNNNNNNNNNNNNNNNNNNNNNNNNNNNNNNNNNNNNNNNNNNNNNNNNNNNNNNNNNNNNNNNNNNNNNNNNNNNNNNNNNNNNNNNNNNNNNNNNNNNNNNNNNNNNNNNNNNNNNNNNNNNNNNNNNNNNNNNNNNNNNNNNNNNNNNNNNNNNNNNNNNNNNNNNNNNNNNNNNNNNNNNNNNNNNNNNNNNNNNNNNNNNNNNNNNNNNNNNNNNNNNNNNNNNNNNNNNNNNNNNNNNNNNNNNNNNNNNNNNNNNNNNNNNNNNNNNNNNNNNNNNNNNNNNNNNNNNNNNNNNNNNNNNNNNNNNNNNNNNNNNNNNNNNNNNNNNNNNNNNNNNNNNNNNNNNNNNNNNNNNNNNNNNNNNNNNNNNNNNNNNNNNNNNNNNNNNNNNNNNNNNNNNNNNNNNNNNNNNNNNNNNNNNNNNNNNNNNNNNNNNNNNNNNNNNNNNNNNNNNNNNNNNNNNNNNNNNNNNNNNNNNNNNNNNNNNNNNNNNNNNNNNNNNNNNNNNNNNNNNNNNNNNNNNNNNNNNNNNNNNNNNNNNNNNNNNNNNNNNNNNNNNNNNNNNNNNNNNNNNNNNNNNNNNNNNNNNNNNNNNNNNNNNNNNNNNNNNNNNNNNNNNNNNNNNNNNNNNNNNNNNNNNNNNNNNNNNNNNNNNNNNNNNNNNNNNNNNNNNNNNNNNNNNNNNNNNNNNNNNNNNNNNNNNNNNNNNNNNNNNNNNNNNNNNNNNNNNNNNNNNNNNNNNNNNNNNNNNNNNNNNNNNNNNNNNNNNNNNNNNNNNNNNNNNNNNNNNNNNNNNNNNNNNNNNNNNNNNNNNNNNNNNNNNNNNNNNNNNNNNNNNNNNNNNNNNNNNNNNNNNNNNNNNNNNNNNNNNNNNNNNNNNNNNNNNNNNNNNNNNNNNNNNNNNNNNNNNNNNNNNNNNNNNNNNNNNNNNNNNNNNNNNNNNNNNNNNNNNNNNNNNNNNNNNNNNNNNNNNNNNNNNNNNNNNNNNNNNNNNNNNNNNNNNNNNNNNNNNNNNNNNNNNNNNNNNNNNNNNNNNNNNNNNNNNNNNNNNNNNNNNNNNNNNNNNNNNNNNNNNNNNNNNNNNNNNNNNNNNNNNNNNNNNNNNNNNNNNNNNNNNNNNNNNNNNNNNNNNNNNNNNNNNNNNNNNNNNNNNNNNNNNNNNNNNNNNNNNNNNNNNNNNNNNNNNNNNNNNNNNNNNNNNNNNNNNNNNNNNNNNNNNNNNNNNNNNNNNNNNGUUUUCUUUUCUCAGAUGAGCUGCUGUCCAGAUCUGCGAAUAUAAAGAACUUUAGCCGACGAAAUUAUAUUUUCGUCGGCUAUAGUCAACUUUAGCCGACGAAAUUAAAAUUUCGUCGGCUAAAGAAAGUUUAAAGUCGUCGGCUAAAGUCACAGACUUUAGCCGACGAAAAAAAAUUCUUUAGCCGACGAAAAUAUAAUUUAGCCGACGAAGGAAAAUUUCGUCGGCUAAAGUGUACUUUAGCCGACGAAAAAUUGUUUCGUCGGCCUGUUUUUUUUUCGUUGGCUAAAGUCUUUCUUCUGGUAGUGAGCAUUAAGAACGAUAGUACCGGCUAAGGGGUUGUGCAACCGCACAAGGCCUUCAACUCUUGGGGACCUCUAAAUAUCUGUUUUAUGUAUAUAGAUGCAAUAAGCGCAUCUUCUUUGUUCAAUUUUUGAAUUUUUUUUUCAAAAAAUGUAGAGCAUCUUCUUUGUUAAAAAAAAUCACUUGAUAGAAUAGGUCGGAAACCAAAUGUAUAUAUUGUUUUCUCAAGAUUUAACAAUGAAGCACACUUAAAAUAAAUUUAAGUCGACUCUUCUUUGCUUCUUAAUUAUAAACACCAAAGCAUCACAUGUACACAAACUUAUUGAAACUACAAAAGAUAAGUGGUGCUAAACAUCAAAUGUGAAACAAGCUCAUAUUAAAUACUUUACAAGUCUAGCAUGAAUUACUAAAAUGACUACCAAACUACCAAAAAUGCAUGACAUUAGAGAUGAAAGGAACAAAAGUUUUAUUAAUGCAUUUUGAAGCAAGAAUUAUAAGCAUAAAAUACAUAACUAUGGGAAUUGAUAGAUAAUAAAACAAAACUAAUUUCAUAAUGUGGUUUCUCUAGUUAAGGAAAUUAGCAAUACAUGAGACAAGUUAAAAACAUGCUUUAACAAAUAUAAAACACCGAUAUCAUAGGAAAAAUAGUUAAAGAAAAGGUGAACAAAGAGCAACAAUGUGUCUCUAAAUCUUCACUCUCUCCGGCUCUCUUAUUCACUUGAAACAAACCUCUAUUUAUAGUGUAACCCUUCACUCUCUCCGGCUCUCUUAUUCCAACACCAUCUUCAUGUGAAUGUGAUUUUUCUUACGUCUAAAAUCUCAUGCUAACUUAAUGGAAUAUAUUAACUCAUAAGUGAUUUCAUGCAUCACUUUCUCUUCAUCAAUCCCUUUUGUUUUCAACAUUUUUUUUUCUACUUUUACUUUUGAAGUGUAAAGAUAAAAAAAUACGUACAUCAUCUUUGAAGUUUUGAAGAGUGAGCUCUUUGUAUCAUGCAAGCUUGUCUUUGGCAAUUCUUUAUGUACUUCCUCAUUUGUUUUCAUUGCAUUCACAUACAUAUAUAAAUUAAACAACAAAAAGUGAAUUCAACAUUAGUGGCCAAGGUAAUAUUUUCCAUCACACUUAAUGCAAUGAGAAAGAUAUUCACCAUUUAAAAUAUGCAUGUAGGAUACACAUGCUUAUUUAAACAAGAAAAACAUGUGUUGCAACUAUCUAACUAAAUGGAAAAACAUUCAUGAAAAUAAGGAUUCAAUUUAUUAUAUGAAAAUAGAUAAAUUGUUUUCAUUUUUAUUUAUUUUAGACACACACUUAUAAUAACACAAAAACAAACUAAAUAACCCAAACUAAUAAAAAUAAGUAACUAACAUAUAUAAAUCAAGGAUAAUAAUAUGAUACAAAAUGUGCUCAUUAGGUAACUACAACCAAAAACAUCAGACUACUGACAAAAUUGUUCAGUUAAUACUUAAAACCGUAAGCAACAUAGUAGUGUCAAUGUUGUAUUUUGUAACGUUGGAACAAUAAACUAUGAUGAGAGUAAAAAGCUAGACAAAACUUUAUAUUUUUUAAGAUAUGGAAGCUAAUUUUAAAAUCAUUCCAUCAUAUUUCCACAACUUCUAUAUGACAAUCAAAGUUUUGCUUCACAAACACAUAAAUGUAUCGACACAGGAAUACAUGAAAACCAUUAUACAACCAAACGCUUCAGCUCAAGAAAGCUCCGAACCAUCAUUAACAUGUCAACUCAUGGACUACUAACAUAUUUCAAGGCUUCAAGCCAUCAUCGUAAUUCUGGUGUUUCUUAACAUUCUCCAAUAUCGACUUUAAAGCAGUACUGAUAUUUAACAUUCUCCAAUAUCAACUUUGAAGCAAUAUUGAUAUGAAUAUCAGCAAUAUAGCCAUUUGAUGCUUCAAGCUCAAUACUCCGAAUGUUACAAAAUGACUCUUCUAACAACUCGCCAAUUUUUAAGUCUUUUAUUGCCGAAUCGACAAAUUGUGAGUCUUCAAACUCUAUUCUGUGAAAAGUAACCUUGUCAUCCUUAAAUAGCACUGGUUGUACCAAAUAUCACCAUAUUUUUGAAUACGUAUCUUAAAUAAGGACGACCAUUUUGAAUAACGCAACACAUUAUAAAAAUAGUUUUCUUAUUAAACUCAUCGUAUUGUUGAAAAUUUACCAUAUAUAAGUCACACACAUAGGUGGGACACAACGUACGACAUCAUUGGCUGAAAUAAAAAACCCCCGUGUCCUCAUCUUUAAGCCCAACGUAUAAAAACAUUGUUUCAUUACAUCAUAUCCCAUCUCAAAUGUCAUGUUCUCCCUCCAGUGGCUAUUUAAUUUGGUCAACACUAGUUUAGAUAUUGACCCAACUGCAAUUUUUUUUCCUUUAACUCGACAAAAUCAACUUGUUCAUAAUUUUCUUCAGAUGGAGUAGCCCUAUCACCAACCACUAUUACGCAAGACAUCAGUUGAUUGUCUACAUAGUUAUGUUCGUUGAGUAAGAAUACAACAUUAUACCAGCCCUUUGACUGAUAAGGUUUUAUAUACUCACGAGCAACUAUUUCUACCAUAUAUACGGAAGGUUGUUAGUGUCUUUUGCCCUAAUCUAUUAGAUGAGCCCAAACAGUAGCAAAUCUACCGUUAAAACCAGAUAUCACUAUUCUUAUGGUAGAUGAAAAAAGUUUGAACUUUCUUCUUGUAUCUGUAACUAUAUUACCCUCCUCACUAGUCCCAAUAAGUAUUCCGUCAUCUGCAAAUCUACCUUUUAAUUUGUUUCUCCUGAAACUCCUCAAUGGCUAAAUUUCUCUUCUUUAGUUGAGCCUUCGACCACAGGUCUGGGCUACCCUAAAUCCUCUUCCGUAUAUUCAUUAAUUAUUCAGUUUUUUUUAUUGCGUAAUGAAACAUAAUACCUCGAAAAGUUUUAAGUCUAAUUGAUGACCAAUUGUUAAUAAUUUUUUUUUUUUGAAUAAAGGUUUGGAACCAGUUUAGCUAGGAGGCUGAGCCCCAUGCUCGGAACCGGUUGUUAAAUUAUACGACUAUAUAUGUGUUUGAAUCUCAUUCUUUUGGUUUUGCUUAUUCUGACUAUAUUUUGAAUUUGUUGAUCCAUAUAUUGAAGUUAUGUUUAUGACCGAAGAGCAAACAUAAGAGAUUCGUCACGGUAGUCAAAGCCUUUGUUUAUGGAAAUAUCAAAAACAUGAAUAAGACCAUAAAACAUUUUGCAUCUAAUUCAAUUUAUUCGGUUUGUUCUUUAUCAUAAACAUAACAUCUAUAUAUGGAUUAACAAAAGCAAAACCAAAUAAACAAGAUUCAAACCAUAUUUGGUCACAUAAUUUAACAAUCUGUUGUCAAUUAUACUCAAAACUUUGCAGGCAAAUGAAAAUAAUAAUUGAAGGAAUACAGCUUAAUCACAUAGUGACAUCAAUAUUUUCAAUAAUACAACUUCAUCAUUACUAUAACUAUAAAUCAUAAUCUGAGUAAAGUCAGCAUAAGGCCAUAAGCUUACCCCUGACUCCAUUAGAAGAUAAAAAAUCAAAAACUAAAUCAACUGCACAAAGGCCGAUCUGUUGAAUUAUAAGGCCUAGUGCGAAAAAAAAAAAUCUGAGGCCUUAUGCUUCAUUAUAGUACGUGAUGAAUUUUCUAAAGAAAUAAAAAAAUAAAUAUGAGUUUCACUAUGACAAUGUAACAUCCCGGACCUAAUUUUACCCUUUUUACUGGGUAUUUUAUGAGUUACUGAGGAAUUUAACCGUGCUCGUAAUUUGGUAAUUUAUCACUCGAGUUUAUUGUCGAGUUUUACUCAAAAUGUUAAAUUCCUCUUUUAAGGGUUCGAUAUUGUAGUAUGUGUCGACAUGGGUUCAACGGUGCCUUUAGAUGAUUUAUUGGAGGUUUGGUUAAGUAUAGAAAUUAUAUUUUCGAAAGCAAAUAACGUUUAAUCCGGGCUGUCAUAUCUAUUAGGGCUUUGAACUGGGCCGUAGAAUUUAAGCUUAAAAGGGUAAAGUGGAGUUUGACCCAGUCAAAAACCCAACUCGGGUUUGACCGAGCCUAACCAUCUCCCUCUCUCUUCUCCCUCAUCUCCCUUUGUCGCUGCCUUCUCCAGUGCAGCACCGUCGUCUCUGGCCACCCCUGGCGGCGAGACCACCGCCGUUCUCUCCCUCUCCUCCUCUCCUUUCUAGCCCAGCCAGUGGAUCACGCAAGCGAACCGAAUCAGAGGAGAUCGAAGCUGUCGAACCUGACUGUGUUUGUCGGAUUCCGGCCAGCUCAGGCAGCGACGACGGCAACGAACGGUAGGGUUCUUCUCCUCAGUCCUUCUCCUCUUCUUUCUGUUCCUUUCACCUUUCAAAUCGAGCUCUAAAUUGGAAAUCCCUAAUUCUGCAUUUUUUUUAGGCUUUUCCGGCGAGCUGCUGCGGUGGUUGCUGAUGAGUUUUUCUGACAUCUUCCUUUUUUGCUUUCCAACGUUGUUUCGACCACAAGUGGUCAAGGCGAGCAUGAAGGGGGAGGGGCCAGGUGUGGUUGCUGCUGUGUUGGAGGAGUUGGUGGACUCAGGUGGGGUUGGUUGUAGUGACAGCUGCGGUUAGGGUUUGAAAAGAAGCUCAAUUUCCGGCAAGGAGAAGAUUGCUGGGUUCUGGUGGUGAGCAGAUUAGAGGAUGUCGAUAACUUGGAAUUUGGAGUAGUUAUGGCAAAAUUCCGGCAAGUGGCCGGAAUCCGGCAGAAUAUUCCGGCAAGUCGUCGAAAUCUGGCUAGGGCAGUUAGUCCAACAUAAGCAGUUGAGACGUGGGAUUGACUCGAGAUUGUGAAUAGUGGAGGCAGCGCUCGAGGAGUAUGCUGAGCAUUGGAAGGCUUAGGCCUAAUACUGUGAGUGGACUUUUGUUUUAAAUAAUAUGCAUGCUAUGGUUCAUGGUCGAACAUUUAAAUUGUUGGAGUUUUGACGUCAUUUAAUUUUGACGCUUUUAUUUCUCUUGGAGAGUUACCGAAAAAUGGGAUUUUUUGGUGAGUAUAAAUAUGUAUAUUGAGGAGAGUAUGUAUAUAAAUGCUAGCUAGCCAUAUGUGUUUGUCCACCUUAAUGGCGUAGCAUAUAACCGCAUUAUGGUGUGACGUGAGCGUUGGACGUGAGCGUAGUAGCCCUAUAUGAGUGUUUAAUUCAUAUAGGGGGUAUGGACACAUAUUUAUACACCCGUCUGUCCACCUUAAUGGCGUAGUGCAGCACCGCAUUAAGGCGUGACGUGAGCGUGGGACGCGAGCGUAGUAACCCUAUAUAGACCCAUGAAUUUAUAUAGAGAGUAUGGACGUGUGUAAAUACAUACAUAUAUUUUAGAGCCUGAGAGGCUCGAUAUUAUGAGAUGAAAGUUUUAUCGCUUGCAGCAUGCAUUCGAUUUUUCCUUGGAAAUUGAUUUGGGGAAACAUAAAUAUUUUAUUUAUUAAUUUAUUUUUGUCCACUCACUCUAAUGUUUGCAAAUGUUUUCCCCUGGGCCAUUCGUUUUAAAAAUGCCCAGUUUGCAAGUUAGUAUAGUUGAGGUCGGGCGUACAUGGAGACGAGGCAUAGUCAAUAGUAUAGUUUCUGCUCAUCUAUAUGCUUCUGUCUCUUUUUCUUCACUAUUAGAAUGACUCUAAACCUAUAAGUGGUUGGUUUUAAUAUUAUUUAUUUUUUUUAGAUUAGUGAUUGAUUUGGGAGAUGUUGUGAAUUUGGGGAGCCUUCGAAGGCUCUAGGAGUUUAAGGUUGGAUUUAGAUUUUCAGAAGUGUUUGCAUGUGUUUUAGGAAGGGUUGUCCAUUUUCAAGGAAGGUUUUAUCGAUUUUUCGGUAGAAUCUCUUUUGGAAGUGGUCCCCGCAGGGUUUACUCAUAAGGUGUGAGGCUCGAACACGUGACAUAAGCCAUAAAACGGUAAUAGCUUACCGACUGAACUAAAGUGACAUUAGUAUUUUUUAAUGCAAUAAAUGUCUUUUUUUUUUGUUCCCUUCUUGUAUAUAUUCAUCAGUACAUUAAAGGUAUAUCCGAAUUUGGUCACUAUUUACAUUCACCCCACAAGUCUAAUUAAGAAACAUUUCAAUAUCAAGAAAGUUGGAGAAAAAUCUAACAAGUAUCACGGCUCUGAUAAGCUAUCAUCUCAAGCUCUUUUUUUACAAGAGCACGGACGCAUUACAUACUUUGGAUCCAAUUAACCCCCUCAACAUGUCAAAUUCCUUCAUGGUUUUCCUUCUCUUCAAAUAUCUGGACUGUACGAAAAUCGAAUCUCCGUUCAGCGGCCUAGCAGGUCUGAAAGUAGAUCCAAUCCUAAGAGUGCCAUGAUUGAAUAUAUCCUGCAAGAUUUGGAGUUGAUCCACCCUUCAAUCUUUCAUCUGUCAAAUGCCAUUCAAUCACUUUUAUGGGAAUUUAUUCUCUAUCACCAGCUAGUAUAAUAAAUGUUUAUAUAUUACUUAUGCAUAUUUAUAUAUAUAUAAAAAGAUAUUUGGAGGCCUCCGGAAGUUGGAGGUCUUGUGAGGUUGCAUAUCAAGCACAACCUCUAUGCCAACCUAAUUGAGAUCAUCGGAAAAACCAUGAAAAAUUCGGUAAUUAAAAACCUUACUAUAAUCAUUGAGGCCGAUGCAAAACUUCAAAAAGAAAUGGAAUUAGGAUUGUUACAAAAAGAAAUCGUCCAAAGAAUCACAGACGCUAAAAUCUGUGAAGCAAUUGCCAAAUUAGUUGUUGAUUGCUCUCUCUUUCUCUUUAUUUCUCUCACUCUCAUUGUGUCGUAUCAGUUGAUAUUGCUUCUUCUUCUAGACAUGUUUCCUUACCAUCAUUUUGUCUAAUGAUAUACGUACUCUGGAUCUAUGGUGAUUACACGCGGAUGAAGGAGACUUCAAACCAAUAAAAUUGUCCGGAAUUAUCUUCUGAAAGCCAUACGACCAAAAUAUGUUUGAUCAAUCAUGACUUCAGGAGAUAAACUCCAAUACAGACUUAAAGAGUUCAUUUAUUCGAAAAUAACUAAAGCCGAAAUAAAACAUAUACAAAAGAGAGUCCAAAAAAGUGACAAAUUAACUAGAGAGAGAGAGAGAGAGCCGCGACAUGUGUUUUUAGUUUUGAAGGCUUAGCUUUAUUCCUAACUCUCAUUAUUAAGUGGACACUACGUAUAUAAACGAACUAUGAUAUUCAUAAAAAAGAUAUGGAGAAUUAGCGAUAAACCACAGUAAUAUAAUUUGACACUUUUUUAUAUGAUGAGACUCUAAUCUAGUUUGAAUUAGUGACCAACUUAUGUUAUUGGUCAUUAAAUAGAAUAAAUGAGGGACCUAUAGUGAUCACCUAGUGACCACCCAAAUUUGGUCACUAAUCAUAUUCAUUGACCAAAUUCUCUAGUUUUAGUGACGAACGUCGUGGUCACUAAUACCCAUAUUUCAUGUGACUCUUCAACAAAUCAUAUAUACGGCAUGUAUAAAAAUGUAUAAAAUUAAUGAACCAUAGGCCACAUUGUUUUUUUCAUUAAGAAUGAACUACCUAUCCAGUCCAAUUUUAGUAUAUUUCAUACUUUCUCACAACUUUGAUAAAAGAGCGUGAGUAAAAGAAAAACAAAAAUUCCUACAUUUAUACGUAAUUUUAUUUACUAUUUACCGUCGUAUAUAAUUUUAGUUUGUGAGCAACGGCCUUCUAGAGCCUCUUGUUUGUUAAUCCUUUACAGCCGGUUGAAAGUCUGAUGCCCUUUUUCAUCGGCAAAAGCAAAAUUAACGGGUUCGUGGGAUUUCCCGUGAAAUUUGCCUGUUUUUUACCCGGCCUUAAAUAACAAUUUAAUUUCUACUUUUUACUCUUGCAACCCAAAAAACUCCAAAAAAAGGGUAAAGAGAAAGCAAACAUAAAAUUACCAGUCCACUUUUGGCGGGAGUUUCACUCUUCUCGCCGACACCAUUCUCAAACCCAGCAAACAAACAAAAGCAUCUUCCUAUUUCACUUCAUUUUUGUUUUUUGAAUACAAAGUAAGAUGCUUUUAAAUGUUGAAUACAAUUUCUGGGUGCAGUUGGUAGGCUUAUGUUAUUUGGAGACUUUUCCGUUUAAUAACAAGAAUCAAGCCACGAGUGGGUACAAGAUUUAGGUACAUUAUUUGUCUCCUCAUAUUUAUCCUUUUCCUUUUGAUCUUGUGGAUUUGCGUAUGCCAUUUGAAUUUUCCAUUCGGGUUUGGUUUUCUCUCUUAUGGGUCAAAUGGGUUUUGUUUGAAUUUGAUAUGUCUGCAAUAUUUUAUUAGAAGCCAUUGAUGAGCGCCAUGUAUGUUCAGUUGUGGCAGCUGCUUAUAUACUGGGGCAUUCAUUCUUCUUCUUCUUCAUCAGGGUUUUGAAUUUGAAAUUCAACUGUUCAAGAAAUGGGAAGCUCCGAAAUCAGAAGAGAUUCGCAGAACAAAUUGAGGAAUGAUUUGAAGUUAUAGACUUUACAUUUGGUGAUUUUGAAACAGGGAGAGAUCAGAGGGCAUAAACAAAAAUGAAAUUCAAGGAUUUCAAGAAGCACAAGAAAAGUGAUAAGAAGAAGAACGUGGUCUUGGUUGGGAUUAAAAUUGAUGGCCAAAGCAGAGAGCUUCUCGGAUGGGCUCUGGCGGAAGCUGCUGAAGCCGGAGACUGCGUUAUUGCAGUUCAUGUCUGUCGAAGUUCUGGUAAGUUUCCAGAUUUGGACUAGUUUUAUCUACUUAUAAACUUAUCUCUAUCAGAUUGCUGUGUUUUGUUCAGCCUUUCAUUAGGUAAUUACUAAUUAGUAUAGUUUGUGUAGUAUUAGUGUAGAUACUCCUUGUGUUAUAUUGAUACCAGUAGCAUAAAAUACUCGUUGUGUUAAUAUGUACAGAUCAGUCUGUGAAGGAAAAGCCAAUAGUGGAUAGUUAUGUAGAAGCUUAUGAAGGGUUAUGUAAUAUAAAAAAGGUUUGUUCAUCUUCAGUUCUUCACUACUCUUUCACUAUUUCAAUAUGCUGGAAAAAUGGGCUUUGACUAUAAAGUGUCACACUUAAUUUCAGGUACACCUCACCAGUCAGGUAUUGACAGGAAGCUCAAUCCGAAAGGCGCUAGUGAAAGAGGCAAAGAACCAUGAAACUAUGGCUGUAGUUGUAGGCACAGGCAAUUCAAGCACUGAAGGGUAAGGGAGAGGGUGAAACUCCGGGGGGUAUGUGAUUUGUGUUUUUGUUUUCUGAUUACUCACUACACGUAACUUUAGUAGGGGUAAGGAUUCUACGGCAAAAUACUGUGCUAAAAAAUUGCCUCCAGGCACAGAUGUUGUGGCAAUUAACAAGGGAGAAGUUGUAUACAGAAGAAGUACAAGUUAUGAACAAUCAGGUUGGUGUUUUGACUUUUGAGUCCUAGAAAAUACAUUCUACUCGUCUGUCUCUCAUGACUACUAAAUUCAGUUUCUGUUAUGGUAGGUCUAGCAGUUGAUGAGUCAAGGCCAAGUAUGAGUCAGAUUUAUAAUUCUCUUCCUAGAAUAAAAAGCCAAUCUGAAUUUGGUGACUCUGAGGCGGAAACAGAAACUGAUAAAUCAUUUUCUGACAAGGCUCAGAGCUCCCAAGCUAGUUCCAUGUGUGGCAAUGAAGACCUGAAGAAAGAAAAUAAGAGAGCUCAUAAUAGAUCAGCUUCUUCACUCAGUAUAGGAGAGUCUGCAGAGAAGUGCCUCGGAUGGCCUUUGCGUAGAGCAAGUUCUAUGAGUACACAAAUUCCGGGCACAAGGAACAUUUCUGUGGUACAAUGGGUGAUGAGCUUACCAGAUCGUUCUCCACAGCAGUCUCCUCGAUUUUCAAUCAUUAGAGAAACUUCCUUUGAAGGAGGUAUCGAGAGUACUUCUGCUUUGGAUGAGCUACCGAAUGAGUUGAAGAGUCUACUGGAAACAAAUCGUUGCAGAUGGUUCAGUCAUGAGGUUCUGAAAACUGCAACCACAAAUUUUUCCUCAGGUAUUUUGACACUGCUUUGUCCUGAGGUUGCCCCUUAUUGUUCACUCCUCUAGUAUCUUAGGUUCUUAAGUGUUUCUAUAUCUAAGUUGAUCUUUACUUUGACAGAAAAUCUUAUUGGGAAAGGAGGAUGCAACCUUGUAUUCAAGGGAAUUCUACCAGAUGGCAAGAAAGUGGCAGUAAAGCUUAUGAAGUCAUCCAAAGCAAAAAUGAAGGAUUUUACUCAUGAAGUUGAUAUCAUCUCCUCGUUGACGCACGAGUACAUCAUGCCUCUGCUUGGAUUCUGCUCUGAAGAGAAUAUUCUGAUAUCUAUUUAUGAUUUUUCGCCUAAAGGAAGCUUAGAGGAGAAUUUACAUGGUAAGUGUUGAGUACUUUACUCCAUGGGUUUUAUUUGCUUGGUAAAAGCUGUCAAAAUCUGAUUUUGAACUGUAGUUAAUGCAGGCAAGAAUAAAGGCAAACCUGUAUUGUCAUGGGAAGUGAGAUUCAAAGCUGCUCUUGGGAUUGCUGAAGCUCUAAAUUACCUGCACAACGAAUGUUCUCCGCCAGUUAUUCAUAGAGAUGUUAAGUCUUCAAACAUUCUUCUCAUGCCAGAGUUAGAACCACGGGUCAGUAAUUAUCAGAAAACAUGGUGAUUAGUCUAUCAAGAUCACUAAACUUUUGACAAUAACUCAUUGCUUGCAUUUAUGUGACAGUUAUCUGAUUUCGGCCUUGCAAUAUGGGGACCGACAACUACGUCUUCCCUGACUGAAUGCACUGUAGAGGGAACAUUUGGUUAUCUUGCUCCUGAAUAUUUCAUGUAUGGAAAAAUCAGUGACAAGAUUGAUGUCUAUGCCUUUGGUGUAGUCCUGCUUGAACUAUUAUCAGGAAGAAAACCUAUUGGCUCUGACACUGACAAACAGCAAGAGAGCUUGGUCAUGUGGGUAAGUUCACCUCCAUAACUCAGUUCCUUCUCCUUUAACUUCUUUCAAGUACAUAGUGUCAAUGACAAUGAAAAAAAAAAAUUCAGGCAAAGCCUAAACUGGAGAACGGAGAUAUACAUGACAUACUGGAUCCAAACUUCGAUGGAAAGUUGGAUGAGAUUCAGGUACUGAGAAUGGUUUAUGCAGCAAAACUGUGCAUCAUACGCUCAGCUAGGCUUCGCCCUAAAAUGAGUCAGGUAUGGUAGCAUUAUAUGCAUACAAGUAAUUUGUAACGAAGAGGUUGUGUUAGUACUAAUGCCAAGAUCCAAGUUUCAUGCUCUUUUGAUUUUCGUCCUCAGAUAGUGAAUCUCCUAAAAGGGGAUCAAGAUGUGGAAAUGUAUGUGAACCCUCCAUAUUUUGAUGUUGAGGAUACAGAAAACCGAGAUGACAAUGAUGAUGAAGUUUAUCCAAAUUCAAGUGCAGAGUUACAUUUAAACCUUGCGCUGCUUGAUGUUGACGAUAAUACAACAUCAUUCAGUAGUGUGGAGCACAGCACCCGUUCUUGGGAAGAAUAUUUGGAAGGGAGAUGGAGCAGAUCAUCAAGCUUUGAUUAGCUUUUCUUGUACACUCUUGAUAUUUUCUUCUCGUCUUGUUUUGUAUGUUGUGUUCACUUACUCGCGCGGACAUGAACUUAGCAAAUCUGUACAGUAUAGGGAAAAGGAAUGCCUCUCUAAGAGUGAGGUGAUUUGUAGACAUAAACAUGUGCAGAUGAAAAAUAAAUAUAUAUAGAAGAUUAAAUUUUUGACUUGGCGUCUAGCUAGUACACUCUUUCCUGUUGGCAAUGUGGACAUUCUAAUGAAUCCAUCUUAAUUAGACAUCUUCUGGGACUGCCCUGUAAACUUAAUUGGCGAAAAUAUUUUUUGUCUGAGGUGUGUUGAGUUUGGCAGGACCGCAGGAACCUUCUUUUUCUGGAUCUUUUCACACGUCUGUGACAUUGCAGUUGGUAAUGAUCUUGAGGUUUUCUGCUUCGUUGUUUGGUGGAUCAUUGCAGUUGGUAAUGAUCGGCAUGAGAAUUCUGCUCUUAUUCCACAAGCAGUGUUAAUGUUAAACAGUAAUGCGCACUAGUCUCUCUAGACUAUAUUUAAGAUUAUCUAGUUUAAUCUAGAACUUAUCUCUAGUGAUCAUGUAUGGUUGUAGAAAAAUCUAGAUUAAAUGUAAUUAAAUAUAAUCUAGUAUUGUUUAGAGUGAAAUCAUGUCAGUGGAGGUAAACCAAUGUCGGUUUACAACUCUAUAAAUAUGUAUCAAAGCUUGUAUCAUGAUGUAAUCAACCAAGCUAUCAAUACAAACUCUGUUUUUCUACAACAACUAAAUCUCCUCUGUUGCACACCUUCUCUAAUCCAAAUCUUCCAUUUCCUAAACACUCUUUGGCCUAAACACUAACUACCUUACCUUCUAGAAACCAUCAGUGGUAUCAGAGCAGUUCUGAUCUAUUCGAGGCGUGUCACCAUGGCGUCAUCUAUCUCCCACCAAAACUCCCUACCUCUUCCAAUCUUCUCCGGUGAGAACUAUGACUUUUGGAGCAUCAAAAUGAAGACUUACUUCAUGUCUCAAGAUCUAUGGGACAUAGUCGACAAAGGAUUCACAACUACAGAGAAUCCUUCGGUUGAGCAACUACGGCAAGAGAGGAAGGAGAAGCAAAGAGAUGCUAAUGCUCUUUACGCCAUCCAACAAGCAGUGGAUGAUGCGAACUUCUCAAGGAUCAUGGGAGCUUCUACAGCGAAGGAGGCUUGGGACUGGUUGAAGGAGGAAUUUCAAGGGACUGCUAAGGUGCGCUCUAUCAAAUUACAAACUAUGAGGAGAGAGUUGGAAAACUUGAAGAUGAAAGAUUCUGAGAUCAUUAAAGAUUAUUACUCUCGUCUUAAGGGAGUAGUGAAUCAGUUAAGGGCCUAUGGAGAAAACAUAUCUGAAACUAGAGUUGUUGAAAAAAAUACUUAUCAGUCUAACUGAGAAGUAUGAUCCGGUAGUUACUGCUAUAGAAAACUCUAGUGACAUAUCUCAACUUUCGGUGACUGAACUCAUAGGCUCAUUAGAAGAAAAAAGAUUGAGUAGCCGGGAUGAUACUCCACUAGAGAGUGCAUUUCAGUCUAACUCAAUCUACGAUCUACAGAAUUAUAAAGAGAAGAAAAGAAGAUAAAUGAUUAUACCUAGAGGAGGAGAAAAACUAAAAAUUGGGAAAAUAAAGAGACUUUAAGCAAAGAAGAACUUAUCCUCCAUGUGGGAUAUGUAAGAAUACCAAUCACAAAGAAGUAGAUUGCUGGUUUCGGGGUAAGCCGAAAUGCCGAAAUUGCAAUAGAUUUGGCCAUGUUGAAAAGAAUUGUCGGCUCAAGAAGAAGUAUCAAGCCAAUUUUUCAAAGGAGAAUGAAGAAGAUGAGCACCUAUUCUACUCAUGUGAAGCUGCAUCUGAGGAGAAAAACCAGACAUGGUAUGUAGAUAGUGGUUGUAGCAAUCACAUGUCAGGGGAUGAAUCUAUCUUCUCCAACCUUGAUACAUCAAGGAAGUUACGAGUGAAACUGGGGAAUGGUGCUUUGGUGCAUACAAAAGGUAAAGGUACGAUCUCCAUCCAAACUAAUUUAGGAACUAAGUGUAUUGAUGAUGUUUUAUUAGUUCCUAGUUUAGAGCAUAAUCUGUUAAGUGUUGGUCAAAUGAUGGAGAAUGGUUAUGUUCUAUUAUUCUCUGGAGACUCUUGUAAAAUAUAUGAUAAAAAAGAAGGAUGAUAUUUAAUGUAAAGAUGGAAAAUAGAAGUUUUCCUAUCCAAUGGUUACAAAUGGCCAUGAAGGCAGCUGUAGAUGAUUCAUGGCUAUGGCAUAAACGCUUUGGUCACUUCAAUUUCCAUGCUUUGAGAACUCUUUCUCAAAGAAAAAUGAUGAAGGACCUGCCAAGCAUAGAGGUGAUUGAAGAUGUCUGUAGAGCCUGCCAACUCGGGAAGCAGCAGAGACAAGCAUUUCCUUCUGGAAGAGAUUGGAGAGCAAAAGACUACUUGGAGCUUGUGCAUACGGACGUCUGUGGACCUAUGAGGACUCCAUGUCUUGAUCAAAGCAGGUACUUCAUUCUUUUCAUUGAUGAUUAUACUAGAAUGACAUAGGUCUACUUUCUACGUGAAAGGUCUGAAGUUUUCAAGAUCUUUCAAAAGUUCAAGAACCAUGUUGAAAAACAAAGUGGCCAUUACAUCAAAGCUCUUAGAAGUGACAGAGGUAAAGAAUAUACCUCUAAACAAUUCAACAAAUUUUGUGAAGAUGAAGGAGUAGAGCACCAACUAACAGUGGGCUAUGCUCCUGAACAAAAUGGAGUCUCUGAGAGAAAAAAUAGAACCGUGAUGGAGAUGGCAAGGUCAAUGUUAUGUGAAAAACACUUGCCAAAGACUUUUUGGGCAGAAGCUGUAUAUACAGCAGUCUACUUGCUAAAUAGAUGUCCAACAAAAACUCUACAAGACAAGACACAAAUUGAAGCUUGGAGCAACAAGAAGCCAUCAGCAAAGCAUCUCAAGGUCUUUGGGAGCAUUUGCUAUGUUCAUAUUCCAGCUGUUAAAAGACACAAGUUGGAAGAAAAAUCAGAAGUUGGUAUAUUAGUUGGCUACAGCUCGCAGGCUAAAGGUUACCGAGUAUACAAUCCAAAAAUGGAGAAGCUCAUGAUCAACAGGGAUGUUAAGUUCGAUGAAGCUGCCUAUUGGGAUUGGGAAAAAGAAGAAGUUAUGAAGAACAAAUUUGUCCCAACAGAAAAGCAGCAGAUUACAUCUCCUUUGCAUUCAAGGGAAGAAGAAUUUGAAGAAGAAACUUCAGAAUUUCCAGGUACGCCCUCUAUUACUCUUCCAUCUAAUCAAGAAGAAGAUGAUGUUCCAGAAUCUCCACCUAGAAGAGUAAAGUCAUUGAGGGAUAUAUACGAAACAUGCAAUUUCGUAUCUUUAGAACCUGAAAGUUUUGAAGCUGCAGUAAAACAAGAAAAUUGGAGAAAAGCCAUGGAAGAAGAAAUUAAAACAAUUGAAAAAAAUCAAACAUGGGAACUUGUAGAGCGCCCACCAAACAAAGAGAUAAUUGGUGUUAAAUGGGUCUAUAAGACCAAAGUCAAUCCCGAUGGCUCAAUACAAAAAUACAAAGCAAGAUUAGUAGCAAAAGGCUACUCACAACAGCCAGGGUUAGACUACAACGAGACCUUUGCACCUGUUGCAAGGCUCGACACAAUAAGGGCUCUUGUAGCUCUUGCAGCUCAAAAGAGAUGGAAAAUAUAUCAACUUGAUGUUAAGUCGGCUUUCCUAAAUGGUGAACUCGAAGAAGAAAUCUAUGUGGAGCAACCGCAAGGAUUCAUAAAGAAAGGAGGAGAAGACAAAGUGUUCCGGUUGAAGAAAGCUCUAUAUGGGCUUAAGCAAGCACCACGAGCAUGGAACAGUCGCAUCGAUAGAUACUUCAUCAAUGCUGGAUUCAAGAGGAGCAAGAGUGAGCCAACUCUCUACACCAAAACUCAAGGUAACUCUAUCCUCAUCGUCUCUUUAUAUGUGGAUGAUCUCAUUUAUACUGGUGAUAAUGAUGAAAUAAUUCAAGAGUUCAAACAAGACAUGAUGAGGACAUUGAGAUGAGUGAUCUCGGCCUAAUGCAUUAUUUUCUUGGUAUUGAGAUACACCAAGAAGCAAAUGGGAUUUUCAUAUGUCAAAAGAAGUAUACUGAAAAUCUCUUGAAGAAAUUCAAAAUGAAUGGGUGCAAGGCCGUGGCAACUCCACUCAUCACUAAUGAGAAAUUUAGAAAGGAGGAUGGCUCUCCGAAAGCGAAUGCAUCUAGCUAUAGAAGUCUCAUUGGAAGCUUACUUUAUUUGACUACAACUCGACCCGAUAUUAUGUAUGCAACAAGCCUUCUAUCGAGGUUCAUGCAUAGUCCAAGUCGGAUACAUUAUGGUGCCGCAAAGAGGAUCUUGAGAUAUCUACAAGGUACCAUUAAUUAUGGUAUCUGGUACCGGCCUACUUCAAAGACAAAGCUUGUUGGCUUUGAAUCAAAAUUGUUUGGCUACACGGACAGUGACUGGGCUGGAUCAAUGGAUGAUAUGAGAAGUACUUCAAGCUAUGCAUUCACUAUCGGGUCUGGCAUAUUCUCUUGGUCUUCAAAGAAACAAGAGACAACUGCCUUGUCGUCAGCUGAAGCGGAAUACGUUGCAGCAGCAAGCUCAGCAUGUCAAGCAAUNNNNNNNNNNNNNNNNNNNNAAUGGCGAAGAAUCCGGUAUGUCAUAACAAAACGAAGCAUAUCAAGAUCAAGCAUCACUUCUUGAGAGAAGCUUCAAAAAACAAAGAAAUUGAGCUCCACUACUGCAAGACAGAAUUACAGCUAGCCGACAUCUUCACUAAGGCACUCGCAAGAACAAGAUUUGAAAUACUGCGAAGCAUGCUUGGAGUAGCACCAAUGCGCAUUAAGGAAGAGUGUUAAACAGUAAUGCGCACUAGUCUCUCUAGACUAUAUUUAAGAUUAUCUAGUUUAAUCUAAAACUUAUCUCUAGUGAUCAUGUAUGGUUGUAGAAAAAUCUAGAUUAAAUGUAAUUAAAUAUAAUCUAGUAUUGUCUAGAGUGAAGUCAUGUCAAUGGAGGUAAACCAAUGUCGGUUUACAACUUUAUAAAUAUGUAUCAAAGCUUGUAUCAUGAUGUAAUCAACCAAGCUAUCAAUACAAACUCUGUUUUUCUACAACAACUAAAUCUCCUCUGUUGCACACCUUCUCUAAUCCAAAUCUUCCAUUUCCUAAACACUCUUUGGCCUAAACACUAACUACCUUACCUUCUAAAAACCAUCAGUUAAACGCGUCUAUGGAAUGUCAUUCUCAGUUCAUGGCUGCAAAAUCCCCUUCCAUAUUAAGUAGCGUUCAUGUGCUUACUGCUCCUUCUACCCCUUCAGCAUGGAAACCACCGACCCCUCGGUUCCUGAAGCUCAACUUUGACGGUGCAACAGAUCAUAAAAAUGGCAACAGUGGUCUAGGGGCAGUGUUCCGAGACCAUUUAGGUACUUUGAUUGCUGCCCUGGCCAUCCCAAUUGUUGGCCUACUCCCUCCUAGAACUGUUGAGAUUUUGGCUUUGUUAUAUGGCUUGCUGUUUGCUUCCCGUGCUUGUUUCUUUGCCUUGGAAUUCGAAGGAGAUGCUCCAAGUGUCACAAACACUCCAUGAGGACAGCUCUGAUCUCAGAUGGGAAGGUCACUUGUAUAUUAGAUGAUAUCAGGUUUCUUCUUCGUUACUUUCCUCGAUGUUCAUGGUGUUAUAUUCCUCGUGCAUCUAAUUUGGUGGCUCAUAAUCUAACCAAGCUCUUGAAGUUACAACUUUGAUUAAAAAAAAAUUAAAAAAAAAACUUUACGUAUUAACAAUAUUACGUACUAGUAAAGUCGUCGCAAAAAGAAGGGAAAAUUACGUACUAAUUGGUACUUGGUCACGCACCACUUGCCUUUUUAUCCAAACAAUUUACGGUGGCACCAAUUAGUCCGGAUCUGCAAUCUCUUUCGAUCACUCGGAAAAAACCAUGCCCCUAUCCCCUGUCAAGGAAGAGGGCGACAUCGUGCUUAGCCUGAAGGGGGCCCGUUCGUCCUCGUCUUCUGAAGACCCUGCUGUCACAGAAAAACCUGAUGCGAAGCGGCGGCGUUGGUUCAUAUCUUCUGAACUCCUGGACGCCCCGCACCAGAACCCGGACCCGGUCCACCAAGCAAAACCCUCUGAAGACCCUGAUGUCCCGGUCCAGCAAGCGACGACCUCUGACGGGGUCCAGCCCUCUGAACCUCUUACGCUGCAGGAGAUUAUGAAGAAGCACCCGAGAAGACAGUCCAAAGAGGAGCAGCUCGAGUAUGCUGAGCAUUAUGCCAAGUGGAAGGGUACGCAUUUGAUUUCUACGUGUUUCAACUUUCAAUUGCUUUUUUUUUCCUUGUGUGGGAAAAUUAUAGCUUUUUCUGUCUGCAUUGUCUGAAUGAAGAUUUAAAGUCUAGUGAUAUGUGCUCGGAAUUCGUUGCCGAGAAACCAGUUACAUUUGGACUUGUUGUGUCAAUGUUGUUCAAACAACUUGAUAUUUUGAUUAACUAUUUCUCUAGCCAAUUUGAUGCAUAUUGACGUAGAAUUGUUUACAAGGAUUCAUUUCACUCUUUAUGACAUAAUUCCUUUUCAGCUCCAUGGGUCACAGAUUUUCACAACCGCGUGCUGGCCAUCAUUGCGGAGUUUGGAGGAACCAAGCUAAAAGACCAGACUUUUACUCCUGAAACGCUAGCUGGUAUGCUUUACAAAAGUGCUGGGGCUAUGUUUUGUCCCAGAUAAUCUCGUCUUAUAAUUGGAACAUGUACUUUCAGUCUAUGAUGUAGAAUUUGGUUUGCUUGUUUGUUGUAGAUAAGGCAACAAUUCCGGAUCUCAAACUCUUUACUUAGUUACUUCUCCAGCCAAGUUUAUAAGAUGUAGAAAAGUUAAGGGUUUCAAAGAUGUCAUUGCACCUGCAGCUUCGCUACUUAAUGUUUAUUCAAUAAGGAUUCGUUUUUGCUCUUCUUGUCACUUACAUCCUAUUGUUAUACUUGUCAACAGUAUUACUAUCUUGGGAAUUUUCAUAGUCAUCGUCCAUUCUUUUCUAUUUCAGCUGCUGAAGCUAACAUGAAGAAGCACCGUGAUACACCUUUUCGGAAUCAUGUUGGUAUGCAUUUAAACUUGGUACUUUAUUUCACAAUCUGUAAUGAAGAUUAACAGGAAUUUGCUUGGUCUUGUGUCUUCUUGGGGGAUGUAGUGUUGUUUUCUCUGUCUGGAAAAUCUCUUCUUAUACUCCAAUUGGUCUAUGUAGUAGAAUUUAGCGUGGUUAUGUUUGUUUGUUAACCCUCCCCUGUGUUUAACGAUGGCUCUGCAACAGAUUUUCUGAAACGUAGUAGGGUAGAAAACCCAAACGAAAAAGAUGCAUGGAACAAAUUUGUCGAUAGUCAAAAGAGUACAUGGACAUGUAAGAUUUGUUUGAAGACAGGGGAGCAUAUGAGUUUGGAGUGCCCGUAUCUCGACUAUGUCCCAGAAGGCGCAUCUGUUGGCCCUGGUGUUGAAAUAUAUUGCAAGGGUUGUACAUUUAAGGGGAAGCACGAUAAUACGAAUUGUGUUAAGCGUGCUUAUCGCAUGCAGUGCUGCAUUUGUGGAGCAGGCCACUGGGCUACUGAUUGCCCGCUUGCCAAACAGCACACGACGAAUCCAUAAAAUCCUUGUCCCUUUAACGAAGUAAUCCUAUCACUGAAGAAACCGAUGAGACUGUUCUUACUAGGGAUUUGGUUAUGUUCCUUUUGUAAUCGGGGCUUCUACCAUUCUGAUUUUAUCUAUUAUAUCUUGAAGAACUUUUGGGUCAGUAGGGAGAAUUAUUAUCUUGUAUCAGAAUGGAAUAUAUACAAAUGAAUUAUUUGUUUCAUUUUUGUGUUUUUAGCAAGUGAGCUUUAAAGGUUGUCUAUAGUGUCAAAAGGUUCAGUGCUAUCAUAAGUCGUCUAUAUUGUCCUACUCCAGUCUACAGCAAUUCUUGUUGCUUGUAGCAUUCCUUAUGAUAGUAUCCACAGGAAGAUGUAUGAGUUGCAGAAGUUACAUGGGCGAACCAUUAACGGAAGUAUGAUACAAUGUGGAAGAAUGAUACAAUCCAAAGUAAUGUAUAUGUUUAUUUAAGUUUUUUUUUUCAAUUUUAUUUUGAUGAACAUACUUUCAUUAAUUAAAACAAAAAAUUACAUUGUUCCGAAUAUAGAGCAGUCUGAUUACUCUGAGAGAACACGGUUCAUUGGAUUUCAGAUGAAAUCCCAUCGUACCCGAGUCAAGGCACGGUCUCAAAAACAAGACUGGUGUAAAUCCAUCAACUUGCAUGAACCCUUGAAACUUCGUUACCAGACAUUCAUAGAAUCAACAAACCAUUAAGUCUAAAAUAGAUCAAGCACAAGGAGAAAGGAGGCAAAACAACUUGAGUUGCAAACCAACCCAACAAAUGACCCAAACCACUUAGAAGGCGAAAAGACAAGUGGCGCGCAAUCAACCGAAGAUGAUCCCCAGUUGAGCUGCCACCCGUCAUUGAUGCCUGCGUUGUUCACAAAGUAGGGACCUGCAACGCAAAAGAAAAAUAGAAGCCGACCUUACCAGACACAAUCCAAGGAAGCAUAGAUCAAACAUCAUCGGACCAAGCCGAACCCAAUGAAAGCCAAAGCCAUUCAUGCGCACUCAACAUCAAGAUAAACUUGGAUUUCGACAAAUUCAUACCAAACAUAUACAAUCACAUCUACAAUAACCGGCACCAUACCCACCUGAGGCGCCCUUACGAGGAGAUAGGGUAUGUUAGCCUAAAGUAGAACAAAACCACGUAGGGAGAAAUUUCCCUUGAUUUUUUUUUAUGGCAUUACUGAAGGAUAGUAACAUUUGUGUGCCAAUCUGUUAUGCUUAGUGGAUGGAUUAAUACCAUUUUUUAUCCACUUAAUUUGAUUUAGUUUUUGGAGAAAAUGAAUCAUUUAUUGCAUAAAUCAUUAUUAUGUGUUUAGCUUAUUUACCACCAGUCUUCUUGAUCAUUUUGUGUAAUUCUUACCAAAUUAUCACUUUUUGAAUAAUGUACUGCUCUCAGUGAAUAAUGGAAUCUUUGUACAUUUGUAGUUCUAAGAAAGUAGAAUAAUAAGAAAUGUUUGAAUGGAAUACGUUAUAGACAAGCUAUAAAGAUUACAGUAUUACGAUGAGAAGACAAGAAACACUACCCAAACUCAACUGGACCAUACAAGCUUUGGGUUUCUUAUAACUGCAACUACACCUGCUAUAACUCCUAAGAUUGAGAAACCACAACAAUAGUGAUAAACGCGAAAGUUCUUAGCACAGCCUAAUAAGGAAAGAAGUUGAUUGCACAUUAGCUACCACCACAUGGCUAGAAGAAAUUGAAAAAGAUGAAAAGUAUAAUAUUCCAGAUGAUUCAGAUCUUGACAACGAGGAAGAUAACACCAUUUGUGGAGGGGACUAUAGUGGUCCAAACUCUUCAGCCAACUAUACCACGACAUCAAAAACAUGAUGGAAUGCUGAACGGUUGCUGACGCAUCAAGACAAAGAACCUUUUUCUCUGAUAAGAAGUUAAUGACAGCCGACGCUUGAAAACAAAAGACUUUACUUUUUUAAAAGUAAAGUUAAAACCUUAUUAGGAUAAGAUUCUUCAUGUCCUCCACUUCGUUUUAGAUAAAUUUUAAUUUCAGUUUGGAGUACGCUCCCUAUAUUAGGAGCCUUAGUCAUCAGUAGGAAGACAUCAUAAAACUUGAAAUAGAAGUUCUCCCAACCUUUCUCAAGAAGUAAGAUAGCCAGAAUAGUGUGCUUACUGUGUGGAAGUGUUUUCUGGUUGUAAUCAUUUGGUGUGGUGUGUUUUUAUUGCAAGUAAGUGUUUGUACUUAUAUUUACAAUUAUGAAUAACUAAACAACUUUUAGUUUUUUACCCGAGAGCGAGGCUCUGGGUUAUGUAUUUGUAUUUAUGUUGGAAUAAAUAAAUUAUAUCUUGUGUCCCAUAAUCCGUCACAAAAAAAUUUAGUUAUUAUAUGCAUAUUUAAGUUUGCUUCAUGUUUAACAAAUACUUUGCUUUUAAGAACUAAAAAUUUUCCAUGCUAUAAGACAACAGUGAUUCCGUCAUAAUUAGUAACCACUUAGAUAGAAGGUCGUUGGGUGAAAUAGUAGCAUGUUGAAGGUUACUUCUUAUAGUGGUGAGUCUUAGUUUCAUAGAAGUGAGAUGAUAAAUAUAAAAAACAAGAAACAAAAAACAAAAAAACAAAAAAACAAAAAAACAAAGAAAGAUAUGCAUUUUUACCUUUUUUGGUUAUCUGUCAGGUUAGCACUUUAACAGAAUAGUUAUAAAAAUUUAACGGAAGUAUGUCCUUGAUAGAAAAAUAGAAGUUCAGGUACUACAUUGACAGUUUUGUAAGUCUAGGUAUCAAAUUGAUUGAGACACUAGAGUUUAGACACUGAUGAUGUACUUUUCUCAAAAAUAAAUAUAGAAAGUACUAGUGUGCAAAAGAUUUCCUGCAGCUUAUCAAAACUCGAAUAGAAGCUGUAAUUUUUGCAUACACAUAGCAUGCCCUACCAAAUAGAGGUGAACAUCAAGCUGCAGGCAUUAUAAGGAAAACAGAUUAAGGUGAAUGCAAAUAUUAUAUCCUGCUACAAUCCGAUUACAUUAAAGGCCAAUAGCAACAAACCUGACCUACGUAGAAUGAUGGCUUUGUUAUGCACAAGUUCGUUUCGAUGGCUUGAACAUCAAGUUGAGUAGAACAAUAGGCAAAAUGAAGACAAGAGGGAUAAAAUGCUCCAAUCACUGAAAUAAUAUCCCCAAAGUAUGGGAGCAUUGCUGCUAUGGCUGUUGCUACCAUGACAGAUAGUGAAUGGGAAAAUUAGCCUCGGGAUCACAUUUCAAGCAGAAAUCUCGUUGCUUGCUAUGUCUGAAAAUGUUGUCUCUAGUACUUCAUUUGUGGGCUGCAGAUAUACCCUUUUAAUCCAGAGAUAGCAACAGUGAAGAAAAAGACAGCUCAUCAGGUGGCAGUGAUCAUAUUCUCACCACACCCACAGCUAAAAGUUGGAUCAUGGUGAAAAUGUUGGUCAUGAAAAUGAGCCGCAUUAGGACCAAAGGCUUGCCAUCAGCUUUGUUUCCAGAUGUGCAAUAACUAACUAGAGAUAGCAACACUGAAGAAAGUUAUCGUCACAAUGGGGCGCAUAACAAACAGAUAGUCCCUUGAACAUCUUUCUCUUCACUGGUGCUGCUAAGGUUGCCUAUUACCAAGUUAUAAUAUAAUUAAUUAGAUAAAUUUGCAGAAAUAUGGUUUUUUAGCAUGGUGAUUCUUCUAAAUAACCAUAAAAUCGAAUGAAGUAUCAUCUCAGAUUAGAGAAGCGAUUUUAGUGAUUCUCUAGGAAACGUACAGUUCGAAAGUGAAUGUGCAAGAAGCGCUGGCCGGGUGCUUAGUGGAAAAUUUUAUGUGCUUCUAAUCAACAAAAGCAUUCCAAGCUUUAUACUAUUUAAGGACUUCCAAAUAGGCAAAGAUAGUUUGUUUGAACAACCUGAAUUUCUGGAAUGAUGCCAUUGCGAUAUGUUGUAGCAAUGAGGCCAUUGGCAUUAAGGAUCCCAAAAACGCCACUUAUAAUGCUUCCCUUCAAGGAAUAGUCCUUACGGGAUGUCACGCCCCAAUUUCCGAAUUAUAAUUUUCAAAAAUUUUGGCAUGAUAUAUCUUAAAAUAUUAAUAUCCCAAAACCUGUUUCAACAAAAUUCAAGGAAAAUAAACUCAAUGCGGAAUGUAAAUUUACACACAACUCCAAAUUGAGUUAAAUAUUACAUUUUUUUGUUUACAUAACUUGAGAGACAAGAAAAUGAAACGCUCACAUGAGUUUAAUAAUUCCUAUCCCAAUGUAUAUAAAAAGAAUAUACAGUGAACAACCAAAACCCAACAAAAAACCCUGCCACUAAGCCUCCACCUCAACCCUGCUGAUCCUCACUUGCAGGUCUAACCCCUACACCAAAAAAUGGUGCACCGGGUUGUAAACAACAAACCCGGAAAGCUAAAAAGCUCGUAUGAGUAAACUAAAAAAUAACACAACAUUUAUCACAUCCAAUAUUCCACAAGAGAGAUUGGAUCAAUAAUUAAAAACCACACAUCCAACACAUUACCCAAGAAAUGUACCUAUGAGUCCCAGAUACCAUACAGUAUCUCCCAUGAUCUACACUGACAGACGGACUAGAGCUCUAUUCAUAACCGUAACCAAUCACCCGGCUAAAAGCUUGGAACCCGGUUUGACUGUCUAAUAUCAAACACAAAAAUGAUAAAUAGCAACUUAACCGCAACCAAUCACCCAAUUAAGGGCUUGGAACCCGGUUUGGCUAUUUAUCCAACAAUCAUAAUAUCACAACAUUAUCCUCAACAACACAAUAUCACAUCAUUAUUCUCAACAAUACAAUAUCAUAUCAUUAUUCUCAACAACACAAUAUCACAUCAUUAUUCUCAACAACACAAUAUCACAUCAUAAAUUAUAUCCCACCACAUGGAUAUAUUUACAUGAAUAAUUAUAGAUAUUCCACAAGAAUAAUCUAACCAAAAAUCAAUAAAAUUAUGAUCACAUGAAUCUCAAAAUAGCACUUAAAGAAAACUUGUUUUAUCUUACCUAUAAGCCGUUGAUCGACGAUCAAGCUCAUAUAUUUUUAAAAACAAUUAAAAGCAUAUUAUUAAAUCCAAUAUUAUCCUCAUUAUCAUCAUCACAUGAUCAUAAUAAUCAUUCGGUUCAAAAGUAAACCUUAGUGAGAUUUACUCACCUAGAUAGCCCGCUGCGUUUCCGCAAAACACAAAAGCAAGCCAACUCACAAUUUCACAAAUCACCUAAAAUAACACAUAUAAUAACCUUAGUAACAAACACAACAAGGAUCAAAGUACUCUUAACUUAAAGGUUGCCCCCAAGAAGGGCAAUCCUUCCUCCAAAACCUCCCAAGAUCAUUGAACACUCAACAACAACCAAACUACAUUCAAGAUCAAACUUUCUAAGUUUCCGAUCUAAUGAACACCAAUAAACUUAAGUCCUAGCAUGCCAACCUUGCUUAAAAUCUAGCCAUACUACCACUCAACAAGCUCACAGCAGCAAGGACUAGCUAAUCACAGGAAACUAAGGCCGCCACUCAGCCGAAAGCGCAGCCACAGGCGGCGGCGAGUGGGCCCCACGCGCCAUGCCAAACUUCUGAAUUAGGAGAAACUCACAACAACAAAGUUGAAGUUUGAAGCAAGGGGAACAACUUUCAUACAUGAGACUUCGACCAAUUUUGGCCGGAACCGGCCAGAAACCGCCCCGAACCGUGACCAGAAAAUCAACUACAAAACCUGCAAAAUCGGCCUCAAAACCUCAAAAACUUGCUUCAAUCUAUGCCUAGACACUACUAGGAGGAGGAGAGGAUCAAGACUCACCUAAGGAUGCCCCUCGUCGCCGCCGUAUACGGCAGCUCCGACCGUGGCACAGUAGCCCUCUUUCCGGCAACACAGUUUCGAUUCCGGCGUGCUACACCGAGCAGCAACUGCCCAGCCUUGAAGAGCACACUUGUGGGAGUCGAACGGGACCGGCGGCGGUCCAAUCGGUGGCCGAACGGCCGACUUCUUCUCCGGCGAAAAUGGCUGCUCGCAAGUUUCGGGGAGGAGGAGAGAGAGUGAAGAGUUAAGUUUUCUGAAAUUAGGGUUUCCACCCCCAAAACUUUUCUAUUUAUCCCAAACUCCCGAAAAACCAUAAACUUCCGCUGACCAUAAAUUUCUCAUACGAAGUCCGUUUCAGGCGUGUCGUAUGUCUACGAACUCCUAUCGACAAACUCUACAACUUUCAUGAAGGAAGUUUUCGAAUAUAACUUACGGAAAAUAAAGUCAACUUUUGGCCUCUUAAAAGUCAAAGCACUUAAAUAAACUCCCGAAACUUCAACUUUGCAUAACCCCAAGAAUUUACAUAAAUAAUCCUUCAUUAAAAAAGGGAAUAAUACAAGAAAAAUUGAUAUAAAAAUCUGUGGUAUUACAUGGGAACCUUUGGAAGUUCCUGGCAAAGACAUAGAAUUUUCAAUAAUGUCAAACAAACUACAUCAGGUGAACUCACACCAAGUAUAUAAAAAUUUUGUUGAUUUUACCAAUGUAGAUGUAAGCAGCAGUGGCACAAACGCUAUAGGCUAGGCAAAGAAGCAUGGAGAUAAGGUCGAUGUGCCCGAGUGAGUGAAAAGAUGGGAUUUGGACCAAAACCAACAUCAAGCAUCCAAAUAUGAUCAUAAAUUCAUAAAGUUUCGUGCUCCCAUUUGGGUUUGAUAGCAAGUAAACUGCCUACAAUAAAAAAAAUAAACAGAAAAAACUACAAGCAGUUAAACAAUAACUAACCAUGAUAAAGAACUAAUGUAACAGUAAAGAAGAAAUAAGAACAAAUUAUUAAGGGAUGCAAGAGAAUCCUUUUUUUUAUCAAUAGGAUAUAGAAGAAUCCAUAUUACCUUCAUGCAUUGUCCUCCCAAAAGACUAGAGGCAACAACAGUACCAUAGCAUAUCACGAACUAAAGUGGUCCGACAAAAUAUCGACACCGUCUAGGCCCUGCAAUGUAUAAUUCUUUGAACAUGAGCAAUCCUUGCUUGGUAGCAAACUAGAAUGAAACUUACAGUAGUAUUUAUUGCCCUCUAUCUGGCUAUGUUUCGCCCAAAAAUAAGUCAGGUAUGGUAGCAUUAUAUGCAUAUAAGUAAUUUGUAACCAAGAGGUUAUGUGUUAGUAUUAAAGCAAAGAUCCAAGUUUCAUGCUCUUUUAUUUUUCAUCCUCCUAUAGUGAACCUCCUAAAAGGGGAUCAAGAUGUGGAAAUGUAUGUGAAGCCUCCGUAUUUUGAUACAGAAAACCGAGAUAACAAUGAUGAUGAAGUGUAUCUAAAUUCAAGUGCAGAGUUACAUUUGAACCUUGCGCUGCUUGAUGUUGAGUUGUUGACGAUGAUACAACAUCAUUCAGUAGUGUGGAGCACAACACCCGUUCUUGUUGUUGACGUCAUUAGUCGAGCUGAUAACUUCUUGUCAUUCUCAAUGAUGAGAAGGGAUACUGCAAAACGAUUGGAGACGGCAUCAACCAUGAGGUUGAGAAGAGGGAGAUGCCGAGAAAACGAUAGAGGCUAGAGAGAAAACCUAACCCUAGCAAAAAGACUCCAAACGGUGGUUUAGGUUUAGUGGGAAAAAAUAAUUUUUGUCUGUCUGGAAAAUAAAAAAAUAAGUACAACGCUAAAGCAACGUGUCGUUGGUUCCUUGGCGACUUGACGUCCAGGCACCUACCUCACGCACCAUGGGGCUUUUUAUCCAACAAUUUACUCUCCAAUCUGCGUCUCUUUCGAUCACUAGGAAAAACACCAUGCCCCUAUCCGUUCGUCCUCUUCUUCUGCAGACCCUGUUGUCACAGAAAAACCUGAUGCGAAGCGGCCGCGUUGGUUCAUAUCUUCUGAACUCCGGGGCCAAAACCCGGACCCGGUCCACCAAACGAAACCCUCUGAAGACCCUGAUGUCUGUGGGAACCCGGUCCAGCAAGCGAUGCCCUCUGAAGACCACCUUGAUGUCCGGGAGCCCGUGACGCCCUCUGAACCUGUACCCCUCACGCUGAAGGAGAUUAUGAAGAAGCACCCGAGAAGGCGGUCCAAAGAGCAACAGCUCGAGUAUGCUGCAAAUUAUGCCAAGUGGAAGGGUACGCAUUUGAUUUCUACGUGUUUCAAUUGCCCUAGCUUGUGUGGCUUUCUUAUUUGAAAAUUUCUCUAGCCAAUUUGAUGUAUAUUGGCUAUAGAAUUCGUAAAUUGAAUUAGUCAGGAGGAUCGCCAGUUUUUUUUUUUUUUUUUUGAUAAGCAUGAGGAUGGCCAGUUGCAUAUUCGAUUCAUUACUUAUAUGUUUACAAGGAUCACUCUUCUUAUCACAUAUAUAAUUCCUUUUCAGAUCCAGCGGUCGUAGAUUUUCACAACUGCGUGCAGGCCUUCAUCGCGGAGUUUGGAGGACCCAUGCUUAAACUCCAGACUUUUACUCCUAAAACGCUAGGUGGUAAGUCCUGGGGCUAUCUUUUGUCUCAGAUAAAUCUCAUCUUAUAAUUGAAAAUAUAUACUUUCAGUCUAUGUUGUAGAAUUUGGUUUGCUUAUUUGUUGUAGAUAUGGCAACAAUUCCGGAUAUGUUGUGUCUAAGUUUUUAUAACAGUCUCAAACUCUUUACUUAAUUACUUCUCCAGCCAAGUUUAUAAGAUGUAGAAAAGUUGAGGGUUUCAAGAUGUCAUUGCACCUGCAGCUUCGCUACUUAAUGUUUAUUCAAUAAGGAUUCGUUUUUGCUCUUCUUGUCACUUACAUCCUAUUGUUAUACUUGUCAACAGUAUUACUAUCUUGGGAAUUUUCAUAGUCAUCGUCCAUUCUUUUCUAUUUCAGCUGCUGAAGCUAGCAUGAAGAAGCACCAUGAUACACCUUUUGGGAAUCAUGUUGGUAUGCAUUUAAACUUGGUACUUUAUUUCACAAUCUGUAAUGAAGAUUAACAGGAAUUUGCUUGGUCUUGUGUCUUUUUGGGGGAUGUAGUGUUGUUUUCUCUGUCUGGAAAAUCUCUUCUUAUACUCCAAUUGGUCUAUGUAGUAGAAUUUAGCGUGGUUAUGUUUGUUUGUUAACCCUCCCCUGUGUUUAACGAUGGCUCUGCAACAGAUUUUCUGAAAAGUAGAAGGGUAGAACCCAAACGAAAAAGAUGCAUGGAACAAAUUUGUCGAAAGUCAAAAGAGUACAUGGACGUGUAAGAUUUGUUUGAAGACAGGGGAGCAUAUGAGUUUGAAGUGCCCGUAUCUCGACUAUGUCCCGGAAGGCGCAUAUGUUGGCCCUGGUGUUGAAAUAUAUUACAAGGGUUAUACAUUUAAGGGCAAGCACGAUAAUACGAAUUGUGUUAAGCGUGCUUAUCGCAUGCAGUGCUGCAUUUGUGGAGCAGGCCAUUGGGCUACUGAUUGCCCGCGUGCCAAAUAGCACAAGACGAAUCCAUAAAAUAGGAUUAUGUGCUACUGAAAGUGAACGUGCAAGAAGCGUCGAGUGCUUAGUGGAAAGUUUUAUGUGCUUCUAAUUAACAAAGGCAUUCCAAGCUUCAUACUAUUUAAGGACUUCCAUGUAGGCAAAGAUAGCUUGUUUGAAUAACCUGAAUUUCUGGAAGCCAUCGCCAUAUGUUGUAGCAAUGAUGCCAUUGGCGUUAAAGAUCCCAAAAACGUGACUUAUAGUGCUUCCCCUCAAGGAAUAGUCCUUAUGGGAACCUUUUGGAACUUCCUGGCAAAAUGCACAUAGAAUUUUCAAUAAUAUCAAACAAGCUAGCUAGAUCAGGUGAACUCACAUCAAGUAUAUAAAUUUUAUGUUGAUUUUACCAAUGUAGAUGCAAGCAGCAGUGGCACAAACGCUAUAGGCUGGGCAAAGAAGCAUUAAGAUAAGGUUGAUGUGCCUGAGUGAGUGAAAAGAUGGGAUUUGGGCCAAAACCAGCAUCAAGCAUCCAAAUAUGAUCACAAAUUCAUAAAGCUUCAUGCUCGCAUUUUGGGUUUGAUAGCAAAUAAACUGCCUACAAUAGAAAAUAAACAGAAAGAACUGCAAGCAGUUAAACAAUAACUAACCAUGAUGAAGAACUUAACACGUAACAUAUAGUAAAGAAGAAAAUAAGAACAAAUUAUUAAGGGAUGCAAGAGAAUCCUAUUUUUUUUUUUCAAUAGGAUAUAGAAGAAUCGAUUACCUUCAUGCAUCGUCCUCCCAAAGGAGUAGAGGCAACAACAGCACCAUAGCAUACUAGGAACUGAAGUGGUCCGACAAAUACCGAAACCAUCUAGGCCGUGCAAUGUAUAAUUCUUUAAACAUGAGCAAUUCUUGCUUGGUAGCAAACUAGAAUUUUUUUUUUUUUAUUUUUUUUUAGCAACCUUAAACUUGAUCGAUUGCGGAACUGUUACAAAUUAAGGUAGUCAGGUCAACAGUUACCGCACUUAGAGCGGUAAUGGUGUCAUAGGGAAAAUGUAAGCAAGUACCUUACGUAAGAGCAAGGUCUCUGAAUCGGAAAUACCGAUUACCGAAUUGAGCAUUGUGUUCAAGAACUAGAGACAUUACGUUGUAGUAGAAAAUUACUGAUGCUCCAAUAACCAAACAGAAAAUCCCAGCCUUCCAUCCGAGGAAGGCCAAGAAUAUGGUCUUAGAAUAUCUGGACCAACUAUUGAAGUUGUCAAGUGAUAAGUGUAGCCAUGAUCAUGCAUCAAGUUAAUGUUAAUUCAAAUGAAAUAAUCUCGAUCAUUCAGUGAUUUUUAGAUAAUAUAAAUUAAUAAGGUAGAAGCUUGAAGAUCGAUGAUGAGGUUAAAGAAUAAAUAUAUGUAAGCUAGAAACAUCAUGAGAUCGAGAAGAGGGAGAUGCCGAGAAAACGAUAGAGGCUAGCUAGAGAGAAAACCUAGCCCUAGCAAAGACUCCAACGGUGGUUUAGGUUUAGUUUGAUGAUCAAGUGGACUUAACCCUAAAAAUAAAAAAUAAAAAUUCCAACGCUAAACCAACGUGUCAUUGAUUCCAUGGUGGACUUGACGUCCAGGGCACCACCCUCACACACCACCGGCCUUUUAUCCAACAAUUUACGCUCAAAUCUGCGAUCUCUUUCGAUCACUCGGAAAAACACCAUGCCCCUAUCCCCUUCGUUCUCGUCUUCUGAAGACCCUGUCACAGAAAACCUUGAUGCGAAGCUGCAGCGUUGGUUCAUAUCUUCUGAACUCCGGGGCGGCCAGCACCAGAACCCGGACCCUGAUGUCUGUGGGAACCCGGUCCAGCCCUCUGAACCUGUAGUACUCCUUACGCUGGAGGAGAUUAUGAAGAAGCACCCGAGAAGGCGGUCCAAAGAGAAACAGCUCGAGUAUGCUGCGGAUUAUGCCAAGUGGAAGGGUAUGCAUUUGAUUUCUACGUGUUUCAAUUGCUUUUCCUUUACCUUGUGUGGCUUUCUUAUUUGAAUUUUUUUUUAACUUUUUCUGUUGCAUUGUCUGAAUGAAGAUUUAAAGUCUAGUGAUAUGUGCUCGAUCGGAAUUAGUUGCCGAGAAACCAAUUACAUUUGGACUUGUUGUGUCAAUGUUGUUCAAUUAACUAUUUAUCUAGGCAAUUUGAUGCAUAUUGACUUCGAAUUCGUAAACUGAAUUGGUCAUGAGGAUUCCAGUUGCAGCUUCACUACUUAUAUGUUUACAAGGAUUCAUUUCACUCUUCUUAUCACAUAAUUUCUUUUCAGAGCCAGCAGUCAUAGACUUUCUUCAGAUCCAGCAGUCAUAGACUUUCACAACCGUGUGCAGGCCUUCAUCACGAAGUAUAGAGGACCCAUGCUUCAACUCCAGACUUUUACUCCUGAAACGCUAGCUGGUAUGCUUCACGAAAGUGCUGGGGCUAUCUUUUGUCUCAGAUAAAUCUCAUAGUAUGUACUUUUUAUGUUGUAGAAUUUAUUUGGUUUGCUUGUUUGUUGUAGAUAUGGCCACAAUUCUGGAUAUCUUGUGUCUAAGUUUUUAUAACAAUCUCAAACUCUUUACUUAAUUACUUCUCCAGCCAAGUUUAUAAGAUGUAGAAAAGUUGAGGGUUUCAAAGAUGUCAUUGCACCUGCAGCUUCGCUACUUAAUGUUUAUUCAAUAAGGAUUCGUUUUUGCUCUUCUUGUCACUGACAUACUAUUGAUAUACUUGUCAACAGUAUUACUAUCUUGGGAAAUUUCAUAGUCAUCGUCCAUUCUUUUCUAUUUCAGCUGCUGAAGCUAGCAAGAAGAAGCACCGUGAUACACCUUUUUGGAAUCAUGUUGGUAUACAUUUAAACUCGGUACUUUAUUUCACAAUCUGUAAUGAAGAUGAACAGGAAUUUGCUUGGUCUUGUGUCUUUUUAGGGGAUGUAAUAUUUGUUUUCUCUGCCUGGAAAAUCUCUUCUUAUACUCCAAUUAGUCUAUGUAGUAGAAUUUAGCGUGGUUAUGUUUGUUUUUAACCCUCCCCUGUGUUUAAUAAUGGAUCUGCAACAGAUUUUCUGAAACGUAGAAGGGCAGAAAACCCAAACGGGGAAAAAGAUGCAUGGAACAAAUUCGUCAAAAGUCAAAAGAGUACAUGGACGUGUGAUAUUUGUUUGAAGACAGGGGACCAUAUUAGUUUGGAGUGCCCAUAUCUCGAAUAUGUCCCGGAUGGCGCAACUGUUGGCCCUGGUGUUGCAAUAGAUUGCAAGACUUGUUAUUUUAGGAGGGGCAAGCACGAUAAUACGAAUUGUGUUAAGCGUGCUUAUCGCAUGGAUUGCUGCAUUUGUGGAGCAGGCCACUGGGCUACUGAUUGCCCGCGUGCCAAACAGCACAAGACGAAUCCAUAAAAUCCCUGUCCCUUUAACAAAGUAAUCAUAUCACUGAAGAAAUGUAUGCUUAUGGUAGAUAUGUUUCUUCAUUACAAUUGCAUUCCGAGAUUCACAAGCAAAAAACUGUGUCGUUCAUAACAAAAAUCUUAUAUAAAGGCCUUAAAUCUACAUCUUUUAUUAAGCUGUGUCUAUAAUGCAUCGAUGCUUUUCUCAACUCUUUUGCAACGUGAUAUGCCCCGUGCGUUAUUCAAUCAACUGAACAAUAGUAAUUUGUGUAUUUAAAAUAGUCUUGAGCAUAUCGAUUUUAGUUAGCCUGACUAUGUCUGCUUUGUGUAUAUAUAUGUAGAGAAAAACUACAGUUCAUUUUUUCACAGCUACAGGGUUAUGCUUCUGAUCAAGGAUGGAAAUGAUCGAGCCACAAUUCUGCUCAUGCGAGAGCAUCGUUGUCGAAAAGAAAACAUCAACACUUUCUGCCAAAACAGAUCCUUCAGGUAGAGGGAUGGAUCAAGCUUCUAAAGCUGAAGCAAGAACCUAAUCAGCUUCUAUAUUUUAGACUUUAGUAUAGAUAUCGAUCUCUAAAAAUAAACACAGUAGCUGCUAAAACGAUAUGAUGUAGCCAAAGUACGUAGAUAUAUAUCUUUGCUGAAAGGCAUCCCACUAUUUUUGAUAAACAAUGUGGAUGCCCCUGCUGUUAUCAUAAUACUAGCAGUAUUUUGCAUUUUGCUUGAAACAAGAAAAUCACAGUGCAUUCUCACAUAAACCUAACAAUAAGUUGAUGACUAUAUUAGUCCCUCCCUUGACAAAGAAAACAAAAUCACAGCCUGUUGCAGUACCAAAUCCCGCAGCAAUGCCUGGGCAACUUUUAGUCUACAUCUACUAGAAACAUUUGAUAACUGUAGUUGCCCGUAGUCAUAUUCCACAGCUUGUCUAAAACCUUUAUAGCAGCUAAACUACAAAGACAUGCUGCGAUGGCAUUCAUCAUUUAGAAUUUUUCUGUAACACCACCAUUUUCCAAUUUUCCUCUCUUUUCCUCCUCUCUCCUUACGUGAAACAUAUAUAAUACAUAUUUUAUUCGUUCUUUUUUUCUUUCUCUUUUUUUCUUUAUCAUAUUAGCCUACUUUAAUCCGAUUACAUGAAAGACCAACAGCAACAAACCAGACCUACUAGAAAAAUGGCACAAGUUACUAGCUCACACCUAUACUUAAAAUAGUGUUGUAUAUGGAUAGCAAAAAUGAUCAUGGUUAGCAGCACUAGUUUUCUGAUUUGUGUCAUUCCUAAGUGGCCCUCUAUCAUAGAGCCACUGCUGAUCCCUAAACUCGGUGUUCGGAGUGUCCAAGGGGUAGGAACCCAAUUCAAAAUCAGCUCUGUAAAUUGCGAUUCAAUCAGCAAAGAACCACCUUCAGAAAUAAGGUCAAGUUUUCCAUUGGGGGAAUGGAAAUUACAGAAAGGCCUAGAACCCAAUACUUGCUGGAGAUCAAUAUCAAUCUGUUUGCUUAAUAGUACUUGAUGCAUACACUUCUUCAGUUCAGAAAGACAUGGCAAGAGACCAACAUCAAUGUCCGAGUGAUGAAAGGAGAAAAUCCAACAAGCACAGAAGGUUUUAGCACCAUAACCAUGGUCAGCAUGCUGACCAUUAUUAGGGUGCAAUUCUAUGGCCUUUCUCCUUUCUAUAAUUUGGAGAUUUUCAGAAGAGUCAUGUUGGAAGUGGAACUCCAUGGGCUGCGCAGGCUUCACCAUUUCAGUGAGCAGGCUAGUGUUAUCUAGAUCUUUCCUUCUCUGCUCAACAGUCUCUAGAUUUUCCCUUCUUUUCCUUUUCUCUUUUCUUCUCCUUUUUUGCUUCUUUCUUUCCCUGUCAGCAUUCAGCUUCAAAAUACAAGGGAGAAACCAUCAUAUAUUAUAAGAAAUAAGAGACCAAGCUAACAAUAUAUAUCAGACAACCCUAGACGACCAAAAAAAGAGAGUUAUAUCUGAGUCUUGAAUUUCUCUUCAAUCAAUUAAGUAUACUUUCUGAAAAUAAAGCCUGUACUGCAAAAUCUGUGGACUAUAACUAAAAACUUUCGUUCCUAAGCUCGCAAUAUACUGUAUUCUCUUUUAUAAUGUCUAAAGACACAAAAUUAACAAAUCAACCCUUUUAAUAGAUGCAGCAUUGCCCAUCAUGAGCACAAAGUCACAAACUAUCCUCAAGAGUCUGAAAUCGGUGCAUGUUUCAGACCAAGAACUUAACCUGUUUAUGAUCAUAUGAUGCACAAGAGACUACAUUCACAUUUACCAAUGAAGAACAGUAUGCAAGUAUACAUAAGCAAUCAGCAAAUCGACUAUCCCAAAAUACUAUGAUGAGUGCAUAUAACUUCUCAAUUCAAUUGAUUUUACACAAACCUUAAUAAGUUGUAUGAGGGCUUGGCCACCGACGCCGUUCCACAAGUAACCUGGUGGAGGGAACAGCAUGCACCGAGACAUUGAUUUUGAUUUCGAAGAUAUCGAUCAGUUACUUGUUUUGGUCUCUGGAAGUCUCUAAUGGACAAAGAAUCGAUUGUACAAAGUACGUGAUGAGCAGAAUCCCAUGUUAAGCAUGGCAACGAUAAAGCUGUGAGCCUGUGACUAAAUCAUUCAGAAUUCAUACAAAACCAUUCUGCUAUAUCAUCUAACUUGUCAUCAAUAUUCAAAGACGAGCAAAAUUGUAUGCCAAUAAUUUUACUUCUGUGUUUUGUUUACAAACAUUUUUUCUUGCCUCACAAUUUCCGUAUGCUAAUUGGAACUCACGACCAACACAAUAUUGUUUGUUUCCAAAUAGAGAAAAUUAGAUAAAAACUCAAAAUAUUAGACCUCUUUUAAGAUAAACUCAUACAUAUUUUUCUUUUAUUUUACACCCACUCCACAUAAGAAAACAUACCAUAUAGAGCAAAUCUCUAUAAUUAAUAGUUUUCUUCAUUUUUUGGUUUCUCUAAUUUGCCCUUCAGAUAAUAGAAUGCUAAAUUUGGUAUAUUUAACUUUGUCAUAAUUAAUUACAUUCUUUAAUUUCUUACCUUGUUAUUACUAACUUGAGUUUAUAUAUAUAACACCUAUAUGUUAUAUACAAAAGUAUGUCAUUUGUAAUAGGAUGAUAUUUUUCAUUCUUAAGCUCACAUUUGGUGUCUCUCUACAUAGUCGAAAAUGUCUAAUUGUAAGGUACACAUUCUUGUUCUUUGAUUAAUUUUCUUCUUUUUAGAUAUAUUAUUAUAUCAUUUCUCAUCCUAAUCGAGAGAACAUUUUACUCUCUGCUACUUACGUUUCUAAUGUACCUAUUAAGUAGGACAUAAUAUGAUAAUAUACCUAAAAAAAAGAAACCCAAAAUUGGGUUUAGGGUGUAGGGUUAAGGUAUAGGGUUUAAGGUAUAGAGUUAGGGUAUAGAUUCAGGGUAUAGGGUAUAGGGUUUAGGGUUUAGGGUUUAGAUCAGAUAUCUUAUUCAUAUUAUAUUUUACCUUAUGUAUAGAUUAGAAAAUGAAUUCCUUUAAUCUAGAUUUUUUCAUAAAAAUAAAGAAAACUACAUGAUUCUUGCAAAUUGAUUGAAAAAUGUUAGUGUUAGAAGAAAAACUCAUAAUCAAGGUAUUUAAGACAUCAUCAAUUAAGUUUAUUUAUUAUAUUAAUAUGUUAUAGUUGAAUGGUGGAAAUUGUGUAAAAUAUAGAAAAAAUAUGACAUAAAAUUUAGCAUAUAUAAUUGAUACAUUUUAGAUGUCUAUCAAAUAAGAAUAUUAUGUGGGUUUUAUUUAAAACCACUCUUCAAAAUUGGGUGUAUAUGAAAAUUUCCCUUACAAAUAACCUAAUGGGGGAGUGUGUUUUCACAACAUGUUAAUAAACUGAACCAUCAAUUGCAAUUGGAAACUGUUUCGAAGUAACGUACAUUAUUCACAAAUCACAACAUCAGUGUUAGUAUGAAAAAUAAUAAAUGAGUCGGUCGAUCGACAACCAUUCUAUGCAGCAGUGCGACUUAAAAGUUAUAUGUGCUUGAGUGCUUCGCAAAAUAUUAUUAGCAACUUAUCCCGCUCUUGUACAACUUGACCAUAGCGACUAGCUGAUCGAUCACUUUCAUCUCCAGUUUCAUGCUCGAAGCCUUUUGGGACUCAACCCCCACAUCACGUUGAUCCCGAAGGCAAAGAUGGAUAAGGAAGCAGGGAUGAGAAACCGAAACUGCACUUGAGAUACAUGAUACAUGCGACACAACAUGUAGUCUUCAUGGUACGAGCUGAGGGAAAUGAAUGAACUUAAGAACAAGGAAGCAUAUCUGGCUUCAGAUUAUAUUGUACUACACAUGUAUAGUACAACUUGAAGUAUAAACUUGGUAUGGCUUUAAAAGUUUCAAACUUUAUAGGUUCAGAUGUUUGAAUUAUUGAUUUUAACGCUUUUGAUCUAUCAUAUGACUUAUGAUAUAGAAAAAUACUAUUCAAGUUUAUCCAGAGUUAUAUAUAUGUUACAACUUAGAAAUGUCAAUGGUGAAGUAAGGAUUUCAACCACCCAACCUUUUGUAGAUGAAGGUUUUAGAGGGGGGAGGUGAAUAGGCCCUUAACAACUUUUUUUCCAUAUAAAUUUGUUCUUAGAGAUAACAAGGGUUAUAGUUAUUGUCAUGACCCACCCCGAAUUUCACCCUGAAACCCGAAGUAAAUCCUACGGGGACCACCUCCAAGGAAAGUUUACCGAAAAAUUCAGCAUAACCCCCCUUGAAAAUGGACAACCCUUCCUAAUAAUACCUGCAUACACUUCAAAAGAAUCCAUUUAUAAUCCUCUACUCCUGGAGCCUUCGUGCUCCCCAAAUCACAACACCACCCAAAAUUUACUAAUCUAAACAAAUCUCCUAUCCAACCAUUUAUAGGUUCAGAGCAACUCUAACAAGAAUAAAGGAAACAAAAUAAAUUAACAAGCGGAAGCUAUAUGAUGACUAUGCCUCAUCUCCAGGUACGCCCGACCUCAACUAAGCUAACCUGCAAGCUGGGUAUUUUUAAAACGAAGGGCUCAGGGGAAAACAUUUGAAACACGUUAGAGUGAGUGGACAAAAUCAUAAAUUUAAUGAAAAUAUUUAUGCUUUCCCAAUUACAUUUCCAUAGAAAAUAUGCUGCAUACGACAGCUCAAAAACGCUCAACACAAAAACUGGCAAUUUCAUGACUAGCUCCGGCCAGUCUCCAAAGCACAAUAAAAUACAGUCUCUCAGGCUAAAAUAAAAUAUGUAUGUAUUACACUCGUCAUAUCCCUUGUAUGAAUUUUCUUGAAACAACAAAGACAAAUAGAAAAUUCACACAAGGCUACGACGUUUGCGUCUAACGCUCACGUCGCACCAUAAUGGCAUUUUACCUCAUUAUGGUGGAAAAGACAGUGUAUAAAUAUAUACGCGCAUAUCCCCUAUAUAAAUUAUUAUAUUUAUAUAGGGCUACGACGAUUGCGUCUAACGCUCACGUCGCACCAUAAUGGAAUUUUUACCUCAGUAUGGUGGAAAAGCACAUAUAGCUAGCUAGCAUUCCUUCAUAUACAUAUUAUUCUCAUAAUCAUCCAACUAUGGAUAUAUAUAUAUAUAUAUACAUACUCACCGAAAAUCUCAUUUUCAAUAACUCUUCAAAAAUAAUAAAAAUUGUCAAUUGCAAAAGAAGUAAUAAAUAUAUGGCUACACCAAAAAUCUCAUUUCCGAUAACUUUCCAAAUAGCGAAAUUAACAAAAUAAAAUAAGAGCAUUUACUUCCAAAAAUAACUUCGCGAAAAUAAACAAUUCCACAAAUUGAUAUUCAAUAAAAUCAUUCAUUUAAAAUGAAAUCACCGCAUGCUUAUAAUUUAAAACGAACGUCCACUCACAACUCUAGGCAUAAGCCCGACGAAAUCCAAAUCGCCACUCCAAUGAGGUUUCCUCGAACCCUGGCACAAAUAUAUAAUUAAAUUCUCAACUAAAAUCCAAUAUUUAAACAAAAUAGGCAAAAUUAAAUAUGAGCCGCAACCACGCUUAUCCUUGCCCAACUUCGCAUUUCCUAAAACGAAACGAUCCAACUUUAAUACCAUAAUCGGCAGCCAUAAUUACAACUUCCCCCAGAAAAUGACUUAAAUCCUACGGCCGGAUUCUACCUUAUUUAUCGCCAAAAUUACCAAACUUCGGAAAUUCACAAACCUAUCCAAAACUCAUCCAAAAAUUCCAAAGUUCACAUCAUUAAACUCCCCUUAAUAUUCCACACUUAAAACUAUACAAAAUUCCCAACCAGCGGCCGCGCCGGAGGCGGCUCCGCGGGCAGCGGCGGCCGGAGGCCGAUUCCGGCGACCUCCAAUGCCCACCAAAUUUUAACAGCAUCUUCCUCUCAACUCCCUCUACAACUUUCCUAACUAGCAUAAACACAAAAUCCAAGCCUAGCUAGGGCAAUCGAACACAAACACCUAAAGAGCCCUAGGAUUUCAACUUUAAAUUUCUCCUUACCUAGCUGAAGAGGGAGUGAGCCUUUUGGAAGGAUUGAUGCACGGGAGGAGAGCUUCAAAACCAUAUAAGGCUUGCCCGGAUUAGUGGCCGGAGGAGGAAGUUCCGACGACCGGAAGUUCUGGGCAGUCAAACCUUUCGGGCGGCACCGCUCUCUCACGGUGGAGCUAGGGCUCCUCUCACCGGUCCAGGGAGGUUGCUGGGUUGGAGGUCGACCGAACGGGGCCGGUGCGGCGGCGGUUGGUGGCCGGACGACGGCGGAUGAGCAGCCGGAAGUUUCAGCUGCGGGAAAGCUCGAGGAUGAGGCCGGGAGGGAGAGAUGAAGAGAGAGGGAAAAGAAAUGGGUGUUUGGGCCUCACACCCACCCGGUCCAACACCAUAUAACAACCCACUCCAAAAUAAAACACCCCGAAAAAAAAUAAUACCCGAAUAAAAAUUACCUUUUACUAGCUAAAAUUUACCAUUUUUACCGUCGUCAUAUUUUCUUCCUACGAAUAAUCCUCCGCACAUAACCGUCCCCGAAACCCGUCUAGGGACCAAUUAAAACUAUAACCUCAAUGACGGAGACGGUAAAAUUCUUAUUAUAACCAAGCUAGUAAAUAAGGUAAAAAUUUACGGGUCGGGAUGUGACAAUUCUCCCCUCCUUAUAAAAAUUUCGUCCUCGAAAUUUACAUACCUGACAUUCGAAGAGAUAAGGAUACUGCUGCCUCAUUUGCUUCUCUGAUUCCCAAGUAGUUUCCUCUACUUGACGACUUCUCCAUAGAACUUUAACAAGAGGAAAAUGAUUUGCUUCUAAGCACUUGCUCCUUUGGGUCAAGAAUCUGAACCGGCUCCUUAUCAUAGGUCAAAACUUUUUCCAAUUAAUCGGCUGCUCUUGCAACACAUGAGAGAAAUCGGAAAUAAACUUGCGAAGCAUGGAUACAUGAAACACAUUAUGUAUCUUGGAUAACUCUGGAGGCAAAACUAAUCGAUACGCAAGAGAGCCAACUUGAUCUUAAAACCCAUAAGGACCAAUAAAUCUCGGACCAAGCUUUUCACAUCACCAAAACGUAUCACCCCUUUCCAAGGAGACAAUUUCGAAAAACACCCCAAAUACUCACUUGAAACUCAUGGUCCUUCCUGCGGACAUCUUUAUAACUCUUCUGGCUACUAUGACUUGCUUUGAGUGUAUCUCGGACUCCUUUAACCUUUUUAUUUGAAUCUUGUAUUAUUUUAGAUCUUAUCAAAGACUCUAAAUCCUUCGUUGAACUACCACUAACGUUUACACGUAAGUGGGUUCAGUGAUACCUGCUCUAGGGUACGAGUACCCGUAGGUAUGCACACUCUUUCCUGAGCAAUGGAAAUAGCUAACUCAAAUAAAGCGCAUAAAUUGCUAUCACCAUCAGGCUAAAAUCUCCUAACGUCACGCAACAACCUCGUCAUUACGCUGCUCACAGCUCGACAAUGAAGCCCACUUGCUAGGAAACUAAAGUUCACACGUUCCCACAUGCUCAUAGGGGUCAAAAUUAAGACCCGUUAAUUGAACAGAUUUUUUAAGGAUGCACACACUGCAGAACUGCAAUAAUCACUUCUAAUGCCGAGACAUUUCGUAGAGUCUUUCGCGGAGUCAAAGCUCUCGCAAGUCCACAAGACAACCUUGCUCUCCACCAACAUAUGAUAACCUCGAUUCUCGAAAUAACAUUAUGAAAAGAUCAAAACCACGCCACUUGGGUCUCUCCACCAAAACUAUUACAUUACCUUUUUGAACACCACAAACUAGCAGCUUAUGAGAAUUUCAACUCUCUUAUGAUUCUGCUAUCUCCACUACUACACUUUGUGGCUCACCAACCAACGAAAACCAUAUAAUCAAGAAAAGCAAAAAUUCAUGGCUAAACUCAGCUCAAAUUCCAGAAGAAAUAACUGAAAACACACGAAAGGCACGUCCUCUAACUUCGAGCUCAAAAGCUCCACAAAUCAGCGACGUCCACUAGAACCCGCUUCGAAAACGCACUAGAAACCAACAUUUAAAUAGUGAUUUCAACUAAUCACUCUGACACAAACGGAGGAACACAACCAAAAAGCAAAGACCUCCCAAAAUCAAACUUGGAUCAAUAAGUGGUCCCACCAUAAUACGAUCUCGAGAAAAGAUAUCGAUCGACUUACCAAUAUCUCUACUAACCACAACACGCAACUCUUAAUAAACCUUGACUCGAAAAGCUUCUUGAGUCAACAGGGGAAAACCCUUUUCCAUAAUGCUACAUCAUGAAAUAUACCUAUAACGAAGCAAACCAUCAUAAUCAACAUCACCAUGCAACUCUCAAACUACCACAUAGGAUUUACGGCAUCGAGACUCACCGCUUAAAUGAACUCCAGCUCACUUGGGAUCACCACUGGAUUUAUUCCGAAUCCAUGACUACGACACAACUACCAAUUUAUCAUUUACCUCGAAACUUCGACAAAAUAACCAAAAUCUCUACCCUUCAAAUCGAAGCGUUGAAUUCGCAUUCCAUAAUUUCAAGCUCUGACGAUACUACCCAAAAACUACAGUAGGAAUAAUUUAAAUAUUCUCACACACACCACAACCAAAACUUUGCUGCAUCUCACCAAAUUAUAAAUAAGGUGAGUGAACAUAUACUCCCAUUGAGGUGUCGUAGCUAGCCACCAAAUGCUAACGAAAAGAUGUUAGCAAACAACUCCGAUCGUGAAGUCGAGACUUAAAUCAACCACCCGAAAUGACACUGCUUAAAAAAAAAAAAUUACUUUGGACACCCACGCACUCUUGCUCCAUGAUCCAGUGGGUUUUAUUCCACUGCUACUACUUCCACCAACUCCACACAACUGCUAAAGAAUACCUAUGACAACACGUAAUAAAUUCACCAGGUGUUGUCAUAAAACUGGAGUGACCACAACCAUCCCGCUCUCACUCCACCAUUACUUUUCAAUUCCAUUACAUUAUCAUCUUCCCAAACACUCAACAAAUUUGGAAACCAAACUUCAACAUCUGGAAUUCCGAAAGAAACCAUAAUGGCCCCACGAUUAAAAUAAUAUAACUGACAUCUCACUCCCCGAUUCCAAACUCGCUUGAAACUCAAAACAUUUAGUGCCAUCAAUAAAAUUUUAAAAAUUCCCCGAUUGUGGCACAACAAGAAGUUGUCACAACGCACUGACGAAUGACUUUUGUAAAACCAACAAUCCAAUUCAUUCUAUUUAGAGCUUUAACAAACUUCAACUAACCCACAAUAGAGACCAAAAUCAUCAGAAAUCUUUCUUUUCAUCGACUAUUAUCAUCCAUCAUUUUCAAAAUAUAUUACCGCUGCCAUCUUAAUAAAAUGCUCUAAGGAUAGAAACAUAUCUGUAAUUAGCACUGCAGAAACCAGAAUAUAUACCACCACAACCAAAAUUAUCCCAACAUGCUCCCAAUUGAUUUAUGUUGCGGAUAAAAUUGUCGGCAAAAUGGCCUUCAAUCAAGACUCAACUAAAUCGACAUUUAGCUCUUUAUGCAGCAAUGCCUUACCACCCAAUCACUAGCACAAAUUUCCUAAAACCUUAUUUAACCCAAGACUAGGGUUCCCAACAACUCAUAUAGGUACCCCUUUGAAUUACCACUGGAUACCUCACCUCAUCAUUUCAACUAACUUUUACAGCAAUAGAAUACACCACUACUUCAAACUUUCCUUCCAACUCGACUCUUUCAGAAGUCACGUAACUCAAUACCAAAAUCUCCCAUCAAACAAUUUUUGACUCCAAUCUUGCCCACUAAAAAUGGACGACUCCACGACAUUAAUCAUCAACAUUUCACCCAACAGAUUUGCACAAGAUGCUCACCUUAGCAUCUUGAUCAUAACCCAAACAAUCAUUGAUCACAUGAAAGGAAUGCUAUCCAGCUUAUGAGUUCCCAACUGGAGUUCCCAACUCGCAAUUGAACUCUAACACUUUAAGAUAUCAACUCAAUAACCCUUGGAAAAGACGUCAACCAAACACCUAUUUCCUUAUUCAAAGCAUGAUGAUUACUUAAGAGGUCGGCAUACAGAGGCAUAGUCUUGAUGAUAUGGACAUUUAUGGCACAAUACUGUCCAUAAAAAGAUAGAAACAACUACAUCACAAACCUAAUCAACACAUGGUGUCUAAAGCAUAUAAUGCUGAUAGAUCCGCCGCGGUCAGACCAUCACUCUAUAGACACAAAGUAUGACCAAGAAUAUGAGGUAGUACUAAAAAGAGAAAGGAACUGAAUAACCUAGUGCUCUGAUACCAACUGUCAGAACCCACCCCGAAUUUCACCUUGAAACUCGAAGUAAAUCCUGCGGUGACCACCUCUAAGGAAAGUUUACCGAAAAAUUCGGCAUAACCUCCCUUGAAAAUGGACAACCCUUCCUAAUAAUACCUGCAUACACUUCAAAAGAAUCCAUUUAUAAUCCUCUACUCCUGGAGCCUUCGUGCUCCCCAAAUCACAACACCACCCAAAAUUUACUAAUCUAAACAAAUCUCCUAUCCAACCAUUUAUAGGUUCAGAGCAACUCUAACAGGAAUAAAGGAAACAAAAUAAAUUAACAAGCGGAAGCUAUAUGAUGACUAUGCCUCAUCUCCAGGUACGCUCGACCUCAACUAAGCUAACCUGCAAGUUGGGUAUUUUUAAAACGAAGGGCCCAGGGGAAAACAUUUGAAACACGUUAGAGUGAGUGGACAAAAUCAUAAAUUUAACGAAAAUAUUUAUGCUUUCCCAAUUACAUUUCCAUAGAAAAUAUGCUGCAUACGACAGCUCAAAAACGCUCAACACAAAAACUGGCAAUUUCAUGACUAGCUCCGGCCACUCUCCAAAGCUCAAUAAAAUACAGUCUCUCAGGCUAAAAUAAAAUAUGUAUGUAUUACACUCAUCAUAUCCCUUGUCUGAAUUUUCUAUUUGUCUUUGUUGUUUUAAGAAAAUUCACACAAGGCUACGACGCUUGCGUCUAACGCUCACGUCGCACCAUAAUGGCAUUUUACCUCAUUAUGGUGGAAAAGACGGUGUAUAAAUAUAUACGCGCAUAUCCCCUAUAUAAAUUAUUAUAUUUAUAUAGGGCUACGACGAUUGCGUCUAACGCUCACGUCACACCAUAAUAGAAUUUUUACCUCAGUAUGGUGGAAAAGCACGUAUAGCUAGCUAGCAUUCCUUCAUAUACAUAUUAUUCUCAUAAUCGUCCAAAUAUGGAUAUAUAUAUAUACAUACUCACCGAAAAUCUAAUUUUCAGUAACUCUUCAAAAAUAAUAAAAAUUGUCAAUUGCAAAAGAAGCAAUAAAUAUAUGGCUACACCGAAAAUCUCAUUUCCGAUAACUUUCCAAAUAGCGAAGUUAACAAAAUAAAAUAAGAGCAUUUACUUCCAAAGAUAACUUCGCGAAAAUAAACAAUUCCACAAAUUGAUAUUCAAUAAAAUCAUUCAUUUAAAAUGAAAUCACCGCAUGCUUAUAAUUUAAAACGAACGUCCACUCACAACUCUAGGCAUAAGCCCGACGAAAUCCAAAUCGCCACUCCAAUGAGGUUUCCUCGAACCCUGGCACAAAUAUAUAAUUAAAUUCCCAACUAAAAUCCAAUAUUUAAACAAAAUAGGCAAAAUUAAAUAUGAACCGCAACCACGCUUAUCCUUGCCCAAUUUCGCUUUUCCUAAAACGAAACGAUCCAACUUUAAUACCAUAAUCGGCAGCCAUAAUUACAACUUCCCCCAGAAAAUGACUUAAAUCCUACGGCCGGAUUCUACCUUAUUAAUCCGCCAAAAUUACCAAACUUCGGAAAUUCACAAACCUAUCCAAAACUCAUCCAAAAAUUCCAAAGUUCACAUCAUUAAACUCCCCUUAAUAUUUCACACUUAAAACUAUACAAAACUCCCAACCAGCGACCGCGCCAGAGGCGGCUCCGCGGGUAGCGGCGGCCGGAGGCCGAUUCCGGCAACCUCCAAUGCCCACCAAAUUUUAACAGCAUCUUCCUCUCAACUCCCUCUACAACUUUCCUAACUAGCACAAACACAAAAUCCAAGCCUAGCUAGGGCAAUCGAACACAAACACCUAAAGAGCCCUAUGAUUUCAACUUUAAAUUUCUCCUUACCUAGCUGAAGAGGGAGUGAGCCUUUUGGAAGGAUUGAUGCACGGGAGGAGAGCUUCAAAACCAUAUAAGGGUUGCCCGGAUUGGUGGCCGGAGGAGGAAGUUCCGACGACCGGAAGUUCUGGGCAGUCAAACCUUUCGGGCGGCACCGCUCUCUCACGGUGGAACUAGGGCUCCUCUCACCGGUCCAGGGAGGUUGCUGGGUUGGAGGUCGACCGAACGGGACCGUUGCGGCGACGGUUGGUGGCCGGACGACGGCGGAUGAGCGGCCAGAAGUUUCGGCUGCGGGAAAGCUCGGGGAUGAAGCCAGGAGGGAGAGAAGAAGAGAGAGGGAAAAGAAAUGGGUGUUUGGGCCUCACACCCACCCAGUCCAACACCAUAUAAAAACCCACUCCAAAAUAAAACACCCCAAAAAAAAAUAAUACCCGAAUAAAAGUUACCUUUUACUAGCUAAAAUUUACCAUUUUUACCGUCAUCAUAUUUUCUUCCUAUGAAUAAUCCUCCGCACAUAACCGUCCCCGAAACCCGUCUAGGGACCAAUUAAAACUAUAACCUCAAUGACGGAGACGGUAAAAUUCUUAUUAUAACCAAGCUAAUAAAUAAGGUAAAAAUUUACGGGUCGGGAUGUGACAGUUAUCCUGAUUUACAAAUACACAAUGACAAUAAAUAAAAGUUGCAGUAAAAUAACAAUGAACACCAAAAUGUUUUUUACUCGUAGAAACCCUGUAAACAGCAAGAAAAACUGUGUGUCCCUAACUCUUGAGGGACAAACCUUUCCACUAUGUAAAACUCACUUCUUACAAGAUUAUAGUCUAAGGAUACAUCAACGACUUGCUCUCUUGCCUAAACUACUCACUAGUCUAGAUCUAUAUUUUCUCUCUUGUGUCUGAGUAUCUCACUCCUUACAAGAUUACAGUAUAGGAAAUAGCAACGACUUGAUAUCCUACCUAGUCCCAAUCUAGUCUAGAUCUACCUCUCUUGUCUCUAAGUGGCUAUACAUGAAGGUAUAAGAAGUACUCACUACUUGCUCUCUUGCCUAAACUACUCACUAGUCUAGAUCUAUAUUUUCUCUCUUGUUUCUGAGUACCUCACUCUUUACAAGAUUACAGUAUAGGAAAUAGCAACGACUUGAUAUCCUACCUAGUCCUAAACUAGUCUAGAUCUACCUCUCUUGUCUCUAAGUGGCUAUACAUGAAGGUAUAAGAAGUUUCAACUCAGAACUCAGCUAUCACUUAACUGAUUCUUUUUAACACUUUUUAGAAGUUUCAAUCUCAGAAACUCAGCUAUCCUAAACUGAUUCUUUCAUAAACCCAGCUACUUUAGCGGGAUACAUCAGAACUCAGCUAUCCACAAUUGCUUCUUUCAUGAACACUUCCGGGGUUGCUGCACUACCAAUUGAUCUCAUGGUAUGCAGAAUGCAAUGAGUUUAUGAGAAAAUGUUUUGUUCAGCUCUAAGGUUUAUAAUCACAAAAUGAAGACUUAAAGACUAAUGAACAAUGCAAAGGAAAACCAAAAACCCAACAAAGGGAGAGACCUAACAAAGCAAAUGUAGAAACUACAUUUUGACAACCAUUGAGCAAAGGCAACAUUGCUCAAUAUAUAUAGGCUGAUAGAGUGCUCUAACAAGAGAGAGAGACGCAAGCCAAAGAGGCCAUAAGAGGGCAUGCACGAGGGCCAAAGCAAGGACAGGGUUUUGGACUUUUAUCUUUGGCCAAACUCAUAAAGUGAGAGGACAUAUGCAGCUGUCCAUGACCAAGCAAAAAGACAAACAAAACUAUCAUAAACAAUGUUUGAUUUAAAGGCAAGAGACAAAAGGUUUUGUAAACUUUUUUCUAAAAGCAUAAUACCACAUUGGUUUAGCAAAUCACUUUUCUCUGAUAUCAAACAAAGACAACUACAAAUAUUGGUUUGUAUAUCACAAACACAGCAAACCACAGCUGGAGCCUAAGAGCCAAAACAUGGGUCACGGGUUAAGAUAAAAGCAUCAAACCCUAGAUUAAUUUGAGCACCAAGGCAAGACCUUUAUCUUAGUUGUCAAUUUGAAAUUCAAAUGAGGAUCUCACCCAGACAUAAUAUUUAUGCAACAAGGGUAAAGAAACAUACACCUAAGACAAAAGAAACAAAAGACCGAAAAGCUGAAAACCUAGAUUUUUAGGCUGGCAAACAAUAUUGCUAUCCUCAGUUAAAAACCAUGAAAUGCACACAAUGAUUUUACUUGAGUUCCAUGAGAUCAUAUUGGUUCUUCUACAUCUUCAGCUUGUUCUUUAGUUUUGAAAGAGUAAUCUCUCAAUUGCUUUAGGCUUCAUUGAUUGUAUUUUGUUCCACAUAAAAAUUGCCAACAACCUUAUACCUUCAGUAAAGUCACAAGCUAGGUAACUUGACAAUCGUAGAGUCGCAAUCACGAAGUGUGUACUAUUUAUUAGUCUGGGAAGCAAAUCUGCUGUGCCCAAAAACCCAGUGCCAACCAUGUGCCACAAAUCAAAAUUCGACACAUCAUCACUCUCCUAACACCCCUCUAACUCUAUCAACUCUCGCAAAAAAAGGUAAUAAAAUUUAAGAAAAAAAAAUUUCUUCUUGCUUCUCUCUGCAAAGUUUCAAACCCAGAUUUAGCAUCAAACAUGGUUGUUUCUUCAUCAGUUCAUCCACCUCAACAGCUGCCGCUGAUCUCUAGGCCCAAUCCCACAACCCUAUCUCCUCCACCUCUUCUCCUACCCUCUCCGACCAACACCUUCGUGGCCUCGACCAAAAUCUCUUCUAUCCCUUGUCUAAGAUGAUUGAUUGCUAAGUCCAGGAACAACAAUCGCAGAUUUCUAACGAACUAAAAAAGAAGAUGGGUUGGGUUUCUUCUUGUUUCUCUCUCAAGGGAACAAAGAGAUCUAGGUUGGGGUUGUUGCAAAAGUGUAGAGAAAGAUGGAGAGAAGAAGAAUCGACAAAGGAAAAGUAAAGAGUUGGAGUGAUAUGGUUAAAAAAAAAACUGAAAAUAAUUAAGUUAACAGUGUUAAUAUCUGUUAAAUUGGUGAACACAUGUCACGAUACGAGGGGUAGACAUAUGUUUGACACAGGAUUUUUUGGCAUAGCUGAUUUACUUCCAUUAGUCUGCACCACACAUUAGUGACAACACUAGAAGCCAAAGUUGUCUCUUUAUGCCACAGAGGCUAACAUGCAACGCUUGAUAUAGAAAAGUGAACGGCCUGACCUAUGAUUCCCUCAAAAUUAAAUAAUCUUCAAAAUUUCACAUUCACCUGCAACCUUUGAAUUUCUCGUAAUUAAAUCCCCCAAAGUUUUUAAAUUUACAGUCACAGUCCUCAAAUACCUAUAUAUUGAGAGCGAGGACAUUCUCAUAUGACUUUUGGCAAAAGGAGGAGACUGGUUCAGGGAAUAAUCUGAACCACACCACUAGCCACAAUCUCAAUCUCUCUCUUUCUCUGGUACGUUCAUUUUUUUUGCUACCCUUCCUAGGGUUUCUGCCAUUUAUACACAGCCUCUGUGCUCCUUCGGGGUUUCCACACUAGUAUCAGGUCCAUGCUUCAAUUGCCUUUUCGAUUUUCCAUCACCCACAUGUAAUUUCUGUUCAAAGUCUUUGACUUUGGGGAUUUCAUGACUUUGUGCUACUGAAUUCUCAUCUGGGUGGUGAUUCAAUUGGCUAAAUUCACUGUUUUCAAGUAGGGUAUGAUCUUAAGACUAGGAUUUUUGAUCUGGGUGUAGUUGGUUCUGGUCAAUUUCGAGUUUAGGGGUUGCGAUUUCAUCUGGGUUGGGGCCAAAAUUUGAAAUUUCAGUGCUUUUUUUUUUACUCAAUUUGAGAAUUAGGGUUCGUGUGUCUCUCGCCAUGGACGAUGGAGAGCUUGAUUUUUCGAACCAGGAGCUUGACUUUUCGAUUCCCAACAUGACCGGUGAGCUUCCUAGUAGUUGCUCAAUGGAGAACAUAUUCGGUGACUUCUUCAAGGAGACUGACACUGCUUGCACUCACAACCACAUUUGCAACCCUCCCUCGGGGCCUGACUCGGCUCAUAGGCACACUUGCAUUCAUGUCCACACUAAGAUUUUGUCAUCGGGUGCGAGUGAGGACAAGGCUGGAACUGAUGAUACUGCUGAGUCUGGGGAGAAGAACUCGAAGAAGCGGCCUUUGGGGAAUCGGGAAGCUGUUCGAAAGUACAGGGAGAAGAAGAAGGCUCGAGCAGCUUCAUUGGAGGAUGAGGUUAUUAGGUUGAGAGCUGUGAAUCAGCAGCUGAUGAAGAGGUUGCAAGGUCAGGCUGCAUUGGAGGCCGAGAUUGCGAGGCUCAAGUGUUUGCUUGUGGAUAUUAGGGGGAGGAUUGAGGGAGAAAUUGGAUCUUUUCCGUAUCAGAAGCCAGUGAAUCCGGGUAUGCAGAAUCCGAACUAUAGCAGUGCUUAUGUGAUGAAUCCAUGUAACAUGCAGUGUGAUGAUCAGCUCUAUUGCCUUCAACGAGGGAACGAUGGAAAACGUGGAGAUGGGGUGGCAAUGAAUGGCCAAGGGUUUAGUGGUUGUGAAUUUGAGAAUCUUCAGUGUUUCACAAAUCAGGAUGGAGGAUCAAUGGGGCUUUCUGGAUGUGACCUUGGAAAUGUGAUGUUAGAAUCCAAUGGCAGUCAUUCUGGCACAAAGAAGAGGAAAGGUAAAAAUUAAAUGCCAUAACCUUGUAAGCUGUUUAAAUCUACACUUAUGACUACUUUGCAGUUAGUUAGUUGGCUAAAUUGAAUCCUUUGUCAGGUUUUGUGUUGCUUGUUCUAUUGUUUUAUAGUUUGCUUGUUAGCUUCAGUAUUUUGUCAUGCAUUGAUUGUAUGUUUCUUGGGAGCCCUACUUCUAGGUUUAAAGGAUUACUUUCAUUGAACCCUGAUGCAAUCAGUUUGCAGUGCAAGUUCAUUGUUCAUUUUGAGGCUUGUUUAAUUUUCUAUGCCUCUCUAGAUUUGAGACUUGGGUUAGUGGAAUACAAAUACUGAACAUGUAUAAUUUAACUAGCAUACCAACACACAAGUCUUUUUAACCCUGUGAAUCUUAUCAGAACAUGGCAAAGUUUAGUUACACCUUUUUAAUAAAUAUGGCUAAAACUAUUCUAGUUGGUUAUGGCCAAGUACUUUAUAGAGUGUCUGGAGUCUAUUAACUGCAAAAUCAGCUAUUCUAACUGUAUAGCAAGAUUUUCUCUUUGAAGAUUGAACUGUUUAGAGAGGUUGAGGAUGCGAUUGCACCAGUGUGAUCAGAGGAGCCUCUUUGGAGACUAGUGGAUUAUGAAAUAAUGCAGUAAGUGGAGACUUUUUAAACUAUAUAAACCUUAAAAUAUAUUAAGAUUGCACUCCUGUGAGCAUAGAUUAGUAAAGGUUAAGAGAGUUUUGAUGCAGGUCAGAAACUGGAACGUUCUGCCCUGCAGCAAGUUGGUAAAGGAUUUCCUAUAUGAUGAUGCCAGACAAUCUUGCUAUUGUAUGGGCUAGCAGUGUGUUUAUUCAGUAAUUGAGAAAAUGAAUUGUUUAACCCGUUCGAACUUUAAUCUAGUGAUGAGCCAAACAUGUUUCCAUUACUAAAUGUCUUUCUUUCAAGAUUAAAGGAAUGGACCUAAAUACUGCUUUAGGAAUUGUGCAGGCUUUGUACUUUCAAAAAUGUGACACUGAUUAUUCUGCUGUCUCUUUGGUUAGGAGGGGCACGCGCUGCUGCAGCGAAUUGAAGGAAUGGGAAAGUGGAGUCAUCAAGAGUACAUACGGUCUUGCAAUAAGUAGUUUAUCAAACUGCAACAUCAUCUUCCCCUCAGGUUGUUCUUUGUUAUAUGGUUAAGUUUUUCUCAUUGAACCAUUGUUGGGUUCUUUGAAAGGGUAUGAUUUACUUUUAUCAAGCUAAAAUUUGCUGGAAUCACUGGUACUUUAGUUUGUCUUUGGGUUGGAGAAUUAUAUAAGUAGAACUUAUGGCAGAACGCAACUUAACCGUUUUCUGUGAAGCUCAUAUUCCUUUUAUUCUCUUCUUCCGAGUUGUCAUGGAUGUAUACUUAUAUCAAUCAAAUUUGUUUUCCUUCAUUAAGUAGUUCUCCUUUUCUUUUUUUAGUUGACUCCAGCUUUUCCUUCUCUUUCUGAGCUACAUGAAUUCUUGAUUUCUUAAUUACAGAACAUAGAGAGGCUGGCAUGUGAUUUCUAUCAUGUUUCAGUGCUAGUGCAGUGAACAGGUGAGUCACAAAACUCACUGUGUGAAAGCUUUCUUAGUUUGUAGCUUCAUUCACCCACAAAAUGGUCACUGACUGGUGGAUAAAUUUCACAGUAUAGUUGCCCAUUACUGAUGCAUCUGGCCAUCGCAAAUGUCAAUGAGAGCCUCUUUCCAAAACCGGGAGUGAAAAAUGACUAUGCGAGGAAGAAGUAUAUAUGUAGGUUCAUUGCUUUUAGAUGCAUUAGAAAAUUGUGUAUAGUGAUUUUCAUAAAUGAGGGGUGCCUAUGGUUAUGGAGUCAUCAUGAAACUACUCCAAAAGUUGAUUUAUGAAAAAGCUUCCAUAGAAAUAUCAAUACGUCUUUUGUCUCCUGCCACUAAUAUAUCAGAAACUAGUAUAGCUUUCUUAGUUUCUUGUUUAUUAUACUCCCUUUUCUGGCCAAAAUAAACUAGAUCACUAGUAAUAUCAUCUGGGAAUCUCUAGCCUAUCUUUCUUCUUUUUGAUCUGAUUCUUUGAGCAUUCUUCUCUGAUAAUAGACAUGAAUUUUCUGCUCUAGCUUGCACAGGCACCAGUUUUCAGACGCUACACAUCUCGUAAACAAGUGAUGUAAUAGAUUAAAGGGUGAAUUCCUAUCCACCUCCAUAUGAGACUGCUUUUACAGAAUCACGAUGCCAUCUCUCAGUUUCCAUCCUGGAAUGAGUUGCUGGAUUCAACUUAGUUGUUAGCAAUUGUGAGAUGUAUUUUUGGAAAAUGAUUCACAGGGAUUCUCUCUCCACUGAGAUCAGAUCAACGUAGGUCCUCCUAGACAAGUUCUUCAUGAUUAUCUAGGCCUCGUGAAUAUUGUCUAUGGUUGUGUUCCUUGUGAGUUUCCGCUUUUGCUUGGGAUAUUGCCCUUUCCUGAAAGCAAAGGACAAACAUUUUGGUCCCCUCAUUUGGUGCCAACCAGCAGACUCAAAUAUCCGAUUACUCUUCGCAUGCUGAUUCCCAAAGGGAGCCAUACGAUUACAGAGUGCACAAAACUGAAAAUAUCAAACUUUUCAUCAAUAGCAACAAAACGGAGGAAGCAAAAAAAGGUUGCAUUCUUGUCCGAUAGCUCCGCCAUAUUCCGGUGACACAAAAGGAAGAGUGAAGUCCUAAGCACUGUGAAAGAUGGACUCUCAAAACCAUGAGCCAAGGGUAAUUCGGAAAAUCCAGAGCUCCUCGGAAUAUAUGGCUUCCUUUACAUCCAGAGUUUCUUGUUCUAUGUUUGUUGUCAAAAUGCUAUUACGCUGGAAUGUCUAUUUUGGAUGAAGACAUCUUUGAUGUUGAUCAGCCUCUAAUGCUAUUACGCUAGAAGUUUGAUAAUGACAACAAUCUUGGACCGGCGGACGCACACUAUAACUACUGGGGGCAAAAGCCCCCACUUGAUUAUGAUUUUUUUUAUAUCUUAUGGCUAAACUGAGGGACUUGGAUACAUCUCUACAAGGAGUUUUAACUAAUUUGCCCCUAUAUAUAGAGUUUUUAGUGUAAUACUGCAAUGAAAAUUGUCCCCGUAAAGAGAAAUCCUGCGUCCGUCAGGCUAUAUCUUCCAUGUCUAAGCGCAACAUUAGAGACUGACUCAAACAUACCUGACUGGCUGCCUCUCUCCCUCCAAGAUAUAGCCAACAGUGUACAAUUAAACAGUGCUAAGGAAGCUGAAAUACAGGUGUUACAAAUGAUCCAAGAUGGUGAGACAUCUGCAACAUUUAACAAGGGUGGAAUGGUUAGCUUUGUUGAGGAUCCUGAACAGUAUAAAACCUGUCGGAUGACUGAACAUAGGGUUUGAACAUAUUGUCUCAUCAAUACAACGGAUAAUGGCGCUUUGGAGGAAGCUGACUACUAUGAAUGAGAAAAUCUCUUGUGAUCCUAUGUACCUAGGAAAGGUUGGGACUUGGGAGAGGGGCAACGAUUUGAGUUUGAUGAUUUUGAUCCUGUUCUUCAGAGGUUGUGUAUGAAUCAAUCAUUUUCACCCUUCCUAUCAGCAUUGGCGAGUGGUUGGGACUAAGACGAUGGAACAUUUGAAUCUGUUUUCCAGCUCCUUACUGUGCAAAGAGGUGGGCAACAUUCUGUCAUUUCCUCCAAAAUCCUGUCUUGUUAUGAAACUAGUUUCGCCCAUAAUGAAACAAAAUGUGUUCAGGGUUAUCACUUAUCAGUACUCCAAAAUGGCUAAAUUGCAACCUGAUGUUUUACUGAUUCCGAUAGCCUAUAUGUAUGCAACUAUGCACAUAGAGGAUGAGAAGCGAAGGUCCGCACUCGGUUUAAAGUGCGGACGUCCCUCUGUUCUCCACCGUCCGGCGCGGGCGACCGCGCGCCUCCACCCCAGAAGACUCCAGCAACCUCCCCGACCACUUUCCCUCACCGGCGAGUCCGUUCGUUUCCAGUUUUCCGACGAGAUCGACUUUGUUUGAAGUUUUAGGUGAUCUCACCGGAAAACUGGAAAAGAAUGGACUCGCCAGAAAAGGAAAGUGGUCGGGGACGCUGGUGGAGUCUUCUGGGGUGGAGGCGUGCCGUCGCCGGCGCCGGAGGGUGGAGAACGGAUGGACGUCCGCACUUUAAGCCGAGUGCGGACGUCCGCUUCACAUCCGGCCUGCAACUAUGCAACAAAAGCUCAUUAUGAGCUUUAGUCUCCUGACUUUCAAAAACGAGCCUAAGGAUAUGAUUUUAAACGCAAGGUAAACGCAUGUAUAAAAAAAUUGAAAAAAGAAAAGAAAAGGUUGAACCUUUUGAAAUAUUAAGAUUGACAAUCUUUCUACUUGAACAUCCGUUUAGACAUUAAUGGACUUCCUACUUAUAAACCUACAUGGUUUUUCUUGGCAUGAUCAUCUCUAGAAGUUUUAAAACAGCUCUACCGAGAGCUUACAACUCAAAAGGAGUGAAGACAGCAACAACAAAACACAUAGGCUGAGAAUUUGAGACGUAUCAUCAUCACUUCAUCAGACAUCAGAAGCUUCCCCUUCUUGCACAUCAUCAUCGCCGUAAAUGCCAUCGGCCAUUUGCCAAACCUGGAGAGUAUUAUCUUCAGCUACACUUGAAAUGGUCCAUGGAACUUCUUUGUUCCAUGAGAAAUCUGAUAUCUUUGCUUUAUGACCGCCAUGUUGAAACAGAAGUUCUGGUGGCCCAUCAUCACUAUCUCCCUCCAGCUGCUCAUCCCCAAUCCUAAACACAUUGCACAUAUGAGUUAGGUGAGGUAAGUUGAGCAAAUGAAACACAGAUCAAAUAUGUAUAAGUGAAACAGAUCAGUGUUUCUCGCAGUAGUUCUGAUAUUGGAUAAGUACAUACCUGUUAAGGUCCCAAACUAUCAACCUUCUGUCACCGGCAUAUGAUGCCAACACAGCAUCAUGAUUAGGGUCCCAUUCAACCUGGAAUACCUCCUCUCUGCAAGGAACAAAUGAUAAGAAUGAGGGAUUUGGCAUUAUUCCCCAUGUUCUGCGGAUAGUUAUUGUUGAAAAAAUGGUUUGAAGUGCAGCACCAAAAAGUAAAUCUUUACAGGAUAGAGGGGGGCAUAAAUAGAAGUCAACAUAGUAUCUGUAGGCCAGCCAUGUGUAAUUAAUUUACUAAAGUUCUUGAAACUUAUAGUCUGUCUACAAAGGCUUUGAGUACCUUUCAGGAAUGUUUACUUCCCAAAUAAAUUAUCUAACAAAAGGCUGAUAAGAUAAUUCUCAACUGCUCGAUUAAGACAAUGGAAUUUAAACUUGUCUAUAACUAUUUAAAGGGUGGGACAGUGUGUGUGUACAGAUAAGUUUCUCAGGUAAAUGGCUGUAAAUUUUACUGACAUGUUAAACAACCAUGAAAUGGGAUAAUGAAAAGUAAAUUUGAGUAAGGCCUAAUUUGCAUUAUAAAUAUCAGACCUGGAAAGUGGAAUACCUCAUCAUCCGAAAUGUAUAUUUAGGUACUUUGAUCACAAAAUGGAUUGUAACCUUACACAUUUUGUCAUGAAGAUAUGUAUACUAGCAUAAAUGUGGGGAUGCUUUAAAUUUUGAUAUUAAAUUAAGAGACUUGAACUCUUAAACCACCACGAGGAGAGAGGUAAAUGAUAUUCAAAUAGUGUUCAAAAGCGAUAUUGAUUGCGUAAAUCUAGAUCAAGAAAGACACAGAAGGCAUUCAAAUAAUAAGCAGAGAAUGAUAAUAUGAACAAAUUUCAAGGGGAGCAGGGGCAUAAAGAGCAUACGUGUGGCCACUCAGAGCAUGCAAUGGUACAUUGAGCUUCCGCAUAUCAAACAGACCCACAGUAGUGUCUGAAGAUGCUGUAGUCAAGACCCACUCAUUACACGGAUGGAAAGAUAGAUAGUUUACCUAAGACCACCAAACAAAGAAGAGAGAAGAAGCAUGGUCAGUAACAAGAUCCUUCUAUAUGAGAGACAUGAUAAUGAAUAAUGAAGGGGGAGAGUUAUAGGGAACACCAUUGAAGCAUACUUGAAUAAGUACCAAAACCAGUCUCCAAUUUGUCCAAAUGUUCAGUUUGGACAUCCCAAGACAUUGCAAGUAAUAGUAAUAUGAUCAGUGAGAACCUCUAAACCAUUCCUGAACUAACUCUAGCUACUUAUGAACCUAAGCAUUCCUGAAAGGAACCAUCAAUAAUACUACUGGAGCAAUGUCAUCCCAACAAAUAAACUAGUAUAAAUGGUAAAAUCAACGUGAACUGAUAUGCAUUUUGUAUAUUCUCAAGCACAUGAAUUAAAAAAGGUGUAACUAGCAAGUGUGAAAUCCUACAAAGGAAAAUUAUAUAAAUGAUCUUGUUAAAAGUUGCUUCACCUCUUUCUCAUGAACUUUGACAGUUUGUUGGGCUCGAUUUGUUCUAAAGUCCCAUAUCAUCAAUUGGCAAUCAUCCCCAACAGACCCAAACAGAUUCUCAUCCCUCGAAUGCCAUGAUACAUCAUUAACCACACUUUCAUGACUCUGAAAACAUGCAUUAAUUGGCAUAGUCAAACCAUCAUAUCCCUCAUAACCAAAACAUGUACACAACAUAUCAAGACCUAUAAUAUAAGUCCUUAAAAUUACCUCAUAAACAUGCAUUGGAUGAAGCACCCUAUCUUGAGCCAAAGCAGACACAUCCCACAAGCAAAUCUUACAAUCAUUCGAACCACUCAAAAGGUAACCCUCCUUAAACGGGCUCCACGACAAGCCAUACCCUUCUUUAUCAUGACCCCUCAACCUCAAAUCCGGAUCACACUCACCAUCCUGAGACUUCAGCCCCUGCUUGGUACAAUCAAACACAUACACCUCGCUACCACUAGUCUUCGCCCCAACCAUAUUCGGCUUCUGCAGCAUGCAUCUCGCCCUAUUCACCUCCCCAUCGACACGAAUCUUCUGCGAAAUCUCAACCUACAACCGCAAAACACAUAAAUUCAAACACUUUUUCUCUUGGGCAUUUCAACAAACACUUGGUAGGCACAAAAUAAAUCUUCGUAAUUUCAAGAACAUAACCUAGAGAAUCAUCAGGUAAUUCUUCGAAUAAUUAACGAAAGCAUAGAUCAUCAGGUAAGUACCUUAGGGAGAGUGGGCUCGUCGGAGACGGCGUCGACGUUGGGCUGAGAAGCGGGGAGGAGGGCGUCGGCGACCAUGAGGUAGUUAGGGUAGUCAUCGGAGGUGUGGGUCCCGAGGAUGAGCUUGUGGACGGCGAGAGACGGAUCGGAGUAAGGCUGAGGGGCGGAGGGGACCCAGUGGACGGUGAGAGAGGGCCAUUCGAGAGGGUGAGAGAUGAUGAGGUCGUAGAGGAAAGGAGUGUUCUUCUUCCAGACGGCGUACUCUUCCUCCACGACGGCGGUGUCUUCCUGCUCGUGAUCGUCAGCCAUGGGUUGCGGCGGAUCUCCGGAGCUUCUUUUUUUGGCGCUGCUUUUCUGAUUUUCGCGCCAAAAUGUGGGGAGAGGGAGAGAGUGAAGGGUUGCGAGUGAGGCGCGAAGAAAGGGUUUAUAAAGGCGUGGAAGAGCACUUUGUGGGCUGUUUUAUGAUGUUGGUGAGUCGUAAUUAUAAGCACACUCGUCAAUUUGAUAAAUGCAACAUCGAACAAAAACUUGCAACAUUAGGGAUUCAAGGAACAUCCUUGUGAGCGGUGGACGGUUUACCUACGUGGUUAAAAAAAAAAAUCGAAAAACGUCUACUUGGUAAAGUUAUACUAUAGCAGACUGCUCACCUAUGGAUCUCUUUUUGAGGGACAAAAAAGGACGAAAGUGAGCAACCAUGUAUACUAUAGUAUUAUGGAGUAACGACUCAUGAGGCGCGUGUUAGUGUGGGAGGUUACUAGAACCUAGUUUGCUCACUAUUGCAUGGUAGCUGUUUUGGCCACGCUUUCCAGCCGGGGAAGUUAGUACGAUGUGCCGAGUCUAGGAACAAUUACUGGCGUGCUACCACGCAAACGCGGAAAGUUGUAGUCGUUUGUUGUUGUAGUGCGCUUCACCUAUUAAACGAAUGUAAAGUUUUGGUGUCACCUCGAAGACGAGGAUUUACAGUGGCUCUUUGCGCCACCAAUAUCGAUACUAGUGUUUGUUAUCGAGCAGGAGCAACCAAAUGAAAGUUAACAAGAACGCAAAGCUCCGAAAAGCUUGAAAAUGUAAAAGACAAAGACUCCAGGGAGCCUGGAAAAGCAAAAGGCAAAGCUCAGGAGAGCUUGGAAAGUAAAGGGUGCUAAGGCGAGAUGUUUUAGCAUCGGGCUGUUCGACUAGAUCGAGAGUUUAUAAGCUGUGUUUGUAUGAGAGAUUGUGUGUGUAGACUAUUCCUCGAACCCUCCUUAUAUUGUGGUAAGCUCGCAUAACUAUUAGAUAAGGAUGCAGUCUUCGCAUCCUAUAUGGUUUAUGCUACUUGAGUUGUACAAUGUCUCGUUUUACUUGAUAACCACACAUUCAGAUGACGCAGUUAUGACGGUGCAAGUAGAUUUCGUAUAGGUCACAGACUCACAGGUAUUGACCAUUCGCAUAUCAAAAGACUUUCUAGUCUUUGAUGAGGAGACAAACAUGAUCUCCUACUCGGAUUUGAUUUCGCGAGAUGCAACAGUCCAUACACGACUCUGCUUUCUCGCUUAUCCAUUGCUCACAAGGCAAAAGCCCAAAAAGGCUUAUAUUAAGGCCACAUGUAUUGGCCCAAAUGUUGCCCAAGACUUAAUAAUAAUUAGUCUCGGACGCAAUUUCUAAUUGGGCUCAAAUAUUGCCCCCUCGGCCCCGAGCUUAGGCCCAUUUCAUAUCAACCAAGCGAAGAGGCCUUAUUGCGUACGUUUCAUCAAUUUCAAAAUUCAAAAAAGGCUGACGUUUCGAGUCAUCGCUUCGUUCCGUCAUCAUGAUUGUUGAAACAAAAAGACACCUUUCUUAAUUCUUUUUAAAAGGGAAAGGAGCGAGGGUCCCAACUCAUCUUCAACCACAUUUCUCUUCUUUCCCUUUGCUCACAAUUACCAAAAAACUCUAUUCUCCUCGAAUCCAAAUGGCUCCCAAACUCGACAUCCGAGAUCCGAAUCUCACCCCCACGGCGAUCAUCGCGUGGAUAAAGAGAUUCACGAAUCUCUUUGCCAACAAUCCACCUCAGGAGGAUACCAUCCGGUUGUUCUGCAAUAGGAGUUCGAUAUGGAAGUCCGAUCCACGGCCAGAGAUGGAAGUCGGUGAAGUGGACUUCCAAUAGAGUCUAGUCUCUUUGCCAACAUCACUCUAUUGGACAUCCUUGCCAUUAUCGGCCUGCCCAUCCAUCUAAAGCCAUACGUUCCAAGGGACUUCUCGGCGACAUAUAUAGUUUACUCACACAAGCAAUGCUGACAUUUGACGGCCCCUCAAGACCUCAUUCCCGACUUGGAGGAACUACUAUAUCAACCAUGUUGACCACCACAAAAGUGGUAUUGCUUUCGUUGAGUAUUGACUUAAUAAAUUCAUCAUUUGUGGAAUGUUUAAACAGAUUUCCUUAUCUCGCAUAUAUUGCAUUAUUAUUUUAGUCAGAUUUAAGAGAGAGUUUCUUCUAGGGUUUCGAACAGAAUCAAAAUCUUUAUCGGGUUUGAAUCCGAGUUAAAUCGUCCUCCGGAUUUUUAUCUGAGUUGAUUUUAAAGUAUUCACUUUGUGUGUGUGCCUUAGUCUAACACUAGUUAAAAAAGAAAUUAUGAUUUCGUGUAGUGAUAGGUUACCAAGUUUGAAUAAGAUAUAUUUAGGGUUAUGAAAUCCACACGCCCUUUUUUCUUUUUUGAUUAACACAUGAGAAAUUUUAAAUACACACCCCUAAUAUCUUAAUACACACUCCUUGCUUAAUACACCACCUAUCAAGUUUUUUAUUUCAGUAUUAUACUUAAUACACAUUCUAAACUGCCUAAAAUGCCAUUAAUUCAUGAAAUAUUCCAUUUAUUUAAUAUAAUUAAUAUAUAUUUACUGUUUUGUACCUCUUUUUAUAUAUUAUUUUGUCUAAUUUUUGCUAGAAAUUUUUGGUUAUCAUCAUUCAAUUGAUAAUCAAAUGAUUAUUGUUAUAUCCCAACUCCAAAUCACCAAUAUAAGUUUUAAAAAUUCACAAGCUAGUAGAACUGUAGAAGUACAGUAGAUAUUAAACAUAGCUAGUUAAUUAUUCGAUAAAACAUGUCAUGAUAAAGAUGCAGUACAUGACAAUAUGAUCUGCAAGAUCAAACUAAAGCUGAUACAGAAAANNNNNNNNNNNNNNNNNNNNAANAACCCAAAUGAAUUGUGGAGAAGAGUUGGAUUUAGGAGAGAAGACGUGCUUUCGACGAUUUUAGGGUAGAAGAUUGAAAAGAAUACUUCUAGCGCAAUUUUUUUUUUUUUAAUUAAUAGAUCGAUGUAUGUUUUGGUCAUUUAGCUUACCUAUAAAAUCUCAAUAAAACAUAAAACAAUAAAGGUGUGUAUUAAGAGAUUAGGAGUGUGUAUUUAAAAUUUCUCUUAACACAUUCAUAAAAAAUAAAAUUUAAGUUACUAAAUAAAGAAAGAAAUUGUGUGAAAUUUAAUUUAGAGCGUAUGGAUUUCACGAUCCAUAAUGUGUCGUAAUUCUCUCGGAAUCAAAAAUGGUGACAGAGACAUAACCGUGGGUUAGGGGACCCAAUUCUCAAAAAUAAAAAAGACCCAAAUAAUAAGAGGGGAAGCCUCAUCUCGAACCUUCAUAUAUACUUCCAGGAUUCGAGAGAGAGAGAGAGAGAGAGAGAGAGAGAGAGAGAGAGAGAGAGCUUCUUUCUAGGGUUUCGAAAGGGAAAUGGAUAUCCACGGCCAGAGAUGGAAGUCGGCGGACGAUAUGCAGGUGGUGCUGUACCGUCGAUCACUGGCAUCACGCUUUUCUUUUCACAAAAAAGGUCCGUCUUCGGAUCCAACAAGCUCUUUGCCGAUUGCAAUAAGAACACAAGGAGCAACGGCGCUGCUGAGUAACCCGCCGUUGAACAAAGAUGGCGUGCUUUCAUAUACCUCCAUGUCUCUCGCUUUUUUACACUAUCGAGGUACGUACGUACACAGCUUUCUGGCUUAUCUUCAAUUGUUAGUGUUUUUUCCUUUUCUUUUCGAAGAAGUUGAUUAUGAUUUGUGUACAGAAAAGGAGUUAAAGCAUGAAUGGCCCCUGGUGGAGUCGGCCUUCCAAGAGCAUGGCAUGUCAUGCAAACUCAAUCUGGUAAGCCACCACUGAUGAGCAUAUCAUUGUUUCUGGGUAGUUUAUAUUUCGAUUCUGUUUUUAAUGAGCUAUAUAUGUUCAGGAUGAGGGUACCCUAACAGUCGCAACAACCCCAAAGACCAGGGCUGCAGAUAUCAUCAACAAGGCUAGGGACCUCCUUGUUCUUUUGGCUUUGCUUCCUGUUCCACCAUCAGCGGUACACCUCUUGUCUCUAGACACAAUUACAGGCUCACAUCCACGCAUCUGUAGUCUAUACUAUACCAUUUCUGAUUUGACUGCACAUUAAUAUGUUCAUUCAGGCCGUCGACAUACUGAGUGGCAAGCGGCUUUAUGACAUCAUCUGGACUUGCGAUUCUAAUGGUGGUCUUGCCUCUCAACUUCCCUUGCCGAGUCGGGUACGUCUCUCUAUCUAUCAUUUUUUUGAGCAUUCUGCAUCUCUCUAGCUAGCUAGGUGUUUUGAGGUUAACUUCUAUUUGAGUACCAUCUCUUGCAAAGUGAGACCACAGACCUCUUUAUUAUUAUUGUUAUUAUUAUUGGGUUUGCGCACUUCUAAUCUCAUACUUUGUUUGCAUGCUCAGAUGCGUUAUUUUUCACGGAUGAGAAAGCUUCGCCGCAGCAUCAAGGUGAGUGAAUCUAUCUACAUUAUGUUUCUCUGUUCACAAGAUUCAUUACUUUCACAAUCCUCACAUUGUAAUUGCGAUGCAGGACCUUAUGUGUCUAACUGGUUGCCCCAUCUUCUAUAAUGUAAGCUUUACUUUUCCUUUACUGACUGUGGUCGGUGUUUAGUUCUUUUCUUUCUUCUGGUGACCUCCACAUUAAAUCUGCUUUUUCCUGUUAUUCAGCUGGGAAUUUGUGUCGUUGUCUUUGGCCAUCAACCUCGAUCAUUAGUGCUGGUCAGGAACGUUGUGUCAUCCUGCAUUUUUUACAAUCAAGAUCCUGCAACUAUUAUCAGAUUGAUAACCUUGGGUCGUCAAAGGAACGCACAGUCGACAGUCAAUCUUGAGAUGGACGCUUAUGGUGAGUUUCCCUACUUGUCAUUUGUUCUCCAUAAUUGAUCAAUGGUUGGAAUUUCUCAUUGGAGAUGGAGUUGUGAGUUGGAGCGCUGCCAUUCUUACUUGAGGAUGCCUUCUCUAAUGUACCUUUUUUUUCUUUCUCGAAACAAUUUUCUGAAACUAACCAAGUUCCCUGGGCGUAAUCCCCCCUUUUGAUUAUUUCUCUGUGGUUUGCUAGGGUUUGAAACUGCUCCCGGAGCAGAUAUUACAUUCUGUAUUGCCGACUACAUGUCCAAGGCACCAGUACUUGAAUACCAAAAGUUGGAGCGUGUGAGGAAGAAGUAUCUAUUUGGCCCUUCGGUGAACAAAGAUGGAAUGUUUGUGUGUGGUUCAUACUUCCUUAAAAAGCGAGGUAGCGUCCUCUCUUUCUCUCUGUUUUUUUUCCUGAUCUGAUCCGAUCUGUUUAUGUUUUUUUGGUAGUUAAUUAUUUACUUAAAAAAUAUACGGGGAAAUCUUUCAUUUUAUUUUUUUCCCAGUUGAAACUUAUGAUUAUGAUAACUCAACACAAACCCUAUAUGUUAAACAAUUGGUAAGUUAUUUCUCUCUAAUGGUGUGGAGGAGGCUGCAAGAUACAGAAGUUAAGAAAAUUUUAUCCAACUCUAACAAUGACAUUCUGAUAUGUGAUCAUUUAUAUUUGAUGCAAGAAUAAUUCAUGAUUCCACUGUCCUGAACUGUUUCAAAUUUUAUAGGGUACUGCAUUUACUCUUUUUGAAAUAGUUGUUAUAUAAGACUGCAUUAUUUUCCACAGAACGAGAUGUUGUAGAAGCUUGGCCAAUGUUAAAAUCGGUUUUAGAAGAGUGUGGCAUUACUUGCACGAUGUAUCAGGUAUGCCCACAAUGCAUGAGAACUAUUAUGUUUGAUUAUUUUAAUAUGGAAUAGAAAUCCGAUGUAUUGAUCAGUGAUUUAUAUUGAUGCACAAAUGAUUGUGGUUUUGAAAUUUUGUUCAGGCUGAGCAUUUCAUGACAUUGUCCACAACCAGUUUGACUAAGGAUCCAGAGUUUAUUAUUCACAAGGCCAGGGAUGCUCUUGAACUUCUGUCGUUAACUUGUGUUCCACCAUCAAUGGUACAAAACGACCAACCCUAAGUUACUGUAAACUCCUUUAUUAAUAGCCAAUAGCCUGUUCUCUGAGUUCUAAAGAUUUGAUGUUCAAUCUAAGCUAUAGUUCGGUGUCUGAUUUAAGUCAAUGGCAUGUAAAUAAAUUUCACCUUAUUGGUAAAUAAUCUCAUUUCAUGGCAUCCUGUCAUUAUUUAAACUGUCUUUGAUUGCAGGUAACGAAAGUAUUGAAUGGCGAUCUGCAUUUUGACAUCAUCAAGACUGGGUAUUUUAAUGGCGGUUUUCUCUCCCAACAUAAGAUUGACAAGGUGGGUGGAUGGUGUAUCAUAAUUUCGUCGCAUUUUUCGUUUUAUCUGACUGUUUACUACUUUUUUAAAUGUAAAUGGUUGAAGAGAGGUAGACUUGGCCAAAUUGCGGACCAAGUUGCAACCACAUGACUGUAAGGAGCAAAUUCUAACUUAAGCUAGCAUAGGAUGCGAUGACUGUAAGGUGUAAAUCCUAUUAGGAUUUAGUUGUAAGGAUAUACGGUAUGAGGUUAUUGUUAAACAGGAUUUAAUCUACUAAAAGAUUUGAAUGUGUUCCUUAAGUUGGGAGUUGGUCACUCCGUAAAGAGUUGCCGGCUGUUCUAAUCUCUAGUGUUUGUGUGCAGAAGCUAUUUUCGAAGCGGCGUAGAGUUCUUGCGCCUUACUUAAAGGUGCAUAAAGUGAUCUACAUUUCGUUUUACUUGUAUUUUUAUGAGUAAGCUACUUGCAAGCUUUGUGUUCCUUCUGCUAACAUGAAAAAUGGGAUGCAGGAACUUGCACAGCUAUCGGGUUGCAAGAUAUAUGCUGAUGUAAGUGCUACCUCUCCUUUCAAAUGUGGAAACAUAACAGCCUUUGAUGGAUUAGGAACUCUAGUAGUGAUUUCUAAUUUACAUGUAAAUGAACAGGGAUGGGCUAUUACUGCUAUGGGAGGUGAACAUCGAGGACUGAAGGUUAUCAGGAAGGGUGUGACACGCUGCCUUGUUGACAAUUGGAGACCUAGUAGUAUGAUUCGGUAUGUGAAGUUGAGUCUUGAUAGGAGGAAGAUGAAGGUGAAAGGGGAAUCUUGCAUGAACAUGGUGAUUUAAGUGGAAAAUAUGGACUUUGGUUUGGUACUUGCAGUGAAUUCGGCUAUUAGCUAUUGUGUAAAGUAAGUCGUAGUAGUAAUGUUUUUUAGGAAAUCGAAAAUGUGAAGAUUUGUUAUUAUAAUGUGUUUUAGGAUACUUCGUUUCCUUAUAUUUAUAGGCUUACGGGAUAUAUAAUACAACAACUAAUUUUCUGUUAGGCAAUACUUAGUAUCACACCCAAUCUUAUUGUAGAGAAAAUAUGAGUUUGAUUUCUCAUAAUGUAGAGAACUAGAGCCCUAGAGGCAAAUGUUUUAGCAGGUAAUACACGAAUUCAAUUUCAUCAUGUAAUAAAAUGAAUUCCAUUCUCCAGGCUGCAUAUUGUAGCUUAAGGAAAAGAGAGCAGACCACACAACCUUUAGUUGAUUCUCUCAUGCCCAAGCUACCAUUGCUUAACAUUUGUGACUUGGUCUCCAAACUUAAAUCCCAAGAAUUCGAUAGGUAUUCAAUUUUUGUGUUUUCUAAUCUUGUUGUCACAAUAUUAGAAUUUAUAGAUUGCGUGAUAUUUUGUGAAGCAUAUAAUUAGGUUUGUUUUAUCAUCACACUCUUGACUAUAAACUCUUGUUUUAUCAUCACACUCUUGACUAUAAACACUGAGUUGCACCACUAGAAUACAAUGUGUCAUCUGCCUUCCUUGUUCAAUUCAACCCUUGCUGAUAACCACUAUAACGGCAAAUGGAACACACUACAUCACUGGUUGUUUUCAAAUAACUCGUUACGUGCUUCUUUUCUCCUUCUAUUUUCGUAACAAAGUAAAUUAUGGGUUCAAGUGCAUAAUAUCCUUUACUUUCUUUAGGUGCUAGUGCAAAGUAACCUUUGGAACCUCUGAAUCCGAACUUUAAAAAGAACAUAAAACUCGAAUAUAUCUUUCAAAAUCUUCAUGUUCGAGCUUAUGAGACGUGCGACAUUGUAUAAGUCCAUAACAUCUAUUCAUAUUUCAUUAUCUACGCUCCGAUUAUCGAUUUAUCGUCACUUUUGUAUCUCAUUUUAAGCCAAGACACAUAUAACUACAUGUUGGGUAACACAUUCACUAACACUCAACAAGUAAAACAACCAGAUAAUCCACUAUGGAAAUUUCCAUUUACAAACCAAAGGGCAAACUAGCCCCAUUUCAUAUUAGAUUUCUUUUCUUGAUUAUCAUCACCAACCCUAAAAUAAAAAUAAAGGAAACAAAUCUGAAAAAUGUGCAUCACACAAAUUACAGCAACAAGAAACUAAAAUAAAAACACAUCACAAUCCUAGCUUGCGACAAGUCACAUGACGGUGCAGGCAGCUGGGUUUUCAUCACUGAAAGCGGUGGUGUACCUCACUUCCGUGGAGCUCGCACGUGCCAACCCCCCGGACAUCUGUUGGUCACUUCGCACGUAACCCGCCGGAGCCUUCUUGUCGUAUACACCCUGUGCGUAUGGGUGGUCAACGACGUCGUAAGGCACAUACGGCCAGAUCUCCACCUUCUUCCCCGUCCGAUGCGCGACGCGUGCCAACACCUUCUUCGGCUCCACGUAUCCGACCACCGUCAGCUUGCUCGCUUUCCGGUCUAUGUCGACUUGUGUCACGCCCUUCAUUCCCUCCACUGACCUCCUCACCUUCCUCUCGCAACCUUCGCAGUCCAUCUUCACCUUAAUCUCCACCGUCUGGUUCAAAAUCAAACAAACAAACAAGUUUACGUUAGCGGCAAUGUACACGUGGCGUAUUCUCAGCGGCUGUUACUGGGUAUAUCCAGCUCUAAAGAAGAAGAAAAAGCAGCAGAAGAACAACAGGGACAGGUUGCCUUUCUUUUUUACAAUCAUUCUCUUCAACUUUUGGACUUGUCAUUAUUCAAAAAACAAGAUUCUUUUUCUUUUUCUACAAGAACAUGGAUCUAACAAUAAAAGAUUUGAUCAUAGAAGAAGGACUAAAUUGCUAAUUGCUUGAGAUCUACUGGGUUAUGAGCACUACUAGCUGUUUGAGAUUUUAGAGCUCAAAAACACAAACAAAGUAUUGAACUUUGAGGGCUCAAGUAAAUACCUGGAAAUUCUUUCGCUUCUUGUGAUGACUCCCACUGGAGCAAUCAAAUAGAUGAGAGAAAUGAUCUAGAGCACCCAUCUUCUCCUUUGAUGUGACAAAGAUUCAGAACCAGGGGGAAUAGCAAUACCCAACAAUUUAUAGAACAGAACUUGGAAGCUUUUUUGUAACUCAGAUUUGCAGAGAGAGAGAGAGUUAAACUAAUUGGAGGAGUAUGGAGAGCUGGGACAUAUGAGUCAGUUGGUAGCUCCAUUUUUAUAAGCAAAAGAAAAAUAUCUCUGGGAUUUUUCAUUUUCUUUCUUUAUUAGAAUAAUAAGGCCAUGUCCAUCAGGAAGAUCUGGGACGUCAGUGGUCAGUGACUCGACUAAAAUAGGGUUUAUCGUUCUGGGUUAGCGACACGUGUCCCUUUAGAACAGUGUCUGAUAGGAUCCAACGGGAGACACAGCGUGUGAAACGGUACGAGGCUAUCCAUGCACCGACCGUAUGGGGGCCUUAUGGAUUUUGGCGCCACAUCGAAAUUGAGUCGCACGCGCCUGACGGGAAGUCCGAGAUGGGAGUGGGAAUGGGGGACGGGGCCGGAGGGUAAACCAUACCUUUAGAAAUGGGGCCGGCGAGGUAGAGGGCGGUUAAAUGUGUGGUGGGGUCGUGGUGAGAUUGAUGGGUGAGGCCACGGCAUGGGUGGCGCGUGUAAACGCGUCAUCUGUACAGUGUUGUCAUGAUGGGGCAUCUUCGGUGGGCAUAUGCGAGACCAGUGUUUUGGGCUCAAACUCGAAAAGAGUGGUCCGACACUCCAACGAGGGUUUCAUCUUUCAAGUUAAAAAGAAAAUCUUACUUCGCAGUUACUUACAUUUACACUUACGAGGUAAAAAUUAUCGAACAUGUAUUUAUAAGCUAACAAUGCGAGUUGAUUAGGAGCCGCUAUUGAAGCAGGUUACAAACAAAUUCUUCUUGAAAAUGAUUUCAAGACCCUAAUCAGCUGCAUUAGCAACACUUCCAAUCCUCCUCCCGCUGCCCAUUUUCUUGAAAAAUCAAGACUAGCUUAAAGAACAUCCAGUCACAAUUGCUAGCUUUGAUGUCAUACGACUCAUAUCCUCCGAGCAUUUUGUUAGAGAUCGAACACAGGUGUGGUGGAUGCUCAAACUAACUUGGAACAUGAGUUCAUUGAAACUAGUUUAUGGGUUGGUAUGAUUUUGCACAAGGCCUUCUCUGUCUAUAUAUAAGCUGUAUAAACUAAAGAUUGGUUGUAGCAGAUGCUCUUUUUUGUAACUUCGUUCAUAGAAGCAAUAAAAAAAAAAUACAAGUUGAUGAUAAAUGUCGUGCAUAAACAAGGGUUUGAAGUUCACAAAGGAGAAGACAUGAAACGUUGUAGUUAUUACGAUCAACGAUAUAACUAGAUAUCAAAUGACAUGUAAUAUAUAUGAAAUGAUGAGAUAGAUGAAUGAGGAGCGAGCUCGUUCUUCCUCUUGUUCUUUAUAUGUUGGCUAUGUUUCUCAAUUUUUGAGUACGUACGUACGUUCUCCGUUUCCAUUCUAAUUGUAUUGAAAUAUAUUGAAGAUAGGUUGCUGGAGUGUGCAUCAGUGCAUACAUGUACAUCCAGGCCGGGGGCUCUUUCAACCCGGCCAUGCCAGUAUUGCAUUAUUCGACUGAUCGAGCAGGCAGGCAUGCAUAUUGAUAUUAGUAUCAUGAAAAUCGCUUUUCAAAUAAAGACGUUGUCUCAGUGCAAGGCAAGCAUCUAGUAUAGAUUUUGAAAUACUUAGUAGCUAAGUCUUGGAUUAUUAAUGUGAAAGGUAUGACUUCAAAUCCAAUCUAAUGUAGGAAUUAACGUACAUUGUUAUAUGUUUUCAAGAUCUUGGCUCUCUUAGCCUCUCUACAAGUGUGUCUGUGGAAUAGCUUCACACAUAUAUAUAGAUCGCAUUCUGGCAGAUCAAAUUAGCUAGAAUAUUAUGCAUGAACUUUAGAUCGAGUUGGUUUCAUACUAUAAAGUGAUCCGUAUAUAUAACUAGUAUAUCUUCUUAACUUGUUUUUAUUAAUCUCUGCAUGCGUGUGCACCCAUAUAUAUAUGCACGCAAAGGCGACAAUCAAAAUCAUUUGCAUGUACUAAUCGAUCCAUCUUUAUGAUUUUGAAAACCAGAUCUCUGCAGGGGCUCUGGCAGGCAUGCAUGUUUCGUUGACAGAGAGAUACAUAUGUUAUUGCUUCGAAUUAUACACACUUCUAGCCAGUACUGUUUCAAUAUGUUAUUGCUGGGAACUUUACAAGUUAAAAUGUAUAAAACCAGAGACAGUAGGUACCGAUCGAUCUUCUAGUUAUGGCAAAUGUUGUUUGAAAUCAAGUAUGGGCCGGUAACAUGGUUUCUAUUAUGGCAAAUGUUGGAGAUCGAUGCCUUGACGUCUAGGCAACAUGGUUUUCGAUCAUAAUGGAAAACGGUGGAAAUGCCUUGACGUCUGGAUCUCUAUGCAUGCAUAUUAAUUUGAUUUAACAAAGCACCUAAACGGCUAAACCCUGAACCUAAUUCGAACCUGUAUAAUAUGGAUGAUCAAGAUCUAGUUAGAACUUAGAACCCGGCCUACGCAGAUUAUAAAUAGAUGCGAUGGGCACGUAGGCCCGUUUCAGAUGCUAUUUCUUGUCGAUCAUCUUGCACCUUUCUUCAACCCCUGCAUAUAAUGUACGUAUAGCAACGGCGAACAGUACGUUAAUAGUUAUUAACAUUUGAGAAUUAGAUAUAUAGGGCCCAUGCUAAGUUCUCUGCUUAAUAGUUAUUACAUGCACCACCAGACUCCUACUUUUAAUUUUUUGAGACUUUUAACUGUAAUUUACCCUUCCAAUUCAAGCUAGAGAACCACCAAAUAAUGACUCAUUUCACUGGUAAUGCCUAUUAUUUGCAACAUGAAUCUCAUCAUAUCAGCUAGAGGAGGCCAACUGAUCUUAUUUGUCAAUGCAUGUGUUUGAUGAAUAAGGAGACACUUGGUUACUCUUUGUGCAAGUUCUCUGUGUAAUUGGGAGUGGAAGGGAUUCUAUGUGACUAUAUAUAUUUCAGAAUUCUCUUAGGUACCUACCAAUCUAUUUGUGAUAUCUAUAUUUAUUGAUAUAAUAACAAAUUUAUUGUCAUUUUAGUAAAUAUAUUUAUUACUUAGAUUAUUUUUAUUCUAUUAUAGAAAUAAUUACUCAACUUACGACAAUGUAUAAGUUUAUAAAUAAAUUAUUAUAGUUAUACUAGUUUAGUUCAAAAAUAUGUAAAACAAAUAUAAUAAUUUUAUUAUUGUUAUAUUAAUUUGAUUUAAUUGUAUGUAAAUAUAUAAAACAAAUGUAAUAAUAGAAAACCAUAUACCCCAUACAGAGGUCGAAUAGGUCAGAAGUGAAGGAAUGCAAUCAAUGGAGCAAUUCAAUAGGAAAGGAAGAGCAGGGUUAACUGAGAAGUCAGAAUUCACAUCAAGUUAGAAAUCAAGCAUGCACGACAGUGAGACGUGUUGAAAAGCAAAGCUGGAAAAAUUGAUUGAUGAUACAUUUCGUACGUACUUGCUGCUAUUAAAGCAAAAGUAAAAGCUUGUUGAUUCGGUCAUGAGCACGAAAACAAAACGCAUGAUCGAUGCAGUCAACUAUGGAUGGAUGGUGCACCCAAAUCAAAGCAUCUGGGAAUUCGGAUAGAACCCUUACGACCUAGCUACUACUGGAAACUAGUUCGCAUGGUUGAGCUUCGUUGCAGCAACCAUGGAAAAAGGAUGAGAAAUCUUAACGCACAGGAUGACCAGGACCAGAACCGUUUUCAAGUUUUGAAGUUUUGAAUUUUUGAAUUCUGAAGAGCUAGGGGAUGGAGGUGCAGCAUGGGUUGGAACUAGUAAAGGAGCUUUCAAUUCACAUGAGUAGCGUGUAUGGAUCAGUGGGCAGGUUUCCAUAAUAGCACUGGCAUGGAAACAAAGCAACCUGGAGAGCUGACAUACACGUAUGGAGAUGAGAUCACACUAUUCUAUAUAUCUAUGAACUGUUUCCUGCUGUUUAUGAGGGGAGCAACAUGCAAGCAAGUAAGUUGCAACUGCGCGCAUGAUCUUCCAUAUUGGGAACAAUGCACCUCUUCGCAAACAGACAUAUCCAAAUACAUUACGUAAUAUUGAUUUUGUUAGUUUACUCUGGUCAGUAAUCAGCAGAGAGGUGGUCAAAGUCUGUGCGUGUGAAACUGAAACGCAAUAUAUCAACGGAAACAAAGAGAUCGAGUCGUUGAGGUGAAGAAGAAGAAGAACGAGAGAGUCGAAUGAGCAAACUAGCCAAACGCCAUCACGUUCGUUUAGGUUUCAUUAAAUUUUGGGUAACAGUUCCGGAUUGGUAUUGUGAUCCGACGAGAGGAAUUAUUCAGUUCAUAAAACGUCGGCCAUUCUAAUAUUUUUGUCUUUGUUUCAGUUUCUUUCACUAACUAAACAGUGGUCUCCUCAACAGUCAACACACUGAUGCUAGACUGCAAGUAUACCUUGGCGUGUCUAUUCCGCUCUAUUUUUUUUUUUUAAUACAAAGGUUAAACGACGGUUUUCACGUUAUAACUAUUAAUAGAAUCUCAGCAUACAAAUAGAAUCUCAGCAUACAAGAAGUGAAAUUAUGUAUAAACUCCAUACUAGUAAUCCGUUCUAUCUUUUUUCACUUAUAAUUAUUUUUCAGUUUCUUGUUACUUAGCACAAACAUAUCUGAAGCACCUCUAGAAAAUAGAGUUUCUUGGCUGUAACCCAAGUACUACCAUUGCACUAUCAUAUCAUUUCGUCUUCAAUAACGUACAUUGGACCUAGCUAGCUCCAAAUGUCUUGAUAAUGACUAUAUAAUACGCGUUGAACUAUAAAAAAUGGACUUGAAAGUUGAAAAUAGAUUAUUCAUUAUCUCUAUCUCGAUAUGUAUAUUAUUGAUGGAAAAUGUUUCUAGGCCUUAAUAAGGCCUAAGAUUUAUGGCCUUAAUCCUAAGUGACAUGUCAAAUCACCUAUCCACAUCAUCAAAUAAAAAAAUCAUGCUAUGUCAUUUUUAGGUAAAAAUACAAUCUUAUCCUUUUAUAUCCAAUGACUCUAGAUUAUUUUGUCAUAUCCAAUGACUUUAGAUUAUUUUGUUUUUAUUCUAGGGCCAAUGAUAAAAUAGUACUUUUAGAAGUAAGAAAUGAUAAAAUUGUUAACAAAUGUUCAUUGAUGAUAAAACAAUNNNNNNNNNNNNNNNNNNNNNNNNNNNNNNNNNNNNNNNNNNNNNNNNNNNNNNNNNNNNNNNNNNNNNNNNNNNNNNNNNNNNNNNNNNNNNNNNNNNNNNNNNNNNNNNNNNNNNNNNNNNNNNNNNNNNNNNNNNNNNNNNNNNNNNNNNNNNNNNNNNNNNNNNNNNNNNNNNNNNNNNNNNNNNNNNNNNNNNNNNNNNNNNNNNNNNNNNNNNNNNNNNNNNNNNNNNNNNNNNNNNNNNNNNNNNNNNNNNNNNNNNNNNNNNNNNNNNNNNNNNNNNNNNNNNNNNNNNNNNNNNNNNNNNNNNNNNNNNNNNNNNNNNNNNNNNNNNNNNNNNNNNNNNNNNNNNNNNNNNNNNNNNNNNNNNNNNNNNNNNNNNNNNNNNNNNNNNNNNNNNNNNNNNNNNNNNNNNNNNNNNNNNNNNNNNNNNNNNNNNNNNNNNNNNNNNNNNNNNNNNNNNNNNNNNNNNNNNNNNNNNNNNNNNNNNNNNNNNNNNNNNNNNNNNNNNNNNNNNNNNNNNNNNNNNNNNNNNNNNNNNNNNNNNNNNNNNNNNNNNNNNNNNNNNNNNNNNNNNNNNNNNNNNNNNNNNNNNNNNNNNNNNNNNNNNNNNNNNNNNNNNNNNNNNNNNNNNNNNNNNNNNNNNNNNNNNNNNNNNNNNNNNNNNNNNNNNNNNNNNNNNNNNNNNNNNNNNNNNNNNNNNNNNNNNNNNNNNNNNNNNNNNNNNNNNNNNNNNNNNNNNNNNNNNNNNNNNNNNNNNNNNNNNNNNNNNNNNNNNNNNNNNNNNNNNNNNNNNNNNNNNNNNNNNNNNNNNNNNNNNNNNNNNNNNNNNNNNNNNNNNNNNNNNNNNNNNNNNNNNNNNNNNNNNNNNNNNNNNNNNNNNNNNNNNNNNNNNNNNNNNNNNNNNNNNNNNNNNNNNNNNNNNNNNNNNNNNNNNNNNNNNNNNNNNNNNNNNNNNNNNNNNNNNNNNNNNNNNNNNNNNNNNNNNNNNNNNNNNNNNNNNNNNNNNNNNNNNNNNNNNNNNNNNNNNNNNNNNNNNNNNNNNNNNNNNNNNNNNNNNNNNNNNNNNNNNNNNNNNNNNNNNNNNNNNNNNNNNNNNNNNNNNNNNNNNNNNNNNNNNNNNNNNNNNNNNNNNNNNNNNNNNNNNNNNNNNNNNNNNNNNNNNNNNNNNNNNNNNNNNNNNNNNNNNNNNNNNNNNNNNNNNNNNNNNNNNNNNNNNNNNNNNNNNNNNNNNNNNNNNNNNNNNNNNNNNNNNNNNNNNNNNNNNNNNNNNNNNNNNNNNNNNNNNNNNNNNNNNNNNNNNNNNNNNNNNNNNNNNNNNNNNNNNNNNNNNNNNNNNNNNNNNNNNNNNNNNNNNNNNNNNNNNNNNNNNNNNNNNNNNNNNNNNNNNNNNNNNNNNNNNNNNNNNNNNNNNNNNNNNNNNNNNNNNNNNNNNNNNNNNNNNNNNNNNNNNNNNNNNNNNNNNNNNNNNNNNNNNNNNNNNNNNNNNNNNNNNNNNNNNNNNNNNNNNNNNNNNNNNNNNNNNNNNNNNNNNNNNNNNNNNNNNNNNNNNNNNNNNNNNNNNNNNNNNNNNNNNNNNNNNNNNNNNNNNNNNNNNNNNNNNNNNNNNNNNNNNNNNNNNNNNNNNNNNNNNNNNNNNNNNNNNNNNNNNNNNNNNNNNNNNNNNNNNNNNNNNNNNNNNNNNNNNNNNNNNNNNNNNNNNNNNNNNNNNNNNNNNNNNNNNNNNNNNNNNNNNNNNNNNNNNNNNNNNNNNNNNNNNNNNNNNNNNNNNNNNNNNNNNNNNNNNNNNNNNNNNNNNNNNNNNNNNNNNNNNNNNNNNNNNNNNNNNNNNNNNNNNNNNNNNNNNNNNNNNNNNNNNNNNNNNNNNNNNNNNNNNNNNNNNNNNNNNNNNNNNNNNNNNNNNNNNNNNNNNNNNNNNNNNNNNNNNNNNNNNNNNNNNNNNNNNNNNNNNNNNNNNNNNNNNNNNNNNNNNNNNNNNNNNNNNNNNNNNNNNNNNNNNNNNNNNNNNNNNNNNNNNNNNNNNNNNNNNNNNNNNNNNNNNNNNNNNNNNNNNNNNNNNNNNNNNNNNNNNNNNNNNNNNNNNNNNNNNNNNNNNNNNNNNNNNNNNNNNNNNNNNNNNNNNNNNNNNNNNNNNNNNNNNNNNNNNNNNNNNNNNNNNNNNNNNNNNNNNNNNNNNNNNNNNNNNNNNNNNNNNNNNNNNNNNNNNNNNNNNNNNNNNNNNNNNNNNNNNNNNNNNNNNNNNNNNNNNNNNNNNNNNNNNNNNNNNNNNNNNNNNNNNNNNNNNNNNNNNNNNNNNNNNNNNNNNNNNNNNNNNNNNNNNNNNNNNNNNNNNNNNNNNNNNNNNNNNNNNNNNNNNNNNNNNNNNNNNNNNNNNNNNNNNNNNNNNNNNNNNNNNNNNNNNNNNNNNNNNNNNNNNNNNNNNNNNNNNNNNNNNNNNNNNNNNNNNNNNNNNNNNNNNNNNNNNNNNNNNNNNNNNNNNNNNNNNNNNNNNNNNNNNNNNNNNNNNNNNNNNNNNNNNNNNNNNNNNNNNNNNNNNNNNNNNNNNNNNNNNNNNNNNNNNNNNNNNNNNNNNNNNNNNNNNNNNNNNNNNNNNNNNNNNNNNNNNNNNNNNNNNNNNNNNNNNNNNNNNNNNNNNNNNNNNNNNNNNNNNNNNNNNNNNNNNNNNNNNNNNNNNNNNNNNNNNNNNNNNNNNNNNNNNNNNNNNNNNNNNNNNNNNNNNNNNNNNNNNNNNNNNNNNNNNNNNNNNNNNNNNNNNNNNNNNNNNNNNNNNNNNNNNNNNNNNNNNNNNNNNNNNNNNNNNNNNNNNNNNNNNNNNNNNNNNNNNNNNNNNNNNNNNNNNNNNNNNNNNNNNNNNNNNNNNNNNNNNNNNNNNNNNNNNNNNNNNNNNNNNNNNNNNNNNNNNNNNNNNNNNNNNNNNNNNNNNNNNNNNNNNNNNNNNNNNNNNNNNNNNNNNNNNNNNNNNNNNNNNNNNNNNNNNNNNNNNNNNNNNNNNNNNNNNNNNNNNNNNNNNNNNNNNNNNNNNNNNNNNNNNNNNNNNNNNNNNNNNNNNNNNNNNNNNNNNNNNNNNNNNNNNNNNNNNNNNNNNNNNNNNNNNNNNNNNNNNNNNNNNNNNNNNNNNNNNNNNNNNNNNNNNNNNNNNNNNNNNNNNNNNNNNNNNNNNNNNNNNNNNNNNNNNNNNNNNNNNNNNNNNNNNNNNNNNNNNNNNNNNNNNNNNNNNNNNNNNNNNNNNNNNNNNNNNNNNNNNNNNNNNNNNNNNNNNNNNNNNNNNNNNNNNNNNNNNNNNNNNNNNNNNNNNNNNNNNNNNNNNNNNNNNNNNNNNNNNNNNNNNNNNNNNNNNNNNNNNNNNNNNNNNNNNNNNNNNNNNNNNNNNNNNNNNNNNNNNNNNNNNNNNNNNNNNNNNNNNNNNNNNNNNNNNNNNNNNNNNNNNNNNNNNNNNNNNNNNNNNNNNNNNNNNNNNNNNNNNNNNNNNNNNNNNNNNNNNNNNNNNNNNNNNNNNNNNNNNNNNNNNNNNNNNNNNNNNNNNNNNNNNNNNNNNNNNNNNNNNNNNNNNNNNNNNNNNNNNNNNNNNNNNNNNNNNNNNNNNNNNNNNNNNNNNNNNNNNNNNNNNNNNNNNNNNNNNNNNNNNNNNNNNNNNNNNNNNNNNNNNNNNNNNNNNNNNNNNNNNNNNNNNNNNNNNNNNNNNNNNNNNNNNNNNNNNNNNNNNNNNNNNNNNNNNNNNNNNNNNNNNNNNNNNNNNNNNNNNNNNNNNNNNNNNNNNNNNNNNNNNNNNNNNNNNNNNNNNNNNNNNNNNNNNNNNNNNNNNNNNNNNNNNNNNNNNNNNNNNNNNNNNNNNNNNNNNNNNNNNNNNNNNNNNNNNNNNNNNNNNNNNNNNNNNNNNNNNNNNNNNNNNNNNNNNNNNNNNNNNNNNNNNNNNNNNNNNNNNNNNNNNNNNNNNNNNNNNNNNNNNNNNNNNNNNNNNNNNNNNNNNNNNNNNNNNNNNNNNNNNNNNNNNNNNNNNNNNNNNNNNNNNNNNNNNNNNNNNNNNNNNNNNNNNNNNNNNNNNNNNNNNNNNNNNNNNNNNNNNNNNNNNNNNNNNNNNNNNNNNNNNNNNNNNNNNNNNNNNNNNNNNNNNNNNNNNNNNNNNNNNNNNNNNNNNNNNNNNNNNNNNNNNNNNNNNNNNNNNNNNNNNNNNNNNNNNNNNNNNNNNNNNNNNNNNNNNNNNNNNNNNNNNNNNNNNNNNNNNNNNNNNNNNNNNNNNNNNNNNNNNNNNNNNNNNNNNNNNNNNNNNNNNNNNNNNNNNNNNNNNNNNNNNNNNNNNNNNNNNNNNNNNNNNNNNNNNNNNNNNNNNNNNNNNNNNNNNNNNNNNNNNNNNNNNNNNNNNNNNNNNNNNNNNNNNNNNNNNNNNNNNNNNNNNNNNNNNNNNNNNNNNNNNNNNNNNNNNNNNNNNNNNNNNNNNNNNNNNNNNNNNNNNNNNNNNNNNNNNNNNNNNNNNNNNNNNNNNNNNNNNNNNNNNNNNNNNNNNNNNNNNNNNNNNNNNNNNNNNNNNNNNNNNNNNNNNNNNNNNNNNNNNNNNNNNNNNNNNNNNNNNNNNNNNNNNNNNNNNNNNNNNNNNNNNNNNNNNNNNNNNNNNNNNNNNNNNNNNNNNNNNNNNNNNNNNNNNNNNNNNNNNNNNNNNNNNNNNNNNNNNNNNNNNNNNNNNNNNNNNNNNNNNNNNNNNNNNNNNNNNNNNNNNNNNNNNNNNNNNNNNNNNNNNNNNNNNNNNNNNNNNNNNNNNNNNNNNNNNNNNNNNNNNNNNNNNNNNNNNNNNNNNNNNNNNNNNNNNNNNNNNNNNNNNNNNNNNNNNNNNNNNNNNNNNNNNNNNNNNNNNNNNNNNNNNNNNNNNNNNNNNNNNNNNNNNNNNNNNNNNNNNNNNNNNNNNNNNNNNNNNNNNNNNNNNNNNNNNNNNNNNNNNNNNNNNNNNNNNNNNNNNNNNNNNNNNNNNNNNNNNNNNNNNNNNNNNNNNNNNNNNNNNNNNNNNNNNNNNNNNNNNNNNNNNNNNNNNNNNNNNNNNNNNNNNNNNNNNNNNNNNNNNNNNNNNNNNNNNNNNNNNNNNNNNNNNNNNNNNNNNNNNNNNNNNNNNNNNNNNNNNNNNNNNNNNNNNNNNNNNNNNNNNNNNNNNNNNNNNNNNNNNNNNNNNNNNNNNNNNNNNNNNNNNNNNNNNNNNNNNNNNNNNNNNNNNNNNNNNNNNNNNNNNNNNNNNNNNNNNNNNNNNNNNNNNNNNNNNNNNNNNNNNNNNNNNNNNNNNNNNNNNNNNNNNNNNNNNNNNNNNNNNNNNNNNNNNNNNNNNNNNNNNNNNNNNNNNNNNNNNNNNNNNNNNNNNNNNNNNNNNNNNNNNNNNNNNNNNNNNNNNNNNNNNNNNNNNNNNNNNNNNNNNNNNNNNNNNNNNNNNNNNNNNNNNNNNNNNNNNNNNNNNNNNNNNNNNNNNNNNNNNNNNNNNNNNNNNNNNNNNNNNNNNNNNNNNNNNNNNNNNNNNNNNNNNNNNNNNNNNNNNNNNNNNNNNNNNNNNNNNNNNNNNNNNNNNNNNNNNNNNNNNNNNNNNNNNNNNNNNNNNNNNNNNNNNNNNNNNNNNNNNNNNNNNNNNNNNNNNNNNNNNNNNNNNNNNNNNNNNNNNNNNNNNNNNNNNNNNNNNNNNNNNNNNNNNNNNNNNNNNNNNNNNNNNNNNNNNNNNNNNNNNNNNNNNNNNNNNNNNNNNNNNNNNNNNNNNNNNNNNNNNNNNNNNNNNNNNNNNNNNNNNNNNNNNNNNNNNNNNNNNNNNNNNNNNNNNNNNNNNNNNNNNNNNNNNNNNNNNNNNNNNNNNNNNNNNNNNNNNNNNNNNNNNNNNNNNNNNNNNNNNNNNNNNNNNNNNNNNNNNNNNNNNNNNNNNNNNNNNNNNNNNNNNNNNNNNNNNNNNNNNNNNNNNNNNNNNNNNNNNNNNNNNNNNNNNNNNNNNNNNNNNNNNNNNNNNNNNNNNNNNNNNNNNNNNNNNNNNNNNNNNNNNNNNNNNNNNNNNNNNNNNNNNNNNNNNNNNNNNNNNNNNNNNNNNNNNNNNNNNNNNNNNNNNNNNNNNNNNNNNNNNNNNNNNNNNNNNNNNNNNNNNNNNNNNNNNNNNNNNNNNNNNNNNNNNNNNNNNNNNNNNNNNNNNNNNNNNNNNNNNNNNNNNNNNNNNNNNNNNNNNNNNNNNNNNNNNNNNNNNNNNNNNNNNNNNNNNNNNNNNNNNNNNNNNNNNNNNNNNNNNNNNNNNNNNNNNNNNNNNNNNNNNNNNNNNNNNNNNNNNNNNNNNNNNNNNNNNNNNNNNNNNNNNNNNNNNNNNNNNNNNNNNNNNNNNNNNNNNNNNNNNNNNNNNNNNNNNNNNNNNNNNNNNNNNNNNNNNNNNNNNNNNNNNNNNNNNNNNNNNNNNNNNNNNNNNNNNNNNNNNNNNNNNNNNNNNNNNNNNNNNNNNNNNNNNNNNNNNNNNNNNNNNNNNNNNNNNNNNNNNNNNNNNNNNNNNNNNNNNNNNNNNNNNNNNNNNNNNNNNNNNNNNNNNNNNNNNNNNNNNNNNNNNNNNNNNNNNNNNNNNNNNNNNNNNNNNNNNNNNNNNNNNNNNNNNNNNNNNNNNNNNNNNNNNNNNNNNNNNNNNNNNNNNNNNNNNNNNNNNNNNNNNNNNNNNNNNNNNNNNNNNNNNNNNNNNNNNNNNNNNNNNNNNNNNNNNNNNNNNNNNNNNNNNNNNNNNNNNNNNNNNNNNNNNNNNNNNNNNNNNNNNNNNNNNNNNNNNNNNNNNNNNNNNNNNNNNNNNNNNNNNNNNNNNNNNNNNNNNNNNNNNNNNNNNNNNNNNNNNNNNNNNNNNNNNNNNNNNNNNNNNNNNNNNNNNNNNNNNNNNNNNNNNNNNNNNNNNNNNNNNNNNNNNNNNNNNNNNNNNNNNNNNNNNNNNNNNNNNNNNNNNNNNNNNNNNNNNNNNNNNNNNNNNNNNNNNNNNNNNNNNNNNNNNNNNNNNNNNNNNNNNNNNNNNNNNNNNNNNNNNNNNNNNNNNNNNNNNNNNNNNNNNNNNNNNNNNNNNNNNNNNNNNNNNNNNNNNNNNNNNNNNNNNNNNNNNNNNNNNNNNNNNNNNNNNNNNNNNNNNNNNNNNNNNNNNNNNNNNNNNNNNNNNNNNNNNNNNNNNNNNNNNNNNNNNNNNNNNNNNNNNNNNNNNNNNNNNNNNNNNNNNNNNNNNNNNNNNNNNNNNNNNNNNNNNNNNNNNNNNNNNNNNNNNNNNNNNNNNNNNNNNNNNNNNNNNNNNNNNNNNNNNNNNNNNNNNNNNNNNNNNNNNNNNNNNNNNNNNNNNNNNNNNNNNNNNNNNNNNNNNNNNNNNNNNNNNNNNNNNNNNNNNNNNNNNNNNNNNNNNNNNNNNNNNNNNNNNNNNNNNNNNNNNNNNNNNNNNNNNNNNNNNNNNNNNNNNNNNNNNNNNNNNNNNNNNNNNNNNNNNNNNNNNNNNNNNNNNNNNNNNNNNNNNNNNNNNNNNNNNNNNNNNNNNNNNNNNNNNNNNNNNNNNNNNNNNNNNNNNNNNNNNNNNNNNNNNNNNNNNNNNNNNNNNNNNNNNNNNNNNNNNNNNNNNNNNNNNNNNNNNNNNNNNNNNNNNNNNNNNNNNNNNNNNNNNNNNNNNNNNNNNNNNNNNNNNNNNNNNNNNNNNNNNNNNNNNNNNNNNNNNNNNNNNNNNNNNNNNNNNNNNNNNNNNNNNNNNNNNNNNNNNNNNNNNNNNNNNNNNNNNNNNNNNNNNNNNNNNNNNNNNNNNNNNNNNNNNNNNNNNNNNNNNNNNNNNNNNNNNNNNNNNNNNNNNNNNNNNNNNNNNNNNNNNNNNNNNNNNNNNNNNNNNNNNNNNNNNNNNNNNNNNNNNNNNNNNNNNNNNNNNNNNNNNNNNNNNNNNNNNNNNNNNNNNNNNNNNNNNNNNNNNNNNNNNNNNNNNNNNNNNNNNNNNNNNNNNNNNNNNNNNNNNNNNNNNNNNNNNNNNNNNNNNNNNNNNNNNNNNNNNNNNNNNNNNNNNNNNNNNNNNNNNNNNNNNNNNNNNNNNNNNNNNNNNNNNNNNNNNNNNNNNNNNNNNNNNNNNNNNNNNNNNNNNNNNNNNNNNNNNNNNNNNNNNNNNNNNNNNNNNNNNNNNNNNNNNNNNNNNNNNNNNNNNNNNNNNNNNNNNNNNNNNNNNNNNNNNNNNNNNNNNNNNNNNNNNNNNNNNNNNNNNNNNNNNNNNNNNNNNNNNNNNNNNNNNNNNNNNNNNNNNNNNNNNNNNNNNNNNNNNNNNNNNNNNNNNNNNNNNNNNNNNNNNNNNNNNNNNNNNNNNNNNNNNNNNNNNNNNNNNNNNNNNNNNNNNNNNNNNNNNNNNNNNNNNNNNNNNNNNNNNNNNNNNNNNNNNNNNNNNNNNNNNNNNNNNNNNNNNNNNNNNNNNNNNNNNNNNNNNNNNNNNNNNNNNNNNNNNNNNNNNNNNNNNNNNNNNNNNNNNNNNNNNNNNNNNNNNNNNNNNNNNNNNNNNNNNNNNNNNNNNNNNNNNNNNNNNNNNNNNNNNNNNNNNNNNNNNNNNNNNNNNNNNNNNNNNNNNNNNNNNNNNNNNNNNNNNNNNNNNNNNNNNNNNNNNNNNNNNNNNNNNNNNNNNNNNNNNNNNNNNNNNNNNNNNNNNNNNNNNNNNNNNNNNNNNNNNNNNNNNNNNNNNNNNNNNNNNNNNNNNNNNNNNNNNNNNNNNNNNNNNNNNNNNNNNNNNNNNNNNNNNNNNNNNNNNNNNNNNNNNNNNNNNNNNNNNNNNNNNNNNNNNNNNNNNNNNNNNNNNNNNNNNNNNNNNNNNNNNNNNNNNNNNNNNNNNNNNNNNNNNNNNNNNNNNNNNNNNNNNNNNNNNNNNNNNNNNNNNNNNNNNNNNNNNNNNNNNNNNNNNNNNNNNNNNNNNNNNNNNNNNNNNNNNNNNNNNNNNNNNNNNNNNNNNNNNNNNNNNNNNNNNNNNNNNNNNNNNNNNNNNNNNNNNNNNNNNNNNNNNNNNNNNNNNNNNNNNNNNNNNNNNNNNNNNNNNNNNNNNNNNNNNNNNNNNNNNNNNNNNNNNNNNNNNNNNNNNNNNNNNNNNNNNNNNNNNNNNNNNNNNNNNNNNNNNNNNNNNNNNNNNNNNNNNNNNNNNNNNNNNNNNNNNNNNNNNNNNNNNNNNNNNNNNNNNNNNNNNNNNNNNNNNNNNNNNNNNNNNNNNNNNNNNNNNNNNNNNNNNNNNNNNNNNNNNNNNNNNNNNNNNNNNNNNNNNNNNNNNNNNNNNNNNNNNNNNNNNNNNNNNNNNNNNNNNNNNNNNNNNNNNNNNNNNNNNNNNNNNNNNNNNNNNNNNNNNNNNNNNNNNNNNNNNNNNNNNNNNNNNNNNNNNNNNNNNNNNNNNNNNNNNNNNNNNNNNNNNNNNNNNNNNNNNNNNNNNNNNNNNNNNNNNNNNNNNNNNNNNNNNNNNNNNNNNNNNNNNNNNNNNNNNNNNNNNNNNNNNNNNNNNNNNNNNNNNNNNNNNNNNNNNNNNNNNNNNNNNNNNNNNNNNNNNNNNNNNNNNNNNNNNNNNNNNNNNNNNNNNNNNNNNNNNNNNNNNNNNNNNNNNNNNNNNNNNNNNNNNNNNNNNNNNNNNNNNNNNNNNNNNNNNNNNNNNNNNNNNNNNNNNNNNNNNNNNNNNNNNNNNNNNNNNNNNNNNNNNNNNNNNNNNNNNNNNNNNNNNNNNNNNNNNNNNNNNNNNNNNNNNNNNNNNNNNNNNNNNNNNNNNNNNNNNNNNNNNNNNNNNNNNNNNNNNNNNNNNNNNNNNNNNNNNNNNNNNNNNNNNNNNNNNNNNNNNNNNNNNNNNNNNNNNNNNNNNNNNNNNNNNNNNNNNNNNNNNNNNNNNNNNNNNNNNNNNNNNNNNNNNNNNNNNNNNNNNNNNNNNNNNNNNNNNNNNNNNNNNNNNNNNNNNNNNNNNNNNNNNNNNNNNNNNNNNNNNNNNNNNNNNNNNNNNNNNNNNNNNNNNNNNNNNNNNNNNNNNNNNNNNNNNNNNNNNNNNNNNNNNNNNNNNNNNNNNNNNNNNNNNNNNNNNNNNNNNNNNNNNNNNNNNNNNNNNNNNNNNNNNNNNNNNNNNNNNNNNNNNNNNNNNNNNNNNNNNNNNNNNNNNNNNNNNNNNNNNNNNNNNNNNNNNNNNNNNNNNNNNNNNNNNNNNNNNNNNNNNNNNNNNNNNNNNNNNNNNNNNNNNNNNNNNNNNNNNNNNNNNNNNNNNNNNNNNNNNNNNNNNNNNNNNNNNNNNNNNNNNNNNNNNNNNNNNNNNNNNNNNNNNNNNNNNNNNNNNNNNNNNNNNNNNNNNNNNNNNNNNNNNNNNNNNNNNNNNNNNNNNNNNNNNNNNNNNNNNNNNNNNNNNNNNNNNNNNNNNNNNNNNNNNNNNNNNNNNNNNNNNNNNNNNNNNNNNNNNNNNNNNNNNNNNNNNNNNNNNNNNNNNNNNNNNNNNNNNNNNNNNNNNNNNNNNNNNNNNNNNNNNNNNNNNNNNNNNNNNNNNNNNNNNNNNNNNNNNNNNNNNNNNNNNNNNNNNNNNNNNNNNNNNNNNNNNNNNNNNNNNNNNNNNNNNNNNNNNNNNNNNNNNNNNNNNNNNNNNNNNNNNNNNNNNNNNNNNNNNNNNNNNNNNNNNNNNNNNNNNNNNNNNNNNNNNNNNNNNNNNNNNNNNNNNNNNNNNNNNNNNNNNNNNNNNNNNNNNNNNNNNNNNNNNNNNNNNNNNNNNNNNNNNNNNNNNNNNNNNNNNNNNNNNNNNNNNNNNNNNNNNNNNNNNNNNNNNNNNNNNNNNNNNNNNNNNNNNNNNNNNNNNNNNNNNNNNNNNNNNNNNNNNNNNNNNNNNNNNNNNNNNNNNNNNNNNNNNNNNNNNNNNNNNNNNNNNNNNNNNNNNNNNNNNNNNNNNNNNNNNNNNNNNNNNNNNNNNNNNNNNNNNNNNNNNNNNNNNNNNNNNNNNNNNNNNNNNNNNNNNNNNNNNNNNNNNNNNNNNNNNNNNNNNNNNNNNNNNNNNNNNNNNNNNNNNNNNNNNNNNNNNNNNNNNNNNNNNNNNNNNNNNNNNNNNNNNNNNNNNNNNNNNNNNNNNNNNNNNNNNNNNNNNNNNNNNNNNNNNNNNNNNNNNNNNNNNNNNNNNNNNNNNNNNNNNNNNNNNNNNNNNNNNNNNNNNNNNNNNNNNNNNNNNNNNNNNNNNNNNNNNNNNNNNNNNNNNNNNNNNNNNNNNNNNNNNNNNNNNNNNNNNNNNNNNNNNNNNNNNNNNNNNNNNNNNNNNNNNNNNNNNNNNNNNNNNNNNNNNNNNNNNNNNNNNNNNNNNNNNNNNNNNNNNNNNNNNNNNNNNNNNNNNNNNNNNNNNNNNNNNNNNNNNNNNNNNNNNNNNNNNNNNNNNNNNNNNNNNNNNNNNNNNNNNNNNNNNNNNNNNNNNNNNNNNNNNNNNNNNNNNNNNNNNNNNNNNNNNNNNNNNNNNNNNNNNNNNNNNNNNNNNNNNNNNNNNNNNNNNNNNNNNNNNNNNNNNNNNNNNNNNNNNNNNNNNNNNNNNNNNNNNNNNNNNNNNNNNNNNNNNNNNNNNNNNNNNNNNNNNNNNNNNNNNNNNNNNNNNNNNNNNNNNNNNNNNNNNNNNNNNNNNNNNNNNNNNNNNUAAAAACAAAAUAAUUUAGAGUCAUUGGAUAUGAAAGGAUAAGAUUGUAUUUUUACCUAAAAAUGACAUAGCAUGAUUUUUUAUUUGAUGAUGUGGAUAAGUGAUUUGGCAUGCCACUUAGGAUUAAGGCCAUAAAUCUUAGGCCUUAUUAAAACCCUCUAGCACUGAUUUCUCGAACAAAAGGUCACACACUACAUGGCUGCCGCACCAAAAGGGACAAAUGAAGCUUGGACAUACAAUAUGAAAUCAUGACCUAGAUAGCUUAGUUCUGUAGCUUAGUAUCCAGGUGCAUCUCGACUUUAUGUUAAAACUAAUGCCCAUAAUUCGCCUCACGAUUGUCCGGUGACCACCACAAACAACUAGUAGCAGUGUGUCGACUACAUGUUCAAAAUUUGAAGUCAUGAAUUGGGGCUUAGAAAAGGAUGGAAGUCUUCCUCAUAAUCACACCCCCGAUGCCUCUUUGUUCUUUCUAGUCGGUCAUCAUCGGCUAGGAAAGUUCUAUGAACGAACAUACGUACCGCCCUAGCUCUUUAAUUUAUUUGUGGGCCCUUUUGGUCUUGGCUCGAUCUAAUCAAACUUCUCACAUAUCCAAAGACUUUGUAUUUCAUCAAUCACGUAAAAACGUCUAUUCUUCGUCGACCUCCAUCAAAGUGUUCCGUCAAUUUUUCUCAUACGCGUUACAUCUUAUAAUGCAGCAUGUUUUCUUCUGAGAAUUUAUCAUCCGGUAUGUGUAUACCUUAUCAUAGGCUACAUUUUUUUUUUCCUAGCCUGAAAGAAGAACGUCGAGGCAUAUUAGGUUAUUAUUGACUAAACAAAAGUAUCUAGCAACAUAAAUACAACUCACCUUUUGGGUUACGGAAAAAUUAAAGGGAAAAUACCCAAAUGCAUAAAAACAGGGAUUUUAAUACCCACUUCAAUGUAAAUCUUUUCUUUUAGUCCAUUUCAAUGAUUUUUAAUAAAAUUACGAGUAUACCCUGUAUUGAUAAUUAAACUAUUCUCUCUCUAAUCAAAUCUAAUAUCUCUCAUUCUCUCUCUUAAAUUUCUCUCUCUCUCUCUCUCUCUCUCUCUCUCUCUCUCUCUCUCUCUCUCUCUCUCUCUCUCUCUCUCUCUCUCUCGUACUNNNNNNNNNNNNNNNNNNNNUAAAAAAAAAAGAGUACUAAGUAGCUAAUUAUGUGCUACCGGCAAGAUCACCGAGGACGUAUCCUAGCUCAAUGCCGUAUUCACACUAAAAUGGAAUAAAUAAGUUUGGGGUUUAGAGAUAAGAAUUUAGGUUUAGGGAUAAGAGUUUAGAGUUUAGGGUUUAAAAAGGGUUUAGGGUUAAAUAUAUUAAACCCUAAACCCUAAACCCUUUAAAAAUUAAAUAUAUUAAGUAGUUAAUAAUGAGCUAAGUAUAAGUUUACCGGGGACUUUCCCUAAUGGCAUAUUCGCAUUAAAAGGUACAGAACAUUUUAUACGUAUUGAAUGUCUGUUGUAUUAAUUUCAUCAUUUUAAAGUCUCAUGUAUUAACUACUUUGCAAGUUUAGGCCAUUUUUAAACUUUAUUAAAACAAAAAAACCAAAACAAAAAACUCAUAAACUUCUAUUAAACAAAAAACCAAAACUUUAUUAAGGAAAUGCAUUUAAUUAACAGUUUUUUUUGUUGCUAAUGAAAUUCAUAAAUUUGUAGAUCUUUCUGUUGCUUUUUCGAUGAUUUGAUUUCUGUGCUCGUUGUGAAGGCUUAAAACAAUUGAAGUCCCUAUAUCAAGCUGAUAUUUGUCAGCCUUGUCCUGCAAUUUAUGAGGCAAAAAUUGAAGUUAGAAUAUUAUAAGAUUCUCAAAAGAAGAAACAUAUAUGGUUCAAAAUAUAUAAGCAAUCAUUUAGAAGUAUAAAGUAUAAUACUUUUAUUACCUUAUAUAUUGAUCUCUGUCGUAAUUUUACCAUACCAUGACUCCAUUACCUUAAUACAUACAAGCAUAUAUAGUUAUAUACCAUAAUUUAUUGAUAACGAUCUAUCUAAAACCAAAACACCAUCAAUUCAUUGAUUCAUUAUAGUUUCUUACUUAUUCAAUCCCUAUAUUUCAUGCAUCAAUUCGAAUAAUUAUUGUUUAUUUUCAUCAAGAUGAUUUAGUUAUUCAUUUUAUUGUAGUUAAUUUUGUUACCUUACAUGAACNNNNNNNNNNNNNNNNNNNNGUUACAGGGGGUCAGUAACUAGUUACUAGGUGUCAGUAACUGGUCAGUGGGGUCAGUAACGGUUUACUGGGUGUCAGUAACUGGUUAGUGAAGGUCAGUAACUGGUUACUAGGUGUCAGUAACGGGUCAGUAACUGGUUAUUGGGUGUUAGUAACUGGUUACUGGGUGUGAGUAACUGGUCAGUAACUGGUUAUUGGGGGUCAGUAACUGGUUAUUGGGUGUCAGUAACUGGUUACUGGGUGUGAGUAACUGGUCAAUAACUGGUUAUUGGGGGUCAGUAACUGGUUAUUGGGUGUGAGUAACUGGUUACUGGGUGUGAGUAACUGGUCAGUAACUGGUUAUUGGUGGUCAGUAACUGGUUACAGGGAAAAAUCCGGUGACCGGAAUCCGACAGUCGGGAAAAAUCCGGUGACCGGAAUCCGGCGGUCAGGGAAAUUCCGAUGACCGCAGUCCGGCGGUCGGUGACCGGAGUCCGAAGUUCCGGCCAAGUCUUUUCAUGUUGAAGAGGUGGGGGCAAAAUAGUCUUAAAAUAAUAUGGUUUGUUAAGGCUUUAGUAAAGAUUUGUGCAUUUGGGCAUAAAAAUGGUUACCUUAUAUUGGAAUGGGCUAAUGCAAAAGAUUAUCAUUGGAAUAGGAAAUAAAGGGUUUGAAUUAGUACUAAAUGGGCAUUUUCCCAAAAUUAAAUCAUCAGAAACUCUAAAGCUAUUUAAAUGUUGUCAAAACCCUAUAUAUAUGACCAAUACUCAUAAGAAACUUGUUAGAUAGACUACCUUAUUCAAUAGACAUCUAGAACCAUCCUACACGUAUCAUGUUGAGAGAUAAUCAUCCUCUCGAUAUGUUGUUAUCUCUCAAUAUUCAUAAGAGAUAAUGGAACUUGUUAGAUAGACUACCUUAUUCGAUAGACUACCUAAGACCAUUCAUGAAAUUUUUUUAGGUACAUACAUGUUUGUGACACGUACAUUUACUGACAUAACAAUAAAUUUGUUGUCGUUUGAUAAAAAUAGUCAUUAUUUAGGUAAUUUUUGUUCUAUUAGAGGUAAUUACUCAACUUAUGACAAUUUACAAGUUUAUAAAUAACUUGUUGUCGUUGUAGUAACUUGGUUAAAUUAUAUGUAAAUAUGCAAAACAAAUGUAGUAAUUUUGUUGUUAAUAUUGUAAAUUUUACUUAAUUAACUUGUAAUUUUUGUUUAGUUAAUGGUGAAUGAGUAAAUGUUAUACAUCUCAGUACCGUAGACAACUCUUUCUCAUGUUAACGAGAACUAAGCUACAUGCUUUGAUGAUGAAAGCUAGAGUUGAAUUUAUUAACUAUCUAGGAUCACUUUUAAGAUUCAUUACGAAUCAUAAUCAUAAUGAGACACGAUUGAUUAGCAUCAACAAUUGAUUAUUCCACAAGACACGAUUUUCAUCUACAUUCUAUUGGAAUAAAUAAAGAAAUGUACAUCUAAUCUUACCGUGUUCUUUCGAUAUUCUAAUUUAUCUAAUAUAGUUUUUUCGACAAGAUAAAAGAAAAACAACAUCAAAGUAUAAAACCUCUAUCACAUCCAACACCUACAGAGUCAAAGUAGAAAGUCUGACUAGCCGCAAGAGGAAGACAUUGUUAAUUUAUGCAUUUCAUAAACAUUCAAUAUACUAAUAUCCUAUGACAGAUUCUAGAUCAAAUGUAAAUAUGUUUGAAAUACUAACUUGGUAGAUUCGAGUUCAUAUCCAUUUAUGUUCUUCUUCUAGAUUCACACUAGAUACUCUAUUGCUUGAUGGGACAAUAUAUAGGAGUGUGUCUGUGCUCUAGAAGGGAUCAAAAUGGCAGCAGUUAUAUUUCAACUGCUUUUGACAGUUCUAUGACAGUUUCUUCCAUCAAGAAACUGUCAAGAUAACUUCUUGUCUUAAUCCAAUUCUUGUCUUAACAACCUAUAUUUUGAAUUUGAAUUCUUAACAGAUGUCAUUACACAUAAACUUAUUCGAUAAUAAACUAUAUAUCUAUAUGUAACUACUGUAUAAUACAUGCUUAUAUAGUUCAUGAGUUUGUUUAUAAAUAGGCUGUAUAUAAUGCUAGUUCUAAAUGCAGCAGAGCUGCUAGGUUAAUUUUACAAUCUCCCACUGAACUAGAAUUAUAUAAAGCACCAUUCAUAAUCAAACUUUUCUAAAAUUGCGCACAUGAACCUUAUGUAUCAUCUGUUUUCAAAAUCCUGUCAAUUAAAUCUAUCUACAAUGGACCAUGAGAGAAUUUGAUAUAUUUGAAAAAUUAUCAAUCUCUCACAAUCACAGUAUAGUAAAUCGAAUGACAUGGACUACCACAAAUAUGGUUAUGCUUGAUCUGUAGUAAUCGAAGUCAAGCACAAUGAUCUUGAUGGCUUAAGUUUUACUGCAUACUGAUAUGAAAUAUAAAACUUGAGUGUAUACACAUAAUAAAAUUAGGAAAAAAUUCAGUUUACUACCCUGAACUUUAGGUCUAAAAUCAGUUUGAUACCUCAUCUUUNNNNNNNNNNNNNNNNNNNNCCAAAUCCACCACAUGGCCGGCGCCGGCAUCCACCCCUACCACCAGCAAUGGGUCCUGACGACAGCCCCUCCUCCUCCCCCGGCCGUUGCCGUUGCCAUUCUUAACUCUGAGAGGGUAAAAAGAUUAACUAAGGCUAUUUUAGUCAUUUUAGUCGAGAUUGAUGUCAUUUUAAAAGUUUAGGUAUGAAACUGAUUAAAAAAAAAGAUGAGGUAUCAAACUGAUUUUAGACCUAAAGUUCAGGGUAGUAAAGUGAAAUUAUCUCAUGAAAUUAUCUUAUGAAAUUAUGCAGUAACUCUAUGAAUAAAUUUAAAAUUCAUCCAAUGAAGCUUUUAAUGAAUGUUAAAACAACUAACAACAACAAAUACUUAUAUACUGCAACAUAUCAAUGUUUUACAGUAAAUUGCAUUGCUAAUCAUCAAAACUACUGAGAACUCCCAUAUGUUUGACAUGAUAUGCAAACAUUGAAACUGGCAAUGCUUUAGUUAAUGGAUCUGCUAGCUGCUCCCUUGUACCAAUCUUAACUACUUCAAUCUCAUUGUCUCUUACACUUUCUCUUACUGAGAAAUACUUCACAUCAAUAUUCCUAGAAGUAGAGGUCCUCUUAUUAUUCUUUGAGAAAAAUACGGCUGCUGCAUUAUCACAAUGAACAACCAUAGGCCUUUCAAUUGAAUCCACAACCUUCAUUCUGGAAAUAAAAUUCCUUAACCAAAGAGCAUGACUUGUUGCUUCAAAGAUUGCUACAUAUUCUGCUUGAAAAGUUGAAGUAGCAGUCAAGGAUUCCUUGUUAGUUCUCCAUGAUAUUGCUCCUCCUGCCAACAUAAAAAUGUAUCCAGAAGUACACUUCAAAUCAUCAAAAUCUUGUUUGUAUGAAGCAUCUGUGUAACAUUCCACUUGUAAUUCUUGAUCUUCAAUUCUCUUAUACAACAACAUAUGAUCUCUUGUACCCAUUAGAUACCUCAUCACCUUCUUUCCUGCUAUCCAGUGUUCUUGUCCAGCAUUUGACUGAUAUCUGGAAAGCAUAUUAACUGCAAAACUUAUAUCUGGCCUUGUGCACACUUGUGCAUACAUAAGACUUCCAACCAAACCUGCAUAUGGUACAUUCUCCAUGUUCUUUCUCUCCAAAUUGUUAUGUGGACACUGCCCUUUGUGUAGUUUAUCACCCUUAGACAUAGGUGAAUUCCCUGAUCUACAUUUCUCCAUGCCAAACCUUUUCAAGAUCUUCUCAAUAUAAUUCUUUUGUGACAAUCCCAACAUGUUUCUACUUCUAUCUCUACUAAUUUCAAUUCCAAGUACAAAAUGCGCUUCCCCCAUGUCCUUCAUGUCGAAACUUUUCAUCAAAAAAUCCUUAGUAGCUUUCAGCAAACCCACAUCAUUGCAUGCUAAUAAAAUGUCAUCAACAUAUAGCACCAAAAACACAAAAUUACUCCCACUGAUCUUGCAAUACACACACUCAUCCAAUUUGUUUUCUUCAAAUCCAAAACCAGUAAUCACUGAGUCAAACUUUAAAUACCAUUGCAUGGAUGCUUGUUUCAAGCCAUAAAUUGACUUUUGUAAUUUGCAGACCUUCUUUUCGUCCUCAACAAAACCAUCAGGCUGCAACAUGUAUAUGUCUUCUUUUAAAUCCCCAUUUAAAAACGCUGUCUUAACAUCCAUCUGAUGUAACUCAAGAUCAUAGUGUGCAACUAAUGCCAUCAUCACCCUAAAAGCAUCUUUGGUGGAAACCGGGGAAAAAGUUUCAUUGUAGUCUAUUCCUUCCUUCUGAUUGUAUCCUUUUGCCACAAGUCUAGCUUUAUAUCUUUCUACCUUGCCUUCCGCAUCUCUUUUGGUUUUGUAAACCCACUUGCAUCCAAUUGGCUUCAUCUCCUUAGUUCUAUCAAUCAAGGUCCAAACUCCAUUCUGUGACAUACUCAAAAGUUCAUCCUCCAUUGCUAGCUUCCACUUGUGACUAUUUUCUGAUUGCAUAGCCUCAGUGAGUGUAGUUGGAUCAGUUUCUUCCCCCAAAUCAAAUUCAACAGCAGUAUUAAACACAUGAUAAUCACUGGAAAUUGCUGAUUUUCUUUCUCUUUGUGACCUCCUUAAAACUGGUGCAUUUUGAACAACAUCAUUUUCCUGUGGGACAUUUUCUGCUACUGUUUGUUCUUCUACAAUUUCAUUUUGAUGCUCCUCAACAAUAGUUGCUGGUAUUGGUACUGCUGAAAUUUGAUUUUCAAUAACUACAUCUGUUUCUGUCAACGCACUACUAAUGGUGCUUCCAACAGCUUGAAUAAUUUCUGGAAAAAUAAACCAUUCCUCCAUGUUUAAGUACUGCUUUUCCACUUCUCUAGCCAUCCCUGGAUCUCCAAUCUGAUCAAAAACUUCAUCAAGAAAAGUGGCUCUAUGAGUUUCGAAAAUCCUGUUGAAUCUUGUAUGAUCAUAGAACUUGUAGCCCUUUGAUUUCUCUGAGUAAGCAAUGAAAUAAGCACUGAUGGAUUUCGAUUCUAGCUUGUCAUUGUCACCAUUAUAAACUCUUGCUUCUGCUUUGCAGCCCCAAACAUGCAAAUGAUUUAAGCUUGGCUUGUAACCAUACCAAUUUUCAAAAGGAGUGUUGACAACUGCAGUACUUGGUAGCCUAUUGCAAAUGUAAUUUGCUGUUUUUAAGGCUUCUCCCCAUAAGAAUCUCGACAAACCUGAUAUGCAAAACAUACUUAUUACCAUAUUCAUGAGAGUUCUAUUUCUUCUCUCACAUACACCAUUUUGUUGUGGUGUAUAUGGUGUGGUAUAUUGAGCAACAAUGCCACAUUGUUCCAAAUAUAUAGCAAAUUGACCCUUAUGUUGCCCCUUUUCUGAGUAUCUUCCAAAGUACUCACCACCUCGAUCUGAUCUCACAACCUUAAUUAGCUUUUUUUUUUGUCUUUCCACUUCAGUUUUGAAAAUUUUGAAAACAUCUAACACUCGUGACUUUUCUGAAAUCAAGUAAAUGAAACAAAACCUGGAAAAAUCAUCUAUGAAUGUCACAAAAUAAGAAUUUCCACAAAUCGUUUGCACAGGAAAAGGACCACAUACAUCUGUAUGGAUUAACUCUAAUAAAACAGUAGCCCUUUUUGAAUGAAAAUUCCUUUGAUUAGUCAUUUUCCCUUUCAAACAGUCUAUGCAUGUAUUGAAAUCAGCAAAGUCUAAUGAAGGUAGGAUAUUUUGUUUCACUAACUCUUGCAAUCUAGGCUUAGAUGCAUGUCCUAACUUCUUAUGCCACAAAAAGGAGGAUUUCUCCUGUUCAAACUUUCUUUUGACACCUACUGUAUUUGAAAUACUGAAAAUUUCAUGACCCUUAUUCACAAUAGGAAUGCAAUUUACAUGCCAAUAACCAUCGAUUAAAUCAGCAUGUCCAAAACAACAUGAAUCUUUAUAAUAAAACAUACUUUUAUUAUUGCUAGAGAAGUCAUAACCAUCAUUCAAUACAAAUUGAGAACCAGAUAUUAGGUUUCUCUUUAUUGAGAGAAUACAAUACACAUUAUCUAAUAAUAAUUCGAACUUAUUCCUAAACAACAAUUUCACACAUCCUACAGCUUGAACUGCCACCCUUUGUCCAUUUGAAGCACAGACUCUUGUUUCAUUCUUUCUUGGGAUUGUUUGACUGUAUAAUCCCUGCACAGAAUUCACAAUAUGAAUGGGUGAGCCAGUAUCAAACCACCAAGAAUUUUUAUUGACACAUGCAUGAGACUCUAAUGAAAAGAUUGAUUUUAACAGAAAAGUACCUUUCUUGUUCAACCAGUUCUUGAAACCAUCACAAUCCUUUUUGAAAUGUCCAGGCUUCUUACAAAAGAAGCAUUUCAUUGGACCAUUAGUUUUGUGUGGCUUCCCUUUAUUUGCAUCAUGUUUCACACCAGAACUUGAAGCACCAUCUUUAUUGCCAAAGUUCUUUUUGCCAAAAUACUUUUUACCUUUGCCAUCCUUGUUCUUUGGUUUGGCAAUGUAGUUAACAUCAACCUCCUUCCCCUCUUGGCUCUAUCCUCUUCUUCCUGCACACAAAUGGAGAUAAGUUCAUUAACACUCCACUUUUCCUUCUGUGUGUUGUAGAGGCUCUUCAGAUGGCUAUACUCAUCUGGGAAAGAGUUCAGCAACAGGAACACCAGAAAAGGUUCCUCAAUGUUCAUCUUCAGCCCUUUCAGUUUCUUUGCAAUGUCAGCCCCUUUCAUUAUAUAUUCUCUGAUGCUUCCUCCAUUAUACUUCAGACCAGUCAACUUGUUCAUAAGCCUCCCUAUUUCAGCCUUGUUGGAGACCUUGUAUUUUUCAGCAAUUGAGUUCAUGUAUUCCUUUGCAUAUUCAGAAUCUGGUAUGCUUCCCAUCAUAGAGCUAUUCAUGCUCUUUUUGAUACAGAUCAGUGCCAUCUUAUUGUGCCUUUGCCAAUUGAAAUACUUUUCCUGCACUUCCUUUCCAGCAUUUGCAGCAGGUUCAACAGGUGGAUCUUCCUUGAGCACAUGGUCAAAAUCCAAAAUUGCCAAAUUGAGUUCAAUGUCACCUCUCCAUUUCUGAUAAUUGAAUCCAUUGAGGAGUUCAAUUUGACUGAUACUCAUGGGAAAGUGCAUGUCUGUAAUGAAGUUUCAAUCUUAAGUCAGUCAUUUUGAUAAAACUAUAUUUGCAUAUAUACAUAGAUAAAGCUUCCGGUUCUUCUGAAAUACCAGAAAAGUUUAUAUAUAGUUGCAUAUCCCAAUGUCAAUUCAUAUAGAAAUAACACUAUAAAGAAGUCAUACAUAUAGAUAAAAUUAGCAGAACAUUUGCUGUGUGUGAGAUUCACAUCCUUAUGCAUUUAUCUUUAGUGCAAUGCUUGUAGAUAUCUGAUAUGUAUAACUUAAAACAUGAAUCUUGGUUCAAAAAUAUAACUGCUAUGGAAGUUAAAAUUUUAUUCCAAAAUUUCAUGUUGUAUACAGGUUCUUUCUAAAGUACUAAAACAUCACAUAUAUUUCAGCCAAUAUGUCAGCAUUGAAGAUAUAUAUGAGUUACAUAAUGUAUCAGUAGAAAGAAGAUUUAGUACUAAUAUGUAUAUCAGUUCAUACAUGGCUACUAUGGCAGCAUUAUGUAAUCAUAAAAUACAUAUCAGUUUGAUGGAACAUAUAUACAAAACAUACAUUCAUGUGUAAACAUGUGAAUAACAGAAAUUGAAAGAUUUAAUCAUAAAUGUACAUAUGCCAGAAAACUAUAAUUUUCAAAGAGAGGCAUCGCAUGAACUUUCAGUUCCAGGUUAUGAAAUUCUACGGAUAUGCUUGUUAUUUCCUAGGAUACAAAAACGAAUUUCAACAAACACAUAUACACCAAUCUAGCAUCUGAGCAUAGUAGCUCUGAUACCAAUUGUUAAUUUCUGCAUUUCAUAAAUAUUCAAUAUACUAAUAUCUUAUGACAGAUUCUAGAUCAAAUGUAAAUAUGUUUGAAAUACUAACUUGGUAGAUUCGAGUUCAUAUCCAUUUAUGUUCUUCUUCUAGAUUCACACUAGAUACUCUAUUGCUUGAUGGGACAAUAUAUAGAAGUGUGUAUGUGCUCUAGAAGGGAUCAGAAUGGCAGCAGUUAUAUUUCAACUGCUUUUGACAGUUCUAUGACAGUUUCUUCCAUCAAGAAACUGUCAAGAUAACUUUUUGUCUUAAUCCAGUUCUUGUUUUAACAACCUAUAUUUUGAAUUUGAAUUCUUAACAGAUGUCAUUACACAUAAACUUAUUCGAUAAUAAACUAUAUAUCUAUAUGUAACUACUGUAUAAUACAUGCUUAUAUAGUUCAUGAGUUUGUUUAUAAAUAGGCCGUAUAUAAUGCUAGUUCUAAAUGCAGCAGAGCUGCUAGGUUAAUUUUACAGACAUAUGUUAUAUGCUUGUGUUCUAAGUUGAUGACACAGCUUUGCAAUAGCAUACGCCAGAAAGUUCGUUUCUCGAUAAAUAUGUGAAAGUUUAUCCGAUAUAGUUAUCAUCAUCACGAGCUAAAUCAGAAGUAAUUUCCCUUAGUUUCCACUCGAUCAUAUUUCUUGUUAAUGAUGGUUGGACAAUUUGACAUUUACUUGGAUACCACCUCUUUCAAUUUCUAAUCGAUCAUUACCAAAUAGGCAAAUACUGUUCUGAAGUUCUAUCAUCUCCUGAUGCCCCACUGCAAAGACCAAAGGUGGGGAUUUGGCUUUGCCCCCUAAUUUGGGGAAAGUGCGAAACCCGGGGUAGGGAGGGAGGGUUGGGCAUGCAGUGUUGGAAUUGCAGCUAGCUCUGAGUUCAUGUCCAUAUCACUUUGCCGAAAGCAGGCAAAGCCAACGCUAAGUAGCUAUAAUGAUACAAACAAACAAACAAAUAGAAGCAGUUGGGAAGUUGCAGAAAAGCCAGAAACCACCAGACAUUUUCCUCAUCGAAAUCAUAAUACCACACUCGACUCCCCUCUGCCUUUUUGGAUUUUUCCCUCUGCACACUCCUCUUGGUCUCCUCAGUCUUCUCAGAGACUCAGACUCACUCACGUCCCCCGUCAUAAUCAUAAUAAAAAAAACCAGGUCAGUCAAUGGAGUGUGAGAUGGGUUCACAUGGAUUGUGCACCAUGCUACUACCCAAAAGAACUCCAAAGUGUCCAGUCACCCCAGUGCAAUCAAUAGUAAUUUUUGGUUUUAUUAUUUCUGCAGGGUAAAAACCAGAGUAAGUAACCAUUUGGGUGCCCUGAACAGAUGAGUGGGUUCUUCUGUUGUUGAGAAUCUUAGGCUGACAAUGUAAGAGCCUGAAACUGCCCCAAAAUAGUACCAUCACUACUAUGCCAGUGGUUCAAGGGUGUGCAUGUUGAAGCUUUUUACAGAGCGAAAGAGAUCGCCAUUUUCCUCGCUAAUUACCUGCCAUUUUCACCACCAUUUACCUGCCCAUAAUCUUGCAGAGAGGAGUUCCAAAUCAGACUUGUUGGUUGUGAGAUGAUGAAGUGUUCACACAUUCCCAUGGAAAUAUUGCAUUUAUGCGUCAUAGCUCCGUUUUUAUGAUACAAACAUGUGCUCAAAUUAUACUAAAAUUAUAACAAAAUUAUUAUCAAUAACUGCAAUUAUCAAUAGAACUUCAUACAAUUUUUUCUCAACGAUUCAAUAAUCUUUCCAUAGCAACAAUGUCAUCGUAUUUCACUAUUUUAACACGCAUGUGAUCGCUUGUGCAUAUGCAAAGAUAGAAAUGCGAUUCCACAAAUACAUUUAAUUUCCAUACAAAAUAUUGAUAUAAGGUUAAAUGUAUUCCUCGUAUUAUUACAAAAAUAUGCCACACGAAUGUAUAUUACAUUAUCUCGCGUUAUGAUAAUGGAAUUGCAUGCAAGUUUUGUCAACGAUUCAAUAAUCUUCCAUAGCAAUAAUGUCACCGUAUUUCACUAUAUUAACAACGCACGUGACUGCGGGUGAAUAUGCGGAAAAAAGAAAAAUGAACGCAUGAAUAACACUUUCCACAAAAAUGAUCCAUUACCUCAUUCGAUGUCCCAUUAGAAUCUUACCGAUUAUUCACAAUUAAAUGUAUCCUGUUUGAUUUGCUUUGCUAGCUUUUCAGGUACUAAUAAUGAAUCUACUAAAUAACACAGAUGCUUCCUCCAGUAGUCAAGACAAUGCCCAAAAAUCGUGGCUAAAUUUCCUGUAUAGAACACUGAUGGAAUGAAAAUAACAACCGAGCUAUCAAAAUCUCAAUCAAACUCUGCAUUCCGUUUAGGGAAAUAUUGGAUGCAGACACGUUUUCCUUGUUGAUGGUUAAAACCAUAGCACUAAGUUACAUCCAAAUACAUUUGGUAUUUUGGUAUGUCUAUCUCACCCAAAAUAUUGAGUUUUAAGUGUGUUGACCAAGUAAACGAAAAAAAGAAGAAGAAGGUAUUAUUGACCGGUAUUUAAUCCUGGAAAAGAUAUGCAUGUAACACCUUCCGGAUACAAAUCAGAGACACAAUUCAUAGGAUACACACAUGUUUUGCUGUUAAAAAUCAUAAUAAUCGAGAAAGAAACUUAAAUCACAUAAAUUUUUCAAUAUAUUGGGUAGGUGAAGAAAAUUGUCACCAUUGCUCUUGAGGUAUGUAAAUCAUGAAACAAAAUCUGAAUGGUAUUAAUUUUUUUACUCUUUCAAGAGGUGGGAGAGAAAUAAAAGGGUGUCUCUACUAUUCUAAGCCAUUCCAGAUGAGUGACCAAACUGACAAAAUCAAAUCCUCUCUGUUUUUCUAUAUAUAUAUAUAUAUAUAUACGAUGACGGGCAUGGAGGACUCGUUCACAGAGCGUCUCACUCUCACCCACUUGGAAUUGAAUUCUGUGUUUGUUUUCUAAUUCAAAAACCAAAACAAACGCACCCUCCUGCUCCUUCUCCUCUUCCUCCUCCUCCUCUGAAAUCUCUGACCAACCCGAUAGUUUAGUCACAAUAUCUGCAUGUGUACGUUUUUGUUUGUUUCCCACCCCAUUGAUGUAGAGCAAAAAGAGGCAACAAAAUCCUCAAACUUUUAAUUAAUAUAAAGCACAGAGCAAAACAGAGACACAGACCCAGUGAAGCAUCCUAUGCCCUUAUCCCAGUUUCCUCUGUUUUUAUAUAAAACUUUGUUCUGUGGGUCUCUUCCUCUUUGUAUAUAUAGCUCCCCCCACUUCUAGCCCACCACCUUUUUCUGUCAAAAUGAAACAUUGAGAGAGAAAGCUUGAGAGUUUCUCUGAGGAAAAAAAAAAAGGUGUUUGAUUUGUAUUCUGUGUUGGGAUUGUAGUUUAGAGGCUAAGAUCAUGGCUAUUGAAGCACAGCUGUAUGCAGAGAAUUUUGGGUUUCCGAUGUUUGGCUCACAAUCACAGCCGCAGGACUUGAUGGUGGACAACAAUGGCUGUGGUGGUUUUGGUGCUGGGUUUAAUCAGUUCUGUUUCAAUGCCCAGCAGAAACCGCCGCAGCUACUAUACCAGCCACCGCCGAUGAUUCCUGGUACUUUUGUUCCUGCUCCACACAACAACUACUACAUGGCUUAUACUCGUCAAACCAUUGCAGCUCAGGAAGCCAAGCAAAGGCAAGAUAUUGAUGAAUAUCUCAGAUUACAGGUUAAAACCCAUUUUUCAAGAACAGUUUUUAAGUUUUGGUGUCCUGAGUUUUCAUCAAAAUUGGUUUUAGUCCUUUUGGGUUUUCGCUCGAUGUUCUUUCUUUUGUUUUUUUGAAAGCAGAAUGAGAGAUUGAGGUUGGUGCUACAAGAGCAGAGGAAGCAGCAACUCGCAUUGUUGAUGAAGAAAGUCGAGUCCAGAACAGAAGUGAUAAUGAAGCAAAAGGAUGAAGAAAUAGCACAAGCGCUGAAGAAGAGAAUGGAGCUGGAAGGUUUCUUGAGGACACUGGAGGCUGAAAAUCAAGCAUGGCAAAGAGUGGCUCAGGAGAACGAGGCCAUGGUCAUGUCCUUAAACAACACUCUGGAACAGUUCAAGGAGAGAGCCGCUCGUGGAGUCAUGGAAGACGCAGAGUCUUGCUGUGGUAGUAAACAAGAGGAGGAGGAAGAUGAAGAAGAUACAGGGGAUUACAAAGGAGGCAGAGGUUUGAACAAUGGUGUGGAUGAAGAGAUAAAGAUGAUGGUUUGCAAAGGCUGCAAUUCUGAAAGGUCGUGUGUCUUAUUCCUCCCCUGCAGGCAUCUUUGUUCAUGCAGAGCCUGUGAGGUUGGUUUUGAUGCUUGUCCUGUUUGCUCAACGCCAAAGAAGGCUUGCAUAGAGGCAUUGAUUUUCUAAGCUGAAAUUCCGGGCAAAAGUCGGAGAAAGAAACAAGGGAAAGAGAAAAGGGUUUGAGGGAUUAGGAAUGGUGAUGAUGGUGGUGCCAUUAAUGGGUGAAACAGAAAACAGAACAGAGAGCCAGUUUCAAUGCAAUGCCAAUGGUGCAAAUGGGUUUUCUUUUUUUUUCUUAAUUUGCGUUUUUUUUCUUUUCCUUCUUAGGGACUCUGAGUUUAGGUUUAGUUUGUAAACUUCUGAACAAAGACCAAUUGGACAGGACAUACAGAACAGAGGGCAUCUUUUCCUUUCAUGGAGGUGUCUUGCUGCUUUUGCCUUUUUCAAUAUUGCUGUGUUUUUGUGGUUUUUAUUCUUGGCAUGGUGGGAUUGAUUUUGAUUAUUCAUAUCAAUCUGGUUGUACAAAUUGGUCCAAUUAUUUUGCCUUUGACAGAAGGAGGAGCCAUGACGAGAGGAUUGAAAAACUUCCAGAUGAGAACAAGUCUGUUUUUGUUUUCAGGCUACUAAUGAGAGUCUUAUUCAAGAUCUAUGAGCUUGAUUAAGAAGGAUUUAUAACAAAGAGAGUCAAUGGAAAAGUUAACUAGGAAGUAUAUUAGAUUGUGAAUCUUUGGAUCUUUUGCUUGUUUUGUCAAAGAUUUGUUAAAUGACAAUACCAUAGGAAACAUCUGAUUAGAAAAAUAACCAAUCAAGUUAGCAUCUUUAUGAAAUUUGUAGGUAUUCUUUAGGUCCAAAUACGGGUGCUUCUCAAUUGCCAAGCAUAAAAUGGUCCAUCUGUUGCUCAUUGAAGGUACCUAUCCUAACCUCAUGUUCACGCAAGAAUUUUGUUCUUUCCUAUGCAUUAAAAAUCGUAAGGUACUAGUACUAUAAUUUAAAUGAGUAUUGGAAGUGUUAAAGGAUCUCCUAACCAUUGAUGACAAAAUAAAAAUAAAAAUGUGAGCUGAGAAGCCAAAAAUUAUGAUGGAUGAAUUAGGGGUGACAUUAGCAAUCUAAGGUUGAAUUUUUGGUAUAUACAAGGUGAGGAAGUUAACAUUGACUGGAUAUUUCAGUGUGAUGAUCCUCAUAAUUAUUUGGUACUUCCAAGUCGUAGCUGUACACUUUGUUUUUUGUUUGUGUUGAUAUUAUUUGCCUUUAGUGUGUUGAACCAUGUGAUAGUUUGUCAUCGUUCAAAAACUCUUAACUGAAGUAAUUAGUGGGUGCUAAAAGUAAUUGACAAUUACAAUUUGUUUGUAUACAAAACGUGAAAGAGCAAACAUCGAAAAAGAUUCAGAGUUAAAUUAUUUUGAUGACGGUAUUCCUCUUAAUUAUUUAGUGUUUUCCGGUCGUAGUUGUGCAAUUGCACGUAUGUCGUUCCGCUUUUGUUUUCGAAAACAUUUGGUGAUGAACAAAUACCUAGUAAAUUGUUCUUGAGUUGAACCCAAUUUUGACCCUUACUCAAAAUACUCCACGGUUAAGUUUCCAUAGCAAAUGGUAAAACCCAAAAUUGAAGGGUAAAACCAGAGAAAGUACAUUUACAAAAUUCCCAACCAAACAGCGUCGGUUCUUGAUCGAAUCCUGACCGUUGAAUACUCCACUAUAAGAAAAAUAGUGAGGGGCUGGGUUUGCUCUCAAACAGUUCACUCUUCAACCCAAAGGUCCCCAAAACCCUCACAGGAGUCACAGCUCAAUGAGCUCACUACCCGAAAAAUAGGGUUAUUGCAAUUUGUUUCUUGAAUUUUUGUUAUUUUCUUGGAUUGUAUUCGAUUUCAUGUGGCGAUGUUUGGGGUUGACUUGAGGUGGGUUUGAUUGUGAUUUGCAGGCUGCAAACUUUCUGGACAUCGAGGGGCUGCUGGAUUUGACUGGCCAGGCUGUGGCUGAUAUGAUAAAGGGGAAGAAUGCGGAAGAGAUUCGCGAGCAUUUCAACAUCAGGAAUGACUAUACUCCAGAGGAAGAAGAGGAGGUUCGGAGGGAGAAUCAGUGGGCAUUUGAGGAGUAUGAAGAACCACCAGCGGUCAAUGAGGAUUCUGAGUGAAAUCGGGGGCUGUGUAUUUGGUGUCGAUAAUGUGAAUGGUAGGGAUGUUGAUAUAACUAGGGCCGUUCAUUGUUCCCCAUUCUAGGAUUUUUGUGAAGUUUGCUGUUGUACUGACAACGGAACGGUGUAGUUGGUGUUGUUAGGUUGCUGAGGCUUUUGAAGAUUUGCAAACCUCUUUUGUUAGAUGCGGAUUUUAUUAGGUUAGUUUCAGUCUUCUGCCUUCGGUAUUGUUUCUAGCUCUAUGAUUGCUCGCUUAUGUUUUAAAUGCUUGAAUGCUGCCGCAACUCUGAACUUUAAAUGUUUGUCGCAAAUGUGUGUGGCUUGCUGUAGGAACGCCUAUUCAGGUUCUUCUGGCUAUGCUGCUAUAUCAAUGCCUUGUGCGGUGUCCACUCUUUUCAACAGUUGGAACUCCAUAGGUGGUUGCUAAGAAGCGGUGUCCACUCUUUUCCCGGCUCUAUCGUUCUUCUUUUGGUGCUUCUUCUUCAUUUUCAUACUUGGUUGAGUAAUAUACUGGACUGUGUUUCAGCAAGCUUUGCAGAUCAAUAUUUGCAUCUUGCGCUCAAGUAUUUUGAGGAUUUGUUGCCUCCAGGUGUGGAGAAAGUGUGGAUUUCUGAAUCGUGUUCCCACCUUUUGUGUUCUUGAUCUCAAUUUCAGAUUUCCAGAUAUCUUGGCUAUUCAUAUUAACAAGUUUCGUAUACUGGGAUUGUUGUGCUUAAGUGCUACACAUCUUCCUAAUCAGAAAUAAUAUCAUCCCCAAGCCCUGUAGCACCUCUUCCCUCUCCAAUCAACCUCGGUGUGAAUACAUAACAUCACUAUUGAAGCUUCUUAAAGUAGGGCCAAACUAGAACAAGUAGAUCAUUAUUAACACUCUUGCACUUCCUUUGCUCUUAUUUAUCUUCCACAUUGAGCUUAUUGUUGCUCAUGUACGUAAAUGAUUCUCUUCCUUCUCCAUAGAUAACGAUUAGACAAACUAGUUUCUACCUCAAGCCUCAAGGUCAGUGUUUACUUUUGACAAGGCUGUUGAUGUUGUCCUCAUAGCAACGCAUCCAAAUUCCGUAAUACUUUUCCCUUUGCACAUCGUAUUCGUUCCAAUAAUUUGCUGCCAUUGCCACUUCAAAUUAGUACUGUUUGAGUGCGAUCUCAUUUUCCCAUUUCUUGCUUUAUUCCUUGCACUUGCAGACAUGUUCUUGACCAUAGUAUACAACUUACUCAUCUUGCUCUAAUGCAGUAGUGUACAUGUUUAAAUAAUGAUGGUAUAAAUAGAGACACCUUAGGUUUAGUACAAGUCGAUUAUGAUAUUUGCUCCAUAUACCCAGUAUUUACUAUUUAGCCACCAAUUCCUUUUCCCCAUUGUUAUUUUCUCCUUGGCGAAUUUCAAAAUUCUCUUUUUGUGGUUUAUCCUCCAUUUUGGCUUCCUGUUUCUCCUCUGCUUGUAUACCCUUUUGAGCUUCCUGCAAAAUAUUAAAAAUGAAGACAACGAACAACCUUUUGAUUCUCGAUUGGAACAAGUGACAAUCAGUUAGAACUCACACUGAGUUGAGGAGUGUAAGCUUUAGAAAUGAGGCCCUAGUUAAAUUGUUGGUGUAGGAGACUAGGAGUUGUUACAGUGUUGAGUGUUGGAAAGAAAAAUGAAACCCCUGGCUAUGAACAAACUCUUUGGAGUUCGAUCUGUAUAAUUGAGUUCCGAAAUCAUUUUGGCAAGUCGCUCAUUCACUCAUUCCAGAACAGAUAGUCAUGCUUUUGCAUAACCAAGUCCAAUCAAGUUAAUUUAAGAACAUCAACUAAAGAGGCUUCUGUUAUAUAUAGGCUCAUAUAUAAACGUCAAAUAUUUACACUAUGUAUGUCUCAGCAGACAUUUAUAUACAUCAGGUAAUGUUUCUCUGACGAAGAGUGGAGCAUUGAGACCUGACCACGCGUUCAAGAUCAACCUGGGUCCUAAUUCGCUGUCCGGCAAUAUAUUAACAUCUUAAGAUGCUACUUUUAUCCAGCAUAAGCUGAUGUUCUCGAAUUCACGAUGGAAAUUCUAAUCGUCAUUGAAUCAAAUUCACGAAGUGACUUAUAUAUAACCUCUCAUAUAUACGAGGUCUUGACAGGAGAACACAUUUCCGAAUACAUACUUAACAUGUAAUACGUACAGAAAUGCAAGUUUAAAUGAGUGAGAGAGAGAGAUACAAAGAGCAUACAUGCACUGAUGGGUGAGUACUAGGUAUUGACCUCUAACCGCAGAGCAAAGCAUAUGAAGUGGACGAAAUCAGCGAAACAGAAAAACACUGUAGGGAAACAAGCAAAUUUGGAGUGUACGAGAGGAGGUAACUACCAUCAAAUUCAAAUUAAGUAAUGGUAGCUUGUGUCAUAUAACCUGAUAACCAUACGCUGCCUCCAUGGUAAAUUUAGACUACCUCAAUUGUUAUAGGACUACCUGAAUGGUAAAUUUGUAGCGUAUGCAAAUUUGGAUGACUUGGCUCAAUUUUCAUAUACCCAUUGAGGCUCCCAACUAAUGAUGGAUUUGGUGGGGAGAGGAGGUAACUGCAAUCAAAUUCAGGUCUACAUCUCAAACUCUCAAGUAUACUAUGCAACAUUACGGGGCAAAGUAUUUGUUGACGGCUCCUAAACCUGUACGAGAUAAUGUGUUUGCUUUAGUUUAUUGAAGGUAAGGGAAUGAAGUGAGAUGAGAACUCUUUGCUAUGAUUAUGUUCAGGUGAAGUAUUCUGCUGUGGAGCUGUAGAAACUCGAGAUUGUGUAAACUGUUAACAGACUUAACACCCAUAUGGCCAUAUAUGAAAAUGAAACAAAUAUAUGGAGACAUUAAUCUCUCUCUCUCUCUCUCUCGCGCCUUAGUUCUUGUUUCAAAUCCUCAUGCUUCAAUGCCAUUUUUCCUCUGAGAGUUCUCUGUCUUGUUCCAAAUUCAUAUAAUUUCAAAUAAAGACUAAUAUUUCAAUUAUCCUUGUUUUUAUUUGUUUCAGUUGGCUCAUUAAGUGUGAUUAUGACAGUUCACAAUAUCUAAAUUCUCUUUCUGUGGAACUAGAGCGUUUGAUAACCUUGAGUCCGGUCUCCCUCUUACCCUUUCCCUGCCACCAACACCGCUUAUCUAGUCCCUCUUGUUGUUGUGGCGCCUAGUGAUAACUUGUUUGUUGUUGAUGUUGCGUGACGUUCCUCUAACAGAUCAUUGUUCAGAGAGAGGCCUUGGUUAUCAGUUGAAGCGUCAAAGCAAGAGACAAAUUUGGUGAAUUUUCUGUCUGCUGGCUUUAUUGUAAUAGAGAACCAUAAAACAAAUAAUAAAUGCAUGAAGCCAUGAACAAUAAACAAAAUAUAAAUAAUCCAUGUGAAAUUUUUCAUAACAAAACUAGCAAAUCCAUUUCAUCAUCGGCAAAAAGAGGGAAAAAAGUUAAGGAACAGCAGGACGUGAAAAGAAGAGAAAAACAUACUUUGCCAUUAUAUAUACAAUGUCUAUUAUGAAGAUGUCCUAGAUUACCUUUAGAACAGUGUAACAACAAUUCUACCCUUGUGUAUUCAGACAUUGUCAAAUAUGGGGCAUUAACACUCAACAGUUUGAGGAUAAGAGGGAAUAAUGUAUCUUCUAGAAUUGCUCUCUUGGAAACACAUAAGUAGUUGUUUAAGAACUUUUGCUUUGAAUUCUCCAACUCAAAGGUCUGCGGUCUUAUCAUCAUCGGUCUUUAAUCCUCUGUGUCAUCCUGUAUUGGGCGUUGGUCUGGGUAGGAUCGCUUUGUGAAGGAAGAAGGAAGUUCCAUCUGUAAAGAUCAAAGCUUUUUAAGCACCAUAGUAAAGUUAAGAAGGAAGAAACGAAUAAGAAAGUUCAAGUCUUGUAGAAAUCGAGAAAAAGCAUUGAUUUGCCAUUGCAGAAGAAGAAAGUUCAAAUCUUUAGUAAAAAGUAACAAGAAGCUUUGAUUUAUCAUUGAAGAAGAUGAUGAAGAAGAAGAAAGUUCAAGUUGGCUCAAAAGGUCUCUAACAUUUAGAGAAACAAGGCCGUCCCUUAGCAUUUGGAGGCUCAAAGCGGAUGAUAUUACCAAGUCAACAUCGUAACUCCGAACAAAAUAAGUCCAAUGCAAACAAAAUUUAUGAGCUUUUGUUAACGAUGAUAGUUGUGUUUUAUAGGUAUGUCUUACAUCCAUUCUCUUUAUAACAUUAACUUCUUUUAAUAAAAUUCACUCGCUUCAUCGAGUUUACAAAAAAAAAACAAAAAAAAAACCCUACUAUGUGGAGGAGUUGAAUUUAGAUAAGAAAGUGAAAAACUUGACUCGGUCUAUGAGGUUGAGCUGACAGGUGGUGCACGCUUGAAACAAAAAAGAAAAGGUGUCGAUAAAUUGAAUGAAAAGAAAAAAAAUUUCUUAAGAAGCAUAAUCAUUAGGUAAUUAAGGAGGCUUAACAAUAUUAUUGAUGAACCGAUUAAUCACAAAAACGAUCAACUAUCUAUAUGACAAGAAUUUCUAAGAGAAUUUUUGUGGAUAAAAUGAAAUGAACUAGAAACCAAUUCCAAUAAAAACUACAUCAAGAAAAACUUUUGGCUAAUGUUUUCAAUAAGUUUUUUGAGUGUUUUGUGGCCCUUAAAAUUUGAGGCUCUAAGCCUACGCCUAGUUCAUAUAGGCUUAGGACCGGCCCUAUGCAUAAACUAAAUGAGAUGAUAAGACUAAACUCUGGCAAAUUAAAUAAUAAAUACAAAACAAUAAUGACAAGUAAAAAUCUCUGACAUUUAACCAAAUCCACGAAUAUUGCAUGUGUUUUAAUUUUUUUGUUAUUAUCGUUACUUUAAAAAUAAGAGAGAAAUUGUCUAUAAUAAGAUUCUCAUGCCAAUUGUCUAAUGAAAUUUGAACUAAACAAUCAAGUAAAAGAAACCUCAAAGUUCUACAGAGAAUGAUAGGUUGAAUUAUACUUCUAGUCGAUCAGAACCAUAUAAAUUAAGUAAAUAACUUAGAAAACUAAAACACCCAAACUUGGUUAGCUAAACGUAUGCAAGAACCAUGUGCUGGCUUUUCCCCAAAAACCCAUCUCAGACAUCUUUCUAAAGGCUUCUUGUCGAGCAUACCCAAGUUGUUGCCUUGCUGAAUCCAACUUAAAGAUGCAAAAGUACUUAUUGGGAUCCAAAAGCUUAAGUGCCAUCUCCACCUUAACAAUCGUCUUGAUCAAGUGCACUUGAUUGUCAAAGCGAAAUAUGCGAAAUGUUAAUGGAAUAUCUGAUCUACACAGCAAAGAAAAAUUAUGAUUAAAGUAAAAGCCUAAAUGCACAUCAAAUAAAAGAGAAGCAUAUAUGUAUCCCUUACUCCUUCAUGAGAGUACGUCCUGUCAUGGCCUCAAAUUGUUCCACUUUGUGAAGGACGUUCGUGAACGACUUCAUAAGGUCUCGCACAUGUUUAAGGGAACGUAUUUCUUGGUCCCAGAUGUUGGUACCGGAGAGUAGUAGUGUUGCCCUGAGUUGCUCAAGAUCCUCUACAUCCUUGUCAAGGUUAUUGACGAGAGUACAUAAAAAUCCAUGGUUAUGUUGUGUAAAUUAGAUUCAGCUGGAUUAUAUGCUGAUAAACUGAAAGAGAAACAUAUAUAUGAUGCUAUGAACAAAUCCUUCUACAUACCUCAAACAGAACCCUAAUAGGAAACGUAAUAAAUUAAAUUAAACAAUGUAUUUAUUGCAAUAUAUAUAUAUAUAUAUAUAUUUCAAGCUACAUUAACCAUGUCCUAAACUAAUUCAUAAAUCAUAAUGAUCGACUAUAGUUCUUUGACCAAAACUCGUCUUCGUAACUCUGGCAAUCUUUUUAAAAAAGAAACUGACAAACUUGAUAAUUAACAGAGAUCCAAGUUUGAAAGUAUUUUGGUUCCACAUACAAUUAGACUUAAUUGGUGGUAUAAUCGUUCAUUAAUUAAUCUUUUUUUGUGUGUGUGGAUUAAUCCUUAUUUAUCAUUGCUUUUAAGCAAAACAAAUUAUUUCAUUGAACUUAUCAAGAUGCAAUACAGAUAUUACAGUUGUGACCCUUACUGAGUAAGUAGUACUCAAACUAGCUGCGAAAUUCUUAAUUAAGCAUAGCUACAAAUCCCAAACGCACAAGAACCACCCUUCUUGCACUGGUUGUCGCAUCUCCCGCAGUGUUUCUUGUCAGACAUUGUGCUCACAACAUGACCGUUGCAGCAUAUCUCUACGUGUGCUUGCAUUUCACCCCACAUUUCCCACAAUUGAGUCUGUCCGUCUUCACAUCCACACAGUUGUUGUGACAACAAUGUGAUCUUGGGCCGUAUGUGGCGGCUCUACAAACCUUAGGGUUCUUGUCGCAUGACGAUGUCGUCGCGGCCCUCGAACCAAGGAAGACAUUGCUUGUUCCCCUCAGGGAGGUUUUCUCCUGGUUUUUGGCAUCCAUUAUUUGGAGCUCGUCUCAGAACCCAAAAAAAAAAAAAAAAAUAAAAAAAAAAAAAAUUUGGAGCUCAUCAUCAUCUAAUGUUUCGUGAUUAUUUGUAGCCUUGGUUUCCUCUUUUAAAACUAGUUCUUCUUCUAUUAUUCUAAUUUCUAAGGGAAAAUGUCCAUUUGCACAAAAAUAACAUAGUGAGAGUCCAUUCCAAUAAAAGUAAUUUCCAGCAGCCCAUUUAAACAAAUGUCAUGAAAUAGACUAUAUUACCCUCACAUCACUCAACCAUACCUCUCUCUUUGUCCCGAUCUGAAACAAACUCUCUCUCUCUCUCUCUCUCUCUCUCUCUCUCUCUCUCUCUAGCCAAGUCGCUCCACCAAAAACCCAAAAUCUCCGACCUCCGAUCGAUGACGGCGACCGACGAUCAGCCUCUCCUCCUCCUCAUCCGGAUCCAGCCUCCUCAAACCUCUCACCUCCGCUCGAAACCUAUCGACCUCUUCUUUCUCUCUCUUGAAGCAGAGACGCUGCCUCAAUGACGAAGCCACCGCUGGCGAGAUAUCUUCGGCGACGACGAUGACGACCGCAACAUUCACGGCGACGACGAGGAAUUGCAGCAACCAUUCUACCUCUCUUUCUUGUCUCUCUCCUCUAAUGAUCUAUCUCUCUCUCACCGCUGUUUCUCCCAUCAUCGGAAUUGUCCAAAUCUCCUUGUCUGCCGGAACCGCUGUCCUGCCGUCAAGGACAUUGUUGGUGAAGGCCGGGUGCCUGGGUUUCCGGCCACUCAAUGACUUCAUGUAGCUUAUGGCGACGGCUCCGACCAUAGCUCAUUAGGUCGGUGGAGGAGGUGUGCCGGGGUCGGUGGAGGAGGCUAGUGUGUCGCCGUCGGGGAAGGUGGGUGCCUAGAGCAUGAACCAAGUCAAUUAGAGUUUCCUUUUUUUUUUUUCUUUUUUUUACAUUUGAAUAUUGAGGUCAGUAAGUGAUUAUUGAGGAUUGAUAAGUGAUUAUUGGGGUCAGUGAGUUAUUAUUUGAGGUUUGUAAUCUGAUUAUUAAAGAUCAGUAAGUGAUUAUUGGGUGUCUAUUAGGGGUCAGUAACUGAUUAUUGGGGAUCAGUAACUAAGUUAUUAGGGGUCAGUAACUGAUUAUUGGGGUCAGUAACUAAGUUAUUAGGAGUCAGUAAUUGAUUAUUAGGGGCAUUAACUGAUUAUUGGGGGUCAAUAACCAAAUUAUUAGGGGUCAGUAACUGAUUAUUAGGGUCAGUAACUGAGUUACUGGUGACCGGAGAAAAAUUGAGUUACUGGGGGUCAGUAACCGAGUUACCGGUGACCGGAAUCCGGCGACCGGGGAAAUUUGGCAAUCAAAGUCCGGCGACCGGUGAGGUUCCGGCCAAGUAUUCUCUCUUUUCCACUUUCUCUCUCUAUGCAUAUUUAAGAGGUGAGGGUAAAAUAGUCUUAAAAUAAUUUAGUUUGUUAAGACUUUAGUAAAGAUUUAUGCAUUUGGGCAUAAAAAAAUGUUACCAUAUAUUAAAAUGGGAAUCCGGUGACCGGGGAAAUCCGGCAAUCAAAGUCUGGCGACCGGUGAGGUUCCGGCCAAGUAUUCUCUCUUUUCCACUUUCUCUCUCUAUGCAUAUUUAAGGGGUGAGGGUAAAAUAGUCUUAAAAUAAUUUAGUUUGUUAAGACUUUAGUAAAGAUUUGUGCAUUUGGGCAUAAAAAAAUGUUACCAUAUAUUAAAAUGGGCUAAUGAAAAAGAUUGUCAUUGGAAUGAGAAAUAAAAAGUUUAAAUUAGUACUAAAUGAGUAUUUUCCCAAUUUCUAAAGACAUCAAUAUCGCUACCACUAAUAAGAAAACCAUGAGGGAUUUCAUAUUUUCAUGUUGAACAAAUCUCUUUGUUUUGGUGUUUAUAUGUAUAGAGAGGGACUAAAAUGUGGGAGCUGAGGAAGAAGAUUAAUAUAUAUGACCAUGUAUAUAUAUAUUCUGGAAGAUCAGUGCAAACGUGGAAUAUGACCAUAUAUAUAUGGGAUUUCUUGAUGCACAGAAUGAUCGAGCAUCUUUAUUUGAUACUAAACCCUAAACAGAUUGAGCAUCUUACAAGUAAAAUGAACAUAAGAACUUGAUUAAUUAUGAAGAGAAGAAUUUAUGUAUUGUUCUCUUUUUACAUCAAAUAAUUCCUCUUCUACAAUUUUGACAGAGGCACAACCGCACAAAGCCAAUGGGUGCUGACUAGUAGCUACCCCUUAUUCCUUGCACACAUAAGUACACAGAUUUAAACUUAUCUAAGCACUUUGUACUUAAUUCGAAUUAGACAAAUAAAUAAUGAAUUUAAUAACGUAUAUGUAAUGUAUGGCUGCACAAAUCUAAUUAGUGUUAUUCUUAUCAUGCAUGGUCAUACGUGGAAGUUGUUCUGUUGAUUUCUACGCAUAGCUACACAUUCCAUACACACACGAGCUUCCUUUCUUGCAUUUGUUGUUGCAGCUCCCACAGUUUUUCUUGUCAGACAUUGAUUUCAGACACUUCCCUUUGCAGCAUAUCUCCGAGUACUUGCAUUUCUUCCCACACUUGCCGCAGUUAACUCUGUCCGUCUUCAAAUCCACGCACUUCUUCUUGCAGCAAUCUCGCCCCACGCUGCCUGCAGCCUUGCAAACCUUAGGGUUUUUGUCACAGGUAGUCGUGGUAGCCCGAGUGGCAAGGAAGCGGCUUGCUCCCCUGAGAGAAGUUUUCAUUUGGCUUAAGGUCGCAGGGAGAUCAUUGUCCUCGUCAGAAAACCAUUCCUCUCUAUCUUCUUCUGGGGCUGAUGCAGAAAGAGUAAUGGCGGCUAAAGCCAUUAGCAUGGCUAGCAGAAAUAAGACUUGGAUGGAGCCUUUCAUGUUUAUGUAUAAGUGAUGGAUUUCUAAAGGGGCCGGGAGGAUCGGAGUAGUACUAGGAAAAUGAUGAGAAAAUAGGAAUGUGUUUUUGAUGAGGAAGCAUGUAAGUUUGCAGAGGUAUAUAUAGAGAAUUAAAACUGUGUGUGAUACACUGGUACUUGGUGGGAUGGUCUAAUACGAAGGGCUGAAACACAUAUGCAAGUAAACGAAAGUUAGGCUUUCCGAGAAAGAUUAUAUUUAAAUUAGGUGAAUUUGCAAAAAGAUACAGAGAUUACUAUACGUAGAUAUUAGUACGUUGGGCAGGUUAGGCUAGCUCAUAUUCAUGGUUUUCAUUCUUCAUUCAUAUGUGUAUGUAGGUAAUUGUGUGAGCACAAUGCUCCUCUUCUUGUUUUAAGAGACUGCAAGAAACCAAAUGCAUGUCCUCUAUUCCAAACAUGAGUAAAAAGCCGUUAUGGAAGCACUAGCUGCUUGUAGCCUAUAUUGACCUUUUGAAGCUCAAUACUGAAUAGAAUUCUAUAGUUGACUAUUGACCAAUACGUGCAUCAAGAAUCUUCAAGGAUGACGACUUGGAAACCAUAUAUAUCGAGUUUAGUUCUUACCCGAGACAUACGUAUGUUGGUCGUCGAUGGAUGCUGCUUCCUGCAGCUAACAAGAUAUAAUUAAAAACACAAUAGUCCAAUAGGAUAUAAUCAAAUACCGUUCACCUACGCAUGUCUGCUUAUGAGGAAAAAGUUGCAUCAGGCAAGAAAAUAGAAAAAUUCUAAGAGGCUAAGUCAUGUAACAUGCUUCGAUAUAGUUCAGAUGAGGCAUUGGCAGCACAAAGCUUUGCUGUGAGAUUGUUCUUGUCUUCCUCAAGCUUCCUGCAUCUCUCUUCGUAGUGCAAAACACGAUUGUGAUAACGUGUAGCCAAACUAGUUUCUACUUCAAGCCUUCUAGCAAGGUCAGUGUUACUUUCGACAAGGCUGUUGAUCAUGUGUUCAUAGUAACGCAUCCACAUUCCGUUAUCAUUUUCGCUUUGCAUAUAGUAUUGGUUCCAGUAACUUGCUGUCAUUGCCACUUGAAAAUAGUACUGGUACCAAGAACUUGCUGCCACAAGCUGUUGUUUGAGUGCGAUUUUCUCACUUUUCCAUUUCUGUCUUCUUUUCUUGUACCUGCAGUCAUGUCCUUGACCAUUUAGCAAAGUCUGCUGAUCUUUUCCAAUAGCUGCAGUUAACUCUUCAAAUUUUGCCCUAAUGUCUUUAUUUUCUUGCUCCCAUUUUCUGCAAUCCUUUUUAUAAGUUUUCAGCGUUUCCAGCAUUUGUUCCUCAAACUUGGAGUGAGAAUCUAACUCUUCAACUAAAGCUUGAGACUUCAUCUUCGCUUCAACAGGCAUUGCAUCAAGCUUCUGACUGUCCAUUUUCCACGCGAGGAGAGUAUCUUGAAGUUCAAGUCUCUCUGCAUCUAAUUGAUCCUCCAAUGCUUCCUUUUCCUUCUCCAAUGCUUCCUUUUCUCUCUUCAAGUCAUCAUUUUCAGCUCUCAGUCUCUCAACUUCUCCAGUGACCACAAGAAGUGCUUCCUUAUUGCUUUCAUUUUCAGCUGUUGUGCUCUUCAUAAAAUAUUCCAUCAGAUCAUUAUCAGCCAUCACCAAUGGGUUUCCGCAGUUAUCAUCAACUUUUCCAUAUCUAUCAAAAUAACCAUAAGGAUCAAGUCCUUCUGACGACAUAUCAUCAAACCAUUGCCAUCCUGAACCCUCAUCGAAAAAUUUUCUGUCUUCUUCUUUCGGUGCUUCCACAACUUCCAAAUCCUCUUCUCUCGGUGAUUUGUAAUUCUCUUCAUCUGGUGCUUCUUCUUCAAUUUCAGAUUGCUUAUUAGUCUCCUGCAAAAUAUUAGCUGGUAAUAAGAUACUGGAUGGACUAUUACAGUAUUACUUAUGAUCAUAUAGCAUAUAUUUAAUUUUACUUUGCUUCAAGGAACUACGCACAUAGAUUAAAAACUACAGAAAUAUAUGGACCUCUAAACAAAUUAGAGACUUUCUAGCCUGAAUGUUGGAAGUGCUAAAUACCUUAGGUCUGGUGAAGGUGAAUUCUAAUCCAUGCUCCAUCAUCCCAUGUUUACCCACCAAUUUAUCUUCCCAAUUGUAUCUUUCUUCCUUUGGCUUGGUAGUGUCCGGCAAAAAGUUGGUUUUUGAAGAAUCAGUUCAAGUUGAGUUAAGAUACCAGUGUACUAAUUAUGAUCAUAUAGCAUUCAUCUUACUAUCUUUAACUGUAUAUGUGUAAAUAAUGAUAGCAUACAUGUUUCUUAAUCUGAAUGUUGGAAUAUGAUACCUGAUGUCUGGCACAUGUCACUUCUGAUAUAUGCUCCAUAUACCCGUAUUCAGGCACCAAUACCUCUUCCCUUAUGUUCCUUACAUCUUGGUGAUGGGUUUCAGACAUUUGUAUAGGCGACUCAUCGUCAAUUUUGGUAUAUGUGAACUCUGAUAUAUGAUCCAUAAACCCAUAUUUAGCCACCAAUUCCUUUUCCCAAUCGCUCUUUUCUCCUUGGUGAGCUUCAAAUUUCUCCUUUUGUGGUUCAUCCUCCGUCUUGGCUUCCUUUUUCUCUGCUUCUAUGCCCUUUACAGCUUCCUGCAAAAUAUUAAAAAUGAAAACACAAACAUUGAUUCUUGAUUGGAAAAAGUGAACACAGUUAAAACUCACUCUGAGUUUAGGAGUGUAAUGAUGCAGUGCGUGCAUCAUGUAAGCUCUAGAAAUGAGGCCCUUAUCCAUAAAUCUUGGUAUAAAGGAGUGAACACUGUAACAACUGUUGGUAAGAAAAAAGAGACCCCUGGCUAUGACCAAACUGUAUGGAGUUUGAUCAGUACAAUGGAGGUCCAAUAUCAUUAUUGCAAGUCGCUCAAUCCAGAAGAGACAGUCAGGCUUCUGCGUAACCAAGUUUAAUCAAGUUAAUUCAAGAGUAUCAACCAAAGAGCCCAUGUUAUAUAUAUGUAUAUAGGCCUAUAUAUCUGUUUAGAUAUCACAUAUGUACAAUGUAUGUAUGUAUCAGCAGACAUUUAUAUACAUCGAUCAGGUUAUGUUUUUCUGACAAAGAGUGGAGCAUGUAGACAAACUAGACAUAAACCUGAUGACUCGUACGUUCAAGCAUCAACCUUAGUCCUAAUUCACAGUCUGGCAAUAACAUCUUAAGCUGCACGUACUUUUUAAUUUUUAUCAACAAGAUGCGUAUGUUCCCCAACUCACUAGCAAGAAAAGCCAAAUUUGAUUCAUUAUUGAAUCAUAUUCACAAAUCGAUUUAUACAUAACCUCUCCUAGGAUGUCUUACAAGGUCUACAUUUCCAAAUGCACAUCAACUGGUAAUUGUAGUGUAAGUAUACAUGAGUGAGGGAGACAUAUAUGCACUGAUGGAUAUCUAGAGUGAGCAUACAUGCACUAAUAUAAUGGAGAUCUAGAGUGAGCAUACAUGCAUUAAUGGAGAUCGAGUAUUUAGUAUUGGUAGUUUAGUACUUAGUUACUUACCGCUGGCAAAGGAUCAACCUCUAACCUCAGAGCGAAGCAGAUCAAGUAGAUGAAAUCAGAAAAACAGAAGAACACGGUAGAGAAACGAGCAAAUCUGGAUAUCAAAAAGAUGCACACCACGACCACAAGCCGCUCCAGCCAGAACAUCAGUCGCUGUAAUAUGUCGACCUUUUGAACCAAAACCUCUCGAUUGUUAGUUUUCUGCACAAGUAAAUGAUACAACAUGCUGUUAGGCAACAGAAAAUUAUAACUAUAAAAUCGUAUCUUGAUUUAAUCAAGACUAAUGGAGGUCUGCUUAAUUGUCAUAUAACACAUGGAAAUCAUUGUUGCUAUUCUGGGCUCCCAACUAGUGAUGAAUUUGGUGGGGAAAGGGUACCCAACUGUCAUCAAAAGUACUAUGCAGCUUAUUAGGGGCAAAAAAUCAGUAAAACGGCCUCAAAAAUGCUGCAUGUAGAAGAAUCAAUAGUUUUAGGGGAAAAGGAUCAGUGAAACAGCCUCAAUAAAUCUAUAAGAGACCGAAUAAAUUAUUAGAUUGAAGCAGCUGGUAAGGGAUGAAGAGAGAGGUGAACUCUCUCUGUGCAAUGGGUAUGUCAAGGUGAAGUCUUCUUCUGUAGCAGUUAUUAAAACCCGAAAGUGAGAUUAUACUCCAAAACCUCUUUACUUGAUCAGCCAUUAAUAGAACCAAAUAGAACCAAAAUGAAACAAAUAUAUGCAAUUUUAACUACUACACACACACACACAAAUAUAUUAGCUUAUGCGCAAUGAUAUUAACAAACAUACCAAUUCGUAUGGAUAAAGCAUAAACAAAAUAGAAAAAAGUAACUUCGUGUUGUAAUCUAGAUGCUCAGAUGCAUGCAUGUAUAUAUAUAUCUAUGUAAAUGAAGUAUACAUGUUGUAAAGACCAGAUAUCGACUAGUGAUUAGCAGCAGUACUCACUCUCGGGCUAGGAUACUUGGGAAGUCCUUGCCACUUUCUUGUAGGCAAGAAGUAAACAAUUGAAGAACUGCAUAUGGUGGACAUCAAGUAGAAGCCGAAAGCUAUGCCCCAAGAUUUUGUAGGUCUGUGAUAGAGUGUUAGGAGGUAAAAGGUCACAGUUCGCUCCAACUAAAAUAUCCAGAUAUAAUGUGGCGGCAGCUGCAUAUAAUUAAAUUCAAUAAGUAAGGCAUAAAUAAGUGACAUUCCAAUAUAUAUUAUCAAGAAUAUGAUUGUAAGGCUGAACCCUAGAAUUAAAUUCAGGUACUUACAGCUGAUGUUGUACCAAUAAGUCGACGAUAACUGGAUAUGCCAUAGCAUAAAAAACUUGACCGAGUGAAAUCGAUGAUGGCGGAUUCCCUUGAGGAAUUGGGUACUAUUACCAGAAGAAGAAUUACAAGGAUCUUAACCUUUAGGAGGAGAUCAUCUGCUUUGUUUAGCAUCCCUCUUAAUUUGGGGGCCAUUCCCUUCUGUUCUACCAUUGUCGUGUACAUAUGAAGUCAAGAGAGACAAUGGUUAGGGUUUAAGAGAAAUAGGGGAUUAUAUACUAGUUUUUUUUCCUUUAAAAGUUUCUACAUUAAUUUACGCUUUCUUGACCUGUUUGGUACGUAAACUUCAAUUUAUUAGUAAAUAAAAUAUGAAGCUUCUAUCCAAUAGAAAAAAAGAAAAAAAGAAAAAAGAAAAUAAGAAGAAGGAACCAAAUUACAACUCGUCUGGCCUUCUUCUUUACUCUCUUCAUAAAAUUGCAUCAUACAGUAAUGAUGAUCAUAUUUAUCCCCAUGUUUAUAAAGGGUAACAAUGUAAAAUCUGAUAUUGUUUUGAUGUAAUAAUAGUUUGUCGCAUAAUAAUUCGAACUGAGACUGUCACACUAUUGUAGUCCCAUUUAUACAAUAACAAACAACAUAUUAGUUCUUUUUUUUUUGAAUAAGGACGAUAAGUCAUUUUAUUGAUCACUGAAUUGUAUGAAUAUAAUAUAAACAUAACACACUCGUAAGGACAAUGAUAGAAGAGAGCUAUGCAAAACAACCUAUAUGACAACAAAUCGAUUGAAGAGAGCUAUGCCAGCAAAUCGACAAUGACGAAGUUGCAGACAUGCCACUCCCUGACGCCUCUUUUUAUCGAUGCACAAAUCGGGGACCAAGGGAUCCUGUCGUUGUUGCCACCUCACAAACCUAGGGUUAAGUAGAAGCCUUAAUCCUUAGUGACGAAAACUUCUUACAAAUAACAUGUACGAAGCGGAUGCAUUUUUUUAAAACUACAUAUUAGUUACUAACCAAACUUCAGCUUACAAAUACAUCAUCUACCUAUUAUAUUACACAUUUAUAUAAUUCGGUAUGACCCGGCCCAGUUCAGAGUCGAAGCUUCUAGAGCAGAAGAAGAGAAAGAAUUCAGCCAUGAGUCAAAUUUAAUGAGAAAAAAGAAAAGAAAAAGAGUUUACAAAACGACGGCCAAGUUAGCACAGCAGAUGUAGUGUGUGAGUGAGGUGAGGAGAGACUGAGUGGACUCUCAUACAAUGCAGCUGAAUGCAAUGGCCGGAGAGAGAGAGGCGAUGCUGGAUGCGCUCUUGGAGAACAAUCUGGUUCUAGGUCGACCCGAGAGGGAACAUGUGCCAACUAACCCACAAUGCAUCUUCACUCAGCUGAAUGCUAUGGCAGUCAUGCUCUCUCUCAUGGUUAUCUUUGCUAUGCAAUAUUUGUUUUUGAAUGGUUACAUCACUUUUCUAUUGGUGUCCAUGCUGCUUGCCGGAGCUCUGGAGGUGCCGGGAAACGCUCUUCGCUUGGUUGAGUCUGCUCCACUUGAGAGGCGCUUCAAGGUGAAAGUUUGUUUCUUGUUCUGUGGUACCCUAAGCAUCUACCUCAUCAUUUACUUGGGCCUCGUGUUCAACCACUCAUGUUUCUGCAAUGGAAGCGCCUGAGAUUUUGCCUCUAGAGUAGUUGUUGUUUAUAGCUUGUUUCAACUCUCACCACCUUAUGGAGCAAAUAAUUUGUAGUAGACUCUGUGCUAGCUCACAUAUGACAUUCUGGGUUGUGUGAAGAAUUUUGUUACGGAAAUUUUGUUAUAUAUAACUCUGUUUUCUAGGUUAUGGAAAUUUUGGAUUUGAAGGAUUUUUGAUAAUUUUCACUGUUCAUCAUGCAUUGCAUUAAUUUUAUUAUAUUUUGUUUUAUAUUGAUAUUUCCAUGUAUAUGGAAAGCGACGCCACUUCUCUCUCUCUCUCUCUCUCUCUCUCUCAAAACCCCUCGCCGCCUCGCAAUCUCUCGCUCUUUGCCCACCAUGGCUUCUCAUCCUCCUCCGUCAAUACCUUCACUGCUAGCCCAAAAGCUCUAUGCUUAACACGUUUGAGUUUGAGGGCCCCUGGAAAUUGAGAAAUUUUAGCCUCUGCUUUGUUUUCGUUGUAAAAGCAGGUUAGUAUAGUCAAACUGUAUUUAUGUUUUGCUAUUAGCAUUUCUAGAUUCAGGUUUCAUCAAGUGUUGUAAUUACUUUGUUUUUCUGGGUUUUGUACAGCUGGGGCUAUGCUUCUCUUUAAUUUGGUAUCUUACAUUUGCCAUUUCUAUAAAUUAAUGAUCUGAAACCACUAGUCUUUAUUAUGCUUUUGGUGCUUCAACAUAAUUGUACAUAUUGAGUUAUUGAUUGUUUUUCUAUCUUUGAUGUUCUAUAUCAAAGUUUACCAAUUUGUUAUGAUAAUAGAAGAAACAUAUUGGUAUUCUGUUCUAUUAGGAUUGAAUGUUUCUAAGUUGAUUAAGGCCAUAUUUUUUAAAGUUAUACUCAUUUUUCUUGGGGAAAGCUCAUCAGUUUUAAGCCAAUGUACAAAUCUUAUGUCUGCUCAGUCAUCUGUUUUGUUUCUGAAUUUUUGUAGCAGACACUUUGCAAACUCUGAAAACAACUGGCAAAAUGUUAAAAUGUAAAAAAUACAAUCUGGGGCACAUGAAUAGUUAAUUAUUGUUUUUGUAAAGACUAUAAAAGUAUAAAUGGGUAGACAUAUCCUACUUUAUCAGACAUAAUUUAACAAGUAACAACUCCGGUUAUUCUAAGUGUUUUUUUUUUUGCGGGAAGGUAUGUUGUCUAAGAUUUAUGGUGCAUAAAUAAAUUCCAAGUCUGUAAAUAGAGUUAUUAGUGGAGUUUGAAGACGAUUGUUGUAACAAGUUUGAAGAACUGGGGUGUAAAAGAGAUGGGAUGAAUUAAACUUUUUUUCUUAUAAUAUAGUAAAAAUUUAAUCUCUUCUGUAUGUUUCUUCAUUAAAAUUUGGACUUUGAAAAUAGAUCCAGUUGACCUCAUUUCAUGAUAUUGUUUGAAUUCAUGGCUAUGAUUAUCUUUGGAUUAAAUGCUUUCUAGGACGAACAUUACAGAGAGAUGGCUCUGCAACUGGAACUUGAAACAUCAUCAGUGCCUGAUCUAUCAUUUGCUACACUGUGAAAAACAAGUACUUUACAGCUGGAUGGGAUCUUAGUAUAAACAUACAUUUCACUUGUCUUGUUAAUCAUUUUGGUUCUUGUCAUAAAUUUUUUUGACCAAUAUGAAUGUUUUUCAGGGAAUGAGUUAAAUGAAUGUUGCUUAUUGAAAAGGAUUUGGAUUUGGUGUACUGCAAAUACAUUUAGUAGCCUUCAAAACAUCCUAAAGACCUCUACAACUUCAAUAAGGGCAUGGAUUUGGGAACUUGGUGUUUAGAAAUAGUGGUCAUCAUCUUGCCAUGAAGCAAUCAUGCUUAGUUUAUGGUAACUUUUCUUAACAAUUGGUCACCAUGUUCAAUCUUCAAAAGUUGAAUUAUACUGAUUAGUAUUAGUUUUGAGUAUUGACUAUUGAGUAAUGGUAUAUUAGCCGAAAUUGAGUAAUGCUUAUAUUCAGGCAUACCUUAUAACAUUCUUUUGUUACGUUACAUGCAUACCUUGAUCAUGCAUGUGUCAUAUAGACACAAUCAUACAACAAAUCAAAUCAAAGUUGCAAUCUUGGAAAAAGGCAAGUCAGACGUUGCACGCACAGAUACAUCUCAUUUCUAUUCGAAAAGUCGAUUCCUAAUUCUAUAAAUAUGUUUUUCGAUGUGUAUAUCUCUCAUCAUUGGAGUCACAUAGCCCGUAUGGUAUGCUUGGAAAACUGUUCACAUGCAUGUAAUUUGUAUUGCUCCAUGUACUCCAAUGAAAGAACCCUGUUGUUCCACUUAAUCAUUUGUUUACUCAAUUGGUACUCUGAAAUUAGAGUGUUGUGUGUCACAAGUUGAAAUUCACAUUGCAUUUACAUAAAACUUGUGUCCACCAACUACUAUCUAGUAUGUUAACCAUUCAUUAUCUUGAAUGAAGACAAAUAGUAAGUUUCUAACUUGUCUGAGGCAAUCUGUAAUAAGUGUGUUGGAGAAACUAAGAAAAGUUAGGAGCUUAACUCCUACAGGGCUAGGAAUUACUAAUGUUAGAUAGUGUAAAAAUCUGAUAGCCCAACUAGAUUAUGAAGUUUAAUUUGGGGAUUGAGGACUUGUUUGGUAGAACAAACUAGCUAGGACAAACAUAAGUUAUGUAUACCUUUUGUGAAUUUUGAGUCUAGUGAUAGUGGGAGGACAACUCCUUCCACCUUAUGGACUACGCCAAAUUGAAUUCACCUUUUAAAGAAAUGAAGUCUUGUACUCUCUGUGUUCGUUUUGCUAGCUUUGAUUGUCUUUGUUUUGUGAUAUUCUCUUGUCAAGAACUAUUUGUGUUUCUUGAUUUAAUGAUUCUUGUUUCUCAUAUUGAUUAUGACUAAAUCUGGUGUAUGCACAAAUAUUGUGUUUCUCCCUUUCCCCGGUUUCUUCUUCCUCUUCUCUUUGUAGAGUUUUUCUUUGUUAAGAUGAUUAACAAUGCACUCAUGUUCAUUCUAUCCUCAAUCAUAAUCAUUCCCAAUGGGAACAUGCAAGACAAUCGGGAAAAAUUUUCAGAGAGAUCUUGCCAUUGAGACGAAAGGAUAAUUAUUGGAACUGCACCAAACUUUGUUCUGGUUGAACUGUUUUAGUUGAUACAUAGACAUUCAGAGAGUGAUAAAAGAGAGAUGAGAUCGGGUGUGGUGAAAUGUUGUAGGUAUUUGCUGAAAAGUGGGAUGAAGUUGUGGUGUUCGAGAUAGUUGGGUGCGCUUUGAAAAUUGCAUGUGAUGGAUUGAAUCUUGAAAUAGGAAAGAAGAGCAUAAGAGAUUCAAUGAGUGUGGUGGUGGUAUGCUUGGCUAGGGAAGAUGUUCAUGAUGAAGCUGAAGAGAGAAGGAGUAAAACAAUCCUAUCAGGGACUGUACAUGUAGUUGUUCACAAAUAAGCUGGAGGAACAUAAGGAGAGAACAAUAUACUAACUAGAACGAGAUAAAAACAACACUGAGUAUGAAUUCAUUUAUUUUUUCUUCAUUCUCCUGUCUCGUCCCUUGACCACGAUCACUGGUCAGGAUGUCGUUCUACCAGGACCAUCCUGAAAAUUAGUUAAUCUAUAAUAGUCAGGUCGUCCAAACAAGCCAUAGUUGUUUGCUCUGCUCCCUUCUCCUUCUCGUGUCACAUGUGAUGUAAUUUUGUUUUCCAGUUAUCAAUUAAGGCGACAAUAGUUAGUAGGCCGGUAACAUCUCUAGAUACUGCACUUUUUCUAGGUGAUAGGGUGAAUGAGGGUAAUGGUAGUAGGCUGCAAAGCUCUUUAGAACUAUCAAAUACUUAUGGUUAGUGUAACUACUACCACAAUUUGUGACUGAAUAUCAUAUUGGUAAGAGUAGUACUAUAUUCUUUAAGAAUAAUGUUAUAUCAUCUAUACAGCUAUACUUCUUUAUCAAGACACAACAAGUAUUAUAUCAACUAGAGAAGUUCAUGAAUAAGAGUAAUAUUGUAUCAGCUUCUACUUUGGGUUAACUGCAUGUUUAGCUUAUUAUUAGAUCCUUAAAAUUUGUCUUAUAAUCUUAUCAGCUCCUCUUGUCUCCUUCUCAUCGGUGGAUAUAUGUACGCAUGUUGAGUAAAAUUAUUUAUUGUACAUUCUAGGUUUAUGUUCUAUACAAAGGAAUGUAUAUGUGGUAUAUAGUACAUAUACUAUGUUGGAUGAGUUAAACAUCUGCAAAAUGCUCUAUUGUAAGUCUGUUAAGUUGAAAACAUAUAAUUAGUUGCUUGGAUUAAUUGUGACACUUCAAGGAUUGGAGGUAUCCCUUGUAUCGAUGAUGAGCGUUCUGGUGUUUUGCAGAGAGAUUUUCCUUUCAAGGCGCUGUUUGUCUGAUGCACACAUAGCUUAUUGUUUGUGCGAAUGGUUUUGUCAUCUGGUAAUUUCUAUGAGCUCGAUCUUGUUUUGUUGUUGUUGUCAACGAGCUUAGUGUUGGUUGUGUGCAUGCUUUAUUUCUUUCUCAACUGUUAAAUCAAAAACGAAAUGCAAAACCUCCGUAUCUUAUCAACAUACAUGGUAAUUAAGUUAUGCUGCUAAGGUUAGUGCAAGUAGGUUUUGGAUAUCGUUGAUGAUGCUCAAACUCCAAACUCCGAAAAACCUAUAUUUCAUCUAUAAAGACUGCCCAGUACGUCUUGUUGAGAAAUAUUCAUAGCCAGUUUACUCCGAUAGGGUUUACAAUGAAUAAAGUAAAAUAGAUAGUUACUUUUGCCGUCUUAAUGAAGAUGCCAAAAUCCAAAACAAACACGGGUUAUUAUUUUGAGUAAUGCUAGGUGAACCACUUUUUAGUGAACCACUUAGAGCCCACCUUAGGUGGCAGCAUGACGUGACAUAGCCACAAUAUUAAAGCAUUAUAUAUGUUUUAUUUUAUAUUUCUAUUUUUUUAUUUUAAAGUUUUAUCUUCUAAACUCUUUUCUUUCUUCCAACAACAAAAAAAAAACUGUUUCUUUCUUAUCUCUGUACAAAGUCCUUCAUAGACGUUGUUCUCAUCUCCUUCUCAAUCUCAUCCCUUCUCUCAACAUCCUCACUCCAUGUUUAAUUGUUCAAACACCCUCUCACUCAAAUUUUUUUUCCUCGCGAGCAUCGAUGACGAUAUUCAACGUUAGUUCGGUUUUUCUUGUGUAUGAAAUUUAGAAAACCAUAGAUAAGGUUAUUCAGAAAUAUGAUAGGGAGAUCGAAGAAGAGAUCUUUGAAGAUGGUGUAAAAUAUGUUUGUUUAAUAUUGAAGAAGUGGUAAGAGCUAUGGGUUUUUUUUUUCGAAAACAAUUGCUCAUGAUGAUUUUCGUUGGAGCAAGACAUCAAAUCAAAUCAAGAAAUUACAAUACUCACGAAAGGAUCAUAUAGUUCUCCAGCUUUUUGAUGUGGUGAAGGCUAGGGGAUCAAUUGGCAAGAGUUGCAACAAUGCUCUAAAGAUAUAAAUUAUAAUGAGGCAGUGAAUGAACAAUUAAUUGGACGGAGGAGGUGACUAGAGAGAGGACGGAGGACGGAGACUUAGAGACUUGGUAUGGUCGAGUCUUAGAGAGGACAGAUCGUGGAGGAGGAGAAGAUGAAGAUGAUGAAGAAAACUCUAAAAAAAAAAGAAAAAGGAUUAAACAAAAAAUAAAGUAAAUUCAUGUUAAAAGAGAAAAAAAAAUUACGUAAUUAAGAAAAAUAUAAACAGAAAAACUAGAUGUUACUAACAUUACUCUAUUAUUUUUGGUUUUUUUGCAUGUUCUUCCUCUCAGAAAAAGGAAAAGGAUCAAAUCAUGUUGCAUGAAUAACAAAAAGAAUCUAUUUGUACAUAAGUACGACAUAGACAGCCAUGUCGUUCGUUCCUUCCAUGGAUGCAAAAGUCCCCCGGCAUUAUACAAGUUGUUCACCUAGGAGUUUUAGCUCUUCUCGAAUCCUUGUAUAAGAAAGACGACAUGAUGUUUCUUCAACGUAGUACUGCAAAUAAUUUCUGUAGUGAUCAGAGUGGUAGACUACAAAAUCGUAAAGCUCCCGCAGAAUUGGCCGCUCCUCCUCUGAUUGCUUCUAUAGCGAGUAACCUCUUCUUCUCAAUUUCAGCUCUCUCUUUCUGAGUUAUACAAUACAUGGAGUAUGUGUUGCAAGCAGUGCCUAUGGUUGAAAUUAUGCACAAACCAGCCAUGAUUACUAUAUACCAAAAACUAGGCCAUCCGAAAAACAUCUGGAGUACAGUAACCAGCCUAUCAAUGAAGAAUGCAAUAUAGUAGUCUAGCAUUGCCUGCAACGAUCGAUCAGAAUUAGUUCAUAGGGUUCAACUACAUGUAUAAUUGAUACAGAGAGAGAGAUUAAUCAGAGAAAUAUAUACUACUUACAGGCAUGGAAAACCCAAACGAUAUAACACAAGGUAGUGCAAUCUUAGCACUGUUCCGAUCACGAUCAACAUACCAUUAGCUAGAAAUUCCGGACAGAUGAGUAUCAGAAUCAAUGUUGAGAUCCUCUCACAUACGCUGACGAGAAUAUCUAAGUAGACGAAUUUGAAGUCGCGGCUGGAUGUCUUGGUCUUCCUGUCCUCAUUUUCAAUCUCGACGUAGUCUGUCAUUGUUGCCUUGCUUAAUUUGCAGCUAUAGCCAAUCGAUCUACGGUUUUAAGAUAUGCUUAUAGGGGACGACCUACGUAUUACGGUAUCAGAUAUGACUACUGUUACCUAGUUUACCGCCGGUUAGUUAUAAGGUAAAGAUUGUAUCAGAGUACAACUAGUAAAAAUUACUAGAGAUAUUUUACCGUCUUACCAAAAUAGCGCAUAAGGGUUGUGUUACAAGUUAAACGAAACACGUAAGGGUUGUCAAACAAAAAACGAAACACAGUUUCACUCCGAUUGGAAAGACAAGUUGUAAAUGUACCACACCAUUGAGAAUCAUUUGUUUACUGUAAACACUUGGUUCCUUCCUUCUCCUUGAUACAAUUUCACUACAUUUAUCUUGUAGUAGUAUACAGAGAUGUGCACCUAGCAAAGACAGAUGAAAGAGAACUUACCAUGAGAGAUUGGCAUUGGCCUAUAGAUCCGCUGCGAUAAAAGAUCCUAGCUAGCGGUUUGGAGUAAAGUCCGAGGUUCCCAAAAUACGAGUAUUGGCUAGACAAAUUGAAACUAGAGUAGCAAAGCGUCACGCUUUUCAAUCCUCCCAUAGCUAACAAACACUUAAAGAUCGAUCAUGUCCAACGCAUAGCCUCAUAUUUGUCUUUGAGUACGCGUAUCUCUUCCUCCAACUUGUGCAUCUGUUCUCUGUGCUUCUGCUUCUCCAUCUUCAACCUCUGCUCAACUUGUUCCUUCUCCAUCUUCAACUUUUUCUCAAACUCAUCCACCAAGGCUCUGUACCUUCCUUGUUUGGCUUCCAGCAUAAGCAGUCCAUGGUCACAUCGAUCUUUGACUUUGAGUAACAACUCUUCAAAGUACUUGGUGUCUCCAACAUGAUGAUCUUUCCCUGAUGAUAAAUUCUCUAAUUCUUCGUCCAGUAUGGUAUGAAUGUCCUCAAGCUGAUCAUAUGCUUGUCGAUUUCCUCUGCGUCUUCUUCGUGCAUCCGAAUAAUAAGAACUCAGCAAGAAAACGAUAGGAGAAGUGAUUGACAGAACAAAACCAAAGAACAAUCCAAGCACAAGAUGAACAAGCUUAGGGUCCAAGGAAGCAGCAACCUCAAGCAGUCCCAUUGCCACAAGAUCGAUCUUCUUGUUAAUAUAUACGUACUGAUGAUUAUAUAAGGAUCAUAUAUAUAUGAGAAGCUAGACCGAUGCUUGAUUUGGUUUGGAAAUAAUGUUGCUUAGAACGCACUAUUUGUUAAUAUGUUAGCGUGAUUCCAGAGCUAUCUCCAUUAAGGAAUGGAAUAUAUAUAGUUGGUAUCGGUUAAAAGAGAGAUAUCUCUCAAAAAGAUUUCAUUACUAUUGUGAAUAUCUGUACAUGCCUUUUUGCUUCACAGUGCACUUUGCUUUGUUCUGCAUUUAACUACUCAAAUCAUAUAUAAUUUGUGUAGCUUUUCACCAAAUAAAAUCGCAAAAAGAAUAAUAUCUGGAAGGAAAAGGGAAUAAACCACAAAGCUAAUCGAUCGAGCAAAUAUUUGCAUAUUAAUAUUCCAAUACUGUCCCGCUACUAGUCUGUUAUUUCCAAAUUGGCACCUUUUCUUUGUAGGAAGUUCCUCGACUUAUUAGAGGAGUACAUGAUCGAGCAUCGAGCUGUUGCAGGAUUGCAUGAUCACAAAAAUAAGGAACAUAUAUAUUUCCAUCGUAGCUUUAGUGAAAAUGUAGUCAAUGCCUCAAUGGUGUCGGUGUGAUAACAAUUCAAGACAAUCGAUAAUUAUAGUGGAAUUAUAGUCAUUUAUUCCGAUGAUUGAUGUUUCUUUUGUUUUUAAAAUGUCCGAAAUUAAAUCAUAUCGUCAUGAUAGUAAAAGUUGUCAUUUAGUUAACUAGGGUUGCUAAUCUCUUAGUGACACCAUUGGCUUCACCGAUGGUAGACACCUCUUUCUAACCUAACUGAAUGAUCAUACUAUCAUUCAACAAACUCUUUGGUAGAGAAGAAGAAGAUCAUCCAUCGAGUCCAAAUAAUGUCAACUGCUUACCUACUUGCGGGGAGUUGACUCCAACAAACAUUCCUGGCGUCAAAUCCAACAAACAUUCGUGGCGUCAAAUCCCGAAAAACGACACCGUAUGGUCAGAUAAAAGUGAGCUACGUCGCCACUCUUGUUGACGUGUCAUCUUCUCCUUCUUCUCCGCAACAACAAAAUAGCCGAUUCUUUCGUACUCGGUUGUCCACUUCACUCCGACUUAUCGGCCGCGAUCAAAUGGCCGAUUAUGUCCUCAUUCCAAACGGAGAAGAAGACCGUUCACCCCUCGCCGCCACUCCCAAGCCUCCACGUGUCGCCUCCCUCGAUGUCUUCCGCGGCCUCUGCGUCUUCGUGAGCCUCUCUCUCUUUCUCUUACCUCCAUUUCUAAUCCGCAGCUUCUAAGUCAAACCGGUUGACUUUAUAGUUGAAGUGAAUUUGAAGUCUUUUUAUUUGAAUUGAAUAAUCGAGCUGCUAUUUCAAUUCGAAGUUUUUGAUGCUAAUUUAUGAUGCAUUGCUUGAAUUUCCAGCUGAUGAUGGUGGUUGAUUACGGCGGCUCGAUUGUUCCGGCGAUCGCACACUCGCCGUGGACCGGUCUCCAUUUGGCUGACUUUGUGAUGCCGUUUUUUCUCUUCAUUGCCGGAGUUUCUCUCGCUUUGGUCUACAAGGUACUCAUGGAUGGAAAUUUGACUGGUUGUUGUUUUCGGCUUUCGAGUCUAGUUUAGUACUGUAAUUUGACAAGAAUGCUCAUUAUUUGCUUGGAUUUGUGUUACUAACUCGGUUAUGAAAUUUGAAAACUCGGUUUUGAUUGGCAAUUGCAGAGAGUGAGUAACAGAGUGGAGGCUACAUGGAAGGCCGUGUUUCGUGCGGUUAAGCUCUUUCUGUUGGGCGUUCUUCUUCAAGGUAAUGUGGUCUGUGUGUUCCAUGUGAGCACAUUUCAUAUGCAAUGCAUGUACAAAUGAAUGAAAUAGUACAUUGUUGGAUGCCUAAAGAACCGAGAUUGGACUUGUUGUAAUAAUACAUGGAUAGAAAUGGAAGUGAGGCAUAAUGUAGGCAGUGACAUAACUUUAGAGUCUCUAGAAACUAUUUUUGUAUUCAUGUUCACGUAAAGGUUUGGACUUCUCUUUAAAAUUGAAAGCUUAGUCACUGUUGUGAUUCUUUGGUUGAUUAUGUGAUAGAAGUAGUACUGAAAAUACCAACUUUGUAUUGUCCAUGCCAUUCCAGGUGGUUAUUUUCAUGGAGUAGCUUCCUUGACUUUUGGAGUUGACAUUGAAAGAAUACGGUGGUUUGGAAUUUUGCAGGUGCAUACCCUUUGAUUGUAUGGUUUCAAUUUCUUGUAAGUGUUAUAAUAGAGGCCACAUUAGCCGCCAGCUAGGAAGCUCACUUGCUUAAUUAGAUAGAAUCUACAAUACAUCUGGUUCUACUGUAUUGUAAUGUUCGCUAUGUGGUAAUUUGAAUCACUAUAUGUGCUUAUAAUGGAGGCUACCUUAGCCACCCGCUAGGAAGCUCACUUGCUUAAUUAGAACUGUAUUGUAAUACCUUUAUUUGCUAUGUGCUAAUUUGUAUCACAUAUAGUGCUUAUCUUUUCUUUACCAUUUUGGUUUCUACCCAGAGGAUAGCCAUUGGAUAUAUGGUUGCAGCUUUAUGCGAAAUUUGGCUUUCACGUCGGACCUCGAGCGAAGUGGGGUUUUUCAGGAGCUAUUACUGGCACUGGUAAGUUUAGAUUUGUAACACUGGUAAAUAUGAGUAUAAAGACUUUUUUUCUUAUGUGGUGGUGAUUUCGGUUCUCUACGUUUUAGGUGUGCCAUCUUUCUGUUAUCAGCAAUAUACAGUGGGUUGCUGUAUGGUUUGUAUGUUCCAGAUUGGGAAUUCAAAGCAUCAACACCUACAUAUUUGACUCCCUCUAAUGAUAGUCAUGUUUACGUGGUGCGACUAUACUUGGAACUUCUUUUCUUUGUUUACGUUUAUGCCUUCUGCUACACUGAAUAACUUUGAAGUGAUUAGUUAUCAUGCCGAGAAUGUGAAAAUCAGCAUGUUCACAUGAUGGAAUCUUCAUUAUUUGAUUCUUCAUGAUAAUAGUUUCUUAUCCCCCUGCUGUCUUUCAAUGUCUUGUCUGGUUUAGUCCUUGCAAAUGUUUACAUCCUGGAAUUUUUAACGUCUCUUUUUUCCUGUAAUCCGUUUUUCUCUGCUUUCUCUGAACAGUUUGCAUGGUUGAAAUACUUUUGUUUGGACUGUGGAUAACCUGCAUGUGCGUGUACAAAAUAUUUUCUCCAGACUAAGAUAUCCAUCAUUCGAUACUUUAUUCUUCGUUCUUAAGUUUGAUUUGGUAUAUGGUGUUUAUAAUAAAAUUCAUGAGCAUGGAUCCUUGUUCACCUUUAUCGAUUAAGGUUUCCUUCAGGUGGUAUGAUUUUUGUUCAAUCCUCCCAUUUUGAUUACUCGGUUGUAGGUGAAAUGUUCUAUGAGAGGAGAUCUUGGACCUGGUUGUAAUUCUGCUGGGAUGAUUGAUCGUUACAUAGUGGGUGUUGAUCAUUUAUAUUCAAAACCUGUAUACAGGAACCUGAAGGUGAUUACUUAUUAUACACUGCUUAAUUCAAAUUGAAAAAAGAAAAAGGUUUAAUAACAAAUUUUAAACAUAAUGAAGAAGCAUUUGAGUGACGGUGCCUUACCAGGAUUACUAUUUGCAGGAGUGCAAUAUGUCUACUGGUGGUCGCAUUCCAGAGAGUUCUCCUUCAUGGUGUCAUACACCUUUUGAUCCUGAAGGUAUAUUAAGGUGCCCAAUCUAACUUUUUUUCUCCUCUACUUCACCGUGGUCCUAGGCUGUUUUACUUUCAGUUCAUAUUCUUUUAUCAGCUGCGUUUCUAUUCAAGAGAACUAUCCGAAUGAUUGUUAACUUAUGCUCAGGAGCGCUAUUCCAAGUUCGUAAACACCUAUUGAUCGUAUAGAUUAUAUACUUUCAUUUAUCCAUGUCAAUCUCCAAUUCAUUUAUAGGGACUUAAUGUGCUUCCAUACAUAUUUCGUGAUAGUAUAUCUAAAUCAAUUUGGAAGUAAAAUGACAAUCUUUUUGAAAGUAUCGGAAGAACAAACAGACAAUCUUCUUCCAGCUUCCUUUCAGUAUAGAUUUUCAUGCCAUUAUUGUUUCUCCCGGGCUCAGUAAUUGAGCAUAUAUCUUAGGAUAUAGGCUUGCCCUCUUCUUUAUCAAUUUCUUUUUGUACGCAGUAGUAUUUCAUCCCAGCUAAUAUCAGUCUACUGACAUUCUUAUUUGCUUUCUUAGUACCCUAACGGCAGCAGUGACUUGCAUAAUUGGACUCCAGUACGGUCACAUUCUUGCACACAUACAGGUAAUAACCAUUUUGCUUUUAUGGAUAUCCUCAUUCACCCACAAAUUAUGUAGCAAUCAUCUUGUGUAUAUAUGAACAUCAACAUUGACAACAAUCUUUAAAUUUGUUGAAUUCCAUCCGUGGCAUCAUAUGGAGAGUACAAUUUAUUUAUGAUCUUUGAACUAUCUUUGUAGCUCUAAACUCGUAAUUCUCUUAGCAUAAUUGCUGUAACUUACUGUUUUCAGGACCACAAAGGGCGACUGAAUAUUUGGUCUCUGUUUUCAGUAUCAAUGUUUGUCCUCGGAUCAUUUCUCGCGUUCAUAGGUAUGCAUUCUAUAUAACUUAAUUAUUCUUGGCUUGAAGUCAGUGGGUACUUCAAUCAAUCAAUUAAUCUAGCCAAAGCUGAAAUGGUUUUAGUAAAACCUGCAUCUCUUAGUAUGUAGAUUUGUUAUGAGGUAGCUCUGGUGAGCACUAAUUCUAACUUUCUACACUUCACUUUUCUUAUUUUCAGGUGUUCCUGUAAAUAAAUCUCUGUACACGAUCAGUUAUCUGCUAAUUACUUCAGCAUCUGCGGGAAUGACAUUUUGUGCUCUAUAUCUGCUGGUCAGUUUUUAAGAGUUUAGUCUUGUCAUUUGACACCUAUGCAUGUGUCUUGAUUAUUUUCACUAUGUUUUCUGUCUAUGGUGAUAUACCGACACUUACAGUUUCCCUGUCUGAGACGUGAUACGUUCCUUUUGAUUUAUUUACCAUAAUAAGUUGAGUAACUUGACCUCAAACCUGAUUUUAGGAUUGAGCUCGCAGUUGGACUCCAUUAUUUAAGAAACAGUCUAUUCAUGGAGAAUCGAAGUUAGACCAAAAAAGGAAUUUCAGUGCCACACAAUCAUGCUGUGUUCUCAGUUUCUCACUUAGCUUGUAACUUAAUAGACAUUAAUUUCUUACACAUAUGAGACCAUUAUCUUUACUUCUUACAAUUGAAUUUUACCCUUCAUGUUUGCAAAUGUUCUCUUUGCAUCGUUGUUUGGUAAAAAAAAAAUAAUAAUACUGAAGGCUAUUUGGUAAAAUUAUAACUAUGCAUUUUGUCGAUUAUUAUAACAACCUAAUUGAUAACUGCCUGCAAUGUAUUGCAGAUAGAUGUUUACGGUUAUCGGUGCAUAACAUUUGUGUUGGAGUGGAUGGGCAUACAUUCUUUGAGUAUUUUUAUAGUUGUAACUUCCAAUCUAGCUGUUAUUGCGAUUCAGGGAUUCUACUGGACUCAUCCUGAGAAUAAUAUUGUAAGUGUCGAUGGCUUGCUACUAUUUUAACCUACACCGUACAUAUAUACUGAGACUUCUCUUUUAUGAACAGGUUCACUGGAUCAUAACACCUUUUGUGCACAAGUGAAUUAUUUCUUUGGUGUUCAAGGAUGGAUAAGAAUCAUUUGGACAACUGUCCAUAAUUCAGAAGCAUUCAUGGUUGCUUCAUGAUUCUCAUCACAUCAUCUCAUGCAUGAGAUCUGAAUUUUGGGGUCCAAUUUCUUCCUAUCAUCUAUUUCUACAUCCAAACAUAUUCUGCCAUCUCUUGCUCAAGUAACCGAGAUUAUUCUUCGAUGAUUCAGACUAGAAGCUCGUGCAUUCAUUUGACCAUGAAAGAAUCUGGUAUCUCAGUGCUCAAAUUUUAUCACCUGCAAUUGUGUCACACGAGUCCUAUUACCUUUGUGAACUUCAGUAGCUAAGGUAUUCCAGUUCACAGGGUUACAGUCGCAGGUUCAAAACCUCCCUUGACCCUUGUCAGUAAAUUGUUUAUUUUUAUUAUAUUUUUAUAGAGAAAUGAAAAGCUCUGGACUCUGUUCUAUGCUGUAUGUUCUAAGCAUCAAUUAGUUCGUUCUUUGCUGUUGGUCCAUCAACCCGGAAGAUGUUUGGAAAUCGCGACUGAUUAUUUCUAUUGUCUCUAUUGAUAAAUGAGGGACGUUUUGUACUGAAUGAAAGGCAUGUAAGAGAAUGUCUUAGGGGUCCUUGUUCGAGGCUAUGAAGUAAGCCUUGUGGAAGGAACAAUGUGCUAAAAGGCUUGAGGUUUUAUGACACUAUUACACUAAUUUGUCUGCUCGUUAUCUUACAUUCUAACCUGUGAAUUGAGAACAAAAACACCAACAAAGUCACCAGAGUGCCUCACCUGAACUUUCUAAAACAUGUGAUGUUUCACCUUCAUGCAAUUAGUGUGUUCUAUAUAUUGGCAGUUAGUUCCUUUUAUUGUUUUAAUAAUACGUUGAUGGACAAGCUCCCGUGAAAAACAGUUUGCACAAUGCUAAGAGUAUAGGAAUCCACAAUAACCACUGCGUUUAGACGGCUUCCUAUCGACUAACAUCUCGACUCAACCGAAUGAUGAUCAUUCAAAUGCACAGUACCAACAAAGCAGCAAGCAACACAAACGUACCGCGGAUUCGACGAAAAUGUCCUAACCAUAGAAGGACCCCACACACACACAGAGCAUGUCAUCAACACAUCGCCCAGGGUAUAAGGGGCAUGAUGACUUGACGUGAUCCUCACCUUCCUCCAGUUCAAUCAAAACCUAUCUUCAAAAUCUCAAGCGGAUGAAUAAAAAUUUUGUACAGGUCUUUUAUUUGCCUUUCAUUAUAGACAAUACCUUCCGUAUUAUCUAUGGAAUUCGAACCCUAUUUAUUUACUUACUAUUUUUUUCUAUCUCAUCGGUCCUUAUUUAUGAUUUCAGCAUAUCAAUUCACCCUUAGCUUUUUUUUCUUUUUUUUCAAGUUUAUGGACGAAUGCUGCCUAUUUUUAACAUUUAGGAUUUACAUAUACAACAUAUAUCACUUAAAAGAGGUUUACUAACCCCCCCGGGAAGGAGUUUCCAUAUAUCAUCUGAUCGAUCCAUGACUUCUUUGUCAGAGUGCUAAUAAAAAAAUUACUUUUAUUUAUUUAUUAUUAUACCCAUCAAAGACCCCCUUGAUUCUUUUGAUCAAGAUUCAUAUUGAAAGUAAUAAGCAAUACAGUAAUUAGAAUCCCGGAGCUCGAUUCAGGAUGAAAUUCCUACCCAUCUGAGCGUACGCCACCUAUCACCGCCUAGCCCCACCCCGUUCCCGCCUAGCCCGCAGAAUUGUCGUUUGUUUUGAAAGCGACAUGUCGUUUGUGAUCGUGGAGGAAUGUUGAAUGUAUGUUUCUGGAUAUAUGUUUCUUCUGCUACUAAGACCAACUUGUUUUCCUUGUUUGCAGCAAAAUGAGAUUUUUGCCUUUGCCUACUUAACAGAGGUUUACUCAUUCAUUCUUUGCUUCUGGCCCUAGCAGUUGCAGUUGUCGAGCCUCAGAGAUAUUUUAGAUUAUGUUUUAUAUGCAAUGGACUUCAAAAAUACAAGAUAAAUUAGUGCAAAACAACACAAACAAUUGUGGGCUAUCAGCUAUGUAUCACAUAUAUACAUAUAAUUGAUGUAAUACUCAAUACCCAAGUCUUUUUAUUAGUAAUAAAAUCAGUACAUAUAUUGGUAACUAAUUUCUGAGAAACAAACAUAAAAACAUAUAUGAAAAAGAAAAAGCAAAAAGAAAAGAAAAAUCAAAUGUUGUAGAUAUGGUAGGAUGAGCAGCUUUGUUGCUUUACUCGAAAGCCCAUUGGUUCUCCCUUCGAACUUCUUCCUCAGGAGUGAAGUCAUUCUUGAUGUUGAAAGUCUUGCGAAUCUGUUCGGGAGUCUUUCCCUUGAUUAUGUCCGCCACAGCCUGGCAUGUCAAGUCCAGCAGCCGCGCGAUGUUUAGAUAGUUGGCUGCCAAUAUCAGAUCAAACAGGAGGUCCUGCUUGAUGUUGACAAAAUCUUUGUCGAAUUUCUCGAGAGAAUCCUCAUCAUCUUUCUUGCCAUUCUUGUCCUCAGCGUGCUUCUUGAGGUACUCGAUGACCUUGGCAAGGGUGGGACCAUCCACGUUGGGCAAGGGGAUGGCGUUAUCAGCGCAGCCAUCCUCCACCAUGUGUUUAAUGGUCUGAGACUGAAUAGCAACAGCCUCAUCGAUCUCGAAUACCUCUAGGUCCUUACUCUUCAGAGUUAGCAGCUUCUUGUUCUCAGUUGACAUGGUUAUUGUUGGUUUCAAGGUUAGAGGAUUUGGGAUGUGAGUAAAGCCUUUGCCCCCUGCCCCCUAUUUAUAAUGUGUCUGUGGAUAUAGAAUUGGAAAACCGAUGCAAUAGGGAUUCAUAGUAUGCUUGGGAAAGACUCUCCUAAAUGGAAGAGGAAACUUGUGAUGGCCUACGGCCCUUCCAUGCUUAGACAGGAGAAACUAUAUGUUGUUGAUGUGGUUAAUGAAAGAGUUACUACAUAGUCAUGCACUCAUGCGAAUGGCUCCAUUUGGUUAACCUUUGAAAAUUGAAAUGCUACCACCUCGGCACUAAUAAGUAUUAAAAAAAAAUUAAAAAAAAAAAUCAAGAAGCAAAAACCACAUUAACCAUUGAUCAACCGAUGAACAUGUUGGCCUAAGUUGCAGAAGAAUUGUAAACGAAUAUUCCAGUUGUAUGUCCACACAACUCUUGUUUACAACAAAAUGAGAUUUUGGCCUUUCUCUACUUAAAAGAAUAUUACUCAUGAAAGCCGAUUCAUUCUUUGCUUCUAGCGUUAGCAGUUCAAGUUGUCAAGCCUCAGAGAUAUUUUGAAUUAUGUUUUAUAUGCAAUGGACUUCAAAGAAGGAACGCAAAUAGAACUUGAAAUAAGGUUUUUGGCCUUGCCCACUUGUCUGGAGGACGGAGGGGAUCGAUAGAUGCAAUUACUCCUUGACUGCAAUCCCUUGGUAUUUCCUGCAGAAAUAUAAGCUAACAAAAAUCAAGCUCAUCUUCACAUGAAAAUUAGCCGAUGCACCUUUUAUAUAAUUGCACAAUAGGUUUUGGGAUAGCCAAAUGAAGUAACUGAAGUUGAUAACUAGCUUUCACCAACUAAAACGUUGCAGUGACUAACAUGGAGAUGCUAAUCCCUUUUAUAAGAUGCAACAAAUGCAUAUGCAUCCCUGUUCUAGAUUUAACAGGUUUGUUUUACCUCUACAGCAUCUUUGAGGGGCCCCCAGCAUUCAAUUCUAUUGUACUUCUUCAAACUAGAAUGAAAAUAAACCCGAACUAAAGAAUCACGUAGCUCUGGAUGCUCUCUGAAAAGUGCCGAGUCUCCAUGUAGUACAGCUUUCAGUACCUGCAGGGGUCAUAUCAUUGAUUAAGUCACUGGAAUGGCCUUUAGAACCAACAUAGUGUACAAUUACAAAUGGAACUGCAGCGAGUUUAGUGAGUUGAUAUAUUUCCUUUAGUCCUAAAUAUGUUUUCCUUUUGUAAUAGAGAAGGACAUUACAAUUUAACAAUCAUAGAAGAAAAACUUACCAAAGGCAUUUCUUUGGAAAAUAUGUGAUAUCUGAACUCCGCUGCCAGGUCUAGCAAGAGAUUGGGACCGCUUACAUAGCAAUGGAUAUGCAGACACAUUUCACCAUUCACCCUUUUCCACUCUGCAACAACAUCAUCCUUGCUGUACCAUCCUUUUAACUGCAUUGGAAGUUCUUAUAAUUUAGCACAACAAGAAUCGUUACAAGUUUUCAAAACCAUGUGGGGAAACAAAUAGAAAGAAGACCUGUUCGAGGUUGAUGACAUUGGAGAUUGUUAGGGUCAAGUUAGCUGUGAAGUCACAAUGAGAUAGUAUGUAAGUCCUGGGGAUGAUUCCAACAUAGUUGUUCAUAUCUUCUCCCAUGAACUCAACCUUUAGCUUUGAAGCGUCAAAUCUUGCUGGACCCAAAAGCCUAGCAGCCUGCCAAUUAUAACAACAUGUAAGCAUCCAUUUGACACUUCAUGAACUCCAGUCUUUAAUUUAUCAAAUCGUAGGGGAACAAACGGGGCAUUUGAGCCACUUCAACUAGCAAGCAACCACUAUAAACUAAAAGCACUGAAGUACUUUACAACAUGAAGGCUGGGCACAGCUGCUCUUACAACAAAUGCGUAUCAAAUUUACAAACAAGCAUCUAGAACUAUGUCACAAACUUGAGGAAUUGCAAUCCAGCAAUUUACCACAGAAGAAAAUCAGAUCACAUUUCUCAAGUAAUGAAGACCAAGACACAAACUUUAACUUCUCCAGGGCAUGUCCUACAUAGUUAAUGCUCCAUUUAACUAAAAAUUUGGCACUGCAAUCAUAGAGAAUAAUCAGAAAUUACAUCAUACAAAAAGAGAGAAAAGAAUGUUACCUCAGAGACAAAGGUCUUGUAAGACUCUCUAUUGUGGCUGACGGCAGCAAGCAAGACAGAAUUGGGUCUUUUUGAUGAAGCAAGAAGAAGACUGGUCUUGUUGUUGGGGUUGAAACUCCUCAAUGGUGAUGGUGGAAAUGGAUGAUAAGCACAAUGACAGGCCAUGGAAGAUGCAUAACCCUGUUUUGCUCUUCUUCAUUUUUCACAGAAAGCAACCAUCUUUUCUCCCUUUGGUUUGUGUAAGAGAGAAAUCAGAGAGAGAAAAAGAAAGUGGAAGCAGGAUAUGUGGAGGGUUCAUAGCUCAUGUCAUGUGGACUGUGAGACUCUAAUUCACAACACCCAAAACUCCAAAAUCUUUGUCAAGAGGCACUUGCCACCACACAAUUUUUCUAAAUUGAAAUGGCUCAUUUUGGAAAAGUGAGAAUUAGUGCCUGGGGAUUGGUCAUGAAGUCCAAGUUUGCAACACGUCAUCGUUGGCUCCGAGUUUUGAUAACUUGUAGAUAAUGUAAUGUGAUUACGUGGAGGAAGCACUCGAGAUUGGACUCAUGGGUGUCACAAUUUUUGUACAAGACGAUUCUUGCAAUCGUACAUGGGAUUACAAGGGUCACUUGGACAAACUCAAGAUGGAAAUGAGUCCAUUUCUAUUCUUCUAUUCUUGCCUUCUCCAAAACUGGAAGAGAAGUGACAAAAUUUGGGAGAGUUGCAAUUAACGGUUUGAAUAGAUUGUGAUAAUGGAAUGAAUCUCUGAAUUUAUGUACACACUUUGAAUUGGUUUUCGUGGCAUUGACUGGAAAAGAUAGAUUGGCUUCAACUUAUUUAGUUAGUUGGAAACUUGAAAUAGAUGCAUAACUUUCAAAUAAUAUAAAAAUUUCCGUGUUCCAAACAAUAGUCGAGAAAACAUAAUGUUUCGUGAAAACAAUCACAUCUUUCACCUUAAUGGCGCAAAAUUCGACUAUUACCAAACGUUUUACAAAAAUGCGUUCAAAUACACCAUUGAAUGGUUUGCGCAUUACCCCUAGAAGGCGAACACCCUAAAUUUGGUCCUUUACUUCUUAACAAGGGACUGUGCCCGCGUCCAACCGCGGGUCAGUCUACCGUAAUUCCAAUGCUAAAGACGUCAGUUAUGGAAGAAUUAGUGCUCGCGCUUGGUGUAGGCGUGGUUGAUUAGAUUAGCGAAGGUGGAGUGGUAUAUUGAUGAUGAUGAUAUAGUAUAGAUAUAGAGAUAGUUGAUUCGAACAGUUUGGCAUGCUAUUAAUUUCUACGGUAGUCGUUGUGGUACAUAAGAUAUUUAACAUAAUAUCAUACUGAAAAGUAAGCAAAAUUGAUAUAGAAACGUAAAUGUAAAAAAAGCAUGGAUCGACAUACAUGGGUUGUAUUAAUGCUCUUUAUUUGUAAUGUCCACACUCACAGUUAUCAGUGCUCUUUAUCAUUACAGUUAGAUGAAACUUGAGCAUAUUAGUCCCUCCACCUGUAACCACAGUUUGGGUUGCAGCAAACAAAGAACAACGUCAUCCCCUCUUCUCCUCUAGCAGUUGCCUGCACAUAUAUAAGAGCUUGCACGUUAGAAUUACCUCUUACAUUUUAAACAUCUUCAAGGAGUGAAAUCAUGUGGAGUAAAAAGCUAUCUAAAAGUACAAUCUGACUAUUCGCUUAGAUGUUUAUACCAUAUUUCUGAACAUGAAAGGCUGGGAUACAAACCCAAAAAGAAGAAGAAUGAUAAACAGAUGUGACUUUCCUAUGUUAUAGUGGUGACAACUACAACUACUCAAAGAUGUUUCAAUGCCAAGUGACCACAUAAACCACUGAUCCCUAACAUUCAGUUGAACAAAACAGGCAAAGUGAUAUGAUGUAUUGAAAAAGAACCAUAACUUUGUCAAAGAUAAUCUUUGUUGCAUUACUAAAUCAUGGAUUGCUUAAAGGUUAUACCUGUAAAAUGUCUUUCCAGAUGCAUUACUAAAAGAUACAUGGUUAAAAGGUUAUAUCUAUUAAAUGUCUUUUCCAGAUGCAUUACAAAAGUAGCUAGAAUGGUCCUCAUGUGGAAUACUUAGUAAUUGUAUAUCAUAUUCUAAGUUGCAUGGAAAUCCAUGGUAAAGACUUGAAGCAUCAAGAGUUGGAAUUUCAACUGAAAGGCUUAGAAGAUGUCAUGUGUCUUAUUAACAGAUACUUGAACAUCUAGUCUCUUUGUAUUUAACCAAGAACUAAGUUAACUGAAAAGGCACAUGUAAAAGUACACAACUUCAUCCAAAGAAUGAGCAUUUCACCUGAAAGAAGACAGCUUCUCCAUGCUUGCACUAAGCACAGCGCACAGCUUGAUCUGCAGCUGCAUCUUGCAAGAUUUGAGUGCGUUCCCCAGCUGAGUGGUGUAUCUCAUUUCUGUAGACGCAGUUGUUAUCAGCAACCUCCUGCAAAACAACAUGUACUCUAAUAAGAAAAUGUACAAAAUGGUUGAGCUAUAGACCUUUAAUCAGAAAUGAUAAAAUCCUUCAACGUAGAAAAUACUGGGAGCAAACAGUAACAAUAAGCUGAAAGCUGAAUUUAGAAGGUAACUCCAUAUGAGAGACAUCAAGCAUGUUCUUCAGGUGUUAACUGAAGUGACAAUUGAGCUUAUAAACUGAGCCUACAAAUAUUUAUCUAUAUAUAUUGCUACUGCUCAAAAUCUUGAUACAUCUUUGCUGUACAAACAAUGGUUUAGUUGUUGGCUUGAAAGUAAUAGCUUGACAUUGUGCAGCAUGAAAGACACUUAAAAAAAUGGUGAUGAUCUAAGAAGGCAGGCGUAUUAUAGGUUUCUCCAUCGUACUUAUCUACUUGGAGUUCUACUCUAUGCUUUAGGAGGACUACUUUUUUUGGUUUGGGGAACGGUAAUACUAUAUCUCUCACACAAAGUGAAUCGUCUUCAUUACGGGCAUGCAGUGCUUACUCUAGAGAUCUCUAACUAUUUGCAGAACUACUCUUAAAUUUCUUUAAAUUUGUUUAACUGAACUUUUGCAUCAUUUGGCUUUCUUUGCGGGGUGUAAAGACAGUAGUUAGUUACCACGUAACAUUCUCCGUGAAUUCAAUUUGUCUCAUAUGGGGAAAGCGAGUGUGGGAUACCGGUGAUUUGUCUAGAAACAACUGGCAUAUGCAAUAUUCCCCAACUAUAAAUAAAAUAGCUAGAAUGCAGAAAACAUAUAUGAUUACUCGAUCAGCAUAUAUGAAUCAAUUGGAUAAUUCACUCCCAGUAGGUUCAAAUUGAAUGCAGAACUAUGACUUUUCAUGAAAAUUGAUUUUUUUUGUACAGAAGGAAAAAAAACGACAGAACAACAAUAAAUUUGAGGACUAUCAAUUUGAGAAAAACCAAUCAAGCAUUACCUUUCUAUCAAAUAGUGACAAUACUGUUGAUCAAAUGCGAAAAAAGCCCACGUAGCUUCUUUUUCCAAUCAAAAUUUACCUGCACAGCAACCUACCCGCACAUGCCUGAAAACCCCAUAAAACUCCAAUGUUUACACAACCCAGUAUAUGAGUUGAAAAUUCGAAACCUCUAUGACGAAAACAAAGCACAAAAAUCUCAAUUUACAAUCAUGAAAGGAAAAUUUAUCAGAAACUUAAGAAAAGUAGGCAGAGGCAGAUAAAUGAAAACUUUUUCUUACACCGAUCGCCUCCGAAAUCCGUGGAAUGAUACAACCCUAAACCAAUUCCAACAAAAGCAGAACCAAACCAAAAGCGAUUAACUCUUUCUUUCUUCUCUUAACUGACCAAAUCUGGAUCGGAGAAGAACUUUUGCAAAGAGAUGAAGGUUUUGCAGAGAUAAGAACUUUUGCAAAGAGAUGAAGGUAGAAUUGAGAGAAAGAGAGAUGGUGGAAAGCUGGAAGUGAGAAACCGGGGAAAGCUUUUCUUGAGUUGUUCGGGUAGAACUAAGGGGAAGAGAGAUGGUGGAAAGCUAGAAGCUAGAAAUGGGUUUUGGACCAAAAUCGGUUUUAGGCUUGGGAUAAAUGGCAGAAAGAAAUAGCUGAGGCCCAUUGCUACAGUGUAUGAACAGUGCGGCUACUGCAUCUCCUUUACUAUAUAGGGAAAUGGAUCAACUUGCGAGACAUACAUAAGUACUCAAUCGUGUUGUCAACAAAUUAUCACAGUUCUUUUUCUGAGCAUGAUAGCAGUGUCAAAUGUUCCAAAAAAAAGCCUUUGGUCUUCAUCCACGCCAACUGUGUGUGUAGAUUCUUUUUGUCAAGUAUGUUGGGUGUCUGUGGCAAAAGAGGUGGUGAGUUUGGUGUUAAGGAGCAUAGUGAUUGGUUUGAUCGACAAGAAAGGAAAAUGUUGUGAAACAACCUGUUUUCAAUGAGAAGUGGACAUUUUCCAUUUAGUCAUUUAAGUGAAGGCAUUGUUGUCUCUUAUGAUAUGCAUGAUUCAGAAGCCACCUAUGGAUUAAAUGUUGGCCGUAGCAAUGAUUAAAAAAUCCUAUAGCUACUAUGCAAUAUACUGUUCAAUCCCAUAGGUACAGCAAAAGCAUUUGGUCAUGUCCGGACACAAUCGCCUAUUCAAAUGGCUCUAAUUUUCCAAGGUGCAUCUGAAGUUUAGAGAUAUUUAGAAACGGGCUUCCAAAACUUUUGAGGCCUAUCAGGUUUGUGCUAUAUAUAACAGUGUGUGGUAGUGGGGGGAUGAGGUAAAUCAGGUAAUAACCCAGGUCUACAAGAACUUGUCACGCAACCAGUUGGACCAAUAUCCGAAGCCUCCAACAGUUUCAUGCUUAGUGAUCAAGCUUUGAAUAUGAUUUUGUAGUCCUUGUACAAAGUACAUGGAUUACUUGCUAUUUAAGACUAUAAUUACCCAACCACAGCUUGGCACGUAUACAUUUUCCUUGGUUUGGGGUUGCUCUGGCCUCUGUGUGAUCAGUUGCUCAGAACAUAUUGCCAAAGAUAACAUGACUGUGUAUUGGAAAAUGUUGCUGUGAGAAGUAUAUUCAUGUUGAAUUAGGUGGCAAGGAUACUGCUGGGAUGAAGCUUUGAGUUUUCAUGGAUUUCUGCUAUCAACUUGAGGAUAAGUUUGCCUAUAUAUGUAUUCAUGUUGGUUGAUUCUAUAUGUACCCAGCAAAAUCAGCAUUUGUAUGAUGAUGUCAUGGUGUUCCAAUCUCCAUGACAAUACUUGGAACAAGAUUAAUUUUGAUCUAAAAAUGUAUCUGAGCUAAAAGCUGUUGUGGUAUGAGAAAUGGAAUAGGCUAAUUAUUAGCAAGCCAAAUGUGAUGACAAUAACAGAAAAAUUCUUUUCGUCAACAAAGCUUAAAAAAGAUAAAAAAAGGACUAACCUCUGUAUAACAAAAUACAGAACUUCAGCUAAUAAAUGAAAAUAAAAUACAGAUGGAAAGAUCAACUCAUCCAAUAAAUUUAUAACUUAGGAUCAUCCCAGUUGUGCAAGUUGACAAUUAAUUUGCAGUAGCAUUUGUUAAUGGCUUGCAGGCUUCCGCAGUUGGCAUUGGGUAUCGGCACAUGGGGCAAAUGUGAUUGAUCUCCAGGCACAGAACAAUACAAUUGAUAUGAUAAUAGUGUUUGCAGGGCAAACAAGUGACCAGUUCUUCAACAGAUUCUGCAAAAUCCUGAAGACAGAUGGCACAAGUUGGACUCUCUCUAAUAACAGCUUGUUCCAAACUAUCAAGUCUUAAUCUCUGCAAACCAUGAAUAAACGAUGUAGCUGCAGGAGUGCGACUUGCCUUGUAUGAUGCACUUGGUUCCCCUAUAACCUCACCUCCUCUAAUGGGAUGGCCCAAAUACGAGAAGGUUUGUCUGGCAACCCAAUCAAUGACCUGAUCAUAGUCGGCACUACCCAUUAAGGACACAGUGAUGUCUAAUAUCAACACAGUAAUAGGCAUAUGACUGGGCACUUCAGACACCACCGAAAGCUUCUGAACAAGCUUGUCAAUAAUAGGUGGCACUUCUUGUUCUGGGAUAGGCAUCUGCAAAAGCUGUUGGGCCGCUAUACGACUCACGCGUUCACGAUACCCCAGAAAUCCCUCUCCAGCCACCAAGGUUUGCGGAACAACAUCCUCAUAGUCUUCUGGACCAUCAAACCAAAACCGAGUUUCCUUGUAGAGAAGUAAGUUGACUGGAAUCCUUCCCGUCACAGUAGGUAUGGGUCGCCUUGUUGGUACUUGCACCACUGCGCUAUAAAAUAUAUGCCUCUCCUCCGUAGACAUGUUUUACCUGAUAUCAAGUAGCAGCUUAUGUAUAGAUAUGAUUGCUAACUUGCAGUAGUUGUAAAGGGGGACAAGUAUAUAUAGAGUAACAGUCCCUUUUUAAUAAGGAUUAGGAUUUCAGUAAGGAUUAGGAAAAGGAAGUCCAAGAUAAGAAAGGAUUGAAGUCCCUCCCUCUUGUAUAAGGAUUAGGAACAGCCAAGCACUAAAUCGUUACUCUGGUACCCGAAAUCAAAAGGGGUCGGUUUCUAGAAUUGACAAAGCAGAAAUCUAUUCUAUAGCGUCAAAUCAGGCAGGCAGCAGUAAAAUCAACCUCCAAAUUCUCUCACAAACCCAACAAUCCAAAGAUUAUAACACAAUUCAGCAAAGCUAGAAGAAUGAUAGAUCACCUGGAGAUUCCCGAGGGACGCUGUUCCGAUCUUACACAGACAGGGCAGAGGGGUGGCUUGCAGUUGAUCUGGAAAUGAAAGAGAAACAGGGCAAGUUCUUCUUAUAUAUUUCGUAUUUUCCCCUAUUUUUAUUAAGAUUAAAAAAAUGAGAAGAAGCAGGGCCUCGUAUUGACACAUCAGCAAAAGGAAACCGACUCGUCUGUCUCUCUCAAAUCUAGAUCUUCUUCGCUUUCGCCCCCUCCGUGUCAAACGGUCCUUUCUUCGAACUAGAACGCCUCCGUUUCUUUCCCUUUUUCUGGUUACAGAAAGAAAGAAAGGAAACAAGUAUUAGAGCAGGAGACUCUCCUUGCUCCAGUUACAGAGGCUAGAUCAUCAAUAAAAGCAGAAGCAGCAUAGCAAAAACAAGACUAAACCCAAGGCAUGCUCAGCACUAUUCUUGGCAAGAGCAUCAGCAGUCAUGUGAGUAAGCCCCCCUUUCUGUCGUGCGCCUGUUCUAUCUGUUUAGUUUUGUGCAUUUCGUGUUUUAUUGGUAAUAUUGGCAGGUCAUUUUCUCUGUCAGAAACACACAGUGAGUGGUGCUUAGCUUCCUUCUUUUCAAUUCUCAACUAUUAACAAAAGAAACAACAUAGGUUCGAUUGAGGUAGAACCGAGCUGUUUCGUGUUCUCUGUCUUUCAUCUUCACAUUUCAACUCUUCUACUUUCAGGCAAACAUAUUUGGAGAACUAGCAUUGUUGAUGUAUGUCAAAACACUAUGAGUUAGCAUUAACAGGAAAGUAACAUAUAUUAAAACUAGCCUUGUGACACUCCAUAGAUGUUUAUGAAAGAAGGAUUAGAUGGUUAAACCAGUACAGUAUGUUUUUAUUUUUGUUGGUAUAUAAACCAGUUUUCCAAUAUUUAGAUUAAACUUUCUUUCUUUCAGAUGCAUGCGCAGUAUGCCUGGAGGACUAUCAAGCAGAUGAUAAGCUUCAACAAAAACCAACAUGUGGCCACACAUUUCACAUUGAUCGCUGGCUAUCCAUGAACACCACCUGUCCACUCUGCCACUUAUCCCUCCUUUCCUCUUAUUAAUCUCAGAAAUCACCUGAUGUAACUCUAGAAUUGAGUCAUGCGUCUUCUUACGGAACGAUGUACCAUCUCUUGCACCAACACUUGAAGCUUUUAAGAAACAGAAGCUUCAUAUGGAAUGGGGAUCCAAGAACUGUCCAUAACUGUUCUGAAAAAGAUUCAAGGGGUUGUCAAUGUGCAGACCACAGGAGAAAUGAGUUACCUAACUCAACUAAGGCAAGUACUCGGCAUCCAACAAAAUAUGAGAAAUUGUUACAUUAUGCUCUUCUGUGAUCUCAUGAAUUGUCUUCUUUGUUAGGGCUUUUAGCUAGGCUUCCAACUGCUCCAUUUAGUUUGGUUGUAGUGAUGUAGCUUAGCUAGCUAGUGGCGGCAACUAUCUGAUUGUUCAUGCUAAAGUUAAUUAUAACUAGGCAUCUCCCAUUGUUCAUAUUAGUGCCGCCUCAUAAACAGUUGCUCACUGCGUGAAUUUCUACAAGAGAAAAAGAAAUGAAAAUAUGUAUUGUGGACAUCUUCUUUGCGGUCUCAAAUAAUAACUUCAGUCGUUUUUCCGCAGACUUUAUGAAAGUGUGGUUGUGGUUGCCUAAAUAAGUAAAUAGUCCUCUUAUAUAUGCGCAUGGCGGUGACUCAAGUUCGGCCUUUCCAAACACGGUAGGCAUAUCUUGUCUUCUUCUUCCCUUCUCUGAAUUUUUGUUUCUAGUCAAUGGUUAUUCCACUUACUGGUUGGGUCCUCAAGUAUAGCAACUCAAAUAGAAUUUAAGUUCAUGUUGUUAGUUUAUUUAGCCAUACACUGAUGACAUGCCUAUCUUGUAAAGGACCAUAAUCUGCUGAUUGUCAUCUUACUUCCAUUGAGUACCAAUAAGGCACUACUAAUGCUUUUGGCCGUCAUAUAAUUGAACUAUAAGAAUCCAAAUUGGUUCUACCUUUUUUGCAUGCAAUAAGUAAUUUUUCAAAGUCCUGAUUGUUGACUGCCCCAUCUGUCUUACAAUUAUGUUGUUGUUUCCCACUGAUGGCUGCUUAUUACUCUGCUCUUAAUUCUCAAGUAGACUGCACUGAGAUUGAUAUUUCUCGUUCUUCAGAUGGAGUUCUACUUGCGCUCCAUGAUAGGUGCAGUAUUCUCAGAGUCCUAUAGUUUUACCUCCUAGCUGUUGUUCGUCAUCUUACAUCAUUCGACUACCGUAAUCAUUAACAGUUGCUUUAAACUUUCUUGUUUGAAGUACAUGGAAUCUGCAACGAACUCCCCCUUAUUGUUCUAUUUGAUAAGUUCAUUGUUAAGUAUUGGAUUGAUUUGUUUAAUGCCAUCAUAUUAUACCUUAGAUCAUUCCAAGGGGGGAUUUCAAAACAUUUCAGAGUUUAUUAAUAACAGUACUGAAAGUAUUUUUGUCUUUUUUUGUUUUUUGGGUAUUCCGGCUGAUUCAGUAUCUAAAAUAUCAAUAUAUAGUUUUGAUAAGUAAUUAUCAGGGAGUUGUUUCGGGCGUUCUGUUUCUUUGCAGAAAGAAAAAUUGUACAGAACGGGAACAUGCUAGAGCAUUUUUUUGAGGUUAAUCUAUUUGCAAACAUAAGACAAGGAUAUAGGUGAAUAAUACAUGUUAUUAUUGAUUAUAUUUACAGCAUUUACUAGUUUCAAUGUAAACAAACCCUUGCAAAUAGAAAAAGACAUUUGAUAUGUCAUGACCAAGCUUGUAUUCUAAGGAUCUGUUGAAUCUCUGAUAUGUCAUCUAAACAUUCUAUCCACCAGAAUUUGAUACCGGUAAUAUGUUCCUUUGGACCAACAUUAAGUUGCAUAUUCAGUGUUUUAUUUGCAAAUGCUUGUAGAUUUGAUUCUCAACUGACAAAAGCAGGGAUUUGUGGCUCAUAUAUGUGUACACUUCAGCAUUAAAGAGGUGAUUUUGGAGUCAUAACUAUUUUGUAAAUUAUAUUAAGCAGUUUCUACCAGGGUUUUGUUGCAGGACUAGCGUAUCUACAUAUUUUAGCUAUAAAAGCUACGCAUUUGAGUACUUGUGAUGAUGUUGAUUGAGAAUACGCAUUUAGUUUGUGGUUGUAGAUAAACCAUCUCAGUUGUAUGUAUCAAUCUGCAAAGUUCACGUUGCAAAUAUCCCUACAAUUGAAAUGGCUCUUUACCUGAUGUUUAAGAUAUGCUUUAAUUAUCUCUCUUUCCCCUUUUUAAAUAAAAAAUAGGGUGUCCUCUCUGUAAGAGUGUGUGUGUAUGUGUGUAUGUGGCAGAAGAGGUCUAUACUAUCCAUAGACUGCCAUCUGCAAGUUUAAUUUUUAUUUACUUUUUCUUUCGUUUAGUGUUCUUCUCUUAAACCAAACUACCUUUGUUUGCAUUGUUUUGAGUAAUGUUUCAGUUAGGGAGGUGGUGUUAGAUGUAUAAGUCGGUCCUCCAUCGUAUGAAAAAGGUCUUGUAAGGGAUUUUCUUGCUGUUGUAAGUUUGUUUGCAUCACCUUUGUCAUUUGGGUCAUUUUAAUUUUAGUUGGCAUGAUUUUCCAAGUUACCUACGUCAAGGUUGUCAAAUUUUAUUUAAAUUUUUAUCCAGGUUGAGAGGAUUCUGUGUAGGAAUUUUGUUGUGUGGGCCAAAAGUGACAAUUUAGCAAGGGAUGUGAUCGUCCCUCAGAUGUUAUGGUAAAAAUUGAUGCACUCGUUUCCCUUUUAUGGUCUCUAGCAUCGAUUUCUUAAGAGGGCUUGCUGGAGUUUAGCAUGUGAUGGAUAAUUGGUUGUAGCAUUUGUAAUUUGAUUAGUAGGGUAAAGAUUGAAAGUGUGGUUUCUAUAUGUGCAAUUUCAGUCAUGUUUGCUUUAGGGUUAGUGUUUGUGAUAGCCAAACAAGUCAUCACUGCUUCUGACAAAUGUAAAUACUUAUGGCAAGAUUUUGAGAUGAUAAAGAUGGCACCAGCAUGUAGUUGUAUAAACAGUUUUCCAUAUCUCUUUUGGUAAUAUAUUUUGAUUUGGUUUCUAAACUUGUGCCUUUUGGACCUGUCAAUACCUGUCAUUUGCAUUCAAACCAUUUGGUUACUAAUCGGUCUUAAUCUAUAAUCGGGCUUAAUCUAUUUUGUUCCUCGAUACAAUGAAUUUAGCAGUUUGCUUUUAGGUUGGCUUUCUUAUUGGUUCUUUCUUUUCGUGUUUUUUCUCGUAGUUUUUGUAUUGCAUGACGUUUAUUAAACUAAAAGAGUGGAAGAUCAAUUUACACUUUCACCACAUGAGGGGUAGAAGAACUUGCCUAAAUCUUCAAACACGUACAUAGUUGGUGAACAUCUAUUCUUGAUGAUGGUGGGUCAUCCAAAACCUCUUUUAGUCGAGUGCAAAAGUUUUGGUGGUCUUUAAGGCAACUUUAUUCUACUUCGUCAUGUACAUUGCUGCAGGGCUUAACUAUGGAACUGCAGGGAUUCUCAUUAUAUUGUUUAGGGGAGUGAAAUCCACACUCCCCGUUUACAAUCCACACCCCAAUGUUUCCUUUUUUGGUAAAUCAAAUUUUGUGUUUACUAACUUAGAUUUUGUCUUUAUAUGAGAUUUUUUUUACAAAAAAAAGAAAAGAAAUAGGGAGUGUGGAUUGCAAUUUGGAGUGUAAAACUUCCCAUUUUUUUAUUAAUGUUGAAUUAUUUGCUGAGUUCAUUGUAUAUGUUACUGACUCCAACUGAAAGCAUUUGAUUGCAAUGCUAGAUGUUUCACUACAAAAGGAGUCUACCUGCUGAAUUUUUUUGUUAAUGUUGCAGGUGGGUACAUUGUUAUGAUCGAUCAUUCAACCAGGGUAAGGACCAACUUACUGAGGAUGAGAGAUGCUCGUGUUGUUGGCGUGUACCAUCCCUUGAUUGAUGGAAAGCUUGUGAGAAUUCUUCAUGGGUAUGUCUUUAACUUGACGCAUUAUGAUUUGUAAUUAAUGUACGCCAUGUAUCCAUGCAUAUUAGACUUUUUUUUUGCAUAAUAUUGAGGGCUAGGAAUCCUGAAUUGUCAGGUCCAUUUUUUUUCUUAGAACAUGGAGAUCCUAUCACCUAUCAACUAAUCCUGAAUGUUGUAGAUAAAUCAAAGUAUUCGUACCAAGUCCCAAAAAACAAAACAAAACGUGCAUCAUUAUCAUCGUGAUUGAUUAUUUGAUUUUGAUUUGGAGCAUUCCAACUUCCACAUUGCUCUAUUUGAUUUGCUUUUCAAUAAGAUGGUGAUGAGGUGGCUCAACAUAAGUGGUUGAUGUAGGCCGGAAACCAUGUGUUUCCCGCACCCUAACGCAACUCAUCAUCCUCCUCCUCCUCUAUAAAAGAAAGUCUGAGCAUCUAUCUCUCUCACCAGUAACACCUACCUAACCAUGGCAGAUACAGAGAGGCAAACUUUGUGGCAGAUGCUUUUGCAAAUGAAGGCCACCAACUCCCUAAUGGUUGUGAGUGGCAAGAUGGAUACCCAGCAGCUGCUGCUAGAGCACUGCUAUUUGAUACUGUUAGCUCGGGUUGUCCGAGAGGCUUUUCUUUAUAAUGUUUUUAAUUUCGUAUCCAAAAAACAAAAAACACCUACCUAACCAGAAAAAUCAGAAAUCUAGAUCUGAGCAAAUAAAUCCGCAAUUUUCAAUUCCCAAAUUUAAUAUUCAGAAUGUGGAAAACCAAGUAGUUUCAGAUUGUAUAUAAUUUUGAGUUGGUCAUUCAGAUACCACCUGCCGUGCCCAUUCUCUCUUUCUCUCACUUCAUAGAAAAGGAGAGAAUAAAAGAAAGGAAAAGGAAAGGAAGGAAUUGGUGGAAGUUCCGACAUGGCAAAUUUUGGGUUGCUCAUCUUCUGGUUCAACAAGAAUCUCGUCAAGCCUCUCCUCUAAAUCCGACGCAGGUAUUCCCUCCCAUCUCUAUUUUCAGAUUCAAUUAUUUACUAUCUCAGCUUCAUUCGCAUUCUCAAUAGAAUUUGAUUUCAGUUUUUGACAGGGCUGCCGAGCCUAAGCUAUUAGCCGUCUCUGCAGCUGUUGGCUUUACCAUUGGAUGUUUCCAAUCUGUGGUAAGCUAUUGGCAUUCAUUUCAUUCUCCAUUGUUGAUUGGACUAGAGCAAAAGACCACUACUUGCAGGCUGUUUGUUACUAGUUGACAUUAUGCUGGAUUUCAAAUGCUCAACAUUGCAUAAGCUGAUCUUUCAUUAACAGGGACAACUGUGAUUCUCUCUGGGUUGGUUAUUGCAUCUCCCAUGCCCCAACUUUCAUGGUUAUUAAUCUCAUUGCUACACCAGUUGAACUCUGGUACUUUUAUGCUUCACUACUAGCAUCGUGGUAGCUUAUAGUCUAACCUUCAAUUGUUAUGCUUUGUCCUCGUGUGUGCUUCUGCAACUUUGAGUUUCAGUGACCUUGAUCAAAAUGUUCAAAUAAUGACUCCGUAUAUCCUUUUCUCGCUCAAUGUUCUGAUAUUCUCUGUAGAUUACGGAAAACCAUAUCUCACAGAUUUCUGUUUCUCUUGUACCGUGUCUUCCUACAUUUCUUGUUACAUCAGUGAUUAUAUCCUGAUUGUUGUUAUUUUUCUCUUUCAAGUUUUAUGGUACCUUUCCUUCGCUUUGGUGAAUUCGUCACUGGUGGACCUCAUUUCCCAUUGACUUCUGAUGCUUUGAUUGAAGUUUUAACCCUCCAUGCUUCACAAGAAGUCUUUAUCAAGUAUUAUAAACAUGGUAGGUGGCUAACUUAGCAUCUUGUCAUCAUAACUCUCUCCCUCAUACCGGAAACUACACACACACCUGCAUGUUAUCUUUCACUCUAACACUUGUGGAAGUGCACAAUUUAUCAGUUUACAUUCUGAAAUUUUGAUCUAUCGUGAUGUUACGUUGGCAUCUUAAUCUUAAUGAAAGACACCAGUGUCUAAAAUCACUUAUAUCAAUUGUUGCAGUUGUUGGGAUGGCUUGUUGCGGUUCCUAUUAUUUUCGCUGCAGUGUAUAGACUCUCUUUACCAUCUUUUAAGGUGUUGGUUCACAAGUUCGGACUGGUUCCUUUUCGCCCAAAGAGACCACUUUCACAAUUAGCAGUCAGGGAACAUUGUAGUAUACAUUGUAAGGGACGCCUGAUUAACAUUGUAGUAAUAAUACUGUAAUACAUUUGCGUCUCAUCCUGUAAACAUGGAACUUUUUUUUUUACAUGUUUCUGACACUAAUACCAUACAUGGAACAUCACCGACACCUUGCGCUCUUUCAACGUGUGAAAGUAUCAUGCUCUAUGAUCUUAUUGUGUUCAUAUUGGCAUAGAAUCAAGUUGGCUGAGUCCAUGAAAAUUUAUUUCAUGAACCAAACUAAUGUAUGUCUCUACUGCUAUGCAUCAUUGAUGUAUUCCGGACUCGAGAAUUAACUUUGAACGAAUGGAUUAUAUGAACAUUUUGCUACAGUACAUCUUGGAGAUUGGGGUUUAUUGUUUUUGCAUUUAAGAGUGUACGUUCAAACAGUCAAGGAAAUAUUGGUUAUUUUACAGAGUCGCUUGCAAUAGGGUGGUGCUAGUAACACGCUUCUUUUUAUUAUUAACACACUAUCUAUUUUCAUAUCCACAUAUUUUUAUUUUAUUUACAAAUUUACCACUUAAAUUUGAUUGAUGAUUGGUUCUCGACAUAUAGAAAGUGUGUUAAUAGUAAAAAGAGGUGUGUUAAUAGCACCACCCUAUAUUUAAACACAAGGAUACCCAGACAGCCAAGACUUACACCAAAUUAGUUAAUUGGUGAAUUAUUUGAGAGUACGUAUCAUUCACGAAUUAAAAACAUUGUUUUUCUGAAAUUCGCUUUAUUUUGAACUUAGCCGAAUUAUUGUUUUGUAUUUUUGUUUUAUUUAUGCUUUACUGCAUUUAUAUUGUAGUACGAAGUGACAUUAUGUCGCUAAUAAUGUCAUUAUAUGCAUCUUGUGUGUCUUAUUUGUUCUAAGUAGGCGGCGCAUCUUUUGUUUGGUCAAAUGGUCGCAGCCUCCUAGUGGUAGAAUGAGACUAAGUGUCGUCGGGUUUAUUCUUCGACGACAACAUAGUAGGAAAGCUACAUUAUUAGGAUAUGUAAUCGUGUGCAUGUCUACUAACAUUUCUAUUAUGUCACCGCUAUGACAAAGCAAAUAGAGUCGUCAUUAGAGUAGUACUUUUUGCUAGUUAGUGCUUGUUAGAAUACAUGUACGUUGUAGAGAUUCUCGAUAUAAUUUCAGGUCUGUAAUCAAGGGUUUAGGCUUCAUGUCCCCCCUUUGUAUUCGACGGUUUCAUUAAUGAAGGCUUGAGGGCAGCCACACCAGCCUUUUAUUACAAAAAAAAAAAAAAAAGAAGUUAGCCGAAUUAUUUGCGAAUAUGUAUUAUUCCUAAUAGCGAAAUUGAUAAUAUAUAUUUUGUUUCAAUUGAAAACGUCAAGAUGAAAUUUUGUAUGUCUGAGUUGUGAACACUGUGAUUAACCUUGAUCUUUGAUUCACAUUUAUGAUUUAGAAGUCAUACUAUUAGAAAUGAUAAAUAUCACGGUAUCAAAUUUGAUAAAUCGGCAAAUCGGUUUUCUAUGAAUUUUUAUCAAAAUUUACAAAAUUAUUCACUUACAUAUUUGUAACGUUUAAUUCACAGUUUCCCCAAAAAAAAAAAAAACGUUUAAUUCACAGCUAACUACGGAUUUUCGUACAGUUGCGAACCACAAAAUUCACAAGCAGUGCAAAAAUAUAACCACAAAUCCACAACAGGCCCAAUUCCAAAGAGCUGCGCUUUGGGCUCCAAACAUUUCUCUCUUCUGCGCUUUGGGCUCCAAACAUUUCUCUCUUCUUCUUCUUUCUUCUUCUUCACUCUCUCCCUCACCAAGAAUCGCAGAUUCUCCCGAUCUCAUUUCCCGCCAAUUUCCACUAUCUCUGUUCAGUACCGCACGUUCUCCGAUAUGGUGAAGAUCGUGGAUCUUGAUGAUGUAGAGCAACAGUUUCCUGACUAUCCUGUACGCGACGAUAAGGUUAGUUUGAUUCUUGUUUCUUUGUGUAAAGAAAUUUCUCGAUUCUGUUAUUUCCAUCUCAUUAGGGUUUCGUUCUGGAUCUUAGGUUUCCGGAGCUCCGACUAGCAUAGAGCGCGACACUCAGCCAGCGCGCCUUAGCGCCGCCGUUACCACCGCUCUUCCGAUCCUCGAUACUGAUGUUCUUUUCGAUCAGGUAUGUUAAAUUCUCUCGUGUUUUCUCAAAUUCUUGUCUAAAUUUUAAUAGUUAGGGAAGAAUUGACUUUCAACUUGAUUAUGAGGAGGUUUUGGGUGAGGAAUUGAUUGUUAAUUUGAUUCUUGUUUAAGUGUAGAAGUGAACGAGUGAGGAAUUGAUUUGGUGCUUGAUUUUGAGGAGAUUUUAAGAUUGAACUGUAAUUGUGGGUCAGGAAUUGCUUAAUUGUUACCAAGAGAUUGCUCGUACUGCUAGCAUGAAAAUGUAACGUGAUGUAGAUUUCAAAUCAUCUGUCUUGUUUGUAAGAUAGAAGUUUAAGUAGAUUGAUUUAUUUUUCCUCUUUUUCCAGCACCAAUCGUUGUGGGAAAUGAGUGUCGGUAUUCAGAAUGGCAUCUUGUACCAUGGUGUGCUCAGGAUUAAUGAACAAAAUCUGUCUGAAGGAUUUGUUCUAUGCCGCUUUGGUAUUGAGAUGAUGAUAGCGGGAGAUAGAAAUAUAAACCGCGCUCUUCACGGUGAUAUGGUGGCAGUACAGCCAUAUAAUCAUGGAAAAGGUACUGAUCACAUACAUUUGGAUUUGAGAAUAUGGUUCAAUACAUUUGCAUUUGAUAUUUAUUUGAUUUGUCUAAUACUUUCAGAUGAUGAACAACAUGGUUUUUUGGAUGCUGAUAAAGUUCAUGCAACCAUGUUUCAACCUCUUGUUCCUGCUGCUCCAAAGCGCAUUUUUGGCUGUGUUGUUGGGAUUCUUAAGCGUGCACGGCAUAUGUAAGUCAGCCAGCACUAUUUCUCAAAAAGGAAGCACAUUUUCUUAUAUUUUGGUGCUUUGAAUCUUUGUUUCAUGGGUGCAUUAGUUUGAUUGUCUAAAAAGAAACUUUGAAUUCUUCAUACCUUAGUUCUUGCACAAGAAAUGAAUAUGUUAUCGUAUUUUCAACAUCUCAACAUAUUAUCUUCAUAUCUUUGAUCUUUACUGCCCCUUGAAUGGAUGUUUCUUUGAUGAGGAUAUUGAAAAACAUUGCUGCAAUUAAUUCUUUUCAAACUCUAAAUUUCAUUUCUGUUAAUAAAUACAUGUUUAUUUUACUUGUAUGCUCAUUAUACGUGUAUUGUCUCAUGCAUAUUCUUGUGUAGUUUAUUAUAUAAAUCACUCCAUGCAGAUAUCGUGGAUCUGUGAUGCUGAUGGCUGAGCCUGCUGGAAGUGGUGCUGCGGUUCUUGCUAUGUUUAUCCCAGCAGAUGCUAGGAUUCCCAUGUUCCGAAUUCAGGCCCAACAGAUUGAAUGUCGUGAGGAGAAAAGACUUGUUGUGGUGCUUGAUUCUUGGGGUUGUUCAUCUCAGUAUCCUUCUGGGCACUGUGUACGGAACAUAGGACAGAUUGAUAAGGUAUGUUUGAAGGGGUAUUAUAUCUUGAUGUACUGUUAGUCUUAUAAGGUAUGUUUGAAGGGGUAUUAUAUCUCUGUUUUUUUUUUUUUUUGGUCGAUAUUAGUCUUAUAUGUUUUAGUAUGUUGAAUUGGUAUCUCUAUUCUAUUUUGAUUUCAGAAGUUAUCUGUUGGUUGUUACUGCAAGUUAACACUGAAGUUGAUUAGGUGUUGUUUUGAUGCUUGCGAAGUCAUUAAUAUAUUUUGGGAAUGUUGUUGAUUGAACUUUGAUUAGUUGUGUGUUUUGGUCGGCUGACAGAGCCAAGAGAGGACAUAUUCCUCUUUAUCUGAUUUUUGUGUGUUCUUGGUCUUGUAAAGUUUUAAAUUUUAAUGCUGUGAGCCUUUUGAUUUUAUACCUUGGUUAAUGGUGAGCCUUGCUAUAUAUAUAUAUGUAUGUAUUUAUAUGUAGAAAAAUAUAUAUUUAGUAUCUCUAGCCAACAAGAGAGGGGGUGUUGGCAAUAUGCACAUUACUUACGACGUGACGUAAAGGCAUGAUCAUUGAGCUUAGGCAGUUCAGGCUUAAAUAGCCAAGACAUAGCUAAAAGGUUUGUAGUGGCAUUCCUAGUACUAUUUUAGUUAACGGGUUGCAGUGGUAGUCCCAUAUGAUAUUUAAAGUAUUGAGCAUGCAGUGGCAUGUCAAGUGAUUAAUAAGCUUGCAGUGGGAGCUUGGUUCUUUUAGUGAUUUGUAUGAUUAUUAUGAUGAUCAUGCUUCAGGUGGAUGUGUUGGUUACUAUCUGAAAUUUACAUUGCAGUGGCAUCUCGUUGAUUUUGAUUAAUCAUUGUGUUGAUCGUGUUUCAAAUGAGUGAUUAUGAGUUCUUGUUUGAGUCAUAUCAUUGUGAUCGUUUCUUUAGUUCGUUUAUUUUAAGUCACUCACUGAGCAUUAGUUUGCUCAUCCCUCAAUGUGUUUAUGUUUGCAGUUCUGUUAGUUUCCUGUCUAGAAGAGUUUGGGUGGUGGGCUUUGAAGAGUAAUAUUUUUCGUACUUUGGUGGAUUCUUGUAAAAGAAAAACACUUGUUGUAACUGGCACUUGAUUUUCUUUUGGGUUUUGUCUGUCAAACUAGUUCUGCUGUGAACUUGUCUUUUACAGCAACUUUUCUUCCUACUUAUUUUCGUAUUUAAAUUUUUAAAUUUCAGCCGGUCGAAAUGCUUUUGGUUUAAUUUUGGGCCGGCGGUUUACAAAUGGUAUCAGAGCAGGGAUUAGAUUUUUAGGGUGUUUACCUGUGGUGGGUUUUCUUGCUGUACUUGCUAUUGUUUUCACUUUUGGAAUUCUAUGUAGGCAAACAUAGACAAAGGUUUACAUCUAAUCUACACUAUUUAGAGCAGGGAUUAUAUUUACAAUUGAUUAUGAUCAGGUUGGCGUAUAGGUGAAGACUUGAUCUAAGUUUUGCUGAAAAGUUUGUGUACAUUGUGGAUUUUGACAUUUGUUUGGGAACUUAUGAUUUAUGCAGUUGAUUAAGUUUGAUUACCGUGCUCAAUUGUUUAAUUGGAUGUGUGUGUGUGUGUGUGGAAACAUUGCUGGUCUGAGGCGAUUUACUUAAAGAAUGGGAUCUUGCAUCUUCAUGAAAUAUGAUGGCUUGGACUUGAUGAGUUUCUCUGUUAUGUGAUUUGCCUCCAUAUUAGUUGGUCAUUGAGCUGCGGUGGCUCAAUUUAAUUCCUUUUUAUUUUUGUGGGUGACCUCUAUACAUAUUUGGCUUUUUGGUUUGUCAUUUUCAUUGAACUUUGAGGCUGCUAUUGUAUUGUUUGAAUAGUUCUUUACUUCUUUAUGUUAUUACUAGUGGUUCUUUCCUUGAUAUAAUAUUAUUAGACAAAUUGGGAUUUCUUGCUGGUGAUAAAGAUAUGGUUUAGUUUUCAAAUUGUCUAAAUGUCAGUGUACAGUAAGAAGAUCAUUUUAUUCUGUUAUGUUUGGAUUAUAUAAAUGGUUUGAUUGUUCUGUCAAUCAUCUUGUGUAAUGUGUUACUAGCUUACUGUGCACCUUUAUAUUUUUCUGUUUGUCCAUAGUUGCCAUGUUGGCGCUUAAUUAUUUGUAUCUGUGUAAUUUGCUAUGCACAUCCUCAAUAGUCGGAAGUUUAAUCAAUAUGCAGGCUGUUGGCUGAUCAACUCAGAUUUACUUUAAGGACUUGAUAAUUAUAAUUGAUCCGGAAUUCGGUAGAAAUAUAUUUCCAUGUGUGUACUGUUGAUAUCGGAUUUUUUUGUUCUUUGAUCAGAUAGUUUAGUUAUAGUGAUUAUCUGAAGUUAAAGGUUAUGUGUGGAAAACCUUGUUUCCGUAUUAAUGGUGUUAUGCAGUGAAGCUAUUUUGAGUCCAAUUUUCAGUAGGAUACAUGAUACCGUUUGAUUUGAAAUUUUGUAGAGUUGUAAAACCAUGUGUGGACAAUCGAUCUGGAAACUUUUAUGUUCUUUGAUCAUGUAGUUUAAUUAUUAUGAUUUUCAGAAUUCAAGUACUCUGUGCUGAAAGGGUUUAAUAGUUUAACUAUCGAUCUGGAAACUUUUGUUCUUCCAUGUGUGUACACCACUGAUCUUUGAAAUUUUUGUGUGCAGGAUAAAACUAUAGAACUGCCAAAGGACCUUGUGAGGAAGAUCUUACUCCACCUGCCAACAUUUGAGAUAGCUGUACGUUGUAAGGCUGUUUCUCGUUCCUGGUCUGCAAUGAUAUCUGAUCCUUGGUUUGUUGGAGCUUUGCUGUGCCGAGGGAAUAGAAGAAUUUCAUCCAAGGAGUUCCCUAGGAUAGGAGAUGAAUUUCUAUCCAACGUGGCUGUUUACUCCUCGACCCGGUUCCCUCAUAUGAUGCUAUCAACCCUUUUUUGGAAAGACUACAAAGGUUACAUGUCUUUAAAUGAGAGGUUAUAUAGAGAUUUUAUGAUCGAACAGUUCACCAAAGUAUGUGAGUUCCAUCAAACGAUGUGUGAGACUAUAGAGCUAUUUGGGAGGAAUCUGACUGGUUGGGUAGCAUAUAUAACUGAAAGUCAUCGAUUUGGGAUGGAUUCGGUAAGGUUUAUUUUGUUUGUUUGUUUUGUUUCUGCACCACAUGGCUAUACUUUCAUUUCAUUUUUUCUAACGAUUAAAGAUGUUUGUUUGCUUUAACAGUCUUUAAUGCAAAUAGAUGGCAUUGAUGUACUCCUGCAACAGAGUAUCUGGUAUAUUUUUUGACUCUUUCACAUGUUUAGCGUCUGAUCAAUCACUAUUCAUAGUAAUCUCUUCUCCACCUCUUCUGUAUAUUUCAGCACUUAUGGAUUUGAUAGUUUGGCGGAUGAAACUGAUGAAAAGGAUCUGCUCCUGAGGAUUAAAUGUAGAAGAGAUGAACUAGAAUUGUUAAAGAAUGCCAAAAUGACAUUAUACCAACAAUUUGUUGAACAUGGUAUGUUUCUAUUCUAUCUACUGAUGUUCUUUAUUCAUAAUCGUAAACGAUGGCCUAGUAAGUCAUGAAUUUUAUGCAUGUUUUUGCCAAGUUGCUCAUCUACAGGAAUGCCUUGAAUUCAACUGUUAGGUUCUUCAAGUAAAAAACCAGCAUAGUUUAAAGUACUGUCUGUACUCUAUAUGACUUUUAACUAUGGUGGUUUCCCUUGUGCUAAUACACUCGUAAGUGAUUCAGUGCACUAUGUAGUAACCUAGGUACAUGGAAGUCCUUUUGUCACUGAAUCAAUAUCCACCAAGUUCAUAGUUCUUAUUUUUACUAUAACAUUGCAAAACCUAGAAACACCAAAACACCAGCAGAAUCAUUAGGCUUCAAAACACUAACAGGAAUAGGCGAAUGAUCCCAAUUCAGGAACCGAGUUGGAUCCAUGCAUGUUAGCUGACAAAUCCUGGAUGCCAAUUUUGAAACAAUGCAGCCCAUAGAUACAUAACCUAGUUGGCGCCCUUAUUUUGAUACUGAUAAACAUACAUUUUCAUACAGAGGAAAGUUAAUAUUCUCCGCCCUAUAAGUCAUCAAGGGACUUGUAUGGUCCAGUAGCAGUAACCAAUUCUUCUUCUUGAGUCAUCAGUUUGUGCUGUGGGAUUUGAUUGAUGUUCUCAAUGUCCUCUUCUGUUAGUUCCCAUUAGUUUACCUGCACAUUCUGCUUCAACCUCUCCUUGUUGUAGCUCUUCACUCCAAGAGUUGCCCCUACCUGAUAAACCCAUCUAAUACAAACCUGCAACCAGAUCAAGUACCACAACUAAGUCACAAACUCUAUAUGUUUUUCAAACAUUAAAAUUUUUACAACAAAACUUCCAUGUAGUUCAAUUAACCUGAGCAACAGACUUCCCAUGAGCCUCGGCGAUUUCAUUAAGCACUUUGCUUUUGAGGACAUGAUUGGCACCCCAACUGGUUCCUAUGGCACCCGAUGUGGAGAAGGCAGUCACAAAUAUACUAUUGGCCUUGCAGAAGUCCCUCAGCUUCUUCUGUUGCCAAAAUGGGCUCAUCUCAACCUAUACUCUUGAAGUCACCUUUUGGAUGUAGUUCCAAAUUAGCAGGCACUUGAAAACAAGUCUAACCAUUUGAAUAUGUAUUGUUUUGGAUAAGCAAAUUUGUUCAUGUUUCUUGGCAAUUCGCUCUGUUUGGUCUGCUUUAAAUUGCCAAAGUGAAAAUGCAAGAGAACUUGGUUAUUCAUGGCUUCUAUAAUUUAUUGUCUGACAGUAUUAGCGCAAGCAUUUGUAUUUGUACUAGAAGCUAAAGGCCUAGAGUUCAAUUGAGCUUUCUACCUGUUUUGCCAUAAACUGGGUGCAUUUUUGCUUGCCAAUUUACCUGUUACACUUCUGUAUAUUCUCUUCACAGCUGUACUAGAUAUGGCUGAAAGGUCAUGAGCUGUGUGCUUUUUUAGUGUCUGCUAAUUUAUUUAUUUACUGAAUUAUGCUCUCAAGACUGUAUACAUAGCAGAUCAACAAUCUAUUUAAGGUAACUUGCUAAGGCGUUGUCCUAAUCUACAGAUCUGCAGAGACUUGAAUUAGAGUAUGAAGAUUUGAGAGCAAACAAAGAUGAAGCAUAGAAAGUGCCUCCCUUCAUGCUCACAAGUACAUUGGUCUUGUAAACUGUUGAACUUGCUUUCACUGUGUAUAAUGUAGUUUCUUGAAUUGGUAUGUGGAUGUGGUAUUGCAAACUGAGGUUUGGGAAAUAACUACACAAAUUGCAAACUAAGGUAGUUUCCAGUUAGCUGUGUUACUUUCUGGUGUUCCUUUAUUCCUGUAACUUGUAACUGGUGACAUAGCAGCAAAUUUAAAACAGAUUUCCUUUAUUCUCUAGAUUGUUGAGAUGGGCUCAUGUGUUGGAGAUGAGUUUGUAGAGUGUUUUUACUUAUUGACAGGUUUUAACUGAUUGUUUUAGUGCUUGGUAAAUAUUGAAAUUUUACAGCUCCAUUGGGUUUAGUCAAAUAAGCAAAAGUAUAUAUGCCAGGUCACAUUUGCAACAGAUGGGGAAGGUCGACGUGAGCAUAGUGUCGGUGCUUAUGUUACUAUCGGAAGUGGUAAUGAAAUGAAUGAUAGAGACGAGCAUUUAUAAUGUAUAGUUGGUCCAGUGGUUGUCUAUUCCAUAGUCCCAUAGUCCAUAGUCCAUACGGAUAAUAUUUCAAAUGGCAUCCCUAGCCUCGGCCGGUUGGCCCAGUUAUUUCAUCAAUUAACAAUACAUUAGUAGGGGACAUCUUUGAGAGCCAUGGUAUUUUUCUAUUUUCUUUUCUCCGGCUAAUCCCAUAAGUAUGGCACGCCAUAUGUCAUCUGUUCAUGAUACAAGAUCUAAGAGAAUAUCCAGUAACAGUAAAAUGUUAAACAUACACUAGGAGUUGUCUUAUUACACUUUCACUUUUAAAGUUUGAGAAAUUUUAAAUACACAUCCUUAAUAUCUUAAUACAUGUCCUUUACUUAAUACACCACCUAUCAAGUUUUUCAUUUCAGUAUUAUACUUAAUACACAUCCCAAACUGCCUAAAAUGUCCUUAAUUUAUGAAAUAUUCCGUUAUUUAAUAUAAUUAAUAUAUAUUUACUAUUUGGAACCUCUUUUUACAUAUUAUUUCGUUUAAUUUUUGCUAGAAAUUUUUGGUUAUCAUCGUUCAAUUUAUAAUCAAAUGAUUAUUGUUAUAUUCCCACUCCAAAUCACCAAUACAAGUUUUCAAAAUUCACAAGCUAGGUAGUACGACUGUAGAAGUACAGUAGCUAUUAAACAUAGAUAGCUAGUUAUUCGAUAAAACAUGUCAUGAUAAAGAUGCAGUACUUGACAAUAUAAUCUCCAAGAUCAAACUAAAGCUGAUAAAGAUGCAGUACUUGACAAUAUGAUCUGUAAGAUCAAACUAAAGCUGAUACGGAUACAAAAAAAAAGAAAAAAAAAAAAGAACAACCCAAAUGAAUUGUGGAGAAGAAUUGGGGUUAGGGGAGAAUACGUGUUUUCGACGAUUUUAGGGUAGAAGACGUUGGAAAGAAUACUUCUAGCGUGAAUUUUUUUUUUAAUAAUAAAUUUAUGUUUUGAUCAUUUAAUUUACCUAUUACAUUUCAAUAAAAACAUAAAAUAAUAGAGAUGUGUAUUAAGAGAUUAGGGGUAUGUAUUUAAAAUUUCUCUUAAAGUUUUGUUUAAAAGAAUUAUUUAGCGAUAGUUUAUCAACAUCUUAUUAAAGUUGUCAAAGGUCAUUCGACUUAUCUAGUAAGACUUCAAUUAUCGGUAACUCAAUAACUUUGAAGCUUACUCCUCGAUCAUUCUUGAUUACAUCAGCUUUUAUUUUUGAGUUGUAAUUUCAAAUUUCAAAAUGUUACAUCGUCCACACUCCACACCAUCAACUUAUAAAAUUCGGGAUGGUAUACUUGAUUUUUCUUUUUUUUAACCGGGCAUGAUUUUUAAUGACCACAUUUAGCCCUUUGAGUGUCAUAUCUAUGAGAAAUCAAAAUUCUUUCUUUAUUUUCUUUUCCCUUACAUUGUUCCUACAAGAGAAAUUUUAAAAACACACCAUUAAUAUUUUAAUACACAUCUCUUAUUUAAUAUACCACCUAUCAAGUUUUUCAUUUCAGUAUUAUACUUAAUACACAUCCCAAACUGCCUAAAAUGCCCUUAAUUUAUGAAAUAUUCUGUUUUUUAAUAUAGGGAAAAUGCCCUAAUGCACAAAAACAGGGAUUUUAAUGCCCACUUCAAUGUAAAUUUUUUCUGUUAGCCCAUUUCAAUGAUUCUUAUGCAAAAGACAUUAUUACCCUCUAUAGAAUUAAACUCACACAAAUCUUAUCUCUUUCUUUUUCUCUUCUCUCUCUCUCUUCUUCUCCUCCCGAUCUGCUCUCUCUCUCUCUCUCACAUAUAUCCUUCGUCGGCGACCUCAUCCUCGCCUCCACCAUCUCCGGCGACCUCUUCCGUGGAGGGACGAUCUUAACGGUGAGAGCACAUGAUUGGCCCAGUAGAUAUGGGAGACGAGGAGAUGGGCGAGCUCGACGGACGGCAAGGACACGGCGGCGGAGUUGAGGCUGGAGCUGAGCUGGAGAGCCCAGAAGAGCGGGUCGCUGUUCUUGUCCUGAGCUGAUUGGUGAGAUGGAGGACCGAGUCCCAUAGGUGACUCGGCGGCUGCUGUGAGGGCACCACCGCCAUUCGGAAUCACAGUAGAGAGAAUUAGGGUUUUAAUUCAUUACAGAGGGAGAAGGAGGAGAGAAUCUGGAGCUGCUUUUGGCUUCUCACUUUGACUGACAAGGCUGUCCCCUGCUUUGGUGCUACCGGCGCCGGUUUAAGGUUUUUUUUUUUUUUUUUUUUUAGGUUCUAUUGGUGUGUUUGGGCUUGCUGGAGGAAUAGAUUCAUGGAGAGUUAGAUCCUUGUGGGGAAGCAUGGCAAAUAAGUGCGUACUUUGUAGUUUUCAUAGAGGUAGUAAUCGAUUACUGGGGGUCAGUAACUGAAAACAAAAUGAUUAUUGGGUGAUUACUGGGUUCAGUAACUGAAAACAAAGUGAUUACUGGGGGUCAGUAACUGGUUGCUAGGUGUCAAUAACUUGUCAGUAACCGAUUACUGGGGGUCAGUAACUGGUUACUGGGUGUCAGUAACUGGUUACUAGGUGUCAAUAACUGGUCAGUAACCGAUUACUGGGGGUCAGUAACUGGUUACUAGGUGUCAAUAACUGGUCAGUAACCGAUUACUGGGGGUCAGUAACUGGUUACUGGGUGUCAGUAACUGGUUACUAGGUGUCAAUAACUGGUCAGUAACCGAUUACUGGGAGUCAGUAACUGAUUACUGGGUGUCAGUAACUGAUUACUGGGGGUUAAUAACCGGUUACUAGGUGUCAGUAACUGAUUACUGGGGGUUAAUAACUGGUUAUUAGGGGUCGUUAACUGGUCAGUAACUGGUUAUUGGGGGUCAGUAACUAGUUACAGGGGAAAUUCCGGUGAUCGGAGUCCGACGGUCGGGAAAAUUCCGGUGACCGGAGUCCGGCGGUCGGGAAAAUUCCGGUGACCGGAGUCCGACGGCCGGCGACCGGAGUCCGGCGGCCGGUGACCGGAGUCCGGCGGCCGGUGACCGGAGUCGGAGUCCGGUGAGAUUCCGACCAAGUUUCUCUUUUUCAUUUUCUCUCUCUAUGUAUGUUUAAAGGAUGAGGGCAAAAUAGUCUUAAAAUAAUAUGGUUUAUUAAGACUUUAGUAAAGAUUUGUGCAUUUGGGCAUAAAAAAGGUUACCUUAUAUUGAAAUGGGCUAAUGAAAAAGAUUGUCAUUGGAAUGGGGAAUGAGGGGUUCAAAUUAGUACUAAAUGAGCAUUUUCCCUUUAAUAUAAUUAAUAUAUAUUUACUAUUUGGUCUCUUUUUACAUAUUAUUUCAUCUAAUUUUUGAUAGAAAUUUUUGGGAGUGCGGCUAUUAGGAUCUCCAAAUUUGCUCACUAGACCUCACUCUAUUUUGAAUUAUUAAAUUACAUAUACAUCCUCAUACACAAUGACUAUUAAGGACAAUAAUUAUACAAAAGGAAAUAUUGUAUUUAUUCCCUCUAGACUUUCCAAUUCAAUAAUAAUUGAUUCCGUUCUUUAUUAUUUUCCUUAUAUAUAUUUUUUUCCAAUUUCUUUUUAUUAAAGCAAUAGUUUCUAAGAGCUAAAAAAAUAAUCAAUAUCGAUCAUGUGACAUACAAUUUUGUAUUAUCAUACAUGUUGAGCGCAUAUAUUUGCAAGAUGCAUAAAUAUUUUGUAAAAAGAAAAAUUAAUAUCUAUCGAUUAUAGAAAUAUAUAUUUAUUGAAAUAAUUUAUUAUGAUGUAUAAAAUAGAGAUCAAAUUAUUCAAAAGAAAAAAAAUAAAAGAAAAAAUAACACGUACAAAAAACAAAAACAAUUAUAAAGAUAUAUACAGUAGUUCAUGAUAGAACAUUUUCUUGCAUGAAAAAAAUAAUCAAAAAAUGAAGGUAGGGAUAAUAAAUCGAUGUUGACAAAGAAAAAGGAAAAAAAAAAGAAAGAAGUCUAUUGAUUGAAUAAGAGGUAAUUAAUUAAUUGAAAUAUAUGUCAAUAAAUAACUAAGGUUAUGUUAGGAAUUUGAAAUGAAGUCUAGUGAGCAAAUACUUAUAUUGAAAAGUAAAAGGGAGGUGUAAAGAGAAUGAGAGGUAUAAUGAGCAAAUUUGGAGGUCCCAAUAGCCGCACUCAAUUUUUGGUUAUCAUCGUUCAAUUUAUAAUCAAAUGAUUAUUUUAACUCUAAAUCACCAAUACAAAUUUUCAAAAUUCACAAGCUAGUACAACUGUAGAAGUACAAUAGCUAUUAAACAUAGAUAACUAGUUAUUCGAUAAAAUAUGUCAUGAUAAAGAUGUAGUACUUGACAAUAUGAUUUACAAGAUCAAACUAAAGCUGAUAAAUAUGCAGUACUUAACAUUAUAAUCUGUAAGAUCAAACUAAAGUUGAUAAGGAUACAAAAAAAAAAAAGACAUCCCAAAUGAAUUGUGGAGAAGAAUUGGGGUUAGAGAAGAAGACGUGCUUUUGACGAUUUUAGGGUAGAAGACGUCGAAAAAAAUACUUCUAGUGCGAUUUUUUUUUUUAAUAAUAGAUGUAUGUUUUGGUCAUUUAACUUACCUAUAAAAUCUCAAUAGAAACAUAAAAUAAUAAGAGUGUGUAUUAAAAAGAUUAGGGGUGUGUAUUUCAAAUUUUUUUUCUUACAAAUAUGAAAAACAAAAAACAAAAAAAAUCUUGUAGAUCACCGUCAUUUUGACUCAUUUCUAUAGGAGAUAACACACUGUUUUGUUUUGACUUGGUUGACUCGGGGUUAAUUGGGUUACAACCUAACCUGAGCUGGUACUUCCGAUCCCAUAAAAAGGUUAUAGAAUUAGAACUAGAUCUCUCUGUCAGAUAUUUACUUGACAAGUUGCCAGAGCCAAUAAUAGAAAUGAAAUAGUAGUCGGUGCUAUAACACCUUAAAAAGACAGACCCACAGACCCAGUUCCGAGUUCUAUUACUGACUUGAAGGCAUACAGAAUGCAGUGAUCAACAAGACCCUACAGUACGUUUUCUCAGUCUCAGAUAUCCCCCUUGUCUUUAUUUUCAUUACAUUCUUGUUCUCUUGCAUAAAGAUCUUUGGUUUUUGAUGUAUUGCACCCACAUAGGUUCCAAGUUUCAAGCUUUGUUUCAGUUUGCAUAUAACCCACUAUGUAUUUCUCUCAGUUUGCCAAGCAUUGGAUAGUUCUAAUAUUGACCCACCAAUUUAGUUUUCAAGAUGCUUUGAUGGGUUUCUAGUUAUGACAAAUGGGUUGUUAGUAGUUAAUGGAAAGAAGGUCUUUUUGGUGAAAUCCAAAAGCAAGAAUUUAAGAUCAAGAAAUUUCGAGUUCCUUUGUUAAUUGAUAGAUCUGUUUUAUUUGGAAUGAAGUUGAGCUGUUCUUUUUAUGCUGUCAUAUGAUCUACUUUUUAAUAUUAGUUAUAACAUGCUAUCAUUUGCAAUCAGUUGCACAUCAAAAUUAGCGUGGAUCCCUAUUUGUAUGUGAAAGAUCACAGCCUAGUUUGGUUCCUCCAUUCAAAAACAGUUCUUUUUCGGUACAUGGACAGCUGAGUUCCUUUUUUUAUUGCCUUCCUCAGGUGUAUGUAUAAUUUGGGGUAUUGAUCUUUGCUUCUCAAGAUGGCUAUGGGGAAGUAUUCCCGAGUUGACGGAAAGAAGUCACUGAAUUGUUGCUCAACAACCAGCCUAGUUGUAUUUGUUGCAUUUUGUUUAGUUGGGGUAUGGAUGUUAAUGUCAUCAGCUGUUCCGAUUCAGACUCAAAGUUUAUCAACUGAGGAGAAUCUGGCUGAUAAAAGUUCUAAGCAAUAUGAAGACAGUUCUGGUGGAUUAUCGGAAAGUGUAACAAUAGAGGAUGACAAUGGCAGUGACUCACAAAGUGAAACCAAUAUUGAAAAUACUCAAAAUGUUUCACAGGAUGAGUCCGUGAGUACUAGUGAAGAAAAACAGGAGGAAGUGGUUUCAAAAGAGGUUUCUGAGGAGAAGGUUGAGUCUGAAAGUGAGAAUGAUGAUGAGGGAAAUCAGCAAGAGAAGUUUGUGAAGGAGAGCUCUGAUGAGAAAAAUGAGACUGAAGAGGAACCAAAGACUGAGAAAGAAAAUGAUGGGGACGCGAAAAUAAAUGAUCAGGAAGCUAGUUCUGGAGAUGAGCAGUCAAACUCAGAAGCUGAAUCAACAGAGCAAGCAGGUGAUAAAACGAGUGAAAAUGAACAGACAGAAUCAGAGGGUGAAAAAAAAUCAGAGGGAGAUGAAUCUACUGAUGAAAAGAAGCAGGAAGAUGAAGUUCCUAGUCAGACUGAUGAGGAGAAGGUUGAGAACAAUGAAGACAAAAAUUCAGAAAAAAGUGAUACCAGUAAUAACAUGGAAAGCGGGAAGGAAACACAGAAGUCUUCAAUAUCUAAAACUCAGAGUGAGUAUAGCUGGAAACUCUGUAAUGUCACUGCAGGGCCUGACUACAUCCCUUGUCUUGACAAUUGGAAAACUAUUAGAAAUCUUCCAAGUACAAUGCACUAUGAACAUCGAGAGAGGCACUGCCCUGAGGAAGCUUCCACCUGUCUGGUUUCUCUACCUGAAGGAUAUAGACGGCCAAUUAAGUGGCCAACAAGCAGGGAAAAGGUAUAUCAUCUGUGAAACAGUUAUAUUUACCUAUUUUUCACACUUGAAAUUAAAAUGUGUUCUUGGUGCAUGAUGCAGAUAUGGUACCACAAUGUUCCUCACACCAAGCUUGCAGUAGUUAAGGGGCACCAAAAUUGGGUUAAAGUUACUGGUGAAUAUCUUACUUUCCCUGGCGGUGGAACUCAGUUUAAGAAUGGUGCUCUUCACUACAUUGAUUUUAUUCAAAAAGUGAGUCCUAUCAACUAUAUUUGUCCCCAUUAUAUCUGUGCUUUGAUUUGCAGGAGUUAUUUGCUUUGUCAGUCAUGAGAAAUCAAGUGUAGUACUUACAUCAGUUAGGAUUGGACAAGAUCUGUCUGACCAAAUGAAAAGCCUGUACCUGUGAACGCUCAUACUUUGUUCCUAUCUAUGCUUUUGCGGAAUGCCUGAAUGUGUAGUGCUAAAGUCCUUGCUUUGAAUUGUGUCUGUGUGGGUGUACUGUAGUCCUUUGGGUUUUUUUCUCUACACUCCAUAUAAAACAUAUGUAUCUGUUGUAACACAGAUAUACAUCUUCUUUUUAACACAUGUCAUUAUUAGAGCACUCCAAAAAAAAAAAAGCAUUAUUUUCUUAUGUAAUUUCUUUUUAAAAGAACUUCAGUACUCUGCAAUAUUGGAACAUUCUUGUAGGUCCUUUUCUGGGCUCCUAGAGAAAACUAAUUAUUGAUAUUCUUCGGUUUUUUAUUCCAUUACCUAAAGAUCUGGAUAUGAAAUGUAGAGAGCCAUCUGAUUUGAUCUCUUAAAUAGAACAAAAAAUGCCUCAAGUAAAUCCUUGUUUAAUUUCAUGCUUUAUUUUCUUUUGAUGGUAAUUUUCAUUUCAUUUCAUUUUUCAAACAAGAUAUUCAGCUUGAAUGCUUGAUCAUCUAACUGUCUGAAGUUUCGAUCUAGAAAUCAUAAUUUGUCGGUGAAAGUUAUGCUCUCAGUUUCCUAGUUUGUUGCUUAAUGUGAAACUUUGUAUUGGUCAUGCAGUCUCUGCCUGAUAUUGCGUGGGGUAAAAGAAGCCGUGUGAUAUUGGAUGUUGGGUGUGGGGUAGCCAGCUUUGGAGGAUUUCUGUUUGACAGAGAUGUUCUUGCCAUGUCAUUUGCUCCCAAGGAUGAACAUGAAGCCCAGGUUCAAUUUGCGUUAGAGCGGGGUAUCCCAGCCGUAUCAGCUGUUAUGGGUACCACAAGGCUACCGUACCCAAGUUCUGUGUUUGAUGUUAUCCACUGUGCACGCUGUAGAGUCCCUUGGCAUGUUGAAGGUAAUAAAUGCAUGUAUAUAUGUACCUAUAUAUAUAUAUAUUUCUUCAACUUGGUUGAGUCUUAGAGAUAUAAUUAUGUUACAUUUCAGGUGGUAAACUGCUCUUGGAGCUUAAUCGUGUUUUGCGACCUGGUGGUUACUUUGUUUGGUCUGCUACCCCGGUUUACCAAAAGCUUCCUGAAGAUGUCGGCAUCUGGAAAGGUCAACUACUUUUUAUCAUCUGAGGAUAUUUGAAUGUUACUUUGCUUCUAUCUAACAUACUCCCUCUUUCUUCCAGCAAUGUCUAAACUAACUAAGUCAAUGUGCUGGGAUCUGGUGCUGGUUAGAAACGACAAGCUCAAUCAAGUUGCUGCUGCUAUAUAUAGGAAACCAUCUACCAAUGAGUGCUACAAUGAAAGAGCAGAAAAUGAGCCUGCUCUUUGCAGUGAAUCUGAUGAUCCAAAUGCUGCCUGGUAAUUUACCUUUCAAUAGAAAGCAUCUUCCAUUCUCACACUUAUGAGUUUUACAUAAAAUCUGUAAAUAGCUACUUGAAUAGAAAAAUAUGGAAAUUGAUUUCAUUAGGAAUUUCAAGUUUUUCUUUGGUCAAAUUUGUCCUACCAUUUUCAGAAAAGAAAAGAAAAACAAAAAAGAUUGUCAAAAGUAAUGACUUCAAAUUUGCUUCACAUUGUUGAAGUAUCUUUCUGCAAUGAAGAUGACUUCCCAACACUUUAAAGGUUUCUUUUAUUUCUGCAUAAUCAGGAAGGUACCUUUGGAGGCAUGCAUACACAAAGUGCCUGAGGAUGCAUCAGAUCGUGGGUCUCAAUGGCCGCCGCAGUGGCCAUCAAGGUUGGAGAAACCACCAUACUGGUUGAAGUCUCAGCUUGAUGUUAAUGGAAAAUCUGCCCCAGAAGAUUUUAUUUCUGACUAUAAGCAUUGGAAGAAUGUUGUGUCCAAGACAUAUUUGACAGGGAUGGGAAUCGAUUGGUCAUCUGUAAGGAAUGUCCUGGACAUGAGAGCUGUAUAUGGAGGGUAAGCAAUUAUUAUUCUGUUGCUACUUACUUUUCUCCCCAUGGAUGCUUCACUACUAAUAGUGGGACAACGUAGAUUAGGGUUAUUGCUCAAGCUGAUGUGCUAGAUGUUAGACAAAACUCAAUAUUACUGUGUCUUUUUUAUUUUUUCACUUUCCUUUUCCUUCGUUCUGUGGCUUCGUUCUGUGGCUUUGCAUACAAUUGAUUGGAUUCAUUUCUCUCUUUCCAAAUAUGAAUAGCUAGUGCUGAUUAAAUUAGAGUUGAAAUCAAGUACUGCGAACAUGUUUAUAUUUCUGACAUUUUAGUUGCUGAAGGGGAAAUAUUGAUGAAUAUCCUGCUGAUGCAAGUUUCACAUCAGACAAUUGCAUGUCAUAUCUUCCUUUCUGCUGUUUCCUUCUGUUCUUAUUUGUAUACUACUGAGGCUUUUGUUUUCUGAGGUAGUGAAAAUGGCAAAACCUUUCACUUAAUCUUUGUCUUUUAUGUUUAUCAUUUUUUAGGUUUGCUGCAGCACUGAAAGACUUAAAUGUAUGGGUAAUGAAUGUUGUCCCUCAUAUUGACUCUCGUGACACACUUGCAAUAAUCUUUGAGCGUGGAUUAAUCGGAAUGUACCAUGAUUGGUGCGAAUCAUUCAGUACAUAUCCUAGGACUUAUGAUGUUGUCCAUGCAGAUCAUCUCUUCUCUGUCCUUAAGAAAAGGUAUGUUCUAAUUCUAAGACAUUUCCCUUCAGUUUGCUAUGAAGGUGUAUUGUAAUCCCAACUCUUCAUCCAAGUCAUCUCUUAUUGAAUGUGCUUAUCCUACUCUGAUCACAGAUGCAACUUAGUCGUGGUGAUUGCGGAAGUUGACAGGAUACUAAGGCCAGAAGGCAAGCUAAUCGUAUGGGAUGAUGCUGAAACCUUGAAUGAGAUUGAGAGCAUGGCUAAGUCUCUGCACUGGGAUAUCCGAUUUACUUACUCAAAAGACAACAUGGGUUUGCUCUGCAUUCAGAAAACGUUUUGGCGUCCUACUGAGCAAGAGACAAUUCUAUCAGCCAUUGCUUAGAGGCUUCAAUCUGUGCGUUUGACUGCCGAAGGUUGGUCAAUGCCAGCAUCAGCCAAUUGAGUAUUCUUCUGUUUGCUGAAGCAUUAUUUUUCUAAUAUCAAAUAUCAAGUUAAAUUCAUUUGGAAAUGUAUAAUAUAGAUAGCUACUCUUUAGAAGUCCCUGCAUCCCUUGUUGAAGCAGAGGGAUUGGGCUUACAACUUUUGUAUUUCAACAUAAUUCUUGAAUGAAUCUCAAACGUAUUACUGUAAACUACAGUCGCAACUGGUAUGCUACUGCUCACACUAUCAUCUUAGUUAAAAGUUCUGCAGCCAUCUUGUGCUUGCUAUUAUGUGGUGGUGAUUCAAGUCUCAUAAUGUGCUUACCACAUUUUCUUUUGCUAUCACCUAUUGUACACAUAGGGGAAAUGUAUACAUACCUUUCCUCUACCUAUAAGAGCUGAAUUAGGUCAAAUUAUAAUUAACCUACUCCUACUUCUCUGAUGUUAUAGAUGAUAUUUUAGGUACAAAUCAGAGUAGAUGAAGUUUGUUGAAGACGUCACAUAUUGUUGAACACUUCUAAGCUUUUGCCAGACAAGAUAGGUGAUCAUGUAAGACAUUGUGCAGUACUUUUGAGUGAGAAUGGAGCCUACCACUUAGAGAUAGUGUGCAGUUUCCAUCCCUUCCAACUCUUAUUGUCCCAAAUAAAACUGCAUAAGAUUACAAGAUUAUAUUCCACCCGACAUUCUUCCAACUUUCACGAUUAUAUAAUUCUCAAGCACACAUGUACAUCAAAUUCUUUUAUGAAGGGAUCUGCUUCUCUGCCAUGGCAGCUUGACCCAAUUAAGGAUUAGUCCCAAUCAUUAUUUUUCCAUGUAAUUGGUAGAUUGAUAGUUACCGACCUUUUAUAUAGUAUCUUCUCUUAUAUUCUAGACAGUGCAGUGACUGCAGUCUGGUGUUUUGAGUUUUUCAUUUUCAAAAUCACAUACCAGACAGAUAGAGUAACAGAUUUUAAUUUUCCUUUUUUCUUUUUUUCUUUUUCUUUUUGUAAAUAAGAAUAACCUUUAAAGGGUCCUCCUAUGAAAUGAACAAUUUGAUAAAUAUUCUACAUGUAGAAGAAGAAUGUGGCUAACAGUCAUUUGAUUUGAGACUUGUAACAAAGCUUACAAAGGUCUGGUUCUAGAACUAACAUACUAGUGAUUUUUGACCCGAAUAUGAUAAAUUAAAUUUAUACAUGUUCCUUUUUAUUUUUGGGACAAAAUUCUAAUAUGUUCUGACCUGAAACAAUUUCACAUUUCAAGUGAUGAGGACCAUAGACAAGGAUAAUUGGGAAAUUGUGGUGUUCUAAGCACAACCCUCUUCAUAAAAUAUACCAAGUAUCUCAGUGACACUACUGAUGGGCAUUACCUUUUUGUUGUGAAAAUAAUUAGAAUGUUGGGAAAAUAGCCUACAAAAGUGCCAAGAUGCUUCUUUUGAACUUCUUAAAAAAAUUUACUCUAUCAACUUUUGCUUAGCUUAGCUUGUUUCUUUGGUUGUGAGUAAUCUAAGAAAUGAAAAGAAACCUCUCCUCAUGUUUGCAUGAUUGAAAUUGAAAAACAAUUCUGCAAUAGUUUUUGGGUUGGUGUUUUCAACCAUAGGCUUAAAGGGCUUCAAUGAUUUCUUCUUUCUAUUUAACAAGUUUGAUGACAGCUUUACUGUCAUUCCAUGCUCGGCAACAAAGAAAAUAAUGCAAUACCCAUCUCACAUGUCACUUAAAUUCAGCAAAUUAAGUAAGUUGGUGAAAUCUUCUUGUGGUUAGGUGACUUAGGUCACUUGGAGUACAAGUGGCACUACUAAUUUAUCACUUUUAACAACUGACAAGAAGGAUUUGUUACCAGACAUAGAAACAAUUUAAUUCUUAUACCCAACUCAAAAAAGGGGUUCCAAUUAAGAACAAUAAAAUCCACUAAAUUCUUUUCUCUUUCACUUACACAGAUUCUAUACAAUGAGAGCAACAGCCUGAGCUGCUUAGCCUUAACAGUUUAAGAAUUAUCAAAUACCUCACUGUCUGCCAUUGCCACAUCUUUUCUCAAACAAUCAAGUUGGCAGUCUCCUUACAUUACUCAACUUGUCUGCUGCCUUCUCAGUAAGUUGAGAGUACAAAACUAUUGAGUAUAUAUCACUUCUUUUCAAUUCCAAAGUGUAUUACUAUUCAACAAUGUUAGGUUCUUGGAGGCACAAGUGCUUUCUCUUCACUCUUGUUGCUCUCAUUCUUCUUUCAUCAUCAUCAACAUCAGAAGCGUCAAGAGCAUUGCCAAAGGACUUAUGGGAACAGAUGCUGCCCAAGAAGCUGCCUAUAGCUACUCCUUCUUCAGCUCCCUCCAAAGGCACGAAUUCUGCAACAAAGUCUUCCUCAAAGCCCUUCGAAGCUCGCAGGAACCUCCCUUCAUCAGAGGGAAAGGUCUAGAAACAGUUUUAGUUUCCAUUCUAUCUCUAACUGCAAAAACAUGCAAUCCGUGGUGAUGUGCUGAUCAAACGGAAGCAUGCAGAGACUUGAAAUCAGCUUAUGCACAGAACAUACCCUUGUAGAUUUCUUUUGGCUUAGUCUGCUGGUACAGAUAGGAAAAUAGAUUCAUUAUUGGACAGGCUGAAUUAGCUAGCAGUCAUAAUUUUGGGACAGUAGCGAUAUAUGGAGCUUCUUUUACAUUAAGAUAGGCAUUGCUCAUGGCCAUAUAUCACUGGCACUAUUUUCUCUGUACUUCUUCCAUGUAGAAACAUCUUUAUGUAAUCUGUAUUUCGUUUCCUCCAAAAAAAAAUCUGGUGAUACCUUGAUCAAGACACAUAUUUUUGAACUACAACUUAAUGUGUUGAAGGCCUGUAUGGGAUGUCACUUCUAUUUCUUGGCAGGAGGGUCUAUAUGGAUUUUUGUGCCGAGGAAAGCUAAAGUUUCUGACCACAUACAUUAUUCUGUUCCUGUCUCAAGCCAGUUUUGAAUAGCUAACAUUUCCGGUUUGGCCUACAUAAGACUCCAAUGUUUUAUGUGGGGAAAAACUGAACACUACAAAGGCACAAACUGAAAUUAAGUCCAUAUUCAGUCCAGUAAUGCUUUUUUCUCAGCAAAAGGGAUGAAGGAGUAUUAAACCAAAAUGAUCUUUUUGUUGUAAAUAUUAGAAUAUAUGUGGAUGUCCUUGUAAAUACUCAUUAGUUAUAUCCUUAAGAUGUAAAUCAUACUCCUAUAUAAAGGAGCCUAAUGAGAAUGAAAAUGACACUUCUUCCUCCUCCUACAUUUUGUUCUUCUCUUUUCUCUCUCUCAUUCUUAGUUUAUAACACAUUAUCAGCACGAUUUCGCUCAUUCGUUCUAUGAACUCCAUGAUGAUCUAUGAGAUAUUGAUGCCACUUUUGUUGCUUAUUAUUCAUACUCACGAUCUAUGAGUUCGCUUCUAUUUUGAUUAUAUCUUGUCUACAUAUAUACUUUGUUUAUAUUGCUCAAUUCUAUGUUUACAAUUGCUUAUAUUAGUGAGCCUGAAGUUUCGCUAAUAAUCAUUUUUGAGAUUGUGAACCUGAAGUUCAAAAUUACAUUAGACUUGGAGAUUUAGUUGUGUAAGCAUAAACCUGAAGUUUUAUGCAUGUACAUGUGAUCCAUUAUUCACAAGAUUCGAAACUGAAGUUUUGAUAUUGAUAUUUUUUUCUUAUGAACAUGAAAUUCUAAACAACAUAAUUGGAUCCAUGAUGCAUGAUCAAUGUGGUCUCUGAUGCAAUAUUAUUGCUUAAGACCAUGAACCAUGAUCUAUGAGUUUAUGAGUUUAUAGGUGAUCUAUAUAUUAUUGAUUUAGAUCAAGAAUCUAUGGUUCUUAUUCCCAUUUGUUUGGAUGAGUUUUGCAAUAUCAUGGUGCAAUUCUAUGUAUUUUUAUGGAUAAUUUUAUGGAACUUAUGAACACAUGUUCAAUAUGAGACACUAAGAACCAUUGUUCUACCAAGAGCCAUGAAUGGACACAUUUGCGGCUUUUAAUAUGGAUCCUGAUAUGGUUAUCGACGUAGCUAUAGUAACCAUUUUUGAUGCAUGUCUUAACAUUUAGUGGCUCUCUACGAAGCCCUCUGACAAAGGCAAUAAAGCUAAAUUCAAUCAUACAUACUAAUUAGUCUCGAUCAACAAAUGAUGAUAUUUGAUUAUAGCUAUUAUUGCUGUAGUAAUGAAAAUUAGGUGCAAGUUGCAACCAUGUUAAUGAGACUAUUACCAUUCUUUUACUUGCAUUAUGUGGGAGUUACUGAAUUGAUGUGUGAGUUAUUGAUUUAACAUGGGAGUUACUGAGAUAAUUAACUCAGUUUACUACCAUCAUGUGAUUAGUUAUUUUUUUAAUGACUUCAUAUUACCAUUUUUAUUAUUUGGGGUUGUUAUCAAUAGUUUUUUUAUUACCAUGAUUUCUAUCACCAUUAUCUCACUAUUGUGUAAAUUACUCUUAUUAAUGACGGUUCUUAAUUUCACUUUUAUUAUGUGAUAAUAAAACAAAAUUUUAUCUUCCGUCAUGGCCAGACAUUUUCUUCUCUUUCCAACAUGUAACAUGCUUUGCAUCUAGUAAUUUCCUCAUUAUUGGCUUUGGUCUAGUAACUGACGAUCAGGUAAAGUACGUGUUCAUAUAAAGGUUUGUUUUCCACUAAGUUUCUAGCGGAGCUUAUCAUAUCCUUACGAGUCUAUUAGUUAUCUUCUUCAUCUCACUCUAUUUUGAUCGGAAAAGUAACGGUACAACAUAGUUGUUUUUCCUGGACUAGUGUUAAUCUAUGAAUUUCUGGACUGGUAUUCAUUGAUGAUAGUUAUCGUAUUAUUACGUUUAAUUUCAUUUGUUGCGGUAAUAUAUUCUAUUGUUGCUUAUAUUUUAUUUCAUUUUAUUAUGAAGGUAUGAACAUGGAUCAUGAACACGCUCAAUUUAAAAUUGGAGAAGAUAUUUGUCUUGCUGACAAUGCCACCACACAUAUAAUCCUUCGUGAUCGGAAAUUUUCUCCAUCUAAGUACCUUCUUAAGCUAAUGUGACCACCAUAUAUGGUAUUUCCAAUUUGAUUGAAGGCUCCGGAAGAGCCCACAUUAGUCUUCCAAAUGGAACUCAGUUGCCCGUUAAAGAGUCUUUGUACUCUCCUAGACCAAGAAGGAAUUUCCUAAGUUUCAAGGAUAUUUGUUUGAAUGAAUUUCAUGUUCGGACCACAAACGACAAGAAUGUGGCAUAUGUUUUCAUUACUUCCUAUAUUAUCAGCCACAGCCGCGUAUUGAAAAGGUUUGUUGGCUUAUUAUUUGGUUUAUAUUACACAACCAUUAAGUCUAUUGAGACAUGUCAUGUCAUGAACUAGAAGUUCAAGGACAACGAUACAUUUAUGCUUUAGCAUGACCGUUUAAGUCACUCUAGAUCUAUAAUGAUAUGUAGAAUAUUUUUAUACAAAUUCCAAUGGUCAUCCAUUGUUGACAAAACAUAUAAUUUUGUCAAGCGACAUCCUUUGUCAAGCUUGUUCUCAAUGAAAAUGGGUAAUUGGACCCUCUUAUGCAAUCAACAAGGACCAGAAGCUCCUCAGAGUUAUAUAAUAUGGUUUUCUUAUCAUCUUUAAUUAUAUGAAGACCUGAAGCUCCUAUUUAUUUUGAUACAAUGUUGUUGUGAAAUUAGAGGAGAGAAACAAGAUUAUCAUAUUCGUGAAGGUAACUAGACUAGAAGUUCUUGUACUUAUGGAACCAGAAGUUUCCAUUGUCACAUUUUAUUUAUUCUUGUUCCUUACCAUUUUAGAGUUUGUUAAUUAUUUUCCUCUUCUAAACUUUAUUGUUACUCAUAAGGGCUAACAAUCCUAUAUCUCAAACAUAUAAUUUUCAAGUGAAAUAUUUUUCAAAAUUUUCAUAAGAGUUACCGGGGUUCUAACAGCAAAAACUCAAACCGAAGUUUUGAGUAUAAAAUAUCAAUGACUUAAAAGUGAAUUUGAAGUUUCACUUGAGUUACUCGAGCCUGAAGUUUCGAGCAACAGUUAACUUGAAGUUAACAUUCUAAGAACCUGUCGUUCUACCAUUAUAAAAACGGACAUGAAGCUUCGAUUAUAUAUAUGAAUGAUGGUUUUGGAAGAGCACAUAGCACUACCAGAAGAAAGACUUUAGCCGACGAAAAUAAAAAAACCAGGCUGACGAAUUAUUUUUUCGUUGGCUAAUUAAAAAUUUUCGUCGGCUAUGGUCAACUUUAGCCGACGAAAUUAAAAUUUCGUCGUUUGAAUAAUUUUUUUCGUCGGCUAUAGUCUGUGAAUUUUAGCCGACGAAAUUUUUAAAAGUUUAGCCGACGAAAAAUAUAAUUUCGUCGGCUAAAGUAUUUAAAUAUCUGCAGAUCUGGACAACAACUCAUCUGGGAAAAAAAAAACUAUACGUAGAACCUUCAAACGCAAAAAAGUCAUGAAAUAAGAUAUGACCAGAAUGGUGAAAUACGUCUACGGUUGCAAAAUCAAGGUAUUCCGGUAAAGUCUCAGUGCCGAUAGGUGCGGUCAAUGCAAUUUACCCUUAUUAUUCACUAUGCUGUAGAUUUGGUUUUUGGUGUCCAAUUGACUAUUGUGAUACCUUUCUGACCUUUCCGGAAGCGUAACGACCUUACGAGUCAAACUCAUUGAUAAGGCCAUGAUGUAUGGGCCUUUUUGGCCAUCCGAGUCCGUUUAGGGCUUCAAAAUGCAGUUUUCUUAUUUCCGAUUAGAGUUGACCGUUUUGAUCGAGCCCUUAACUUUGUCGAAUCUAGUUGAAUUUUUUAUCAUAGACAUCUUUCGUCAUAAUGAUCAUAUCUGACGGUCAAAUUUUGGUUUGUAAAUUUUAAUCAUCGGAAUCACAACGUGUCUACUAUUUACCGUUAUUAUUCCCUAUGGGGAGCCCUAUCGUCGGAAGGUAAAUGUCUCAAAAUUUUUAUAUGGGCAGUUGCGUCUCAUCAACGUGAGAGUUUUUUGUGUGGAAGGUUUGACCAAACCACGUAAUAUAGAGGGAGAUAUGAGCGUUUUCGUGUGAUAAGUGACGAUGGAUUAGGGUUGACCGUUUCGAUCGAGUCUUUAAUGNNNNNNNNNNNNNNNNNNNNNNNNNNNNNNNNNNNNNNNNNNNNNNNNNNNNNNNNNNNNNNNNNNNNNNNNNNNNNNNNNNNNNNNNNNNNNNNNNNNNNNNNNNNNNNNNNNNNNNNNUCGACGAAAAUAUAUGAAAAGUCGUCGGCUAAAGUCGAAAAAUUUUCAAAAUUUUCAACCAAAAUUUUUUGGCGGUCAACCAAAAUUUUUAAAUUUUUCAAAAGAGUUUAGUCGACGAAAAUAAAGAAUUUCGUCGGCUAAAGUUCUUUAUAUAGGAAGGUGGAUGGUAAGAAGUCUAUUUCGCCUGCCAGAUUUUCUUCUUGGCCUAGCUCCGCCGUCAAGCCACCGGAGACCGCCACACUUGUCCCAAAAGCUUUGCCGUCAUCUCUACUUCAUUGCUGGAUAGGUGGUGCAUCGAGUGGCGUCGCCGUGAGGGAUAAAUCGAGCUCCAAAACUCCGCCGGUACGGAUUCGGUGUCGAUCGAAUUUCUCCUUCCUCAGGUCACCAUUUGGUGAGUUCUAUAUAUGGAUAAGUUGAGUCUGAUUAGUCUACAUUCUCCUAUAAUUUGGUAGCUCAAUUCGGUGUGUGUGAGGAGAAUCGAAGAUUUGAAGUUUUUAAGGUUUAAAAUCGGGGAUUUUUAUAUUUUGAUUCAAUUGACCUGUUUAGGCUUAGAAUUGGGCUUCAACUUCUUUUAGAAAGUUGUUUGAAAUGUUGAGAGGAAGAUUCUGUCAAAUUUUGGUGGUGAUUGGAGGUGGCCGAAAGUUUCUGCUAGUUUUUUUUUUUUUUUCAAAAACCAGCAACUUUAGCCGACGAUAUUUANNNNNNNNNNNNNNNNNNNNACUAUAUUUCGUCGGCUAUAGUCUGGGAAAAAUUUUUUUAUUACAGACUUUAGCCGACGAAUAUCUUAAUUGUUUCGUCGGCUAAAGUCUCGGAAAAAAACCGACGACAUGUUUUUCGUCAGCUAAACUGUGGGACUAUAACCGACGAAAUUUUUUUUUCGUCGGCUAAAGUCAUCAUCGACGACCUUUUCCAGACGAAAUCUUAGCCGACGAAUUAAGCUAACAGGCCGACGAAACUUUUUCGUCAGCUAAAGUGUUUGUCCUGGUAGUGUAGUAUCUCGCUAUGCGGCCUAUUACGUGUCAAAUUGUAUAGUAAAGUGAGACACAAAAUGUCAUGAAAUAACAAUUCAUUAAACAACAUAUACAUUAUUUUGGCAUGACUAGUUACGUCAUAUUUUACAUAAAGUGUUACUUGGAAUCAGUAACAACUCUUGAUGACCACUAGCUAACGCUACUUUGAGCAAAUUGUUCAUUUGCCUCAUCUCUGUUUUGGUUUAUCACCUUAAUGAGACACUCCUCUUGUUAUGCGGGGGAGAAAUAUUAUUCUUGAAGAACGAUAUGAAUUGUUGUGGACUAUUUACCUACUGUCUCAUUUUGAGCAUGAGAAAUAUCUUAGCUAGUAAUUUAUUAAAGCUAGUGAUGACAAAACUAUAUGUUAGCACAAAAACAUUUGCUUGGGUUAAAGUCUAUGAGACUAACUAUAUUAACAAAACAACCUUGACCCCAUUUGAUUUGUGGGAGGAAUGUGUAUCUACGUGACAUGGUUCUCCUGACGAGAAUGUCAUUAAAAAUAUUCGAGUUCCUAAUAUAGCGGCUACAAUAUUACACAUACAAAGGUUAAAAGUACACCAUCAAAUGAUGAUAUCUUAGUCAUACAAACAUACACCAUAUGGUUGAUACUCAUGAAUUUAAUAUUUUUGACCUUACACUUGGUUUGGGUUCACCACCAGCCAAUGGACAUCUUCACUCGAAAGGAAGUGAUAGACAUUUAAACGCAUUUUUAUGCAUGGUCAUGAUACGACAGUGUUUGAUUCCCGCCGUUAGGGGGAGAGAAAAGACUACUGUCAUUUGAAUAACGGCGUGAAUCUGAGUGGAAUGUAUCCACUAGGUCUAAAGUUUUAAGCUCCUGAAAAUGGAAGAUUAUACAUGUCAUAUUCGCUAGAUAUAAUUCAUCUAUGAGAGAUGUUUGUCGUAGAAGUGACAAUAUUUGCCCUAGAAGUGGCAUGGGUACCCAAUAUCAAUAAGAUCAUAGUAGCUAAUGCAUGCAUAUAAGAAUGUGUGGGAUCUAUAAAUGAUGAUUAUCAAUGAAAAUUUGGAUAUGGUAGCUACCAAAAACCAUUAAGGAAUGUAUGAUGCAAUACCACGUUUCAUUAUGAAUGUCGACAAAUCAUAUUAUUGGCCAAAUUGGAUAGAGGCAAUUCCAAUUAAACUGAAUAUCUGAAACAUGAUGAGAUACUUAGACCUUUAACUUUACAUGAUACAAAAGGGUAUUAAUCACAAUGAAAAUAAAUCACUAUGGCACAAUGUCUAGAAGAGACAUGAGGAUUACGAAUAUCUUUCCUUAUACGUGAUAAUUUUCUGUAAGUAUAGUGUUACAUAUAUUUAUUGAUGAGUGACUUACGGCAGUUGUCAUCGUAUAUUAUAAAGAUGUUAAAAGACUUCCUAAAAGUAAAGCGUCAUUAUAAGUGUAUCGCUUAUCAAAUCCUUAAAGUAUCCAAGUACAUGAAUGAUUCGAACGUAAAUCGAUCCAUGAAUACUUGAGAGAGUCUGAAUAUGAGAUUCCUUAUUGCCUAAGGGAAAUGACGUAAUGUGCCUUAUACAUGCAAACACAACUCCCAUUAGUGAGACGUGUCUUGGGUUGGAACCCAAGAAGAAAAGCAUGAGGGGGAGGCCCAAAGGCGAGCAUAUCUCUCGUUAUGCUGGGCUGUUAAACUAAAGUUAACUCAUGCAAUUAAUAGUCUAAAGCUAGCUCAUCUAUACUCAUUUUGCUAUAGUUAACGUGAUUAAAAUUGCCUCAAUGAGUAUUAUGAUUGGACUACAAAACCGAAUUCAGAUUAUGUCGCUACAUAUUCUAACUUUCGCGAAGUUAUGAAUUGCUUAGAGCUCUUGAAGAGCAUACACGAGAUGUAUCAAUAAACAUAGAUAUUGAUAUGAGUGGCUAGAUAUGCCAUGCUGAUCUUUCAAUGGUUUGAACCAUACAUAGUAAUGUGUUAAUUAGCUUCUACUACUUAGUUGUUACAUAAUGUAUGAAUUUGAACAUGUGAGGUUGUUUCUAAUAUUACUAAAUGAGGUAAGACUAAUUAAAAGUUGUAUAGUUCUGUUGGUAUUGCCUUCACUUUGCAGGUAUGAAAAUCUUGUGAUGAGCCCCUGUAUGCAAAAUGAACAAGAUUUCACUUCAGUGAUAGACAAAUCGAACCGUUAUUUACUGUACAUGAAGCUUGCAACAAUCAGGGGGGAAUCUCAUCAGGGAGAGCAUUUAGAAGUAUGCUACCUAUGACAUAUGCGCGUUGCACUCUUUUUCUCCUUCGACCAGGUUGUUUUUUCCCACAGGGUUUUUAUUACCUGGCAACGUUUUUAAUGAGACAACACUAAGCGCGUCCAACGUCAUAUUAUUGAUGGACAUCCAAGGGGGAGUGUUAUAAAUAUUGGAAUAUAUAUGGAUGUCCUUGUAAAUACUCAUUAGUUAUAUCCUUAAGAUGUAAAUCAUACUCCUAUAUAAAGGAGCCUAAUGAGAAUGAAAAUGACACUUCUUCCUCCUCCUACAUUUUGUUCUUCUCUUUUCUCUCUAUCUCAUUCUUAGUUUAUAACACUUUUAGUUUUCUUAAGAAUAAAUUAAAACUUUCAGUUAUGGUCUUUUGGAGUCUAGGAUUUAUGUUGCUACCGUUAUGAGUCUUUUAGUUAUCACUAGGCGGUGUACCCAAGCGUUGCUUGGAGCUUGACAAAUGCAUACAAAUGUGAAAAAAAGGAUCAAAUAUAAAAACGAAAAAAAUAGAUAAAAACGUCACUUGUAAAGUUGUAAUAAAAUGAAAAAUAUGGACAAAAAUGUAAAUUAUGCAUGUCAGAGUGAGUGGCAGAGAUGUAAUAAAAACAGAAAGAAGGGUAAAAUUGUAAAUUCACACCUCAUAACACUGUUCAAAUCGAAACUGAGAAUUAAUAUAUAGUAUAAAUUUGGCAACUAAAAGGUUGCGUGUUUAAGAGUUAGGAAGAGCUAGAGGCAGCUCUUGAGCCUAUAUAAGGAUGGUGUAAUCUUCCACUCAAAUGAUGAAGGUGUAUCAAGUUGUUUAAUCCAAUCCUCUCUGUUUCUUAUCUAAAGCUUAUUCUACAAGGUAGUCACCUUGAUAUCCUAGGAGCUCUGUGCAUGCCUUCGGGCUGCACAUCUCCGUUCAUAUUAUGUUCUUAUUUUAGAGUUUCUUACCUGUUUAGUCUAUGUUUUCCAUCCGCAUUAUUCCUUUAAUCCUCCCAAUGUUCAUGUUUUAUCUAUUCCUCCGAAAAGUCUAACUCAAAUAUGCCAACAAGGGAUACCAUUUGCCUGCUAAUUACACAAGACUCCAAUGUAGGCUGUUCGAUAUCUGUCAGAUUCUUAACUGAAUUAACAAAAUAAACACAGUACCUCUUUCUAGCUUACACUCAGAAGAAGCCAGGUGAAUCUAGAGCAUAAGAACUGAAGAUUUGGCACCAGCCCACUGCAACUGUUGAAGCAUUGGAAAGCCUUUUCUGAAACAAAACUCACUUCCAGCACAGGCAUUAAUAAGGUUAAGCCUUCUGAGACAGGUUAGUACUUCAACCAGAGGUAGUAAAUCUUCUUCAAGUCUAGUCCAAUGCAUGCAGAUGCAGAAGGAGUGAGGUAAAAUAGUGUAGUGCAUAAAACCAAGGCGGUAACCUUUCCUACUUCACAGUCAGAUACAGCUUUUGAAGAGCAGAAGGAGCUAAAACAUUGCAUUGACUCCAUGAGGUUCCCCAUCAUCAAUCAGGUGCUAUUAUAUACAAGAUGUGAAGAAGCUUAACGUUUCGGAGUGAUCGAGACAAAGAGGUUCAUUUCUUCACUUCCUUUCAAAUUUGCAAUGCCAAGGGUAGUUAGUAUGGUCAUCUUCCCGUCAUGUUUCAUCACAUAUCCUCCUAGUUGAAAUACUAACCAAGCACUGCAGAUUUGGCAUCACCUCUUCUCCUACAGUACAAUUUAGAUAGUUGUCAAAACAAAACCAUCUAAAAGUAUGGUCUUGUCCUUUCAAAAAAUUUAUGGCUAUUUUGGAGAUACUGAAAAAAAAGAUGAAAUAAAACUCAUGGCCACGAAGAAAAGUAACAAACUUUGAUUAUUUACCCCAAAAAGUAUAAUCAACAGAUACAAUAAAUUGAAAUGGAAUAAUAAAUACAAGUUCAGCUAGAAAAGUUCAUGGACUUGAAACGUUCUGCCUUUUGACUAUAAUCCAUAGCUCCUUGUAUGGACUCCUUAAGUUGCUCUGGAACAGUGUCAAACAAGUACCCUUCUAGUUUAGUAAGAUACUCAAAACCUUGUGGCAAUGUCGUUAGUCCCAUGCAUCCUUGAAGUUCUAAGAACUGGAGAUUUGGCAUCACCCCUUUUUCUAUAGUAAUAUUUUCCAAUGAUGGAAAAUUUCUCAAGCUUAGUCGUGUAAGCUUUAAAAAGCCUCUAGUGAAGCUUAACUCUUUUCCAACAUAGGCAUUAAUAAGGGUAACACUCUCCAGACAGGGUAGUCCUUCAAUGUGAGGUAGCAAAUCUUCUUCGAGUCUGGACCAAUGUAGAUGCAAGGAUGUGAGGUUGUGGAGUGAAUAAAACCAAACAGGUACCUUUUCCAGUUUGCCUGCCAAAGAAAUAUGCCGAAGGUGGGGAGGAGGUGAAGAUAGUGUGUCAAUUCGAAGAUAUCCCUCUUGCUGUGUUACCCAUAAGUCUAGGCUGCGAAGAAUUUUCAUCUCUUCAAUUGCAACACAUAGGUCUCUUGCAUCUCUUUCCUUCACAUUUGCAAUGCCAAGGGUUAUAAGUUGGGUCAUGCCUCCUAGAAGUGUAAUGAAGUUCCCUUCUGAUUCAAUACAUGAAAGAUUCUGCAACUUUUUCAGCGUACUAAUAUUUGAUGGUGCUUUGACCCCAAUACGUCUUUUGAAAAGCAUAGAAUCACUCAAGGAACGGUAACCCAGUAGAUGGCGCAAGUUGAUCAACUUGGAAAUUCCUCUUGGAAGUACCUCUACAUUUGUGUAUCUGAAGUCCAAUGUUUGAAGGUUUCGAAGCUUUCUGAUGGCUUCUGGGAGUUCCUUAACUAGAGUUCCUCUCAAAUUGAGAUACUUCAAGUUGAAUAAGUACAUUAGUUCAUCUGGAAGUUUAACAAUUGGAGCAUUCUCCAAAUCUAAAACCCUUAAAAGUUGAAGUUCAGAAGCCAAUUUUCUUGAGAAAGAGAAUGAAAGUACAUCAGUGACAAACACAAGGAAAGAACGAAGUUGUGACAGACCUUUGCAACAUUCAAGUUCUCCUUCAACUGUUUGAACUGACAGACGGCGUGCUUUAGUUUCUUCCAUUCCUUCUCUGCCAUCAUAUACAGCACAAAAUCUUUCUUUUUCUCCUAUUGACAGAGCAAGCUCACGUAUAAGAUCAUGCAUCUUACAUGCAGGAUUCCAACUAGCAUACCUGACUUGUAGCAUACUACGGGAAACAAGUUCCAUAAGAUAUCCCUCUGCAACUUCUUCUAGUGUGAGCCCUUUGACUUGUUCGACAAAUCCUUCGGCAAUCCACAAUCUUAUGACUUUUUUAUUGAUGAUCACAUAGUCUUCUGGGAAAAGUGAACAAUAGAGGAAACAAUGCUUCAGUCUGUAUGGCAAAUCAUUAAAACUAAGCAACAAAAUGCUUCGAACAGGUUUUAGCAAUGGAUUGUUACUCAAAUGCCAAUUUAAGCUGUUGUAGACUUCGCUCCAUUGAUCCAACGACUUCUUAGAAGACAUAACACCACCUAAAGCCACUAUAGCCAGAGGAAGACCUUCACACUUUUCUACAAGUUCCCAAGCUAACGGCUCAAACUCCGGUGGACAAAUUUUGUUAUGACAAGUAGAGAAUGCUUUCUUGCUGAAAAGCUCCCAUGCAUAAUUCUUUUCCAAGGGCUGGAUACUGUGAAAAUGGCUUUCAACCCCAAAAGAAUAUGAUGCUAUGUCUUCUUUUCGAGUUGUGAGCAUUAUUCGACUUCCACAUUGUCCAUCUGGAAACGCACACUUAAUUUCUUCCCACAGGUUGGCAUCCCACACGUCAUCCAAUACAAUUAGGUACCUUUUAGACUCCAAAAAGCCUACCAGCAUCUCUAGCAACUCUCUAUAGCUCAUGAAAUUCAAAUUUUCAGGGCUCUCAUCCUUCAUUGUUUCCUUGAUCAAGCUUUUAAGUAAGUCUUCAAUCACAUAACUUUGGGAGACAGUAACCCAAGCAUAACAGCCGAAAUGUUUCUUGACAACUUCAUUGGUGAAGGUCUUGGCAACUAGAGUUGUCUUUCCUGAUCCUCCCAUGCCAACCACGGAGACAACAAUUUGAUGCUGUUUUUCAUCCAUCAACCAUCCCAAUAACAUUUGCUUUUUGUCUUCAAUUCCAACAAGUUCUUCCUCCUUGAUGAAAAGAGAAGAAUUCGCUUGGUUUUGCACCCAUUUGCUCAUAUCAAAAGAAGUGUUUGUCCCUUCUAUAACAGCUAAACCAUAUCUUUGAUUUCUCUCUGGAAUGGCCUUGAUCAUUGUAGUGAUUUUCUGUAACUUGUUUGCAAUUUGACAUCUAAACCAGAGAUUCUUUGGAAUGUUAAUGGUUUUGUACAGCCACCUCAAAAAUCGACCUCCAAUUUUCUGCUCAUACAUAUGAUACAUGAAUUCAUCAAUAAUGUCUUCAACAUCAUACGCCAAGUCUCUUACACUUGCCACCCACGUCUCCUCUCCAUGUGAACGUGUUCUCUUGCCCUCAGCAUCAUACAAGAAGGAUCUCAUGCUAAUCAGCUCCAGCUUAAUCUCAUCAACUUGAUCCCCAACCCCGGUGAUGAGGGAUGCUUCAUUCUCAAGGAUGCCAACAAUUUGGCCAAUAACAAACAGAUCUGUUCCAGCUAAGGCCAUAAAUGCCUUCUAUUCUAUCAAUUCUUGACUUAUUGAUUAGUAUGCACACUGUAAACAGGAGAUAUGCUUCAAAAUAAGAAAUAAAAUUCCAAAACUAAAUAGUAUUGGGAAAAAGGAUCGAUAACAACGAUACUAAAUUAGGCUAUUGCAGAUUACAUACCCUUUAGUUGGUGAUGAGUAUUGAAGGCUCCAGGAAGUAUGAAAAGAUCGGUAACUGCGGGGUUGUGCUGCUUCAAUUCAAUUCCUCUUCAGUCAACCAAAUGCCAUCUGCAAGGCAACUCUGAUCUUAAACUUAUGGAAUAUUGAAACGAAGACCAAGACUAUCAUUUCGUUCUGCCUAAUCAAAUGGACUCCUACAGUCUGAAAGGAAACGGUUAGUUGGAAAAUGAAAUAAACUAAUCCCAAUAACCAGAAUGAAUCAUGUCAAGAGUCGUCAAAUUUGUUGGUCGUCCCUCGAAAAUAAGAAAACAUAUCCCAUGGCUUUGCAGUCUUUGUCAAACUCUCACCUGCCACCAUUUCUUAAAGAUUUUCGAGAAAAGCUUCCAACCAAACCUCCUUGAAAUAGUCUUUAUUUUUUAAUUGGGGUAAACGUGCCGCAUCUUUUCUUCAAAGAAUGAAGUUCGCAGUCUCCUUGCAUUACUCAACUUGUCUGCUGCGCGCCUUCUUAGUAACUUGAGAGCACAAUAGUAUAUCUCUUCUUUCAAUUCCAAAGUGUAUUAUACUAUUCAGCAAUGUUAGGUUCUUGGACGAGCAAGGGCUUCCUCUUCACUCUUGUUGCUCUCAUUCAAGUCCGUCUUCAAGGCCUUUGAAGCUCGUAGCAUUUUCAUCAGAUGGAAAGGUCCAAAAACAGUUUUAUAAAUGAAGAGUUCUGGUUCCGAUUCUAUCUCAAACUGCAAAAGCUGGACAUGCAAUCAGUGGCACUGUGUUGAUCAAACGAAAGGAUGCAGAGAUUUGAACCAGCUUAUGCACAGAUAGGCUAGGCCACUUACGCUCAAAAGAAUGAAGUUGAAUCUAGUGCAUCUCUGCAUGACAAUGAGAACUGACCUGCAUUAGAUUCAACAAUCAGCGCAGACGGGCCAUUCUCCUUAUUGAGCUUAAGCCCUAUAUAUGCCAAAGUAAAAAAUAAUGCACCACCACGUGUAAAUGCAUUAAAAGGGAAUAGCUGAUGAUUUAAAUUUUCUGGGAAUAUAGGUGUACUUGAUUAACUGAAAAUUUUCGAUAGUUGGCAAGGCAAUUUCUAUCAAGUACAAUUAAUAAAUAAACAAAUGAACUAUAUAUAGAAUCAGAGCUAAUUUUUUAAGACGAAAGCAUCCUGGAAAUCUCCGUACUCAUAAUCGGAGUUGGAAAACCAUGGCUGAAUAUUGGAUCAUUAAUGGUAAAAGCCUGAUAUUGUAGAAGUGAUGAACUGAUGAUAACGCAGUGGAUUUUCAUGGUAGAAGCCUUUCCCUCCUCCAACAAAACUUGACAUCAAAUGUUGCUACUCCCAAAGACCAUAACAGUCGGCCUUUAAUAAAACCAUACAAGGCAGAAUUGACAACCUUUCUGCCAUAGUUGAACUGGUACGGAGGGGGAAGAUCAGGGUGUUUGUUGAAAGAGUGGAGGUAGCCCUUGAAACUGCAGCUUGCCAUCAGGAGCAAACAUGUAAACUGUAAACUCUUUACGAGUAUAGCCAACGGCAAGGCCCCUAUUACCUGGUUCAGCAAAGCAAAUGGAAGGUAAGGGCUGAGCAAGUGGCAUAGGGUUCAAGUCUUCCCCUUCCUCCGUUUCCCAACCUAUCUCAUCACCUGAAUCAGAGCCCAACUCAUCAUCUGAACUGAAUCAGGGAAAUACUGCCUGAGAAUGGGAUCAAGUCUCCAUUUUCUUUCCCUAAUGAUUUCCCAUUGGCAGCCCUCUACGUUAUAACAAUGAAGCUUGGCAUAAGAGGACACGUAAAUCUUUGGACUGAUCACAUAAUGAUAACAAAAACGAUGCAUCAGAUAAGCAGGAGGCACAGGCAGCUCCUGCCACGAGGAUUUGGAAGAAUAAGAGCAGUCAAACGAUGGAAUUCCGGGAGGAAAGAUAUACGACUUCAAACUGAGUACGUAGACCUUGCCGUUUAUGGUGGCAACAGAUCUGGCAUGGUCAUGACUUGUUAGGAAAUCCAGGAGCAGCAGAGAUGUUCGCAGUAGAGGAAUCCAACACGAAAACAUCACAAGAAAAGGCAGCCGAAUGAUCAUCAACAUCAGAGGGCUUCAUGUUGUCGUCGUCCGAAUCAUCAUCAUCAUAAGAAAUCAGGAUCAAAGGGAUGCCAGUCAGGAUGAUCCUCUGAUAAACAACCAUUGGCCUAAACACUAACCACAUUAGCUUCUAAAAACCAUCACACUACUAGAUGCUUCAUCCUUGUCAUCAUCAUAGUGUUGAAGUCCUCGCUUGGUAUUGAUGCCAACAUUGCUCUGCUCCUCCACAUCUUCCUCAUAUACCAAACGCACACCACACUGCUUCAGUAUCACCUCAUCCAUUCUGGCAACCUUCGAUUCUGGUCUUGUUACGUUGCCUUCAGUUAGCACAGUGUAGUGGGCUCCAAAUGAGAAUACAAGCUGAUGGUAGAUGUCCUGCCACUCUACAUAGUACAUAAGGGUAUGUAUGACGGUGUAUAUAGUAGAACCAUAUGUGAUCCAACUUAGGUUGAUCACACUUCUCCCCAAACUUGAAGUUUGUAACAUAGCCAUGCUCUACGGAUGCUCCAUUAAUCUUCAAGAACAUACUAAUGAACAACAUAUAGACCGCAGGAGGCAGCAGUUUCACCAUUCUAAAAACAACACAGGUGGUGAAUCCCAUAAACUUGUUGGUAAACCAACCAGGAUCCAGCUCUAGAGUUAUCACACGCCCCACGCUUUGGUGAUUGUACCACUCUGGAAUUUCAUUCCCAGGUAAAAUGAAUUCAAAUCUCUUUUGGUUUGAACCUACGGAAGAACUCCAACGUUGAAACUUAAGGUAUCGUGUUAGCAAUGAAAUUGCAUUACUCUUAUAGCUGUCAUUCUCCACCAUUUUGAAACAGUUAACACAGUUUGCUUGUAGCACCGAAUCGCAUUGUCCUGUUUGAUUGUCCAAGGUAUCUAAUGAAAUGCAGUUGUGAGCGUCUACAUAUACAUCAGAUCGAAACUCUGGUAAUGUCUGAAGCUUGCGGCACCCUUUCAAGUGAAGAGAUUCAAGUCUAGAGAGUUGGCCGAUGCUCUCCAGUAGUCUAAUAAAUUGAUUAUUGCUCAAAUCUAAUAUCUCCAAUGAGGCUAAUGAGCAUCCAAAAUCACUGGGGAUUGCUUCUUCAGAAAGAUUACAGUCACUUAGAUCCAGUGUGGUUAAAGAAUGCAAACCAGACAAACAAGCGAGUGACAAUCCUGUGGGAACACAAGCUCUUUUUUGCAAUAACUGAAAGGGGUUGAACAUUAUACUCCAUGAUUUAGGUGACUGUGCUUUACAUCCAGCAAGAGAUAAUCUUUUGAGGUUUUUCAAAAGACCGAUAAAGGAGGGCACUUCUCUUAUGCCACUUCCACUCACAUCAAGCUUCUCUAAACAGGCAACAUGACUCAGCUCGUUUGUCAAGCUUUGAGCAACCAGACAGAUUGAGAUCUUUCAGAGAUUUUAAACCACCUACACUGAUGGGAAGACACGCAAAAUGUUUGCAAUCUUCCAUGUUUAGCAGAGAAAGUCUUUCAAGCAUUCCAGUAGACGUAGGCAGUUCCCUUAUGCCAGUGUCAUUCAGAUAAAGCUCCUCCAAGCUCGCCAAAUGACCAGUGUCAUGUGGUAGUUUGCUAAUUUUUGAACAACCAGAAAGAUUAAGAACUUUGAGAGAUUUUAAGCCACUUACACUGCUUGCAAAAUGCGCCAGAUUCUUGCAUUCAAGUUAAGCACAGUAAGUCUUUCAAGCACUUCAAUUGUUGGGUCAACCUCAUACAGUCUUGUACAACCUUCAAGAAACAAAACCUCGAGAUGUGGCAUACUUUUAAAGUUUGGGGUGUUGACAAGAUCCAGAGAGUAACUCAGAUCAACAGUUUUCAAAUUGUAUAAAGGCUGCAUGUCAAGUAAAAAGCAUAGAAAAAAUUAGCUUCUAUGAGAUAUAAUCAACAAUCAUUAUACGUUAAAAUAGUAAUAAUAGUAUACUUCUGUUCCUAUCCGGACAUGUUUAAUAGAGCUGUGACACAAGCUAAGUACCAGCAGCUUCUGAGGGUUGAAAUGUGAUGGUAAAGACUUUGACGGAUACCUAGUCCAAUCAAGAAUCAGUAAACUAUUGGGAAGAUAUUCCAGCCCCUUAGGUAGGUUCCCAUUUUUAAUUUUCAGGUAUCUCAAUUUGUUCAUCAUUGAAAAUGAUUUCGGAGUCACGUCCACCUCUGCUCCCGACUCAGUGGAGUCCACAAAUAUGCCUUCUAUUGCUUCAGUUCCCUAUUAACCCAUUGUCAUCAUACAAUAAAAAGCAGAUUUAGUAGACUGACUUGUCAUAUAAUAUAUUAGAAAAUAACAAUUCAAAUGAUUCUUCUUCUAAAUCUCUUACGGUAUUAUUGGUUAAGACAUUUUUGAUGUCUUCAACAAGCCACAACCUACUGCACCUGCCCGGAUCGUUAGGAUAUUCCCAGCGGACAAUUUCCCGUCCCAUUUCUUGGAGCAAAUCGUGCAUCCUAAGUCUCCCAUAUGAAACAGUCAACAAAGAUCUUUCCGUCGGGACUUUUAUUCCAAUAAUUGCAGAGACAUUGCAACUGUUUAAUACUUCAGUAACUUGAUCUUUGUCCUGUCCAUUAAAGAAACAUGCAAUGUCUAGGAAUAUUUUCUUCUCUUCAGAAUCUAGAUCAUUAUAACUUAUUUUAAGCACAUCAAAAAUUUCCAAGUUACAGACUCUUGCCAGUUUUCUCAGUGCACUCUUCCAUUCAGUUACAUCUCUUCCAUGCAAAAAAGAACCCAGCACUUCAAGAGCUAAAGGAAGACCUUUGGCAUAACUUACAACAGAUUUGGACAAACCAAGAAAUCUUCUUCAGUGUAACCUCUUUUGAAUGCUUUCCAGCUAAAGAGCUGAAGAGAAUCAUCAUCAUUUAAUUCUUCCACCAUCAAUCUUCUCUCCACUCCAUGUUCAAUCAACAAAUGCUCAUUUCUAGUUGUGAUUAGAACUCUACUCCCUGAACCAAACCACUCUUGGUUUCCUGCCAAAUAUUUUAAAUGGCUUGAAUGGUUCAGAUCAUCAAGAAUGAGACUUUUUUGUGACCUAACAACCUCCUUAUAAUGGUGGCUCCUCCAUGAAGGUCUGUUAUGUCCGCCUACUUUCUCCAAAUCCCCGAGAGAAGUUGCUUUUGUAAAUUAAGUAGACCACUUUUCUCAACAAAGUUUCUAACAUCGCUGAGAAGGAAACUAAAUUCAAAUUCACGAGCGAUUCUCUCAUACACUGCUCUUACCAUAGUUGUCUUACCAAUCCCGCCCAUUCCAAAUAUCCCAAUGAAGCGGACGUCAUCCACCCCUACACCUAAAAGCAAAUUGACUUGCUGCAAUCUUGAAUCAAUCCCAACUAGAUUUUCUGCAUAACUGAAUGAUAUAGGUUGCAAUUUUGUCCAUAUAACUUCAACAAUAGUUGUAAUGAGCUUUGAUUCAUACCUCUUCCAUAGAAAAGAAUAAAAGUAUCAAGUUAUUGAUAUGAAGAUCUAGUUAAUGAAAAUAUCAAGUUCUGCAAUUUGUUUUAUAUUCCAGUAAUGACAAAAAAGCCUCAUAAACUAUCAGAUUGACUAUCUGCCUAUAUUAUUUGUGAAAAAAAUAAUGAAGAGCGCAAAAAUCAACCACUGUAGAUUGAUGAGACAAAAGGAACAGAGUAUAUGCAUACCAUUCCUUUGAAUUCCACCCAGAGAAACUUGCCACUUCAGUUAAAGCAUCUCUCCACCUUCGCACUUUCUCUUUGUCAUCCCUAAACCUUUCUUCGUGAUGAGUGAAGGCCUCUCCAAAACUACCUGUUUGCUUUCGUACAUCAGAGGGAUCAAUAUCAUAGAAAAUUGGCAGCACAGUUUCUCUUGCUUUCAUGCAUUCAAGAAUUCUUACAAGUUCAUCCAAGCACCAUGUUGACGAUGCAUAAUUUUGUGACAGAAUAAUGAGAGCAAAUCUUGAUUCUUUAAUUGCAGAAAAAAGUUCUGGAGAAAUAGCUUUCCCUUUUUUAAGUUCAGGAUCAUCCCUGAAAGUUAUCAUUCCUUGAUGUUCCAAUGCAGUGUAUAAGUGGUCUGUGAAAGUCUUGCGGGUGUCAUCACCUCUAAAGCUCAGAAAGACAUCAUAUUUCCACUGAGGAUUUGAAGGGGAGAAAGAUGUAGAGGUUCUUUGAAUGCUCAUUUCCAUUGACACCUACUUGCUUACUUGUAGAAGAGUAAGUGUCCAACUGAGUAACCCGGGAAGAUUUCAACACUGGCUAUUUCAAGGCCUGGAGUUAACUAUCAUGAAAACCAAUAAACCAUGUAUUUGUGUGUCCUGGUUUCUCUUCUCCACUGCAUAAAACAUAGAAAAGAUCAAUAAUUUUCCUCGUCAUUCAACUGAAAAUAAGUAUUCAUUCUAAAAAGAACUGUAUUGACUAUGAAACAACAAACAUUAGCCAGUUUGGUUUCUGUGGUCAUCUGGUCGAUUAUUACUCCUUUGCUUUCUCUUAUUAUGGUAUCUAAAUACACAGACACAAAACACUAGCUCCUUGUAAACUAGAAAGAAAUAUACUUGAGAACACAAUUGGUGUCAGAAUGAUUCAUUGAAAGAUAGUUAAGCAAAUUUUUCUUUUUCUUAGUUCUGGCUGAAACCCCAUGACAGAGUGAUAGGUGAAUUGUUGAUAGACAGUAGAAGUUAAACAAUAGCAGCAGCUGCAAGUGCAUAUAUCCUAUUUGACCAAAAGUUAAUAUUUAAAACUAAACAGUGCCCAAGUAUACAUAAAUGUUCCAAAAAUUCAUAAGAAAUUCUGACUUUAAAUCUAUGAUCAAUUAGGAAUUGAUGCCUCUUUUAAAAUAAAUAAUGAGCAGAGCUGCAGAUAUGCUAACCAGAGAAAAAGAAAACCAAAACGAUAACAGAGAACAAAAACAUGGCAACAUUGUAAUACACAAGAACGGGAUAGAAAUCAGUUGGAGCUUAACCUGGAUUUCCUGGGAAUUUGAAGUUGGAUCGGAUUGACUUCAAAUAUAGCAGUUUUUGAUCAAAUCAUUCGUUCUAUUAACAAAAGAGAUCAAGAAUGAGUAGAAGCAAAGUGGUGAUGAGAGACAUACUUUUGAGUGAGAAAUAGAUUUGGCGUAUCAUGUGGUGGGUGAAGACCUUAUUCCCAUUGCCUUUUCCAAAGAAAAGUCCAUUCUGGCAGCCACAUCAUUCCUGCCAGCAACUUCUUCUUUCUCCAGUGGGGGUUCCUCUAACUCUUUAAGUUAAAAUAGAUACUAUACAUCUAUACCUCUCUCUAGUCUCUGGUGAAGAGGACGUUGUUGAGUAGUUGACCACAGUUUUUUUUUUUUUCUUUUUUUUGAUCAUUGAUCAAGCAUAGUAAUCAUUCAUAUAUAUAUGAAAGGGAGGGUAAUAAACUUAUGACCGUAGGAAUCGAUCUUCACCUAUUCCAUGAGCCAUUCCGGCCCAUGUUCAAUACUUCAUCUUCGCAUUUUCAUACAAGAUGAGCUUAAUUAGCUAAAUCAUGAGCAACAAUAUUGUUGCAUUCUCGGGGUUUGAAGGCAAACUUUCAACUAAGAAACCUUCUUCAGCAUACCAAGGAUCAGAGGAGUUGACAAGACGCACUGCCUCUGUUACUCUGUAGUGCUAUCCACUUCAACCACAGGUGGAAGUAAUAUUCUAGAACUGUUGGAUAUUGUACCAACAUAACUUAUCUUCUACAAAACAAUAUGUUUUCGUCUUUUCGAUAUAAACAGCAAAAUAUCCAACUCCAAGUAAUGACUUAAACACAAACUAUGUAAGGCAGGGCAGGAAUUCAGGAUCGAUCAUAGUCUCCAUAGACAUUUCGUGGUUCAUUCCAACCCACUUGCUAACAAUGUACCUACACAGGAUACUUCAUCCCAUACCAAUACUUCAUCCUAAAUAUGAGCUAUAGUAAUGGAGCUAUUCGUAUAAUAGAAAGUAGUAUUAAAGUCAUCAAUCGAUCAAUGGUGCAAUUCAUAGAGAAUGUUCCUCAUUUAAUCAGUACAGUAGCUGUUAGCUAUCAGCGAAUCUGAGUCUAAAUUGGCCGGUAUGCAAAUGUAUAACGAGGAAAGUGAAGAUAAAUCAUUCAAAUGUGAUUAUACGCCAGCAAACAAUCCGAGAACACAUAAAAAGACCCCUUCAAUCAUGAUGGAAACACCAAUUCAAUUCAAUCUUUAAUUUUAAGCCAGGACAGACUAAACAACAACUCGAAGCUAAAUGCUUCUUUUGAUUGCUCGGAACAAACGGGACUGGACGUUUCCAGAAAUAUGGAGAAACCAAAUCAGAGACACAAAGCAAAGUAAUAUUUUUUUCGAUUAUACAAAGCCAAAGUAAUUUGCCUAAGUGAUUAGCAAAACCGAAUGGAAUUCGAAAAAGCAUACCUGGAGUGGAGAACUAGCGCAGCCAAAAACGCAGAGAGAGAGAGAGAGAGAGGCAUGCUUGUUCCAGAAAACAGCCACGUAUAAUGGUUUCUCUAAAACCGGUGAAAUGACGAAAUAGUCCCCAAGUCUUAAACCUUUUAGGUCAACCGAGACCCGGUAGUGUUAAAAGUCUUGGAUCUAGUAGAGCAAGUGAGAUUGUAACAGAGUCGAAGGAGGGUUUCGCCGGAGCUGAACUCGAUUCGAUCUUUUCUCGAAAAUGGUGAAGCCGCCGUCGUCGUCAUCGUCGUCGUCGUCGACGACCCAGGACGCCCUUGCCCUUUUCAAUUCGCUGAGAUCGGCUUACUCUGCCACUCCUACCUCUCUCAAGGUUUCUUCUUUUUUCUCUUUUGUAUUAAAAUUCUUCAAAUUCCUAACCAAAAUUCUCAAAUUGGUUUUGUUUUUUGGGUUUGAAUUUCUCAGGUGAUUGAUCUCUAUGUGGGUUUCGCUGUAUCCACUGCCAUCAUCCAGGUAAUGUUCAUUUCCUGUUUUCGAUCAUUGUUAAAUUGUGGAAUUGGGGAUGCCCCAUUUUGAUGUAAUCUUAAAUAAAUGGAAAAUAAAAUUAACUGAUAUGAAAUCAAUCAAGUUUUCUGCUUGAAUUAAUCUUAUUUGGUGACCAAGUUCUGGUUUUUUCUGAACCAAGUUGUGAAAAGAAGGCUACUUUUUUGUUGUGAUCUUAUUGGGUUCUAGAUAAGGGCUUCUUGGUAUGUGCGUUAACAAGCUUAAUAGAGAUCCAGUUUGAAUUGUAUGAGAAUCAUGAUUUUCUAUCAGUGGGACUUUAAGUUUUGUUCUUAUUAUGAAUAGUGUAAGUAAAUGCAGAAUUCUAGCAUCACAAGAAUUCUUUUUUUUUUUUUAAUUACAGUCUCUAGAUUAGUUUAAUCCAUGAACUACAGUCUCUUAUGUUUCUCGUCUUGGUCAGAAUUUAUCAGAUGUGUUCUCUGUUUGAUAUUUUUAUCAAUGAAAAAUGGCUUGCUGCGAUUGUCAACAGUCAUGCCAUUCGUAGUGUGGUGAUCUAAUUAAAUUUUCCUGUCUUCCUAAUAAUCCAUUCUCAUCACUAUAUUGAUACAACUAAAAAUGUUCUCAGCCAAAAUAAAGCCUUGUUCUUAAGUUAAUAUAUACUGUUGUUUUUAAAUCUUGGGGAGUUCACGAAAAAAUUGCAAGCCGAGGCAUUAGUUACAACUACGCUCAAUUAGAGAUAUUUAGGCAUUUUAAACUUAUCUGAAAUAAGUUAACUUGAUGGUCUUUGUUACCAAGCAUUUUUCUUUUGAGUAACAGUAAUGAAAUGACUUUUCUUAUCUUGGUAAUUGUGGUUUCUUGCAAUUUGAUAUACAUUUCUGGGAGAUGAUGUUAUGCAUCUCAACACUUUGAAAGUAGUUACAUCACACUAACUAGGAUUAAUGACUUUGUUGUUAUUGUUUUCAGUAUAAAUGCAUAUAUACUGUUUCACGACUGAGUUUAAUCAUUCAAUCAUAAGGGUUUGUACACUGAGGUGCGACUGAUGUGUAGUUUUGUGUUCCAUAAGUCACCAUUAUGCUAGCAUCUGUUAAAUAAAUGUUUUUCCAUACCUGGUUUGUUGAAGGUAUGUUGAAGCUUUUAAAAGGCUUUUGAAGCACCAGUUGCUGUAAUGUGAAAAGGGACUUGAAUAAUCAAAUAUGUUGAGGUGUUUGUAGGUUCUACAAGUACUUUUAGACAAAUAAAACUAUGCAAGUCACGCAUAAGGAAGAGGACAUAUGCCAGUUAAUCAAACAAAAACUUUAGCAUAGUUUUCCUCUACCUCAUAUGGUCUAAUGUUAGCAUACAUGGACACAAGACUGGAAGCUCUACUCAGACCAAAAAAAAGACUGGAAGCUCUACUACAUAAGUAGCAUGAUGAAUAUCAAAAUUUGUUAGGAUAUAGGCAUUACAUGAGUAUGACAACAUGUUGCGUUACAUUUACAGGAAAAUAUUAUUCAUAAAUCAUUUGUCUUGAUAUAGGUUCUUGUGAAUUUGAGUCUUUGUUCUUAAUAGAGAAAAGUCCUAUUUUUUUUUUUUUGGUAGUGUUUGGGCUUUAUAUGUUAAAAGACAUAAUGUCCUAUAGUAUAGACCACUUCUUUUCCUACCACCAACCACCGUUCCUUUAUAGUUACAAUAUUAACACACUGUGCUUAUGCUUUAUGACUGUUUGAUACAACUUAUCCACUUCUCUAUUGCCUAAAUGAGAGUUUUGCAACUUGAUGUUGGUUAAUUAACUAUUUAUUUCAUUAUGUACUUCGCUGCUGUGACCAGGUCGUCUACAUGGCUCUUGUUGGAUCAUUCCCAUUUAACUCUUUUCUCUCUGGAGUACUCUCAUGCAUAGGGACAGCAGUCCUUGCUGGUAAGGAGACUAUCUAGUUUUUUCUUCUUUGUGGUGUGAGAAUUCAGAUGAGGAGAUUAACUCUGUAACCGAUUAAACUGAGUACUUCUUUUGCAGUUUGCCUUCGUAUUCAAGUGAACAAAGAAAACAAGGAAUUUAAGGUAAAUAUUCUUUCUUGCACUUUUGUCCGAUGUUCCUCUUCAGACAAAUUUGCACACUCUAGGCCGUUUCUGUUCCCACUGUUCCUCUUCACUAUAUGUUGAAUACAAUCGUAAUUGUUAGACAACAUUUUCCUUUUUUCUUCCCCAUCCUCCUCCUGAUCCCUGUGUUUCUGAAACUGCAGGAUUUAGCACCGGAGCGGGCUUUUGCAGAUUUUGUUCUCUGCAAUUUGGUGCUGCAUUUGGUGAUCAUGAAUUUCCUUGGAUGAAUUAGCACUUUUUGGCCUUUGAUACUGUUUCCUAGAACAAUGAGAACUAGAUAUGAUCGACGAUAAACAAUUAUUAUGUAUCCGCUGUAGCAAAGUUUGCUUGCCAUUUUGAUUUUAUUUUUAAAUUCACAUGGUAAGUUACCAAGUUAUGCAGGCCCCAUAUAUGGAAAAAUUGGACCUUAAAUGAAAUUUCAGUCAUUACAUUAUCAGGAUCUCUUGUCAAAACUAUAUGAUUUAUUAUGUGAAUUUUUAUGGCGUGGUGCUGGACUAUGAAACAUUCCUAUUCCCUUUCGGUCUCAAACUCCCAAAGGUAUAUGACAAACACUACAUAUACAGCAUUCAUGGGGUGUUUUCACUGUGGUUAACUUGUCAUCUAUAGGCUUCAGCAUCCAGUUCCAAGUUUAGCAUCAUCCUCAUAUCGCUGCAACUUUGCUCGUCAUACACAAAAAUCUUCCAGUUCCAAGUUUAGCAUCCCUAUAAUUGUGCAUAGAUUAACCAAAUUCGUAUGCAACACCGUUCAAAUACUGGGAAACGCCCAUACUAGAGUGCGUUACAGCUCCUUAUGCUUCUUCUUUUUUCAUUUUUUUUUUAAAUUUAAAAACCCAAACAGAAACGACAAGAAAACUACGAGCUAAAAUAGGAUCUCUUAGCUCUAGAGACAGCAGAGAUGUUGAAGGAAGAGAUGUCGUCAAGGAAGGCCUGAGCAGCAUGGACAUGGGACUCAAAAACGAGACUAAGCUCAUGAUUUUUCACUUAUGCUUCUGUUAAUAAUCUUAGUUAACGUUCUCUCACUAAAAAAGUUAUGCCGCUCUCCUCUACUGCCGUAUUGAGAGUCGGCGAGUUUCUCCAAUCCUAUGUGGUGCGUCUCCACCCUCUUGUGGUGAGUUUUCUGAGCAGUCUCAGCUUUAAAUCUUUCAAUGUCUCAUUUUCUUUCCUUCUAUCCUUGUUCAACCCCAAUUUCUCAUCUGGAAUGUAUGGAAUUAGUGGUUACGCCUUCGUAUGAUGUUGCAUCCAAGUACAAAGAAACAUGUUUAGUCAAUAACACAAAUUGAUUUAUCUUGGCUAUUGUUCAUAGCUUUACUACUUGUAAAUUAGGUUCUAAGACUAUUAGCCUAAUUCUAGCUUCAAUUACAUGGAAUCAUGGUAAGAUAUAUGCCUAAGCUGUAACAUAUAAGUAAAAAUCACUGAAUCAUUGCAUUCAAUGAAUGCACAAAGGUAGACUACCUCUUGAUUUUUUUUUUCACAAGGCUAAGAGACCUGAAAUUAAUUACAUACAGAGGUUGGAUUCAAUUUUCAUAUGUUACAUGAAAUCUCUUGUAUCUCUUGCUCUGGUACUUGCCAUUUGGUCUGAAUCUUGUCAACUCCAUCCCUUCUCCAAUAGGUAGUGUUACAUAUUCAAACCCUUUCUUUUCCUUAAAAACCUGAUCAGGAAACGCAGCUCCACAACCCCUUUUAGACCGACGAAGGUUGUUCAUUACCACUAUGCUCCCAUUUGGAUUAAGAUUCAUAAUCUUCAACAACUUCAAGUGUUCUUCAACCUUGCAGUCGAUGACCGCAAAAUCAAUACUCUUGAACCGCUUCACCACCACAGAAGGAUCGAUACCAUAAACAAAUUCAACAAUACCAUCGAGACCAUUUUCUAGAAAUAGGGUUUUGCUCAUUUUCUCCACAUACUCGUGAUGAUGAUUAAGAGGUUGAGUAAUGCAGACGACUAGGCGGCCUCCGGUCUGUUUUGCGGCCACAGUCAGUGAAACAGUCAGCGGCGUUACGCCUUCUGAUGUGAUCUGUACCAUUAACCUUGCUCUCUUCCCAGCUGCCAAAGCUGAUACAAACUCCAUGCAUUUUGGCUCUAUGAUGCAACUUGUGCUUCCGAAGGUGCUGCUGUCGUCUUGACUGUUGUGAACUUUACACUACAAAUAGACCAAGUAAAGGAUGUCAUCAACCUUUGCAGAGAAAAUUCAAAAUGAACUACAUAUCUAACUGCAAAACUGGAAGAGACUGAAAUUGAAAGAUUGCUAUAACUUUACCAGGUGAAGAGUGUGGAGGUAAGCUUGCAUGGCAGAUUGAGGACACCAUUCCAUAGCCAUCAUGAGUUUCAGAAUUACUUUGCUAACACAAAGAGAGACUGUGUCUUUCAAGUUAAAAAGCUUAGGUUCAAGUUGUGGAAGGAUCGAGAUCUUUACCUUGUUGAAGAAUAUCUAUGAAGCUAGAGGGCAUAUUUAUAGAAGCUGGAAAAAACUGGUCGCUCACCCUGCUGAUAUUAUUAGUUGUUUAAGGUGAUGGGGUGUCUUUCACCGCCCAUUGCGUAAUGACAUGUGGCGUAAGAAAGGAGGUGAUUUGCAUGCAGUAGGUUAAAUCGUGGCACAUUUUGGGCACUUUCAUGUGAGGAAUAUGAUCGGAAUUGCUUGCUCCUGGGUCUACUGGAUGUGCAGGAGGACACUUGUCACCCUCCAAAACACGUGGAGAUGGAUGACACAAGAACUCAAUUAUUUAGUUCUUGCUGAAGUCUUUGCUAAGCAUACUCCAAAGUCUGCUCAUGAAGUCAUAACGAUAUUGUAAUCUUUGGACCAACUCAAGUCUGCUCGUAAAGUCAAAAUGAUGAAUAUCAAUAUUUCGACCAACCAAUCUCUUGGUGCAUUUCAUGUGAACACAUACUUUGAACGAGUUCAUGUGUUUUACGGUAGAACACACUUACACCUAACUUAGUUGUGAUUGUGACUCAAUUUCACUCUUGUAAUGUGACGAGAAAGAAGACCAAGAGGAGAGCUCCUACCAUUCUUGUAAUGUGACGAGAAAGAAGACCAACAGGAAAGAAGUACUUUGUUCACUACUUUUCCAUCAAAUUUAGCAAGACACAGGUCUCAAAUCACUUGAACAAGAGGUGGGUGUUUUAUUCACAGUGGCUUGAGCAUUGAGGGUCAGUAGAAUGCCUGCGCAAUUGUCUCAGAAGAAACUUAAAUUGGUGCACAUGUAGAAGCAAACGGCUGCAAUACUCAGAGAGUCGAAAAUCAUACUGGAAUGGUAGUUCCUUUAUUUUCCUUGAAGAAGAUACAAACAUUCUUGGAUUAAGUCUUUUUUUUUUUUUUGUUUUUUUUUUUUUUUUUUUUUUCCCUUGGCUUGACAAAAGAAAGUGUGAUAGGUGUUGGAUACUUAGAUUUCCACAACUCUGGAGUGCACAACACAGAGGAAACUUGGGGUAAAGAACUAAAGAUAGAACUAUAACUCAGCUUUAUGUAGAAAGUAUUAUCAUGUAAAAUAAUAAAAUUCAAGAAUACAGAUCAAAACAUUUCCCUCUACAAUUUGCCAAAGUUAAUUAAUUACACGGCAGUGAAGCAUCUGUCAUUUUUUUCUUUCUCUUUUUCAAAAUUACAAAUUACAGUGUAGGAGUUCAUGGGUAGCGUGAUACCCAUCACCUAAUCAAUAUCUUUUACAGCAUCCUGAAACCAACAACAGAAAACCAGCCAACUCAGCAUGGAGAAAACAAUUGCCUUCUUGCCUAACAGUUUUUCAAGAGAACAGUAAGAUGUAUCUACCCAGCUUUUAACUUGGCAUCUUGCUUCCGUUGUAAAACUAACAUUUAGGUACCAAAUGGUGCACUAGAUCCAACAGAGGUGGGAGACACUUGUAUAGUUAUAUAUUAGAAAUAUGAUCAUUAAUGUGGUUCUUCUAGGCUUCUAGCACUCGUCUUAAAUCUGUCUCCAAGGUACGACCAGCAUAACAAAUAGUAACUACGCUAGCGGGUGGAAAUGGCUGAUUCAGUAUUGUAAUUGGAUUACUCUUGUGAAGCAUAUUACCUAGUGAACUAUGUAACGCUUCCGAAUAAGAUAAAAAAAUUUCCUAGUAUAAUGCUUGUUGAUGUGGGAAUUACCUUUGCUAAUCGUGUUACAUAAGCAGCAGCUAAUGCUGUGACUAAUAGUCCAGCGGCUAGCGUCAACAGCUGACCAUUUCCUCCUGGCAAUCCAACAUCAGAUUCUUCUUGCUGAAACAUCAACCAAGAGAAUUUUCAAUAAAAUGAAAUGAAAUUUAGAGACGGAUAUAAAUCUCAGGAGAAGGAAACACAAAAACUGUCAAAUUUAACUCCAAAGUGUCCUUUCUACAUAUGGAGCAGCCCUGUUGAGACCAAUUAUCAGAAACUUAUUUUAGGCAAGGAAAUAGAUAACUGGAUGGUUGUAACUAUGGGCUUAUGAUAAAGAGAGACUCACUGAUCUACAUGUAAAUAUGAACUGUAAAAAGUCCAUCUUGCCUUCAAGAUUACCUUCGAGACCAUCUUCUCACCUAUUCUAAUUAUUUCAAGUUCUUCGAUUUUUAGCAUUACGCUCAUAUCACAUGCAUUAUUACAUUAGAGCCCAGUGUUGUGGAUGCAAGCAUGAAACCUAUGGAUCUUGAUGUUAUCUGACACUUUUCAAUUUUCCAGACUAGUACAUCAACCACAGAACCAUAUCGAGGUUGAUACCUGAAUUGCAUCUGGUACCUAUCAAUCCAUCAGAUAAAGUAAUAACCCACUAAGGUUUGACACUUUCUCUCUACUCAGAACUACUAGAUAUAUCUAAAAUUGUAUUACAAUUAACAUCUUUUGUACUAUGGUUACUCCGUAUCUUAUUUUGAUGGAUUCUUAGCUUGCAGAUAAACAUAGAAAUCUAUAAACAUCAAUAUUAUAUCUAGUAAAAAACCUGAAAGUGAGUUUUGAUGAUUAAACUAAAUGAAGUAAAAGUCAAGAAUUCAAUAAAUAUUUUUGUUUGGAUCCAUCGUGUCGAUGAAUGGUUGAUAUUUUGAUUUCCAGAAGGUUAAUUCCUUUGUAUACGAAAAAAAAAGAAAAAAAAGGUUAAUUCCUUCUUCAUAGUUCAUACCCGCUCACCGACCUCACACCCCCAGCCCCUCCCAAGAAAGGAAAAAUAUAUAGAACUUGAGAGAACACGUUAAAACAGGUUUAGCUGACAUAGAAUUACCACAACACAACAGGAAAUAACGAGAGAAACUCACAAUUAUGGCUCGCCCAAAUGCACCUGCACUCACAUAAGCCCAUGUUCCUGGAAGCAUCCCCAACCAACUGCAAGAAGAUUAUAUAAGCUUAGGACUAGAGAGUAAAAGUUUAAAAACAUCUUAUACAGUUCAUGACAUUAGAGACUACUACUCCUUAAUGAAAAUACCAGAUGGCCAUCAUCCUCAUUUUUCCAAUGGUUUAUGAACUGCUUAAUAAUCUUUACAAACUUGAAAGAAGCCUAUAUAUUUACAUCAUGAAACAUCAAAACUGCAACUGAAGAGCAAGAAAAGAACUAAUAUCGUACAUACUUGAAGGCUUCUAUGACUUCUAAAUAAUAACAAUUAUCCUAGGAUAGGACAGUUCAAGCUAAAGUUUUGGAACUCUGGGAACGUGAAAGUGUUUUUAAACCCUUAUGAGAAAAAUUUUUGAACCCCUAUGAGAAAAGUUGACAGCAACAUGAAUGCAUAAGGGCAUUCAAUAAUAAUUUUUUUAGUCUAAGCUUAGUAGGUCAGUCAAUUAGUGACUAAAGUAAUGAGUUCAAGCCACAAAGAUAACAACCCCAUUUAGAGCUUCUACACUUCAAGCUGGUCCAAAGUAACCCGCCAAAUAGAUUUGAGCUUGGCUAAAGCACUCGGCUAAGAGCCCUACAAAUUGGGCUAAGCUCGAACAGGUCCUAAGGCUCAGCCAGUUGGUACGCUCAAGAACAGCCAGUAAGAAUAUUUGUAUAACAACCAACUAGAAAUAUAGGAAAUCAAAAAUCAAUCAAGAGAACAAGAAGUACUGUAGAACAAACCUUCCCAAGACAUAAGGGACAAACUUUACAGAUGUCAGUCCAUAUAAAUAGUUCCCCAGAGAAAAAGGAAGCAAAGGGCUCAAACGGAGGAGAGUGACAACUCUGAAGCCAUUUUCCCCGAUAGCCUUGUCGAUUGCAAGAAACUUCUUGUUUCCCUCAACCAUUUUAAGAAUACGUUCACGAGCAAAAUAUCUAGCUAUCAGAAAAGCAACGCUAGCGGCCACCUGAAAUGGGUAAAUAAUAUAUGUGUUUAAAACUGAGUACAUAUAAUAAUAGUUUAAUCUCUGUAAGCUUGUAAAGUAACUAACUUACCGUUCCGCUUAUAGAGACUAAAAUUGAGCCAACAACUGUGCCAAAAAGAAGACCAGCUGACAUGGUCAAUGGAACGGCUGGAAUCGCUAGGAUCUAUAAAAACAAUAUUUUAAUGUGUCAGAUGUUAAAUAAGACUGUUCAAUUAUCUACAGACAUCUGAAGAGAUGAAUAAUUUCUUGAAAUAUUGUAUAUUGUUAUGAAAGACUAUGAGGUAGUCGAGUUCAGACUUCAGAGCAUAUAAGAAAACAUUUUUGCAAUGUGACAGAUGUUGAAAAAGACUGUCUGGUUAUCUACAGAGAUCUGAAAAGAUGCAAUGAAGAAUUUCUAGAAAUGUCGAAUAUUGUUAUGAAAGACUAAGAGGGAGUCGAGUUCAGAGCAUAUAGGAAAACAUUAUUUCAAUGUGUCCGAUGCUGAAAUAAGACUGUUUGAUUAUCUACAGACAUCUGAAAUACAUGAUAUGAAGAACUUUUAGAAAUGUUGAAUAUUAUUAUGACAGACCAUGAGGCAGUCGAGUUCAGAGCAUAUAGGAAAACUACAUUUCAAUGUGUCAGAUGUUGAGAUAAGACUGUUUAAUUAUCUAUAGACAUCUGAAAUACAUGAUAUGAAGAAUGAAUAUUGUUAUGACAGGCUACGAUGGAGUCGAGUUCAGAUAAUAUAGACAAAAAAGGAUUAUAGCAAUAUAUUCAAGGAAUGGGUAUCAGAUUCAUACUUCCAGUCCUGCAUAAACUGCUAUAAACAAUGCAUAUCCUGCUGGACCAUAACCUGUGCAUCAAAAGCUCUACGAGGUUAGGGAUAUAGAACUUUUAAGUGAAACCAAUAAAUAAAAGCACAGCAGUUAUGCUUCAUAUUCUGGUUUUGUAAAAAGGAUAACCAAGCAAGGGACAAAGACAUCAAUAAGGGUUUCACAACAGAUCACAAAUGAUGAGGAUACUAUUCUUUUUCUUCUUUUACCACCCAGUAGGGCUUGAUCCCGGUAAGGCCCAUAGGACAAACUCUUAUUUCCAAACUUUAAAGAAGAGCUGUUGAAGGGAAAUAUCAUAGUAACAGCUUUACAAAUUAAGUAAAGCAUGCACUACACUGCACUUUUACGACUUUACCUCAAAAGGAGAACCUUGGAAAAGAAAGCAUUUGGUCAUAUUAUAAAAGGUAUUUGGAGGUGAUACUAGUUGUACUUCAGUUGCAGUCUUUAGGAACAAAAUGCCAGCAACUUCCUUAGCAUUGUUUCCUUAAGAAUUAGGCACCAUAAACUUGGCAGGUUAUCGCUAACUUGUGGGUUAGGAAACUCUAUAGUGUUGUUACUUGUUAGCUUGAAUUGAUUGUGUUUUGCGAUAUAUGUGGCUUGAGAGAAUUGCUAGAUGCUUUUGAAAUCUGAGGAUGAUCUGGCUCAUCAUGAUUAAAGCUACUCACAUGAAGAUCCCUGCUCUUAGGGGAAGCUUCCAGUUAGAAUACCCUAUACAAUAGCAAGCCACCUUUCCACUGCAGUACAAUUUCUUUUGAUACAUGUCCCAACUCUUACUAGUUACUACACUUGCAAUACGCUACUUAUCCACCUAUUUUUGUUUAAAGGGACUGACAAGGCAUAAUGAAGAUGAGAAUUCCAUUUUGCAAGGCAAUGACAAACCAAACUGUUGCGUGUUUUUGACAGAUUUUCAUACUAAGCAACUGGUUCAAAGUUCACGCAAUAGAUUCUUCUUUCACCAAUAAAGACUAAUCAGCAUGAACAAAACUCUAGAGCUCCUACUACAGAAAUGUAAGUUCACAACCAAUCAAAACACUCAAUCCAGCUCGAAAUUUUCAAACUUGUUCAGUAUUACGCGAUUAGAAUCCAAACUUGUUAAGCAUUACAAUUUCAAACUUGUUCAGCAUUAGAUGAGCAAACAAUCCAAUAUGUCAAUGCAGACCAUCAAAACAAAAUCACAUGAAUUUUCCAUGUACUAGUGCCCAAUCCUAAGUCAAACUUUCAUAGAUUCCCAAAUGAAAACACAAAUCUAACCACCAAUCCACAAUUCAAAGCAGAAUGAAGCUAAAAACUCGACAAGGGUACUGAAAUUAAGAAACUUUUACCUUCAAUGAGAGUCGUAAACUGAUUCAAGAAGGCAUUAACCUGAUCCUUAUACACAUACCCAGCCGCACCAAACCCCCCAACCAACCCAACCAACAACAGCCCCGCCAAGAUUGUACCUUUAAGCGCGAACUCACCCUCGCCCUCAUCAUCACCGCCGCCGCCAACUCCGCCUCGGCCGCUUUUCUCAAUCUCGGCGCCGUCGUCGCUCUUGGGGUUGCUGAAGAGCCACUUGAGGCUCUGCGGCGGAGCGGCGGUGGUCUUCUGGAGGCGGGUGGUCUUGGUGUUGGUCUGCUUGAGAGAGGAGCAUGGGGAGAGGAAGUGGAGGCGGUGGUGGUUGGGUUUGGGGGAGGAGAAGGGAGAGAGGGACGGCGGAGAUGGAGGUGGCCUCAGAGUGAGGAAGAGGGUGCGCAUUUUAAGCGGUGGAGUGUGUGUAGGAUAAGAGCGGGAGGCUCACCACUGCCCAUGUAAUGUAGUAACUAACUUGGCAUAAACAAGUCACUGGAAAGUUGUGGAAAUCUGGAUUGGCUGUGAGGGAUGAUAAGGUGCUCGACUGUGGUUUAGUUGAAGUGAAAGUCGGUUGUGAUUGGGGGAUGUUGUGUUGCGUUGUGAGUGGCCGAGGGAGUGCCAUGUAGUCCCUUGGUUUGCCUGAGAAUUUGCUCACCUGCAUUUUUUUUUUUUUUUUUUAGUAACGAGAAUUUGCUGACCUAAAUGAGAAUAGAGAGGGCUGUGAGCACUGAGCAGAGAUAUUUCCAAAAUGAUUAGUCUUCGGAUGUGUAAAUAUUCUUAAUCACUAGAGCUACGAUAUGAUGUCUAUAAAGCGAGUGUUUGAGUGAGUUCUAACAAGAACUAAGAAACUCGUCAUAAAAUAAAACUACAUAGGUAAUGGGUUAGACCUCGAAGGUGUAAGUACUCUUGAUCACUAGAGUUACGAUGUCUGCAAAGCUAGCAUUUGAAUGAGUUUUCGCGAGGACUAAUGAACUCUCCUUAAAAUAAAACUAUUGGAAGUAGCCACAUUUUGAGGUUAAUAAGCCUAUGUGGUUGAUUCAAUCGAAUGAAAUAGCACCAACUAGCAAAAUUAAUUUUGGGUUCCAACAAAUAAGAGCAAAGUGAAUAAUAACACCCCAAAAUAAGAAUCGCUCUCAGGUAUCUUCAGAAUCAUCAACUUGGGCAGGAACAUGAGUAUGAUUAUCUUCAAAAUGGUUAAACGGGAAAGGACAUGUCAUUUGCUUGAAUGCUUGAUAUACAAUGUUGUUCCAACCUUGUAUAAUACAAUCAAGGAUUUAAAGAAAUGAAAACAAUCCAAGUCAUCUGCUUUCCAGUUUUUCACUUGAAGAUGAGGAACUGGCAGCUUGAGACAAAUUUCCAUUGAGUAUCAAAUUCAAGUCUGGCUUUGGCAAAGAAAAUGUGAUUUUAUGAAGCUGAUCAUUUAGACUAUCUUGCAGUUGUUGAGGUGAAAAUAGUCCUGGCUUUUCAAGAGCUUUUACUGCUGAGUUUGCUACAAGACUACCCUGUAGGAAUGAAGGAGAAGACAUAAGAGAAAUGAAAUUUAUUCUUCUCUUUGCAUGAACUGUUGCUUGUUAUGUUUUACAAGUGUCAUCACACAUAAUAACUUGUGUCCGACAGGAGGACGGCCACCAUUCGAGAUAAUAACAUACGAGAGAUCAUUCAAUAUGCUAACAGUCUUAAUCUAUGUCAUGUAAGUACUAUUUUGCAGUUCACAAAAGAGUUUGGGCAAAAGUGCAAAACACAAACUUGCAGACAGUACACAGCACACAAGAGAACAUUUUGCUAAGUCAUCUUGGUCAUCAAUACCCAAUCUUGUUGCUAGAAGUAUAAUAUACGAGACAGGUAGCAAGAUGGAGUAAGCACGUCCACAGCAUACAUAUAUGCAUGAUGAAUCCUACUGCUUCCUACUUUAUCUAGGAUACUGCAUCUGCAUAACCUAUUCGUCUCUACUUCACUAAAAUUAAAACUUAUAUCCAAUCUGGUAAAACUUAUCUGUUGAUAACCGCAACCAAACAUAUCCAGAAGAGUUAGACAUGAUAAGGGUUAUAAAAUAAAGGAUGUAAAUAUAAUGUAUUUGCUACAAUUCAGGUGUAUUACAGCGAAGCCCACAAACAAACUGAUCUUGUAUUGUAAGCCACAGUCUGAUCUCUCCAGGACAAUAUCUAAUUGCAAAGCUGCUAAUACAUUAAGAUGGUAUCAUUUGCUCUUCUUGCACACAGUUUUCCUGAAUCCUGGGAUCACCUAACUCUAAAGCAGAAAUCCUCACAAAGACUCCACUCUUAGUUGCUGAUCGACAUAUGCCUAAUGAAUUCAAUCUGCAUGUAUCAGAAAAAGAAUAAAAAAACAAAAACAUUAGGAAGUUGCUGGCAAUAGCUUGAAAGCAAGACAUAGAGAGAAGUAUUGAUUGGCUAAUGGUUACUGAUUGCAUUAUGGCAUUAAAAGACAGGGUCGAACUAUAUAAUGAUGAUAUUGCAUUGCUUACUCCAUUCACAUCAGAGCAUAAACGCAUAAGACAGGGUUGAACUAUAGGCACACAUAAUUGCUGACAUACUACUCACAUAAUAUUGCCACACUCACUGAUACUUUUUGCAGUAAAAUAUCACUCCACAACUUGCUAUAUGAGCUGAGCUAACAGUACAAUUGAGUAAUGCACUAUAUAUCAUGUCACUGUGCAAAAUCUUUAUUUCAUAAACCAAAAACAAAUCUAACCUGGCCACUUAACGGUCAGCUAAAUCUUCAUAUGACGUCAUGUUCCGUGCUCGUUCUAGUAUGGGCCUCCUAGCAUGGCAAAGGAAAUAGCAACAAGAACCCCUUUUAUUGGAAUAAUUUUGAAACCGAAUAGGUUUUUUGAACACAUUACAUGUGUUAAACCAAUUAUUGCAAUAUGAGGGUAAUGGAAGGAUAACACGGUAUAUAAGAAAAGUAUCUUUAACAAUGCAUAACCAGUGGAUAUUGGCAUCUGCACCAAAACUGCAAAGAAGAAAAAAUGGAGGAAAAACAAUAAGACACAUUAUAUAUAUGGAUAAGAUAUAGCACAUAGAGCCAAAUACAAACAUUAUAUACAUGGACAUACCUUUCCUUCAGGUAUUUUCUCAAGCUUUGUCGAGUCAAGAUAUAUUCGUUUUCCUUAUGAAGUAUAACAAACAUACUUUUUCCAUCAAAAAGUAUGUUUGCAUACACAGGGUCAUUUAGCUCAUUCAUCAUGAUUCCUUCAUACUUACACUUGCAAGUCCCACCCUUCAAAGAGAAAACUAUCCAGAAAAACACAAGAAAGAAGAAACUCAAAAUUUAUUAAUUUCAUGUUAAUCAUAUGUAAGAUAUUUACAUAUCAUAAAAUGUUAUUAAUGCGUAUCACAUUAUAUUAUUUGAUCAAUCCAAACCCAUUAGAACUUUCAAAACUGAAGCCUUGAAACCAUUCAACGUCAAAAGUUUACGUUAAUCAAAGAAGUUAAACCGUUUUCCAUUUAUGGUUUGAAUUCACUUGUUAUUUUUUUAUUUCUAUUUUAGGAAAUCAUCUUAGUAUUUAAAAACCAGAAUAGUUGGAAUGAAUUAAUCGAGCAUGCAGUUUCAAUCUUCAAUGUCUCAUAUGUUUCCGUUCAUAUUAAAAAGUAUAUGUUUCUUAAGGGAAGUAACGAUUCUUUAUUCCUAUUAAAGUUCUAUUUUCUAGAAGUUUUUAAUAAACAAUACCUCUAAGAGGUCCACCAGUGUGAGGAUCAUCAAGUGUAGCUUUUAUCAGUUGAUCCUUAACAGCAGUCACGUCUAUAGGGGUAGUCAACCUGUCAAAACCGUAAAAAAAAAAAAAAAACAAAACAAAACAAAUGAUAAUUAUUAGUUUUAGCCAAACAUAAAUAACAUUCACUUUUUAUUCACACGUAUACUAAAUACACGUAUUUCUUCACACACCCCGUUUCACAUUUUAUAGGUAAAUAAAAUAACCUGUAUCACAUAUGUACUAACAUAUAGUUUUCUAUAAUGGGUGUUAUCACAAUUGGUAUCAGAACUUAUAUCUUAUCUUAUCGAUGGUACUUGAAUUCCAAUUUUGAUCACAACUGGUAAAACUUUUUUAUUUCAUUUUAAAUGGUACCCAUCAUUGAUUUAACUUCCUGUAACUGAUUUCUUUUAGCAAACAAAGUUAUUGGCAUGGGUAUUUUCAUCAAACUACUCUUGAAUAUAGGACAUUUGCUAUGCACAUGUCAACUUUAAUGGAAUUGAAAGAAAGUUAGUCAUAUAUACUAUUUAAAAUGAAAUUGAAAAGUUUAGGCAUCUACUGUCAUCAAAACUGAAGUUCAGGUAUACCAUUUGUGAUACUUUCAACAAUUACAAAACUAGAUAUUCAUUCUUAGUAUAUACCAUUGAUGUAUAUGAUUGUAAUGACUUACAUUCAUCUAUUCCAUUUGGUAUAUAUAAACCCUAAAUUAACGUUAUAUGCUAGCAAAAUAUAAACUUGCAAUAAAGCACCAUUAUCAGUUAUGACUAGUAUAUAAUAUCAAUUAAAUGGAAAAAAAGUAUUAAGGUUAUUAUCAUACUCGUUAACUUGUGCUAAUUGAUUUGUUUGUUUUAAUUAGAGAGUAAUCACUCUUUUCAACUUGUUCCCAAUCUAGAAAAGUCAUGCUUGAUCAAUACGAUACUAUAACGAAUUAGGAAUGAGGUGGUGACUAGUAAAAUGUUAAAAAUAAAAAAAAAUUUAGUUGGCAUAUAUAAGGAAAUAUGUAUAUAAUAAAAACCAAGUUUAGGGAGUUCUAACAUACAAUUUUAACUCAACUAAUGCCACGCGGGAGCCGCUUCCAGUACCAAAAAUUACUUCAUUUCUAUCACACGCCACUUUAUAGUCAUCUCCCACUUCAAUUACUUGAUAUUUCUACAAGAGUAAAAGAAUAAUUAAAUUUUUGUAUUAUCAAUAUUUGAAACUUUAGUUUAAACAAAAAGACUACAUUCUAGAUUAUUAAUCGCAUACCUUUUCCUGAGGCUUCCAAAAAGAUAUGAACACUGUCGAUGGUAAAUCUUUUGAACCCAAAGGAGAGACUUCAUGAAAAUAUUUACUUGCAACCUCGCCAACACGAGUAAUAGUAGGCUCCUCUCCCUCUACCAUGAAGUCCAAUAUUUUCUUCCGGACAUACACAACCAUUUCGUUACACCUAUUUCCACCUCCACAUAAAGUUGCAUAAAUGCCUUUGAUGAUAGGUACAAACUUCUGUUCAACUUCACUCAUGAAACCCUCAUAUUCCUUCAUAUUAGUACUUGGGUUGUUAUCUGAAAACACAUAAGUGAACAAUGAAUACUGACACAAAUAUUCACAGAAUGAGAUAAAUAAAUAUAUACGCACACAACACACAAAGAAAUUUACAAUGUUGUACAUACCUGUAUGGAUUGAAGCUGCAAACGAAUCCACUCCAACAAGUAACUUAGUUGGCAACUGAAUCCACAAAACUGUGGUUCCAUGCCAUGAAACUAUAUUAUACUCAGCCUCUACCUCGGUGCUUGAGUUGACAUUCCUAGCAUUCAAAGGCAAUGGAAAUUUUAGUAUCAUGAACAAAACAAAUAUAUUAACAUGCCCAAGCAAACACCGAUAAUUAGUUAGAAAUUCAAAAAAGAAAUAUAAUAUAUUAAGUCACUGCUAAGGGUAGAGUCGUUAUUAUAAAAUCAUGGACGAAAAGAAAACGCUGAUUAUCUGUAUAAUCAUCUAGAAUAUAUUCUGGAAAGUAAAAUGACAUACCCCUCGAGACAUUUCUCCUUACACAGAUUAAUAUACUCAUCUGUAUAUAACAAUGUCGGAAGAGAGCGAGCACAACUUGAUUCAAUGUUGUCACACUGAAACUCCUUGAGCUUUUUUACAAACUUCCCCAUCACAUACCCAUCCUUCUUGGGGCUCUCCUUCCGGUUUGGCAUCAGUUUGUUUGAUAUAUUGUGCAGGCGAUUUACCAACGGUGGGGUAUCCUCUAUAGGAAUUAUGCCCCAACUCUUCAAUACUCGAAUGUAUCUCAAAUCCUUUGCUGUGUCUGUUGGGCAAACAAUAUGUAGGUCUUCAACCUUAAAUUUCUUCAGGAUCAGUGAAGAGUUACCACAAAGUAUAUCUGAACUUUGCAUCUUCGGUCUCCAGCCAUUGGCAAGCUUUAGUAGGACAUUUAGCACUGACCUCUUCAAACUGACUGACUUCAGUUUCAUGAAUGACUUCGAAAGGUUAUCACUAAAAAGUACCUGAAGAAAAUAUUAGAGAGCAGACCAUCCAAUUUCAGAAACUUUUGAUAAGUGCACAUCAUCAGGUUCAUAGAAUUAGGGGUAACCAAGGAGUAAUAACAAAAAUCAAUAUCUUCAAUUACCUUCCAUCUAGCUUUUCUGAAAAGUAGACUGUCAGAAUUAAGCAAAUCAUCUAGUUGGUCGAACUGUUUCUUCACUUGUAGUAUGGCCUUGGCUAACUCCUUGUCUUCAUCAGCAUUAAAAAAGCAUUGGAAAUUUUUGGGGUCGAGGACCAAGGUCUCCCAAACAGACUCACUGUCACAUAGAGUUCUUUCAUUCCCCAGAAUCCACAGCCAGUGCCUGAAAACAUCGGAGAAUCAGUAGUUAUUUCCAUUAAGCUAAUUAAGAAAGAUGCAAAAGCAUACAGGUUUAUGUAGAACAUACCUUGCCCUUGUAAGAGCAACAUUAAUUCUCUGCAUAUUUGAAAUAAACUCAAGAGACUGUUGGCAAUUGGAUCGUACAGUGGAAAAUAUAAUGACGUCCUCUUCCCCAUCACCCUGGAACUCGUCAACUGUCUUCACUUUCACUAUAAAUCCAUCAAGAUUAUUAUAAUCCUGUCCAAGUUUUUCCUCGAUUGCGACUAAUUGAGCAGCAUAUGGAGAAACUACACCAAUUCUGAGAUUCUGUUUUGAAUCAACCCAUUCUGAUUACAAAGAGAAGACCGAAAGCGAUCAAUUGCCAUUAUGAGAAGAUAAAGGUGAUAGAAUUUCUACACUUCUGUGCUCGUUUGAGAAAAUGAUUAAAGGAUUUAUACUACACAUGCUUAAUGGAUCAAAACUUACAUUUAUACUAAAGGAUUUAUAAUAGAUAAAUAAAUAAACCAUAUACAAUGAUCAUGCAUCAGAAGAAAAGAAAAAGAAAACCUAUUCAGUCUUGUAAACUAUAUACAUUCACCACCUAAAUGGAACCAGACCCACCAGAAGCUAUGAAGCACAGGGCAGAUAUAAGAACUCUCGCAUGCAGUUCAAUGACUUGUAGAUGAGCUUUAACUUUCUAAACCGAAUAAAUAUUUAUCCUUACCAACACAAUUUAAACUUUCAAGUCAAUGCUAUGCAUACACCAAGACAAUUUGAAAUUUACUGACAAAUAUGACCAGAUCAGAAACACAAUAUACCUUUGUACAAAUCUCGCAGUAUUUGUGAAACAAUAGCAACCUCAACCAUAUUCUUCCGACUACGUUCAUCCUCAUACUUCAAGCAUGAUGUCUUUUGUUAGUUCCAGCAAUAUAUGUCAGUUUAAAGAAAGAAGGAGUUACAAACAUAAAUAUGUGAUUACAUCUAAAAAACCAUUAUACAUAAUUUCAGUGGUACACAAGUAUUAGAAUGAAAAGCAGGGAGGAAACAUUUGUCAUAUUUCUUCAUGAACUUUAAAUCGAAAGAUAUGGUCUCAAUAUUGAUAAAUUAUGACUGAUAUAGUAAAGGUUAUUUAGAUGUGUAAAAAGCUGAAUACACCGAGUAGGUGAGUGCUUGCUAUGGUGUGACUAGUAUGACAUUACAUCUUACAUCAUCUAUAGUUUAUGUAACACAACUAGUUCCCAUAUUAGUGAAUGUGCAAACUCAACUAAUCAAUAUAUACAGAACUUAUCACAAUUUACAAAGCUCUUACCACAGAAUCAGUGCACAGAACCUCCUUGAUAAUCUUCAGGUUUUUGGACAUGUGUAAAGCUUUCCAUAAUCUUCCAUUUGGUAUUAAGUUCACUAAGAAAACCACAAACAAUGGUGCUGUGCUCAUUAAGACUUCAAGCUCUUUGGAAGCUCUGAUUUUAAAAUAAAGAGAAGUAGUGUCAUCCUUGUUCUCAUUUUCUGACACUUCAGAGACUGAACCAAAAACCCACGACCUCCCUACCCUUUGUAAAUCUGAAUCAAUUUCAGGUUUAGCAUUUGCUAAAACAAAAAGAUCACCAGGCAAAGUUUUAUAUGGCUCCUUGCCACGGUCACUGAACCUGUUUCGCCAGAAAUCAACCUUGGUAUUAUAAAGCUUUCUUCCGUAUGGCUUUGCAUUUUCAAAAGAAACUACUAUAGCAUAUGGUGCACUGUGAAUAGUCUCCAUACUGGAAUGGACUUGUGCUUGUGUUUCUUCCAAUAACGGAUACAGAUAACACCCGAAAUAAUGCUCAACAGAGUGAAAUGAGUCAGGAAUCUUUUCCACCUAGGAUAACAAACACUCACAGUAAGUACUUACAAACAGAUAGACAAACAAUCAGUACUUACUCCAUGUUUCAUUUUUUUGAAACAAUUACUCCAUGUUUCAUUGAAAACAACUUGUAUUCACAGUAACAGCCGCCUUAAGAAUUCUGUAAAGCCGUUUUUUACAAAAGCAUGAUUUCUUUACAUGAAUCUUAAAGAUUUAAAUAAAUCCAAAAAGCUUUUGUACUCAUAGUUUCAGAAUUCAAACACCGCACACAAUCAAAACAGAGCCUUUUUCUUUUGCACAUCUAUGUUCAUCAGUACCAAAUGAAAAACAAAACCCACAAAAAGAGUAUCAAUUACAUUAUUACAUUGCAGUAAAAUCAAAGGAUGAGGAAAAAUUAGAAAACUGAAAUAUUUGGGGUUCAAGAUUAGGUCUUUCCGAGUCAUCAAGAUUUGGUGGGCUUUGAGCUGAAAAGUGUACUACAACCAAAAAGGAACCUCUUUUCAUAACCGUCAUCAAGAUUCAAGCCAUAAAACCUUUACAUUCUCACUCAUCUAUGUUCAGUACACAUAAAGACGUGACCUUUCCUCAGUGAAAACAUGAAAGAUGAGAUUUUUAUGAAGUGAAAACUAAUACCUUGUUCUUGAAGAGACGUUCGUUGAAAACGUCAUCAAGGGAGCAAGAGAACACUGUAUCAGCCAAAAGGUUGGGUCUUUCACCCUUCUUCUUGUGUGAAACUUCCAUCUUCACCUUUACCAACUCAAAGGCGCUUGCUUUCUUAUCUGCAUUAAAAAAAAGCAUGUGAUUUUGAUUUUGAACCCAGAGUUGUGUCGAGAAAGAAAAAGAAACGAUUUCAAGAACAAAAAUGAAAGAAGUACAUCACCUUUUCAACUCUCUGGGAUUUAAGCCACCAUGGAGAGUGAAAAGAGAGAGGUAACCUUAUGAAGGCCUUACGAGUGACGAAGUAGCUCGACGAGGGCCAGGGUUUAGAAAAUGAGCGCAAAUUGUGAAGGCUUCGGAAGAGAGGUAGUUGUUCUCGGUCUUGGAUACUGGGUUCGGUUGCUCUACCUAUAUCCCUAUAUUCCUAUAUUAAGUCGUGAAUCGUCUAAUCGUUUAGUAAUUUAAAAUUUAAAAUAAUCAGACGACUCACAGCUCGACGUAUGCUAUACACAUAUAUACAGUAAAAAAAUCCUGAAUAUUUAUUUAGACAUUGUUAAUAAAGUAUCAUUGGGGUUCGGGACAAGGUUUUUCCAGAAAGUCUUUUAUUUUUCUUAAGGAAGUUUCAGUCCUAAGUUCAUAUUUUGUCAGUGUUAUAUUAUAUCAAUCUGGAGAUAUGGGUAGGCGAAUUCAAACUAACUUUGUGUUACGUACACUAAAAUUUUCAUAGAAACUCGGAAUUGUUGACAUCAGAUUCGAAGCAACUUUGUGUUACACAGGCUAUUCACACAUUUUGUAUGAAAGUAUAGUUUAUGGCUCAAUAUCAUAUAUAUGGAAAGAACAGAGCAUGGGACUGGAAAAAAAUUAGAAAGAGAAGCACACUACUUAAGUAAUCAAAACCUAUAUAUGGUGUCACCUUUUUAUGAGAAAGAUUGAGCUAAUUGUACGUAGUUCAUCGUAUUAUGGAUAUACCUUAGGCAGGCUCAACGGAAGUGAUCAUUUCAAAUAACUAGUGCAUGGAAUCGAACAGUUUGAGAGCCAAAGCUUGCUGACGCUCUAGAUAACUGGGGUCAGCUACGAACCGAGCUUCAUCCUUUUUAUCUGCUCUCUCACCAUCAUCAUCACUAUCAAAAACGUACAUAAUCCUCCUCUUCUGCAUUUGUUCUCUUCAACUUCAUCUUCAUAUCUUCUCCACACUGCCUUAUCUUUCAAUCUUUGCAUGUCUGCCUCCUUCAGCUCUUCCUAAGCCUCUUGAGAAAUUCUUCUUUUUCUCGCCUGCAGCAAAAUUAAUAAAAAUAUCAGAACACUAAACCAAGCAGCUGCAAACACAUCCACUUCAUGCACAACAUGCAUGUGGGAUAUCAGUAUGUCAUCAUAUUCUGAACUCUGAUUAGUUGGUACGUAUUUGGUUACACCAAAGUAAAUCCCUCACACACGCACACGCAGACACACGCACGCAUAUAUAUAAUAUAUAUAGGAAAACAACAAGAAGAAAGUAAAUCCUACACACCAUUAAUAAAUAGUAAAGCAUUUCAGGUAUAGUAAAGAGUUGGAACAUAUAUGGAUCUUUCCUGAUAAUGAUUUUGGAACAUAGGGACUCAAAUUGCACCCAGCUGAUAGCCUCUCGUCGCCUCUAUCCGAUUUAUACAUGGCAGCACGUACGAUCCUUAUAACAUAUAUCACAAGGACAAGGAGGGUGCUCCUUAGAACACACAUUGCCAAGCAGACAUGUUCAUUCGUCCGUGGAAGCACCUCCACCAGCCACUGGUCCUCUGAAGUCGGACCUGAAUUCGACAGGAGUAUUCGUGCCUGUUUGUUUGCAGUGUUGUUAGAUACCCAUAAAAGAUGAGAAAACAAGAGUCUAUGGGAGUCACGCGUUCGAGUAUAGGUUUGUAAAAGAUUAAGUCAAUUACACAAACACCAGGAUAUUAUAGAAGCUAGAAAAGAAACCACAUAGUACGUAGAGAAGGCAAUAUCUCAAACUUGUUAACCAAAACAGAAGUAGAAUUCAAUAGUAAAAGCUUAAUGGAAAAAACUCAUACCAGGAGAAGAAGCGCGCGCAUGCAGAGACUCUCGAAGGAGAGGGCGAGGUUUCUUACAUCUCCAUGUAUGGGAGCUCGCAUCGGGUCAAUGAGAACGCGAAAGAACAAUAUAUGCUAUAGGUUAUUUUUCUUUUUGAUACGAAGAACAAUGCUAGGGUUUCUUUCUUGGCACUUCUUUCUUAUGCCUUUUAUUUCCAAGAUCGCAGUGGGCCGGUUCAAGUGUCACGUUUUGGGCCGGUUCAAGUCUCACGUUUUGGGCCAGUUUGUCAUACUAGUUAACUUCACAUUUUGUCAAAGCUAGAUUAUCAAGGUCCGUAGGUACAUUUGAAGUAAACUUGUGUUGAACAUCAUACAGUUAUCAUAGAACUCAGGAAUUAGUGACAUUAAACCGGGAUACGGCGAGUCAGCGAGAGGUUAACUAGUACUGGCACUGCAUAUUUCCACCCAACAUGAUACAGAACAAUGCAAGUAGGCCAAUACUUGUUUACGCAGUAAUUUCUCAUAACACAUUCUAUAUUAUACUAUGAUUCAUGUAUAUGUUAGUAUGAUUCAUGGCUCAAUGUCAUAUAUGGAAAAUCCCAUCAAUAAAAAAAACAUCAUGUAUAUGGAAAGAACAGAACAUGGGAGCUCAAACAAAAGACGAAAGAGAAGGCACCCUAAGUAUUCAAAAUCUAAGGUGACACACUGACACCUUUUUAUCUAGAAGAUUUCGCUCCAAACAAGUUCCACUAGUAGGAUGGCAAACUUAAGAGACGAAACCAUUUCGUGGCAUAAGAGACCUUGUUCGUGGCAUAUGUACCUAUGCGACGAAUCAUUGGUCGCAUAAGAAUCGUCGCAUAAGUGGUGUCGCAUAAGAAUCUAUGUGACAAAAAAACCUUAUUCGUCGCUACACACUAUACUAUGCGACGAAAAACCUUUGUCGCACAGAAAAGAGGCGAUGACACUGGUGUCCACUUAUACGACAACUUUCGUCGCAUCACUGUUCCGACGAAUAGUUUUUCGUCGUUAGUACUUCUAUACCGACGAAACAUUUGUGAAAUUGCCGACGAAAGGUUGGUUCACUUAUGCGACGAAUAAACUAUUUUGGUUGCAUAGAUGUUCCGACGAAAAAUAUUUCGUCGUUAGAGGUUCUGUAACGACGAAACGUGGGUGCAAUUGCCGACGAAUGCUUGCUUCACUUAUGCGACGAAAAAUAUAUUUUCGUCGCAUAAGGCUUUUCACUGAGGCUAGUUUUAUUUGUUUUUUUCCUUAUCCUCCCUGUUUCACUAUCAUAAUCAUCAUGAUCAUCUACAGAAACUAUAAAACUGCAAAUUUAGCUAACAAUAAAUUUUCAUAUAUGCAUAAUUUGUUCAUACAAAAUCUGUACUCUUUACUAACACCUUGAAUUGCAACUAAACAAAACCAUUCAUUCAUCCUAGCUUAGCUAGCCUAUCCUUCUCCAACUGAACAAAACCAACUGCACAAACCUUAAAGGCUUUUCCAUCUAGCUAGCCUAUCCUUCUCCAACUAAAGAAAACCAACUGCACAACAACCUAACCUUAAAGGCUUCUCCAUCUAAACAAAACCAACUGCACAAUAACCUAACCAAAGGCUUCUCCAUCUAAACAAAACCAAAAUAGUGAAGCAUGCAGUGAUGUACCUAGCUAGUUCCUCUCAGCUGCAUCAACAUUUUCUUCUAGAGGUUGUUGGGAAGGGACUGGUGGAGGACACCCAGUCUGCUGCGCCAUAAAAGACAUCACUGCUGCUAGUUGCUGCUUCACCAAUGUCAUCUCUUCACUAACUUUUUGCGCAACCGCCUCAGCUUUUUCGGCCCUCUCCUCAGCAAUAUGUAAUCUCUCCUCCACCUCAUGAACUCGAGAUCGUGGAGUGGAAGAUGAUGAAUGUCGGACACCUGCUCUUCCAAGACCACGGUUUCUUUCCCGGCUCUUCUGUCGACUCCUGCUUCAAGCACCUUAAGAUUCAUAGACCACUCCAAAGGUGGGAGCUCAGCCUUCGGGAUGUCAGGGUUUGCAUUCUUCUGUGCAUUUUUUUAAUUCAGUGGCCUCUUUAUGCAUUUCCUCCUGCAGAUAAGAGAUAAGAGAUAAGAGAUAAGCUUGUAAUUAGAUUUGGAAUUUAAAUUCAUAUUGUAGUUGAAAAGCAGUUAAGGGUUUGAUAAGCAGUGAAGGAAAAUAAGUUGGAGAAUGAUGGAACUGUUAUGAAUCUGCUACAUAUUGCAGGCAUGUAAAUCUACUAAAUGAAGAAUUGAACUUAGAGACAAGCAAUGAGAAACUGAUAUCAUGACUUGAUCUGCAGAAACUGAUAUUGUAGGUGAUUGGUAGUGAUAUUGAACUUAGGGACAAGCAAUGAGAAACUGAUAUUGUAUUUGGUCUAUUCUACCAAACUUGAUUUAUCCAAAAGUCUUUUCCAUACUACUGAAACUAGACAUUGUCAUGAUAAAGAUGAGAAAUAGGUACCCUACUCAAGCAAGUCUAAUUAAACAAAAUUGAUCAAGAUAUGAACUGUCUUAAUCAAAUUGUCUCUUUGUUUUGGACUAUACAUUUUAGGAUAUAUAUGGCAGGGUAUUGCAACGCUUAUGCAGCAAGCGGAUGAUUAGAAGCACAUAAAAGAGCACCAUAUUGAAAUUUUUAAAUACUCUGAACCAUUUCGGGAUAUUGGUACAGAAAGUGUUUUUGAUAUCCAAAACAGGCUCUUCAACAAGAUUUCACCUUAACAAUUGGCUAGACUGAAAAUAGCGACAUAAUUAAAAUGUACUACCAACAUGAAUCUUCUCAUAUUGUUUGUUCAAACUGAAAAAGGGUUAUAAGAUGCAGCGUGGGAUUCUGAUUCCCUCUCUUGUGGCCUUGCUAUGGUGGUCCGAAAUGAGAAAGGUCUCCUUGUUGCUGGUUCCUCAAAGUUAGAUGUUGCGCCAUCUGCCAUAGCUGCAGAAGCCAAAGCCAUUGAUCUUGGCCUCUGUUUAGCAUCUUCUCUUUCCCUCUCCUCUUUUUCGCUGGAAUCGGACUCUCUCUCCCUCAUUUCGGCUUUUUGAAACCCUUUGUCGCUUGUGGAUUGGUUUGCUUCAACCUUAGUCUCAAGAAUCAGGCGAAAAACCUCAAGUUUCAAGUGAAUUCACUGGUCUUGGACCAGCAGAAAGGCAAAUUCGGCUGCGGACUUUGUGGCCUCUUUGUCUUUGCAGAGGGUGUGCUCUGAAGAUUGGUUUUCCAACCCUCCAUCCUCCCUCAUGCGGAUUUUACUUUUUGAUGCAGCUUCUCCCCCUCCUUAAUGGGGCAGAUUGUCUCUUUUCUGUUUUUUUGUUUCAGUUUGUAGUUGUUUUUGCUUGUUUCUUUUCAAUGAAUUUCUCAUUACCAAAAAAAAAAAAAAAACUGGAAAAAGGGUUAUAAGAAUCAAAACAUACCCUGGCCCCAGAUUUACUAGCAUAACAAUCAAUAGGCAGACAGAUACUACAAAUGACAGUAAGCCACAGCAGAAAUUCUGACAGUAAGCCACAGCCCCAGAUAACCUAGCAAUAACUUGCAUUGAUAAACCAGCCUUACAUACUACUUUCCCAGAUCAAUACACCAUUAAAUUCUGGAAGUACAAUCACUAUACUAGCAUGUAGUUUCAUCAUGAUAAAUACAUCAAUCCAUCACAAUAAAGUACAUGCAUCCUACUUAUACGGUACUUCUCUUAGGAGUUAUCUCAAGUUGAGCACAUAAUAUGCUAGUCCAUAUAGAACAUGCAUAACUCAAUUAUCUGGAGACUACAUAUAACAAUACUAUGGACUCGGAAAAGAUAACUUGAUUUCUGGUGGCAAAGAGUGUCAUUUGGCUUAGCUUCUAGGUGGUGAACAUUAAUCAAGAUAUUACUUAAGCAUAAAACACUUCAUGUUAAAGCCCAACGCUAGAAUGGGAUAAGUUUUCAAUUUCAUACUUUGUAGAUUCCAACCAGAGGAUAGGAAAGUCUGCUAUCCUAAAUCUCUAAUCAUGAUUUAAGAUUUCCCAACACUGAGGACACCCAGUGGUGUAAUCAUGCACUUACACUUUCAUGUAGUCAACAGAUCAACUGAAGCAGUAAGAAGUCAAAUAACAUGAUCAAAACACAGAAUCUAGACUACAAAUGUCCAUCUUGAUUAGUCAAACAACCCCAAAUUUUUUUUUCCCAACAUGUGACGUAACAAACCAGAAAAGCUCAGAGUUGCACGCUAUAUAUCCAUAUACAUGAUAUAUCAAACAAGUCUCAAAACCACCUAAUAUAUCGAUCACAAAGAUCUGUGUCUAAUCAUAAAUCCAUAUUAUGUAUAAUUACGAUUCAAGCAACAACUUGUAUAUAUAUUGAACCUCUCACUCUAAUUAAGAUACACCAUACACACUACCAGAAAGUACCCAGAAUGAAUAGGUAUAAUGUAUCAAACAACCAAACUAAUAAAUAUAUGCAGAUGCUAAGCAUAUGGUUAUACAUCCAGAUUAAAGUAAUAUACCUGAGGGUUGCUCUAAAAGCCAGCCUUCUAGUCCUUUAGUUACAAUUAACAAUCAGUCAUGCGCAGCAUCUAUCCUCAUAAUAAUCCAAUACCAUUCCAGACAAUUUGACAAGCAUACCUCAUAACUCAUCAUCCCUCAGGUUCAUACAUAAAUAUUAAAGUGGCAGCAAAAUAUAUUUACCUUGAAAUCAGCCGACUCAAAGUGCCAGUAAAGCCAGUCCCACUCAUCUUGCCUGUGUAUCAAAUCAGGCGGAAUUGUUUCUCUCCCAUACUUCUUAUAAUGCCUUGAAAAGUCCCCCUUCCAAUCUCGAUACAUAGUACCCGUCUUAUCUUCAAGCCACGCCCACAUCCGUUUAUCCCCAAAGUCAAUAUUAAAAUACGGCUACAACAUAAAUUAACAACUCCUCAUCAGACUACAAAUUGAAAUAAUGAAGAAAUAAAUAGUAGAUUCAUCAUAUAAACAUUACCAACUCCUAAUCACCCUGUAAAUUGACAUGCAUGAAGAUAAAAUAGUAGAUUCACCCUAUAACACAAACAAGUCCUUUUUACCCUGUAAAUUGACAUAAUGAACACUAGAAAUCUAAUUGUCCACCCUAUAACACAAACAACUCAUUCACCUAUAACACAUCAUCAUCAUCAUUACUAUAACACAUUCACUGUAAAUUGACAUAUAACACAAACAACACAUUCACCUAUAACACAAACAACUCAUUCACCUAUAACACAUCACUACUAAAUUGUAAAUUGACAUCAUUCACAAUAAAAACAACUCAUUCACCAAUAAUAAAGUGUACUGGAUUCUUACCGUAAGCCCAUCUAUCAACUUCUUCUUCUCAAAGUCACCGAGGCAUUCCCAGUUUCCGGCCGACAAUUUAACUUUGGAUCGAAUUAUGCAACCAAUGCUAUUGACCAGGAGGCUGUUCACUGCUGAUGAAGACAGUCCUCUGAUGAAGUCGUGAUACGCAAUUUCGAUCAAGCCGGUGCAUUUCACAAUACGCUUGACUUUGUCCAGGUUGCUGAACCCUCGUCGGCGUUUUGGGAGAGGUCCGGUGGACUUCUUAGUACUACGUCGAACACUACAACCAUCGGACACGCCUGAGCUUCUGGGGCGACAUCGUCGAUCUCGUCCUCAUCCAGUGGGGGAGCUGUAGAGGCAAUCGAGGCUAGUGGUGGAGGUGGAGUCGUUUCACCAUUUCCCGUCGGUGACAAAACAACAACAUCUCCCGUCGGCCCCGUCGUAUUCUCUGUCGGCCUCGCCGUAUUCUCCGUCGUGCCGGAACCAAAUUGGGCUGCACAAGCCGAUCGCAAUCUCUCAGACGCAAUCUCCUUGGCCCUUUUCUUCGUCAAUGGUGGCAUGCUUGGGAUUGAAACUCGGUUUAGAUGGUUUAAGGUUUAGCGAAGUCGAAUUGGGAUUGAACCUGAGCGAAGUUUGGAAUUGGGAGGACGAAUUUGGGAGAGAAGCCGCGGAGGCGAAGGAAGCGAAUUGGGAUUAGAGUUUAGGGUUUCGAAAUUGGGGAGGGAUUAGGGAUUAGGGUUCGAGUGAUUUUGGGGAGGCGAAUUGGGGGUGGUUCGAACUGGGUUUGAACCGAAAUGGAGUUGAUGCGAAACAGAGUUAGAACUGGGUUUGGGUAUAUUUGAUAUAGAUCAAGCGACGAAAACCUGUUAUUUCGUGGCCCAAACAUUAUAUUCGAAUUUUGGCCCAAAUAUUUGGUGCAAAACUCGUACGCGCUAUAUUUUAAGCCCUUUGCGACGAAUAACUAUUUUUCGUCGCUUAUAACAUAGCUGUAGCGACGAAUUUAGGCUUUUUCGUCACAAAAAAUAAAUUAAGGUAUAUUUUCAUUAAAUACAUUUAUUUAAUAAUUAAUCUUUUAACCAAAAAAAUACAUAUGUUAAAAGAAGUCGUUAUCCUCAUACUAAAGUAAUACAUAUGUUAUCGAAAUAUGUCUAAUAAUAAAGUACUCAAUCGUUAUCCUCGUAAUCCGGAUCUUCUAGAUCAUCCUCAGGAAUUUCAUUUGAAUCUUCAUCUUCAUUGUUAAUGAAGUCGUGACUAGGUGGGAUGUACGGCAGUGAACCGAAAUAACCCUAAACCUGCAAUUGGAAUGUACUCGCCUUGUGGGAAGUGGAUGUCGUUGUUGAUGCGAAUGGUGCUUGUGUCAGGGAUGUCAAAAUUUAAAGGCUCUUGAUAUGGUUCAAGAGCCAUAUUCUCAAUAUAUUGUUCUACCCGGCCCCCUUGAAGUGUGGUUGCGUUAAAGAUACUUCUAUGCUCCAUCACGUUAACUACUUUCCAACCCCCACCAGCUUUCAGAUCAUCAAGGUAAAAUACUUGUUUUGCUUGAAUGGCAAGCACAAACGGGGCAUGCUCAUACCAGCUUGUGGAUGUAUUCACUGAUAAUAGCCCGUGAUCCAUCUUCGUACUCCUCAGAAAAAAUUUAGGUCAGUAUUGAACCAUCUACACUUGAACAACACAACUGUCAUACUUGCUGGAUAUAGUAGUUCGAUGACGGCAACAACAAUUCCGUAGUAUGCAACAUUAUCCUUACCCACUACCAUGAUGCCACUGUUCAGUGUCUUCCGGCGUUGAUCUCGUCGUUCUGUCAUGAACUUAACACCGUUGACUACACAAGUCGCAUAAACAUUAUGUCCUUGUGGCAUACACGCCAAAUGAUGCAACUGCGGAGAGUAAUCUUUGUCUUGACGUUCUUGCAUCCUCGUCACCUACAAACAAAUAAAAAUAUAUAAGUUAAAAAUUAUGAUCGAAAAGGGCAUAAUUUUCCCCAAAUUUUGAAAUUGAGAGAUUAAACGUACCCAUUUUAGGAAAUAUACAGGAAACGUUUUCUUAUGCCUCUCUUCAUGCCUAUUCUGAUACUUAAGUUGAAUAAGUCCCAAAUGAGCAUCUCUAUAUUCCUUGACUUCGUCACAGUGUUGCAGUACCCACCAAUGAGCCUCACAUAACUCAUCUUCUCUUAAAAUUGCUGAAUUAGGUAAGUUACCAAACAUUCUUAUAUCUUCAGAGACAAUUGAAAGGUUGAAUGUAGGUGUUCUUGCCGGGUCAAGGCCCUCUGUGUCGUCUGUAUUAUGGAGAUGACUUCAUCAUAGUGUUGCAGUACCCACCAAUGAGCCUCACAUAACUCAUCUUCUCUUAAAAUUGCUGAAUUAGGUAAGUUACCAAACAUUCUUAUAUCACUACGCCAGAUAAUGCAUCACACGACGGGGAAAAAACGUUGUCUGUUAAAGGUCAAAUCCGUUGUUAAUCCGAUUGCUGUCUGAUCAACAUGUCACACAACGGCUAAAAAGAGCUUGUCUGACUAACUGACACACAACGCUACAAUAAAAACUAUUGUGUGAUUCUCGGCAGAUAUCAUCGACAGCUGCCGACACAUGUCGAGCUGCUUCUCGACAACUGUCGACAUAUGUCGAUGAAAUAUGCCGAAAGUCAGACAAUAGUUUUAUGUAAAAUGUUGUUGUGUGAGCCUCGACAGAUAUUAUCGACAGAUGCCGAGCUGGUUCUCGGUAGCUGUCGACAUAUGUCGAUGAUAUCUGUCGAGAAUAACACAAUAGUUUUUUCAAUGAAAACCUUUGUGUGAUUGUUAACUCACACAACUGUUCCUUUUAAAAGCUAUUAUGUGAAUAUCGACAGAUAUCAUCAAGAUAUGUCGACAUAUGUCGAGGUCGCUCUCGAUAAUAUAUGUCAACAUUCACACAACAGCUUUCGACAUGAAAACUAUUGUGUGAGGUGAUGUUCAUACAACAGAUUUUCUCGAUUGCAUGGUUAUUUGAUUGUUAAAGAGUAGACAUGAUUUUUGCUAAUAGGCAUUGUGUGAAUAGAUACUCACACAACGUUACAUUACAAAAUAAUUGGUUGUAUAAUCAUUUUCAUUAGACAACGUUGGAUUGUCAUUAAUGUGUUGUAUGUCCUACUAAUUUACCAAAUAAACAAUAGCAACUAAAAAAUAUAGAUAUUGCAUACAAACCAAAAUCUCAUAAAAUCAUCCAUCCACUGUAUUGACCAUUGUAUAUAGAAUAUCCAUCAAUACAUAUCUAAGAUCCAAAAUAAGUAACCUACAAAAACCACAAUUCUAAAAUCCAAAAUCCAAAAUGUACUCUACUACUAUAUUGACCAAUAUAAUAAUUCAAAGCUAGGUGUUGUGACAUGUAUAACUUCAUACCAGUUAGAAGAAAUCUGCAUACAUGCAUGCUAACUAUUUUGCUUCAUCUUUGGUGCAAGUAUUUCAUUCCCAUAGACCAAAAGAUUCUAGGUCUGCAAUGAAAAAACAGGAAACUCACAUUUUUAUCGUCCACAAAAUUAAUAUAGACCAAAAGAUGUUUCAUAUAGUACCUCAAGAUAGUGGUUACCAUCGAUUGUCUUAAGGCAAGUGAUAAGUUCAUUUGCUGCUUUAGUGAAAUUAAAGUCCUUGAGACAUUCAUCUAAGUUAACAUAGACAAGUUUACUUUCAUCACAUUUAAGCAUUUGAAGGAAUACGGAUAAUGCACUAGAAAGGUAGUAGACUUUUAGCACCAUUAAUUGAGUAAUAUCUGCAAAGAGUUUUGAAUCAUCCCUAAUGAUUGCCUAAUAAUUCACACAGCAACAGCAAAAAACAGACUUCUAAAACUAAAUUUUUAUAGUAACACAAGAAUAACAGACCUCUAAAGUAGCCUUCAUACAUAGUUCCUCUAGAACCAUGGACAAAGUCAACAACACGUCUUCCCCCCUGUUUAUGAUAAAACCAAUUAAAUAUUUUACUAUGAGAAGUGAAGUAGAGGCAUAGGGAAUAGGUAAACAGAAACAAAACUGUUAAGUGUGUGGUCAACUAAGAAGAAAAUAGGUGAUACAAAAUUGUACGUUAUCCCAAGGAGUACAUGCAUAAAGAUUUUCCGUUUAAUGUGACCAAACUCUGCUUAAGUGAAAAUUAAGAAGGGUAAGGUGAUGGGUGCAUGCAUAUGAAAGUAAUUACUUUUAGAGGCUCAAGGCUUCCCUUCGCCACAGGCACACCUGGUUGCCUUGUGAUCUUACACAAUUCUUUGCUCAUUAAGCACUAUGUACCCACAGUAAGCACUAUGUACUUAUUAAAGAUUGAGGUGAAUAAUCAAUUCACCAUUUAGAUAUUAAAAACAUGAAAUGGUUGAGCAAAUUACUCACUAUAUAUGCAUGUUUGUCAUGGAACUCAUAUGCUUAAUGCAAGAUGAUAUUACCAAAGCAUUACCUGAGUCCCUUGCCAUAGUUUGAGAGAUCUUUUGUCUUCAAACUCUGCACAUCAAAAUCCUAAUCAGAGCACAAAUCUAUGAUUAGCUACAUACAGACAAAAACAUGUCUGUAUAGGUAAUCAUUCUCUUACCAUAUGUCUACACAGUCACACAAUUAAAACAAGAGAUAGGAUGCUUAAACAGAUUUUCACUCAAACACAAUUAUACAAACCAGCAUACUGCAGCAGUCACCUUCACACUAAAAACUGUACAAAACCAUUUGGAAGUUGACUUUGAUUUCUUCUAAAGACUUGUAGUAGACACACUAAAGAAGCUCUGAGAGUUGGAAUCACUUUAAAACGAUUUUUCUUGAAUUAGUUAUGGAUUUUCAAAGUUCAGCUACAGUUUCAAGAUUGUCUGAAAAUUUUCUGCUAAAAACCUAUUUAAAGUAUCGGAAAAUCAAAACUGAAACUAUAUGUGACACAAAACUUCAAGUUAUUGAACAUAAGCAAAACAAUGUUUCAAAAAGACGAAAACAAACAAAAAUUACAAUUUAAAUGUAAGAGAACAUCAGCUGCAUUAGAUUACUAUAAGGUAAACUAAUGUAAAGUUCUAAAUUCUAAUCUUUCAACUAACUUUAAGCAACCCAAAUCUAACUUUCAAUUUAAGAAACAAAUAACAUGUAUAAGUACUUUAUAAUCUAAUCUCUAUAUCUGUAUAAUAUCAUACCAAAUCAAGCAAGAAUCAUCGGCAAACAUUGAGACGAAGAGCAAAGGAACAAAAUCAGAAAAUGUAUGCCUAACUUCCUGACCAGCAGACAUUUUUGGCUAAAAACAGUAUAGCUCAGCUAAGAAUUUCAGGUUGGUCUCUUCAUCACAAUUGUAAAAGACAACCUAAAGAUCAAUCUGGAACUGGAAUCGCACAAAAAGGAAUUUUCUACAAUUACUAAUGAUUUUUUAAAGUUCAGUUAGAGUUCCAGUUUUUCUUUGAAAAUUUACUGAUAAUUACCCACCUUAAAGUUGAACAGAGGCUGAACUUGGACCUUUGAUUCUUUGUUCCCUUCAGCUCCUCCCUACCAUUUAGCCAUAUUAGAACUGUCUUAACAAGUCUUUCGAAGGAACCACCAUCGCCGACAACGGCAGAAGAAACUAGAAAACUCAAAACUUGACAAAACAAAGAACCACUCACCAAGCUGUGUAGAGCCUGCGUAUUCCCCUAUCCUUCCCUUAGGAAGCUGCCCAGGGAAGUAGAAAUUGCACCAAACAGUCCGGCCCCCAACCCCCUCCUCCGCUGCGCCAAGCCCAGCCUCCUCUACUGACAUCUCCAACCUCGAACCAAAUUGGAAGAAAUUGAACUAACCAACCCAGAAACCUAAUUAGAGAAAGGAGAAGAGUACAAACCUCAAACCAAAUUGGAAGAAAUCGAGUGAGGAGCCAAAUGGACGAACCCCCAAAUCGACGAACCUUAAUCGAGUGACAGUGGCUUAGUCUCGAUUGAGAGAGGAGUGAUUGAGUUUGAGAGAGAAAGAAAUUGAGAGGAGUGAUUGAGAAGAAAUUGAGGAGGGUGAGAGCGGUUGAGUUCGAGAGAGAAAGAGAGAAGAGAGAAAGGGCGAUAGGUGAGAACGGUGACAGCGGUUGAGUUCGAGAGAGAAAGAGAGAAGAGAGAAAGGGCGAUAGGUGAGAACGGUGAGUGUGUGUGUGUGUGUGUGUGUGUGUGUGUGUGUGUGUGUGAGCGAUNNNNNNNNNNNNNNNNNNNNNNNNNNNNNNNNNNNNNNNNNNNNNNNNNNNNNNNNNNNNNNNNNNNNNNNNNNNNNNNNNNNNNNNNNNNNNNNNNNNNNNNNNNNNNNNNNNNNNNNNNNNNNNNNNNNNNNNNNNNNNNNNNNNNNNNNNNNNNNNNNNNNNNNNNNNNNNNNNNNNNNNNNNNNNNNNNNNNNNNNNNNNNNNNNNNNNNNNNNNNNNNNNNNNNNNNNNNNNNNNNNNNNNNNNNNNNNNNNNNNNNNNNNNNNNNNNNNNNNNNNNNNNNNNNNNNNNNNNNNNNNNNNNNNNNNNNNNNNNNNNNNNNNNNNNNNNNNNNNNNNNNNNNNNNNNNNNNNNNNNNNNNNNNNNNNNNNNNNNNNNNNNNNNNNNNNNNNNNNNNNNNNNNNNNNNNNNNNNNNNNNNNNNNNNNNNNNNNNNNNNNNNNNNNNNNNNNNNNNNNNNNNNNNNNNNNNNNNNNNNNNNNNNNNNNNNNNNNNNNNNNNNNNNNNNNNNNNNNNNNNNNNNNNNNNNNNNNNNNNNNNNNNNNNNNNNNNNNNNNNNNNNNNNNNNNNNNNNNNNNNNNNNNNNNNNNNNNNNNNNNNNNNNNNNNNNNNNNNNNNNNNNNNNNNNNNNNNNNNNNNNNNNAAGUCUGCAACUUGGCAUGAGAGAUAUAUCGUAACAACAGAUAUAUAAAAGUAUUGUGUGAUAGUUUAAAUUGUAUACAUUCACACGACAUUUAUUUGUUUCACUGUUGUGUAACAACACCAAGUUAUAUGUCAAACUAGAGUCAGGUUAGAAGCAAAAUGGGCCUCAUUUUUAUCUUCAUUCAGACAACAAAAUAUUGUCCAAAGUGUUGUACUAGUUUAAGGAAAAAAAAACUGGAAUGAUCUCAGACUAUCCACACAACGGAUGAAUGUUUCUGAACGUUGUAUGAAGCAUUUUUGAAAUUUGUACAACUCUGCUAUUAUGUACCGUUGUGUGAAAAGUGUCGUUUGUUGCACUUACUGGCGUAGUGUAUCUUCAGAGACAAUUGAGAGGUUGAAUGUAGGUGUUCUUGCCGGGUCGAGGCCCUCUGUGUCGUAUGUAUUAUGGAGAUAUGACUUGCAAUACGUUACACACUCAUGUGCAAUGUAUACGUUAGCUAUUGAUCCUUCUGGUUUUGCUCUGUUUUUAACAAAACUUUUAUACCCACCAAGUUGUCUAAAAAUAAAAUAGUUAGUACAAAUGAAAAUAUAGGGAAAAUAUGUAAAUAAUAAUAAUGUAUGAUUAGGGAUUUAGAGUUAUAACCAUACCUUUCUAUGGGAAACAUCCAAGUAAAAUGUACUGGACCAGUACAAUGUAUGCGUUAGCUAUUGAUCCUUCCGGCUUUGCCCUGCUUUAACAAAACCUUUAUACCCACCAAGUUGUCUAAAAAUAAAAUAGUUAGUACAAAUGUCUGAUUUCAUUUCAACAACAUCUGACUUCUUCAACUCUCUACUGCAUAAUCUCUGCCAAAACCUGGACAAGGCUACUAACGGCUCCACCACAUCAUGAUGCAAAUAUGGUCUGAUUACCACGGGAAGAAGACGUUGCAACAAAACAUGACAGUCAUGACUCUUCAAUCCAUGUAUCUUAUGUUCCUCCAUCUUAAUACAUCGAGCUAUAUUUCCUGCAUAUCCUUGAGGAUGCUUAACAUCAUUGAACCAAUUGAAAACUUUAGGCUUGAAAGCGGGCUUCACCGAGUAAGGUGCAAUAGGCAUAAACACUUGUCUUGACGCCGUCCUUUUUACCCAUAAGUGACGCCGUAAGCCCAUGUUUUGUAAAUCAUCCCGCGCUUUGAUACUGUCUUUUGUCUUGUCUUUAAUGUCGAGAAUUAUUCCCACCACAUUGUCACAAAUAUUCUUUUCUAUGUGCAUGACAUCUAGGUUGUGUCUAAUUCUCAAAGUGGACCAGUAAGGUAAUUCAAAGAAAAUACUCUUAUGAUGCCAAUUGUCAAGUGCAGCAGGACGCACAGGAUUUUGGGCCAAGACAUCUUUAUCACUACUCAAAUAUCCAAAAUCAAAAGAGUUCAACUUGUAUAAAAUUUCAUCCCCAGACUGAAUAGGGGUGGUUCACGAUGCUCUUCCCUGCCAUCGAAUGCAUCUGCAUCAAACCGCCAUUCAUGAUUCAUUGGAAGCCAUCUACGUUGACCUAGGUAAACAAUCUUGUCCGCGUGACGACCAGCAUCAACGUUCUCUAAGCAGAUGGGACAAGCCUUGUACCCUUAAGUGGUAUGAGAAGAUAACAUACCGUAGCCAGGAAAGUCGCUGAUUGUCCACAUCACGACUGCUCUCAUCCUAAAUGAAGUUUUACUAUGUCUGUCAAAAGUGGGGGAUUCCAUUUUCCAAUAAUUCUUUUAGCUCAUCAAUCAACGGUCUCAAAUACACAUCUAGACACUUUCCCGGAGAAUUGGGACUUGGAAUUAACAAUGCCAGAAAAUUAUAUUCCUUCUUCAUACACAUCCACGGUGGUAAGUUGUACGGCAUUAAAAUAAGAUGCCAAAUGCUAUGAGACAGAGUCAUAUUGCCGCUAGGAUUGAACCCGUCUAUUGCUAGUCCGAGCCUUACAUUUCGAACGUCUUCCUCAAAAUCAAGAAAUGAUGCGUCAAAAGAUUUCCAAGCCUCCCCAUCUGAGGGGUGUCUCAGAACACCGUCAUCUUCCCUAGGAAGACCGUGCCAUCUCAUCUCCUCUGCAGUCUCUGAUGACAUGUACAAACGCUGCAAUCUCAGAGUUAACGGGAAAAAACGAAGCACCUUCACAGGAACAGGUUUCUCUUUAUCUGAAAAAGCCUCUUCAUCAUACCUCAGCCCAUUACAAAUGGGACAGUAAAUAGCAUGCUUGUAAUCUCCGUAAAACAGCAUGCAAUUAUUCUUGCAGGCAUGGAUCUUCACAUAAUCAAGGCCGAGGUCGCCCAAGAUCUUCUUUGUUUUAUAAUGACUCUCAGGAAGUCUAUUUACAGGAGGAAGCAAAGUUUUGAUAACUUUUGAAUAGUCUCCAUAAUGUUCAUUACUCGUUCUGUGCUUUACUUUCAAAUGCAUCUGUGACAUGAUGGCACUCAAAACUGAAACUGGACAGUCAUCAUACACUGGUGUCUAGGCUUGUUCGAGAAGCCUGUUAUACCUCUCAUACUCAGACAUGUCAACUGCCUUAUUGACAUUGGGGGCAUCAUCAUCAACUGCCUCUUCUUUAUAUCUUGAAGCAUACGGGAAAACAUCAUGUAGCAUAUUCAUAGCGGGGUAUAUCGAAGGGCCGGCAGUACCACUAGAUGACCCAACUUCAUAAAUGUAACUUGCUCGAAAUUCCGCUAGUGUAGGAUUAUUUUCCUCCACCUCACCGUGUUCCGUCCAUAUAGUAUAAUUAUUCCACAUACCAAAAUUUGACAAGUGUUGUUCCAUACCCGAUCGUGUCUGCCAAUCGUUGCACAUACAUUUUCUACAUGGACACUUGUGCCACUCAAUUCCUGGGGCAGCAUGAUAAUCAACAAAUCUCAAGAAAUCAAAGAUUCCCUGUAUAUACAAGUGGUGACACCUGUCGUAUAACAUCCAGCUUUUGUCCAUGUUUUGCAUCUGCUGUCAUAUAAGAGAAACAACAAAUAAGCAUCAAGUAUAUAGCAACAAACCAACAUUAAUCAUACAAAUAUUCGUUUCUUCUUCACCUUAUGCCUCCGGUUAGGGUCUUAAUCCCAUUUAGGAGAAUAAGACUUUGUUAAGAAAUUUGCUGCUUUUUUGUUUCGAUUUCGAUGUGGUAAAAUUUCGGCAACAUCUCCUUACAGUUCCCCAAGUGCAUGAAUAUCUAAGUCUAGUAUGCACUCGAGGAACAAUACAGGAGACUCUGUCGAAAUAUAUAUACCCACAAUCGAAACCAAAAACAAAAGAACUGCAAACCACAUAACAAAGACUUAUUCUCCCAAACUGUCUAAAAAUGGGACAAUUCAAGAACCAUUUUAGUUUGUUGCCAAACCAAAAUCAUUCUCGAACGAGAUUUCUAAGGUUAAACGUGAAUGAAAGAAUUUAACCAUUCUUAUAUUCAUCGCGCUAAAAAAACACAACAUCAUUCUUUACAUAUAUAUAUAUAUAUAUAUAACCAACAAAAUAUAUAUAGUUAUAUAUAUAUAUAUAUAGAUUAUUUUAUACUGGAAAACAUGGUCUUCAUUUUACUGGAAUUCUUCACCGGAAAACAUGGUCUUCUAUUUUUUUUCUUUUUUAAAUAGGAGGAAACAUAUAUGGUCUAAACAAGGAGGAGAUUUAGCUAUCAUCAACAAUUCAACAACAUCAUCAUCAAAGAUGGGUAACCCAAAAUUAUCAUCAACAGACAACGCACAUCAUCCUCAAAACUAUAAAUGGUAAAAAGAAGAGAAUGAGAUUAUACCAAGUUAUAGUUAGCUAAUGAUCUUCAUAUAUAUAUGAGUAUAAGGUAGACAAAGCUUUCCGUCACCAGAUUGGAUGAUUUCUGUCGCCAGAUUUCAGCUCCACCAAAUUUUCUUCUAUUUUAGAUCUGGGCAGCGAGGCAGGAGAUAUAAAGUCGAAAACACUUAUGUGACGAAAAUUUCGUCGUAUUAGUAUUAAAUUUCAUCUCAUAAGAUCAAAAUUUUGCGACAAACUUAAUGUAUUCGUUGCCUAAGAUGAAACUUAAGAGACGAAAAAUAUUUCGUCUCUCAAGUUCUUCCUUCGUCUCUUAAGUCAAAUUUUCAUCGCUUAGGUAAUGCCUUAUACGACGGUUUAGUGUUUCGUCGCUUAAGUAUUGCGACAAAAUUUAUACAUUCGUCGCCUAAAACAGGUAUUAAGAGACAAAAAAAUUUCGUCUCUUAAGUCAAAGUUUCGUCGCUUAGGUAAUAAUUAUGCGACGGUUUUGUGUUUCGUCGCUUAAGUAUUGAUCUAAGCGACGAAGUGUUUUUCGUAGCAUAAGUUAUUACCUAAGUGACGGAUGAAAUUUCUUCGUCGCAUAUGUCCUUUUUUCUAGUAGUGUUCGUAUAAUGGAAAUACAUAACUUUUGGCACGUCUCCACGCAAGUGAUCAUUUCAUACAACUACUUGUGCAUUAAAUGUAACAAUUUAAGAGCCAAAGGUUGUGGAUGCUCUAUACAACUUGAGUAGCAACGAACCCAGCUUUAUCCUCCUUUACUCCUCUCUCACCAUCAUCGAUCAUCACUAUCAAAGUAUAUUUUUGACCUUUUGUGCAAUCAAUUAUCAUAUGGCUCUUCUUCGGACUCAGAUACGUCGUCGUCCUCUUCUUCUGCAUUUGUUCUCUUCAACUUGUUGGCGUGAGUCAUAUCCCCUAAUAUCAGGGAUUGUGAAUAUUUUGCUGUUAUUAUGAUAUUUUGUAUUAUUUCCUUGUAAUUAGUUUCCUAUUAGGUAUUGGUAUGUCUUGUAUAAAUAGUCCAUUCCUGGAGAACAUGAAUAGACAGAAUAACAGUUUAUCAAAUCCUCUGGUUCCUUUUGACUUGGUAUCAGAGCCGAUCAAGAUCCAUUCGGACUCGAUUGGUUUUGUUCCGCUGCGAAUUGAAGUUCUUUUUGUUUUUGAAGUUUUGGCGUUUGACGUUUCUUAGUUGUGAAGGUAGCUUUGUCUGAUUUGGGAGGUUUCGAGCAAGCUAUUGUUUAAUCAGUUGAAGUGCAAAUUUGUUUAAUUGGUGUAUCAAGCAGAUCUUGUUUGAUAGUUAAGGUGGCCUUGUUUGAUGUCCAGGGACUUGGCUAAUCUUUUUGGCGGUGUUAAGUGGUGUGGUAUUGUAUUCUUUGAAUAUUUAAAGGAGGAAGAAUGGUGGAUUUGAAGAUUAUUGGUGGGGAAGACUCUCAGAGUUCUGGAGAGAAGAGUCUUGCGACCCAAGAGAUUGUUGUUGUUCAGAAUGUUACCGACAACUCUAGUUUUGGUGUCAAGCUUGAUGGCACCAACUAUCAGUUAUGGCAGAGGCUUAUGAAGAUUCAUAUCAAAGGAAUGGGAAAGUGGAGUUAUGUUGAUGGUAGUGCCACCAAACCUGCUGCAGGACCAAAAUUCGAUGAAUGGGAUACGGCAAACACUAACGUGAUGGAAUUCUUCUCAAAGCUAUGACUCCGGAGGUAAUGGAGUUGUUUUCUAAUUUUGAUUCUCCCAAGACGAUUUGGGACUCUGUUGCUGCAACAUACUAUGAUGGUAAUGACUUUGCUCGUGUCCAUGAGUUGAAUGUGAAAGCCUUUCAACUGACUCAGAGUGGACAACCUGUGGCAACGUUUUAUGCGAGUUUGAAGACAAUAUGGCAAGAGCUUGAUCAAAGAAACCCAAACCCUAUGACAUGUGAAGCAGAUAUCACUUCCUACCGGAAGGAACAAGACAAGAUGCGUGUUCAUGUCUUUCUUGCUGGUUUAGAUCCUCACUUUGAAGGACCAAAGAAUGAGCUCUUGCGCCUUGCAACUCCACCUACUCUAGAGCAAGCUUUUUCUUAUAUCCGAAGAGAUGAAGCCAACAAAACAGCUGCAAAGGGUCUUCAUACUGAAAUUUCUGGUUUAGCAAUCCAUGCUACACCGCCACCUCAACCUCAGAUAAGGAACCCUACCCUAGUUCCAUCUUAGAACCAGUCCUACCAACCACGAAGUCAAGGAUAUCAGCAUGGUCAAAAUUAUAAUCAGUUUACUUGUCACUAUUGCAAGGAAGUUGGCCAUAUGAAGAGCCAUUGCCCUAUGCUCCGAAAGUUUAAUUUUAACAACUCUAGUUGGAGAGGAGGCAAUAACACCGGAGGACGUGGAGGUCGUGGUGGUAGAGGAGGCAAAGCAGCAGUCCAGUUAGUGCCAGAACCAGACUUCUAUGGCAUUGGAGGGCAAGACCCUUUGGGUAAUGUUUCCUUGACUAAGGAAACCAGAGGUAAAAUUGGUGUUGCUUUACAUGUUUCUGACUUUACUGGUAGUGAUACUUGGAUUAUUGAUUCCGGAGCGUCCGAUCACAUGACCUAUGAUAAAUCUUUUUUUAUGUCUUUGUCAUUCCCUCAUAUAUCCAUGUCUCUAAUGCCAAUGGCGUGUCCUUUCCGGUCUUAGGUGUUGGGUCUAUUCAGGUUACACCAUCCAUUAUUUUGCAUAAUGUGCUUUAUGUACCUUCGUUGUCUCAUCAUCUUUUGUCUGUAUCCCAAUUGAGUUAUCAAAAUAAGUGCUCUGUAACCUUUUAUCCAAUGUAUGUUGUUUUUCAGAGUCUAUGCACCAAGGUGAUCAUUGGCAAGGGAGACCUGAGGGGGAGACUGUUUCACUUGGAUUGCAUGUACGCAGAACCAACACAAGCACCAACACAACCUUUAGCCCUGACAUUGAGUUCUGAUCGGUUGAAAGAGCUAUGGCUGUGGCACAGACGUUUGAGUCAUCCAUCUUUUGGAGUUAUGAAGAAAUCGAUGCCUUCUUUGUUUUUUGGGAGUUAAUGAGUCUAGCUUGCAUUGUGAAACCUGUGCCUUGGCUAAAAGUCAUAGGUCUAGUUAUCCUUUGAGUUUUCAUUCCAGCACUAUGCCUUUUGAGUUGAUUCAUUCGGAUUUAUGGGGUCCUUCAAAAUACUCUACACUUUCUUGAAUGCGAUAUUUUGUUCUAUUCAUUGAUGAUUUUACUCGAUUAUCUUGGGUUGUGUUACUAAAAUCAAAAGAUUCUGUUUUUUCAGCCUUUACCGCAUUUCAUAAUCUUAUCCAUACUCAAUAUGAUGCUCAGGUUAAAAUCUUUCGUUCUGAUAAGUUGGGGGGGGGGGGGGGGGGGGGGGAGUUUGUCAACCAUUCUUUUCGUGAGUACUUCCAAAGUCAUGGUAUUAUCCAUCAAACCUCGUGUCCACAAACACCUUAGCAAAAUGGUGUGUCUAAGCGAAAAAAUCGUCAUCUCCUGGACAUAGCUCGGUCUCUCCUCUUAAGUGCUAACGUGCCUAAGUACCUUUAGGGAGAAGCCGUGUUGUGUGCGUCUCACUUAAUCAAUUGUCUUCCAUCAAACCCUCUUCAAGGUCGUGUUCCGUUUGAUGUCUUGUCGGAAUAUGUCUCCAUUCCAUCACUAAAUACUCUUCCUGCUCGUGUAUUUGGUUGUGUUGCUUAUGUCCAUCAGUAUAAAAAUCAGAGGUCCAAAUUGGAUGCUAGAGCUCUCAAGUGUGUCUUUGUAGGGUAUGGAUCUCACCAAAAAGGUUAUAAGUGUUAUCAUCCACCAUCUCAAAGGAUUUAUGUCACCAUGGAUGUUACGUUCAGUGAAGAUAUAUGCUAUUUUUUGCCAUCUGCGACUCCAUAUCAGGGUGAGAAAUCGUGUUACUACGAAGAUUUGUUUAGUGAGAAACAAACAUUGGAGGAGUCGACACAAGGGUCUUUGGCAACAGACAAACAAAUAGGUGGACCAGCUUUAGACAACUGGUCGUCCACAACUCAUAAUCACCUGACCGGUUGUCCGGUCCGAUCUCAGUGAGCGAUGCAGAGGCCCAGCGACACAGCCCAGCGACUGGUCCGAUCGACUUGGACUCUGGUCUGGACCUCACCGGCGGUCGUCAAAAAGGGAAAAAAACUGGGCUUGCUGGUGGUAGUCGAACUCAGCCGCUCGAAUUGGAGACGCCUGAAUUAGUGGACCUUGAUUCCACUCAGAUCGAUCGAGGUGAGGUAUUGCACGGCGGCCGGCCGGCGAGGUCUGGUCUGUUGUCCAUUGAAAAUUGUUCAGGAGGCUCCGGUCCACCACCUUGUCAGGCCGUCGGUACAAGCAGUCAUGAUCCGAACCAAGUAUAUACAGCCAAUCAGGGUAACUCGGCCUCUACUGGCGUUGAUCACAACUCUUUUGUCUUCCCCUCUCCCUCAUCAAUGGUCUCACCUGCGCAAUUGUCACCCGAGGUAUGAUCUUCUUCUUCUGUGUCAAAUAGUGUUCCAUCAAAACAAUUACCUGUUCGUCUAACUCGUGGUCAACCUCUAAAACACUAUGAACCCACUCUCACUACAAAAGCUAGGUACCCUGUUGCUAAUUAUGUGUCGACCCAUAGGUUGUCUAAACCGUAUGUUGCUUUUGUGAAUCAAUUAUCCUCUGUGUCUCUUCCUAGUAAAGUGCAGGAUGCAAUGAGAUGCGAAAAGUGGAUGCAGGCAAUAAUAGUCGAAAUGGAUGCACUUGAGAAGAAUCAUACGUGGGAAUUAGUACCAUUACCGCCCGGGAAGAAAACAGUUGGUUGUCGGUGGGUCUAUACGGUGAAGCACAAUUCAGAUGGAUCCGUUGACCGGUACAAGGCAAGAUUAGUGGCUAAAGGCUAUACUCAGAAGUAUGGGGUAGAUUAUGAUGAGACAUUUGCACCAGUAGCGAAAAUUAACACCAUACGGGUACUUCUUUCGUUAGCUGCUAAUCUUGAUUGGCCAUUGCAGCAAUUUGAUGUAAAGAAUGCAUUCCUACAUGGUGAUCUACAAGAAGAGGUUUAUAUGGAUUUGCCGCCGGGAUAUGGCACUUCUACGGGAGAGAGAGUGGUGUGUAAAUUGAAGAAAUCUCUCUAUGGGUUGAAACAGUCUCCUAGAGCUUGGUUUGGCCGGUUUACCAAGUUCAUGAAAAGAAUUGGGUAUUGGCAGAGUAAUUCAGACCAUACUUUGUUUCUUAAACAUCGGAGUGGUAAGGUGACUGCUCUCAUUAUUUACGUUGAUGACAUGGUUGUGACAGGUGAUGACUUGGAGGAGAUUCAACGGUUACAAAGUCAAUUAUCUUCUGAAUUUGAGAUGAAAGAUUUAGGAAAUUUGAAGUAUUUCUUGGGAAUUGAAGUUGCUCGUGGGAAAGAUUGUAUUGUGUUGAGUCAAAGGAAGUAUGUUUUAGACUUAUUGGCAGAGACAGGUAUGCUUGACUGUAAGCCAGCUGACACUCCUAUUGAGCAUAAUCAUCGGUUAGCAGAGUAUUAGGACCAAGUACCCACAAAUAAGGUGAGAUAUCAGCGGUUAGUUGGAAGAUUAAUUUAUUUGUCACAUACCAGACCUGAUCUAGCUUAUGCAGUUAGUGUGGUAAGCCAGUUUAUGCAUAAUCCCAGUGAGGUCCAUAUGGAAGCUGUAUUUCGUAUCUUACGGUAUUUGAAGUCUGCUCCUGGAAAAAGAUUAAUCUUUUCCAAACAUCGUCAUUUAGAUAUUUCUGGGUACACAGAUGCAGAUUGGGUAGGUAAUAUUACAGAUCGCAGGUCUACUUCGGGUUACUUCACAUUUGUUGGUGGUAAUUUAGUCACUUGAAAAAGCAAGAAACAAAACGUAGUGGCUCGUUCUAGUGCUGAAGCAAAAUAUAGAGGAAUGGCCCAAGGUCUUUGUGAGAUGUUGUGGUUGAGACACUUGUUGAGAGAUUUGGGAUUCCGACAGAAGAAGGUUAUGCCGCUUUAUUGUGAUAAUAAGGUUGCAAUUGAAAUUGCCCACAAUCCGGUUCAACAUGAUCGCAGAAAACAUGUGGAGGUCGAUUGACAUUUCAUUAAAGAGAAGUUAGAUGGCCAAAUCAUUUUCUUUCCUUUUGUACCUACUGAAGAACAGUUAGCUGAUAUCCUUACAAAGGCUCUCUCGAGUAAAGCCUUUCAUGACUCACUUGACAAGUUGGGCAUUUGUGAUCUUUAUGCACCAACUUAAGGGGGAGUGUUGGCGUGAGUCAUAUCCCUUAAUAUCAGGGAUUGUGAAUAUUUUGCUGUUAUUAUGAUAUUUUGUAUUAUUUCUUUGUAAUUAGUUUCCUAUUAGGUAUUGGUAUGUCUUGUAUAAAUAGUCCAUUCCUGGAGAACAUGAAUAGACAAAAUAACAGUUUAUCAAAUCCUCUGGUUCCUUUUGACUCAACUUCAUCUUCUCCUUCAUUCUUUUUUCAUGACGACGCUGGCGGUCCUUUUCCUUGUCUUGCUUGUCUGUCUUCUUCACCUCUUCCCUAAGCCUCUUAUGAAAUUGUUCUUUCUUGUCUGCAGCAAAAAUAAUGUAUGUAUCAGGACACUAAACCAAGCAGCUGCAAACACAUUCCGGUUCAUGCACAAACAUGUCGGAUUUAGUCAUCAUAUUCAGGCGAUUAAAACUUGAUCUAUAUUUAUUCUGUCUGAUCCAAUGAUAGAGUAAAGAACACUUUCGAUUCGUAAAACCCAACCUCAGUCAUGUAGAAGCUCAGACAUUCGAUUCAAUCGAUUGUAGUGGAAUCAACCAAAUAUUUCAGCGCACAUUUGGGUUUCAUUUUUUCAAAAUUCAGGAAUCUGUACGUACAUACCUUGAAGUCCAUCAAGAAUGCUGGGAUCACUGGGAGCAGCCAACCUUGCAAGUGGGUCCACCAAAUUACCGUCCUUAUCAAAGACACCCCUAGUUCCCGUAUGUUUAUCCAAGUUGAUCUUCUUCAACUUCUUUACUUUUCUUCAAAACCCAAGCAUAAUAGAGUUGCCGGCCUACCGGGAAAAAUGUACGUAGCACAGAAUAAUAGAGUGAAUUAAACAAGUGACCCAAGCAUCCAUUGAUAAUGCAUACAUAACUACAACUUCUGAAUGAAACUAUUUGCGUGGGCUAUAAUCAAUAUUUGCGUCUAUUACUAAACCUGUCCUACCUACAUCUGGGUGAAACUAUUUGCGCAGGUUAGAAUCAAUUGCAUCUAUUACUAGAAUAAUAAAAUCACCAAUAUCAAGCUCCUCUCUAGGAGUCUCUAAUGCAUUUUCCAUCUUAAAACUUUCUGGUUCAACAAUGGGAGACAGUUCCAAAGGUUUCUUGGAUUUCAUUUAUGGUUUGAAAUAGAAUCUUGGGGAUCAUUGGUAAACCCAUUGAUGCGGAAAACUUAUCAACUGGCAAUUGCAUCACGUUAAAAACUUCUUUGUCCUUGUGAUUUUGAAUAGACUUUGAAUACGUGAUAAAGGCCCUUUUGGCCAGACCUAGAAGUGUGUCAGGGACUCAGGGUACUUGACUAGCAAAACUGACAGGUUGCAGUCUCUUCUUGUUAGCCUGGGAAAGCAACAUAACAGCAAUUUUAGCAUGGUGAACGACUAGAAGGCGGGUGUUCUGAGGCAUGAUUAAUUACAGUGGCAGAGUUAACUUUUUACAAGAAACCGUUUGGAGUUUUACGUAUCAGUUUUUUUAUCAUUACUUUUCCUUUCAGAUUACCUACUAAUUGGUAAGUGGAACUACUCUUAUUCUCUUCUGAAGCAUUAAUAAUCUUCUAGUGUGUUGUAACUGAAGAAACCUCACAUAAUUACAGUGGAAGAUUCCAAUCAUGAAUGCAGUAUUAUAUAGUGUUCCACAUGAACUGCAUUAAUGUUGGAUGUCCUUUGUUACUUGUGUACAAAUUGUAUAGUUGCGUUUAUGGAACUACAGGGUAGUACGUACUGAUAUGCAGCAGGAAAGCUAAAAGGUCACUAAUACUAGAGGCUGGACAGAAGUAACGUACAGAUGCACAAGUGCACAGGAGUUUAAAGUUGAAGCUAGCUCCCAUACUUGAUUUCGAUGAGGUUUAUGUCAUUCAUUUAUUACCUUUUAUUCAUAAAAAUGUGUUUUAUUAUAUUUCAUGUGUUACAUAUAUCGUCAACAAAGCCGGUGAAGGAUACGUCAAUGUCUGCUGCGAUAAGCUACCAGAUAUGACUCUCACUUGGUCAAUUAUUUGGAUAUGUGUCCUUAAAUUUUGAAAGGUUGAAUCUACAUGCCGGGUUACUCUGUUGGAAAUGGAAUUAGUAAUUCUUCAUGUGGAUACUGGAUACAAUAUGGCUUGAAUUUAAACUGUUUUCAACUAUGAUAUUGAAUUUGGAAAUUUGAGUUCAGUUUAUGAUAUUGCUGAAGAUGAUAUAAUGAGAUGUAAAGUGAAUUUGGAUACCACGCUUGUGGAUUAUCUUAUAUGUGGGCCUAGAGUGUAGACCAUUAAUCCUUCUAUUUGAGUUGUUUGCAGAAGUAAUUGGUCCUUUUGCAGGUUAAAACAACAAGAGAAAAUUAUAUAAAAACCUAAAAUAUUAGACCUCUUUUAAGAUAAAUCUAUACAUUUUUUAUUUUUAUUUUACACCCACUUCACAUAAGCAAACAUACUAUAUAGAGCAAAUGUCUAUAAUUAAUAGUUUUUAUCAUUUUUCGGUUUCUCUAAUUUGCCCUUCAGACAGUAGAAAGUUAAAUUUGGUAUAUUUCUCAAUUUUAGCAUCAAUUUGAAACUUGAUGAAAUAUAAAGUGUAGAGAAAAAAAAGAUAAUAAGAUAAUCAUCAUCUUAUUCAUUGAUAGGAGCCAUUUAUAUAAGGAAUUACACAAUACCAAUAUGGUAAGGAUAAUGAAUACAUAGAUUUAGUCAAACUACAUAUCCUAUUGGCAUAAGGCCAAGACACACAUAAAGAAUAUCUAGAAAGAUACAGAAUAUCCUAGAACACUCCCCCUUGUGCCGUGCGCUGAUAUGCCGAUGGUGCUGAUCUGUUGCCUCGUUAAAAACCUCGUCAAGUCACAAAAACCCUGUGGGAGAAAAACUGAACCUUGAACGUAGGAGAAAAAGAGUACAACACACCUUUCACAUUUGAUAGUGACAUGUAUGCAUGUGCUAGACUUCCCCUGAAAUUCGCACCUCCCCCUGAUCUUUACAUCAAUCAUAGAGCUCUUCUUGAUUUUUACUAAUCACGGAAGUUUCAACAACUUAGCAUGUCAAUGCUCUUUAACAUGUCUUCAAAUGUGGCAUUAGGCAAUGAUUAUCCAGAUCAUGCCGUAUUGUCCUCAAACAUGAUCUUUUACACUUAGAUCUUGAGGAGAGGGCCGCUUGUGAACUCAAAACAUAAGUUCGUGCAGAAAAUCAGAUUUCCGCGCAGCAUGACCUUCAGUUACUAGAAUAGCCGUAACUUCCUCUACGAAAUACAUAUGAACGAACUAUAAACGGUUUUGGAAACUAGACUCAUAGAGCUUUCCAACCGUAUAUUACAUAUUUUCUGGUUCAUCAGGAUCUAUUCACAAAGUCCCGUCGAAGUUGACUGUUUUGCCAAAAUUAGAUUUUCGGACAGAUCCGUCCUACUUUACGAAAACGGCCAUAACUCACUCAACAUGAUAGGUAUGAUCAAAUGGUUGAUGUUCCUGGAAAGUAGAUACAUAGACCUUUCCAAUGAUACCAAUUUCACCAUUUUCCAGUGAGUAAUAUUUCCUAUAGGUCUUGUGGAAGUUGACCUAUGAAACUUGGUAGAUUCUGAUUUUGCUUUUGAUGUGUCUUUCUUAUGUAGGGAUAGAAUAAACCUCAACCUUUCAUACCAUUAAGUAUUAAAAAAGGAGUUACUGCCAUUACAUUGGUGUUGCGUGGGCGCGUAGCUAUACUUAGCUUUACAACUUUUCAUAGCGAAUGAGAUGUCAAGUCUUUCGUAUUGUGUUGAGUACAUUGAUGCGUCUUAUUGUACUUAGAUGGGAAUUUCAUCUCUUAACACAUAUUUGCCAUCUUUCUUAGACAAAACAAUGGAUCUCUCUUUAGAGUAAAGACUUUGACUAAUCAUACGAGUAUAUGUAGGCCUCACUAGUAAAGAGCGCCUAAGCUGAUUGAUGGAAAAUCAUCAUCAAUAUAGUUAUCGAGUGCCUUAUCGAGACGGUGUCUUCCCAAGAUCUUUUUCAUUCUAACUUUGGAUGUUGAUGAUACAUAUUGGCAUCUCUUGAUACAUAUUAACAUCUCUUGAUCCAUCAAGAGUCCAUGUAAAUCCGGAAUGAACACGCAAAGGCAUAAUUCAUCAUAUCCCUUCCAAAUCAAGUAGAGUCCAUGUGCGUUUCAAUACAUUUAGCAAACGCAUGCUCCUAUGGUUUGGAGCCACUUGAUUUGGAUGAAUGAAGUCCGUUUAAGACCUUCAUGUAUAUCUCUGAUCUCAUAGAGAUGUUAUUAUGACCACAUUCAUAGGCUGCAUGUUCAGUUAUUCGGAAACUACCAAACUGAAAAAGUAGUGGAGUUUAAUGACAUCCAUUACGAGAGCAUAUCUCAUCGUAAUCGAUCUCAGUGCGUGUUAGUGAGAGACCUUGCGUCAUAAGGUGAGUCUAAGCUCUUGUUCUCACUACGCUAUCUAACAAGGGUAUAGUUGAUAGAGUUUAGCUUGCGGUGUCGGCAUCACCUGCCCAAGGACCUAUCUCUUUUUUAAUGCUGGAUUGCAUCUUUCCAUUAGGCCAAUCAACUAAGUUGAUAUCCAUCAACGAAGGGUGGUUCGAUAGUAGACUCAUUAUCCCACAUCCUCAUGUACACUAGUGUAAUAAUUGUAGAGAUCUCUAUAUGGAUUGGAUUUGACAUUGAGGCGUCCCCCAACGAUAAUCACAAUUCAGACUUCAUGAGACAGAUUUGAGUAUCACUGAUCAAUGGAUCAGGUUGUGCCAAGCUCGCUUUCUUCCUAGUGCAAGAAAAUAUCAAACUUAAGGGCCUCCCUCUUUUUAGCUAGGGAGCCACACGGCCUUGUGACACCAAUUUUGCCACUAUAUGGCGUCACCAUAUCACCAUCUAUGGUGAUGGCGCCAAGACCAACUUUUGGUCGCCCCAUGUCCUCUUGAUAGGACAUCAAUCAUUGUAGAUAUAUUUGCAGCAUGUGAUCUCGUCACUUUAACACUUUAAGCAUUUAGGAUCAAGAUGAGACUUAGUGGGGACAAACCACAACAAUUCACAUCGUUCCACUUGAACACUUGUGUUCUUAUCUCCCCCUAACGGCGGGAAUAUUGUCUCAUCAAAGUGACAAUCCGCAAUUUAGCGGUGAAUGAGAUCGCCUAACAAGGUUUCUACAUAAGCAGAUUAGAGGUGGAAGUUCAUAUCCAACCAACCUAAGUACUUAUUCAUCUCAAAUGACCCAUCAUUAUACGCAGUGGCAAUGCAAUUUGGCACCUAGAAAUAACAUUUAGCCGAGCUCAAGGAUUGCAAUUUCGUGUCAAUCCUGGUACACAGUCACGAACAAUAUUGAAUGAUGGUGGGUCGUAGAUGAAUAGUAAAGUUGUAUUCAAAUAUUGCAUAGCCCCAAAACGCAAUAGAAAGAUUGGUGCGCAUCAAUAAUGUUCGAGCGACAUGCUAAAGUUGCUUGGUCGUAGCCUCGGUGAGACGGUAUUACGUGUGAACAUGGGGUACAAGACACUUCAACUUAUAUCCUCAUAAACUUCUUGAAAGAAUGGGUAGUGAGCCCGUAAAAGUCUAAGCAGCAUAAGCAGUAGAUAAUAGUGUAACACGUGACCAGUGUGUUAACACUUCAACCAACAUCAUAAAGCAUAAAAAGGUGUCCGCAAGUUGGUUGUAUCUAUCUACAUAGUUUGAUGUAAGAAUAGAAUAUUCUCUUUUGUGUCAUUUAGCGUAGGAGGGUCUCACUUCUAAUUUAGCUAAAGAAUAGGCUUUCAAAACGAGCAAUGAGCAUUGUAGGGGGCCAAUGCGACAUCGAGGGAAGACCGGUGCACCUCAAUUGCUUGAGGAAUUGACCGGACGGCCUCUAAGAAGUUGGAGUCGUAUUCAGGUGACGUCAGUGUCCCCCAGGUCACCACUGUGCUUCAUGGUGAUGCUAGAUCUCGAAUGUCUUCGUUUUGAGCGGAAGAAUGGAUGUCCAUGAGAAUUUCUCAAAAUUUGGACCAUCUCUUCUAGGAUGACUUAAAUGGUCAAACUAAAACCUAUAUGAGUCGGUGUCCCAAAUAUCUUGUUUGGUUGUUUGGCGACAACAUGUGAUUCGAUAUUCGAAUCCUAGUGACAUACAGUCCACUAGAUUGACUCAUGAAUUUCUCCAAGAUGCGGUUCAGUCCGCAUUCAUGAGAAGGUAUAGAAUUUUUUUUCAUUCUCACAAUGUGUUUUCAAAUGAAAACUAUUAGCAUGAAUAUCUUUAAAGCUCAACAUGGUUCGGUUGCCUCUCAAUGCAUAGAGGGCAUCUGUGACGUUGAUCAUGGUACCAUGAGACAUCAAGAUUCCAGCUAAACCGCGUCCCUUAAUGACCGGUAUGAUUCGAUUAUUGUAGUCACAAAAGAUUUACAAAGACACAAAAUCCAAAGAUAGUUGCCGGUUCCUUAGAAUGUUGUGGAUAGUUCCACUAUCUAUGAAGUACUCAAUAUCUUGAUGAGACAUAUCUACAAGAAGGAGUAGAUAGGCGAGUUAAUAGUUCCACUUGAACCAUUUAGAAGGAUUGAAAGAAGCUACGAAAAGCUGCAAUCCCGAGAGUGCAUAAAAAUUUCCGCGCAGAAUGACCUUUGCGCACUAAAACAGCCAUAACUUAUUCGUUAAAAUAGAUAUGGACAAACCGCGAAAAGUUCUGAAAACUAUACUUGUAGAGCUUUCCAAUGAUAUAAAGCUCACUGUCUGGUUCAUCUGGAUCUGUUCACAAAGCUCAAACGAAGUUGACUAUCAAGAAGGAACAGAUUGCUGUUUUUCACAGAAUUGGUAUGUGCGAAGCUGUGAAGCUUGCAAGUGGCGUGUAGGCUUUUGCCUUAGCCAAAAGUGACGUGUGUAUGAUCAAAACCAAGUCCUUUCGGUCGUUCUAAGGUUGUAAACUCCAUGACUAGUUAGCAAAAGCUCCUUGACAUGAACAUAAACUAACUCAGAGGACCUAGAGGAUUUGAUCAUGAUGAUAAUUUUCCGGUUUCGAUAAGUCUUCAACAUCUUUUGCAAAACGGCAAUUGGUUCAAUAGCGUAGGGGGAUCCAAAAUCAAAAGCUUUCAGUAACUAAAAGUCAGUAUGACCACGCAUGUCCGUGGAGGGUCGGUAGUGCAAGGCACACUUGAAACCACUAUCUCCUUAAUUUUGGACAAUUCUAAGACAUUACACUGAGCUUGGAUGAGCCUAGUUGAACAAUUGAUGAUGGAAAAUCCGCUAAAGGGUAGAAGACUUAACCGGAAACACGUUAGCGAUCCUUUUUGAGGAUGUAAGGCCGUGCGUCAUCUUCACUUGGAAGAGACCAAAACGGCACAAUCUAACCAUGUAGAUUGUAAAUAUGCCAUGCUUCUAAGGACGAUGUAAAAAUACACAUCUUGUUUGUAAAUCAAUACAAACCAUAAGAGGAUAAUAGUUUCAUAACUUCGAAAAAAUUCUCAAGGCAUUCAUUAUUGCUAAUGUGAGUACAUCGAGGUCUCAAAUGGACGAAGGGUACAUCGAGGUCUCAAAUGGACGAAGGACGUUGAUACAACGCCUUAGUACACGUAGCUUGGAACGAAAAUCAAUGUCUAGCCGAUGACGUCAAAGUCAUGGGUAGCUAGCUAGAGCAGGAUCCGAAUCUUUGAAAUUCGCGAUCAUGAGGAUGACGUUCUUGUCCUCAUAUUGAUUUUCCCUACCUUUUUUUAUGCAUUCACAAUUUGAAGGAGCUUGACAAUCUUGAACCAGUGAUCUAAAGAUCCACAACGGUUGCAUUGUCAUGAGCUAACGUGAGUAGUUUUGACAAAAUGGUGUCUAGACCGGGAGUGUCGCUAUUAGAGCUGGCGACACCUCCCCCUCUUUUCUAGACAUCGGCACGACGUUUUCUGCCAUUACCAUGACCCAUAUUGUUGUCCCCACAUUAGAGAUAAUCCCAGAUAAGUUUAUCACAUUAGCGUAUAUACAAUUCCCGUUUGUAUGAUCAAAAUCAAGUCUCCUUGGUAAUUCCAAACCAACUUGGAGGACCUAGAGAACUUGAUGAUGAUUGAAUCCGCUAAAGAUUAUAGAUCAUGAUGCCACAAAAGAUCAUCGACAAUAUAUAGUCAAUUAAGGUGGUAAGCAAUCCACUUGACUAAUAACUCAAUAAGUAUGAGUUAUAUGAACGUUUCGAAAAACGCUCCAUGAGUGCAUUCCACAAUACUUUGUGGUCAUUACUUUUUGCACAGAUUGCCAUUGAAGGUUUUUAUCGAUGUGGCGCUUCAAAGACUUUAAGCGCAUGAGAUGUGAAAUCUCUGCAUCUAGACUUGUUAGCUUGUUGGUCAAAACAUGUGGUUUAAUCAUUUCCAAUGAAAGGUUCCACAGAUACCAAGCGAAGAUCCACCUUAGGCAUCUAGUACGUCAAAACUCAAAUCUAGUACGUCAAAACUCAAAGGAGCAGAAUGUUACAUUGCUUUUGCAUACAAAACUAAGCUGUUAUGAGACUCGAUAUAGGUCACAAACAAUGCUUUUAAUGGUUUGUCCUUCAGAUUGAUCACACACAAUCCGAAAGAGCCGCGAAUUGAUCAAACACAAUUCAGAAAAAGGCCUCGGAUUGAUCAAACACAAUUCGGUGAUAGGUCGGGGUUGAUCAUACACAACCCGGACAAGAAAACAAGAGUGAUCAAACACACUCUUGACCCGCGACUAAAAUUUCAGGAUUUUUGGUACCUGCACACACAAAAUCCCAACCAUAGAAUGGAGAUGGAGAAGGGAGAAACGAUUUUAUCCCCCCGAGUUAUUCCAAAGUAAAUAACUGUAAUAUUAAAGCUUACUUGCUAGUUUGCCAAAUAAACUGCGUUUAUAGGAGCUCUGAUGAGGUUGAGUCGAUUGCACGCUUCGACCGAGGGUUGGGAACCUUUCUGGCUUUCCUUGGAAGAUGAGCAAUCUUGAAAUCUUUGGUUUCUAGAAGCUGCCGAGAGGAGCAACAACGUUUCGCCUACUUCUACUUCGAAUUUGGGGCUGAAAACUUGACAGGAGGAGCAGCUCUAGAUGGGGAAGCUGCUGUCAAAAAUUCAGGUUGAUCGAAGCAAGGGAAGGUGGUGAACCGGUAGUCGGUAAUGGCGGCGUUCUGGAAUCUUCAGACGACCGGUUCGGAGACUUUCCGGCCGGUUCUCAGGGUGAGGCUGGCGGCGUUGGAUCCGGGAUGGAGAGAGCUUUCUGGGGAUAUAAAAUUACAGCCUAGGACAGUCAAAAUUUUGGUCGGAAAUGGGGAAAAACAAGGCUGCCCGAUUUUAGGGUUUUAGAAAACAAAUGGUGGGCUAUUGGCUCUAGGGUUAGAACAAAGUGUCUGGUAACGUGAUAAAGUAUAAAGUGUAGAGAAAGAGAGAUAGCAAGAGAAUCAUCAUCUUAUUCAUUAAUAGGGAAUUACACAAUACCAAUAUGGUAAGGAUAAUGAAUACAUAGAUCUAGUCAAACUACAUAUUUUAUUGGCAUAAGGCUAAAACAUACAUAAAGAAUAUAUAGAAGGAUACAGAAUAUCUUAGAACAAAACUCAAAUACUAGCUAAAAUUUAGUUGGAUUUAAGUUUGUCAUAAUCAAUUACAUUCUUUAAUUUCUUACCUUGUUAUUACUAACUUGAGUGUAUAAAUAUAUAUAUAUAUAUAUAUAUAUUUAUAUAUGCUAUAUACAAAAGUAUGUCAUUUGUAAUAGGAUGAUACUUUUCAUUCCUAAACUCACAUUUGGUGUUUCUCUACAUAGUCGAAAAAUGUCUAAUUGUAAGGUACAUGUUCUUGUUCUUUGACUAAUUUUAUUCUUUUUAGGUAUAUUAUUAUAUCAUUUCUCAUCCUAAUCGAGAGAACAUCUCUCUACUACUUACGUUUCUAAUAUACUUAUUAAGUAUGGCAUGAUAUGAUAAUAUACCUAAAAAGAAGAAACCCAAAAUUGGGUUUAGGGUAUAGGGUUAAGGUAUAGGGUUUAGGGCAUAGUGUUAGGGUAUAGGUUCAGGGUUUAGGGUAUAGGGUAUAGGGUUUAGGGUUUAGGGUGUAGGGUGUAGGGUAUAGGAUUUAGGUUUUAGGGUAUAGGGUUCAGAUCAGAUAUCUUAUUCAUAUAAUAUUUUACCUUAUGUAUAGAUUAGAAAAUGAAUUCCUUUAACUACAUGAUUCUUGCAAAUUGAUUGAAAAAUGUUAGUGUUAGAAAAAAAAACUCAUAAUCAAGGUAUUUAAGACGGCAUCAAUUAAGCUUAUUUAUUAUAUUAAUAUGUUAUAGUUGAAUGGUGGCAAUUAUAUUUAUCAUAAUUGAUACAUUUUAGAUGUCUAUCAGAUAUGAAUAUUAGGUGGGUUUUAUUUAAAACCACUCUUCAAAAUUGGGUGUAUAUGAAAAUUUCUCAAACAACAAUGAAUGAAGAAAGUGAAGCUAUAUCCUUUUGUUUCUUUUGCUGAUGUGUUGCACAUAUGCAUAUUAAUUCUAUUUCUUAAGUUAAUUAAAGUCUGUGAUCAGUAAUGCAAUGCUAGCAUUGAGGAUAUGUUGGCAUGAGUUAUACCAUAUAAUAUUAGGAUUGUGAAUAUUGUGUUAUUAUUAGGAAUAUCUUGUCAUAGUUAGUUUCCUAAUAGGUUUUGAUAUCUCUUGUAUAUAUACUCCGUUCUUGGAGAAUGUGAAUAUAUCGCAAAAUUCAUAAUUCCUUUCCUUUUGACUCUUAGACCUCGAGUACUUGCAAACAAGCCAGUUGACUGACAAGAGCGACGUCUAUAGCUUUGGGGUUGUUCUUGUGGAGCUACUAACAGGAAAGAAGGAGCUUUCGUUCGACAAGCCAAAGGAAGAGAGAAAUCUAGCUAUGUGUUUUCUCUCUGCGCUGAAAGAAAAUCGCUUGGUACAAGUGGUUGGUGAGAGUAUUCUGAAUGGGGCAAAUGAUGAGCAGCUCAAGGAAGUUUCCAACCUCGCAAAGAUGUGUUUGAGAGUAAAGGAGAAGAAAGACCAACCAUGAUGGAAGUAGCAAGCGAGCUUGAGGGACUGAGAAGGAGGGUAAUGCACCAUCCAUGGAUUAAUGAUGAUCAAUACAAUGCAGAGGAGAAUGAGAACUUGCUUGGUGAAAUAUCACUGCAAACGUUUAGCCAUGGAGGUGGUGGCGAUACGAGUUCUGGGUAUGAUACCAUGAAGAACCACAUCAUAUUACCAGUAAAUGAUGGGAGAUAAUUGUGUGAUUGUUUUACUAGGCCUGCUGAGUCUGUUCAAUCAAAAUGCUUGUGAAGUAUUAGCCAAAAAGCAAUGCCAGGAUAGGAAGUGUUUCAAUCAAAGAUAAUUUACACGUUAAUGUAUUUUGUUCUGUGUAUAGUUCAUGAAUCACCCGAGGUAUUUUCUAAUUCUUCUUCUAUGUCUACUAAUGUGCCUACCAAACAAUUGCCUAACCGUGUCACUCGUGGUCAGCUUUCAAAACAUUAUGAACCUACUCUAAGUGCAAAAGCUUGGUACCCUGUUGCUAAUUAUGUGUCCGCCCAUAAGUUGUCUAAACCAUAUGUUGCGUUUGUGAAUCAAUUAUCUAGUGUGUCUCUCCCUAAUAAAGUGCAGGAUGCAAUGCGGGAUGAAAGAUGGAUGCAGGCAAUGAAAGUUGAGAUGGAUGCUCUUAAGAAAAAUUGUACAUGGGAGUUAGUGCCAUUACCACCCGGGAAGAAGCUGGUUGGAUGUUGGUGGGUCUAUAUUGUGAAACAUAAUUCUGAUGGUUUGGUGGACAGGUACAAGGUGAGGUUAGUAGCGAAAGGCUACACUCAGAAGUAUGGGGUGUAUUAUGAUGAGAUGUUUGCACCAGUAGACAAAAUUAAUACAAUACGAGUACUUCUUUCGUUAGCCGCCAACCUUGAUUGGCAGUUGCAACAAUUUGAUGUUAAGAAUGCUUUCUUGCAUGGUGAUUUGCAUGAAGAAAUCUAUAUGGAUUUGCCUCCUGGGUAUUGUACUUUAACUGGAGAGCAAGUAGUGUGCAAGCUAAAGAAGUCCCUUUAUGGUCUAAAGCAGUCACCUAGAGCAUGGUUCAAAUGUUUUUCUAAGUUCAUGAAGAGGAUUGGAUACCGGCAAAGUAAUUCAAAUCACACUUUGUUUCUUAAACACCGGUGUGGUAAGGUGACGGCUUUAAUUAUUUAUGUAGAUGAUAUGGUUGUGACAUGUGAUGAUAGUGAGGAAAUUCAGAGGUUACAAGAUUUGUUGUCUUUUGAAUUUGAGAUGAAGGAUUUGGGUAGUUUAAAGUAUUUAUUGGGAUUUGAAGUUGCUCGUGGGAAGGAUUGUAUUGUGCUGAGUCAAAGGAAGUAUGUCCUAGAUUUGUUAGCAGAAACGGGUAUGCUUGAUUGUAAACCAGUUGAUACUCCCAUUGAACAAAAUCAUUGGUUAACAGAGUAUUUGGAUCAAGUGCCUACAAAUAAGGCGCGAUAUCAGAGGUUAGUUAACCGGUUGAUUUAUUUGUCUCACACCAGACCAGAUUUAGCUUAUGCAGUUAGUGUGGUGAGUCAGUUUAUGCAUAAUCCUAGUGAGGCUCAUAUGGAAGUUGUAUUUCGUAUUUUGAAGUAUUUGAAGUCUGCUCCAGGGAAGGGAUUAAUUUUUUCAAAACACAGGCACUUGGAUGUUUCUGAGUACACAGACGUAGACUGGGUAGGUAAUAUUAUAGAUCGCAGGUCUACUUCAAGCUACUUCACUUUCGUUGGUGGUAAUUUGGUUACUUGGAAAAGUAAGAAGCAAAAUGUGGUAGCUCGUUCUAGUGCUGAAGCAGAAUAUAGAGGAAUGGCUCGAGGACUUUGUGAGAUGUUGUGGUUGAGACACUUGUUAAGAGAUUUGGGAUUUCGGCAGAAGAAGGCUAUGCCGCUUUAUUGUGAUAAUAAGGCUGCUAUUGAAAUUGCUCAUAAUCCUGUUCAACAUGAUCGCACAAAACAUGUGGAGGUAGAUCGACAUUUCAUUAAAGAGAAGUUGGAUGGUCAAAUUACUUUCUUUCCUUUUGUCCCUACGAAAGAACAAUUGGCUGAUAUCCUUACAAAAGCUCUCUCAAGUAAAGCCUUUCAUGACUUUCUUGACAAGUUGGGCAUUGGUGAUUUGUAUGCGCCAACACUACGCCAGAUAAUGCAUCACACGACGGGGAAAAAACGUCGUCUGUUAAACGUCAAAUCCGUUGUUAGGGUUUAGGGUAUUUUAGGGGUUAGAGGUUACGAAACAUACAACAUAAUAUCGAAAACAAUUGUGUGAUAUACCUUCACACAACAUUUCUUAGUUGAUUGUUGUGGGAUGAAGAACUUAAAGUAGUAUUGCCAAAUGUAAGAGAAGGGCUUCAUCAUGACACGAAAAUACAUUAUACAACCAAAACUGAAAAGUCGUUGUGUGAUUGUUGAAAAUACUAUACUCUCACACAACAGGUUUGAGUGUUCCGUUGUUACAUCAAAACCACCAAGGCUAUCCUUCACAAAAAAUUUAGGUUUUCAGAGGAUGUAAGAGCAAUUUUAAAACUAGAAGUCUGUGGCCUGGCAUGAGAGAUACAUCGUACAACAUAUGUAUAAAAAGUAUUGUGUGAUAGUUUAAAUUGUAUACAUUCACACAAUAUUUAUUUGUUUCACUGUUGUGUAACAACACCCAGUUAUAUGUCAAACUAGAGUGGGGUUAGAAGCAAAAUGGGCCUCAUUUUUAUCUUCAUUCAGACAACAAAAUAUUGUCCAAAGUGUUAUACUAGUUUAAGGAAAAAAAAUUGGAAUGAUCUCAGACUAUCCACACAACGGAUGAAUGUUUCUGAACGUUGUAUGAAACAUUUUUGAAAUUUGUACAACUAUGCUAUUGUGUACCGUUGUGUGAAAAGUGUCGUUUGUUGCACUUAUUGGCGUAGUGCAACUUAAGGGGGAGUGUUGGCGUGAGUCAUACCAGAUUAUAUUAGGAUUGUGAAUAUUGUGUUAUUAUUAGGAAUAUCUUGUCAUAGUUAGUUUCUUAAUAGGUUUUGAUAUCUCUUGUAUAUAUACUCCGUUCUUGGAGAAUGUGAAUAUAUCGCAAAAUUCAUAAUUCCUUGGUUCCUUUUGACUGGAUACAGGUAUGUGUUGUGGAAUUUUCUGGAGUUUGUGAUAAACACAUAUACUGCUUUGGUGAGUACAAGUCCUCUUCUCGUUUGAUUAUUUACUUGCAUUUGAGUGAUUGGUCAUAUUGAUUCCAACUGACUUGUGAUUCUUAAUUCUAUAAGUUGUUUUGAGAUGGAUUAUCUCAUCAAAGAAACUGAUUUAUCCUACUGGUAGGUUUGUUUAAAUAACAUGUUAUGGUUUGUUAUAUAUUAUCUCCAUCUUAGAAGUUAUCAUGACUUAGCCUGGUAGACGCAUUGUGUUAUUCAGAGUGCUAUAUACUUUGCACAUUUUCGGUUGUUGCCUUGUACUCAACCAACCAUAUUUGCCUUGAAUGAUGUUUACAGGUUACUUGGUGUCUAUAUCGUUUCGUGCGGAGUGAUGGUGAUUUUUUCGCUUGGUGCGGAAUGAUGGUCAUUACCUUUACCGCUUUAUGCAGGGAUUAAUACGCCUUACCAUAGGGUGUAGGGAUAAGUAAGUAGGGAUUGUGUCUCUCUUGGGUGAAAAACCCUAAACAUGAUUGGGGCUCGAGAUGUUUGAGCGGAUAAUAAAGUAAGGAUUGUGCCUCCCUAGAGUGAAAUACCCUAAACCUGAUUGGGGCUCGAGGUGUUUGAGCGGAUAAUAAAGUAGGGAUUGUGCCUCCCUAGGGUGAAAUACCCAAAACUCAAUCGGGAUGCCGUGGUUGGCGACGGAUUACCACCUAGUGUGGGAUUUUAUGACUGAGUGUCGGGUUUUACCGCCGAGUGUGGGGUUUACCACCAAGUGUGGACAACUGAGUGUUGGGUUUUACCACUGAGUGCGGGGUUUACCGCUAAGUGUGGGGUUUUACCGCCGAUCGAGUGUGGGGUUUAGCUCCGUGUGUGGGAUUUUACGGCCGAGUGCCGGGUUCUACUGCCGAGUGCGAGGUUUACCACCGAGUGUGGACGGCUGAGUGCUGGGUUUUACCAUCGAGUGUUGGGUUCACCGCUAAGUGCGGGGUUUUACCGCCGAUCGAGUGUGGGGUUUAGCUCUGUGUGUGGGAUUUUACGGCCGAGUGCCGGGUUCUACCGCCGAGUGCGGGGUUUAACACCUAAUGUGAGGUUUUACGGCCGAGUGUCGGUUUUACUGUUGUCAUAAUUAUGGAUAGCUUUGAACGAAUAACAGUUUGGGUCGACAAAUGCCAAAUAUCGAGGACGAAUUUUUUUUUAAGGGGGUGAGAUUGUGAUACUCCAAUAAUUUAGCAACUCAUUUUAUUUUGGUAAAUGUAUACGUGGGUUUUACUAAAGUUAUAUCGAGAUGGGGUUAGCUGAGAUCUAAUUUUCGUUGGCUUGGUAAUUGCUCGCGAGUAUUUAUUUUCAGAUACUUUUGUUUACCAAGAUUUAUGUAUAAUGCAUGUGUAUAUGUAUAUACACUGUCUCAAACUUAGUUAAUGUAGCUCGAUAAUAAAAUAAAAUAAUAAUAAUAAAGAAAGAAAUAAGGAAGGCAAGAUCAAGACGGAUGGGAAAAAAAAAGAGAAGAGAGGAGAAGUCGAGAGACUUUGGGAACGAAAAUAAAGGAGAAGAAGCCUGAAGCUUCUGGCAUCACUCAUCUCACCGACCUUCCUAAGUCAGUCUACCUUUUGUUUAAUCUCACUAACCCGGGGAGAGAGGGGAGACAACUUUCCUCCUAGUCCGACCACAAAUUGAUGGCGGACUCUCGACACUUAUAUGGAGUUUUUGAAAGACAUCACAACAUAAACCGGUUUCAAGUGAGAAGAGUUCUAUUUUUUGUAAGUUAUCGAUUUACAGAUAUUGAAUUCCUGAAGGUAAGUUUUAAAAUCUAAAUUGAAGUUCUGUGCGAUGGAAAAUUGAGGUACUGAGUUGUAUUCAAGGAAGAAAAUAUUGGUGAUCAUGGAUAUAUCGACCAUCUGAAAAAUGGAAAUUUCAGAAAAUAUCGAUAUGGACGAAAAUAAACUAUUGGAAUUUGCAUAAAAACAUACGCCCAUGUAAAGUAAAACUUUAUGGUAUGUUUAUUUGAUCAAUUAUUUACUCUAUAAGCAUGUAUAUUACAUAAUACAUUAGUACUAUAUAAGGUGAAUUAGUGUGUGUAUAAAUAGUUGAAAUUUUGUUUUAUUGGCAUUAUAUGUAUUUGUAUUUUAAAUAAGAUGAGAAUUCUCUAAUCUUGAUACUUUACUAAUCUGAUUAACUACAAUAAAUGAUAUAUUGAAUUUAAAAUAAAAAGAUUGAAACAAAUAAAAUAGAAAAGGAAAAUGUGAAGACAAGGUGUAAAAAACAAAGUAAUUCUAAUACUAAAAGUAGCAUAACAUAACCAAAACCCAGUCCAGUGAAGUUGGUAGGGGUGCGUGUCUUCUUUUUGGGAGGUUUCAGGUUCGAAACCUAUCGCAAGCAGCACAAAUGUUUGAAUAUAAUUCUGGAAUAUCGCGAAAUUUCGAAAAUUUCUCACGAGAAAUAAUGGGAGGCUGAGAUAGUUUCGUUGGUCCAAAAAAAGGAUAAAUUUGCCGAAAUAUCGGCAAAAAUAUCAAUAUUUUCUUCCUUGGUUGUAUUUCUUGAAUUAAAUUUGGGUCUGGGUAUUACAAAAGUCGGCUGUGCUAGUCACCUACUAUGGACCCACAAUAGCACCACAACCCACUUCUUAUGUGUUCACGAGUUUCAGUGCCACAUGUGUUCAGAAAAUUCUAGUAUGCAGCACGGCAUGCUAUGCCGAUUCCACUAGAAGCCAAAUUAGCAUAGGUUAUCAAGAGUGCCGAUUCCACUAGAAGCCAAAUUAGCAUAGGUCAUCAAGAGCUUUAUCAGAAAACACAACUGGGAAACCUUCCCAACCAGUUUUUACUUUUUUUUGUUUUCUAUUUUUACAUCUAGUAAAAUCAAAAAUUUGACGGAGCAUGGUGGGCCUAUAAGUUUGAAUUUGUUUAUUUACCAUAAUGCAAAUAUAGAUAUAUCCUCUUUACUCAAAGGUAAACAGUUAAUUUUUCAUCAUUGGAGAAUAUAUUGCUACAAGAUUAGAAUAUUUAGCAGAAGCUAAACAAUCAUAUAAAGAAUUGCAAGAAGAAAGAGAAAAAUUUAGAAAACUAAAAGAAAGGAGAGAUAAGCUCCCUAGAAGUACCAAAAAUUACUGGGAGAUUAUUUUUCAGUUACAAAGAAGGAUAUACGAAUCAAGAGAAGAGAUUGAAGUUCUUCAAGAAACUUUUGAACAAGACCAAAAACCUCUUGAUAUUUUGAGCAUCGGUUAGAUCUGCCCUAGCUGAUAUCAGAGCCUACUUGGCUCAAAAGCAGGUGAGAAAAGGCUUAUGCCACAAAGUUGGCUUCUCUUGACAAACAAGAGAGAAUCCAAACUUAAAAAUUAUCAGUCAUAUUGUAUUGCAAAAGGAACUGAUAAGUGGGAAGUGUGCUUUCAUACAAGGCAUAUUUAAGAAAAUUGAUAGGUGCAUUCUAUGCAACGUUCUUAAUGUAUUUCCGACCCUAUUUAGUUAUGUAAUUCCUUUAACAAUAUUGAUUUUAACUUAGUUUGUGUUUUUAGGUCACAAAUAAAGCCGAGGAGCACAAAAGAGGCAAAAGAGGAGAAAUCUUGAAGGAAAAGGAAUCCAUACGGCGCAAAGAAAGAAAUCAGAAAAUCUGCCAGGAAUAGUCAGUCAACUUCGACAGAGAAUUGUGAUCAGCUCACAAUGAUCCAGGAGAUGAACUUUAUAUCAGCAGAAAGCUAGAAGAGUCUAGUUUUCAUAACUUUUCGCAGAUCGUCAAUAGCUAUUUUGGUGACCAAGUUAUGACCGUUUGAGUGACCAAAGGUCAGUCUGCCCGAAUUUCUGAUUUGGACCGGAACUUCAAUUUCAAGGCCCAGACCACAACGGCGAGCCCAUGGACGAAAAUUAAAGGUUCUCUAACCCUAAUAGCAGCUGUUCAUAUGUUCUCUAUAUGUAUGAGGAGUUGGAGACGUGAAAGGGUCGCUCUUGGCCGCAGAAAAACAACGUCUUUCAUCUCCUUCAGAAAUUCUUCUCCAAACACAAAACCCUAGUUUUAGGAUUUCUCUUGCCGUGCCUUCUCCUCUGUAAUUCUCGGCGUAGUUCCUUGUUUCAAUACUCAAAGUGUAAUCUAAACUCAGACCUCAUUGUUUUCUUUAUUAUCUAUUCAAUUACUUUAGUUUGUUUCCAUCUCUCUUAUUCGUUUGUGUUCAUGAGUUGGAUUUUUUGAUUGAGUUUGUUCUUAUAAUCAUGAAAAAUCAGAUCUGUACACUUGAGUUGUUGGUGUAAUUGAUGAUGCUUUUGAUGAUCUAAAUUAUGUUUAUAUGUGUGAUUGACAACUUAUGACUUGUUCUUAAUCAAUAUGUGCCAUUGUUUGUGUUAAGUCCGCGUCGGUAAACAUGAACUAGAAUGGUAAGGAGUUAUAGGUUGCAUGCUAGGAUGUCUUUGAAGUCCGCAUCGGUGAAUUACAUUCUAACAUGUUCAAGUUCUUCCUUUGAUCUAUUUUGGAUAUGAAGUCCGCGUCGGUACAUAUCUAUGAGAGGUUAGAAGGGUUUUAAGUAGUUAAGUCCGCGUCGGUAAAUUACUUGAAACAUGGAAUUUGAUUCGUUUCUCCAUAUGCAUGAUUUAGGUUGUUAGGGUUGAAAUUACAUAGCUACUUGAUUAUAUGAAUCUGAUUUAGUGUUUUCUUGUGUGCAAAGAGACGAUCACAUGUAUAUAGUAGCUUAGGUUUUUGUUUCUUUUUAGUUUAGGAUUUUCGUCACUCUUCUGUUCUCUGUUUUCUUUUAUUUUAUUUUCGUAUCAAACGAUCUCCGAAUCCCCUGAAAAUUUGUACAGUAGUUCCUCUGUGUGUCUAGUAGAUCUCUGUAAAUUUUCAUAUUUUUCUGAGUAGUUUAGGUUAGGUUUUUAAUUAGGUUUUCGACUGCUGUUCUAUGGAACAGUAGCUACUUUUGUAAAUUGUUUAAAUGUUUUAUUACUUGUUAAUAUUUGUUGUGUUUUUCUAACGUUUUGUUUUGCAAGGUACCCUCAAUCCCCGGCCCUAUACGAUACCCUACUUACUCAAUGCUACUAACGAUAAAAAGGGUUUAUUUGAUGCAGGUUUUGCACCCGUCAAAAAUCAAUACUCCAUUGAAUACGUUUGUAGAGUAUUAAAUACUAUCUACGACGAACAUAUUCAUCUCCAAAGAGAGAUCGGAGUAGAAGAGUUUGAUCCAUCAAGACCAAGUUUAAUCGAGUUCUUAGAUCAUUUAUCUAGGGAUAAGACCUCUGAAAAGAUUACAGAACAACUCGAGAGAUUUAAUCUAAGGAUUAAUCAACUUGAGGAAAUAAAUUCAAAAAUUGCUAGGCUUGAAAUCAUGCUAGAUUAUCUCAGAGAAAAACAAUAUCUAAUAGAUAUUAAAAGGAAAUUAGUUCGCACUGAGAAUCUUGCAAACAACAUUCAUCAACAAGCUGCAGAACUAAGAGAUACUCAAGAAAAUUUGAAAAAGCUUUUAGAAACUCUUAUCUCUAGAAUAUGAUGAAUCAGAGAGUAGACCUAAAAGUAAAACAGGAAGAUGUUAAAGCUAUUGGCUUUCAUCGUCCUACAGAAAAACUUGCUGAAAAUGUAGAAGCAAUAAUUCAUCAGCAGAAUUAUAAUAUCGCCGACCUCCAAGAGAUAGGUACUGACCUCGAAGCACAAUUUCGAGAAUUACAUAACAGGAUUUCAAAUCUACAAAAGAUUGUAGAAAAGAUGAAGGAAUGAGAAAGUUAUGAAAGAAUUAAUGAAGAAACACUAGCUCAAAACGUAGCUAGUAAAAUUAACAUACCUACUCCAUCCUCACCAAUGGGAGAAAGUAGACUAAGGUUUAGUGAACCUAAGCUACUUGAAUGGAAAACAUCAUCGAAAAAAUCUACAACAAAGAGAGAUAUGAAGAUGUUGAGUAGAAUUCUCAGUAAAAAGAACAUUGUUCCAGCACAGUUAAUAAAUGCUCAAGAAUUUGAGUAUAAUGAAAUCGAAUCUAAUGUGAGAGAAGCAUCUGCUCCUAAAUUUAAAUUCAACGAGAUCUAUAAGAAAGGAUCUUUCAUUAUGGAUUCUCAUAGAUUCAAGAUUCUUGAAUUAAUUGUUCCAGCCACAGGUGGAGAAACAGAUAUCAGAUUAAUAACUCCAAAGGAAGUAAAUGAAGCUUCCCAGAAAAAAUAUUCCUAUAUGCAUAUUGGAGCCGUCCAAAUAGGAAUAAAACUCUUAGCCAGAUACGGAAUUGACUGUUCUGUUCUAUGUGUCUUUCAAGACGAUAAAAUAACAUAUUUCAAGAAAAGUCUGUUAGGAACAGUAGAACCUUCCUUGUGCAACCAAGUUGCAUAUUUCAAUGUGUUUCCAAACUUCACAACACAUCUCAGAGAUGCUGCUCACUGUCUAAGAUUAAGAAUUAAGACAUAUGAGAUUUUUAUGAAAAAGGGAAUGAUGGAACUUGCGAUAGAUUACAGAAUCUAUUAUAAGUUGAUGAGCUCAAAUGUAACUCCCAAUACCAGAUUUUUAAAUAGCCCUAGGCUUACUACAUCCGUUCUCACCAACCCGAAAAAUAAUUCCCAGCAGAAACAUGUCACUAAAUGGCAUGAUGUAACAUUCCCAAGAGAAUGGAAUUUGACCCCUCCUGUUAAACAGCUUGAAAGUACCAAUGCUUCAAUUUAUGAAGACAUGGGAGGAAAAAUAAGCUUACAAUUUCAUAGGCAUUCAUUUGCUAAUUAUGAAGAAGCUAGUUCCUCUGAAACUAAGUCAAUUUUUCAUGAAGAAGCCUUUGAGGAAGAAGAUACUAAAAGACCUAUGAAAAUGCUUAGAGCAAGAGCAAGAGAAUUAAAAGGAUUGUAUGCACGAGCUGAAACUUGUGAAUCCAUAGAAGAAUUAGAGAAAAUCAUGAAAGAAAUUUCUCAAAUUCAACUUGGAAAAAAUAAGAGGAAGAUUCUUCUUUAUCAAGCAGCAAAAGAAGAACCAUCAAGUUCAUCUUCCAUGGAUACAGAAGAUGGUGAAAGACAGACACCUCUAGAAGGUGGUCACACCUUAGUACAAAAUAUUACAAACAAUCCUACCAAGAUCAUUCUAGAAAAGAAUAUCAAGCUUCCAAAAGGACAAGCUCCUACAAGAAAGUAUGGAGAACGAAGUUCUCAGAAGUAUAUCCUUAUCGAACCCAAAUGAGGACAGUCAGUGUCCGAAAGAGGGGUUUAUUUGGAUCUAGACCAGGUAGGAGAUAAAAGAAAGACAAUAGAUAACUGGGUAGCUAGUUUAAAGUUGACUCAGGCUCUAGUGUUAUCAAAGUAUGCCUACGAAGAUGCUCAUGCAUAUUAUGAGUCAACCUUAACUGGAAUAGUCCAGAAAUGGUACCAGUCCUUUAAGAGAAGUUCUAAAUGGGCUGAUUGGGCAGUUAAGUUAGCUCAGACUAACAGUCCUUUAGAUUUUGCAGUGUCAAUCUAUGCACAAUUUUAUGGAGAUAUCACUGGACAUAGCGAGCAAUCUAAAGAACGAGCUAAAUCAAAUAUUCAUAAAUUGAGUAUUUGCAACAUGAGAUAUUUUGAGGAAUACACCAAUGAGUUCCAAAACUACUACUACACUAUUGGAGAUAUUGAGAAUGAUGAUCUCAUCAGAACAUAUUAUAGGAAGUUGCCAGAACCCUGGAAUGACACAGUAGCACAAUCAUUGGAAGAAAACCCUCUUCAGUAUUUUACUGAACGAGGAAUAGCAGAAAGAGUUAGGGAUCUCCUAAGAAAACAAUGCACAAAGAACAAAAAGUCCAAAACUGCAAAGAAGCAACUCAGAGGAAUUGAGAAUAUGUGUCUAAAGAUAUUGGACACUCCAACACAAUGGGGAUGUCAUAUUCCUAAAGAAAGAAAAUACAAAAACAAGUUUUCUAGCACCAAGCAUGGUAAAAUAUUUGCUUCUAAAAAGAAGUAUAAGUUUAGGAAAAGGCCUGAAUAUAAGAAAGAACAAUCUUCUCAAACUCCUCCUAGAAAGAGAUUUUUCAAAAGGAAAAAGAAAACCAAUUCUUCUUCUAGAGAAGUAAACAAAUGCAGAUGUUGUGUCACAUCCCGACCCUUAUAUUUUUACCUUAUUUACUAGCGUGAUUAUAAUAAGAAUUUUACCGUCUCGAUCAUUGAGUAAAUAGUUUAAUUGGUCCCUAGAGGGGUUUCGGGGACGAUUAUGUGCGGAGGAUAAUUAGUAUGAAGAAAAUACGACGACGGUAAAAAUAGUAAAUUUUAGCUAGUAAAAGGUAAUUUUUAUUUGGGUAUUAUUUUUCGGGGUGUUUUUAUUUUGGAAUUUUGGGUUAAAAGGAGUGUUGGGUCGGCUGGGCCGAGCCCAACCCAUUUCUUCUUCUUUCUCUUCUCCCUCUCUCCCGAUUUUCUCUCUUCCCACCCGAGUUUCUUCUCCCUCCACCCGGGAAACUUCACCACCGCCGUCCGCCGCCGUCCGGCCGCCCCAGACCGCCGCACCGGUUCCAAUCGAUCGACCUCCAACCCAGCAGCCUUCCUGGACCGGUGAGAGGAGCCCUAGCUCCGCCGUGAGUGAGCGGUGCCGCCCGAAAGGCUAGGCUGCUCCGAGCUUCCCUUCGCCGGAACUUCCUCCUCCGGCCACCAAUCCGGGCAAGCUUGGUACGGUUUUGUAGCCCUCCUCCCGUGCAACAACCCCUCCAAGUAGCUCCCUCCCUCUUGAGCUAGGUAAGGAGAAAUGUGGAGUUGAAAUUUCUAGGCUUUUAAGUUAUUUUCGUUCGAUUAGCCUAGUUAGGCUUGGAAUUGGGUGAUGUGUUGGUCAUGAAAGUUGUAGAGGAGAUUGAGAGGAAGAUUCUGUUAAAAUUUGGUAGCAUUUGCAAGUCGCCGGAAAACGGCUGCCGGCCGGUUAGGAGAUUUUUAUGGUUUUUGAUGUAGAAUAUUAAGGGGAUAUUAUUGAAGUGAAUUAUGGAAUUUUUGGAUGAGAUUUGGAUAGGUUUGUGAAUUUCCAAAGUUUGGUAUUUUUGGCGGUUAAUUAAUGUAGAAUCCGGCCGUAGGAUUUAAGUCGUAUUUUGGAGAGGUUGUAUUUACGACUGUUGAGUAUGAUAUUUAAGUUCGGAUUGUUCCGAUGUAAGAAUAUCGAAGUUAGGCAAUGAUGAGCGUAAUUAUGGCUCUCGGGUAAUUUUUCCUAUUUUGAUUAAAUAUUGGAUUAUUGGUUGGN
rnacentral:lncRNA from 1 species